UGAGAGAUAUAAAGAAAAAGACAUAUACAUAGAUAGAUUAUCUUUCCAUAAGGUUGAGCGAUCUGAUCUGACAAGUGUUAUAAGUGCUACACUCAUGAACUUUUCAUCCAUCAACUUUGUCUUGCUCACUAUGCUUAGGGUUAGAGAAGAACAAAUACACUUUAGGUUCUGUUGGUGUUUUCCACCAACAGGCUCCAUGCACUUGAUCUCUGCCUUGUCUCUAUGAGCAGGUACACUUUGAGCAAAACACGGAGGAGUUUUAUAACUCUCAGACUCUACCAAGUGAAGGACCUAGAUCUACGAGCACAAACACACUGAGCAGGUUACUGCCAACGCCGCACUUCGAACUGCUGGGCAAACGAAGAACAUGGGUGACACCGUAUCAAGAGGUGCAGACGUCAAGGUCCGCACCUGAAUCAAAUGACGCACCUGAAGAAUGAACACGGUGAGAAGUCUUGUUAAGAAGACUUAAAACAUUGAACCCUCGCCGAAAGAUAAGAUCGGUAGUUAUCCAUAUUUAUCCUUUCUGCAUUCCCUUUUCCCUUUAAUUAUUUACUUUCCUUAAAUAGAUUAUUAGUUAAUCAUGCUAUCUUGAAAAGAAAAUAAAAAUGUUAAAAAAUACUAAGCCCCAUGUGAGUAUACGAGUGGCGUAAAACCCAUAAGUACCUUCACUGUGGUGGCAUAAAAAUAAAAUAAAUAUUUUUUUUCUGCUUUAUAAAAUAAAAAUAUAAAAACAGGGAGUAAUAUUUAUUGAGGAAGCUCAACAUGAUGAAGGCUAGAUAUUUAUGCUAACACUUAAUUAGUUCCACAAGCUUUGUUGUCUAUUUGAGCUCCACAGAAUUUAAGAAUCAAGAAGACUAGCAGACGGAGGACAUUCUAAUCGCUGUCAGAAUGCUGCUGACUUUCAAAUACACCUCUGCCACCUGCUAGCUACAUCAAGAGAAAUUACGUCAAAAUUCAGCUUGGGGGAGACCACCCCCAUUUAUCUCGCUAAGUAUUUCUACCUAUCUUUAUACUUAUAUUAUAUUAGAAUAUUAAAAUACAUAAACUAUGAAAAACCAAAUAAAGAUUUUGUGCUUAUAUAUAUCUUUUGCUUAGUGUGUUUAAUAAAUAAAUAAAGUGGCUAUGCUAAUCUGAAUCUUAAUAAUAAAACUCUAGCAUGGAUAUGAUGAAUAGUUGCUCUGCCUAAUUUGCAAAUUUGAAGUUCUCUCUCAAGUUUAGACAUAACUGUUAUAAUUUAAAGCUUGCUCUAGAUCUAAACUUGUGGGAUGAAAACUUGAUCUAAAAUCUAAGUUGUUAACGGAUAUGAUAUGGGAAGGUUGAGCUGUUGUUUAUCUGUUCCUAGAGAUGCUAGAAUUCUGGAGAAUUUUAUCUUUGAAAAUCUUUAAAAUGUUGCAUGAUGAGUUCCUGUAUGAUGAGAGUUUAAAUUCCUACCACAGCCAUAUAUACAUGCUUGCUAGACUUUGAGCCACACAUUUACUAUUUACUGCUUAUGAGCAUUGAGUGUGGUCAAGCUGUGUAGACCCUUAGGAGCUUGUCAUGUGGUUAAAUCAAGAUUUCACUUGCACAUUCACUCAUAUAUGCUACUUCUACUCCGGAAGUACCAUCCACAUAUAUCCACUCAUUUCCAUCUCCAGAACCACCCAAAAAUAUUCUACUCCUAAUCCGGGAGAGAAUAGCCAAAAAUAUUUAUGUUUUCCCUUGUAAAAUAAAUGCUCAAGUUAUCUUGCUACUACCACUUGCUAUAUUAUCUCAAGAGAUGAGUGCUCCGAAAAGAAAAAAAAGAGAAAAAAGAAGAAAAGAAAAAAAAUAAUAAAAAAAACGAGGAAAUAAAAAGGGGCAAGUGCCCGGAACCUCGAAAGAAAAGAAAAAGAGUGAGACGAGAGGUAAAAAUGGACAAGUGUCCGACAGUAGAAUUAGGAGUACAGGAUACCCACCUGAGAGGAAAGAAAAAUGAAAGAUAGAGUAUCUCAUUCUCCUCAUAAAGUUUCAAAAAGCAAGGAAGGUAUGUAUCCCCUCAAAAGAGAAAAAUUAGAAUUAGACUUUCACCAUUGUUAUCACCAUCAUCACCAUACACCAUUCAUUCGCCACACAUGCACAUCUUGAUUUGACUUAUUGAUUUGUUUCUCUGGAUCCAUGGUUUGACUAUGCAAUAAAUGUCUUGUAAGUAUGUAUUAGCUGUCUGCCACCUAUGAGCUCCAGAUAUUAAAGCCUUAUUAGAGUAGGGUGAGACAGAAGGCAAUGUCACUAUGCCUUAUACCACAAAUACCACAUAUCUUGAGAGAAGGCAUAUACCAUCACUGCCUUGGUAAGGAUCCAGAAAUACCACAAAAGAGAGAUUUAGAGAGUCAUAUAAGGAAUCUCUGAGUUUUAUUUGAAAAUCUGCAAAAAAUCCAGAGCUAUAGCUGAUCAAGAAUAAGAGACAUGGCACUUGGCUAGACUGUUCUAUCUUUUAACUACUCAAGACAGAAGUGACGGUUACAAGUCCCAUGGUGAAAGGUAAAGUAAGUAAGUUUUAGUUCUUGACAGUUUACUCUAACUCAGAGAUGAGAUCUUAUUUAAAAGCAUGUGUACCGUCAAAUUUUUAAGAUAUUGCAACAACUUCUGAUCCAUUGCUGAGUCUAUCCUUGCUCAGGGACGAGCAAGAGGUAAGCUUGGGGGAGUUUGUUGACGGUCCUUAAGUAUCAAAUUUAAUUAUCAAAUAAAUAAAGAAAAGGAUCCAAAUACAACCAACAUCUAAACUUAGGGUUUUAUCUGAUAGAAUUCCACGAGUUUUGGUGUUUGUCUAUUUCUGCAGGGGGUUAUCAGGAAAUAUGAAAGAAAGGCCCACACAUCGGGUUUACAUAGAGAUAUUAACGUGCCGCGCAAUUUUCUACCAUCUAGAAGACUCCAGAAGCCACGGGAACGAACGGGAGGCCGAUCGGGCCCGGGGGCAGGGCGCCCGCCCAAGUCCCUUGGGUGCCCGCCCAGCUACAGUAACCAAUCAGCUUCAACUUCGCGGAUCAUGCUCCACCGACCUAAUACUUCAAGGAAAACCACACGAUCAAUGUCGGUUUGAUCCGACGGCCCAGAUUCAUCUGAAAAGACUAUAUAACCAGACCCCCUGGCCCCUAGAGGAGGCACCCCUUGAUCAUUAUUCAUUAUUCAUAGACAGAGCAAAAGCUAGGGUUUAGAGAUGAGAGCUCUCCUCUCUUCUCUAAACUAGAGUAGAUCUAGAUAGUAGCGAGAUGGAGAGCGAAGGAGGAUUAGAGGAGAGGCCGGCCUGUCGGUUCUUCCUCCGGUUGUACUUCGCCAUGAUCAAGCUCUAAUCAAGCUUGCUCAUGGGAUGACUCUGGUAAUCUACUUCUAAUUCAUUAUGCAAUUACUAAUCAUGUAUGUUCUGGUUCACAACUCUUUUGAGUACUUCUAAUCUAUAGGACCCUAUAGGUUAGAGUUGUAGUAUAGGUGUAAGCGUGGUGCUUAGACAUAGAUUACUUGUGGAUAUCCCCUGACUAGCUGGAUCGUGUGGUAGGCCGCGUAGGUGACAAUUACGUUGGUCCCCUGUAGUCCACCUCUCGUUAGCAGGACGGGUAGGGUUUAUCGGCCUAUGGAUAAGCAUCCUUUGUGGUGUACUCUUAUCACGUGGUUCGUCCCAGACAUAGACAUACCCCUUUGAAGUAGAGAAACCAUAGUUAUCCUCUCUAUUCUGCUACCAUCGCCCAUAUACUAGAAUUGCUCUACUCUCUAUUCCCAUAUUAUCACUCACUGUUAUCUUACCUUUAAUAUUGUUCUUAUUCGAUUCUACCAUCUUUCCUAUUCACACCUAUUUACUUAUCUUGGUUAAGUUAGAGCAUAGAUCAGUUCUCCCGUUUCCCUGUGGAUACGAUAAAACCUUUAACCGGGUAAAAGCUUCAACGGUAUCCGUGCGCUUGCGGAUUAUCUGUGUGCAUAUAAAUACCAUAGUACACUCUAGUGCCACGCUGGGAAUGACAACCUAGUAUUCAAGUGGUGUUAGCAAGUGUCAACAUCGAGCUUUCUCUAAUAAAUAUUACUCUCUUUAGCAGGAUCAUAAAUUUAUUUUUAUAUUUUCAUUUUUACAGGGCAGUAAUAUAUUUAUUUUAUUUUUACGCCACCACAGUGAAUGGGUUUUAUGCCACGAGCAUACUCACAUGGGGCUUACUGUUUUUAAUAUUUUUAUUUUCUUUUCAAGAUAGCAUGAUUAACUAACAAGCUCUUUAAGGAAAGUAAAUAAUUUUAAAAAAAGAAUGCAGAAAGGAUAAAUAUGGAUAACUAGCGAUUUUACCUUUCGGCGAGGGUUCAAUGUUUUAAGUCUUUUGAACAAGACUUCUCACCGCAUUUAUUCUUUAGGUGCGUCAUUUGAGUUAGGUGUGGACCUUGACAUCUGCACCUCUUGAUACGGUGUCACCCAUGUUUUUCGUUUGCCCAGCAGUUCGAAGUGCGGCGUUGGCAGCAUCCUCCUCUGUGUGUUUGUGCUCGUAGAUCUAGGUCCUUCACUUGGUAGAGUCUGGGAGUUGGAAAAAUCCUUCAUGUUUUGCUCGAAGUGUAUCCUGCUCAUAGAGACAAGGCAGAGAUUAAGUGCAUGGGCCCUAUUGGUGGAAAACACCAACAGAACCAAAAGUGUAUUUAUUCUUCUCUAACCUUAAGCAUAGUGAGCAAGACAAAGUUGAUGGAUGAUAAGAUCAUGAUUAUAGCAUUUAAAACAUUUGUCACAUUUGUCAGAUCAGAUCACUCAACCUUAUGGAGAAAUAAUCUAUCUAAGUAAAUGUUUUUUCUUUACAUGACUAUCAUUUUCCAAAGAUUGGAUGUGCAACAUUUUAGCUCAUAUGGUUAAGAGUGUGGGAUCAAGAAGGUAGUACCGGGAACAAAGAUUAAAGGACUAAACAUGUUGAAUCAAUUGGGUUGGUUAAUUUGGAGUUAUAAAUCAUACAUGUUUGUCUUUUUAUCCAUAUGCAUGCUAGAAUCAAGGAGAAGCUUAUAACAGUGACAGUCACAUACCUUAAGAUGUUACCUUAAUUGAAGAGUGAUGGUACAAUAUCACCCUGUGGAAGCUUUUCUUUCUCAAUGGUUGUGCAUCUUGUUCGUGGCACUCUUCGUCUCGUUCUAUGGAUUAUCUCUCUAUGAUGGACGAGCUAUGUCUUUCUUGUGCAAAUUGUUAAACUUCAUAUGUCUCCCUCUUUAUCUCCAUUCUGAAUUUAUCUCAAGACUUCUCAAAUCGAUAUUAAAAUUUUUCCUGCAGGGGUUAGUCCAACAAAAUAUACCAGUGUCUACACAAGCAGUUUUUAGUUCAAUAACCAAACUAGACUCCAUGUCUAAUCGGAUUAAGGAAAGCUAUUUAACCUAAGCACCAUGCUUAAUUUAAAUGCCAAUGGAAGUAUGUCGAGUACUUUCAAACCAACACUUACUUGUGAAUAGACAAAGGUAGCAUGACAACAUUAUAGAGAUCUACUCAAGUGGGGAUGAAGUAGAAUGAUUAGUGUUUAACAAAUUGAGCAUGUCUUAAGGGUAGGGACAACCAACAUAGCAACAUGGCAAAGGAUGUUUUUGUGUAAGGUAUUCCCCCCAGCUUGAACAAGUCAAGUUUGGAUGAAUUUAAUUCAAUGUUGCAUGAUGAUUGAUUGGACAUACCUUGUUGUUAUUCUUCACUCUUUUACUUCAAGCCUGAAUCACGAAGAUAACGGGAUUGCUUUCCCCCAAGCUGAAUGUUGACAUAGUCUUUAAUCUUGAAUCCGCACAACACAGAUGUUCUUCAAUAUUCUUGAGCUUCAAAAUGUCAGUGAUGAUUGCAGCGCUUCCAAGUUGAUGAAGAUAUCUUGAUCAUUGGGGAUUCUCUCUUUAAAUCAUGUUAAACUCAAAUAGACAACAAAAUUUGUGGCACUGAUUAAACAUUAGUAGUUGGCCACUUAAGCCUUAGUUGUCCAAGCUUUUUAGAUUUUUCUUAAUUCUUUUUCUAAGCAGAGUUUCAACAAGAUCUCUUUCUCAAUAUAUAUAUAUAUAUAUUGGGUUUUAAUCUUUUUAUGAAGCAAAAGGAAAUGGAACAGGAUGAAUGCAUUUUUGUUUACUUUUAUUUAUUAUUAUUAUUUUUAUUCCACCACGGUGAAUAUCCGUGUGGGCUUUUACACACCACACAAUUUAUUCACAUGGGGUUUUAGUAUUUAAGAUGCAAUGAGUUAUAUAAAAUAUUUUUAUUAUAUUUUCUAAUGCAAUAAUAAUGCAGAAGGAUAAAUAUGUUAUGAAGAAAUGAUGAUGAAAAAUAAAUACGCUAAAAACAAAUGCAAAAAAGAUAAAUACAAUAAACCUACUAAAGCUAGUGAUACAUUAAAUUAGCAGACAUCAAGAUCAUUAUCAAAAUCUUCACACCAAUUACUUCCCCGGCAAUGACUCCAAAAAUGCUUGUUGACAUUCGUUAAGUGCAAUAAGAAUAAGAAAAAUUCCGCAAGCGCACAGAACAUCAUCGUAGCAUUUUACCGGGAGUAUUCCAGAUAUCGUUAUUUAUAUUUUACCACUGGGAAGCUAAGGUCAAAGAAUCUGAUAACUUACUAUCAUGCAUCUACUAAUUUAAUAAACCAACUAGACUAAGGUAGGGGUAAAUGAUAUAUGAUAGGUAAUAAUAUAAAGGUGAGAAUUCUAUGAUAAAUGCGUAGAUAGCCAUAGCGGGAGGACAACGGGAGAGACCUGGGUUCCUGUAUACUUCUCUAUUACUUUAGUUCUAUGAUAACAAAGAAUGAAUAGAUAUAGCAAUCACAUAUUAGCACUUUGGGACAUCAGAACACCAACCAUAGAAAGAGAACUGGAAGGGGGCUGGGAAGCUCUGACUACGGUCCUACAAACACCGAUCCGAACGAGGUGGAAUACGUUGACCGUUAGGGCUGUCACUACCCUAAGGCUACCACAACAAUCCGCAGGACUGGGUGCAACCUCAGGUAACCUCUAGUAUAGACACCACGUCUACACUAACGAUUACUACUCUAAUUACCAUGAAUAACUAGAGCACUCGAUAGCGAACGGAGAUCCUAUGCCAAAAUAUAACAACUACACUACUCGAUAAUAAUAAAGGUAUAAAAGUAAAUAGAGAAGAUAAAUAUAUUAAAGCAUAAGUCUUACAAUAAAUAUAAAGACAUACCAAAACUCUAAAGACUUCUCCAAAACCGAAGUGCAGCUCCGCUCUCCCUAACUUCCGACUAGAACUAAUCUACUACAUUGGAAUGUCUAGCCCUAAUUAUCUAUAGAAGAAAGGUUAUCCUUCAAGGGCACCUCUCAACUCUAUAAUGAUAUGUUCUCCUCCAGGGGCCAUGAUGUGUUCUCCUCCAGGGGCCAGGGGCCUUGCUUAUAUAGCCUCCUCCUUUGUGCCCUUUUUGGAUCAGCAGGCGAUCUGGUACUAAACUUUCCACCAUAUCUUAUUCAAAUGCACAUAGGCCUUAAUGGACCAAAAUCUGAUUUGGCCCAAUUAAUCCCGCAGCUCUUUUAUGUGGAGUCUUUGUUUUAUUAAUAUCUCUUGAUUUCGAACUCCAAAUAUAGCAAAUAAUAUAUGCAUUUCGAUCAGCUCGACGAGAUCUUUGUAAUGGUGUACUCCAUUCAUUGGUGCUUGUACCUGGGCGGGCGCCCUAGGAUCAAGGGCGGGCGCCCUGGUCCGAGGCCUAUCUCGGCUCCGCUUCGGUCGAGUUGCUUCUAGAGUCUUUCUGAUUAUGGAAAAUUACCGAACACAUUAAUUCUCUAUGUAAACCCGACGUGUGGGCCUUUCCUUCGUAUUUUCUGAUAACCCCCUUAGAAAUAGACAAACACCAAAACUCGUGGAAAUCUGUCAGAUGAAACCCUAAGUCUAGGUGUCGGUUGUAUUUGGAUCCUUUUUCAUGAUUAGUUGACGGUUAAAUGUGAGCAUUAAGGACUGUCAACACAUACUACAUACAAUCUUUACUUAUGGUUUAGUUGGUAAAGUUGAAGCAAAUUAAUUGGCAAGAUGACUCAACGACACUGGCUGUUAAUUUUGUUUCGUGUUCCCAUUGUGUGGACCUUAUAUGAAUCUAAUUUUAUUUCAUUGUCUUAAGUGAUAGUAUUGACAUAGUUUAUUUUCUUCCUAUAAGCCUAUAAGGAUUUUGUUAAUUAUUUUUCUUAUCACAGGGAUAGCUUUUACACAUCAUCCCUUUUGAAGUCCUGAAGAAAGAAAAGGCAUUAAUUUUUUGAGACAUUUUUAAGUAGUACUCAUUGUUUGGAAUUGGAUGUGAUUAUCUCUUUGAGUAGCACUCAGGUUAGAACUGGGUGUGAUUAAAAGCAAAGUAUGAGUCUGAUCCUGAAUCUUUCUCUCUAAUGUCUCUUUCAGCGGCUUUGUGUUAGGAAGAACGUGCGAAGGAAUUCCCAAGAGAACCAUCGCCAAAUUGCUUACGUGUGUGUAAUAUGUCACUUUGAUAGUGUUUGGUUGGUCAUGGACUAUAUAAUUCCUUUGCUAUUCUACCAAAUUUGAGUUUGGAACCGUAAAACAUUCCUUAACAUUGCACUAUUUGUCCUAUUCAUAAUGCUUUGUGUAGAUGUGUGGCUCACCUUCAACCUUUUUAUAAACUCAUAAUAAAUACAAACCAUAGUCAUUAAAUUGAUUUAAUUUCUUGUCAAAUUUUCAUAUGAGAUUAUAUUUAUUUUAUUUAAAAUUGGGCCAAACUCAUUUAAGAUUUACAAAAAGUGUAUAAUCAUCGAAUAAUAAAUUGUACACCCUGUUGCAACGUACGGGCAUGUUUGGACAGUACUAUACUAAAGAGGUAAAAAUUUUGGCCUAAUUUUAGUCUACCCUAUCGAACUGAUUUGAUGACUAGAAACUAUAUGUAUCAAUGAUGUCCGUAUUUCGGAAGUCUCAUUCACCAAGAAAAAAAAGCGUGACUCAGGAUCUUUCAAGCUUUGGGAAAGACCACCAUGCAGAGCUAGAUAUGAAUCGCUCACAUUUUAUAAAAAGGAGGGAAAAGAUAUAUAGUUAUGUAAUAUGUUUUAUCCCAUUGCAACGUACCGACAUUUUUGCUAAUAAAAAUUAAAAUGAUACUCCCUCUGGUCUGCAAAAGAGAAUGCAAUUCUAGGCCUUGUUUACUUCUCAAAAUUUUUCAAGAUUUCUCAUUGUAUUAAAUCUCGUGGCACAUGCAUAAAGCAUUAAAUAUUGGUAAAAAAAUAACUAAUUGAUAGUUUGGCUAUAAUUUGUGAGACUAAUCUUUUAAGCCUAGUUAGUUCAUGGUUGAACAAUAAUUGCUAAAUACAAACGAUUUGUCUCGCAAAUUACAGACAAACUGUGCAAUUAGUUAUUUUUUAUCUAUAUUUAAUGUUACAUGCAUGUGCCAUGAGAUUCGAUGUGAUGGAGAAUCUUAAAAAAAUUUGUAAAAUUUUUGAAAACUAAAUAGCCCCUUAAGCUUUUGACUAAAUUUAUCAUCACAGUAUAAAAGAAGAGUUUUUUUUGCUAUCCCUUUAUAAUAACCGUUAUAUCUACACAUCGUACUAAAUGAGUCCUUUAUCAUCCGUGAUCUUACUCUUCUUCUAUAAUAAUAGUUUGAUCUACGUCUACACAUCAUGCUAUAUGAGAUGGUGAUCUUACAUAUAAGACUCUUGGUAAACUAAGAUUCAAACUCACGUAUGUCUCCUUAUUUUAGGUAUAUACGAUCGAGUCAAAUACGACUUCUAUCCCUAAAGGGGUGUCAAUAGAUCACACUCGUUUCUCCACAAAAAUCCUUGUCCCAUCUCCUGAUUCUUUGUAACGCUUAUUACUCCAUGUUUUUUUCUGGCCAACGAAAUCUAGCACAUAAAAAUAACUGCCGCAUCCCACCGUGAUCCAUGUGAACAUCGGACGUAUGAGGAGAACGCGAAGGUUCCGCCGUACAAGACAAAGAUCGCCCUAGUCGGCCAAGGGCGUGACGUAUGUUACAAGUAGAAUGUAAGAGUACGAGAACAGAGAGAAAUAGAAUAAACUCGGUGUUUUGAUCACGGGUAUUUAUACAAGUCGGGGGGGGGGGAGAGAAAACUCUCGCCCCAAGUAAACUCGAGCCCACGAUGAGUCGUGGGUGAUAUCACGGAGGUGGAACCGGUCUCCACGGGUACGUGCGUAGUCGUGGGUGAUAUCCCGUAGGCGGUCGUGGGAGAUGUCGUAGUUAGGAUAGAUCUCCCGUAAGAGGAUCCGAGGAGAUGAGAUCACCCCGGUAAAAUAUCCGUAACACUCUCCCCUUGAUCGAAUCACUUGUUGAGAUCAAUGAAUCGUAUUGCUCCUCCAAAAAUUCCUGUAGGAUAAAAACGAGGAAAAAUACGUGUAUAUAUGUGCUAUAGUAAAACUCCUUAAAACCGCUUGGGAAAAGAAGGAGAAAGUUAUAGCACUUAAUGAUUGCCUCAUUGUAAACUAAUAUGAGAAAACCUUUGCAGGAGAAAACUCAUGUUGUAGUUUAGAGGACAAUAUGUGUCUUUGAUACUCCUUUAAAAAAACCCCUGUGGGGAAAACAAGGAGUAUGACACUGUUGUGUUAAUAUUAUCUCAUUAAAAACUCCUUAUGAGAAACCUUGUGAGGAAAAACUCAUAGAGAGAAAAGAGUAUAAUAUGAUGGUGUAGACAGGCCAAUGUCUAGGAGAUUUCUCCCCCUGAAAUUUGCAAAUCCCUAAGUCGUCGCAUACCAAUUCCUUUGACACAUUUUUCAAAUGAGGAAGCUGGUAGGGACUUAGUGAAUAGAUCAGCGAGAUUGUCGCAUGAUUUGGUUUUCAAGAUAUCAAUCUCUCCUUUUUGUUGUAAUUCAUGAGGAUAGAACAAAUUUGGAGAGAUGUGUUUGUUGAUAUUGCUCUUGAUAUAGCCUGUCUCUAUCUGUGUAACACAAGCAACAUUAUCUUCAUAGAUAAUGGUUGGAGCUGUGAUAGCUUUAAGACCACACGACUGUUCUAUGUGGUUGAUCAUUCUGCGAAGCCAAACGCAUUCACGUGAGGCCUCAUAUAGUGCAACUAUUUCAGAAUGAUUCGUGGACGUUGUUGCCAAGGUUUGCUUGGAUGAUGUCCAUGAUAUGGCGGUUCCGUUUUGUAAGAAUACGAAACCGAUUUGUGAUCUGCCAUUAUGGGGGUCUGAUUGAUAUCCAGCAUCGGUGUAUCCUAUGAUCUCAGAAUUUGUUCCUCUUUGGAAGAAUAAUCCGAGAUCCCUUGUGCCAUUAACAUAUCAGAGGAUCUGUUUUACUCCUGUCCAAUGUCUCUUGGUAGGAGCGGCACUGUGCCUUGCUAGCAAAUUCACUGCGAAAGCGAUGUCAGGCCUGGUGCUAUUGGCAAGGUACAUCAGUGCUCCAACGGCACUAAGGUAUGGGACAUGAGGUCCUAGGAUUUCCUCCCCCUCAUCUUGUGGUCUGAAUGUGUCGAGGGUAUCAGUAAUGGGUACCCUCACCGACCCACAUAUCGAGAUUAUCCGUACGCAGGUCGAGGCCCUCAACUCUAUGCCCUGGUCAUACAUGUGCGCGGUCGUCGACGACCGCAGCCUCGAAGACGGAAAUGGCGUCGAGCGAAUCGAUCAGGGGUCGAGCGCUAGAUACUGUCGAGUACGGAAGCGGGCUCGCGCAAACCGGGAGGCAUCGAGCGCAAGGACGCUGCCCGCCGCCUGACACGCGCACGAGAGCCAAGGCAUUUAAUGUGCCUGUCGCUUUCCCACCUAACACGCUGAUCACGGGAAGCGUGAUAGGGAACAGGCACCCGUCCCGUCGUUCUUUUUGCAGCCUUCCCCACCAAACGACCCAGGGCGUGUCAGGACGCGGGAAACAGGGACGGAAUGUCCAAUCAGGACCCCCUCAAGACAACCAAAGUCAGCGCUCCGGAUAUCAGGACAUAGCGUGGCGUCCGACCCUCGACCAGACCUAGUUCCUUCCUGGGGACGAAAUGGGCGUCGACUGACAAUGCCACAACCACUCCGCCGGAUCUGCCGCCGUGUCGUACAGGCGUGCGACCGGUGAACCAGCCCAAGAGGGCGCGCAGGGUAGGUUACAGGGGCACGCGUGAUCAUCACCAGGCUACUAAGACGGGACGGCUCGAGGUCACGCCGGUACGGAAGCCUCGAGUAGGUCAGCGCUCUAUGCUUCUAUCGACCCCUACUCUGACACCUAUACUUGUACCCUGGGUCUCUCUUUCGAGCUAUAAAAGGAAGGACCCGGGAAUAGAUAGAGGACACACGCAACACUUCACCCAUACGCGGUAGGACUCCCAUACUCCAUACCACGCUUGUAUUCGCCCCUGUACAAGCACUUAGGUGCAAGAUAAUACAAACUUCCCUCCCCCGCUGGACGUAGGGCCUUCUCUUGCCCGAACCAGGAUAAAUCUCUGUGUCUUCUUGCAUCACCAUCUGGGAAUGGGAGCACGCAUAUAAAUUUACUCGUUGGUGUGACCCCCGUGGGGAAAACACCGACAGUUGGCGCGCCAGGUAGGGGUCCUGCAUGUUUUUUCAUCGAUUUCCCACUCCUUUCCAGAUGGCUGCUCUCGCCUCGCCGAUUGCGCGCUCCACGGUGAUUUGGUUUGGGAGUCUCGAGUUCAUGCCCAUGGGCUCCGGCUAUGACAUGAUCUUGCUCUCAGUCAAAGGACCAGGAGGAGCCUGCGUUGCACCAGCACGGUUGAGGGCCCCGAGACGCCCUCGCCACCACGCCUCCCCGCCCAAGAAGAGGCGCGGACAGCACCACCGCCGCCCCUCUGCCUCAUCACAACCGGCAACUCGUGCGAGGCAGGAGGUGGGCCACGAGUCGGCAGCACCAUGUGCCGGAACCGCGGGCACGACGGCUCAACACCGCACGACGACGGGAGGGAACGUGUCUCGCGCGCCCUCCCCCACCGCUGCUAAGCUACUUCCACACGGGUUGUUCACUCCAAGAAGGGUACUGCCAUUCGGAUUAGACAACGCCGCGGCGUCGCUCGCCAGAGCAAUAUGCCCAAACACCCAGACGUACGUGGUGAGACCAAUGGUCCUCCCACGUGAUUCUGAAGCACUACGGCCGACGUCUGAACUGCCGGAUUUCUCCUAGGUGCGAGGCCUCCGCCGCCUAGGCCCUGGGCGAUACACGAUCGCCUCACUCAGGCAACGACUGUUGGAGGAGGGACGUGGAUGUUUCUACACCGCCGAGCCGGACUCCGACUCCGAGACUGAUAGCUACGACCCUACAAGAGAAUGCUAUCACGUCGACGGGGCGGUAGAAACGACCGACGAGAUGCAGGAUGCUGCUGCGGGCGGUCGAGUCCCUGCAGCACGGGAAGACCCCAGGACUCCUGGGAACGACGGACAGGUCGACCCCCCUCCACAGUAAGACAGGGUUGCGCAGCUUGCACAGCUACGGGAGCUCAAGAUGAAGCUCGACGAAGACCAUGAGCGCCUCGUCCUGCUCGAGCAAAUCCUUGAGCAAGACCUGCCCUACCCGCCGGGCGGAAUUGUCCGCAGACGCGCUCGAGAGGUACAUCGACAAAUCGUCGGAGACGCAGAGCCAGAGCAGCCUGUCAGCCGUUUCCCUCGAGUGGGCCAGAAUGUAGUGGCGGCGACGAUGCUACUGCGCAACAUGCCAGAACCAUCGAACUCCCAGGCUCGGCGCAUUCAAGACGAGGUACAGACUUUGCUCCAGGUGGCGGCAGUUCAACAAGCCGAAAGCUCAGCUUCUCGAUGCCGAGGAGCUGCCACCGAAAAGCGCGAUGAGCCACCCCAAAACGAAAAGGAGGUGUCAGUCCAUCAACAGCCUCCCCCUCGAGGUAGAAAGACCGCUCUCGUCCUCCCCAUCGACAAUCAGCGUCGACACGACGCGCAGCGUGACAUCGAAGAGAAUCGACGCCGUCGGUAUGGGGACGCGGAAGAGCGCGGUUACAUCGCGCAUCGCGGUGGAAGGUACGACAGCGACGAGGACCAGAUGGCCCCUGAGCCACCAGGCCCAUGGGUGUUCAGCAGGGCAAUCCGCAGCACGCCCCUACCCAGUCCGUUCCGACCCCCGACCAGCAUCGCAAAAUACAAUGGUGAGACCAAACCAGAAUUGUGGCUGGCCGAUUUUAGGCUGGCCUGUCAGCUAGGAGGCACUCGAGGAGAUGAUCGAGCCAUCAUCAGACAGCUGCCACUCUUCCUCUCCGACACCGCCCGUCGGUGGCUCGAGGAACUUCCAGCUAAUCAGAUCCACGACUGGGUCGAUUUGGUUAGAGUCUUCGAGGGUAACUUCAAAGGAACCUACAUACGGCCCGGGAACUCGUGGGACCUCAGCAAGUGCAAACAGAAGUCAGGAGAAACUCUUCGAGAGUAUGCUCGAUGCUUCUCAAAGCAGCGCACAUUCUGUACCAAGACUUUGUAAAUAAAUGCAUGAAUAAAUGAAGUCUUUCCCUCGAGCAACUUCCUUUUGUACUAAGGCUUUACAAGUCAAAAUCCCGACGUAAGAAGGGAGUACCGACUAUGACCCAUCAUAGUCGGUACCCCCUCGGGGGCUACCAGGGGGGCGACCCCCCCAAGUGUCGAAAAAGCCAAAAAUUUCUCUCUUUCUUACUUAGUAAACCUUGCAUGAUCGAGUAGUUGAGGCGCCUCGAGCCCCUUAAGGGCUGAGGGAUAACGAGCCUGAGAACUCCUACGCCUCCGGGCUAUGGAAACUCUACUCACUCCCUCACCCUCGAGGUAAUCGAAGCUGUCUUUUACGAAAAAUCAAACAAGGAACACAUACGUAGGCGCUAAGAGAAAUAAAAGAACCUCGAGCGGAAAGACAAAUAAACAUUUAACAAUUACCAAAAGAUACUGUAUCGCUCAAAAACAGGAUUAACAAAGUAUUAUACAAGGGGCCCCAGGCACCUGAGCAGGCUCGCAGGCCUCAGUCCAUGGCACGAUCCUCAACACCCUCGCCUCCGCCCCAGCUAGUCUCAGGAGGAAGCACCUCAGGCUCAAAUAGCUUGGCCAGCCUCUCUCCAGGAGCCUCCACGUCGUCGAUCAAGGCGUGGAGCCUCUCUUCGUUCUCCGCGUCGGUCUUAGAGAUGUCGGUGAUGAAGCCAUGGGACACUACCUCCAUGUCGUAGGAGAAGCUGGAGCAGACAACCGCCAUCGCCCGCUUCACCCUGAUGUGGAGGGCAUCCCGCACCCGAUCUCUCAGCGUCGCGCCUAAGUAGCACAGCUGGUCGACCAGUGCGUCGCCUCGAGCGUCCUCCUUCGACUCGUCCACAGGCUCGACCUCCCAGGAGGUCGAGAGGUCGUUUAUCGCCGUCCGCACGUGACGGUUCAAAGCAACCUCCGCCUCGAGCUGGGCCUUAACAUUACGAGCCUCGGCUUGGGUGGCUAGGAGUUCGUCCUUAAGCCCUGUAAAUACCAAUACAAGAAACUUUAGGGAAAACCAAGCACAUCCCGAAAAAGAAAUCCGACAAAGGAAACGUACCGCGAACACUCUCCUCCAAGGCCGUGUUCUCACCGACUAGUCUGGUGUUGGCCCUCUCGAUCUCUCUGUUGGAGCGGGUCAGCUCAGUGUUGGCAACGCGGAGAUCCUCGAUCCCCUUGCCAGCCUGAGCAAUAGUCCCACUCUUCUCCAACAGCUCUCCCUUCAGACGUUCGACGUCGUCAGAGAGCCUGCGGGAUCGAGCCCGCUCCGCCUCGAGAUCUUCGAGGGCCUUCUUCUUGGCUUCCUCCGCGGCGCUCCUGGCGAUCUCGCCGUUCACAUGCUCCACCUUCAUCUUUUGGAAGGACUCUCGAAGGGAGUCCAGGUCGGUCUUGAGAAGGCCCUUCUCCUUGUCCAGGUCUGCAAUGACGCUCUUGUAGGACAGGGCCUCCUCCCGGGCUCUGGAUGCGGCCUCCUCGACCGUCAGAGCCCGCUCCCAUAGCAUCGUCGUCUCCUCCUCCGCCUUCCUUGAGGCUUCUCGAGCCUCGACCAAGGCAGCCUCCCAUGCCUUCUUCUCCUCCUCGAGCGCUAUGAGGUCUUUAUAGGCCUUAAGGAGCUUUUCUUGCGACUCGAGGUGUUGAUCCUUGAGGACGGGGAGCUGCUCCCAGCCUCCUCUUGUGGCGUGAAUGAAGCUCGACUUGAUACGGGAGGUCUCUUUCAUGUCCUGCGAGCCGGGGGUCGAACGGUUAGAACACGAAACCAAAGGAUCUAUGAGGAUUAAGGACCGAAAAAUACUUACAAGGUAAGCCGGCCCGAGCCCGUAAUUGAUGAUGUCCGACAGGAGCCCCACCACGUGCUUCAUCCAAAGGCGGAGCUCCUCGACGUGUUCCCACUUCUCGGCCUCCUUCUUAUCAUCGAGGAAGAUGUUGGGCUCGGACGGAUCGGUGGAAGCCCGGAUACGAAUCCGAUCGGGGCACCAGUUCUCCAUCUCCCGAUCAGCCCGCGCCUUGACGCCGCGGAUAAGGUUCUCGACGGUCUCGAGGGAACCCCCAUGGCGCAAGAACAGGUCGACGAGGCAUGGGAACCGCCCAUCGUCGUCCACUGUCUUCCAGGUACCGUCCUUACUCCCCGAUGUCCCGAUCUCGUCCUCCUCAGAGGGAAAGCGGUCCUCCCACGCCCGACGCUCCCGGAGGAACCCUGGGGCGAUCCUGUCCAUGCCGUAGAUCGUCCUCUUGAUCUCGGACUCGGGGUCGGUGGGGGUGCGCAUCAUGCAGGCAAGUGCCACCACGCCAUCCGCUCGCCCCGGCUCUGCCCGGAUCGCGGCGGGCGCCCCCGGAAGGAGCCACGCUGGGGUCGGAGGGCCGUACACCGGCAAAUCUUCUUCCUGCUCACCGGGCUCUUGCGGCGCCGGUGGUACUGGUUGGGGCAGACCUUGAGGCGGAAGCUCGAGCUAUCUUUCUUCUUGGCCCCCCUGAUGCUGCUGCUGCUGCUCCUCGAGCACUUGCUGCUGCUGUUCCACCUGCUGCUGCUGCUGCUGUUGCUGCUGCUGCUCCUGCGGCUGCCGCGUUGCCUUGCGCACCCGCUCCUCCUCCUCCUCCUCCUCUUUCUUCUUCUGCUCCUCGAGGGCGCUAAGGCCAGCGGGCCAGGAAGUCCGCCCCGCGAGAAGGGAGGUCGACGCAUCCUCCUCCAUAGGGCGGGCAUCCCCAGACGCCUCGUUACCGCCAGACGUGUCGCUGAUGGUGAUGGGGUCCGCCUCGACCCCCAAUCGAGGAGGCUCGGGGGCUCCUUCUUGCCCCUGAGUCUGGGCCACCUCGUCACGCGUCGGCGGCAACGGGGUAGGCUCGGGACGAGGCGGGGCGCUCUCAGCGUCGGCCGGAGGUUGAGAGUCGGAGGAGCCUGCAAAACAAAGAAUAAAGGCCGGCUACUAUAAUAACCAACGCAAGAGUGUCAAAAGACUAGAAGUAAGCUACAAACCUAGCACAUCGGAGACUGCUCCCACCUUAAGCCUCUUCGCCAUUGAAGGCUGGGCCUGCUCGAGCGUCCGCUUUAGUCCGAAGAGAAGGGAACGAGCAUGAAAAGACCGGUAUACAAAGAAACACGGAGGAAUGGGAAAACAAAAGUCACAACGUCGAAAGGCUUACCCUACGGGAAGAACAGCUCGCCUGCCAGUACCCCGACCGGUGGGCCUUGAGCCACCCCGCGUCGAGAUCCCAGACCCCUCGAAGACAGGCGCCGGCCUUGGCCUGGUAACCUCCGAUUGACGGACACCGGGACUGGCGCUCCUGUGGCCAGUCUCGCCUUUCUUGGAGGCCGCGGCGCGACCGCGGGUUAAUGGCCCCGUCGCCUAGGGCCUAGCGUGGCCACCCAUCUUGGGCACGGGAGGAGGGCGCGGGGCGACCCGACCAGCCGCGGGCGCAGGAGGGGUGUCGGCGCGAAGGCGGUGGGAUUCGCCUGGACCCUCCUUCGGAGCUUCAGUCCGGUGGGCGUCGACGUCGCCUCGAGGGGGACCCUCGAUGAUCCGGUCAAGGCGAGACGCCAUCCCCUCAGAAUCAUCGUUGUCCUCGUCGCCGUCAUCAUCUUCACUGGGGGAUUCUUCCUCAGGCUCCCCCCUCUGCCUGGAUUUGGCUCGACGCGCAUCUAAUGCUUGGCGGUCGAGGUUCUUCUUUUUCUCCCCUUUCUUUGCGGAGUCCUUGGCGGACUUCAGCUUUUUGGCGGACUGGCGCUGUCUGUCGCGAUCAACCUCGUCCUCCUUCACAGGGGGCCUCGUGGACCGGGCAUCAAUACGCCCCUGCCAGGACAAAGGUAGGAUUAAAAAGGAUCGAGAAAAAUCCAGAAUCGGAAAGAGCAUACCAAGUCGAUCGAGCCUUCGUCGGGCCUCAUGGGGAAGCCGUUGACAUGCUUCGACUUAAAGUCACCGGCGAUGGCCGCCCUAACUCGGGCAGCGGUCUCAUCGUCCGCCAAAGCCUCGUUGGACAUCCGACAUGCCUCGAGAUCCCGGGACAAAACGCUCGCUCCCAUCUCGUCCAUCCUCAGCGGCCGAGACAUCAGAGGAAGGACCCUUCGACGAUGGACAGCCGAGAGGACGAGAGCGGCGGACAGGCCCUCCAGGCGCAGCUUCUUCAUGGCGUCGAGGAGGGGCUCGAGCCGCGACUGGUGCUCUUGGACGACGCCGUAUGUCCAGUUGUCCGGGCGCUCCGUAAUCAGACGCCCAGUGUAAGCACGGAAGAGACCGUCGUCAUUCCUCAGGUAGAACCACUGCGAGUCCCGUCCGGCAUGGUUCGAUGACAACCCCACUGGGAUGUACUCGCGCGGCCUCUCCGUCUUCUUCGUCUACAGCACUAGGUUGAGGCACCCGGCCCGCACGUGCUUCCUCACGCCAGUAGUUCCAGUGGGGGCGUUGAAAAGCUCGCCCCAGUAGAGGUGGAGCCACAGCUCCCAGUGGGGCAUCAUCCCCAGGUAGCCCUCACACACCGCGGCGAAGACCGCCGCGACGGUGAUGGCGUUCGGGGAGAAAUGCUGGAGCUCCACCCCGUAGUGGAAGCAGAGUGCCCGCAUGAAGCGGCUCGGGGGAGCGCCCAGGCCGUGGCGGUGAAAUUUGGCGAACGACACCACGUAGACCUCGGGCGGCUGGGGCUCCCUAUGGCCCGCCGGCGGCGCGAUCCACUCUGGCAAUGACAGCGAGGUGCGGCAGCGCAACAGUCCCUCACUCUCAAGCUCUAGCAACCGGCGCUCCAUCAUCGACGACGGGCGCCAGUCAUCGGCGGCGACGAGUGUCACAGGCAUCUUGGUUGGAAGGACGGUGGAUUCACUACCGCUCGAGGGGGUGCGCGCGCGUGGGACAGUAAGAAAGCUAAGGCAAUGAAAGGACGAAGGCAAGAAGGCGGAAGGUGGAAGAAAGAACGGCGGCGGCACCAUGGCAUAUUUAUGGGCCGCAAUCCGCCAAUGGAUAGAUCCGAGAAAUAAGGUAACUCACCCCAUAAAUGCGCCAUCUAACAGUCCUUCCCCUCUUCACAGAUGGGACGCUCUGAAUUCCAUGCCGACGCAGUGUCGUAACGUCACCCGCCUGAAAAGGCGCGCCCAACGGGUAAAAAGGCGAACCGCCACGGCCUCUUCCUUCCCUUGUAAGCCAAGGGGCGUAUCUGCGAAAGCCUCGAGAGGUCACAGGCUGGCCUGCCAAAAGGGUUCGACAGCCGAUCUCGAGCACCAGAGUCAGGGAUCCCCAGUGAGCGGUCGAAGAUCGAGGCCCGCCUCGAAGACUCGCUGGUGAUGUCCAAGGUAAGGUCGAGACAGUCGAGAGGAAUCCCCCCGACGGGAGGCAUCGAGCCGCUGGACUCUAUCGAAUGAGACCAGUAUCCCCGACCACGUCGACCUUGCUUCAUGAGAAUGCCUCCGGGCUACAGCUGACCCCCUCGAAAGGGGCACAGGUUCUCACUUGGACUACCCGCUAGGAACUCAAUCUAGGGUGGAAGACGCUCGCUCUAUCGAGAGUACGUCGAAACCUCCACGCAAAACGAGACACUCAGAACCUUCCACCACUGGUGUCGAUAGCGUUUCUGUGAAUUAGGCAAUAUAACCCUCGAAGGAGUCAAAAACUCCUCCGAGGGUUCGGGGGCUACCCCCGCGGGGUCGCUCGCGCGCCCCCACGGAAAUCCGUUCGCAAAACAAAGCCUCCACACGAGCGCCAGCGCUCAAAUGGAGACUCGGAGGCUACUGUCGAGGGUAUCAGUAAGGGGUACCCUCACCGACCCACAUAUUGAGAUUAUCCGUACGCAGGUCGAGGCCCUCAACUCGACGCCCUGGUCAUACAUGUGCGCGGUCGUCGACGACCGCAGCCUCGAAGACGGAAAUGGCGUCGAGCGAAUCGAUCAGGGGUCGAGCGCUAGCUACCGUCGAGUACGGAAGCGGGCUCGCGCAAACUGGGAGGCAUCGAGCGCAAGGACGCCGCCCGCCGCCUGACACGCGCACGAGAGCCAGGGCAUUUAAUGUGCCUGUCGCUUUCCCACCUAACACGCUGAUCACGGGAAGCGUGAUAGGGAACAGGCACCUGUCCUGUCGUUCUUUUUGCAGCCUUCCCCACCAAACGACCCAGUGCGUGUCAGGACGCGGGAAACAGGGACGGAACGUCCAAUCAGGACCCCCUCGAGACAACCAAAGUCAGCGCUCCGGAUAUCAGGACAUAGCGUGGCGUCCGACCCUCGACCAGACCUAGUUCCUUCCUGGGGACGAAUUGGGCGUCGACUGACAACGCCACAACCACUCCGCCGGAUCUGCCGCCGUGUCGUACAGGCGUGCGACCGGUGAACCAGCCCAAGACGGCGCGCAGGGCAGGUUACAGGGGCACGUGUGAUCAUCACCAGGCUACUAAGACGGGACGGCUCGAGGUCACGCCGGUACGGAAGCCUCGAGUAGGUCAGCGCUCCAUGCUUCUAUCGACCCCUACUCUGACACCUAUACUUGUACCCUGGGUCUCUCUUUCGAGCUAUAAAAGGAAGGACCUGGGAAUAGAUAGAGGACACACGCAACACUUCACCCAUACGCGGUAGGACUCCCAUACUCCAUACCACGCUUGUAUUCGCCCCUGUACAAGCACUUAGAUGCAAGAUAAUACAAACUUCCCUCCCCCGCUGGACGUAGGGCCUUCUCUUGCCCGAACCAGGAUAAAUCUCUGUGUCUUCUUGCAUCACCAUCUGGAAAAGGGAGCACGCAUAUAAAUUUACUCGUUGGUGUGACCCCCCGUGGGGAAAACACCGACAGAAUGGAUCAGUGUUUAGUCCCAAAGACCGAACAACCAUAGGGGUUUUGGAAGGAUAUGCUUUGUCCGUAUUGAAUCUCUCCAAUACUUUUUGGACAUAUGCAGAUUCAUGCACAAAGAUUCUAGUUGAAAGAUGCUCAAGCUGUAGGCCUAAGCAGAAUUUGGUUUUACCCAAAUCCUUCAACUCAAACUCUGUCUUAAGAUGUUUGCAUGCCUCAUCAAUAUCUUGUUUGUGGCCGAUGAUAUUUAAUUCAUCAACAUACACCGAUAUGAUGCAGAAUCCCGUUUGGAAUUUCUUGAUGAAGACACAUGGGCAGAAGGUACUCGCUGAGUCGGUUAUACCACAUUCUUCCCGACUGCUUUAAGCCAUAGAGUGAUUUCUGUAGCUUUACACAAUACAUGUUGCGAUUUGCGUUUUGAUUCGGUAUUGGGAUUCCGUCAGGAACCUUCAUGUAUAUGUCCGAAUCGAGUGACCCAUAGAGAUAUGCAGUCACUACGUCCAUCAACUGCAUAGAUAGAUGAUUUUGUACAGCCAGAGAGAUUAAGUAUCGGAAUGUUAUUCCACCCAUGACUGGAGAGUAUGUUUCAUUGAAGUCAAUGUAGGGUCUCUGCGUGAACCCUUGUGCUACAAGCCUCGCUUUGUGUCUCACCACCUCAUUGUUCUCGUUCCGCUUUCAGACGAAAACCCACUUGAAUCCCAUAGGGAAUACUUGUGGAGGUGUAGGUAUUACUUGUGAGAAUACCUGUCUUUUCGUGAGCGAGGAUAUUUCUGCUUGGAUUGCAUCCUUCCAUUGGUUCCAGUCCGAGCGUGUUUCGCACUCUGCCAUGGUCUUAGGAUCUGGAUCAUUUUCAAGGAUUUCGGCAAUCAUUGCGGAGAAAUAUGAGUCGACAAUAUUAGUCUUUCUAUCAAAUGACUCUCCAGUUUCUACAUAGUUGAUGGAAAUUUCAUGGACCCUUUCUGAUGCAUCAUCAUUUCUGAAGAUGGUCGCAUCAGGGUAUUCUGAUGUCCCAGCAUCAGUAAUUGAGUGCACUAUUGAUGUGGGAUGUGAAGGUUGAACCUCCACUGGGUGUUUCUGAACAUGAGGUUGAGCUGCAUUUACUAGAUCAGAAGAUUUUGUCUUCCAUUUCCUUUGCUUGCUAGAAGCUGUAUCCAUGGAGAUAGCCGUACUUCUCCCCCUCUUACUAGGGAGUUGAGUAGUUUUGUUUGGUACCUCUACUCUUUUCGGUACAUUUCUCGCUAGAUUAUAGGAUUUUGUAACACCCUUAUAAUCAGUAAAUGCGUCUGGCACGUUGUUUGCAAUGUGUUGCAAAUUUAUGAUUUUCUAAACAUGGAGUUCAGAUUCUGAAUACGUGGAUCCGAGUUGGGCAUGUCUGGGGCAUCCCAAUUGAUUUCCUAGCAUUGUUUGUGAUGUGGUAAAUCUCCCCCUAAUGCCGAAAAAUGAUCUUCAUUGAAGAUAUAAUCAGUGUACUGGGCCGUAAAGAGGUCCCCUAUGGUGGGCUCCAGAUACUUUAUAAUCGACGGAGAUUUGUAUCCCACAUAGAUCCCCAAUUUUCUAUGGGGGCCCAUUGUUGUACGCUUCGGUGGUGAGAUCAGUACGUAUGUAGCGCAACCGAACUUUCGCAGAUGGGAAAUGCUUGGGGGAUUUCCAUGUACUAGUUGCAACGGGGACGUUGCAUGGUAUGCAGUUGGUCGCAAUUGAAUCAGUUCAACAGCGUGUAAGACUGCAUGACCCCAACAUGAGGUUGGUAGAUUGCAAUUCUGCAAUAGCGGUCUAGCAAUGAGCUUGAUUCUCUUGAUGAGAGACUCGGCUAACCCAUUUUGUGUAUGGACAUAUGGGACAGAAUGCUGUACUUGUAUUCCUAAGGCCAUACAAUAGUCAUUGAAGGCACGAGAGGAAAAUUCAGCAGCGUUAUCCAUCCUAAUGGAUUUUAUUUGAUGUUCAGGAUGUUGCGCUUUGAGUUUGAUAACUUGCGCAAUUAUUUUGGCAAAAGCAUGGUUUCGUGUUGAUAGCAGAGACACAUGAGACCAUCGUGUGGAUGCGUCUAUUAGAACCAUGAAGUACCUGAAUGGUCCCGAUAAAGGAUUCAUCGGGCCACAUAUGUCCCCUUGAAUGCGUUCAAGGAAGUUGAGUGGUUCAACUUUGAUUUUGAGGGAAGAGGACCUCAAAAUUAAUUUCCCUGUUGCACAUGCGGUGCAAGUGUAAUCUGAGGAUUGGGGAAAUUUUGCAUUGGUUAGCGAGUGACCAACAGAAUUGCUAGUAAUUUUUCUCAUCAUCCCUAUGCCAGGGUGACCAAGGCGAUCAUGCCAAGUGUGGAAUGCAUUGACAUUCUGAAAAAUUACUUUGUACGCAACAUGUUGUACGGGUUUUAUGUAUGAAUAGUACAAUCCAGACGAAGUUGAGGGAAUUCUUUCGAGAGUAUCUCUGUCAUAUCCGUUAUCCUUUAUAAUGAGGAGGAAUUCCUCAUUAUUUUGGUGAUGGGUUUCGAUAUGAUACCCAUUUUUGCGGAUAUCUCUAUAACUCAAUAGGGUACGAGUUGAAUCAGGAUACAAAAGUGCAUCCUCGAUUGUAAUCGUUGUACCCAUAGGGAGCGUAAUAAUCGCUGUACCAGAGCCUGCUAUUACGGCAUCGCGUCCAACGAUUGUUAAAACAUUUCCUUUACUCUUUGUGAGAGUUUGGAAAUAUUUUAUUUCCCUGAGUAUAGAGUUAGUGGUGCCACUAUCCACUAGGCACAUUUCCUCAUCUAUCGGAUUGACUCCCGUACAAUCUAUGAAAAUAGAGAAUAUAAAAGAGAAUGAAAUUCUCAACAUGAAUAUAUAUGAAAUAUAAACAUUUAUUGAUGUUGAAUUGUGCAUAAGUCAAUGAACAUCAAACAGAGUGCAGCAAAAACAAAUUGUCAAUUAUUACAAUCCCGAAGGUGAAUGAUGAAACUAAAAUCUCAAAUGACUAUCAAUCUAGUUGUAGUCGCUGAACAGAUCAUCAGAAUUGUAUUCGAUGAUCAUGUUGUUGGUGGAGUCAUUUGCCAUGCCAUCAGGUGGAAGAGGCACCAUUGUGUUGCUCGGUCCCGCUGGGGCGGGGUUAGAACAUCCUGGGGCUGCCAGAUCGUUGAAGUGUGCUUCAGACGGUUGUCCACCUUGGUUGGAGCGUCCUUGGUUGGAGCGUCCUCGUCCCACGGAAUGCAAGUACAGUUCCACAAGGUGCUUAGGGGUGCGGCAUUUCUUAGUCGGGUGGUUGUAGCAACCACACUUUGUACAAGUUGAGGACUUGUCUUUUGACUUAGAGUUGUUGCCUUUGCCCUUAGCACCUCGAGGCUUACGGGGUCCCUUGCGCUUGUUUUUGCCUUUGGAGGAUCUAGGAUUGCUAUUUUUGUUGGCAUCCUUUGGUGUCUGUUUCUGAGCAUUUGCAUGUACUUCGGGCAAGGGCUUGGCAUCGACAGGGCCUUGAUUGGAGUUCCAUAUGAGGAGCUCAUUGUGCCUCUCAGCCUGAAGUAAUGUUUUGAUGAGAUCAUAAUAGACUGUGAAUCCCCUCUCACGGUAUUGCUGUUGGAGGAUCAUUUGAGCGGGAAGCAUGGUAGACAAAGUCUUUUCAAUUUUUUCCGCAUCAGAUGGCUCCUUUUCACAAAACCUCAGUUUGGAACUGAGUUUGUGCAUGGCAUGGUUAUAUUCAUUCACAGAUUUGAAAUCUUGAAUGCGGAGGUGGUUCCACUCCUGAGUGGCCUCCGGGAGAAUAACUGCCUUUUGUUGCUCAUACCGCUGUUGCAAAGCAAGCCAGAGAGCCCGUGGGUCCUCUUCCAUCAGAUAUCCAGCUUUGAGAUCUGAAUGGAUGUGGUUCCUUAUGAUGUAUAAGGCAUGGUACUUGGAUGGUUCAGACAAUGGAACAUCUCCCUGUUUGGGAGUGUCAAUUGCCCUAUACAUUCCGCGUAACGAUAGACUCACUUUUAGAUCCAUCGCCCAUGUAGGGAAGUUGUGUCCAUCAAGAGCUAGCUCGGCAAAUUCCUUCUUAGAAGAAACUUGGGCAUCAGACUCUUUGGUGGCCAUUGCCUACAUGUUUAUCUGCAUAAAUUUAAUUAAUUUCGGGGUUGUAAAAUUAACAAGAAUGUAAUUGCAUAUUUAUAUAACAAUGUAAAUUGCGUAUAUAAAAACAAUGUAAAAUUACAUAUGUAAAGCAAUGUAAAAUUGCGUAUGUAAGACAACGUAAAAUUGCGUAUGUAAAGCAAUGUAAAAUUGCAUAUGUGAAGCAAUGUAAAAUUGCGUAUGUAAAUAACAAGGUAGACUUGUUUAUGUGUAGCAAGGUAAACUUGCAUAUGUUUUAUGGUAUUUUGAUUUCUCAUUUUGUGGAACAUAGGUAGUCACCAUGGAGGUGUAGACCAUUUUAUAUUUUCACUUUGGGAUGUAGUCCUUGUAUGUUUAUUAUUAAAUUUGGGAGAGCACUUUGAGGAAUAAAUCCCGCAGUAGUAUGAGUACUACCUUGUGGUCGCCAAAGUGAUAAUAAAGUAAGGUGACAUCUAGUGAAAAAUAAUAUUCCAAAUAGGGAGAAAAAUUGACCAUAAAAAUAUUUACAUAUAUACAUGUGAUAGGGAAUUGUAAAGACAAAACGCGUUCGACAUGUAACGAAUUUUUUCAUUCAUAAUAUGAUUGCGAAAUGUAAAAAUAUUUACAAUGCAAUUUACAUCAGGGUCUAAAAUUUACAAAAAAGUUAGACUAACAAGCUGAUGUAAUUUAGGGAAUGAAAAAUGUUAUGUAAAUAAAAUAAAUAGAUUAGCUAAUUCAUAAAAUGAAAAAGCCAAUGAUAACUGGCCCAGGCUGAAAGCUCGCAGGCCCCAACCUGCGCCUGGGCCACCAAUUUGGCCCAAUUGGGGGAGGGGGAGAUGGGCCAUAUAUAAGGCCAGGGGCUAGGGUUUCCAAACCCUAACCCCCAGCCCCAAGCCGCCGCCGCCGCCAGGGGCAGCGUCCCAACCGCCGCCGCCUGGAAACAGGGGGCGCGCCCCUGUGUGCGCGUGGGCCCGCGGGCCCCACUUCGCUGUGCAGCGUGGUGCCGCAGCAAUGGAGUGGAGGGGCCGGUCGGGGCGAAGGGAGGCCGGUCACCGGUCCUCUGCGAGCGCGCGGUGCGGGCGCACCACUCGGCUUCCGCGUCGAGGCCACGCGAUGGGGUGGCCUGAGGCCGUGUGCGCUGGUGUGCACGCGCUCGCAGGAGGGCGCCGUCGUCGCCGGGUGUGGAUGAGCCCGCCGUGCCACGGCCGGCCUGGAGGAGCCGUGAAGCUCGUGCUCGUGGAGAAACGUCCAUGCAGGCAGCCGUGCGGGGCGCGGUCGCGCCGAGGAUCGCGCGGAGGUGGCCGUGCGUCGAGGCUUGCGCGCAACCCGAGGCCAGAGGCCGUUAUGCCGGGGCGGUUCGCCGAGCCGCGCAGGGAGGCGCCGAGGCCGAGGACAGGCUGGGCGAGGCCACGCCGAGGUCGGCCGUGGGAGCCGCGCCGGCCGAGGGCGCGACCGAGCCGUGGUGCCGCGACGAGCUGCUGGCCGCCUGCUGCAGCGCGAGGGCGGCUGUCGAGGACCGGCGUGCAGCUCGGCUCGAUCGGCGCCACGGCCGCGCAAGGGUGUCAAGGCCGCGGUCGGGGCCGCGAGCCUAGGGGCCGAGGCCGCAAUGCCCGUUGAGGCCGCGGCGGGUCUACGUUCCAGCAGUUUUGCCCGGAGGUUGCAGCCGCGAGGGGCCGCUGCGUCGGGCGUGCCGCCAUGGUCGCCCCCGAGGACGGGGUGGCGCCGCCGAGUUGCGCUGUGGAGGUGCCGAAGACGGCGGUGCCGUUCGUCGAGGCGUGGUGUGCCGACAUUGAGGCGGAAUUACGGCGAGGGAACGCCAUGUUUUACCCCUAGGUUAAGCCUGUGGUGAAGGUUGAUCCCUCGACGAUGUUCUUUCCAACCGAGCUAUUCCCCUCUGGGCAGGGAAGAGCGAUGUGCUGAUAACAUGUUACAAGUAGAAUGUAAGAGUACGAGAACAUAGAGGAAUAGAAUGAACUCGGUGUUUCUUUAUUCAUUGAUCACGGGUAUUUAUACAAGUCGGGGGGGAGAGGAAACUGUCGCCCCAAGUGAACUCGAGUCCACGAUGAGUCGUGGGUGAUAUCACUGAGGUGGAACCGGUCUCCACGGGGACGUGCGUAGUCGUGGGUGAUAUCCCGUAGGCGGUCGUGGGGGAUGUCGUAGUUAGGAUAGAUCUCCCGUAAGGGGAUCCGAGGAGAUGAGAUCACCCCGGUAAAAUAUCCGUAACAACGUACACGACCGUUAUCACCGGUAGCCGCAGCGCCAUCAACACCUGGCCCCAUCACCAUCCCAUGCUAGCGUCUGUUGGAUUUAUUAUGGGUUAGACCCAUUUAUAUAUUCAAUAAAUCAAUAAACUCUAUAGUAUGUAAACCGUUUUACACGGUACGAGUUUUUGACUGAAUGAUUGAGGUAUAUGUCACGCAUCGUGGACGUGAAGUGGCGAAUGGAGAGACUUUUCAUUUUGUUAAUCAUGGUGGUUGAAUAUGGGAGUUACUUCUAUUAUUCUAAUUAAUUAAAUGAAUUGUCAUUAUCUCCACUAAGGGAUUGGCGUGAGCACCAUGGGCUUUUGGCUAUCUUGCAUGGGUGUGAGGCUUUUGGCCUCCAAGCCAUGAGGCUCCUUGCCUUUUGGCUUGCCCACCUCUUGCUUUGCCUAUAUAUAGAACAUACGUUAGUCAAGUGUGAAGAACACAAUCCAGAGACACAAUUUCGCAGCAACGUAGGCUUCUCCAUCUCCUCGAUCCGCGCGCACGGAGAAGAGAGAGGGCAGGUGCCUCCGAAGCCCUUGUCGUUCGUGAUCCUUGCACAGGGAGGACGGCAAUUAGGUUUUUGGGGAGCGUCUUCGCGACUGCCCAAUCUACCGCCGUUGUUCGUCUUCCUCAAGCUGGUUCGGGCGGAUUUCUUCUUCCCGGUGGAAAGAUCGUCUUCAUCCUCUACAUCAUGGAAGUUGGUCAAGGAUCAGGAUCAUCGGAGCGCAUGGGAGGGUACGAUCCGUUCAUCUUCCUGCUGUGUUUCGUCUUCCUGUUCAUCAUGUUGCAGUAGUGUAUUUGUUUUGUUGCGCUUACUAUCCUGGUUAUGUUUCAUAUGUUCUACCAUGUAUUUUCUGUUUUUAUCUUAUAUAUGUUUCUGGUAUAAGUUAUAUGUCAUGUCUGCUUGUUUCGCUGGUUAAGUUAAAACGUUUCAUAUGCUGUUAUCUCUAUGUUUCACUAGUGGUUCAGUCACUUCGUUUGAUAUACUGUUUCUCAUAUGUUUCAGUAGUUCUAUUUCGUCGUUUAACAUACAGUCUCUUGUUUAUUGCCUUUUUAAGAUAUAUGUCUUGCCUUGUUAUUAUAUUUUAUAUAUUAUGCUUUUAUAUUUUUAAUAAUCUCAUGUUCUACAUGUUCAUGGAUAACAUGUUCUAUAUUCCUAUGAACAUGUUUAAUAUCAUGAUUUCUAUGAUUAAUUAUAUUAUAUAUGUCAUCAUCAUAAUGUUGAUUUAUAGAAUUAAAAUGAUAUAGAAAUUGCCUAUUAUUCUAACAGCGUCUGUUUCCUUGGUUCAUAUUGAGAUUAGAUCUACACAUCGUUCGUCUUGUGAUCUUAUUCUCUCUCUGUAAUAACUGUUUGAUCUAUACAUUAUUUAUGAUCUUACAUGUACGUAAGAGGUAAGACUACGUACCUCUCAUUGUAGUUCUAUAAUCUCACCCGCUAUAAGUCAUGUUUAUUUUAGAUAUAUGAGUCAAGUAUGACUUCUAUCCCUAACCUGCAACUUCUUUUUUUUCCUUGGAUUCGUGAAGGGACGUCAAUAGAUCACACUCGUUUCUCCGCAAAAAUCCCCAUGUCCCGUCUCCUGCCACGUCCCUCCGUGAUCCACACGAAGGCUGAGACGAGAACGUGGAGGGUCUGCCGUACAAGACGAAUGUCGCCCUGGCGAAGGACGCGACACGACGGUCAUCACCAGCAGCCGUAGUGCCGCCGACGCCUGGCUCCAUCCCAUCCCGUGUUAGGGUCCAUUUGCUUCGUUGGGAUUAAUUUACUCUCUCCAUUUAAGUCAUUCCAAAAAAACUUAAAAAGUCAAAAUAUUUUAGGUUUGAUCAAAUUUAUAUGAUAAGAUAAUAACAUUUAUGAUAUUAACUAAGUAUCAUUAGGUUCUUUAUUAAUUAUAUGUUCAUUGUAUAUCUAUUUGAUGUCACAAAUUUUUAUAAUUUUUUCUAAAAUUUUGGUCAAACUUAAGAUGCUUUGAACCUCUAAGAUUUUUAGAAUGCCUUAUAAUUUAGGAUGGAGCGAGCAGAUAUUAUUGAUCCCAUCCCUAGAAGUCUAGGACAUGGAUGAAGUUGCCAAGGCAGUGCUGCCGGCGCCCCGCGUGUAGAUUGACCUACACGAGAGAAGUUAUGCUGCCUGCUUGGGACCAUCUGAUUCAAAUUAAAAGGCCAUGACUUAUCUAAAAAGCGGUGAAAAUACUGUUCGCUGAUUUAUUGUGAGAUAAAAAUAUUAUUGGCAGAAAAAGUACGAUUUAUAAGACAAGCGAGCUGGCUCAAAUCCUAUUGCGCUUCAAUUCUUGCUUCUGCAUCUUCAAUUUAAUUUCGCUUGCUCCAUUACUGGAUUAUAGAUAGAUUGGCAUGCAAAGUAGUGUUAACAAGUUCUUAAAUGGGAAGAGUUCGAGUUCGAGUUCGAUCGAGCUGACGAGCAACAGUUGAAUCGAAGCGAUAGAUAUGGAGAGAACCACGAUAGUACACACAUGAGAGCGCACGCAGCACAUUCAUGCAUGCAUGCAUGCCGAUAGCCUAUCUGAUUCAGACAGAUAGUAUACAUAAAGCAGCCCUGCGGUUAUCAUGCUUGAAUGAACUUACUUUAGUGAACUAUCAUAUUUCUUAUGCCCUAUGCUUAUCUUGGCUACUUUUUUAGACCAAAGACCGAUUGGUCCCGCAUUUUAUAGAAAGAAAUUUGCUGGGAUUACCAGCUUUACAAGCAAAAAGAGUGCAAAGUGCCUAGGCACACCUUAGAUCCACAAAUCCGGCAAAACAAAAACAAUAAAGUCUAGACUUGUUUCAGCCAAGAAAUGCAAGAAACGAAACUAAGACGCUGUUACAUCACUAGCUUUGGUCGUUUUGCUCCAAAAAUCUUGAUAGCUUGUCCACCGUCUUUGAAAUCUAGCCUCUUUCCUUGUCCCUGGUUAAGAUGCUCUACUUUUGCAGAAACAUAAUCGACCGAUGAAUCACCGCAUUUGACAUAGUCAUUUUGAACAAGCCAUAAACUCCAGCAUACAUAUGCUAAAAGAACAAUCAUUCUUGAAUUAAGACUUUCUCCUCUAUUUCUACUAAGGUUUAGAAACUGCUGAAGGUUUAGAGGUGUGUCCACCAACAAAAGUGUGCAAAAUAACACCCAAAGAAAAUGUGUUGUGAUGACUCUAUUUGCCCACACAUUUUACACCUUCCAUCCCUAGGCCAAUUUCUUUUUGACCAAUUGUUCUGCUGACGGGAGGCAAUCAGAAUACAGUGACCACAAAAAAACUUGAUCUUGAUUGGAAUUUUUUCUCUCCUUAUACUCAUUAUUUAUCUAUUUUAUUCUCCUGAAAAAGUCAAUGCUUUGUAUAAAGAUGCUAUAGUUAAUUUAAGAUUCUUCUCUAGUGCCCAAAUAACAGUAUCUGGUUCAUCUUGUAGCGUCACCUCAUUAACCUGUGAGAUCAUAACCUUCCACUCUUCUAUCUCUGUUAUCCCAAAAGUUCUUCUAAAAGUAAGGUUCACUUCAUUAUCCUGCAACACAUCAUAGACUAUAUUAUUCUGCUCAUUGCAAAUCUUAAAGAUUUUGUUAUUAACAAUGCUAAGAGGACACUGCCCCAACCAAACAUCCAACCAAAAUCUAGCCUUCUUGCCAUUUUUUACUAUGUACAUCAGACCUCUAGUACAAAACUAUUUAAUAUUGUCGGGUACCUGAAGGGGUACCCUUAAUCCUCGACUAAGAGAACUAACCCCCGACAAGUGUCGAGCCAAACCGCCUUCCUCUUGCCAUAACCUAUGGAAAAGCCCAAACAAAGGGCCACGUUUUGCCGGUCGAAGAACGGUCCUCGACGGCCCAAGCCGUGACCUACUCGACGAGUCCCCGCUCAAAGCAGGACGAACGGCUCAAGGGUGUCGCUCGGCCUACACCUCGAUUACGGAAGUUAGGUCAAGCGAACAACUAGGCCUCAAGUGCGGCAUACUGCUCGACUACCUACUCCCUGUAUGAUUCCCAAGGCAUUUAAUGUGCCCUGCCUGCUUCUACCUAACCUCAUGGAUACAACGACUGUAAUAUUAGAUCGUACUACCGUCAUUUCCUGCUUUUGCCACCCAUACCCAGGGAACUGGUGGAUCGUACAUGAUAGUCUCGCUAUCCCGUGCACUAUGCCCAUUUCGGCACCCCCUCGAGACGCACUUUUCAACGCAUCCUCCACACUUCCCAGAGUUUGGCCUUAUCCACCCGAGGCCUGGUCCCAUCGAUCACCCCCUCAAGCAAGACUGCCUCAAAGCCGGUUAGCGCUUCAACAACUCCUGAGUGACGUCCAUAGGGAUCUACAUGCCUACACAUGGGCACUUGCUUGUCAUUGACCCUAAGGCGUGUCAUCACACGUACAGAAAGGACGACCACAUUGUCACCAAGUACGAUGCUAGAAGACUUGCCAUGCCCCGUGCAUGCCUCUAUAGUGACCUCAACUUGAUCGGCAUCCUCUCCCUCGAUGUCAUCACCUACGAUAGCCCUAGGAAUCGUGUACCCCUAUGCCUCGUCUUCACCUAUAAAAGGGGACGCUAGGGCCUAGAAUAGGGCAACUUCACCCUUUACAGCCUUAGCUUCCCAUACGCUCUAAACCCUAGCCGCACGUCGCUAGGAUCCCAAGGACUUAGGGUUCUAAGUUCUUGCCCUUCUCCUCAUACCUCCAUUCUCAUCUGCUUAUAUUCACCACUGUACAAGCACUUUGGUGCAAGAUAAUACAAUCCUCCUAUCCCCACUGGACGUAGGGCCUUCUUUGCCCGAACCAGGAGAAAAUCAUCUAUGUUCUUCUUGCAUCACCAUCCGGAUUAGGGAGCACGCAUACAAAUUCACUCGUUGGUGUUGGCCCUCGGGGUCGAAACAACAAUAGUUGGCGCGCCAGGUAGGGGCCCUGUGUGUUACUGACGAUUUCCCCCUGUUCUUCUGGAUGGCCGAUUCUGCCUCACCACUUCCACGCGCUACGGUGAUCUAGUUUGGGAGUUUGGAGUUCAUGUCCCUUGGCCACGGCUAUGACAUGAUUCUGCUCUCGAUCGGAGAUCUAAGCGGAACCCGUACUGACCUCCCACGUACAGGAGGGGCCACACGCUGAUCUCGCCAUCACACUUCCGUUCCUAGGAGGAGACACGAUCGGUGCCACUGUCAUCACCAUGUUGUGUCUGGGCCAACGCCCAUUGUAUUCCCAUCAUCCUUGGUAGCUCAAGCGGAGCCCCUAGUUGGGGAUCCGUCUGACCCACGCUAGGGCACGGAGGGUGAGCCGGCAGUCUCUACAGGCGUCCUGACUUCACCUUCGUCUCAAGCUUGAUGAGGGAGCCCAGCAACACUCCCAUGACACACGUGACCCCAACAUCACCCAACCUGCUGUUGAUAUUUGGGAACGCAAUAAGGAAUUGAUCCAUAAGCGCACGGAUAUCGGUGAGCACUUCACCCGGGAGGUUAUCCAGAGUAUCGUAUUUAUUUUUUUACCACUACGAGAAAGAGUGCAUCUGACUAACCCGGUCUAUUACUACUAACCCUUUAGGCAACAAAGAAUGUUUAUCGAUGUGAGUGAUAAAUAGAGAAGACUGCAACCGUAAUCUCUUUCUAACCUUGGUAAGGAUGAUCUACUGUUCUAUUGGGGAGGCUAACGAAAUCUAGACACCACAGAGGAUGUUCAACCCGCACCUAUAAACCCUAUCCUUCCCGCUAACGAGAUAUGGUCUUCAAAGGUAACUCGGAAAUGUCAUGUUCCUCGCUACUACCACGGUCCAGCUAGUCAGGGAAUAUCUAUGAGUAUCCUAGCCUAAACACCACGUCUACACUGGAGAUGAUUACUCUAAACUCUGUGCGAAGAGAUUAAAGUAAACUCAUAAACCAAAAGAAUAAUAAAACAAGAACUUACUAGAAUUUAGAAGUCGAAAUACUAAAGAAUCCUAGGAGCAAGCUUCGGGUUAGGAGAACUUGAUCCCGCAGGUACAAACUUGAAGUAGACACCGACAGGCCGGGCUUCCUCCGAUCUACACCUCCACUCUAUCUCUCAAUCUAUUAGAAACUAGAAGAUCUAUUUCUACUCACAUUGGUUGUUAAGCCUAAAAAGAAAUUUUAUUUAGAGGAGAGGUAUUCCUUCGAGGGCUCCUCUCAACUCUAUGAUAAACUUGUCUCCUCCAGGGGCUAGGGGGUCUGGUUUUAUAGUCCCCUCAAGUGAACGUGAGCCAUUGGAUCAAACCGACAUUGAUUGGACGGUUAUCCUUGAUCCUUUAGGUCGGUGGAACAUCGUCUGCGAAAAGAGUCCUGAUCCAACUCUAGGAGGGGGCGGGCGCCCAGUGCCUGGCCCCGUUCGGCCACCGCUUCCUUCCCGUGGCUCUGGAGUCUUCUAGAUGGUAGAAAAUUGCGUGGCGUUGAUAUCUCUAUGUAAUCCCGACAUGUGGGCCUUUCUUCCUUAUUUCCUCAUAACCCCCUGCAGAAACAGAUAAACAACAAAACUCAUGGAAUUCUGUUAGAUCAAACCCUAAUUCUAGGUGUUGUUUGCAUAUUGGUCCUUUCUCUUGUUUAUUUGAUAAUUGAAAUUAAUACUUAAGAACCGUCAACAAAUACCCCCAUACUUAGGCUUUUACUCAUCCUCGAGAAAAGGAUGGUUAAGAACAAUAUCUAGGGUAAAACAUUUUAAAACAUUCUCUUCAUAUUUGCAGGGCGUGUAGUCAGGGAAGUAUAUGGUUAAGAGUAGAAGUCCUUUCUUCCUUUCAACCCUAUCACUUGGAGUUUUUGUAUAUUUUUGAAAAGAAAGUUAGCAUACCUUUUAUCCUCAUAGGUUCUCUCAGAUCACUCAUUAUCUUUUAUAUAUCUCACUGAGGCUGUUUUAAUUUGCAAAAAUUCUUAAGCAUACUUACUUUGCAUUUAUUGCUUGAUCAAAACGGGAUCCGAGGAGAGGAAUGUCAUACUCUUAGAUCAAAGAGUUUGGAAAUUAAAAACUUGUCAUCUCUUGCUGGCAUAUUGCUUAUUAGAGGGACCAUGGGCUAUCAUUUUCUUUUUCUUCUCUCUUUUUUUAAGUGGAUACCGAGGUACCCGUAAUUCUACUGCCGGACACUUGUCCAUUUUUUCUGCGAGGUUAUCGAGCACUUGCUCCUUUUUAUUUCCUCGAAAUAUCUUUAUUUUUGCAUAGCCCAUGCCUCUAAUGCAAUAAUACUUCGGAAGAGUGAAUCUUUCUGAAUAGAUGUCUUGAUCUUAGGAGCAUGAUAAAUCUCUCAACAAGGGUCUAACUCAUUUUGAACAAACUCAAUACAGAGUAGAUAGCCUUUAUAAUUAUAAUUAAUAUUUUUAGUUUUAUCAGGCAUAUAAAACACUGAGGAUGGUAGCUAGAAUUUUUAAAUAAAUUCUCCAAGCAACAAUGAUAUCAAGAAUAAGAAACUCAUACUAUACCAUCUCACAUUCCAUAUUGACUUAAGUAACACAGGGUUUUAAAAUGAUUUUUUUCAAUAAUUGCAAGUUUCAGGAAAUAUCAGAGAGUGAGAUUAAUCAUGAUUAGAAACAUUUCACUCUUUUUAAUUUAUCAUGUCGGAGACAAUAUUCUGUAUACUCCAAGAUAUGUAUGUGUACAGUAAGUGUGUAGAGUGUGUACCUGAAUCAUGGAGUAGUGUAGUCGAAGUGUGUUUGGCAUGUCGAGGGAUCUCCCCCAUACUUGUUUUCUGCUUUCUUGCACAAGAAUAAAGUAGAGACACACAAGACAUAAUAAUAAUAAUAUUCUUUAUUAAUCUUGAGGCAUUUAUUACAAAUGACUAGUAGCAAACUGACGAUAAUAGUAGCAAACUGACGAUAAUAGUAAACCUAAACCGAAUUUAAAGAUAAAUAACUAAGAUGCAUUGCCUCAAAGUCUAAUCUAGAUAACUCAGCGGCGCUCUAAUUCCUUGAUCUUCUAAUUGGCACUAGCUAGAUCAUGCCUCAGGCCUAGUAUAACGGUGUUGUGGUUAGAGAGCUGCCUAGUGAGGGAAUUAAUCGAGGUCUGGAGGUCUAUUAUAACUCUGUCUAGCCUGCGAACGUCCUCAUCAAUGUCUACUAUAGUCUUGAGACGCUUCGGAGGUGUCUCAAAAGCAUUGAGAGCGUGCUUCGGAGCUGCCUUUGGAGGGAUGAAACAGACUUUGGCUGCUCUAACCCCUUCAAAGUAAGGCCUUUCCUGCUCCGUAGUGUAGCGUAUGCUGCUGAUCUCGCCGCUCUGAUUGGUCUUGACUCCAACGACCCUCUCAUUGGGUCUGGGUGGAAGGAUCCUUGUGCUGGUUGGCACCUUGAUGGUGGUCUUCGUCUUGGAUGAUGAUCCCUUGAGGAGUAGGGGUUGUAGCGGUGCGGUGAGAACUGGUUGAGCAUGGUAGGAUUGGGCGGAGCUACGUUGGUGUAACGGUAUGGCUUCUAGUUGUCGCUCUGUGUUGGCCGGGACGAGAGCACGGGCGUCGAGGUCUUCCUCAGGCUUCAUGUUGAGGUUGAAGGGAACGACUUCCCAAUCAUCGUGGAACUUCUCGGCCAUUAGAGUAGCAAGGGACUAAUCAAGCUCUAAUUGAAGAAGAAGAGAAGGCUUGGGUGGAUUGGUGUUUGAAAACUGAUGUCAGGGGUCUGUUUAUAUAGGGGUCAAAAAGUGCCUCUAGGGGUUUGUUCUAGUUGCUCCCGUCGAUGUGCGUGCGAAACUUUCCAUCUGAGGGAUUAUUCAGAUUACCAUAAGUGUAUUUUCCAUAAUAGAGAAAAUCGGGACCGAGGGGGAACAGGAGCUGGGCGCCCACCCACUUGAUCAGGGCGCCCGCCCUCUCUCUGGCUCCUCUGUGGACCCGCUUCUUCGGGCGUGUUUCUAGAUGCAAAACUAUUUAGGAAAAUAUAUGUAUGACCUAAAAACAUUAGAUUAAAAAGGUCGGGCUCUAAUUCUCCAUGGGAAGGUAAAAAUGGACUACGACUAUUUCUUCUAAUUCUUUAUUGGGCUCUAAAAAUAAUCUAAGACGUUGACCAUUUACCUUGAAUAACGUACCUUCGUCAUUUUGAAGUGUGAUAGCUCCAUGGGAUGAUGAAUUGAUCACCUUGAAUGGUCCUUCCCAUUUGCUCCAGAGUUUUCCAUGCCCGAAAAGCUUCACCCUAGAAUUAAAAAGUAAUACCUUAUCUUCGGGUGCGAACUCCUUCUUCUUGAUCCUCUUGUCAUGCCACCUUUUGACUCUUUCUUUGUAGAUCUUCGAAUUGUGAUAUGCUUUCUCUCGCCAUUCUUCCAAUUCUGAUAGUUGCAUUCUUCUAUGUUUUCUAGCGACAUCUAGGUCCAUAUUUCAUCUCUUUAUGGCCAAGUGUGCUUUGAACUCUAGUUGAACAGGUAGGUGGCAAGUCUUCCUGUACACCAAUUGGUAUGGGGACAUUCCAAUUGGAGUCUUGUAUGCUGUCCGGUAUGCCCAGAGUGCAUCGGGUAACUUGUCUUUCCAUGCCGUUCCUAUUUCAUUUACUAUCUUCUGAAGAAUAUUCUUGAUUUGCUUGUUGGAAGUCUCUGCUUGGCCACUUGUCUGAGGAUGGUAGGGGGUAUCGACGUUAUGACAGAUUCCAUGUUUUGAUAGAUAUUGCUUGAAGCGUUUGUCGAUGAAGUGUGCUCCUCCUUCACUUAUCACUACUCUGGGAACUCCAAAUCUUGGAAAUAUAAUUUCUUCAAACAUCCUCUUUGAACUGAUGUUGUCGGCAUGCUUGCAAGGUAAUGUCUCUACCCACUUGGAGACGUAGUCAACUGCCACCAAGAUGUACUCACACUUCUUUGAUGGGGGAAAUGGACCCAUGUAGUCUAUUCCCCAAACAUCAAAGAGCUCAAUCUGAAGGUUGUUGGUGACUGGCAUGGCAUCCCUUGUAUUUAUGUUUCCGUGCCUUUGACAUGGUCCACAUCUUCUGAUAUAUUGCUUCGUGUCUUCAUACAUUGUAGGCCAGUAGAAUCCACACUGCCAGAUCUUUGAAUGUGUACGGAAUGCUCCAUAAUGACCUCCAUAUGGUGAUGAAUGACAUUUGUUGAUGAUCUUCCAUCCUUCCUCAGUGGUCACACAUCUCCUGAGUAAGCCAUCAGAGCAUACCCAGAAGAGGUAUGGCUCAUCCCAUAUAUGUGAACGACUUUCUUGAAUAAGCUUCUUCUUGUUUGCUCCUAGCGGUACAUACCCUGAAAUCAUAAAAUUAACAAUAUCUGCAUACCAGGGGUCAGACCUGUUAAUCCCGUAGAGCAUGUCAUCCUAGAGUGAAUCAUCGAUGCGGGUUUCCUGUGGACUCUUAAAAACAUUCUAGACAAGUGAUUAGCAAUAGAAUUUUCUACUCCCUUUUUAUCUUUUAUUUCUAAGUCAAAUUCUUGAAGUAAUAAGAUCCAUCUGAUCAGGCGAGGUUUAGCAUCUUUUUUAGUGAGCAAAUAUUUUAGUGCAGCAUGAUCAGUGUAAACAAUUAUUUUAGCUCCAACUAAAUAAGAUCUAAAUUUAUCAAUGGCAAAGACAACAGCGAGAAGCUCUUUUUCAGUGGUUGCAUAAUUAAGUUGAGCUCCUGUCAAAGUUUUACUGGCAUAAGCAAUUGCAUGAUGUUUCUUAUCUUUAGUUUGUCCCAAUACUGCCCCCACAGCAUAAUCACUAGCAUCACACAUAAUUUCAAAAGGCAACGACCAAUCAGGGGGUUGAAUGAUUGGUGUAGAGAUGAGUGCUUUCUUUAAUAAAUUGAAAGAUGUUAGACAUGCAUCAUCAAAUUUGAAAGGAGCAUCCUUGGCUAGCAAAAGAGUAAGUGGUCUAGCAAUGAAUGAAAAAUCAUUUAUGAAUCUACAAUAAAAACCAGCAUGGCCAAGAAAGCUUCAAAUUCCUUUUAUAUUCACAGGUGGAGGUAGUUGUUCAAUUACUUCAAUUUUAGCUUUGCCUACCUCAAUACCUCUUUCAGACACUAGGUGUCCCAGCACUAUUCCUUCCCUAACCAUAAAAUGACAUUUUUCCCAAUUAAGGACUAAGUGCUUUUCUUCACAUCUUUGCAAAACCUUGUCUAAUUUUCAAGACAACUAUCAAAAGUUUUUCCAUAAACAGAGAAAUCAUCCAUGAAAACUUCCAUAAUCUCUUCAAUCAUAUCAGAAAAUAUAGACAUCAUGCAUCUUUGAAAAGAAGCUGGUGCAUUACAUAACCCAAAAGACAUUCUACGGUAAGCAUAAGUUCCAUAUGGGCAUGUAAAAGUGGUUUUGCUUUGAUCAUCGGGAUGGAUCGGGAUUUGGUGAUACCCUGAAUAUCGAUCUAAGAAACAAAAGAAUGAAUGGUUUGCUAAUCGCUCUAGCAUCUCAUCUAUGAAAGGUAAAGGAAAGUGAUCCUUUCUCGUGGCUUUGUGCAGUUUUCUAUAAUCUAUGCACAUCCGCCAUCCUGUAACGGUGCGUUGCGGAAUUAGCUCGUUCUUUUCAUUCAUAAUAACUGUCAUGCCUCCCUUUUGAGGCACAACUUGAACUGGGCUCACCCACUCACUAUGCGGCACAGGAUAUAUAAUCCCUGCAUGCAGCAACUUUAUAACUUCCUUUUUAACUACCUCUCUCAUAGUGUUGUUAAGUCUACGUUGGUGUUCUCGAGAAGGUGAAACAGAAGGAUCUGUUGGAAUACGAUGGGUGCAAAUCAUAGGACUGAUUCCUGUAAGAUCUUGGAGUGAGUAGCCGAAAACUGAGUGAUGUUUCUCAAGAAUGGUCAUUAAUCAUAGAGUUUGCUCCUGAGUGAGUUUAUUACUAAUGAUCACAGGAAACUCUAGAUUAUUGUUUAGGAAAGCAUAGAUAAGACCGGGUGUUAAAGUUUUAAGCUUAAUGGGAGGUCUAGGUGUUUCUGCAAACUCAUCUAAGGGUUCAGGUUCAGAAGGUUUAGCUUCUUCUUCUAUGAAGAAAGGAGUUUCGUCUUCUAAGUUUGGUUCUUCUAAAAGCUCUAGAUGCAGCCUUUACCUCCUCCAUAGGAUCAGGCAAAAGAUAUGACUCAGCCUUGUUAUUUAAGGAGUGUGAAAUUGUUAUGGGGAAUUUAAAAGUUUUUCCAAAAGAAAUAUGUAGCUUUCCAGUAUGACCUUCAUAAAGGAGUCUUCUAAAAGGUUGUCCUAUCAAUAGGUCGAAGUCCCAUGUAUCAAAGAUAUAGAAGUUUAAAUGAACCAUAGAGCCUUCCACCGUAAGAGGUAGGACAUUAAUAAUUCCAAAACUAGGGACUAAUCGUCCCGAAGAUUCCUUUAUGACCUUUGUUGUGGGGGCUAAAACAAGAUUUUUAAAUAAUUUAAGUGCAAAAGAUUCAGACAUAAUGUUGAUCCCUACAAUAGGAUUAUAGAGAGCAUCAAAUCGAUCAAAAUCAUAAGCACAGCGUAUAGUUAUAGAGGGUGUGCCCAAACGGAUCACAUCAGAGGAAAGCUCUGAUUCCUCCAACCACUCGCUACUCAUGACUGAGAUAAGCUCUCUCAAUUGAUAUUCACUUGGUAAACAAAUGCUAAACUGGCCGUUUUGGGGUCUGUUAAUAGAAUGGUAGUUUGAAAUGUUUCCAAAAUCGGCAAAAAGAUCGGAUUCUAUAUCCAGCAUGAAGUCUUGUAGUGGAAUUUCUUCCUUUUGUGGCUCAGAACUUGGGAUAGCUAAAGUAGAUGAAGAAUUUGGUAGAGUGUCUACUUCGGCUUCGUGGGUUUCAUCAUGAAGGGUAUUAUCCAUCUCAGCUUCUAGGAUUCUAUCUAGGAUCACUCUAGCUUCAUCAGUAGGGAUGCGAAAGAAAGAACCUCUAGACAUUGUAUGUAGCAUUUGUUUAUGAUCUUUCUGAAGACCUCGAAAAAAGUGAUCUUCAAGAUUAAGUUUUGGACCAGAUUCUAAAAGAUCAGAAAAACGUUUCCAGGAUUUUCCCAAAGUUUCAUUAUUUUUUGUUUAAAAGAUAGGACUUCGAGUCUAAGGUCACCGAUACGGUCGAGGGAAUAGAAGUCUAGACAAAAGUUGGCUCGUAAAACUCCCCAUUCACCUUGUUGUUGACUUACCUUCUGAUUGUACCAUUGUCUAGCUUCUCCCCUUAAAGAAAAAGGAAAAAGCUUCCAACGUAAAGUCUUAUCAGAAAUGCCUUCAAUGCGAAGACAAUCACAUGUUUGCUCAAAAUCUCUAAUAUGAAGGUAAGGGUUUUCGUCUUCCUUUCCCGAAAAAGAUAGGUUUUGAAUCAUGGCAAUCAACCUAGAACUUAACCUAUACUAGGAUGUUUGGAUAGGCUGUGAUGACUCCCAUGGUAAAAGGUCAGUUUCCGAAGGUGUUGCAAAUUGGUAGAUUGAUUUAGAAUCUUGGUUUUCCAUAAGGUAAGAGUAAAGAAGAUAGAUAAAAGAUAUAGAAGAUAAGAAAAGAUAAAAGUAUAGAUACAAGCUAGUAGUAAGACUCAAGGUUAUCUCAGCAAACCAUCUUUCGAUCCCCGGCAACAGUGCCAGAAAUGCUUGUUGAUAUUUGGGAAUACAAUAAGGAAUUCAUCCGCAAGCGCACGGAUAUCGGUGAGCACUUCACCCGGAAGGUUAUCCAGAGUAUCGUAUUUAUUUUUUUUACCACUAGGAGAAAGAGUGCAUCUGACUAACCUGGUCUAUUACUACUAACCCUUUAGGCGACAAAGAAUGUUUCUCGAUGUGAGUGAAAAAUAGAGAAGACUGCAACCGUAAUCUCUUUAUAAUCUUGGUAAGGAUGAUCUAUUGUUCUAUUGGUGAGGCUAACGGAAUCUAGACACCACAGAGGAUGUUCAACCUACACCUAUAAACCCUAUCCUUCCCGCUAACAAGAUAUGGUCUUCGAAGGUAACUCGGAAAUGUCACGUUCCUCGCUACUACCACGGUCCAACUAGUCAGGGAAUAUCUAUGAGUAUCCUAGCCUAAACACCACGUCUACGCUAGAGAUGAUUACUCUAAACUCUACGCAAAGAGAUUAAAGUAAACUCAUAAACCAAAAGAACAAUAAAACAAGAACUUACUAGAAUUUAGAAGUCAAAAUACUGAAGAAUCCUAGGAGCAAGCUUUGGGUUAGGAGAACUUGAUCCCACAGGUACAAUCUUGGAGUAGACACCGACAGGCCGGGCUUCCUCCGAUCUACACCUCCACUCUAUCUCUCUAAAUCUAGUAGAAACUAGAAGAUCUAUUUCUACUCACAUUGGUUGCUAAGCCUAAAAAGAAAUUUUAUUUAGAGGAGAGGUAUUCCUUCGAGGGCUCCUCUCAACUCUAUGAUAAACUUGUCUCCUCCAGGGGCCAGGGGGUCUGGUUUUAUAGUCCCCUCAAGUGAACGUGAGCCAUUGGAUCAAACCGACAUUGAUUGGACGGUUAUCCUUGAUCCUUUAGGUCGGUGGAACAUCGUCCACGAAAAGAGUCCUCAUCCAACUCCAGGAGGGGGCGGGCGCCCAGGUCAACUAGGCGGGCGCCCAGUGCCUGGCCCCGUUCGGCCUCCGCUUCCUUCCCGUGGCUUCUGGAGUCUUCUAGAUGGUAGAAAAUUGCGUGGUGCGUUGAUAUCUCUUUGUAAUCCCGACAUGUGGGCCUUUCUUCCUUAUUUACUCAUAACCCCCUGCAGAAACAGAUAAACAACAAAACUCGUGGAAUUAUGUCAGAUCAAACCCUAAUUCUAGGUGUUGUUUGCAUAUUGGUCCUUUCUCUUGUUUAUUUGAUAAUUAAAAUUAAUAAUUAAGAACCGUCAACACCUGCUGCCACAUGGGCAGUACGGCGCUCGAAGACGACUGUUGUUCGGCCUCGACAAUAUCACCUCGACAUACGUCGCAUCGAUUCGCCUCAGCAUGGGUGCGCAUGAGGACCGCCCAGGAACUCUCUUACGUGCCACCAUGGACCUGGUGACUGUCUUGCUGGCCUCCGAGGACUUGGGUUUCUCAUGAAUGCCCAGCCCAAGGCAGUACACUCUGGGUACAAUGAGGCGCCAGCUAGAAGAGGAAUGACGCGGGCAGUUCCCCAUCUUCUACUCCAGUGAUCCCGACUACCACUUCGACCACUAUGACCCCACGUGGGAAUGCUUCAACGUCUAGGACAACGAUGUUGCAUCGGACGAUGACACCAUUGACAGCAACGAUGUUGUUGCGGCAGUAGCGACAGGAGGUGACCGCAUGACCCCCGAGCAUGAGGAGUAGCCGCCGAACCUAGUCGACCCACGCUAAGGCGAUCAGGCCACGCAACUCGCGUAGCUUCGGGAGUUGAAGGCCAAGCUCGAUGAGGAUUGUGAGCGACUCAACUAGCUCGAGCAGGUUCUUGAGCAAGGCCACUGGUCCUCACGCGGUGCAGGAGCCUGAGGUAGGGCUUAGGACGUCUUCUGAUAGAUCGUCGAGGACGGGUAGCCCGAGCGCCUUAUCAACCGCUUCCCCAGAGCUGGCCAGGACAUCAUGGCAGUGACCAUGCUUCUCCGCAACAUGCUCGAGCCAUCGAAUCCGCAAGCUUACCGCAUAUGGGAUGAGGUGCAAGGCUUGCUCCAAGUUGUAGCCGCGCAGCAGGCCAAAAGCUUAGCCUCGAGGUGUCGAGGGGUGUUGAUGGUCCUUAACAUCCGUUUUGACCAUCAACAUUUCAUCCAAAAACAUGGUAAAUCAACAUGAACAUGUGCAUAUUUUGCUUAUUACUUACCUAGUUCCACAUGUAUAUAGAAAUUUAUUUGAAUGCAAAAAAUAACAGGAAAAAGAGCGAAAUGGACCCACCAGGAAGGCAACCCACCACACCUAGCGCCACAUAGGCCAACCAGGGUGGCGGGCGCCAUGCCAAGGUGGCGGCCGCCUGGCACACCUUGCGGGUGCCACCCCCAACAUGGCAAGCCACGUCACUGAUCUGUGUGACACCUCCAAAAUUCCAUCUAAGGCGUCCAAACUUAUGUUGGUUUGAUCCAAUGGCCAUAAGAUAUUGUCACAUGGAUUGUGGCUUUCCAACAUGUGACAAAUCAUUAUUCUAACACGUGUCCUACAUGAAACUACCUCUAGGAGCUUAUCUGGACCAUUGGAAGCUAAGGCAGUUGCUCAAGGGUUGUGCCCAUCAUUGAUCCCUCGUGCCCGCUAGGGGGAGUGGCGCCCACCACCCCAUUCUAGCGCCUGCCACUCUACUUCACUCCCGUGUGAGCUCCUUCUUCCAGAAGACUCCCUGGCCUAUAAAAGGACCCCCUCAGCAUCUGUUUCACAGAGGGGAGAAAAGAAGAGAACACAAGAAGAGGCUUAAGCAUAGCAUAUAGCUUAGAGCAAGUGUUAGUGUAGUAGCUCCCGCGCUUAGAUAGCCACCUCAGCACCAUAGUCUUUUCUGCCCCCAGCUUAUCCUUGCUCUAGCAGCUCGGAGUUGUAAGAAGGAAGAGCAGCCAGGCGUAGCUCAGCUUGAAGACGGGAAGAGUCUUCCUCCUCUCCGCUCUAGUAUUAUACCUUUGCUAUCUUAGUACUCAUUUAUUUAUCAUUUACUUUUGGUAUUUUGAGUGCUAUAUUGUUACCUUUCAAGUACUUAGUUUAUAGUGAUCAUAUCAUUAGUGAGCUUAGGUGCUUGAUUGUGUUGGGAUAAGUGCUUGGUUAGUAUAGUGUUAGUGUUCAAGCUAAGGAAUUGCUCUGUCGUCUGGUUAGGGUGUCUUUACUCCAGAGCUCACGUAAAGAUAGUAGGAAUAUAGAUUAAGCUCGAUGCUUAGGCUAUAGGCUUACAUUCAGAUACGGCUAGACCCACAGAUAGCUGAGGUAGCACAAGGUGGUGUCAACCCUGAUUGCCUACAUAUUCCCCCAUGUUCGGUCUAGUUCUUAAAACGUAAGGCUCGUUGUACUUUGUGCUUGAUCAACCAUAUGGUGAGUUCAAGAUGGGUGCCUCUUUGCUUGACUUGAAUAACUAGUGAUAUCCUUUUACUGGGUCCCCUAAAUCUACUACCACUCUUAUUUAUCUUUUAACCCCCUAAGGUUAGUUGGUAGGCUAGUUUGGUUAUCUUUUAUUUUAUUUUAUUAUCCACAUAUUGAUUACCAUCCAUCCAUUCUUGCUAACCAACCCAUUCCUUACUAAUCCUAACUCCGAUCAUCUAUGCUUACCCAAUUUGACCACAUCCCCCUAGCCUUCCUUUGGGAAAUUAUAAUUUUACACCUAGUUACUCACUAGGUGAAGUGCUACACACGAUAGUUCUGUGCGCUUGCAGAUCCCAUCUAUCUAGGUAGAUUACAAUCACUCCUGUUGGCCCUACUAGUGUCAAGACUGACAACCCCACUAGGCAUUUGUAGACCAGACAACUCUAGCCUCACCCUAGGUGUAGCUAAGAACUACCAACCCGAUGCUUCUAAUGCCACUACUAGGAUAGUAGUUAACCCAUGUCCUCUGUUAGUGUUGCUAAGAAGUGGCAACAAGCAUUUCUGGUGCCGUUGCCAGGGAAGGAAAUUGGUGUGAGCAUGUGAGUUAUUUAAGAACCGAUCUUUAGAAUUAUCUUGCUCCAUUUUAUCCCGUUAACUUUACCUUUCAUUUCGUUCUUACCUUUUUUCUUUUCUAACAUCCCUUCUCUCACGAACAUGGCCAAGACUAUUUGUGAAUUCUUCGCUCCUUCUGUUGCUAAUGUAGCAACUGGUCCAACUGUAAUUGAUGCCAACUCCAACUAUGAGUUGAAGCCCGCAUUGAUCACUAUGGUCCAAGCUAGUCCCUUCUGUGGCAAAGCUCACAAAGAUGCCAAUACGCAUCUCCAACAUUUCUUAGAGAUAUGCGGCAAAUUAAACAUUAAGGGAAUUCUGCAAGAAGCUAUCCGUCUUCGUCUCUUUCCUUUCUCUUUGUUAGGAAAAGCGAAGCAAUGGUUCUAUGCCAAUCACGAUUCUAUAGAUACAUGGGACAAGUGUUCCAACGCUUUCCUUGUUAAGUUUUCUCCUAUGGGCAAGACCAAUGCUCUUCGCAAUAAAAUAUCUAGUUUUACACAACAAGCUGAGGAAUCCAUUCCCGAUGCUUGGGGGAGAAUGCAAGAGUAUGUCACUGCCUAUCCGCCCCAUGGGAUGGAAGAUUGGCUUUUGAUCUAGAACUUCUAUCAUGCUAUAGUCCUACAAGACAGGAGCCAUUUAGACUGUGGGGGUAUAAACCCCUAUACCCUUACGGCUAGACUUCAGCCAGGAAGCUUGGCCCACUACGAGACGAGUUCAAGGCUUGAUCCGACAGCCCGAGUUUCGCGCAAGGAAACAAGACGUGGAGAUCAAGCAGGAUUCUAGUCAGUUAGAAUAGGAAUUGAUAUCGAAUUAUCUACGGCAGUUGUAACCGACUAGGAUUAGUUUCUAGCUCUGUAGCCCUGCCCUCCGACUAUAUAAGGAGGGGCAAGGGACCCCCCUAAGACAUCAGAUCCUCUCAGCACAAAUCAAUACAACCAGACGCAGGACGUAGGUAUUACGCCAACUCGGCGGCCGAACCUGGAUAAAAAGCUUGUCCGUGUCUUGCGUCACCAUCGAGUUCGUAGUUUGCGCACCGUCUACCGAUAAACUACUGCCGAGGGUAUACCCCAAGGUAGACUGCCGACUAGCUUCCGUCGACAGUGGCGCGCCAGAUAGGGGGUGUGCGUGCAACUUUUCCGGCGAACAAGAUGGUCACGAUCCCGGCUUCCGCGACCGUGCCCGAAGGCCUCACGUUCACCGUCGGCCAGAUCACGUGGACGACGUGCAGCGGCGGUUUCGCGACCACGGUUCCGAAAGAGAUCCAGAUCCAAUCUGAGAUCACGCCGUCUCCGACCACACGCAUGACGGCACCAAGCUCCCGACCACCGUUCCCGCUCUACAAGGGAAAGGAGAUCGACUGCUCGGACCUCCUCCAAGCGCUCGAUCGCGCUGACUCCAAGCUACUCGAAGUCUCCCAACUAAUAGAUGGAGUUCUGCGCCGGUCCGACCAAGCUGCUCGAGCGGAUUUUUCGAAAUUCCGCCGGCCAACUCGUGUCGCCACACACGAACGGCUGGGAACGUCCCUGACGAUAACCUCAACCCUCUCAGGACGAUCCGUCGAGCUCAAAAAGGAAGACUAUCCUUGCGGCCUGAACAACUCGGCCUCUGUUUACUCACAGCAUGUCCAAUCCGUUUUCAGCAAAGCGGGCUGGUCGCCGACAAGGAACAAUCGUCACCAUGUCAACAUGGUGACCAUCCGAGAGCUACGGGACGGCCAGGUUUCCAGCACCAACUCAAGCACCGGCUCCGUCCCCACCGAGGUUGUGAACACCGAAGACGAGGACUACGACCUGGAUUUUCCUUCACACCCUCCGGGUUUCGACCGAUUCCCGAUAUUCCCCCCCCGGCGAGGGGAUAUUGUAUUCAAUGUCAGCGCCGACGAACCGGCUGUUGACGGAGAAACAGACGACCAGAGGCAACUCCGCGAACAGCGUAACGCCGAUCGCGCCCGACGGCGUGCGGAUGAGCAACAACAGACGCCACCAGGUAACCUCAACGAUGCCUUUGACAUGGUCGGGGACCAGCCGGUCUAUAAAACGCCAAGCGCCAACGUGGCUGUCGCCAUGGCCAACCUGGAUCGGCUUCCUGACACCCCCGAAUGCCAGGGAGUCCGGACCAGUAUCCGAGCACACCUGAUCGCCGCGAUGGGACAGACAGCCACUCUGCUCAAGAGAGUCCAGGACGUCUCUUAUACGGAAGCCGCCUCCGACCAGACUAAUCGCAGCCGGGCCUCACCCAGCAGGCGCCGCCGCAGCCGCUCUCCCGACAACCGUCGAGGGGACUCACGGCGCGACGAUGGUGGUCGGGACGCCGAUGGCCGCCGCCAGCAGAACCGUGUACGCGACCAAGAAGAAGAAGAUCAACACAGGGAUCUCCGCCACAACAUCCCUCCCAAAGAUGCCCGGGACCGCAUCAACAGGCGCGCCGCAGAGAGAGCAGUCCACGAAAACUUGCGCCGCAUCGAGUACGACGCGACCCACGGUCCUCCAGGCCUAAUGCAGUUCUCCUCACACCUCCGCCAGGUCGUGUGGCCCCGCAAUUUCAAGCUCGAAAAACUUAAAAAAUACGACGGCAAGGAAAAUCCAGAGAACUGGAUCACUCUCUAUGAAAUCGCCGUCCGAUCAGCGGCAGGAGAUGAGCACGUCAUGGCUAACUACUUCCCCGUAGUCCUCGACCAGGCUGGUCAUCAGUGGCUUCUCGGCUUGCCCGAGGACUCCUUCGACUCUUGGGAAGAGCUACGACAGGCUUUCAUCGACAACUUCAUCGCCACAUGCGAGCAGCCCGGAAACAAGUAUGACCUUGAAAGGAUAAGAGACAGGAAGAAUGAACCUCUGCGCGAUUACAUCCGACGAUUCUCGGAUAUGCGCCUCAAAAUCCCGAAGAUUUCUCAUGACGAGGCCAUAUCAGCCUUUAUCAAGGGCUUACGUUUCCAUGAAGCGCUGAGGAACAAGCUGUUGCGUAAGCGCCCAUCAACGGUAGCAGAGCUCCUAGCCACGGCUAAAAAUUAUGCCGAUGCUGAUGACGCAGAAAAACUAAUCCGAGACGAUGCGAGAGGCACCGACCAGCCCUCCCGGCGAGAUGACAGUCGUGGUCGCUACGACAACAGAAAUCACCGCCGCUCCGACAACCGCGAUCACCGAGAGGGUUGGGAUCGGCGGCGCGACAGCCGCGACGACUUCAGAGGAAAGCGCCCUCGCGAAUACGACCACGAAGUAAACACGGUCAAACGUCCCAAUGGACGACGGGACUACCAAGACGACUACAACAAAACGUUGAAGGGACCGUGCCAGCUACACCCAAAGUCUAACCAUACCAUGGAAGAGUGCCGCGUCCUCAAAAGUAUCUAUACACGGCGGGCCGCCCAAGAAGACACCGCCAAGAAAAGUAACAAGCGCGACGGGCACGACCACGAAGAUGAGGAUGAGGACCAAGACAGGGACCCCCGACACCAAUACGUCAGCCCCACCGACGUGGUCCACUCCAUUUUCGGGGGCAAGGUCUCCACAGAGUCCAAGCGAGAAAGAAAGCUGUUAAAGAGAGCCUGCCUCAACAUAGACAGCACGGACGGGCUGAUCGCAGAUCCGAAAUUUCCCGCCUGGUCCCACAGGGAGAUCGCGUUCAGCAGGAAGGACCAGUGGGCCGCUAUCCCAGAGCCGGGUCGUUUCCCACUAAUUCUUGAUCCCUGCAUCAAUAGCAUUAGAUUCGAGCGCGUGCUCGUGGACGGGGGAAGCUCCAUCGACAUCCUCUUCCGCAACAGCCUGCCCGCCCUCAAGAUAUCACCGGCGCAACUAAAACCUUACGACGCCCAAUUCUGGGGGGUUUUGCCGGGUCAAAGUUCGGUGCCCCUCGGACAGAUAACAUUGCCUGUCCAAUUCGGCACACCCGAUCACUUCCGGACGGAGUUCAUCAACUUCGUAGUCGCGGACUUCGACGGGACCUACCACGCCAUACUGGGCCGCCCAUCGCUGACAAAGUUCAUGGCAGUCCCGCACUAUUCAUACCUAGUGCUUAAGAUGCCCACGGAGAAGGGUGUCCUGACCGUCAGAGGCAACGUCUACACUGCGUACACCUGCGAGGAAGAAAGUUUCAAGAUCACCGAGGCAAUUGACCUCUCAAUCCGCAUGGCGGAAACAGCAAACCAAGCCGCACAGCUGCCCCCCGACCAGCUCCGAUUACCUGAGCAGGAGACAGCCAGAAAGAAUUCGAAAUCCAAGGAGUACAAAGAAGUGCAGCUGGUCGAAGGCAACCCCGAGAAGACAGCCCUCAUCGGGGCUAACCUGGAUCCAAAAUAGGAAGACGCGCUCGUCAGGUUUCUAAGGGACAACGUGAGCGUUUUCGCAUGGAAACCCGCAGACAUGCCCGGUGUCCCACGAAACCUGAUCGAGCACUCCUUAAACGUCUCGAAGACCGCAAGACCAAUCAAGCAAAAACUGCGACGGUUCGCUCGUGACAAAAAGGAGGCUAUUAGGACAGAAAUAACACGGCUUCUAGCAGCCGGAUUCAUAAAAGAGGUGUAUCAUCCCGAUUGGCUCGCCAAUCCGGUUCUUGUACGCAAAAAGAAUAAUGAAUGGAGAAUGUGCGUUGAUUACACCGAUCUCAACAAACACUGUCCUAAAGAUCCUUUUGGUCUUCCUCGCAUCGACGAGGUGGUCGACUCUACGGCCGGAUGCGAACUCCUCUCCUUUCUAGAUUGCUACUCUGGUUAUCACCAGAUCUCGUUAAAGGAAGAAGAUCAGAUCAAAACAUCCUUCAUCACACCCUUCGGCGCAUACUGUUACACUACCAUGUCUUUCGGACUUAAAAACGCCGGGGCCACUUAUCAAAGGGCCAUCCAGCAAUGCCUCCAUGACGAGAUUCGCGAUGACCUCGUCGAGGCCUAUGUGGACGACGUGGUCGUAAAAACAAGGGACGCGAGCACCCUAAUCGACAACUUAGACCGAACCUUCAAGGCACUCAAUAGGUACAAGUGGAAGCUCAACCCCAAGAAAUGCAUUUUCGGCGUUCCUUCCGGUCUACUGCUCGGCAACGUCGUCAGUUGCGACGGCAUACGACCAAACCCUUCAAAAGUCAAAGCCGUACUCGACAUGCGACCACCGAAGAACGUCAAGGAUAUUCAGAAGCUAACCGGAUGCAUGGCCGCCCUCAGUCGUUUCAUCUCAAGGCUGGGAGAAAAAGGCCUCCCUUUCUUCAAACUAUUGAAAGCGUCAGAAAAAUUCUCCUGGACAGAAGAAGCCGACGCUGCGUUCACUCAGCUUAAGACCUUCCUCACUUCACCGCCUGUCCUCACAGCGCCUCAGCCCAAUGAAGACCUGCUCCUUUACAUUGCUGCAACCGACAGGGUUGUUUCCACGGCAAUAGUGGUCGAGCGAGAUGAACCAGGUCACGUCUUCAAGGUCCAGAGACCCGUUUACUUCAUAAGUGAAGUUUUAAACGAAUCCAAGGCCAGGUACCCACAAAUACAGAAGCUUAUAUACGCCAUCCUGAUAACGUCAAGAAAGCUGAAGCACUACUUCGACGGCCAUCGAGUCCUGGUGACAACCAGCUUUCCUCUCGGGGACAUCCUGCGCAAUAAAGACGCCAAUGGCAGAAUCGUGAAAUGGGCAAUGGAAUUAUGUCCAUUUUCUCUAGAGUUCCAGAGUCGCACCACUGUCAAGUCUCAAGCCCUGGUCGAUUUCAUUGCCGAAUGGACGGAUCUCAACGAGCCUUCCGUUCCAGAUGUCUCAGACCACUGGUCAAUGUUCUUUGAUGGGUCCUUGAACAUCAACGGUGCAGGCGCUGGGAUAUUGUUCGUAUCACCAAACAAGGACAAACUCCGCUACGUCCUUCGGAUCCUUUUUCCGGCGUCAAACAAUGUCGCCGAAUACGAAGCUUGCUUACAUGGCGUACGACUAGCCGUCGAACUGGGGGUCAAGCGCCUCUAUGUCUACGGCGACUCCGCUUUGGUCAUCAACCAGCUCAACAAGGAGUGGGACGCAACCCACGAAAAGAUGGAUCUCUACUGCAAAGAAAUUCGCAAAUGGGAAACUAACUUCUAUGGCAUAGAGUACAUCCACGUGGUCCGGGAUAAGAACCAAGCAGCAGAUGCGUUGUCAAAGUUAGGCUCGUCUCGGGCCCAAAUCCCGCGGGGUAUUUUCGUCCAGGACAUCCAUGAGCCGAGCGUAAGCUCCCCCCUGGUCGCCAAGCAACCCACCGAGGCAAUGCUCAUAGAUGACGCCACUCCGACAACCGGUGGGCGUGACUGGCGUAUCCCGUUCAUCAAAUACAUCUCAGACGGGACAGGUUUUCAGGACAAAACAGAGAACGAGCGUCUCAUCCGACGAUCAAAGAACUACAUCCUGGUCGACGGAAAACUCAUGCAGAAAAACGCAAGCUCCGAGGUACUGCUCAAGUGCAUACCCCAAGACGAUGGUAUCAAGCUCUUGGAGGACAUACACGCCGGAUCCUGCGGCAACCACGCCGCAUCUAGAACGCUGGUCGGAAAGGCUUUCCGAGCAGGUUUUUAUUGGCCAACCGCGGUCAGCGACGCAGAAAAAACUGGUUCAGCAUUGCCAAGGAUGUCAGUUUUUCGCUAAGAGGACCCACGUACCUGCCCAUGAAAUUCAAACCAUCCCGUCGUCUUGGCCCUUUGCUUGCUGGGGGCUUGACAUGAUCGGACCAUUUAAACCAGCCCCGGGCAACUUCAAGUUUGUCUUCGUGUUAAUCGACAAGUUCUCCAAGUGGAUUGAAUACAUGCCCCUGGUCAAGGCAACCUCCGAGAAGGCUGUGGAGUUCCUCAAUCAAAUCAUACACAGAUUCGGCACCCCGAACAGCAUAAUCACCGACCUGGGCACUCAGUUUACUGGCACCACUUUUUGGGAUUUCUGCGAUGACAGAGGCAUAGUCAUAAAAUAUGUGUCAGUGGCACAUCCACGUGCCAACGGUCAAGUUGAACGUGCUAACGGAAUGAUCGUCGACGCCCUAAAGAAAAGGUUGUACACCGAGAACGACAGAGCACCCGGUCGAUGGAUGAAAGAAUUGCCGGCAGUGGUCUGGGGCCUCCGAACUCAGACCAGUCGAAACACAGGGGUGUCUCCCUACUUCAUGGUGUACGGCGCAGAGGCGGUCUUGCCGUCUGACAUACACUUCGGAUCUCCUAGAAUCGAGCACUUCGACCAGGAGACCUCCGACAACGCCAGAGAACUCGAAAUCAAUUGCAUGGAGGAGAAGCGUUUAGUUUCGUGUCUCCGAACAGCAAAAUAUCUCGCAGCAGUCAGGCGAUACUACAACAGGAACGUCAAGGACCGUUCCUUCGUGGUCGGCGAUCUGGUGCUUCGAUGGAAAACAAGCCAGGAGGGAAUGCACAAGCUAUCCACCCCCUGGGAAGGACCCUUCGUGGUGACCGAGGUCACACGACCUACGUCCUACAGAUUGGCAUACCCAGACGGAACACGAGUGCCUAAUUCUUGGCACAUCGACAAACUGCGACGUUUCUAUCCAUAAAGUUUUAAUGACUUUCUUUUGUAAGUAUCUUAUAAUUUUUGAUAAUGAAAUUCUCUAUUUUUGGCCCAUACCUUGUCACAUACAGCACUUGGCAAAACUCCUGCAACGGAUGCUCUUAGCGACAACCAAGACAAAUGCGGUGACACGUCACUCAGAUAUUCUUACAGCGCUCAAAACAACAGUCAUGACAAAAAGCAAACUUUAUUACAAACUUUACAUACAAAGUUUACAAUAAAUACCCUGACGGGCAAACACUAGUCUAUUCCUACAGACUACUUUAUUGGCCUAGUUGCUCGGGCUGAUCACCCGCCUGGCCCUGCUGCCCGGACGAAGGGGUCGGGGCCACCGGCGCCUGGCUGGUCGAGACCGCAGGCGUCGACCGCCCAUCUCCCGCAACGGACGCGCCCGACAACUCCCUGGCCGACCUAUCUGAGCUCGGCUGGUCUGGAGGAGUGGCCGUUCCGCACAGAUUGAUGUCUCCGAUCACCGUCGACGACAAGUCUAGCAGACUACCCCGAAGUUCGUCCGCUUCCUGUGGGCCGACUUCCUUCGGGUACCCCUUCUCCAGCCUGCUCAAGUCGACCAGGGGGUAGUGGGCGCGCACCAUGCUGAGGAUGUGCGCGCCGGCAAACUCCCCGGCGUCCUUCACAAACUGCUGGAGCCAGUCCCACGCCCGUUGCGCCUUCUCGACCGGGGUCAACUGCGGCGCGCGGGGCUGGCUCUCCGGGAGUUCGGGGCUGAGCAGAUCUAGGACCGGGGACACUCCUUUCCAGAUCCUGCAACAGUUGGCCUUCCAGGAGUCCCGGUCCUUGAUCAGCUCGUCCAGGUGCUUUUUGGUGUUCACCUUGAGCACUGCAAACGAAACGAAACGUUACUUUCGGCAUACCAGACAAGCAAAGGGGCAGGCAGCAACCAACAAGGCGGCACCCAUUACCAGCUAACUCCCGGUCUUUUCGACCCAAUUCCUCUUCCGCUCGCCGCCCGGACUCCUGAGCACCGGCGAGCUGUUGGCUGAGCUGCUCCUUCUCUUGUUGGAGGCUCGCCACCUCCUCCUCCAAGUCUGCGUGAAUCCUAAACUGGUCAGCAAAGCAAACUAUACAAGUAUGCGAAACUGCUCGGAGCGUGUGACUAACCUUCCUGCAGCCGGUACUGGUCGGCCAGACGACGAGCGAGGUCGAGACGACGCUCCUUUUCGGCGCUCAUCUCGACCACCUUCUCCCCGACCUCCGCCCGCAACCGGUCUACCUCCGCGGCAAGGGCCUUGUUCUCGGCCAUGACGCCUUCUAUCUGGUCAAAGCACCGUUUCCGGUACUUCGCCGUUUUCAUUACGUCCUACAAAGCAAGCAUAUAACGAUCAAGCAAGACAAGGCAAAAGAAUGCGCAGCAGUACAAAAAGCCGCUUACCUUGACUUCGUCGACAAGGCGCUUGGCCGCGCGCUCCACCCUGGCGGCCUCUUCGGUCUCGGCGACCUCCUCAUGACCGAUAAAGUGAUCCCCGCGUUGGCGCCACACAUACACAUGUUGGCGGCCAUCACGGGGACGACCCUCGAUCUCCUCCACCUCGUCGUCGGAGGCCGCCCGGGUUUCCUCCUCCUGUGCUGCGUCACCCCCGGUGGUGGUCCCAGGCAUUACUGGCCCUUGGACCAGACCUGGGGAGCCCGCAGCCGAAGAGGCUCCUGCUCGGGGCGGCGGGGGGACUUCACUCCCCCCGGCAGGAGGAGCGGUCGGAGAUCUUCCCUUCUCCGAGGAGUCAGUUGGGGGAGCCUCUCCAGCCCUGGUCGGGCUGCUUGUUGUAGUCGGCGCCGCGCUCGGGAGCCCCUCGGUGCUCCCAGGCGCGACUGCAGCUGUUGGCUGCUCUGUGGUCUGGGGGGCCGCAUCCCCAGAACCGCGGGCAGGCUCGCCCGUUCCCUGGCUGGCAGUUUGACCAGGGUCGACAUCCGAUGCCGCACUACAGGAACAAAAGUUAAAAAAAAAGAGGAGUCCAAAAUACGUAAGUCGAACACUUACAGGUCUGACCGACGGUGGGUCGCGGUGAACCUCCUCCUCGCCCGUCCGGUCGGCACCUGUGCUCCCGUCUCGACACCUUGCGGGGCAGCGGCGCCGCUGGCCACUUGAUCAGUGGCGACCGGCGCAGUGUCUGGGCGGCUCCGAGGCCGUCGGACCAACGACGGCGCAGCCUCCUCGUCGUCGUCGUCGUCGACGAUCCGCACGAGCCGACGACGCUUCGGCGCUUGGCUGCUCUCCGCCGGUAGAUCUGCCGGCAGCUCCGGUGUCGGCAAGGGAUCUGCCGGCAAUGGCCUUUUCCCCGCUACCCUCUCCUCGGAGGUCGGGACGGGGCGGGCUCGGUCUUCCUCACUGCUGGUGUAAUGAGUACACCGAGCAGCGUCCUCCUCUGGCGGGACCUCUCCCACAGGAUCUUCCAUCCCCGGUGCCAGUGAUACAUACACUGCGCACCGGUCGACAUCACCGACCUGCAAAAGCAACAGAGAUGAGUUAACUGCAGACGAUAUACGAAUGAUCAAACAGACUCUGCUACAUACCUUUGGUGCUGGUCGUCCUAACUUGAAGGCUUGCACCCGAUCACUACCACGGAUGAAGCCCCCAUCCGCGAAGUUAAACAGCUCGUUCAAUAGCUGUUGUACCUCUGCUUUCUCCAAGAUCUCCGACCGCAUCCUGGUCGGGUCUGUGCUUCCGGCAUACUCGUACGCCGAGUGCACCCUCUUCUGGUAGGGCAUCACCCGGCGGCAAAUGAAGUUGCCGACCACGCCAAGCCCGUCUAGGCGCGACCAGUCGAUCAGCUUCAUGAGAUCCGCCACUGGACCAUCGAACUCCGGACGGUCGGUCCAGCUCGCCCUCUUCUCGGGAACGUAUCCCACGUCGCAAAACGUGGAGCUGCCCGGUUCCUCCCUUAUGUAGAACCACUUCCUGUACCAUUCGGUCAAGGAAGUGUUCCAUGGGCAGUGCAGGUAGCGAUUCUUCAUCCCAUCACGAAGGUUGAGGUAUACUCCACCUGCAACCUUGGAGCCUCCAACUGCUCCCUUCUUCCUCAGACAGAAAAGAUACCGAAAAAGAUCGAAGUGCGGCUCUAUGCCAACAUAGGCCUCGCACAGGUGGAUGAAGGUGGAAAUAAGGAGAAUUGAGUUCGGGUGCAGAUUGCAAAUCCCGAUCUCAUAGUACAAAAGAAGACCUUGAAGAAAAGGAUGGACAGGAACACCAAAACCUCUCUUAACGAAAUCUUCAAAAACGACGAUCUCACCGGCGCGAGGGUCGGGGUAGCUCUCCCCCUCCGGUGCCCUCCAGCCGCCGAGCUCUGCGCCGUGCAGAAGCCCCAUAUCGACGAGGUCACCAAGAGAUUUUGUGGUGCUGCGAGACUUCUUCCACUCCUUGGCCAUCAGUUCGGCCCUCUUCCUGGAGUCGCUCUUCGCCAUUAGAGGUGCGAAUGUGGGCUGGAGUUAGGAAGAUGCAGAAGAUUGGAGAAGAUGAGAGCGGAAGGUUUGAAGGCAAUGGCAGGAGAAGCGGUACAGGCGGUCCUAUUAGGCCCUUAUAAACCCACGACCCCACCUCUCCCACUUCCUGUAUUCUCGGAAAGUGGGCAGGCCAUGCGGCGGACGCGGCGUUUCGGUUUACAAUGAUUAUAGACAAUUAAUGCGGCGGAGUUUUCGUACCAAUUGAUGGUUUCCUUUUCUCAAACCAUGCAAAGAGCGGUUGUACAGUUGCCAGGUGCAGCUUUUCAUGCAUCCGCCUGACAUAUCGUCAGGAGACCCCGUCACGUCAACUUUAAUUAGAAAGAUCUUUUCAAAAGUAAGAAGACACAUACGCCAGUGAGUCAGCAAUCCGGGGACUGCACCGACCACCGAGCACUCGACGCUCGGGGACUGGUUGCCCAGUCUAUCAGCUCGGAACUUCAAGGACUGCACCGACCACCGAGCACUCGACGCUCGGGGACUGGUUGCCCAGUCUAUCAGCUCGGAACUUCAAGGACGGCACCGACCACCGAGCACUCGACGCUCGGGGACUGGUUGCCCAGUCUAUCAGCUCAAAACUUUAAAGCAUGCACCGACCACUGAGCACUCGAUGCUCGGGGACUGGUCGUACAGUAUAGCAACAUAUAAUUCCAAGAAGCACACUAAGUGCCUGGGGACUGGUCGAUUGGUCUUUUCGAUUGCAGACGAGCAUGACAUGCUCGGGGACUGGUAAAUUCAAUUUUUUAGACCUUGCUACAAGGCUCAUACUUCGCCUUCCAGCAAGCUCGGGGACUACAUCGGUACGAUGCAUCUAGCGAUGCAUCUCAGUCUCAAAACUACUUUGGGGAAUUUUCUUUUGACCCUGGCACCACGUGCCUACGCCACCUACUACCAGGCUCGGGGACUAAGUGGGCACACUUCACCUAGCGGUGAAUUUGCUUGCUUUUUUGAUGCUUCUACCUUUCGAAAAGGCAAAGUGGGCACACUUCACCAGGAAAGAAAUUUUUUUUUAGAGCACCAUGCAUUCUUCGAACAACCUGCUUCUUCGAUGUCAACGUUGAUCAACUGUCUUUCGAGUUGGUCAAGGAACCGUUGCAACUGUUUGGGCGAUUUCCCCGCUUAUUGAAGACGACAAGCCUCGCUGAUCGAAGAAGCUCAAGACGGCGUGUUGCAUCACAAUACAUGGCGCUCGGGGACUAGCUGUGGGGGUAUAAACCCCUAUACCCUUACGGCUAGACUUCAGCCAGGAAGCUUGGCCCACUACGAGACGAGUUCAAGGCUUGAUCCGACAGCCCGAGUUUCGCGCAAGGAAACAAGACGUGGAGAUCAAGCAGGAUUCUAGUCAGUUAGAAUAGGAAUUGAUAUCGAAUUAUCUACGGCAGUUGUAACCGACUAGGAUUAGUUUCUAGCUCUGUAGCCCUGCCCUCCGGACUAUAUAAGGAGGGGCAAGGGACCCCCCUAAGACAUCAGAUCCUCUCAGCACAAAUCAAUACAACCAGACGCAGGACGUAGGUAUUACGCCAACUCGGCGGCCGAACCGGGAUAAAAAGCUUGUCCGUGUCUUGCGUCACCAUCGAGUUCGUAGUUUGCGCACCGUCUACCGAUAAACUACUGCCGAGGGUAUACCCCAAGGUAGACUGCCGACUAGCUUCCGUCGACAUAGACACCAAAGCUGGCGUUGCCUUUUUCUCUCUUGGUGUUGCAGAUACUAAGGCAUUGAUACAGAAUAUGGUGUCCAAUCAAGGAAAGAAUGAUGAAUGACUACAGCCCCAUAAGAGCGGUAUGCAUUCUCUUAAAGAAGCUGACAUUAGCCAAGAUGGACAUAUUGGCCAAGAAGUUGGAACAGUAUGAAAGGAUGAGAUGAGUACUCAAGAAGCUAUUCAAUUUCUGGAUUCACACAUGACUUGCGAAGUCUAUGGUGAAUCUAGACACUUCGGCUAUCACUACCCCGUGACUCAUGAAGAUCUCAACUUCCUCAACAACGAUAAUGGUUUUUGCCAACCAAAUGAAGGAUGGAAUCAGCACUCCAAUUCUCAAGGUAACCCUUUUAAUUCAUUUCCCCAUUCUAGUUUUUCUAAUAAUAAUAACAACAAUGGGUAUCCAAGUUUAAAAGAUCUUGUUUAUUGUCAAGGUAGAUUAACUAACAACUUAAAUAAAAAGUUGCUUGCUAAUGACAAGAUUCUUGAGAAUAUAAAUGCUAAAUUGGAUGAUUUCUCUUCUGCUAUGAAAAAUCAGCUUAGCUUUAAUAAGAUGCUUGAAACCCAAUUAGCUUAAUUGCUUCUGCUAUACCAUCUUUUGAAUCUAGUAAAAUUCCUAGUAAACCUGAAAAUAUGGAAACUGCUAAUCUAGUUGAUAUAAAGUAUUUUAACUUCGGAGAUCAAGAUCUUCCUAUUAAGAAAAGUGAUCCCGAUAGUCCCAUAAUUGAAUGCACUAUUGAUUCUCAUACUUUGAAAAAUGCUAUCUGCGAUUUGGGGUCAAGUGUGAACAUUAUGUCUAAGGAAGUUUAUAAAACCUAUUUGGUUCCACUUACCAUCCCAAUGGGUACCUACCUCCAAUUAAUUGAUAAUUCAACCCGUUAUAUAGAAGGAAUAGCUAUUGAUUUGUUAGUUCAAAUUAGAGGCUCUUACGUUCCCACUGAUUUUAUGAUAUUAGAUAUGGGGAUUAGUAAAGAUGUCCCUCUAAUCCUAGGAUGUCCCUUUCUUAAUACUGUUAAUGCUUGCAUUUUUGUUGGUUCUAGGAAAAUUCAAAUGACUCUUGCUGGGAAAAGAGAAACAUUUCCCUUUGCUCUUGGCCCUAAACCCGAUGAAAAAGAAGCAAGAGACAUUUAAGUAUGCAACUAACUUGUAGGCAAGGUAACCCGAUGAAAAAGAAGCAAGAAACUUGAAAAAGUCAGGUACCAACAAGAAAAGGGCCGAAUCCAAGAACCCAUGAUCAAGGAGAAGAGGAUGGUAUAAGAAGAAGGAACCCUCAUCAACUGCCUCAUGUGUGACUCCUGACAAAGGAGGAGGCCAUGUGGAAAGAGGAAGAAGAAGAAGAUCCCCUCAAGGAAAAGACACCGAAAGACGAACAUCCAUCUGAGGAAGAACCCUUGUGGUUUUAAGGUAUGUUUUACUCCCUCUGCAUUUAAAUUCCACAUCUACAUUUCGCAUUUAAGUUUUGCCUUUAAAUCGUGCUUUGCAGAUUAGGUUUAUCCUUCCAUUGCAUUUAGAACUAGGAUCAUUUUAAAUCAUUGCAUGAUAAAAACAAAAUAAAAAUUUAAGCAUGCAAUUUAAAAAGAAAUAAUAAUAAUAGAGAAAUAAAUAACUAAAAAAUAAAUAAUAACAAAAUAAAUAAAUAAAAUAAAUAAAUAAAUAAGUCCUUGAAACAAUCAUGAAAGGACCUUAUCUCAUUUAAUUUCAAAUAUAAUAUGAAUUUCCUUAAGCUAUAUCAUCGAGUAGUAGUUAGGUUUCCCUUUUUAAAUAAAAACAAAAGAUAUCAGUUUGAGAGGAGAAGCUCUACACCCAGCAACAAGCUAGCUUGGGGGAGGUCAUCUCCCCACUAAGGUAUGUUCUUAUUAUUGCUCCUUUACUUUUCUAUCUUUACAUUCAUUGUUAUAUCUUACUAAGGACAUGGUUAGCUUGAUUAGUAUUAUGCUUAACUGAAAAGUAAUCCUGCUUCAAUUCCCGUUGAACCCAUGUUAAUGUGCUGGAAAUAAUGAAUCAUUGCUCUGAAAAACGAUGCACAAGUCUGCUAUGCAAUUCCUGCCACUAUAGUUUUGGAGUGAAUAAAGUUUGCUAUAAAUCUAAGUUUUGUGGGUUGCAUAUGCUUGAUCUUAGUUAUGCUUAGUAAAAUUAGGUGUAGUACAGUUAGAGUAAAUUUUUUGACUUGUCUGAAAGAGUGUUAAGAGAAAGUCUGGAGUUUUAUUUCAAGAAAUCACAAAUCCUGCCAAAGUUCCUCUAUGGUGUUUUUCCCGGUCCUACCACUAGCCAUAUAUACACACAUUAGAUAGGAAGCCACCAUAAAAAGCUCUUGUUAGUGUGAGUUUUGUUAUACCUUAUUGAUCUAAGUAGAGAAACUUGUCAUGCCUUUUUGAUCAAGAUCCACUUACACCUAUCACUAUUGAUUACUAUCCAUUUCGGAAGUUUGCAACCACCAAAUUAUUGCUUAUUCUCUACCCUGGAGAUUGCAAAAAACAUCCACAUAUCCCAUUUCUAGCCCCAUGCUAUUUCUACAAUAGAAAUAUGCAUCUGUCCUUUCCCCUUUUACUCCCAUAGUUGAGACAGACAAAAGAUUCCUCAACAAUCGGUCUCUACAAGGGAGAAGGAUAUGGCUUGCUAAAAAAAUAUUUUUAUGAGGCAUAUAGCCUAAAAUCAAUGUGAGGACACAUUUUUAUCCUUAUCAUUUAUCAAAAAAAAGAAAAAAAGAGAGUUAUCCAUAGCAACCAUAUACCCCUUCAAGAGACAUGAGGAAGUCUCAAGGAGUAUUUUUCCUUCAUUCCUUUCCCACCUUUCAUUAAACCAACCACCUUCACCAUAUCUUGGUCAUCUUUGCAUGACUUGUUGCUCCUAGCGAUCUAAGUGUCUAGCUUAACAAUAUACACAACACAAGGUUGCUUAGUUUUUGCCUACCCAUAGCUCCACAUAUCAUUCCAUUAGAUGUAGGUAAUAAAGGCUAUCACUUCUAGCCUUAGUGAGGUUUAUCAAACACCACAGAGUGAUUGAGUGAGCCAUUUGAGGAACUAAAGCAAGCUUUGUUUUCCAAAAUUUCAAAACCCUCCAGACAUAGUCUUAGCUUAACUAAAGCAAGGUAAGAAGUUUCUGCCUAUUGCUGUGUCUUACAUUUGCAUGAUCAAAGUGAAAAGCUAAAAAGCACCACACAACUAUGACUUAUGGUAAAACACCAACCCACUCUUUGGCUAUUGUUGAUGCAAAAGUAGAUCUGCAAACACAAAGGGCUAAUACCCGAUUUGAUGUUAAGGCGUGCCAGCCGAUUUGACCUUACAAUCGACAAAGGUGAUAACUCGAAUACUUUGGUCCCGACAACAGCGAUAUGCCCAGAUGCCACGGCCAAGAGGUAUUCACGUGGAAUAUGAGAACUCGUCGAGAUUGACUCGAUGAAUCCCUAAGAACUCGUAAGUAAAAUGAAAAAUAUGCGAGUUGAUGAAGUCGUCGAAAAGUAGAUGCUGAAAUUGAUGUAAAAACUUGUGUUUGAUUGAUUGUGUCUAUUACAUUGCCAUGGGGUCUACAUUUACACCCUGUCCACAAAAGUUACAACCAUACACGAUUAGAACUCUAAUUCCAAAUUGAACGAAACCCGUAUAUGAAAGAAACUCUAAUAGCUAAAGAAAACAUUAAUUUAUCCAUCUCAGGCGGUUGGCACACCAUCGCCCUCUUUUUGGCAAGUCUCACACCUCCUUUCUUCUUUCAUCGGCGAAUCACCUUCCAUCGACAUCGGUAACCACCAGCAUCGGUCAUUGGCAUAGAUCAAUCACCAUCCUUGGACUUGGCUAUAUCCUGCUGUUUCGCCAUCGGCAUCAAUCCCCAUUGGCAACUCCUUUGAUAACUAGUCACCAUUCUUCCACCUGCCGAUCUAUAUUUCAUUAACUCCCGGAUACGUGCCCAAAGAUACAUGUCCAAAAAUGGUGUCAACACAUGCCCCCCAAUUUCAGAGUAUAAAAUCAUUAAUGCUCCGAAAUUCUCUCCAAAAAUAACGCCCUUUUCACAAUUAUUUCCUCCUGACGAUCAUUAAUUGCCAAAUCCAAACAACCUCAGCCCGAAUCUCCAGCACACACCUCGAAUCCUCCAACCUUUCAAACCGAACCACCUAAACAUCUGUUCAUCGGCAACUUCUCUGUUAGAAUAGACUACCGAUGAACCGACCAGGAGAUCUUGUACAGUAAAAUAUCUUCAAAAUCAUGACCGCUUACUAUCAAAUCACCUGCACAAUCCCUUGACUAUCGUGCGAACAGUUACCAUAUCCACCUGAACACCCUCAGAUUUCACGGAUACGGCAAUGAGAUAAGUCAGAAUUGCCCCUGCUCUCUUUGUCCUAUGAAUACUUCCUUCUUCGACACCCUUUCUCCACCUUGCCAUCCUGCAUCCUCAAACUCACCUUCCCCAACGGUUCUUCGAGUCUUCGAUCUUUUCCCCCCUUUAGGAAGGAAUGGCCGUCAACUUCGUCAUUCCUGAGGUCAACCUAGCACCAUCUCUCUUCUUUAUACCGUGCUUUCCAUCUUUUGCACAGUUAUUUACUUAGUAUUUUUCCCUUUUUUCUGCUUUUUUCGAACCCUUAGGAUCUGGCUGAGAAAAUUGUUAUUCCUACCGAGCAACCACACCUUCAAUGUCUCGGACCGUUGCGCAACCUGGAUCCUACCGAUCUAAUUAAUGCGGAAACAAAUAGGAUCCCCUUUAAAGCUGCGAAUUUCUCCUUAGAUCUGUGGAAAGACACCUUCCGAUCGUGGCCUAGUUCUACUAAGGGAUGGAAAGAUUGGUUCUUGACAGUUAGCAAUUCAAAUGAAGUCCAAUGGGGUGAGCGCUAGACCAGUGCAUCAGGCUAUCCAUUGCCGAUAUGGAAAGAAAUGAAUCGUUAUUGAUAGCUGCUUCAUACUUCUAGUCAGAUAGUCUCAAUGCUUUUCUGUUUGGUCAUGGCCCCGCUUCCCCCACUCUUGUAGACGUGCUCAUGCUUACUGGCUUAGACAUAUCAUCUGCUGAUGAUAGCCAUCUAUACGAUCACAAACCCGAGCGCAAAGUAGAAACCCGCAACAUCGGCGGUUGGUCAGGAUACAUCAAGAAGUACCAGAGGACAAGACUAGUCGGUCAAAGGGAACAUGCUGUUUUCCUGAACAUGUGGUUAGACAAGUUCGUCUUCUGUGGCCGAUUGGUAGGACCAACCUCUGUCUACUUAUCGGCAGUAGAAAGACUGGCCGAUGGCGGCCGAUUUCCUUUCGGUCGAUACUUGCUCGGUUCUCCCUAUCACCUCCUCCAUCAAGUGGCUGAGAAUCUCCUGUUAGGCCAACCCAUCAGCAACCUAGGAGGUCCUUGGUGGUUUAUCAACAUGUGGCUUAAUGUCCACAUGCACAAACGUCUUUGGUUCGACCUCUUUGCACAAUGAUUCCCUAGAGACAUCACCGAAGACUAUGAACUGGCUGACGAAGAAUCGGCAACUCACCCACCCUUGAACUAUGGUGAGGUUGCUAUAGUCCUACCCGGUACUGGUGGCAACGAAGACCAAGUGAGCCAAUUCUUCCAGACUCUGUAUGAUGGCCUUCCCAAAGAUCAGCGGGCAUGGAUGCCUUAUGAAGAUCCAGAAACCAUAUUCCCGCUCACCUUCCACCCUUUUGACGAUGCUCUCAACAAAGAUACUGACUUGAUGAUGGCAAUCAUCACUCCAAGGGCCAUCCCAGUUAAUACUUUCGGUAGUGGGAAGAACUCUAGCCCCACUUACAAAUUUUAUAAUCCAUCGGCACUAGCUCGCCAACUGGCUUUUGGCCAACUGCCGAUCAGACUUUGUUACACCGAUGUGGUGAAGCCAAGGAAGACUAUAACCAGUGGACUUGAGUGGAUAAGGAUAGCCCAGCUUCAACCAAAUGCCGAUACGUCAGAUAUCGAUUUAUCGGCCUGGAUUCCGGCCCUCUUCAUUACUCAGAUGUACAAACAGUGGUGGGAAGAAUGGAAGGAACAUUUGUUCGGCACAUCGGCUUUGACAUACUGCGGCAUGAUCGAUCCCAACUAUAAGGUCCCCGAUAACACUGUAAGUCUUCGACCGAUUUCUUAGUUCCUUUAUCUCUUUUAUUCCUAUCCGCAACUUACUUGUUUUCAUUUUAAUAGGUCGACAACCCAGCCCCGACCAUCAGUAGGAGUGGAAGACCGAUCGAACUCCUUCCAUCAGGCCCAAUCUCUCUGAUCGGUCAUAACGCACCAAGUUUAGCAGCCCUGGCGCAUCGGAACAUGCGCUUCAAGAAGACGACCACCAAGCGGUCGAAGACUUCCCCAUUGGUUGCCGCUGCCACUCUGGCAUAGGUUUUCAAGGUAGACUCUUAAUUUCCUUGGCUUAUAACGAUUUCAUCCCAUACUCACAUAAUCUUUUCAGGGCACAUCAACUGCCAUGGGGACCUCAUCGGUAACUUUUAUUGUUCAACAAAAUUUCACCAAUAUUCUUCUACUCUACUUAUGACAUCUUUGAUUGUUGUAAUAGCAAACUGGCAAAUCGACAAAGACCAGAAGUGCCCAAACAAGUACCGAUGCCCCCCAGCCAAGCCAAGCUAAGAGAAAAGGUCCCAAGAGCACCAAGUCGCAACCAAAGCGCCAGAGGACAGCACCAUCUUCACCUCCUCGUCCAGUGUCACCGAUUCAUGUGGAAUCGUCCCCCUCUUCACCAGAAAUCCAGACACAGCAAGUACCGUCCCCUCCUCGACCAACACCUCAGCCACAAGAAGCACCAGCCGAUGUGUUUAAGCAGACUGCCAAUCCAGCUGACUUGAUUAUAUCAUCAGUUGUUCCUCCAAAACAAACAAGCACUGCACCCCCUCAAGGUAAAGUACUGAUCAUAACGUUAUUACCGAUGACUUUUAUUUUUACAAAUCAUAAUUACCCUUGUAAUUUCUCAGUUGAUAUUAUCCCAUCGGCAACCUCAGCCGAUCAGACCAUAGUACCGACUGCAUCUUCAAGCCAGAGGCGCGAAAUCGCUCUGAAGCAAGUAAAUUAUCUGAUGUUUACCAUUAUAUUAUUAACAUUCGUCCAUCAGAUAAUUUAUCUUUAGUUCCUUUAUUAGGAACAGGACUCUCCAGAUAGCUUAUUCUCCUUUGCCAUCGACAUUUCUGAUGACGAGGGUGAAGAAGCAAGCUCCUCUCAAGCAGUAGGAAUCUCAUCGGCAGAAAUUAAAGCUAAGUUGGAAGACCUAUUGGCUCUACUGCAUAAAGAUACAGCCCAGUUAGUAGAUGACUCCGAUACAGCCAAAGCUUAAUUGAAAACUCUUCGUGGCCAAAUCCCAGCCGAUGCAGAAGAAGUUCUAUUCCAGGCUGUGCACUUAGAGAGCCGCCAGCUCCAAUACCAGAAGGCUACUCAGCGUCUUGCCGAUAGAGCCGCUUACGCCCAACUCAUAGAGGAAGUAAUGCAAGUAAAGCGCAUUGCCGAUGAGAAACACAAAAGCAUCGGUAUUCUGUAAUCCUCAGGGGAUGAAUUGAAGCAAAAGAUUUCCAUCCUAUCGGCAAGAAGAGAAGCUCUGCUAGCUGAGCUCAAACAAGUAGAAGAGGCCCUGACCCAAGCUCAGCAAGAAGAAAACCAACUGCCUGAGAUGCUCAAGACUCUUCAGCAAGAACAAAACACCCAGGCUCGUAAAGCACUGUAGAUGAGGAAGAAGCUGAAACAGAUAGAGGGUUCUGCCGAUGAAGACAUCCGAGAGAUAGAAGAGGCUAACCAGAUCCGUCUGCGCGCCAUAUCGACUAAUCAAGCCUUGUUGAAUCUGUAAGCUCUUCAUCGGCGACCUGUUUUGUUCUGCCCUUAGAAACUUUUGAUCAUUCUGGUCUAGCAGAUAGGACUAUUAUCGGCACUUUUUAAAACAUUAUGUAUGAUCUCAGAUACAUUUCGUUUAGCCGAUAGGAGUGUUAUCGGCACUUAAACUUCUAUGCAUCAACCUAGAUGCUUGGGUAAUACUUCUUUAGAUAUUUUCCAUUUAAUGCUCUGGGAAAUUGAACUCCUUCGAGAGUUUCUAAAAUAUAAGCAUUACCAGGAGCAGACCGACUUAUCCGAUAAUGACCUUCCCAAUUAGGAGACCAUUUUCCAAACUUUGAACUUUUAGUCCCAAUUGGUAGAAUUAAUUUCCAUACCAAAUCUCCAUCGGCAAACUCCUUAGCUUUUUCCUUUUUAUCAUACCAUUUAGCAACUCACUUUUUAUUUUCUUCUAUACUUACCAAAGCUCUCAACCGAUGCUCUGCGAAAUCAUCCAAUUCAUCCUUCAUCAAGGUAGCAUAGUCAUCGGCAGCCAACUGGUCUUGGAAAAAUAACCGCCUAGAUCCAGUUUUAAUUUCCCACAGCAACACUGCAUCGUGCCCAUACACCAACUCAUAGGGUGACACUUUGGUUGACCCGUGACACGCCAUCCGAUAUGACCACAAAGCUUCAUUUAACAACGUGUGCCAUCUUUUAGGGUUUUCUUCAAUUUUCUCCUUGAUGAGCUUAAUGAUCCCUCUGUUAGAAGCUUUGGCUUGUCCAUUAGCUUGAGCAUAAUAAGGAGAAGAAUUCAACACUUUAAUCCCCAUACCGAUUGCAAACUCAUCAAACUCUCCCGAUGUGAACAUAGUACCCUGAUCGGUAGUGAUUGUUUAAGGAAUACCAAAUCGGUAGACAAUAUGCUCCUUCACAAAAUCAAUCAUGUUAGCCGAUGUUACUUUCUUCAAAGGAAUAGCUUCAACCCAUUUAGUAAAAUAAUCAGUGGCAACUAAGAUGAACUUAUGCCCUUUGCUUGAUGGCGGAUAAAUCUGUCCGAUGAGAUCAAUAGCCCAGCCCCAGAACGACCAAGGCUUAAUAAUAGGAUUCAUAGCCGAUGCGGGGGCGCUUUGUAUAUUGCCAAACUUCUGACACCCCUGACACCCUUUGAAGUAUUUAAAGCAAUCUUCAAGUAUAGUCGGCCAAUAAUAUCCGUUCCUCCUAAUCAUCCAUUUCAUCUUAAAAGCCGAUUGAUGUGCUCCACACACUCCUUCAUGGAUUUCACCCAUCAAGCUCCUAGCCUCAUCAUCACCUAAACAUUUAAGCAAAACUCCAUCUAUCGUUCGAUAAUAUAACUCCUCUUCAAGGAGUACAUAUUUGGCAGCUUGAAACCUAACACGUCUCUCAACCUUCUUGGAUGGAUCUUUUAAAUAAUCAAUAAUUUCCUUUCUCCAAUCAUCGGCAGUGAUUGCUGAUAAUACGCCCAAGAUGGGUUGAUAUCCCGAAGCAUGCUGAGCCAAUCGGUUAGCUUCUUCAUUAUGCAACCGAGGAAUAUGCUCUAACCGGAAAUUCUUGAAUUCCUUUAACAGUUGUACACACCUUUUGUAGUAGGUUAUCAAAAUUUCAAUUCGACAUUCAUAAAUUCCAGCCAACUAAUUUAUAACAAGCAUAGAAUCGCCAAAGAUCUCAACAUCAUCGGCAUGAACCUCAUUUAAUAAUUCCAACCCUUUGACCAGAGCUUGAUACCCAGCUUGAUUAAUCGUUGACGUGGCAACAAUCGGCAAAGAAAAUUCAUACUUCUUUCCUCGAGGAGAAAUUAGCACUAUGUCUAUUCCUGCCCCCCGGUCACACGUGGAUCCACCAAAGAAGAGUGUCCAAGGAAUGAUUUCUAAAGUGCCCACCAUACCGCAAUGCUGAGUUACAAAAUCGGCCAUAAUUUGCCCUUUAACUGCCUUAGCCGAUUCAUAAAGCAGAUCAAACACCGAUAAUGCCAAAAUCCAUUUGCCGUUUCUACCACUCAUAAUCGGCAUUGACAACAUGUAUCAGACUACAUCAUCUUUGCAUAUAACAGUGCAUUCGGCCGAUAACAUAUAGUGUCUCAACUUGAUACAUGAAAAGUAUAGGCAUAAGCAUAAUUUUUCAAUUGUCGAAUACCUUGUCUCAGCAUCCACCAGUCUUCUACUUAGAUAAUAAAUCACACGCUCCUUUCCUUCAAAUUCUUGAAUUAGAGCCGAACCGAUGACCAUCCCAUUGGUAGACAAAUAUAAUCUGAAAGGCUUCCCUUGUUGAGGUGGAAUCAGAACUGGAGGGUUUGUCAAAUAAUUCUUGAUUUCAUCCAAUGCUAAUUGUUGUUCUUUCCCCCAUACAAAUUCUUGACCGGCUUUUGACUUAAGCAAAGGACUAAAAGCACGAAUCUUACCAGACAAAUUAGAUAUAAAUCGUCUGAUGAAAUUUAUCUUGCCGGUCAAUGAUUGAAGUUCAGUCUUAUUGGUGGGAGCAACUAUUUUGUUAAUGGCAUCAAUAGAUCUCCUACUAAUUUCAAUCCCUCUCUGAUGUAUCAUGAAACCAAGAAAUUGUCCUACGAUACACCAAAUGCACAUUUUAUUAGGAUUCAUCUUUAAACUAUGCUUCCUUGUGCACUCCAGCACCUUUCGUAGAUCGGCAAGAUGUUCUGUGAAGUCUCCAGACUUAACCACCACAUCAUCGAUAUAGAUUUCCACUAGCUUGCCGAUGAACUCAUGAAAGAUAAAAUUCAUAGCCCUGUGAUAAGUAGCACCAGCAUUCUUCAAGACAAAGGUCAUGACUAUCCAUUCGAACAAUCCAACAUGACCAGGACAUCUAAAUGUAGUCUUUGGAAUAUCCUCUUCAGCCAUGAAUAUUUGAUUGUAUCCUGCAUUGCCAUCCAUAAUGCUAAUGAUUCGUUGUCCAGCUGAGCAUCAACCAGCAAAUCGGCAACCGGCAUUGGAUAAUCAUCCAUCGACGUAGCCUUAUUGAGAUUCCUAAAAUCAAUGCAGACACGAAGUUUCCUAUUUUCUUGUAAACGGGAACAACAUUGGAAAUCCAGUCGGCAUACCGACAAUGCCAAAUAAAUUUAGCUUCAAUAAGUUUAGUUAUUUCGGCCUUGAUAUCAGGAAUAAUAUUAAGAUUGCAUCGGCGUGCUGGCUGCUCAUGCGGCCGAAAUCCAGACUUGAUAGGCAACCGAUGUUCAACAAUCGAUCGGUCUAAACCAGGCAUCUCGGUAUAAUCCCAAGCAAAGCAAUCUUUAUAUUCCUUUAACAAAUUAGUUAAUUGUUGCUUACACUUAGAAUUUAACUUAGCACUAAUAAAAGUAGGUCUUGGCCUAUCACCAUUACCUAUAUCUACUUCUACUAAAUCAUCAGCCGAUGUAAACCCCUGGCCUAGUUUUCCAUCAUCGGCGAAUCUAUCCAUUAGAACCCUUCAUCAGAACCAACUGCUUGGAUCGGUGGAAUUUCAUAAUCGGCAAUUUUGAGAAAAUCCUCCCAAACCUCUCCUGAAAUGCAUCUGGUCCUUUAAUAGGUAUCUGCUUCCGCUGAUGCAAUGACAUAUGAAGAAUCUCCUGGGACAAAUUCAAUCUUGUCACCUACCCACUGAACCAAGCAUUGGUGCAUUGUAGAUGGGAUGCAACAUUUGGCAUGAAUGCAAUCUCUCCCGAACAGCAAAUUAUAAGCACCCUUUCCACUGAUGACAAAGAAAGUUGUCGGCAAGGUCUUGCUGCCGAUGGUCAACUCGACGCAUAUGGCUCCCUUGACCGGAGACACAUUUCCUUCAAAAUCCUUUAACAUCAUAUCGGUCUUGGUCAAAUCUUGACGCCCCUUUCCAAGCUUCCGAUAAACUGCAUAUGGCAUAAUAUUGAUAGCAGCUCCACCAUCAACAAGUAUCUUGGUCAUCGGCUGCCCAUCAACCCUACCUUUGACGAAUAAAGCUUUAAGAUGUUGUCUUUCAUCAUCAGUAGGCUUUCCAAAGAUAGGUGUCAUCGGAUCAAGAGUCAACUGAGCUAUCUGUUCAGGGAAAUCUAUCUCCUCACCAUCACUGAAAGGUGCAAGGUACUCCAUCGGCAACAUAAACACCAUAUUAACAUCUACCAAUGGGCCUUUUCCUUUAGGGUCUGACUGCUGCCGAUCUUCAGACUUGGUAGAAUUCUCUCCCUUACUCAGUGCUUCUUAUCGUUCUCGCUGCAACCUUCAUUUCUGUGUCCUUGUCAACCCCUCUAGAAACCAUGGUGGAAGUUGUGGUUGUCUCAUCAGUUGACGACGGUUUUCUCUUGAUUCCAUUCGAUAAGUAUUAGCAUUCCUGCAAAAUAUGAACUCAUCGGGAACUCGCGCAUCCGCCAUCUCCUCAAGUUCCUCUUGGUUUUGGGGAAAAUAACUGACAUGCUCACCAAGCCUAUCAUGUACACUGAGUCUGCCCCCCAGCCGAUCGUGAACUGAUGUUCUUUUUCUAAUCGGCCCACUGUUGACACUAACUAACACCACUUAGAUACUAGGUUGUCAUCGCCAGCAUGGUGCCAGAGUGUACAAAGGUAUUUAUAAAUAUAAAGGCUCUCUAGAAAAUAAUCUAUUCUAUCCGCAAGCGCACAGAUAAAACACCUCAUUGUAGCAUUUCACCAGGAUAAGUAUUCCAGGUAUCGUUAUUUAUAAUUUUGCUUAAGAGAACAAAAGGAAUGAAAUUAAGAAAAGGAUUAAAUCUAUCACGGCAUAGACUAGAGAUAAACUUGCAAGAACAUGAUUACUAAUGAGAAACUCAUCACACAGUCACUUACUUUGGCAGGGGGUAAACCAUAAAGAUAAUGAUAAUGAAUUAUAAGUUCAUGGGUAAAUAACACAGCGAUUAGAAAAUAGACUACUCCUCAUAUAUGUAGGUGACGUCGGAUUAGCUAGAGAAUGGAUUCUAAGUUAUCUACUAUCUUCUAAGUUAUAAUCUACUCUAGUUAUCUACAAGAUCAUAUAUAGCAUAAAAGACUCUUCAUUCAUGUAUAAGGAACAUUGCUAAAGUAAAUCAGAACAUCGCAAGACUUACUCCGCAAUACCAGUUCUGCCUGUCCUAUCAACGGAGGGUGGACUAUAUAAGAAUCAACAAAGCUGUCACUAUCGCGAACUACCACACGACCCGGCCAAUAGGAUACAUUUGCAGGUAAAUAACAUCUAAGCACCACGCCCACAUGUGAUCUACCACUUAACUCCCUCGCGUCAAGAGCUAAGCGCUUUGCAAACUUAUACAUAAACUCAUUAUCAAUCAUAACUAUAUCAAAUAUAAACUAGAGCAAACUAAGAACAUAAUAAAUAAAGACAUAAUGCAAUUAGAACAAAGUAUUAGAGAAAGAUAUGAAUAAUACCAAUCUUUAUUACUGAAGAUCCGAAUCCAGAGCGUAGUGCUCUACUUCUCUAAUUGCUAUCUAAUCAAACCUCUAAACUUGAAGGAUUAGGGAGUAGCUAAUUCUAAUUCUCUGUGGGAGAGAAGCUCUAAACCCUAACGUUGAUGGCUACCUCUGAUAAUGAUUUCUCCUCUUCUCUUCUCUCCUCCAGUGGUGGAGAGGCCUUGGUUAUAUAGUCCUUUCAAGUGAAUUUGGGUUGUUGGAUCAAACCGACAUUGAUUGUAUGGUUUAGAUUGAUCCUUUAGGUCGGUGGAGCUUAGUCCUGAAAGAGAGUCCUGAUUGGACUCUAACCCUAGGCGAGCGCCCAAGGGGGUGGGCGGCCGCCCUGCCCCGAAUCCCGAUCGUCGUCUCGUUCGUUCCCGUGGCUUCUGGACUCUUCUAGAUUGAGGAAAAUUGCGCGGCAUGUAAUUAUAUCGUUGUAAACACGACAUGUGGGCCUUGUCUCCAUAUUCUCUGAUCACCCCCUGCAGAAAUAGUUAAACACUAAAGCUCGUGGAAUUCUGUAAGAUAAAACCCUAAUUAUAGAUGUUUGGUGCAUAUUGAUCCUUUUCCAUGUUUAUUUGAUUGUUAAUUUUAGUACUUAAGGACCGUCAACAAACUCCCCCAAGCUUACCCUUUGCUCUUCCCUGAGCAAACAGCUAAACUCAGAUGGAUCAGGAGUUGCUUCGAUGUUUUCUUUCCUGACAGGCACACAUGCUUUUAUAAAAAUUCUUCCAGAUUAGAGUGAAGUGUCAUGGAGCUUAGUACCUGUACCUAAAUCUUAAGUAAUCGAAAGACAAAAUAAUUAAGUCAAGCACUAUUUCUCCUGUCUAUACUUCACCUUUAUUCCAAAGUUUUUCAUAAGUUUUCAAAAUAAAACUCAGAGUUCCCAGCAAUGAUUCUCUCAAGUCUCUCUAUAUGUGGUAUUUGUGGAUCCUUACCAAAAUGUCACUUACCUAAAGCUAAUAUUUAAGUGGAGCUCAUAGGAGUGAAAAACAGCUCAUACAUAUGUUGUCUAAUCGAGCCAUGCAUCCAAAGGAACUCAGCAUAUAAUUAAAUCAAGAUGUGCAUGUGUGGUGGAGUAAAUGAUAGUGAUGGUAAAAAUGUAUAAGUGAUAAUAAAACUUACUUCUCAUUGCUCCUCAUAUUGCUAUCUCUCCUCUUCUUUGAUCUUUGCUUUGGGAGAACAUGGGCUAUCUUUUUCUUUUUUUCCAGGUGGGUAGUAGACACCCCUAAUUCUACUUUCGGACACUUGUCUAUUUUUCCGCUCAAGUGGGCAUCUUUGUACCCCUAAUUCUACUCCGAACACUUGUCCAUUUUUACCUCUCGUCUCAAUCUUUUUCUUUCUUUUUCUGAGGUUCUGGGCACUUGCCCCUUUUUAUUUCCUCGCAUAUUUUUGCAUAACCCAUGCAUCUUCUGCAUUGAAUCUUUUUAGAGAGAGAAUAACAAUAUUUGGGACCGUGAGUGAUAAUAUUUUUAGUAAUUUUAAUGAAUGGUGAUGGAUGGUGUAGUGGAUGUGUGCAAGUGAAUAUCUUAAUUUAACCACAUGAAAAGUUCCUAAGGGUCUACACAGCUCGAUCAAACUCAAUGUGAAUAUAAAUGUUAUAGCAAGUAUGGCUGUGAUAGGAAUUUUGUAAUGCUAGGAACUCAUCAUGUGAUUUGUAAGUUUUCAAAAUAAAUCUCCAGAACUUAGUGUAGUAGGAAUCAAGAUGAACCGUAGCUCAAACUUAAUAUUAUGUCCUUCUCUUACCUAGACUUUAGUUUUAUGCUUCCCAAAGGUAGUAAUUUCAGUUUUAGUAAUUCCUAGAAGAACUCUAAUAUAAAAGCUAGGUACUUGAAAGUAAGCAAACAGAGCAACUGUUCAUCAUUUCCAUCAUACAUUUUUUUUGGUCUUUUUAAUUUUUCUAGAGAUUAACACUUGACAGAAAAAAUAAGGCACACUUAUCUACACACUCUUUUUAUUUUGUUUUUAUAUUUUUAAAAUGCAGUAAAAUAAAGCAAGAAAAUAUUUAUUGGGUUUUCUAAGUUUUUCUUUUUAAGAUAAAAUACUAGUAAUGAAUAAAUAAUAAGAGUAAAUAAAAACUUACUUGAUAAAUUGGGAGGAACUCCCCCAAGCUGGGUGUGGAUGUGGUCUUACCCGAUGUUCCAGAACCUCAUCAUGGUUGUGAUGUUGUCGUUCAUUGUUGUUGUGUCUUGUCUCAGCUCUUGUACUGCAGUGGCGUGGUCCUGGUUCCAUUUUUGUUGCUCUUCCAGGAGUCGUCCAUGUUCUGCUUGCGUGUUCUGGAUAUCGAGGAGAGUGUUGUCGGUGCGGUUGAAAAAAACGCUGGCCUCUUGGUAGUAGUUGUUCGUGAAAGCGUAGGAGGCGUCUGAGUAUCGUCCUGCAUCAAAUUGGGGCGGAGGUCUGGAUCCUGAAGCUCCAUAUGGAUCAGUAGAGUACCUGCCCGUAUGGAAAGGCGGAUUUGUCCACUGGUGAUCUUGGCUCUCCGGCCAUGUCUCCUGUGUUGGCUCUUGUGGUUGCGCAUGUCGAAACCAUGGGUCUCGAAGGACUCGCUGCUUCUUCUAGUCUAGGAUCAUCAUACCAGGUGCGUUCUCGGUGGGUGGUCAUCCUUUCAGAUGCCACUCGCUGUGGAGCUCUCUGAUUCACCGGUGUCACUGCAAUCUCAAUCAAAAAAUUUUGAACAACGUAGAGGCCAAUGUUCGGGUUAGGUAACCGAAUCUUGCCUUUAUUAUCAUAUAGCAUAUACAUUACGUUCCCCUCUUUCUUUAACAUCCGAGCUUGUCUAAAUGUGUCAUAGCCAUGAUAAAUUCUUAACUCAUCUAUGAAUUCUAACGACGAGUUCUCUAGUAAGUGAAGAUUAGAGGCUAGACGAGUGAUAAGUGAAGUACAUCCUACUAGUCCCUGAAGACUAGGUACAUGUUGACACUAGCUAACACCACUUAGAUACUAGGUUGUCAUCCCUAGCAAGGCGCCAGAGUGUACAAAGGUAUUUAUAAAUGUAAAGGCUCUCUAGAAAAUAAUCUAUUCUAUCCGCAAGCGCACAGAUAAAACACCUCUUUGUAGCAUUUCACCAGGAUAAGUAUUCUAGGUAUCGUUAUUUAUAAUUUUGCUCAAGGGAUCUCAAGAAGAUGAAAUUAAAUCAAGGGGCAAAAUCUAUCAAGGCAUAGACUAGAGAUAAACUUGCAAGAACAUGAUUACUAAUGAGAAACUCGUCACACAGUCACAUACUUUAGCAGGGGUAAACCAUAAAGAUAAUGAUAAUGAAUUAUAAGUUCAUGGGUAGAUGGCACAGCGAUUAGAAAAUAGACUACUCCUCAUAUAUGUAGGUGAUGUCGGAUUAGCUAGAGAAUGGAUUCUAAGUUAUCUACUAACUACUAAGUCAUAAUCUACUCUAGUUAUCUACAAGAUCAUAUAUAGCAUAAAAGACUCUUCAUUCAUGUAUAAGGAACAUUGAUAAAGUAAAUCAGAGCAUCGCAUGAAUUACUCCACAAUACCGGUUCUGCCUGUCCUAUCAACGGAGGGUGGACUAUAUAAGAAUCAACGAAGCUGUCACUAUCGCGAACUACCACACGACCCGGCCAAUAGGAUACAUUUGCAGAUAAAUAACAUCUAAGCACCACGCUCACAUGUGAUCUAUCACCUAACUCCCUCGUGUCAAGAGCUAAGUGCUUUGCAAACUUAUACAUAAACUCAUUAUCAAUUAGAACUAUAUCAAAUAUAGAACUAGAGCAAACUAAGAACAUAAUAAUUAGAGACAUAAUGCACUUAGAACAAUAGAAUUAGAGAAAGAUAUGAAUAAUACCAAUCUUUAUUACCGAAGAUCCGAAUCCAGAGCGUAGUGCUCUACUUCUCUAAUUGCUAUCUAAUCAAACCUCUAAACUUGAAGGAUUAGGGAGUAGCUAUUUCUAAUUCUCUGUGGGAGAGAAGCUCUAAACCCUAACUUUGAUGGCUACCUCUGCAUAAUGAUUUCUCCUCCCCUCCUCCAGGGGCCAGGGGGUCUGGUUUUAUAGUCCCCUCAAGUGAACGUGAGCCAUUGGAUCAAACCGACAUAGAUUGUAUGGUUUAGAUUGAUCCAUUAGGUCGGUGGAGUCUUGCCCCGAAGCAGAGUCCUGUUUGGAAUCCAACCCUGGGCGGGCGCCCAAGGGGGGUGGGCGGGCGCCCUGCCCCCGAGCCCGAAUCUCUUCUCGUUCGUUCCCGUGGCUUCUGGACCCUUCCAGAUUGAGGAAAAUUGCGCGGCACGUAAUUAUCUCGUUGUAAACAUGACAUGUGGGCCUUCUCUCCAUAAUUCCUGAUAAACCCCUGCAGAAAUAGAUAAACACCAAAACUCGUGGAAUUCUGUCAGAUAAAACCCUAAUUCUGGAUGUUUGUUUCAUAUUGAUCCUUUUCAUGUUUAUUUGAUUAUUAAUUUUAGUACUUAAGGACCGUCAACAAACUCCCCCAAGCUUACUCUUUGCUCGUCCCUGAGCAAAUACCUAAACUCAGACGAAUCAGAAGUUGCUUCGAUGUUUUCUUUCAUGACAGGCACACGUGCUUUUACAUAAAAAUUCUUCCAGAUUAGAGUGAAGUGUUAUGGAGUUUAGUACCUGCACUUAAAUCUUAAGUAAUCGAAAGACAAAAUAGUUAAGUCAAGCACUAUCCCUCCUGUCUAUACUUCACCUUUGUUCUAAAGUUUUUCAUAGGUUUUCAAAAUAAAACUCAUAGUUCCUAGCAAUGAUUCUCUCAAGUCUCUCUAUAUGUGGUAUUUGUGGAUCCUUACCAUAAUGUCACUUACCUAUAGCUAAUGGAAUAUUUAAGUGGAGCUCAUAGGAGUGGAAAACAGCUCAUACAUAUAUUGUCUAAUCGAGCCAUGGAUCCAAAGGAACUCAGCAUAUAAUUAAAUCAAGAUGUGCAUGUGUGGUGGAGUAAAUGAUAAUGAUGGUGCAUAAGUGAUAAUAAAACUUAGUUCUCAUUGCUCCUCAUAUUGCUAUCUCUCCUCCUCUUUGAUCUUUGCUUUGGGAGAACAUGGGCUAUCUUUUUCUUUUCUUUUUUUUUUCAGGUGGGUAGUAGAUACCCCUAAUUCUACUGUCGGACACUUGUCCAUUUUUUCCGCUCAAGUGGGCAUCUUUGUACCCCUAAUUCUACUUCGGACACUUGUCCAUUUUUACCUCUCGUCUCACUCUUUUUCUUUCUUUUUCGAGGUUCCGGGCACUUGCCCCUUUUUAUUUCCUCGUAUAUUUUUGCAUAACCCAUGCCUCUUCUGCAUUGAAUCUUUUUAGAGAGAGAGAAUAACAAUAUUUAGGACAGUGAGUGAAAAUAUUUUUAGCAAUUUUAAUGAUUGGUGAUGAAUGCUGUGGUAGAUGUGUGCAAGUGAAUAUCUUAAUUUAACCACAUGAAAAGCUCCUAAGGGUCUACACAGCUCGAUCAAACUCAAUGUGAAUAUAGUAAAAUAUGUUAUAGCGAGUAUGGCUGUGGUAGGUAGUUUUGUUAUGCUAGGAACUCAUCAUGCGAUUUGUAAGUUUUCAAAAUAAAUCUCCAGAACUUAGUGUAGUAGAAACAAGAUAAACAGUAGCUCAACUUUAUAUCAUGCCUUUCUCUUACCUAGACUUUAGUUUUAUGCUUCCCAAAGAUAGUAAUUUUAGUUUUAGUAAUUCCUGGAAGAACUCUAAUAUAAAAGCUAGGUUCUUGUAAGUAAGCAAACAGAGCAACUGUUCAUCAUUUCCAUCAUGCAUCUUUUUGGUUUUUUUAGAGAUUAAACUUAGCAGAAAAAUAAAGCACACUUAUCUACACACUCUUUUUAUUUUGUUUUCAUAUUUAUUAAAGCGCAGUGAAUUAAAGCAAGAAAAUAUUUAUUUGGUUUUCUAAGUUUUUUUCCUUUUAAGAUAAAUUAAAUUCUAAGACAGAAUAGAAUAAAUAAGAAGAGCAAAUAAAAACUUACUUGAUAAAUUGGGGAGGAACUCCCCCAAGCUGGAUGUUGACGUCAGUCUUACCCGAUGUUCCAGAAUCGCAUCAUAGUUGUGAUGUUGUCAUUCAUUGUUAUUGUAUCUUGUCUCAGUUCUUGCACUGCAGCGGCAUGGUCCUGGUUCCAUUUUUAUUGCUCUUCCAAGAGUCUUCCAUGUUCUGCUUGCGUGUUUUGGAUGUCGAGAAGGGUGUUGUCGGUACGAGUGAAGAAAGCACCGGCCUCUUGAUAGUAGUCAUUCGUGAAAGCGUAGGAGGCGUCGGAGUAUCGUCCUGCAUCAAAUUGGGGCGGAGGUCUGGAUCCUGAAGCUCCAUAUGGAUCAGUGGAGUACCUGCCCGUAUGAAAAGGCGGGUUUGUCCACUGGUGAUCUUGGCUCUCCGGCCAUGUCUCUUCUGUUGGUUCUUGUGGUUGCGCAUGACGAACCCAUGGGUCUCGAAGGACUCGAGGAUUGUAAUCACAAUAAUGCAGGUGCGCUGCUUCUUCUGGUCCAGGGUCAGCUCCAUACCAGGUGUGUUCUCGGUCGGUGGUCAUCCUUUCAGAUGCCACUCGAUGUGGAGCUCUUUGGUUCACUGGUGUUGCUGCAAUCUCAAUCAAAAGAGUUUGCACAACGUAGAGGCCAAGGUUCGGGUUAGGUAACCGAAUCUUGCCUUUAUCAUCAUAUAGCAUAUACAUUACAUUCCCCUCUUUCUUUAACAUCCGAGCUUGUCUAAAUGUGUCAUAGCCAUGAUAAAUUAUUAAUUCUUCUAUGAAGUCCAGUGACGAGUUUUCUAGUAAGUGAAGAUUAGUGGCUAGACGAGUGAUAAGUGAAGUAGAUCCUACUGGUCCCUGAAGACUAGGUAUACUAAGCCAAUGAGAAACUAAUAGUGUAACAGGUGAAGUGGGUACUUUACUAAUAGCAACAUAUAAAAGUUGUAGAUCUCCUACUCUUACUUUCCUAAUAUCGUCACUGUUGACACUUGCUAACACCACUUGAAUACUAGGUUGUCAUCCCCAGCAUGGCACUAGAGUGUACUAUGGUAUUUAUACGCACACAGAUAAUCCGCAAGCGCACGGAUACCGUUGAAGCUUUUACCCGGAUAAAGGUUUUAUCGUAUCCACAGGGAAACGGGAGAACCAACUACGCUCUAACUUAACUAAGAUAGAUAGAUAGGUAUAAAUAGGAAAGAUAGUAGAAUUGAAUAAGAACAAUAUUAAAGGUAAGAUAACAAUGGGUAAUAAUAUGGGAAUAGAGAGUAGAGCAAUUCUAGUAUAUGGGCGAUGGUAGCAGAAUAGAGAGGAUAACUAUGGUUUCUCUACUUCAAAGGGGUAUGUCUAUGUCUGGGACGAACCACGUGAUAAGAGUACACCACAAAGGAUGCUUAUCCAUAGGCAGAUAAACCCUACCCGUCCUGCUAACGAGAGGUGGACUACAGGGGACCAACGUAACUGUCACCUACGCGGCCUACCACACGAUCCAGCUAGUCAGGGGAUAUCCACAAGUAAUCUAGGUCUAAGCACCACGCUUACACCUAUACUACAACUCUAACCUAUAGGGUCCUAUAGAUUAGAAGUACUCAAAAGAGUUGUGAACCAGAACAUACAUGAUUAGUAAUUGCAUAAUGAAUUAGAAGUAGGUUACCAGAGUCAUCCCAUGAGCAAGCUUGAUUAGAGCUUGAUCAUGGCGAAGUACAACCGGAGGAAGAACCGACAGGCCGGCCUCUCCUCUAAUCCUCCUUCGCUCUCCAUCUCGCUACUAUCUAGAUCUACUCUAGUUUAGAGAAGAGAGGAGAGCUCUCAUCUCUAAACCCUAGCUUUUGCUCUGUCUAUGAAUAAUGAAUAAUGAUCAAGGGGUUGUCUCCUCCAGGGGCCAGGGGGUCUGGUUUUAUAGUCCCCUCAAGUGAACCUGGGCCGUCGGAUCAAACCGACAUUGAUUGAACGGUUAUUCUUGAUCCUUUAGGUCGGUGGAGCAUAAUCCGCGAGAUUGAGCGUGAUUGGCCACAGGAGGUGGGCGGGCGCCCAGUAGGACAGGGCGGGCGCCCUAUCUCUGGCCCCGAUUCGCCUCCGCUUCGGUCUCGUGGCUUCUGGAGUCUUCUAGAUGUAAGAUAAUUGCGCGGCACAUUAAUAUCUUUACGUAAUCCCGACGUGUGGGCCUUUCAUCCUUAUUUCCUGAUAACCCCCUGCAGAAAUAGACAAACACCAAAACUCGUGGAAUUCUGUCAGAUAAAUCCCUAAGUCUGGAUGUUGAUUUCAUUUGGAUCCUUUUCUUUGUUUAUUUGAUAGUGAAAUUUGAUACUUAAGGACCGUCAACAAACUCCCCCAAGCUUACCUCUUGCUCGUCCCUGAGCAAGGAUAGAAUCAGCUAGUGGAUCAUAAGUUGUUGCAAUAUCUUUAAAAAUUGACGGUACACAUGCUUUUAAAUGAGGUCUCAUCUCUGAGUUAGAGUAAAAUGUCAAGACUUAGAACUUACUUAGUUUACCUUUCACCAUGGGACUUGUAAUCGUCACUUCUGUCUUGAGUAGUUAAAAGAUAGAACAGUCUAGCCAAGUGCCAUGUCUCUUAUUCUUGAUCAGCUAUAGCUCUGGAGUUUUUGCAGAUUUUCAAAUAAAACUCAGAGAUUCCUUGUAUGACUCUCUCAUAUCUCUCUUUUGUGGUAUUUCUAUAUCCUUACCAAGGCAGUGAUGGUAUAUGCCUUCUCUCAAAAUAUGUGGUAUUUGUGGUAUAAGGCAUAGUGACAUUGCCUUCUCUCUCACCCUACUCUAAUAAGGCUUUAAUAUCUGGAGCUCAUAGGUGGGAGAUAAAGUAUACAUACUUACAAGACAUGUAUUGCAUAGUCAAACCAUGGAUCCAAAGAAACAAAUCAAUAAGCCAAAUCAAGAUGUGCAUGUGUGGCGAAUGAAUAGUGUAUGGUGAUGAUGGUGAUAACAAUGGUGAAAGUCUAAUUCUACUUUUGCUCUUUUGAGGGGAUACAUACCUUCCUUGCUUUUUGAAACUUAAUGAGGAGAAUGAGAUGCUCUUCUUUUUCUUUUCUUUUCUCUCAGGUGGGUAUCCUGUACCCCUAGUUCUACUGUCGGACACUUGUCCAUUUUUACCUCUCGUCUCACUCUUUUUCUUCUCUUUCGAGGUUCCGGGCACUUGCCCCUUUUUAUUUCCUCGUUUAUUUUUUUUUCUUUUCUUUUUUUUCCUUUUUUAGAGCACUCAUCUCUUGAGAUAAUAUAGCAAGUGGUAGUAGCAAGAUAACUUGAGCAUUUAUUUCACAAGGGAAAAACACAGAUGUUUUUGGCUAUUCUCUCCCGAAUUGGGAGUAGAAUAUUUUUAGGUGAUUCUGGAGAUGGAAAUGGAUGGAUAUAUGUGGAUGGUACUUCCGGAGUAGAAAUAGCAUAUAUAUGCGUGAACGUGCAAGUGAAUCUUGAUUUAACCACAUGACAAGCUCCUAAGGGUCUACACAGCUUGACCACACUCAAUGCUCAUAAGCAGUAAAUAAUAAAUGUGUGGCUCAAAGUCUAGCAAGCAUGUAUAUAUGGCUGUGGUAGGAAUUUAAACUCUCAUCAUACAGGAACUCGUCAUGCAACAUUUUAAAGAUUUUCAAAGAUAAAAUUCUCCAGAAUUCUAGCAUCUCUAGGAACAGAUAAACAGCAGCUCAACCUUCCCAUAUCUUAUCCGUUAACAACUUAGAUUUCAGAUCAAGUUUUCAUCCCACAAGUUUAGAUCUAGAGCAAGCUUUAAAUUAUAACAGUUAUGUCUAAACUUGAGAGAGAACUUUAAAUUUGCAAAUUAGGCAGAGCAACUAUUCAUUAUAUCCAUGCUAGAGUUUUAUUAUUAAGAUUCAUAGCAAACUUUAUUUAUUUAUUUAGCAAACUAAGAAAAGAUAUAUAUAUAUAUAUAUAUAUAAAAGCAUAAAAUCUUUAUUUGGUUUUUCAUAGUUUAUGUAUUUUAAUAUUCUAAUAUAAUAUAAGUAUAAAGAUAGGUAGAAAUACUUAGCGAGAUAAAUAGGGGUGCUCUCCCCCAAGCUGAAUUUUGACGUAAUUUCUCUUGAUGUAGCUAGCAGGUGGCAGAGGUGUAUUUGAAAGUCAGCAGCAUUCUGACAGCGAUUAGAAUGUCCUCCGUCUGCUAGUCUUCUUGAUUCUUAAAUUCUGUGGAGCUCAAAUAGACAACGAAGCUUGUGGAACUAAUUAAGUGUUAGCAUAAAUAUCUAUCCUUCAUCAUGUUGAGCUUCCUCAAUAAAUAUUACUCCCUGUUUUUAUAUUUUUAUUUUAUAAACAGAAAAGAAAUAUUUAUUUUAUUUUUAUGCCACCACAGUGAAGGUACUUAUGGGUUUUAUGCCACUCGUAUACUCACAUGGGGCUUAGUAUUUUUUUAAUAUUUUUAUUUCCUUUUCAAGAUAGCAUGAUUAACUAAUAAUCUAUUUAAGGAAAGUAAAUAAUUAAAGGGAAAAGUGAAUGCAGAAAGGAUAAAUAUGGAUAACUACCAAUCUUACCUUUCGGCGAGGGUUCAAUGUUUUAAGUCUUCUUGUCAAGACUUCUCAUCGUGUUCAUUCUUCAGGUGCGUCAUUUGAUUCAGGUGCGGACCUUGACGUCUGCACCUUUUAAUACGGUGUCACCCAUGUUCUUCGUUUGCCCAGCAGUUCGAAGUGCAGUGUUAGCAGUAUCUUGCUCAAUGUGUUUGUGCUCGUAGUGUACCUUGCUUGAAGAGUGAUGGUACAGUAUCAUCUUGUGAAAGCUUUCCUUUCUUAGCGGUUGUGCAUCGUGUUUGUGGCACCCUCCAUGGCUCAUCUCUCUAUGAUGAAUGAGCUAUGUCCUGCUUGUGCAAAUUGUUAAACUUCAUGUGUCACUCUCUUCGUCUCUGAUGUGAGUUUAUCUCAGGACUUCCCAAAUCGAUAUUGAAAGUUUUUCUGCAGGGGUUAGUCCGACAAAAUAUACCAAUAUCUACUCAAGCAGUUUUUUUUAGUUCAAUAACCAAACUAUACUCCAUGUCUAAUCAGAUUAAGGAAGGCUAUUUAACCUAAGCACCAUGCUUAAUUUAAAUGCCAAUGGAAGUAUGGCGAGUACUUCCAAACCAACACUUGCUAGUAAAUAGACAAAGGUAGCAUGACAGCAUUUAUAGAGAUCUACUCAAGUGGAGAUGAAGUAGUGUGAUUAGUAUUUAACAAAUUGAGCAUGUCUCAAAGGUAGGGACAACCAGCAUAGCAACAUGGCAAAGGAUGUUUUUAUGUAAAGUACUCCCCCAAGCUUGAAUUUUGCAAAAUUCAAGUUUGGAUGAAUUUAAUUCAAUGUUGUAUGAUGAUUGGUUAGACAUACCUUGUGCUUGUCAUUCAUCCGAUCUUCUUGCUCCAAUCUUAGAAAGGUUAGUGACAAGAAUACCCGAAGGAAUAUGUUUUUUUACAAUUAUCCUUAUAUGCUCAAUACACAAGGUAAUGUUGCAAAUAAUUAAAAGCUUGUCCUUGGCAAACCAUCAGUUUAUGUUGGCGAAGUGGUUUCCCCUCCGACGCCAACCUAUAUCUAGAUCAACUCAAUGAGAUCUGCAAUAUUUAUUAUAGACAUAUGCAUCGACAACCGCCCUUUUAAAGUUUUUAUAAAUAGAAAGGAAGAGGGGGUUGGAGAUCUCAAGUGUGGUGAUGUCGGAGAGACCAAUAGAUUGGGAAGAUGUUGCAUAUGAGCAUGGAGUAAACAAAGUGGCUAUGAAAUAAAUUCCAUGCUCAUUAAUGUUAUCUUCGUCUCCAAUCUGAAUGUUCAGAGUUUCUCUUGGAUUGGUCUCACUUAUGUCCUCUUCUAUAGUUGGGUGAAUCUCAUCUUCAAAGGGAGUCAAGAACUCACCAUUUGAAAUUGAGCCAAAGUCAGAAUCCAUUAAGGCUUCUUCCUUAUCCAUCCAUUCUACACAUUCUAGCCAUAUAGAACUUGUGAUCAGGAAAGGGGCGGUGUUAGAAUUUUCAAUAUGGCUUAGCUCUCCUUCACUUGAUAUGUCAUCCUCGACUUCUUCAUAACAGGAAUGAGGACAUUCUCUAAGAGAAACAUUAUUGCAAUGAUUUGAAUUAUCCCUGCUUGAAGGUCUCUUAUAGAACCAUAAGUCUAAACCAUCAGCAUCUAAAAGAUUUAAGGUCGGAAUUCCUUCCUCCCUUGGAGAAUUUUGGGGUAUUGAUGGUUUAGGAUCGUUAGCUAAAGUUUGGGAUUGAAGUGGUUGUAAUUUGGCUAUCGAAACUUCUUCUUCUUGUCUAGGAACUGGUUCUUUCUCUUUCUCAGGGAUAUAAAAGCUAGGAGACUUUCUGCUCAUUAAAUCAAUCAAAUUCCAAGCUUCACUAGCAGAUAGGUGGUGGAAAGAUCCUCCAGAGGCCGCAUGAAGGGUUUGCUUAUUUUUCCUACUAAGGCCCUCAAAAAAAUGAAUUAGAAGAACUUCUUCUGGAAUAGAAAGUUUUGGGCCAGUGAGAGUAAGGUUAAUAAAGCGGUCCCAUGAUUUGCCAAGAGAUUCUUCUUCCACUUGUCUAAAAGAAAGAAUCUCACGCCGAAGUUCCACUACUUUGGAGAUUGGAAAAUAUUUAGAAAGAAAACUACUAUAUAACUCCUUCCAAUCUCCAUGAACACUCCCUACUUUGAGUUUAUACCAAUGUCUAGCUUUUCCCGUUAAAGAGAACGGAAAGAGCUUCCAUUUAAGGGUCUCAUCGGACAUGCCUUCUAUGCGAAGGAGGUCACAGACUCGAUAAAACUCUCUUAGGUGUGUGUAUGGGUUUUCCUCACCUUUUCCUGAGAAAGGUUGUUUUUGAAUAAAUUCUAUGUAUUCGGGGUCUAUCUCAAAACUAGAUGCUAUGAUAGGCUUUGAAGAUUUUGGUGGUUCGAGAUGUGUGCCCAUAGGUCUAUGAAAUUCAUAGAUAGACAUGUUUGAAUUCAUAAUAGACCGGAGAUCAAGGAUUAGAUAAGAAGAAAGAAUAGCAGAGAUGAGGCAAAGGAUAAAAGGAAAAUAUUUUUGUUAUAUAUAUAUUUUUUAUAAAAUGAUUAAACUAGUUUGUAGUCAACUCAGCAACCGUUUCCCCGGCAAUGGCGCCAAAAAUGCUUGUUGACACUUGCUAACACCACUUGAAUACUAGGUUGUCAUCCCAGCAUGGCACUAGAGUGUACUAUGGUAUUUAUACGCACACAGAUAAUCCGCAAGCGCACGGAUACCGUUGAAGCUUUUACCCGGUUAAAGGUUUUAUCGUAUCCACAGGGAAACGGGAGAACCAACUACGCUCUAACUUAACCAAGAUAGAUAGAUAGGUAUAAAUAGGAAAGAUAGUAGAAUUGAAUAAGAACAAUAUUAAAGGUAAGAUAACAAUGGGUAAUAAUAUGGGAAUAGAGAGUAGAGCAAUUCUAGUAUAUGGGCGAUGGUAGCAGAAUAGAGAGGAUAACUAUGGUUUCUCUACUUCAAAGGGGUAUGUCUAUGUCUGGGACGAACCACGUGAUAAGAGUACACCACAAAGGAUGCUUAUCCAUAGGCCGAUAAACCCUACCCGUCCUGCUAACGAGAGGUGGACUAUAGGGGACCAACGUAACUGUCACCUACGCGGCCUACCACACGAUCGAGCUAGUCAGGGGAUAUCCACAAGUAAUCUAGGUCUAAGCACCACGCUUACACCUAUACUACAACUCUAACCUAUGGGGUCCUAUAGAUUAGAAGUACUCAAAAGAGUUGUGAACCAGAACAUACAUGAUUAGUAAUUGCAUAAUGAAUUAGAAGUAGAUUAACAGAGUCAUCCCAUGAGCAAGCUUGAUUAGAGCUUGAUCAUGGCGAAGUACAACCGGAGGAAGAACCGACAGGCCGGCCUCUCCUCUAAUCCUCCUUCGCUCUCCAUCUAGUUUAGAGAAGAGAGGAGAGCUCUCAUCUCUAAACCCUAGCUUUUGCUCUGUCUAUGAAUAAUGAAUAAUGAUCAAGGGGUUGUCUCCUCCAGGGGCCAGGGGGUCUGGUUUUAUAGUCCCCUCAAGUGAACCUGGGCCGUUGGAUCAAACCGACAUUGAUUGAACGGUUAUUCUUGAUCCUUUAGGUCGGUGGAGCAUAAUCCGCGAGAUUGAGUGUGAUUGGCCACAGGAGGUGGGCGGGCGCCCAGUAGGACAGGGCGGGCGCCCUGUCUCUGGCCCCGAUUCGCCUCCGCUUCGGUCUCGUGGCUUCUAGAGUCUUCUAGAUGUAAGAUAAUUGCGCGGCACGUUAAUAUCUUUACGUAAUCCCGACGUGUGGGCCUUUCUUCCUUAUUUCCAGAUAACCCCCUGCAGAAAUAGACAAACACCAAAACUCAUGGAAUUCUGUCAGAUAAAUCCCUAAGUCUGGAUGUUGAUUAUAUUUGGAUCCUUUUCUUUGUUUAUUUGAUAGUGAAAUUUGAUACUUAAGGACCGUCAACAGUCACGAUAGAAAAGAUUGUACCCAAGCCAUUUGUGGAACAUCCUAAGAGUGGGGUGUUCCAUGUCACUGGUUCGGGCUUGACUAUAAAAAUUAUCUCUAGAUAUUUCUCUCCAGAACUGGUGUCUCUCAAAAUUGGGUAAAUCGGAGUCAAUGUUCAGGAUGCAUCUUGAAGAGAAACCAAGAUGGUCGCUCAGUUCUCUCCAAGAUAACAUAAUUUCUUGUUUGAACAUCUGCAAAACAAUUCCCCCCUCAUAGUAUUGUAAAGUGCAAAGAAAUUCGAGGGUGAGAAGACGAGAACCCAGCUCAGUUAUAUUCCAAAAAUUUGUCCAACCCAUCAUCUGAAAAAUUAAGUCAAAUUCAGUGUCCAUACCUGUUUCUUGUAGUAGGAUUGGAUCGAGAGUAGGGGUAUGAAUGAAAUCUUUGUUCUUCAGUUGCUGAUAGACUUCCUUCUCUCUUCGGGUCUUCAGUCCUAGGUCUCCUAUCUUGAGAAGGACCUUAACUUGCUGACCUGAUGAAGAUGAUGGAGCUUGCGUGGGUGUUGGGUCGACGCUCAUCUCCGAUGGCUGUGAGGAGUAUCGGGAUGAACUCCUUGUUCCAAUGUUCUUGAGAGCCUUUCCUGCAUUCUUCACCUUCUUAAACAUCCUGCAAACAAAAGUUGGCAAAAACACAACUAGUGGAAAAUGUGAGAUAAAAUGUUAGUAGUCAGCCGUCCGGAGUGUCAGUAGUCCAGGGGUUAAUCGUUCAAGACAAAUUUCUAUUUUGGUAGAGCCUCCCCCUAAACAACUUUUGCUUCCGCUUAGACAACUACUUACUAGGUGAUAAUUACUCUCUCAAAAUAACUCCAACUUUCCCUUCCACUCUCCUCUUUCUCUCUAUUCUCUUCUCUUCACUACAAGAACUCCUUCUCGGGAAACUGAAACUUGUGUGGUUUUCUGGAGUGUUUGUGUGAAGAGAAGGGGAGCUGGAGGUGGCCUUUUAUAGGAGGAAAAAGGGACAGGGCGGGCGCCCUUGCUAGGUGGGCGGGCGCCCACUUGUGAUGCCCCUCCUGGGUGUGCCUCCUCCACUUGCUUCCUUGCUUUGAUCUCACGCAGAAUAAUGUUGUGUUGGUAGUGGUUGGACGGUGGAAAGAUGUCAGGUGAGUGGAAACAUAUUGGUGGAUGAAAUUAUAUGAUGGGAUGUAUGUGAGGUGAAGUGUAUGACAUGUGGGACCCAAAGAGUGUGGGUCAUGCUUCUAGAAGAUUAAUAUAAUUAAAUAUAAUGUAGGAAAAUCUAUGAGAAUUAAAACUUAUUGAAAAUGAUUAUGGAAAAUAUUUUUGUGCCUCCACAAUAAUUAAUAAAUAUGGGUUGUUACACACCACGAAUAUUAUUUAUAUGGGGCUUUUUGAUUAUUAUAAUUAUGCUAUGACUAAUGCAAAAAUUAAUUAUGCAAGAAUUUAAAUAUGAGAAAAUUAAUGUGGAUAAAUACCGAUUUACCUCCCGGUGAGGGUUUGGGAUUUUUAGGUCCCCCAAGCUGGACCUCCAAUUCUUUUAAUCUUCUGAGUUACCUUCCUCCGGAGAUGGUGUCUCCAGUGGUUCUUCAUGAACUUCCUUUAUUGUAGAGUCUCUCUCUGGUCUGGGUUUCAAUGUGAAGUGUUCUUCUUGACCGUUUAUGUUGAACUUGAUUUCUCCUUUUCCGACAUCAAUGUGGGCAUUGGCAGUGCUCAGAAAUGGCCUUCCAAGGAUGAUGGACACUUUUGAGUCAGGACUCAUGUCCAAUACUACGAAGUCUACUGGCACAAGGAAAUCACUGAUCUUGACUGGAAUGUUCUCGGCGAUGCCCAACGGGUGUCGAACCGAUUGAUCCGCUAGUUGUAGGCACAUUGAUGUUGGUUCUUGGGUCGCAUGAUCAAGCUUUGUGUAGACUGAUGCUGGCAUCACACUGACACUUGCUCCGAGAUCACAAAGUGCAUUGUUGAAGUGUUGGUUUUCGAUCGAGCAAUCAAUAGUGGGGCAUCCGGGAUCUUCGUUCUUCUUUAGUGGUUUAUUGAGGAUGGCCGCACUACAUUCUUCUGUCAGCUUGAUAACCUCAGUGGUGGGCAGUGGUCUCUUCUUGUUAAGAAUAUCUCUGAUGUACUUUGCAUAUGUAGGUACCUGUAUGGCAUCGAGCAGAGGUAUGUUGACAUAUAAUUUCUGAAUGACCUCUACAAACUUACCAAACUGCUCAUCCGACUGCAGUCCUCUGUUUCUUCUGGGAAAUGGCAAAUAGUUGGUGUCAUAAAAAUCUUUUCUCAUUUCUCCAGUUCUUGGUGGUUGUAGCAGAUAUUCUGCUUCAACUGGGCUUUCUUCUUCUAUCACGGCUGGUUGCACUGGUGCUGAUGUUCUUUGUUUCUCUUUUGGGUAUGGUGGAUCUCUGGUAGCUUUGCCUCCUCUAGUAGUUAUAUUCUUUACCUGCUCAAUGUUAGUAGCAACAGGCAGUGCAGUAGCUAUCUUUAUUAAUUUAAGCUCUACCCUUUUAUUAAGAGUGUUUUGCUCAUCAAAGGCAGUUAGUAGAAAAUCCAUUUUAUUGUGUAUAUCUUUUAGAGAUGAUUCGUUUGUAUCUAGCCUUUGUUUAACUUCAUCAUUAAUUUUGGUUUGUUGAGCAAUUAUCUCUUUUAAUGAAAGUUGCUUGAAAGUAUUACCUGAAUUCAUACCUUUGCUAUUGGGUUGACUCGAAGUUGGUUGAUAUUUGUAUGCUGUCUCAAUGGCCCUUUGAUCUUCUUUAAACUCGGCCCUCUGGUCAAUCCAAUGGAGCAAAUUUUCCAUCUUAGUUGUUAAUGCAUUUACUUCUUCUGGUAUUUCUUCAGUUUGAUGAAAAUGUUGAGCUUUAUCUUGGAACCAGCUUUGGUUUUCUGCUAUCUUAUCCAAAAGUAUCUCUGCUUUUCCAGUUGUAAGCUCCAAAAAUGAUCCUUUAGCAGAUGCAUCUAGGCACUCACGAGCCUUCGGGGUUAAUCCAUGGUAGAAGGUCUGCAUAAGUAACCACGUGGCCAUUCCAUGGUGAGGACAAUCUGAUAUGUAUCCUUGAAAACGCUCCCAUGCUUCUAGAAUGGCUUCUGUCUUCUGCUGUUGGAAACUGACAAUAUUUCAUCUUAAGGCAGUUGUUUUGCCUAUAGGGAAAAACUUUGAUAGAAAGGCAUCUGACAAGUUCGUCCAAUUGUUGAUGUUGUCUUGAUGAGUGUAGAACCACGUCCUCGCUUUUCCUUCUAGUGAGAAUGGAAAAAGGCGAAGCAGUAUGACGUCUUUGUCAACUCCGUUGAUGUGGAUUGUGCUUCCAAUCUCUAAGAAAUUCUGCAAGUGUGCACUGGCAUCUUCAUGUGCCUUUCCACUGAAUUGUGUAGCUUGUACCAAAUUGAUGAGGCUUGACUUGAGCUCAAACUCGGGUAUUCCUUCUUCUACUGCAAAUCUUGGACCGGUUGGAAUGUUGUCAAGACUUGGAGCAGAGAAUUCUUGCAAGGUCUUUUGUGCCAUAGCUUCAGCAAUUGGUAGCUAGCUUCUUCUUCUCUUGAUUGCUUUGGUUCUGAUGAUGAAGAGUUGAAUGUACCCAAAGUCAAUCCUGUUAUACCCUGUAUAAAAAUAUAAACAUAGAAAAACAACAGGGUGAACCUGCCAAAGCAGAGGUGCCUUGUUAUGAUUUCUCACUUAGUAGCUGUUUUUAUGCAAUUAUUUCUCUAUAGUCUAGUCUAAUGUUUUAUGUGAAUAACCUUGAUUGAUUUUCUGGCUUCCCUUACCAUUCCUAUUUAUGACUUAUUCCUGAGACUCGUAUAAUUCCCCGGCAACGGCGCCAGAAAUGCUUGUUGACACUAGCUAACACCACUUAGAUACUAGGUUGUCAUCCCCAGCAUGGUGCCAGAGUGUACAAAGGUAUUUAUAAAUGUAAAGGGCUCUCUAGAAAAUAAUCUAUUCUAUCCACAAGCGCACAGAUAAAACACCUCAUUGUAGCAUUUCACCAGGAUAAGUAUUCCAGGUAUCGUUAUUUAUAAUUUUGCUCAAGGGAUCUCAAGAAGAUGAAAUUAAAUCAAGGGGCAAAAUCUAUCAAGGCAUAGACUAGAGAUAAACUUGCAAGAACAUGAUUACUAAUGAGAAACUCGUCACACAGUCACAUACUUUAGCAGGGGGUAAACCAUAAAGAUAAUGAUAAUGAAUUAUAAGUUCAUGGGUAGAUAGCACAGCGAUUAGAAAAUAGACUACUCCUCAUAUAUGUAGGUGAUGUCGGAUUAGCUAGAGAAUGGAUUCUAAGUUAUCUACUAACUACUAAGUCAUAAUCUACUCUAGUUAUCUACAAGAUCAUAUAUAGCAUAAAAGACUCUUCAUUCAUGUAUAAGGAACAUUGAUAAAGUAAAUCAGAGCAUCGCAUGACUUACUCCACAAUACCGGUUCUGCCUGUCCUAUCAACGGAGGGUGGACUAUAUAAGAAUCAACGAAGCUGUCACUAUCGCGAACUACCACACGACCCGGCCAAUAGGAUACAUUUGCAGAUAAAUAACAUCUAAGCACCACGCUCACAUGUGAUCUAUCACCUAACUCCCUCGCGUCAAGAGCUAAGCGCUUUGCAAACUUAUACAUAAACUCAUUAUCAAUUAGAACUAUAUCAAAUAUAGAACUAGAGCAAACUAAGAACAUAAUAAUUAGAGACAUAAUGCAAUUAGAACAAUAGAAUUGGAGAAAGAUAUGAAUAAUACCAAUCUUUAUUACCGAAGAUCCGAAUCCAGAGCGUAGUGCUCUACUUCUCUAAUUGCUAUCUAAUCAAACCUCUAAACUUGAAGGAUUAGGGAGUAGCUAUUUCUAAUUCUCUGUGGGAGAGAAGCUCUAAACCCUAACUUUGAUGGCUACCUCUGCAUAAUGAUUUCUCCUCCCCUCCUCCAGGGGCCAGGGGGUCUGGUUUUAUAGUCCCCUCAAGUGAACGUGAGCCAUUGGAUCAAAUCGACAUAGAUCGUAUGGUUUAGAUUGAUCCUUUAGGUCGGUGGAGUCUUGCCCCGAAGCAGAGUCCUGUUUGGAAUCCAACCCUGGGCGGGCGCCCAAGGGGGGUGGGCUGGCGCCCUGCCCCCGAGCCCGAAUCUCUUCUCGUUCGUUCCCGUGGCUUCUGGACCCUUCUAGAUUGAGGAAAAUUGCGCGGCACGUAAUUAUCUCGUUGUAAACAUGACAUGUGGGCCUUCUCUCCAUAAUUCCUGAUAAACCCCUGCAGAAAUAGAUAAACACCAAAACUCGUAGAAUUCUGUCAGAUAAAACGCUAAUUCUAGAUGUUUGUUUCAUAAUGAUCCUUUUUUAUGUUUAUUUGAUUAUUAAUUUUAGUACUUAAGGACCGUCAACAGUACACUAACCCAAUGAGAAACUAAAAGUGUAACAGGUGAAGUGGGUACUUUAUUAAUAGUAGCAUAUAAAAGUUGUAAAUCUCCUACUCUUACUUUCCUAAUAUCAUCACGAUAGAAAAGAUUGUACCCAAGCCAUUUGUGGAACAUCCUAAGAGUGGGGUGUUCCAUGUCACUGGUUCGGGCUUGACUAUAAAAAUUAUCUCUAGAUAUCUCUCUCCAGAACUGGUGUCUCUCAAAAUUGGGUAGGUUGGAGUCAAUGUUCAGGAUGCAUCUUGAAGAGAAACCAAGAUGGUCACUCAGUUCUCUCCAAGACAACAUAAUCUCCUGUUUGAACAUCCAAAAAACAAUUCGCCCCUCAUAAUAUUGUAGAGUGCAAAGAAAUUCGAGGGUGAGAAGACGAGAACCUAGCUCAGUUAUGUUCCAAAAAUUUGUCCAACCUAGCAUCUAGAAAAUUAAGUCAAAUUCAGUGUCCAUACCUGUUUCUCAUGGUAAGAUUGGAUCAAGAGUAGGGGUGUGAAUGAAAUCUUUGUUCUUUAGUUGCUGGCAGACUUCCUUUUCCCUUCGAAUCUUUAGUCCAAGGUCUCCUAUCUUGAGAAGGACCUUGACUUGCUAAUCAGAUGAAGAUGACGGAGCUUGUGUGGACGUUGGGUCGACGCUCAUCUCUGAUGGGUGUGAGGAGUGUCGGGAUGAACUCCUUGUACCAAUGUUUUUGAGAGCCUUCCCUGCGUUCUUCACCUUCUUGAACAUCCUGUAAACAAAAGUUGGCAAAAACACAACUAGUGGAAAAUGUGAGAGAAAAUGUUAGUGGUCAGCUGUCCGGAAUGUCAGUAGUCCAGGGGUUAGUCGUUCGUUUUUAUUUUGGCAAAACCUCCCCCUCAACAACUUUUACUUCCGCUUGGACAGCGGGAUCACUACUUACUAGGUGAAACUCACUCUCUCACUCAAAAACUACCAACUUCUUUCCCACUCUUCUCUUUCUCUCUACUCGCUUCUCUCUUCACUACAAAAGCUCCUUCUUUGAACUGAAACUUGUGUGGUUUUCUGGGAUGCUUGUGUGAAGAAGAUGGAGGUAGAAGGUGGCUAUUUAUAGGAGGAAGAGGGGGCAGGGCGGGCGCCCACGUUUCGUGCCCAUUCUGGCUGCCCUUUCUCCACUCUCUCCUUUGCUUAAUCUUUAAGCCAAAAAAUAAUUCAAUGGUGGUGGUUGGUCGGUGGAAAAGUGCUGGUUAGUGGAGAUAUGUUGGUGGAUCAAAUAAUGUGAUGGGAUGUAUGUGAGGUGUGGUGGAUGACAUGUGGGACCCAAAGAGUGUGGGUCAUGCUUCUAGAAGGUUUCUAUAGUCAAAUAUAAUGCAGGAAAAUCUAUGAGAAUUGAAACUUAUUUGAAAUGCUAAUGGAAAAUAUUUUUGUGCCUCCACGAUAAUUAAUAAAUAUGGGUUGUUACACACCAUGAAUAUUAUUUAUAUGGGGCUUUUUAUUGUUAUAAUAAUGCUAUGAGUAUAUAUGACUAAUGCAAGAAUUUAAGGUCCCCCAAGCUGGACCUCCGAUUUACCUCCCGGUGAGGGUUUGAGAUUUUUAGGUCCCCCAAGCUGGACCUCCGAAUCUUUUAAUCUUCUUGUUGGUGCAAAAGCGGAUCUACAAACACAAAGGGCUAAUACCCGAUUUAAACGUUAAGGCGUGCCAGCCGAUUUGACCUUACUAUCGGCAAAGGUGGUAACUCGAAUACUUUGGUCCCGACAACAGCGAUGCGCCCGGAUGCCACGGCCAAGAGGUAUUCACGCGGAACUUGAGAACAUGCCGAGCUUAAGUCGACGAAUUCCUAAGAACUCGUAGUAAAAGGAAAAAAGUAUGACGAAGUCAUCGAAAAAGUAGAUGCUAGAAUAUGAGUAAAAACUGAUGUUUGAUUGAUUGAUAGAUUGUUCUCAUUACAAAGCCCUAGGGUCUACACUUAUACCCUGCUCCAAGAACCACAACCAGACACGACUAGAAUUCGAAAUCCAAAUCUGGACAGAAGCUGUGUACAAAACGAUUUAAACAACUAAGGAAAACAAAAAACUUUCUUGCCGUAACAAGCUAGGACACCACCACGGACCACUUGGUAACCUCCAAGUCUUCCUUCUACGCCAUCGGCAGACCCCUCAUCGGUAACGAUCAAUACUGGCCAUCGGCAUGAGUACAUCACCACCUAUGAACUUAGCCACAUCCAGCUACCUCUUCAUCGGCAAUUACCCUUAUCGGCAACUCUUCCGCAGACUAGUCACAAAUGCCUUUUCCUUGCCGCUCCACACUCUACCGAUCCUGGGUACGUGCCCAAAAACGGUGUCAACACAUGCCCCCCAAUUUCGGAGUAUGGAAUCAUUAAUGCUCCAAAAUUUCUCUGCAGUAAUGAUGUCUUUCCGCAAUUAACUCUCCCAAUUUGGUAACCGACAACCUCAUCCUGCACAACCCUAGUUCGAUUCCCCCGCAGAUUCCUCAAAAUCCUCAACUUCCCAAACGGGCACCUCCACUUUAAUCGCCCAUCGGCAAUACUACCGUUAUAGGGACUUGCCGAUGGACUGACCAGGACGUCUAGUUCAGUAACGUAUCUUAUCCUCCCAAACGGCUAUCUCCACUUCAUUCGCCCAUCGGCAAUAUUACCGUUACAAAGCGCUGCCGAUGGACCGACCAGGAGAUCCCGCACAGUAAAAUAUCUCUAGAUAAUGACCGCUUCCUGUCAAAUCACCUGCACAGUCCCUUGAUUACCGUGCGAACAGUUACCAUAUCUACCUGAGUACCCUCGGAUUUCACGGAUACGGCGAAGAGAUAAGUCAGAUUUGCCUUUGCCCGUUUUGUCCUAUAAAUAGUUCCUUCUCGGGUACUCCUUCUCCAUCACAUCAUUCCACAACUCCAACUCCACUUUCUCGGCGGCGGCGCUGCUCGAAAGCUCCAAGAUCUCCAACAAAGCCCCUUCUUCACCAACUCUGAAGCCCUCGAUCAUCCUCUUCAUGAUGAGAUGGCCAUCAACUUCACCGUUCCUAGGUCAGUUCAUCACCCCAUCUCGUGUAUUUUCACCAUAUCCUGAUUCAUCUACAAUUCAUUUUACUGAACAUUCUUCCCUUUCUAUUUUUAUUCUUGUUCUUCCUUUUAUACCCAAAACCAUUAGGAUUUGUCCAACAAAAUUGUUAUCCCCACCGAUCAACCACAUCUUCAGUGUCUUGGUCCACUAGGGAACCCAGAUCCCACAGAUUUGAUUAAUGCAGAAACAAACAGGAUCCCUUUUAGAGCCGAGAACUUUUCCUUAGAUCUGUGGAAAGAUACCUUUCGCUCCUGGCCUAGUCCUACCGUGGGAUAGAAGGAUUGGUUUUUGAGAGUCAGCCACUCAAACGAAGUCCAGUGGGGUGAGAGAAAACUGGACCAAUGCAUCAGAUUGUCCAUCGCCGAUAUGCACAGGAACGAAUCACUAUUGAUAGCUGCAUCAUACUUCUGGUCAGACACCCUCAAUGCUUUUGUCUUUGGCCACGGCCUUGCUUCCCCUACUCUUGCCGAUGUAGUUAUGCUCACCGGCCUAGAUGUAUCCUCUACCGACAGCACCCACUUUUUUGACACUGCACCUAGUGCCAAAGUGGAAACUCGCGCCAUCGGCGGCUGGUCAGGGUACAUUCAGAAGUACUGUAGGAUGGGGCCCGUUAACAUAAAGGAACAAACCACCUUUCUAAACAUGUGGCUGGACAAGUUCGUAUUCUGUGGCCGAUCGGCAGGACCGACCUCUGUCUAUCUAUCGGCAGCAGAGAGAUUGGCUAACGGUGGCCGAUUCCCUCUCGGCCGAUACUGGUGCUGCCUACCAUCUUCUCCACUAGGUAGCUAAGAAACUCCUACUCGGCCAGUCCAUCGGCAACUUGGGGGGUCCCUGGUGGUUUAUAAACAUGUGGCUUAGCCUCCACAUGCACAAGCGCCUUGAGUUUGAUCUUUUCGCGCAGCGUUUCCCUAGAGAUAUAACCGAGGACCAUGAAUUGGAUGAAGAAGAAUCGGCAACACGCCCUCCCCUAAACUUUGGCGAGGCUGUUAUAGUUCUGCCCGGCAUAGGAGGCAAUGCAGACCAAAUUAGCCGAUUCUUCCAAACCCUGUAUGAGGGCCUAACCAGAGAGCAGCGGGCAUGGUUGCCUUAUGAUGAUCCAGAUACCAUGUUUCCUUUGGUCUUCCACCCGUUCAACGAUGCUCUUAACAAGGAUCAUGGAGUGAUGAUGGCAUUGAUUACCCCCAGAGUUGUACCAGUGAACUUCUUCGGCAGUGGGAAAACUUCUAACCAAACCUAUGAGUUUUACAACCCAUCGCCACUAGCUCGUCAAUUGGCUUUCGGCCAGCUGCCAAUUGCACUCUGUUAUGCCGAUGUGAUAAAACCUAGAGAAGUUAUCACCAAUCUCCUUGAAUGGAUUCGAGUAGCCCAACUAUCAUCAAGUGCCGAUACAGAUGCAGACUUGUCCGAGUGGGUUCUAGCUGCCUUCAUCACUCAGUCAUAUAAACAAUGGUGGGCAGAAUGGAAGGAGCAUCUGUUCUGCAGAUCGGCUCUUACGUACCGCGGCAUGAUCGAUCCCGAGUACGAAGUUCCCGAUAACACUGUAAGCAUCUUCGAACCGAUGUUUCAAUUCUCUCAAGUUUAUUUCCAUCAGUGAUUCACGUUUGUAUUAUUUUGCAAGUUAACAACACCCCUCUGUCGGUCAGCAGGAGUGGCAAGCCGAUUGACCUAUUCCUACCAGGUCCAAUCUCUUCAAUCGGCAACAACGCUCCCACCCUGGCCGCCAUCAUGUAUCGAGGUGUGUGCCUCAAGAAAGUUACCACCAAGAGGACUCAGAUAUAUCCAUCGGUAGCUGCCUCUACCUUGGCACAGGCGUUAAGGGUAUACCUUCAAUUUUUAUACCGAUCUCAUUCUUAUAUCUGUUACACUUGUACUCACGAGUCUUCGUUUCUGUAUCAGCACACCAGCGCAUCGGCAAGGACCAAAAGCAAAGGUGUCGAUGCCCCUCAGUCCAGUCAGCAGAAGAGAAAAGGUGCCAAGAGUACCAGAGCACAAACAAAGCGCCAGAGAGUGGCAACUCCCCCUCCUCCUCCGGUAUCUCCAAUUCCGGUGGAAUCUUCUCCUUCUCCUCCAGAAACACAGAUACAACAAGUGCCAUCUCCUCCUCAACCGCAAGAAGCACCACAAGUGGAAGAACCUCAACUAGAAGCACCCCAACCAGAAGACACAUCAGCCGAUGUAGGCGAGCAAACUAUCGAUCCGGCAGGCUCAAACAUAUCAUCGGUAGUUUCUUCAAUCCAGGCAAGCACUGUCCCCCCUCAAGGUAACAUAUUUUUAUGAGAUUAUUGCCGAUGAACCCAUCUCUUCUGUUUUACAAUUAUUUCUAUUAUUCUUUCAGCUGACAUAGUUCUAUCGGCAGUCUCAGCCGAUCAACCUGUGAUUCCAUUGGCAUCUUCCAGUCAAAGGCGAGAGAUCGCCUUGAAGCAAGUAAGCCAUCCAGUCUCCAUCAGUAUUACUUAUCAAUAUAUGAUCAUGGAAUGACUCACUUUAUUUCCUUUGCAGGAACAAGACUCUCCCGACAGUCUCUUCUCCUUUGCCAUUGACGUCUCUGAGGAUGAAGGUGAGGAAGCAAGCUCUUCCCGAGCAGUUGGGGUCACAUCGGCAGAGAUCAGGGCAAGGCUGGAAGAACUGUUGGCUCUCCUUUAUCAAGACAUAGCUCAACUAGUUGAUGACUCCGAUCUGGCCAAAACUAUAUUCAAAACCUUGAGAGGCCAAAUCCCUGCCGAUGCCGAAGAAAUCCUUUUCCAAGGAGCACAUCUUGAGAGUCGUCAACUGCAAUACCAAAGGGCUGCCCAGCGCCUUGCCGACAGAGCCGCUCAGACUCGGCUUUCUAAGGAGAUGAUGAAAGAAAAGCUCCUUACCAAUGAGAAACACAAGAACAUCGGCACCUUGAAGUCCUCGGGAGACGCUCUGAAGCAAAAGAUUUCUGACCUAUCGGCAAGAAGAGAAACUCUGUUGGCAGAACUCAAACAAGUAGAGGAUGCCUUUUCCCAAGCUCGACAAGAAGAAAGCCAACUGCUGGAGACAAUCAAGCUUCUUGAGCAAGAGUGAAACGUCCACGGUCGCAAAGCACUGCAACUGAAAAAGAAGCUGAAGCCGAUAGAAGGUUCUGCCGAUGACGAUUUGAAGGAGAUAGAGGAUGCCAACCAGAUCCGUCUGCGCGCCAUAUCGGCGAUCCAGGCACUGCUGAACCCAUGAGCUCCUCAUCGGCAAUACAUCCUCGCUCCUCUGCUUUCCAACUUUCCUGACAUUUAGUCUAGCCGAUAGGACUGUUAUCGGCAUCUUUUGAAUCAUUAAGUCCAGCCCUAGACACACUUUGAUCCAGCCGAUAGGAGUGUUAUCGGCAUUUAAACUUUUUAUGCAUCGACCCAUAUACUUGGGUAGUACUUCUUCAGAUAUUUGCCAUUUAAUGCUCUGGGAAGAGUUUCUAGAAUAUAGGCAUUACGAGGAGUCGAUCGACUUAUCCGAUAAGGACCUUCCCAAUUGGGAGACCACUUCCCAAAUUUCAAACUUUUAGUCCCGAUCGGUAAGAUCAAUUUCCAUACCAAGUCUCAAUCGGCAAACUCCUUAGCCUUCACUUUCUUAUCAUACCAUCUGGCAAUUCUCUUCUUAUUUUCUUCUAUACUUAUAAAAGCCUUUAGUCGAUGUCCUGCUAGAUCAUCUAACUCGUCUGUCAUCAAAGUAGCAUAAUCAUCGGCAGCCAAUUGAUCUUGAAAAGAUAGUCGCCUAGACCCAGCCUUAACUUCCUAAGGUAGCACUGCAUCAUGCCCAUACGCCAGUUGAUAAGGUGAAACUUUGGUCGAUCCAUGACAAUCCAUCCGGUAUGACCACAAAGCUUCAUUCAGCAACGUAUGCCACCUCCUAGGAUUUUCCUCAAUCUUUCGUUUGAUAAGUUUGAUAAUCCCUUUGUUAGAUGCCUCGGCCUGCCCAUUAGCUUGAGCAUAAUAAGGAGAAGAAUUCAAUACUUAAAUUCCCAUACCGAUUGCAAAUUCAUCAAACUCCCCUGAUGUGAACAUAGUACCCUGAUCGGUAGUAAUUGUCUGAGGAAUUCCAAAUCGGUGAAUGAUGUGUUCUUUCACAAAAUCAAUCAUAUUGGCCGACGUGACUUUAUUCAAAGGAAUAGCUUCAACCCAUUUGGUGAAAUAAUCGGUGGCAACUAAAAUAAACUUAUGACCUUUGCUAGACUGUGGAUAAAUCUGGCCGAUCAAAUCAAUAGCCCAUCCUCGGAAUGGCCAAGGCUUUAUAAUAGGAUUCAUAGCCGAUGCAGGUGCCCUUUGAAUAUUACCAAACUUUUGACAUCCUUGACACCCUUUGAAAUACUUAAAGAAAUCCUCAAGUAUAGUCGGCCAAUAAUAUCCAUUCCUCCUAAUCAUCCACUUCAUCUUAAAAGCCGACUGAUGCGCUCCACAUACCCCUUCAUGGAUUUCUCCUACCAAACUCUUAGCUUCAUCAUCACCUAAGCAUCGGAGAAGAAUCCUAUCAAUAGUUCGAUAAUACAAUUCAUCUUCGAGGAGUACAUACUUGGUGGCUUGAAACCGAACCCGUCUUUCAACUUUCUUAGAUGGAUCCCUUAAAUAAUCAAUGAUUUCUUUUCUCCAAUCAUCGGCACCGAUUGCCGAUAUUGCAUUAAUCAUAGGCUGAUACCCUGAGGCAUGCUGAGCCAACCGAUUGGCCUCUUCAUUAUGCAAUCGAGGAACAUGCUCUAAUCGGAAAUCUUUGAAUUCCUUCAACAGUUGCAUACUCCUUUCGUAAUAAGUUAUGAGAACUUCACUUCGGCAUUCAUAGCUUCCAGCCAAUUGAUUUAUAACUAGCAUAGAAUCCCCGAAGACUUCAACAGCAUCAGCAUGUACUUCUCUUAAUAACUCCAAUCCUUUUAUUAAAGCUUGAUACUCAGCCUGAUUAUUCGUCGACGUGGCAACAAUCGGUAAGGAAAACUCAUACUUUCUUCCCCGAGGGGAAAUUAAUACUAUGCCGAUUCCUGCCCCCCGGUCACACGUGGAUCCAUCAAAAAAGAGCAUCCAAGGUACAAUUUCCAAAGCCUCCACUGCACCACAAUGUUGAGUUACAAAGUCAGCCAUAAUCUGUCCCUUGACUACCUUGGCCGAUUCGUAACGGAUCGAAUUCCGACAGCGCCAAAAUCCAUUUACCGAUCCUGCCACUCAUGAUCGGCAUAAACAGCAUGUACCGGACCACAUCAUCCUUGCAAAUAAUAGUGCAUUUGGCCGAUAGCAAGUAGUGCCUUAACUUGAUACAAGAGAAAUACAAGCACAGGCACAAUUUCUCAAUGGCUGAAUACCUGGUCUCAGCAUCAAUCAACCUUCUUCUUAAGUAAUAAAUUACACGCUCUUUCCCUUCAAAUUCUUGAAUUAAAGCCGAACCGAUAACCAUCCCAUCGGUAGACAAAUAUAAUCUGAAGGGCUUCCCUUGCUGAGGUGGAAUCAGAACUGGAGGAUUUACUAAAUAAUUCUUAAUUUCAUCCAGAGCCAACUGUUGUUCCCUCCCCCAAACAAAUUAUUGAUCGGCCUUUAUCUUAACAAGAGGACUGAAAGCACGAAUUUUACCAGACAAAUUAGAUAUAAAUCUUCUGAUAAAAUUUACCUUGCCGAUCAAGGACUGGAGCUCAGUCUUGUUGGUAGGGGCGACUAUUUUGUUGAUGGCAUCAAUAGAUCUCCGACUAAUUUCAACCCCCCUUUGAUGUACCAUGAAACCAAGAAACUGUCCUGCCGAUACACCAAACGCACACUUAUUGAGAUUCAUUUUCAAACCAUGCUUCCUUGUGCAUUCCAACACCUUUCGUAAAUCGGCAAGAUGCUUUACGAAGUCUCCAGACUUAACCACCACAUCAUCAAUAUAAAUUUUCACCAGCUUGCCGAUGAACUCAUGAAAUAUAAAAUUCAUGGCCCUCUGAUAAGUAGCACCAGCAUUCUUCAAGCCAAAGGUCAUGACUAUCCAUUCAAACAACCCAACAUGACCAGGACAUCUAAAUCCAGUCUUUGGAAUAUCUUCUUCAGCCAUGAAUAUUUGAUUAUAUCCUGCAUUGCCAUCCAUAAAGCUAAUAAUCCGAUGCCCAGCCGCAGCGUCAACUAGCAUAUCGGCAACUGGCAUUGGGUAUCCAUCCAUCGGCGUAGCUUUGUUAAGAUUCCUGAAAUCAAUGCAAACCCGAAGCUUCCCGUUCUUCUUGUAGACCGGAACAACAUUGGAAAUCUACUCGGCAUACCGACACUGCCGAAUAAACUUGGCCUCAAUAAGUUUGGUUAUCUCGGCCUUAAUAUCAGGGAGAAUAUUAGGAUUACAUCGGCGAGUUGGCUGCUGAUGUGUCCGAAAUCCGGACUUGAUAGGCAACCGAUAUUCAACAAUCGAUCGGUCUAAGCCAGGCAUCUCAGUAUAAUCCCAAGCAAAGCAAUCUUUAUAUUCUUUUAACAAAUCGGUUAACUGUUGCUUACACUCGGAAUCUAACUUAGCACUAAUAAAAGUAGGUCUAGGCUUAUCACCACCACCUAUAUCUACUUCUACCAAAUCAUCGGCCAAUGUGAACCCCUGGCCUAACUUUCCAUCAUCGGCGAACCUAUCCAUUAAAAACCUUCAUCAGAACCGACUGCUUGGAUCGGUGGAAUUUCAUAAUCGGCAACCUUGAGAAACUCCUUUUCCCAAGCUUCUCCUGAAAUACACCUAGUCCUUUCAUAGGUGUCUGCCUCUGCCGAUGCGAUAACGUAUGAAGAAUCUCCCGGGACAAUUUCAAUCUCGUCACCUACCCACUGGACCAAGCACUGGUGCAUUGUAGACGGGAUGCAACAAUUGGCAUGAAUCCAAUCUCUUCCUAGCAACAGAUUGUAGGCACCUUUUCCAUUGAUCACGAAGAAGUUCGUCGGUAAGGUUUUGCUGCCGAUGGUUAAUUCUACGCAGAUAGCUCCUUUAACUGGGGACACAUUGCCAUCGAAGUCUUUGAGCAUCAUGUCGGUCUUGGUCAGGUCCUGAUCUCCUUUCCCAAGCUUCCGAUACACUGCAUACGGCAUGAUGUUGAUAGUAGCCCCACCGUCAAUUAAAAUCUUGGUCAUCGGCUGACCAUCAACCCUUCCUUUGACAAACAGAGCCUUAAGAUGUUGCCUUUCAUCAUCGGCAGGCUUCUCGAAGAUAGCUGUCAUCGGAUCCAGAGCCAACUGAGCUAUUUGAUCAGAGAACUCCAACUCAUCAUCACUGGAUGGCGCAAGGAACUCCAUCGGCAACAUAAAGACCAUGUUGACAUCUGCCGAUGGACCUUUCCCCUUAGGAUCUGGUUGUUGCUAAUCCCCAGAUUGUCCAGAGUUCUCCCCCUUGCUUAACUCUUCUCGCCUUUCACGCUGCAGUCUUCUUUUCUGUGUCCUGGUCAACCCUUCUGGACACCAUGGAGGAAGUUGCUGCCGUCUUACCGCCGGGCGACGAUUUUCCCUUAAUUCCACUUGACAAGUAUUGGCAUCCCUGCAAAAUAUGAACUCAUCGGGAACCCAUGCAUUAGCCAUCUCUUCAAGUUCUUCCUGGUUCUCGGGAAAAUACUCAACACGAUCUCCAAGCCUGUCGUGCACGCUGAGCCUGCCCCCUAGCCGAUCAUGAACGAAUGCUCUCCCCCUAAUCGGCCCAUUAAAUUGCCGAUCAUUAUCACGAUAGCGCCGAUCAGACCUGUCGUACCGGUCACAACCGUUGCACUCAGGACAAUCUCUGACAGUGGGAAGUUUGAUAUUCUCCUCCCAACAAUGAAUGAAGAACGGGCAAUUCUAGUGAUCCCUAUGCCGAUUCCACUCUUGUCGGCGUCUUUCUUCUUCCCGGCGAUAGUCCUCUUGCUGGCGCCGAUACCGAUCUUCACGUUGCUGCCAAGUCUCCCGAGCCCUUCUGUGAGUUAUCACAAUACCAGAUCGGGGAGGCCUCCCUGAGUUAGCUCCCUCCUGGACUAGGCCUUUUCUUUUUGCAUCGGUGGUAGUGAUUUGAUGCUGAGGAUCCACCGAUGCACUUCAUUCAGCUGCUUCCGACGUCAAGACCUUAGCCUUUUCCUUAGCAUCCAGCAUGUUUGUUGGGAAAGGAUAUUGAUCAAUCUUCAUCGGCUUCUGAGCUUUGGAGCUGUCAAAUUUGAUCCUCCCUGACUCUAUAGCUGAUUGCAGCUGUUGCCUAAACACUUUGCACUCAUUGGUGCUGUGAGAAGUUGCAUUGUGCCAUUUACAAUACUUCAUCUUCUUCAACUCCACAACCGAUGGGAUCACAUGAUUAGGUGAUAAUUUGAUCUGACCUUCCUGAAGUAAAAAGUCAAAUAUCCGAUCAGCCUUAGUGAUAUCAAACGCGAACUUCUCUCGCUCCUUAUGCCCAAAAGGGCAAGACAUCGGCUUCUUGUUUUUCACCCACUCUGCCAAGCCAAUGACCGGUUCUUCAUCAGAAUCUGAGCUUGCUGCUUCAUCAACAAAGGACACCUUCUUGUUCCAUGCUCUCUUGGGUUCAAAUAGCUUGAUAUCUUGAUCAGAAAUCCUCUGCACCAAAUGACUUAAGCUUUCAAACUCCUGAGACGCAUACUUGUCCCUGAUGUGUGGCAACAAACCCUGGAAAGCCAAAUCGGCUAGCUGCUGAUCAUCCAGAACCAGGCUAUAGCAUUUGUUCUUGACUUCCCGUAUCCUCUGCACAAAACCUUCAACCAAUUCAUCAUUGCGUUGCCUCAAUUUGACCAAAUCGGUGAUCUUCUUCUCAUGGACCCCAGAAAAUAAGUAUUUGUGGAAUUGUUUCUCCAAAUCGGCCCAAGUAAUCACUGAAUUGGGAGGUAAUGAUAUAAACCAGGUGAAAGCCGAUCCGGACAAUGAUGACGAGAAUAAGCGAACCCUUAACUCGUCCCUGUUACCCGCUUCCCCGCACUAGAUGAUGAACCUGUUGACGUGUUCCAUGGUUGACGUGUCGUCCUGCCCAGAAAACUUAGUAAAAUCCGGUACCUUGUACCGAUUUGGAAGCGGAAUCAAAUCAUAUGCGGGAGGAUACGGUGUCCAAUAAGAGUAAGUGUUGACUUUGGGUUUUAUCCCAAAUUGAUCUCUCAUUACUUCGGCAAUCUUAUCGACCCAAUAAGCAUCGGCAUCUUGCCGAUGAGGUGGUUGCAGAUCUGGCGCCUGCUAGUAAGCUUCCACGUGUCGGUGUGGUGUGCGAUCUGCAUGGAACACUGGAUUAAUAAUUUGUCCCCCAAUCUGCGGACCACUGAGCUGUUGUGCACUGAUCUGCUGUCCGCCGACUUGUUGGCCUCCCAGAUGUUAACCUCCUGACCAACGACCUGUUGGCCGUGAUUCAUCGGCUGAUUGACCGCCCCUUGGCUCUGGAAUCCGGGAUAGAUCUGGCUUUGCUGGAAUCCAGUAGCCUGAUGAUUUGGUUGGGGCGUUUGUGGAAAGACUUGCUGCCCAAGCCAUCCACUAUUAGCAUUCAUCGGCAUAGGUCCUGCCGAUGACUGGUAAUUGGGCAUCAUCAUUGAAUUGACAUACCCUGGCUGAGUCAUAAAUCUCUGUUGCAUCAGCAUUGAGUCUGCCGAUGCGUUAGGCAUCUGGAACGUCGGAGCUUGAGAAUUCCCACUAUAAGGUCUUGCAGUAGUAGUUGUAGUGUACUGGGGACUCUGGUUCAUCGGCAUACUUGGAGGUGCCGCUGCCAUAGAAGCCUUGCCUCUCAUAUCAGUCGCCUGAGAUGUACCAGAUGUCUUCAAGUAUUCCGAAGGCAUACCAAAACCCCAGAAGUUAGGAGGAGGAACUGGUCCUAACAUCACCGAUGCCAAUAGAUCUGUAGUGAGCCUGAUCUGCUCAUCUGAAGCCGGUGGAUUAGUUGUCAUCGGCGUAGAUUGUACAUUAGUGACUCCCAACGUGCUUGGAGGAACGGUAGUCUGUGUUCCCACAGUGGCUGUAGCAGCCGAUGGAGCUGUGACCACCGGUGACCCUGGCUGAUGAUGAGAGGGGCCCACAUAAUCUGGUGGCAAUUGUCUUUCCUUGAAAGUUCUAGCCAUGGUAUUGAAAACCGUAUUAGACAGCACACCAGCUUGGUUGAUCAAAGCACGGUUGAUAGCACUAUCAACCAUCUCUUGAAGUUUACCAGGAUUGGCUUCAAAAGUAACCUGCCGAGGCGUCGGCAGUGCAUCCUUCUGGAUCACUUCGCCGCUCCUGUUUAUGCUGAAGGACCUCAGGCAUUGCUGCUUGUAAUCCUCCAUGGCCUUAGCAAUAGCUUGCUUCUGCUCAUCCUUGAGAUUGGCUUCCGUCACGGGGAUGAUGUUCUCCUGAUCAAACUGAGAAGUCGACAUGUUGAUCUUGAUCUUGAAUCUGGUCCCACCAGGCGUGCCAAAAGAUGUGUUGGUGUAAAAGCGGAUCUGCAAACACAAAGGGCUAAUACCCAAUUUAAACGUUAAGGCGUGCCAGCCGAUUUGACCUUACUAUCGGCAAAGGUGGUAACUCGAAUACUUUGGUCCCGACAACAGCGAUGCGCCCGGAUGCCACGGCCAAGAGGUAUUCACGCGGAACUUGAGAACACGCCGAGCUUAAGUCGACGAAUUCCUAAGAACUCGUAGUAAAAAGAAAAAAGUAUGACAAAGUCAUCGAAAAAGUAGAUGCUAGAAUAUGAGUAAAAACUGGUGUUUGAUUGAUUGAUAGAUUGUUCUCAUUACAAAGCCCUAGGGUCUACAUUUAUACCCUGCUCCAAGAACCACAACCAGACAUGACUAGAAUUCGAAUUCCAAAUCUGGACAGAAUCCGUGUACAAAACGAUUUAAACAACUAAGGAAAACACAAAACUAUCUUGCAGUAACAAGCUAGGACACACCACGGACCACUUGGUAACCUCCAAGUCUUCCUUCUACGCCAUCGGCAGACCCCUCAUCGGCAACGAUCAAUACUCGCCAUCGGCAUGAGUACAUCACCACCUGUGAACUUAGCCACAUCUAGCUACCUCUUCAUCGGCAAUUACCCUUAUUUGUAACUCUUCCGCAGACUAGUCACAAAUGCCUUUUCCUUGCCGCUCCACACUCUACCGAUCCUGGGUACGUGCCCAAAAAUGGUGUCAACACUUCUGAAUUACCUUACUCUAGAGAUGGUGUCUCUAGUGGUUCUUCUUUAUGCACUUCCUUCACUGUAGGGUCUCUCUCUGUUCUGGGCUUGAAUGUGAAGUGUUCUUCUUUUCUGUUUAUGUUGAACUUGAUUUCUCCCUUCCCGACAUCAAUGUGGGCAUUGGCAGUGCUCAGAAAUGGCCUCCCAAGGAUGAUGGACACUUUUGAGUCAGGACUCAUGUCCAGUACUACGAAGUCUACUGGCACUAGGAAAUCUCUGAUCUUGACUGGAAUGUUUUCGGCGAUGCCCAACGGGUGUCGAACUGAUGCAUCCGCUAGUUGCAGGCACAUUGAUGUUGGUUCUAGGGUCGUAUGCUCAAGCUUUUUGUAGACUGAUGCUGGCAUUACACUGACACUUGCUCUGAAAUUAUUUUUGGUAGGAAGAGAGGAAGUUUCCUGAGAGUUCUCUAGUUGAUCUAAGAAUCAAGAAUUACUUCAAGAUUAUCUAUAUCGGGACAUCAGAGCACUAACCACAAAAAGAGAUGAGAAGGGGGCUAGGAAGGUCUGACUACGGUCCUACAAACACCAAUCCGAACGAGGUGGAAUACGUCGACCGUUAGGGCUGUCACUACCCUAAGGCUACCACAACAAUCCGCAGGAUUGGGUGCAAUUCCACGUAAUUGCUAGACUAAACACCACGUCUAAUCUAUUAAUUACUACUAUAAUGUUUCAAAGAUUAGAGCACUUGAUGCAAGCGGGAAUCCAAUAAAUAACUUGAAUGUAAAUAAAAGUAAUUAGAGAACUCAGGAAUUAUGAAUUGAAGAACUUGGAGAACGAUGAAGAACGAACUAGAUGCUGCAAAAGUAUAAUGUUGACGAAGAUCCGACAGAUCUGGCUCCUCCUCCGCUCUCCUCUUCUCUCCCUAUUUUCUAGAUUACAACUAGAACUAACUAGAACUAGAACUAGAGGAACUAGAACUAGAACUAGAUGAACUAGAACUAGAUCUAGAUGAACUAGAGGUAGAACUAGAAGAACUAGAGUGAUCCUCUCUACUUGGAUGAAGAAUUGAAACCCUAGCUUUGAUUCUAUAGAAGAGGUAUGAUUUCCAGGGGCCAGGGGGUCUGGUUUUAUAGUCCCUUCAAGUGAAUAUGGGCCGUUGGAUCAAACCGACAUUAAUCGCACGGUUUUCCUUGAUCCUUUAGGUCGGUGGAGUGUUGUCCCGAAAGAUAGUCCUGAUUGGGCACUGUAGCUGGGCGGGCGCCCAGGAGAGUUGGGCGGGCGCCCUGCCUCCGAGCCCGAUUUCCUUCCCGUUCGUUCCCGUGGCUUCUGGAGUCUUCCAGAUGAUAGAAAAUUGCGCGGCACGUUAAUAUCUCUAUGUAAACCCGACGUGUGGGCCUUUCUUCCGUAUUUCCUGAUAACCCCCUGCAGAAAUAGACAAACACCAAAACUCGUGGAAUUCUGUCAGAUAAAACCCUAAGUCUAGGUGUUGGUUGCAUUUGGAUCCUUUUCUAUGAUUAGUUGAUGGUUAAAUGUGAGCAUUAAGGACCGUCAACAUGCUCCCCAAGCUUAACCUUUGCUCGUCCCUAAGCAAAGAUGGACUCAAGAGUUUCUGCAGUGGUUUUAUGCCUUAAAAAUACACAUUCGUUCAAACAAGAUCUCAUCUCUGGGUUAGGGUAAACUGUUAAAAUUUAAACUUACUCAUUUUACCUUUCACCAUGGGGCUUGUAACCAUCACUUCUGUCUUGAGUAGUUAAAAAAUAGAACAGUCUAGUCAAGCAUCAUGUCUCUUGUUCUUCGAUUAACUAUAGCUUUGGGGUUUUUGCAGAUUUUGAAAUAAAACUCAGAGAUUCCUUGUAUGACUCUCUCUAGUCUCUCUUUUGUGGUAUUUCUGGAUCUUUACCAAGGUAGUAUUGGUAUAUGCCUUCUCUCAAAGUAUGUGGUAUUUGUGGUAUAAGGCAUAGUGGCAUUGCCUUCUCUCUCACCCUACUCUUAUAAGGUUUUGAUAUCUGGAGCUCAUAGGUGGGAGACAGCUAAUACAUACUUACAAGACAUUUAUUGCAUAGUCAAACCAUGGAUCCAGAAGAACAAGUCAAUAAGUCAAAUCAAGAUGUGCAUGUGUGGCGAAUGAAUGGUGUAAGGUGAUGAUGGUGAUAACAAUGGUGAAAGUCUAAUUCUACUUGUGCUCUUUUGAGGGGAUACAUACCUCUCUUGCUCUUUUAAAACUUUUUGACGAGAAUGAGAUGCUCUAUAUUUUCUCUCUCUUUUUUUUCUUUUCUCUCUGGUGGGUAUCUUGUACCCCUAAUUCUACAGUCGGACACUUGUCCAUUUUUACCUCUCGUCUCACUUCUUCUUUCUUUCGAGGUUCCGGGCACUUGCCCCUUUUUAUUUCCUCGCAUUCUUUCUUUUUUUCUUUCUUUUUUUAGAGCACUCAUCUCCUGAAAUAAUAUAGCAAGUGGUAGUAACCAAGAUAACUUGAGCAUUUUUUUCACAGGGAAAAACAGAAAUAGGAGAAUGUUUUUGGCUAUUCUCUCCCGGAUUAGGAGUAGAAUAUUUUUGGGUGGUUCUGGAGAUGGAAAUGGAUGGAUAUAUGUGGAUGGUACUUCUGGAGUAGAAGUAGCAUGUGUGAGUGAACGUGCAAGUGAAUCUUGAUUUAACCACAUGACAAGCUCCUAAGGGUCUACACAGCUUGACCACACUCAAUGCUCAUAAGCAGUAAAAAGUAAAUGUGUGGUUCAUAGUCUAGCAAGCAUGUAUAUAUGGCUGUGGUAGGAAUUUAAACUCUCAUCAUACAGGAACUCAUCAUGCAACAUUUUAAAGAUUUUCAAAGAUAAAAUUCUCCAGAAUUCUACCAUCUCUAGGAACAGAUAAACAGCAGCUCAACCUUCCCAUAUCAUAUCCGUUAACGACUUAGACUUUAGAUCAAGUACUCUCCCCACAAGUUCAGGUUUAGAGAAAAUCUUAAUUAAUAACAGUCAUGCCUAAACUUGAGAGAGAUUUCAAUUUUGAGAACUAGUCAUGGCAGAGCAACUAUUCAUCAUUUCCAUGUGAGAGCUUAUCAUGAGGGUUCAUAGCAGACUUUAUUUAUUUAUUUAUUUAGCAAACUAAGCAAAGAUAUAUAUAAGCACAAAAUCUUUAUUUGGGUUUCUAUGAUUAUGCAUCUUUUUAUUAUUAGAGUAAAGUAUAAACAUGAGUAGAAUACUUAGCUGGAUAAAUGGGGGUGCUCUCCCCCAAGCUGGAUUUUGACGUAGUUUCUUCUAAUGUAGCUAGCAAGUGGUGGAGGUGUAUUUGAAUGUCAGCAACACCCUAACAGCAAUUAGGAUGUCCUCCGUCUGCUAGUCUUCUUUGAUCCUUGAAUUCUGUGGAGCUCAAAUAGACAACAAAGCUUUGUGGAACUAGUUAAGUGUUAGCAUGAAUAUCUAGCCUUUAUCAUGUUGAGCCUCCUCAAUAAAUGUUACUCUCUUUAGUGGAAUCAUAAUUUUAUUUUUAUAGGACAGGAAUAUAUUUAUUUCAUUUUUAUGCCACCACAGUGAAUGUACUUAUGGGUUUUAUGCCAUGAGCAUACUCACAUGGGGCUUACUAUCUUCAACAUUUUUAUUUUCUUUUCAAGAUGAUAUAAACCUGAUUAACUAAGCAAACUAUUUUAAAAUAAUUGAAAGGAAAAGAUAACUACUAAGUUUACCUCUUGGCAAGGUGUUCGGUGUUUUUAAGUCCUCCGAAUGGGACUCUCCAUUUUCUUAGUCGUCCUAGGAUUCGCUGGAUGGCGUAGUCGGUGGUUCCGGCGGCGCCUCCUCUUCAUGUAUAACUAUCUUCUCUCUCCACACCUGACUCGGUGCUACGGUCUCCUCAGGACAGUUCUGAUCAAGCUAUAUGUCUUCAGACCUUACAACUUCUCCUUCAUAGUCUACCCAUCUGUCCUUGAUGAUUUGCCUCCUCUGGUUGCGGUUGCGUCGUCGUCUUCUUGUCCUGACCUGCUUAGAGUCUUCAACUAUAUAGUUAGGGUCAGUAAAACAGUGGCGUACCUUCUCUGAGGGGAAGUGCAUGUGGACUUCUCUGGUUCCAAUGUAUAUGAUUGCUUUAAUGGUGCUAAAGAACGGUCUUCCAAGGAUGAUGGGUGGAUCGUACUCGUCUUCUCCCAUGUCAAUAACCUUCAAUCUUUCAGAAUAUCUGAUCUGCCAUCUGGAGCUGAAUGUAUGUUGGUUGUAGGGACAUGGUUCCACGCAGGAGCUAAUAAGUGACUGCAGCUAUUAUGUUGACGUUAGAUCCGGUGUCAUAGAGUGUCUUCUGAAAAGAAUAUCCGUUGAUUGUGCACUCGAUGCUUGGGACACCAGGGUCGUCCUUCUUGAUCAAGAAAGGUGACUUGAGUUGACGAUCUUGACCUCCUUGAGCUGCAGUGACCAUCUUAGCUGACUCGGUACACAUUUGCUUGUUCUUGUUCCUCUUAUUGGUCCUCUUCCUUGGUUCAUGUCGGGAUUGAUCUGGGAUUUGUGUAGUCUUGUUUCUUGAAGGAAAACGUCUCCUUCUUCUCCUUGAUGUAGAAACUGAUCUUGGCAGCACUAGUGUAGAUGACAGCUCCCGAGGUGUUCAGGAAUGACCUCCCAAGGAUGAUGGGUGCCCCCUCAUCAGUAUCAGUCUCUAUCACCACGAAGUCUGCUGGAGCGUAUAAGGUACCAACUCGGACGUAGAGGUUCUUCAAUAUUCCCUUUGGGAAACUUAGUGUCUGAUCUGCAAGCUACAAACACAUGGUUGUUUCUAGGAAAGGAUGUGUAAAGAAUUUUUCAUAGAGUAUCCUGAGCAUAAUGUUGACGCUGGAGCCAAAGUUGCAGAGUGCUUCUGGGAAGUCCACCAUGCCGAUGGAGAUCGGGAUGACGGGGUGUCCUCGACUGUCUCUCUUGACCGGCAGAAGGUCAGUAAUUACUUCCACAACGGGGUUACUCCAGUAGUUACAUCCUCAAGCAUCUCAGGGCAGUGUUUGCAUGAGUGUCCAGUAUCUCCAAUGUGUUUGUGCUCAUAUAUCAAGGUUCUUCACUUGGUGGAGUUUGGGAGUUGUAAAACUCCUUCAUAUUUUGCUCGAAGUGUACCUACUCAUAGAGACAAGGCAGAGAUCAAGUGCAUGGGCCCUGUUGGAGGAAAACACCAACAGAACCAAAAGUGUAUUUGUUCUUCUCUAACCUCAAGCAUAGUGAGCAAGACAAAGUUAAUGGAUAAUAAAAUCAUGAGUGUAGUAUUUAACAUUUGUUAGAUUAGAUUAUUCAACCCUAUGGAAAGAUAAUCUAUCUAUACUUAUCUCUUUUUUUAUAUAUAUCUUCCAAAGAUUGUGUGUGCAACAUUUAGUGUGGGAUCACAAAGGUGAAAGGACUAAACAUAUUGAAUCGAUUGGGUUGGUUAAUCUAGAAUUGUAAAUCAUACAUGUUUGUCUCUUUUAUUCAUGUGAAUGCCAGAACCAAGGAGAAGCUUAUAGAAGUGAUAGUCAAGUACCUUAAGAUGUUACCUUACUUGAAGAGUGAUGGUACAGUAUCACCUUGUGGAAGCUUUCCUCUCUUAGCGGUUGUGCAUCGUGUUUGUGGCACCCUCCAUGGAUCAUCUCUUGUGAGCUAUGCCUUCCUUGUGUAAAUUGUUAAACUUCAUGUGCCUCUCUCUUUAUCUCCAAUGUGAGUUUAUCUCAAGACUUCCCAGGUCGAUAUUGAAUGUUUUCCUGCAGGGGUUAGUCCAACAAAAUAUCCAAUAUCUACUAUAGCAUACUAUCGGUUCAAAGAUCAACCUAGACACCAUGUCUAAUUUGAUUUAGGAGGGCAUUUCAACCUAAGCACCAUGCUUAAUUUAAACUCCCUUGGAAGUAAGAUCAUCAUUCCUAAACUAAGCACCAUGCUUAAUUAAGAGAUAAAUGAAACUACUCCAAGCCUAGACAUAUACUAAAGCAAAUAAAGGUGGUAUGAGAGCAUUUAUAGAGAUCUACUCAAGUGGAGAUGAAGUAGUGUGAUUAGUAUUUAACAAAUUGAGCAUGUCUCAAAGGUAGGGACAACCAACAUAGCAACAUGGCAAAGGAUGUUUUUUGUAAGGUACUCCCCCAAGCUUGAAUAUUUCAAAAUUCAAGUUUGAAUGAAUUUAAUUCAAUGUUGUAUGAUGAUUGGUUGGACAUACCUUGUGCUUGUAAUUCAUCCGAUCUUCUUGCUCCAAUCCUGGAAAGGUUAGUGACCAGAAUACCCGAAGGGAUAUUUUUACAAUUAUCCUUAUAUGCUCAACACACAAGGUAAUUAAAAGCUCAUGUCACGAUCUGAUCAGUGCUUAUCUUAGGACACUAAGCUUGUCCUUGGGAAACCAUCAAUUUAUGUCGGCGAAGUGGUUUCCCCUCCAACGCUGACCUAUAUCAAGAUAACUCAACGAGAUCUGCAAAAUUUAUUAUAGACAUAUGCAUCGACAACCACCCUUUUAAUGUUUUAUAAAUAGGAAGGAAGUGGGGUUUGGAGAUCUCGAAUGUGGUGAUGUUGGAGAGACCAAUGCAUUGUGAAGAUGUUGCAUAUGAGCAUGGAGUAAAUGAAGUGGCUAUGAAAUAAAUUCCAUGCUCAUUAAUGCUUAGAGUGAAAUCCAUGUGGUGUGGUGAAAAUGAUAAGGUGAGUGUGGUAUAAAAGGAAAAGAAAAAGGAUACACGGAUGGCUUGGUUCGAAACUAGCACAGCUACCGUUCCCCGGCAACGGCACCAGAAAGCUUGUUGGGUAUUUUAAACGCAAACAGAAAAAUCCGCAAACGCACGGAUACCGAUGUAGCUUUCACCCGGGAGUAUUCCAGAGUAUCGAUUUUCCACAGAGAACGUGAGUGUACUAAUUAAGAUCCAAAAUCGCCCAAGGAUAACUAUAUAAUUAUUUUUGGUGGGAAGAGAGGAAGUUUCCUGAGAGUUCUCUAGUUGAUCUAAGAAUCAAGAAUUACUUCAAGAUUAUCUAUAUCAGGACAUCAGAGAACUAACCACAGAAAGAGAUGAGAAGGGGGCUAGGAAGGUCUGACUACGGUCCUACAAACACCGAUCCGAACGUGGUGGAAUACGUCGACCGUUAGGGCUGUCACUACCCUAGGGCUACCACAACACAGAUCCGGCUCCUCCUCCGCUCUCCUCUUCUCUCUCCCUAUUUUCUAGAUUACAACUAGAACUAACUAGAACUAGAACUAGAGGAACUAGAACUAGAAGAACUAGAGGGAUCCUCUCUACUUGGAUGAAGAAUUGAAACCCUAACUUUGAUUCUGUAGAAGAGGUAUGAUCUCCAGGGGCCAGGGGGUCUGGUUUUAUAGUCCCUUCAAGUGAAUCUGGGCCGUCGGAUCAAACCAACAUUGAUCGUGUGGUUUUCCUUGAAGUAUUAGGUCGGUGGAGCAUUGUCCCCGAAUUGGACUCUGUUUGGUCCAGGGGGGAGGGCGGGCGCCCAGUAAGGGAGGGCGGGCGCCCAGUGCCCGGCUCCGUUACAUCUCCCGUUCGUUCCCGUGGCUUCUGGAGUCUUCUAGAUGGUAGAAAAUUGCGCGGCACGUUAAUAUCUCUAUGUAAACCCGACGUGUGGGCCUUUCUUCCUUAUUUCCUGAUAACCCCCUGCAGAAAUAGACAAACACCAAAACUCGUGGAAUUCUGUCAGAUAAAACCCUAAGUCUAGGUGUUGGUUCCAUUUAGAUCCUUUUCCAUGAUUAGUUGAUGGUUAAAUGUGAGCAUUAAGGACCGUCAACAUACACAUAGUUCUUUCAUAGGUGUCUGCCUCUGCCGAUGCAAUAACAUAGGAAGAAUCUCCCGGGACAAUCUCAAUCUUGUCACCUACCCACUGGACCAAGCACUGGUGCAUUGUAAACGGGAUGCAACAAUUGGCAUCCAAUCUCUUCCUAACAGUAAGUUAUAAGCACCCUUUCCACUCAUCACGAAGAAGGUUGUCGGCAAGGUUUUGCUGCCGAUGGUCAACUCAACACAUAUUGCCCCCUUAACCGGAGACACAUUCCCUUCAAAGUCUUUAAGCAUCAUAUCGGUCUUGGUCAAAUCCUGAUCUCCUUUUCCAAGUUUCCGAUAAACUACAUAUGGCAUGAUGUUGAUAGCAGCCCCACUAUCAAUUAAAAUCUUGGUCAUCGGCUGACCAUCAACCCUUCCUUUGACAAACAGAGCCUUAAGAUGUUGCCUUUCAUCAUCGGCAGGCUUUUCGAAGAUGGCCAUCAUCGGAUCUAGAGCCAACUGAGCUAUCUGGUCGGAAAACUCCAACUCAUCAUCACUGGAUGGUGCAAGGAACUCCAUCGGCAACAAAAAUACCAUGUUGACAUCUGCCGAUGGACCUUUCCCCUUAGGAUCUGAUUGUUGCUGAUCCCCAGACUGUCCAGAGUUCUCGCCCUUGCUUAGCUCUUCUCGCCUUUCACGCUGCAGUCUUCUCUUCUGUGUCCUGGUCAACCCCUCUGGACACCAUGGAGGAAGUUGCUGCUGCCUUACCGAUGGGCAACGAUUUUCCCUUGACUCCAUCCGAUAAGUAUUGGCAUCCCUGCAAAAUAUGAACUCGUCGGGAACCCGAGCAUUAGCCAUCUCUUCAAGUUCUUCCUGGUUCCUGGGAAAAUAUCCAACACGAUCGCCGAGCCUAUCGUGCACACUGAGCCUACCCCCCAGCCGAUUGUGAACGGACGCUCUCCCCCUAAUCGGCCCAUUAAAUCGCCGAUCGUCAUCGUGAUAGCGCCGAUCAGAUCUGUCAUACCGAUCAUAACCAUUGCACUCAGGACAAUCUCUGACAGUAGGAAGCUUGAUAUUUUCCUCCCAACAAUGGAUGAAGAAUGGACAAUUCCAGUGAUCCCUAUGCCGAUUCCACUCCUGUCGGCGUCUUUCUUCUUCCUGACGAUAGUCCUCUUGCUGGCGCCGAUACCGAUCCUCACGUUGCUCCCAAGUCUCCCGAGACCUUCUGUGAGUUAUCACAAUACCAGAUCAGGGAGGCCUUCCUGAGUUAGUUCCCUCCUAGAUCAGGCCUUUUCCUUUCACAUCGGCAGUAGUGAUCUGAUGCUGAGGAUCCACCGAUGCACUUCUUUCAGCUGCUUCCGAUGUUAAGACCUUGGCCUUUCCCUUAGCAUCCAGCAUGUUUGUUGGGAAAGGAUGUUGAUCAAUAUUCAUAGACUUCUGAGCCUUGGAGCUAUCAAAUUUGAUCCUUCCAGAUUCUAUAGCCGAUUGCAGCUGCUGUCUGAAGACUUUACAUUCAUUGGUGCUGUGAGAGGUUAAAUUGUGCCAUUUACAGUACUUCAUCUUUUUUAAUUCUUCAGCCGAUGGGAUCACAUGAUUGGGUGACAAUUUAAUCUGACCCUCCUGAAGUAGAAAGUCAAAUAUCCUAUCGGCCUUAGUGAUGUCGAAUGCGAACUUCUCUGGCUCUUUAUGCCCAAAAGGGCAAGACAUCGGCUUCUUGUUUUUCACCCAUUCUGCCAAGCCGAUGACUGGUUCUUCAUCAGAGUCCGAGCUUGCCGCUUCAUCUACAAAUGAUACCUUUUUAUUCCAUGCUCUCUUGGGUUCAAAAGGCUUGAUAUCUUGAUCAGAAAUUCUCUGCACCAAAUGACUUAAGCUUUCAAAGUCUUGAGAUGCAUACUUGUCCCUGAUGUGUGGCAACAAACCCUAGAAAGCCAAAUCGGCUAACUGCCGAUCAUCCAGAACCAGGCUAUAGCACUUGUCCUUGACCUCCCGCAAUCUCUGUACAAAGCUCUCAACCGAUUCAUCAUUGCGUUGCUUCAACCUGACCAAAUCAGUGAUCUUCUUCUCGUGGACUCCGGAGAAGAAGUAUUUGUGAAACUGCUUUUCUAGAUCGGCCCAAGUAAUUACUGAAUUAGGAGGUAAUGAUAUAAACCAGGUGAUUGCCGAUCCAGACAAUGAUGACGAGAACAACCGAAUCCUUAACUCGUCCCGGUUAGCAGCUUCUCCACAUUGGAUGAUGAACCUGUUGACAUGCUCCAUAGUCGACGUAUCAUCCUACCCAGAAAACUUAGUAAAAUCCGGUACUUUGUACCGAUUUGGAAGCGGGAUUAAAUCAUAUGCAGGAGGAUACGGUGUCCGAUAAGAGUAAGUGUUGAAUUUGGGUUUUAUCCCAAAUUGGUCUCUCAUUACUUCAGCAAUCUUAUCGGCCCAAUAAGCAUCGGCAUCUUGCCGAUGAGGCGGUUGCGGAUCUGGCACCUGCUGGUAAGCUUCCACGUGUCUGUGCGGUGCACGAUCUGCAUGGAACAUCGGAUUGAUUAUUUGGCCACCAACCUGCUGACCACCGAGCUGCUGGCCACCGAGAUGUUGACCACUAAAUUGCUGACCAGCGAUCUGCUGGCCGAGAUUCAUCGGCUGAUUGACUGCCCCUUGGUUCUGGAAUCCAGGGUAGAUCUGGCUUUGCUGAAACCCUGUAGCCUGGUGAUUCUGUUGGGACAUUUGUGGAAAAACUGGCUGCUCAGGCCAUCCACUAUUAGCGUUCAUUGGCAUAGGGCCUACCGAUGACUUGUAAUUGGGCAUGAUCAUUGAAUUGACAUACCCGGGCUGAGUCAUAAACCUCUGUUGCAUCAGCAUUGAAUCUGCCGAUGCAUUAGGCAUCUGGAACGUUGGAGCUUGAGAAUUCCCAGUGUAAGGCCUUGCAGUAGUAGUUGUAGUAUACUGGGGACUCUGAUUCAUCGGCAUAUUUGGAGGUGCCGAUGCCAUAGGAGCCUUGCCUCUCAUAUCAGCCGCCUGAGAUAUGCUAGGUGUCUUCAACGAGUAUUCCGGAGGCAUACCAAAACCCCACCAAUUAGGAGGAAUGGAUCCUGACAUUGCCGAUGCCAACAGAUCUGUAGCAAGCUUAAUCUACACAUCUGAAGUCGAUGGAUUGGUCGUCAUCGGCGUAGAUUGUGCAUUAGUGACUCCCAACGUGCUUGGAGGAACGGUAGUUUGUGUACCCGCAACGGCUGUAGCAGCCGAUGGAGCCGUGACCACCGGUGACCCUGGCUGAUGAUGAGAGGGGCCCACAUAAUCUGGUGGCAAUUGUCCAUCUUUGAAAGUUCUAGCCACGGCAUUGAAAACCGUAUUGGACAGCACACCAGCUUGAUUGAUCAAAGCACGGUUAAUAGCACUAUCAACCAUGUCUUGAAGUUUACUAGGAUUGGCUUCGAAAGUAACAUGCCGAGGCAUCGGCAGUGCUUCCUUCUGGAUCACCUCGCCGCUCCUGUUUAUGCUGAAGGACCUUAGGCAUUGCUGCUUGUAAUCCUCCAUGGCUUUAGCAAUAGCUUGCUUCUGCUCAUCCUUGAGAUUGGCUUCCGUCACGGGGAUGACAUUCUCCUGAUCAAACUCAGUAGUCGACAUGUUGAUCUUGAUCUUGAAUCUGGUCCCACUGGGCAUGCCAAAAGAUGUGUUGGUGCAAAAGCUGAUCUGCAAACACAAAGGGCUAAUACCCGAUUUAAACGUUAAGGCGUGCCAGCCGAUUUUACCUUACUAUCGGCAAAGGUGAUAACUCGAAUACUUUGGUCCUGACAACAGCGAUGCGCCCGGAUGCCACGGCCAAGAGGUAUUCACGCGGAACUUGAGAAUACGUCGAGCUUACGUCGACGAACUCCUAAGAACUCGUAAUGAAGAAGAAAAUAUGACGAAGUCGUCGAAAAAAGUAGAUGCUGGAAUAUGAGUAAAAACUUGUAAUUGAUUGAUUGAUUGAUUCCACUAUUACAAGGCCUUAGGGUCCACAUUUAUACCCUGCUCAAAGAGCUACAACCAGACACGACUAGAACUCGAAUUCCAAAUUUAAACAGAACCCGUGUACAAAACGAUUCAAAUAACUAAGGAAAACAUAAAACUAUCCUUCCGUGAUAAACUGGGACACUACCACGGACCAAUCGGCAAUCUUCGAAUCUUCCUUCCACAUCAUCGGCAGACUCCCCAUCGGCAACGGUUAAUACUGACCAUCGGCAUAAACACAUCUCCACCCACGGACUUAGCCAUAUUCAGUUGUCUUCUAAUCGGCAACCGCCUUCAUCGGCAACUCUUCUGCAGACCAGUAACCAUCAUCCUGUCUUGCCGAUCCACAUUCUACCGAUCCGGGAUACGUGUCCAAAAACGGUGUCAACACCUCAUCGACAAAUGAUACCUUCUUAUUCUAGGCUUUCCUAGGUGCAAAAGCUUUGAUAUCCUGAUCAGAAAUUCUAUGCACCAAAUGACUUAGACUUUCAAACUCUUGAGACGCAUACUUGUCUUUAAUAUGUAGGAACAAUCCCUGGAAAGCCAAAUCAGCUAGCUGCCAAUCAUCUAGAACCAGACUAUAGCAUUUAUUCUUGACAUCUCGCAACCGUUGCACAAACCUUUCAACCGAUUCAUCAUUACGCUGCCUCAGCCUGACUAAAUCGUUGAUCUUCUUCUCAUAAACUCCAGAAAAGAAGUAUUUGUGGAACUGCUUCUCUAGAUCGGCCCAAGUAAUCACUGAGUUCGGAGGUAAUGAAAUAAACCAAGUGAAGGCUGAUCCAGAUAAAUAUGACUAGAAUAGACGAACCCUUAACUCAUCUCUGUUAGCAGCUUCCCCACACUGGAUGAUGAACCUGUUAACAUGCUCCAUGGUUGACGUGUCAUCCUAUGCAGAGAAUUUGGUGAAAUCUAGCACCUUGUACCGAUUUGGAAGUAGAAUUAAGUAAUAUGCAGGAGGAUAUGGUGUCCGAUAAGAGUAAGUGUUGACUUUGGGUUUUAUCCCAAAUUGAUCUCUCAUCACCUCAGCUAUCUUAUCGGCCCAAUAGGCAUUGGCAUCUUGCCGAUGGGCUGGUUGUGGAUCUGGCACCUGCUGAUAAGCUUCUACAUGUCUCUGCGGUGCUCGAUCUCCAGGGAACAUAGCAUUAGCCACCGCCUGUUGACCACCAACUUGCUGAGCAAGAUUCAUCGGCUGAUUGACCAAUCCUUGAUUCUGAAAGCCAGGUUGCACUGGUCCCUGUUGAAAUCCCAUAGCCUGAUGAUUCUGCUGAGGCAUUUGUGGAAAGACAAACUGCCCUGUCCAUCCAUUGUUAAUAUUCAUCUGCGUAGGCCCUACCGAUGGUUGAUAAUUGGGCAUCAUCAUUGAAUUGACAUAGCUCGGCUUUGUCAUAAACCUUUGAUGUGUCGGCAGUGGAUUUGUCGAUGUGCUCGGCGUCUGGAAUGUUGGUAUCUGAGAAUUCCCAGUAAAAGGCCUUGCAGUAGUAGUUGUAGAAUACUGGGGAUUCUAAGUCAUCGGCGAUACUGGAGGUGCCGAUGUCAUAGGAGCCUUGCCUGUCAUGUCAGCCACUUGAGAUGUCCCAGAACUAUUUGCCAUAAAGUCUGGGGGCAUACCAUAUCCCCACCAAUUGGGAGGAACUUGACAAUUCUGAAACACAGACCCUAACAUUGUCGAUGCUAAUAGAUCUGUAGCAAGUUGAACUUGUCCCUCUGUUGUUGUUGGGUUAGUCCUCAUCGGUGUAGACUGCCCAUUAGUUAUUCCUAAUGUGCUUGGAGGAGAAGUAACUUCCAUACCCGCAACGGCAGGAGUAGCCGAUGGAGCCGUAACCGAUGAUGACCCAGGCUGAUGAUAGGCUGGGCCCACAUAAGCUGGUGGUACUUGUCCUUCUUUGUAAGUUCUAGCCACAGCAUUGAAAACUGUAUUGUGUUGGGCAUUCUUAACGUCACUACCAAAAGUAGACUUAGUUUUCUAAUUCUGAUAACGGCGCCAAAAAUGCCAAACCUAUCCCUCAUGCCACUUAAGCCAAGUUGUCAUCCCCAGCAUGACAUGAGAGACGCGGUAUUGAACUAUGUAAUUGCUCUUCUGAAUGAAUAAUAAAUAAGAUGUGCAAGCGCACAGAUUAAUACCGAUGUAGCAUUUUAACCGGGAAGUAUUCUAGGUAUCGUUAUUUAUAUUUUUACCACUAGGAAGGGAUUGCUAAACAUCAAUGUUGAUUAUGGAAUGAAAUAUAGAAUUGAGUAUCUAUCAUUGCAUGUAUAAUUGAGAGUAUUUAUCUAUCUCUUUCAUAUAGGAAUAAAAGUCACAUAAAAGAUAGAUAAAGUAUGAAUGGUGACAAAGAUAAUUAAUCUGAUCAGCAUAACUUAGCCACAUAUAAUAAUGAUAAGAACCACAACAGAUAUUCUAGCAAGUCAUUAGCAUGGAAUUAGGAUGAACUACAAGAAUAUUUCCUAAGUUAUUCUUAACUAUAAAGUCUAGCAUAUCAUAGUUAGUGCAAUUAUACUUGGCAAUCAUUGCGAGACAGGACUACGCCCAUGCAUAGUGAUAUUAUCAAGGAAGAUGAGAAACAUAGCAAUCACUCCCCUGUAACAAUGUUGCUCUGCUAGCCCUAUACACAAGAGGGGGACUAUAUAAGAAUCAAUGGAGCUGUCACUACGACGAACUACCCCGCGAUCCGGCAUAUAGGGUACAAUCGCAGAUAAAUACAGUAUAGGCACCAUGCCUACACAAUACUUAUCAUUUACCCACUGUACACAUGGAUAAACGAUAUAUGAUCCUAAAUAUGUAUAUAAUUCCAAUCUAACUAAGCCAAGCAUAUAACUAUGAUAGACAAAGAACAAUAUAAUUGCAAAUAUAAACAAGUAGAGCAAAGUCAUGAUCAAUAUAUUGAAGUAGAACAAAGUCAUAUUCAUAAUAUUGAAGAACAAAGAUGAACAAUUGAAGAACAAUAGAGGAAUUACCAAGAAUCCUCUUGACAGAUCCGGAAACCAAUCGAAGUUUGACUCCUUCUAGUUCUAAUCCUAUGUACCUAUGCUAAACUAGAGAUCUAUUGAUGUGGUGGCUCUAGGGCCUGAUCAGAGGCUUCUUCUCCUGAGAUGGAUAAAUGAACUAGGGUUUCAGGGCUCUCUCCUCCAGGGGCUAGGGGGUAUGCUUAUAUAGUCCUUCAAAAUGAAUGUCGGCCAUCAGAUCAAACCAAUAUUAAUCGCAUGGUUUUCCUUGAUCCUUUAGGUCGGUGGAGCAUGAUCCGCGAGCUGGAAGCUGAUCGGUCCUUAGACCAGGUGGGUGUAACAGAACCGUCCAAUUUAUAAGAAUUCAAGUGAAUUAGCAACCACUGAGGCAGUCAAGCCAAUGGACUUGAACCCAUAUAAACCCGGUAGUCCGACGAAAUCUCAAAAGACUUCGAUUCAACCAACAUACAACCAAGAUCGUACAUGAUCAAGCAUCACCAUCACAGAUUACAACAUUCAACACAGAACAUAGUUUUACAUCACAUCAGAGUUGGAAAGAGGUUAUUACAACCCAUAGCAGUAGCGGAAACAAAGUAGUUUUGAUACAACUUCAACUCAGUUCAUAAUACAUGCCAGUUCCAUGGUCAAGUCGCAGCAAAAGCACAACUGAAGAUACAGGAGGUGAUCACGCCCAUGAUCUACUCAUCAUCCGCAGCUGGGUGAUGACAGUUAGCACAAUAGCCGUGAUAGACGACAUCAUCUGCAACAGGGGUAAAUAAAACCAUGAGUACGAGAAUGUACUCAGCUAGACUUACCCGUCAUAAACCAGAAAUAAAGUGACACCAAGGAGUAUGCAAGGCUGAUCUUAGUGGACUGGGUUGACUCACUUUUUGCAUAAAAGCGUUUGUUGUAAGUAAUCCAUUUAUUCAUAUUUCAGCAGCAAGUUCAUUACUUAGCAACUAUCCACUAGAUUAGCACCUGUUCUAAGCAUACACUUGGGUAAUUAAGCAUAUCAAUAGUAACCAUAUCAAGAUUAUCACUUUGCUAUCAACAUUCUCAUCAUAACCAUCAAGUUUAUUUAGUGAAUUCUACGUUGCCGCUGCCCAAGUCAAGUUCUCACUAUCCGGGAGAGACGGCGAUUCGAAUCGAUUCCUAUCCAGCUGGAGGGGUAUUCCUAACACUCACCCAAGCAUACUUCAUGACGGCAGCUCGGAUCACCUUUAGCACAACUCCGGACCAAUUCGCGGGUCCGUACGGCGCCGCACCCCCAGGGACCGUCAAUCUGCCAGGGUCAGGACUCUAACCUGACACCUCGGUCUUACGCCAUUGACUCCCCGCACAUCCUUACUACCAACCGGGGUGCGCACUUGAACCGAACGGGGUAUCCGGCUGGAGAUGCACUCGUAGGCUUCGCGAUCGGAACGACUUAUCCGGCCAACUAAGUGAUAGGCAUGCGUUCAACAUGACACGGGGACGUACAACGAUUCGGUCCUUAAACGACACAGACGGGGAUAGAUUCACACCCAAGACCACCAUGCCUUGUUGCUGCACUAUCGUCAUCCCGCCCGGUCUGAAGUUCAUUUUAGCACUUGGUUAUCUCCACGAUAGCAAAUAUAGCCAACCGUGAUCAUCAUCCACCCAACUCUCUCAGGUGACAGGAAAUCACCCGACUUCUACCGAGCUAAGCAUGGCUAAGCAUCACUUCGAUCCUGGACCUACUUUGGUAAUGUUUAAGGUGGGCAAGGUAGUCAUUAUACAGCAAGGGUGUCAUAUCAACGCCUACCACUUAAUGCAACAAUAUAUAACCAUAGUCAUUUGAUAGCUGAUUAUGAUAAUAAAAUAGUAGGAGACUUAUAAUGCUCCGGGGCUUGCCUUCAACGUAAGUAGAGGGACGAUGGUCAGGACACUCCGGCAAGUCCUCUUCCUCAACUCCUUGAGGUAGCUCCCCUUGCUGUCCUUCCGGCUCCGGCAACUCGUACUCCAGUACCGUCACACCCUUGGGUACACCUAUGGAUGCAUGACAAGGAGAUGAAUAUAGAGAAUGCAUAAAUGAUGCAUGAUACCAUGAUGAGGAGCCAAAUAGACAUAAAACAAGGUAUAACAUGAGUGUAACCUUCUAAGAAUAAGUGAAUCAUGGAAUACAAGUAAGUGCAUACUUCUUCUCUGGUAGAGAGGCUAAAUAGACAAGUUAAGCAACUUCUAGCUACUCCUACUCAGCCACUGGUUUAGUAGACAAACCAACCAGUCACAAGUUUCAGCCAUAACUCAAGCAUCUGUUAACCAAACUAAGCAAGUAAGCACUUUCUGGAAAGCUUAGCAAAUUGUCUAAAAUUUACUUUUAGACAUCCCAGCAUGAUUCCCAAUAGAAAUAUGCUAAAACAUACAAAGUUGUCUGGCUGCUCUAGAAAUUCCAGAGAGCAAGCACUUUGCAGCAACUACUUGCAACAUGCAUAACUUCUAAACUACUCAACCAAAUGUCAUGAAAUUUGGACACGAAGUAGAUUGGUAAGUUAGCUAAAAGUUUGUUAUAGACAAGUUUCCCAGCAAACAUAAUCCUCAAGUAGUUCUUAAUCAUUUGCUAUCAGCUGUACAGAAAUGCUCUAGGAAAGGCAUAAAUAGCCAAAAAUAAUAUUUUGCACAUAUUGAGAAUGUAUCACAGGGAUAAACCAAUUGCACCAACAGAUGUAACAUAUCUAAGGAACACCAGAAAACAUCAUGGCAAGGUCUAAAACUAUUUCUAUCAUCACCUUUUCCAUUUAUUUAAUUAUUAAGGUGAUUUAAUGAACAUAUACUCUAAUUGUUCCAAAAAUCCUAAGAAAUUACAGCAAGCUAUUUAUGCUAACCUAAGAUUACUGUAAAAUUUUCAGACUAUUUGCAUGUACACAUUGUGAGGUAUGAAAAUCACAAGCUAGUAAAGGCAUGCAAGGCAUAAAUGUAAAACCCUAUCAAAAAGUGUCAAACAACAGAUUUCAGAUUUUUCCUUGCUUUGUCUACUCAUAAGUACAACACUCAGCAAGUUUCACCAUAAAAGGGGUUAUACUUUAAUUAGCAAAAAUACCACAAGAUUCUCCUAUUUAAGCAAGGAUUAAUUUUAACUUCUUAACCAGGCUUCCAAAAAUCAUGAAAAAUUUAUCAGAGCCUAUCCAUAACAAAAGUAACAACUCCCUAAAUUUGCAUGGCCAGCAGAUCAAUAGAUCUCAAGAUAAAAUUACCCACUAAAAAACCAAGAUUAAUUUAUAUCUAUUUAUUUCUGCAAAAACAUGGCAUGUUUCAUAUUUUUAUUAAAAACUAGACUUAUGCUGGAACCUAACAAAAUUGGAAGCACCACAUUUGAAUCUCUAAAACUCCAGAUAUGAAUUUUACAAAAUCAGCUUUGGCUCUGCAAAACAGUGAACCAGAGAGACACAGAGAGGCUGACGUUCGGGACCCGCGUGUCAGUGAGACAGAGGCAGGGGAGACGCUCGUCGCCGGCGAAGCUCAACGACGGCGAGGUCUCGGCCGGAUCCAAGGGCACCUACGUGUUCCUCUCAUCAAGGCGACUCUAUUGACCUACUUUGCGCGCGCUCUACUGGACCCUAAGGUGCUCGCCGUCGGGAAUGGCGGAGCGGCAGCGCUGCGCGGCGAUACGCCGGCGGAUCCAGGCAAUGGCGACGCGGUAGAGCGUCAUGCCGAGCAUCAGUGAACCAAGGGGAAGCGAUAGGAGCAAGAAUGGAAGGAAAUGGUGGAGCAGAGAAGCCUGGCCACGUUGCCGGUGAGCUCGGGCGGAACUCCGGCGAGGGAGAACUGCUCGGAGCCUGGCAAUGCCGCCUUACCCGUGCUCGACAGUGGCCAAGGAGGUGACGCCGAGGUAGAGAAGGCUCUGGCGAAGCUUUUGGCGGGCUGGCUUGGCCGGAGACGCGGUGGAACGGCUGGAGGAGCUCGCCGAAGCGCGGCGGAGCUCGCCGUGGACGAAGGCGGGCGCAAUGUGGCGCUCUGGAGGGGUGAAUGGCGCGUCUGAGGCGUCCACCCGGUGCGUGGCAUCUUGUGGACGACGUCGGGGCUGACAAGCGGGGUCGCCGUCGACCUAGGGCCGCCAGGUGGCCGGACACGCGGCGGCGGGUGAGCUCUGUCCAACUGAAUCAUUUUUCGGAAACAGCCGAUUGCAGUGACUGAAACUCGAACUUUGUCAACGUUUUACUCUCAGAUCACUCGAUGGUUUUGGCUGGGAUUUGGUCCUCUGGACAGAGCUACACGAGCUCUACAACUUUAGUUACAAGAUCAAAGUCUAACUCGGUCUGGAUUUCAAACUACAAAGCUCCAAACAUCCCUUGGUCGAAACUGCGCGAUCCAACACUUAGCCAAAUUCAGCUAAGUGUGAAAUCAGCCCUAAUUUUCGGCUUGUGAGCAAUUUGUGAAUGUGUUCCACGCUUUUUCAUAAAAAGUCAUCAACAUAACUUUUGUAGCUUAUGAAAUUCAUUACAACUUUGUUUCAGGUGUCAAAGACAUGCAAGAUCUCUAACACCAGUUUCAUAAAACAUCUUUGAAAGGAGGUCUAGGAGGGUCAAAAAGGUCAUUCUAGGGUUAACCAUGACUUAGGGGCAUUUUUGGCCAAAACCUUCAACAUGAACUUUGUUCCAAAUGAUAUUCUAAACAUGAUUGAGGUAUUUUGGAGGACAAUGUACAAUUGGUUGCAUUGGCUACCCCUUAUAAACACUCAAUUCAAGUCACACAAGCAAUUUAAUCAUGUAGUGCAUAAAGCAAAUGGCAUGUGAUCAUGGUAUGAUGAUCAUGAGUGAUCAUGAUGAUGCUUAUGUUAAUGCAAUGCUCAUGGUUAACAUGCAAGCUAACACUAGGAGUGUUACAGUGGGCGCCCAAGGGGGGAGGGCGGGCACCCUGCCCCCAGGCCCGAUCGGCCUCCCGUUCGUUCCCGUGGCUUCUGGACUCUUCUAGAUGUUGGAUAAUUGCGCGGCACGUUAAUAUCUCUAUGUAAACCCGACGUGUGGGCCUUUCUUCCAUAAUUCCUGAUAACCCCCUGCAGAAAUAGACAAACACCAAAACUUGUGGAAUUCUGUCAAAUAAAACCCUAAGUCUGGGUGUCGGUUGCAUUUGGAUCCUUUCUCUAUUUAUUUGUUGAUUAAAUUUGAUACUUAAGGACCGUCAACAUAUUGGACAGCACGCUAGAUUGAUUGAUCAAAGCACGAUUAAUGGCGUUGUCAACCAUCUCUUUAACCAUCUCUUGUAAUUUACCAGGAUCGGCAAUGCUUCCUUCUGGAUCACCUCGCCGCUCCUGUUGACACUGAAGGACUUCAAACAUAACUGCUUGUACUCCUCCAUAGCUUUUGCCAUAGCUUGCUUCUGCUCAUCUCUGAGAUUAGCUUCAGUUAAUGGGAUAAUGUUCUCCAUGUCGAAAUCGGUGUUCGACAUGUUGAUCUUGAUGAUGAAUCUAAAUCUGUCCCACCGACCGUGCCAAAAGAUGUGUUGAUGAAACUCGUAAGUAAAAUGAAAAAUAUGCGAGUUGACGAAGUCGUCAAAAAGUAGAUGCUGAAAUUGAUGUAAAAACUUGUGUUUGAUUGAUUGUGUCUAUUACAUUGCCACGGGGUCUACAUUUAUACCCUGUCCACAAGAGUUACAACCAUACACGACUAGAACUCUAAUUCGAAAUUGAAUGGAACCCAUAUAUGAAACAAACUCUAAUAGCUAAAGAAAACUUUAAUUUAUUCAUCUCAAGCGGUUGGCGCACCGUCGCCCUCUUUUUGGCAAGUCUCACACCUCCUUUCUUCUUUCAUCGGUGAAUCACCUUCCAUCGGCAUCGGCAACCACCAGCAUCGGUCAUCGGCAUAGAUCAAUCACCAUCCUUGGACUUGUCUAUAUCCUGCUGUUUCGCCAUUGGCAUCAAUCCCCAUCGGCAACUCCUUUGAUAACCAGUCACCAUUCUUCCACCUGCCGAUCUAUAUUUCAUUAACUCCCAGAUACGUGCCCAAAGAUACGUGUCCAAAAAUGGUGUCAACGGCUAUAAAAAACAUGGUGCUAUAUUAGUAGACUUUGCAAAGUUACUUCAUUAAAGAAAUGCCUAAUCCAAUCCUUUUAUGCUAAACCCACAUUUUGCUUGAGGACAAGCAAAGGGUAGCUUGGGGGAACUUGUUGAUGGUCCUUAACACCCAUUUUUACCAUCCACAUUUCAUCCAAAAACAUGGUAAAUCAACAUGAACAUGUGCAUAUUUUGCUUAUUACUUACCUAGUUCCACAUGUACGUAGAAAUUUAUUUGAAUGUAGCAAAUAAUAGGAAAAAGAGUGAAAUGGACCGACCUAGAAGGCAACCCACCACACUUGGCGCCACAUAGGCCAACUAGGGUGGUGGGCACCAUGCCAAGAAGGCAGGACGGGCCCACCUGACGGCACCACCCCCAACAUGGCAAGCCAUGUCACUGAUCCGUGUGACACCUCUAGAAGUCCAUCUAAGGUGUCCAAACAUAUGUCGGUUUGAUCCGAUGGCUAGAAGAUGUUGUCACAUGGAUUGUCGCUUUCCAACAUAUGACAAAUCGUUAUUUCGACACAUGUCCUACCUAAAACUGCCUCUGGGAGCUCAUCUAGACCGUUGCAAGCUAAGGCGGUUGCUCAGGGGUGGUGCUUGCCGUUGAUCCCUGGCCCCCGCCAGGGGGGAGUGGCGCCCACCACCCCAUUCUGGCUCCUGCCACUAUACUUCACUCCCCUAUGAGCUCCUUCCUCCAGAAGAUUCCCUAGCCUAUAAAAGGACCCCCUCGGCAUCUGUUUUAGAGAGGGGAGAAAAGAAGAGAACACAAGAAGAGGCUCAAGCAUAGUAUAGAGCUUAGAGCAAGUGUUAGUUAGUAGCUCCCUCACUUAGUUAGCCAGCUUAGCUCUAUAGCCUCUUUGCCCCUACCUUAGCCUCACUCUAGCAGCUCAGAGUUGUGAGUGGGAAGGGUAGCUAGGAAUAGCUUAGCUUGGAGACGGGAAGAGUCUUCCUCCUCUCUACUCUGGUAUUAUACCUUUGAUAUCUUAGUACUCAUCUAUUUAUCAUUUACUUUUGGUAUUUUGAGUGCUAUAUUGUUACCUUUCAAGUACUUAGUUUAUAGUGAUCAUAUCAUUAGUGAGCUUAGGUGCUUGAUUGUGUUGGGAUAAGUUCUUGGUUAGUUUAGUGUUAGUGUUUAAGCUAAGGAAUUGCUCUGUCGUCUGGUUAGGGUGUCUUUACUCUAGAGCUCGGGUAAAGAUAGUAGGAAUAUAGAUUAAGUGUGGUGCUUAGGCUAUAGGCUUAAAUUCAGAUAUGGCUAGACCCACGGAUUGUUGGUGUAGCACCAGGUGGUGAUAGCCUUGAUUGCCUAUGUAUUCCCCCACAUUUGGACUAGUUCUCAAAACAUAAGGCUCGUUGUGCUUCAUGCCUAAUCAACCAUACGGUGAGUUCAGGACGGGUACGCCUCUUUGCUUGACUUGAAUAACUAGUGCUAUCCUUUUACUGGGUCCCCUAAAUCUACUACCACUCUUAUUUAUCUUUUAACCCCCUGAGGUUAGUUGGCAGGUUAGAUUGGUUAUCUUUUAUUUUAUUUUUAUUUUAUUUUAUUAUCCACGUAUUGAUUACCCAUACAUCCAUUCUUGCUAGCCAACCCAUUCCUUACCUAUCCUAACUCUGAUCAUCCAUUCUUACCCAAUUCGACCACAUCCCCCUUUCCUUCUUUUAUGAAAUUAUAAAUUGACACCUGGUUACUCACCAGGUGAAGUGCUACACACGAUAGGUCUGUGCGCUUGCAGAUCCCAUCUAUCUAGGUAGAUUGCAUUCACUCCUGUUGGCCCUACUAGUGUUGGGAGUGACAACCCCACUAGGCAUUUGUACACCAGCCAACUCUAGCCUCACCCUAGGUGUAGCUAAGAACUACCAACCCAAUGCUUCUAGUACCACUACUAGGAUAGUAAUUAACAUCUGUCCUCUAUUAGUGUUGCUAAGAAGUGCCAACAAGGGGCAGCCUCAGAACGACCCAUCGAGCCUUCCCACCACGAGAGGGAGGUCUCGGUCCACCAAGAGGCAGCUCCCCGAGUGUUGACGGUCGAUAACGUCAAUAUUUAUUAGAACUUUAGACACAAGGGAACACAUGAAAACACAUUAGUCUAGGGUUGAAUCUGACAAUUUCCACAAGUUUUGCAUAUUCUGUAUUUUCUAGGGUUUAUUUCACAGAUAGCUGAAAAGAGGGAUUCUAGUGCAUAUUUACCACGAAACCAAUCCGCGAUGGAAAACAUCACGAGAAGACUCAGGAAGGGUAUAGAAGACACCCAAAGGAACGAGAGCCGUGGAGGAGAAAAGGUGGGGCUGGCCGACCCCACCCUGGGGCCGGUCCACGCCAUGUUUCGCCUGAUGCCCGCCGCCUUCUAGAGUCUUCCUCCCACGCAUCCUUGGAAGCCAAGCAAAGUAUCCCUCCAUCGAUUUUAAGUCGUUUUGAUCCAACAGUGCACACAAGAUGAAGACACGGAUCGCUAAUGUGGUGGUUCCUUGCACCCUAGUCCAGCUCAGCCUAUAUAAUGACGCCCAAGGCUCCCCCAAGAGGCAUUGUACACCCCGACACUUCAUAUUCUCCACAUAAUUAGGGUUAGGGUCCCUCUAGUUGAUCUAGUUCUAGUUCAUCUAGAUCUAGUUCAUCUAGAUGUAGCAAUUAGGAGAGACUAGUUCUUCUAGAUCUAGUCUUGUUUAGAGAUUAGAGAGAUUAGGUAGAGGAGUAGAGAUUCUGGAGGAGUUCCAGCAUGUCAGUGCUUCUUCAUGGCUGUAUUCUUCUGGAUUCAGUUCCCUUGCCCGGAGCUGCGUUCUGAGGUACUUUUGUACUUACCCUUCUGAUUUAAGUAAGCAACUUGUUCUUAUUCGUUCUUUGGUUCACAACUCAUAUUGAGUGCUUUGAUGUUGGUCGUAACUUGGUUGAAGUAGUAUUUCGUAGUGUAGGCGUGGUGCCUAGGCUAGGUUUACUUGUGAAUGUCCCCUGAUCAGCCGGAUAGUGGUAGUUCGCGUAGGUGACUUUAUAGCUGCUUUGAUUCCUCUGUAGUCCACUUCCCGUUGAUAGGACUCAUAGGCUUAUAGGUGCCUGGUAGGAGAUUACUCUGAUUCUUCUCCUAUUUGGGGUUACUUGCGCGAUAAGAUGAUAUUAUACAAAGUUUACCGAAGUCGGAACUAGAGUACAUUAGCUAUUUCCUUUUUCUUGAUAUGAUCUAGCCUAAUUGUAGGGUUAAGUCUAUAUACUAUGUCAUCAUCACAACUGUUCCCUACGGAUACAAUAUUUAAAACCUCCGGGUAGAAUGAGACAAUGGUAUGAUAUCUGUGCACUUGCGGAGAAUCCUACUUAAAUCUAUUUAAAUGGAGUGCAGUUAAUUUAUACAAACAAGCAUUUUUUGGCACCGUUGCCCGGGAACGGUUUGCUGAUUUUGACUUAGUUUAGCUUAAUCUUGUAUUAUACUUUUAUCUUUUACUAUUUUGUCCCAUUCUCUUCAUUAUUUUUAUGUUCAUCCUUAUGGAUACUUUUAAUUCUAUUGCUAUUUAUCUUUAUGGCUUAAAGCUUAAAGCAUAAACCUUAUCAUAAUAUCUAUAAGCUAUGCCCAUGUCUACAUAAUAUAAUAAACCCUUCUCAAAUAUAUCAUGGGAUUAUUAAUCGUGACCUUGGUUUGUUAGGCCCCAUGUUUAUUCAACAUUUGGAUCUUACCAAGAGUUACAAGGAAUCCGUUGAUUUAUCUUCUCGAGAGUCCUUUCUUAUCUUUAAAAGCAAGAGUUUAUGCUCAAAAGAGUUGCUCUGGCUAUUUCUGAACUCCCCAAAAGAAGAAAAGGAUUUAUUAUCUAAACUAAAAACAGAAGUCUUGAUAACUAAAAUACAAUCACAUCAUUCUUAAGAUUUAGCUAUAAAUCCUAAACCUUUAAAAAUGCACAUUAAUGAUUUAGACUUCCAAUUAGCUAAGAUGCUCCUAAAUCAAUGCAUAUCAGAUCUUCUCAAAAGGGCAUCUUGGGAAACACAUCAUCAACUUCCUUUCCUUCCUAAAAAGAUAUUGGGAAAAAUUCAAGGAUGGCAUGCCAAGUGAUACCAUAGAAGGAGAGCCAAGCCACUUAGAAACAAAUUCUAUCUUCUUCCCUUCUAUGCCCAUAGUAAAUGUCUUUGAACCUAUCUCUAAACCCAUCCUUGACCCCAUUAAAUCUUUUUAUGCUCCUUCUACUAAACUUCAUAAUGACCCUAGAAAUCCAUCAAGAUAUCCUAAGAAUAGGAGUCAUGAAGAUUAUACAAUACACUUGAAGAGCAACAACAAUAGUAGGAACACAUAAAACAUAUUAGAAAUACAUAUGCUUUUAUCAAAGAAUGGAUGGAAGAAGAUAAAGUUUUAGCACUAGCAUCUAAACUUGGUCUAAAUUCAAAUGUUAAGCUUAAAUCAAUUUCCUUGAUAAAAAAAACUCUCCCAAGUUUAGAAAAAGCUUUAGAAGAGACCAACCUUAGGGACAUCAAUUCAUGGGAAAUCCUAGAAAAUAAAAUAUCUAAUAAAGGUCAUAGGCAUAAAAUAAUAGAGGCAAACUUAUUGCCUAUAGACAACCAUGAAGAGACACCCUUGGAGUUUGAAAAGGGAGAUCAUAUUGCCGAGCAUGUGAAUUAUUUCAUUAAACACCCUAUCAGACCCAUGCUCAUAUGAGAAAUCUCCUGGAUCAAUUAGUCUCUAAUAUUAUCACACGUGAGAUCCUCAACCCCUUUAUUCUACCUAUUAAUAAAAUUGUUAAGAGGGUGGUUGUAGACACAUAUGUUUACCAUAAAUAUUGUAGAUCUCGUUGUGGUGAACAAUACACUUAGAGUGGUGUUGGAAGGGAAACCACUUCACCAAACCACAUCUUGAAGGUUUCCCAAGGACAAGCUUUGUGUCCUAAAACAAGCACUGUUUAGACUAUGACAUGAGUGUUCUUCUACUGUACUACCCUUGUUAAUUGAGCAUAGAAUUAUAAUUAUGAAAAUAUUCCUUCAGGUAUUCUUGUCACUAACCCUCCAAAAUUAGAGCAAUAAGAUCGAAGGAGUGACAAAUGCAAGGUAUAUAUGUCCAACCAAUCAUUAUGCAACAUUGAAUUACUUUCAUCCAAUCUUGACUUUUGCAAAAGUCAAGCUUGGGGGAUAUGCUUACAUAGAUACAUCUUUUGCCACAUUGCUAUACUGUCUUGGUUGCCUUUACCUUGAAGAUAUGCUCACUAUGCUAAACAAUAAUAAUAAUCUUUCAUCACUGUUUGAAUGAAUCUCUAUAGUGCUUCUAUAUUACCUUUAUUUGCUAUAGUAUAUGUUUAGGUUUGGAGUAGUUUUAUUCAUCUCUUAAAAUGAAGUAUGGAACUUAAUUUUGGAGUGGUGAUCUUACUUCCAAAGCCUUUUAAUUAUGCAAGAUUAAAAUGCCUUCCUAAAUCAAAUUAGAUGUGGUGUCUAGGUUGAUUUUUGAGCCGAUAGUAUGCUGUAGUAGAUAUUGGAAUAUUUUGUUAGACUAACCCAUGUAGGAAAACUUCCAAAUUCAAAUUGGGAAAGUCCUGAGAUGAACUCACACUAGAGAUGAAGAGAUACAAUAAUUUUGCACAAGGAAGAUACAACUCACUCGUAGCCAAGAAGAAAGUAGGUUGCACAAAACAUGUUCCACAAUCAAAGCAUUCUCACUUCUACGGUCAAGAAGCUGAGACAUGAGGAAGAAAGUUCAAACUUCUCUAGCUGAUCCAAUCGAGUCCUUCCUUAUCGCUCCACACGCUGGUUUGCAAUCUCUAAAUUCACUAUUGCUUUAUUUCUUUAAGAAUUGAUUCAUAAUGCCUAUGUUUCAGAUUUAAAACAUAAGAUGGGAAAAUAAAUUCAAACCCUUAGAAAGAAGUAAUUGUGAAUAAUAAAUGCGCUAUGCUAAGUAUGCUCAAGCAAAUUCCUUCUUGUAGCAUAGAAAGUGACUCUUAGCUGUGUUACAACAAUGCCCUUGUCAUUAGUUGUAUAUUCCUUCGAGUAUGUGUUGUCGACUAAUCUAUUGCAGGCAUAAUAAUAACUGGAGUGAAAAGAGUAAAUGGAUUAAAGAAGCAAAAGAUGGUAAAAGAAUGAGUGCAACAGAGGAGACAAGAUGUCUAUGAACAACUCAAGAUGCAAGUGGAAGGACCACCAGUCAUUUACCCUUCAUCAGUUAGUGCCAUCACGCUCUAAUAAUGAAGGUAAUAUUCUAAGAUAAGUGGUCACUCUCUCCUCUUGAUCUUGGUGUGCACAUAAGUAAAGACACAAACAUAUUAGAGUUACAACUUAAAUUGAUCAACCUGGUUAACAAAAUAUGCUUUGUUGUUUAAAAUUGUUCAUGGCACCAUUCUCUUAAUCUUAGUCUUAACUAAACAAGUUAAAACAUUAUAUUCAAUCUUGGGAAGAUGAUAGUCAUAUUUAUUUGAAAAUUUAUAUAGAGAUAGACAAUCCUACCAUUAGUUAAGCAAUUUCAUUCUUUUCUGUCAUGCGAACUUAAAUGCAACAUUAAAUGCUUAAUCUUUUGAUCUUACCACUCAUAAAUAAAUAAAUCAUGUAACACAACUUUAUCUUGUUUAAUGUGCCUAAGGAUGGAGAAAAAUAAAUAAAGAAAUAGAUUUGAUUCUAUUGGUGUUUUUCCACUAACAGAGCCCAUGCAUUUGAUCUCUACCUUAGUUUUGCAAACAGGACAACACAUCAAGCAAAGUUUAUUAAUUCUACAAGUGAAAGUUCUGUGAGCAUGCACACUAAGCAAGAUGCUGCCAGCUACUAUUAAAACUCUCCUUCAACCUGCUUGCCAAAUCAAAGAACAAAGGUGACAUCAACAUCACUAGAGGUAUGCAACCAUCAAGACCUCCAUCUCUCAAGAUGGAGAGAUACACAAGAGUAGAAGAAGAAGACAUGUCGGUACACUUCAAAUUUUACAUCAUUGCCAUAUGGUAAUAUGGUAGUUAUCUAAUUAAUUAGUAUUUCUGUCUACAUUAAUAAAUCUACCUUAAUAUUUUAAUCUGCAUAAAUAUACAAAAUAAAAUAAAAUAAAAUAAAAAAUCUUUUAUUGCUUGAUUUACUACAUCAUAAAAUAUUUAAAGCUCCAUAUGAAUAAACUUCAACCCUGUAGGAAUAUUUACUGCGGUGACAUAAAUAACAAUAAUAAUAGCUUCUAUAUUUAAUUUCUUGCAUUAUAAAAACCCUAAGCCCUAUAAGAAUAAAUAUUCUCUGUGGAGGCAUAAAAAUACAGUUAUAUAUAUAUCGUGCACACAUAUUUAAUUUCUACAUAAUUAAACUAGAAAAUCCUUAAAAAAGAGAGAAUCCUGCUAGAAUCCGUCAAUUCAAAUCAACUCAAAGAACAAUCAAUCACUCACUGGCUGACCGCUAACCCAUUAUUAAAUUCGAGCCUCAAGUUUUGGUUUUCUUUUUUGGAGUGUAAUCAUGUAGGAAGAACAUUAUGACAAGGAGUGAGUCUAUCCGUGGCACCCACCUGGAGCGCUGCCGGUUAGCUCACUCUGAAGAUCAUCAACACCAAUUAUUGCAAACAUCUAGGUUGGGGGAGGAGCAUCCUCUAGUUAUGAGGUAACUAUACCUAGGCGAUUAUCGAGUAUAUUUUAUAUAGUCAUAAAAUACCAAAAAUAUAUGGGCACAUGAAGGUCCACAUCUUUAGAGUCUUUUGAGUCCAAUAGGAAUGAAUAAAAAUCAAACAAAAUACUUAUCUAUAUAUUAAGGUGUGAUCAUAGAGUGUGUCUACAGUUAGUCUAGUUUAGAGUGUUGGCAAAUCUUAACGCACACCGGCUAGAGUAAGAUGUGACAAGUGUCUAGAAAUGGUCGCGCCUAACCAGCACUGCUUAAAUGAAAGUCUAAGCUGUUACUAGGAUAGGUUGUCGGGCUACCCUAAGCAACAAGUCCAGGAAUACUAAGCAACGCUAAGCUCUAGGGAUGACACAAGAUGUACCAAGGGUAACUCUGCAAGCGCACAGAUACCGAUAUAGCACUUCGACUGUGGUGAGUAUCCACGGUGUCAUAAUUUAUAGUUCGUCCAAGGGAAAGCGUGCUAGAGGAGAUAGCAAGGAAGGGGAAUCCUAUCUCAACUAGAAUAAACUAAGGUAGUGAGGUAAUGAAAACAUAGAGGAAGAUUGAUGUGGUUUUGGAUAACUCUAAGAUAACUACUAGUGUAGUGUAGCUAGGUGGGAGGACAACGAGUGAGAAAAGACUCCUAUGACUCUAACUUUACUCCUAUGGACCAAUCUAGUCUAGUAGCGGACACACACUAACGUCGCUAACUUAACUGCUUGUUUGCUGGAAGUCGACUGUAAGAGGAGGACGAAACUCCUAUCCAAGCGGACUCAUUUCUUAUGGGCGCCUACAGACCGUACCCGACGUGAAUAGAACCUACUGGGAAGCAGAGGCCUAUCACACUUUGCCGUCGCCCGCUAUCACAUUGCAAUGGUGGGGCACCUAGGGUCCUUCUUCUUCUCUAGGAAUUUAUUCAAGAUGACUUCGCAGUAUUCUUCAGUUAGUUUAAUUACCUCAGUUUAGGCAACGGCUUCUUGUUGUUGAGGAUGUCUCUCAGGUACUUGGCGUAGGUUAGAACCUGCAUUGCAUCAAGUAACAGGAUAUUGACAUAUAGUUGUCGAAUUGCCUCAACAAAUUUGCUGAAUUGUUCAUCGGUGUUUUGAGUCCUCGUCCUGGGGAAUGGCAUCAGUAGGUUUAUAUCAUAGAACUCGUGUGGUGCCACUUUCCCAUUGAACUUGGUACUUUCUUCUGUUGAUGGAAGCUCUACUUCUUCUACCUUAUCUUCUUCAUCCUGUUGUCCUUCCUUGCCGGUUUCCUUGUCAUGUUUGGAUAUGGUGGAUCACGAGUGGUCUUACCCCCUCUCGUGGUCACCGCAUUUGAGGAAUAGCAAGAAUUAACAGAAGCAGCAAUUUGAGUCAUCCGAGUCUCUAAGACCUUGUUAAAGUUCUAUUGAUCCUUAACAGCAGAAGCUAGAGAGUCCAUUUUAGAAGUUAAUAAUUCAAGAGUCUUGUCAUUAGCUAACAACCUUUUAUUUAUGCCUUCAUUAAUUUUAGCUUGAUUAACAACAAGAUCUCUAAGCGUAGGCCAGCUAAAUUUUUCAAAAUUACCUUGGCCUUGAAAGCAUGGAGUCAGUCCGCUUUGUCAUGCUUGCCCAUUGUCGAAUGCGGAGAUGACCUCUAGAGUUUCUUCCUGCACCUCGCACCUUUGGAUUGCUUCAACGGCACGUGCUGAGGUGUAUUGUUGGAUGGCCUCUCGAUCUUUCUUGAAGUUGGAUGUUUCUUCCAUUUUCUUCAUCAAGAGCUCCAUCUUUUGAGAGAUGGCUUUCACCUCCUCAAUGGUGUGGGUGCCUCUUUUCUUAGGUUUAGGACGUUCAUCAUUCCACUCUUGAUUUGUCAUAAUGUUCUCAAUGAGCUUCUUCGCUCAUGCGGCACUGAGGGAUGUGAAUGAUCCUCUUGCAGCAGCAUCAAGGUGACUACGGGCAUCUGGCGUUAGCCCAUGGUAGAAACAUUGGAUCAGGAGCCAUUCCUUUAUUCCAUAAUGAGGACAUUCCCGAAUGUACUCCUGGAGACGUUCCCAUGCUUCGGGAAUGGUUUCUUCUACCUUUUGAUGGAAGCUAGAAAUUCUUGCACGCAAAGCUAAUGUUUUGCUCAUUGGAAAGAACUUGUUGAGGAAUGCAGUAGCACACUUGCUCCAUGUGUCAACAUCAUCAGGGAGAGCAUAGAACCAUUGCUUUGCUUUCCCAAGCAGAGAGAAUGGGAAUAAGCAACGGUGGAUGGCUCCCACUAUGACUCCUUUGAUAGCGAUGGUGCUACACACUUCUAGAAAGUUCUGAAGGUGUGUGUUUGCAUCCUCGUGUGGUUUCCCAUUUAAUGUACUGUUGACACUUGCUAACACCACUUGAAUACUAGGUUGUCAUUCCCAGCAUGGCACUAGAGUGUACUAUGGUAUUUAUACGCACACAGAUAAAUCCGCAAGCGCACGGAUACUGUUGUAGCUUUUACCCGGUUAAAGGUUUUAUCGUAUCCACAGGGAAACGGGAGAACUGAUCUACGCUCUAACUUAACCUAGAUAGAUAGGUAGUUGUAAAUAGGGAAGAUGGUAGAAUUGAAUAAGAACAAUAUUAAAGAUAAGAUAACAAUGGGUGAUAAUAUGGAAAUAGAGAGUAGAGCAAUCUAGUAUAUGGGCGAUGGUAGGAGAAUAGAGAGGAUAACUAUGGUUUCUCUACUUCAAAGGGGUAUGUCUAUGUCUGGGACGAACCACGUGAUAAGAAUACACCACAAAGGAUGCUUAUCCAUAGGCCGAUAAACCCUAUCAGUCCUGCUAACAGGAGGUGGACUACAGGGGACCAACGUAACUGUCACCUACGCGGCCUACCACAAGAUCCAGCUAGACUGGGGAUAUCCACAAGUAAUCUAGGUGUAUGCACCUCGCUUACACCUAUACUACAACUAUCACCUAUAGCGUCCUAUAGAUUAAAGUACUCAAAAGAGUUGUGAACUAGAACAUACAUGGAUAGUAAUUGCAUAAUGAAAUAAGAAGUAGAUUACCAGAGUCAUCCCAUGAGCAAGCUUGAUUAGAGUUUGAUCAUGGCGAAGUACAACCAGAGGAAGAACCGACAGGCCAGCCUCUCCUCCAAUCCUCCCUCGCUCUCCAUCUCGCUAUUAUCUAGAUCUACUCUAGUUUAGAGAUGAGAGGAGAGCUCUCAUCUCCAAACCCUAGCUUUUGCUCUGUCUAUGAAUAAUGAAUAGGGAUCAAGGGGUGCCUCCUCCAGGGGCCAGGUGGCCAGCUUAUAUAGUCCCCUCAAGUGAAUCUGGGCCGUCGGAUCAAACCGACAUUAAUCGCACGGUUUUCCUUAAUCCAUUAGGUCGGUGGAGCAUAAUCCACGAGAUGGAACCUGAUUGGUUCCUGUAGCUAGGCGGGCGCCCAAGGGGGGAGGGCGGGCGCCCUGCCCCCGAGCUCGCUCGGCUUCCUGUUCGUUUCCGUGGCUUCUGGAGUCUUCUAGGUGAUAGAAAAUUGCGCAGCACGUUAAUAUCUCUAUGUAAACCCGACGUGUGGGCCUUUCCUACAUAUUUCCUGAUAACCCCCUGUAGAAAUAGACAAACACCAAACCUCAUAGAAAUCUGUGAGAUAAAACCCUAAGUCUGGGUGUUAGUUGCAUUUGGAUCCGUUUCUUUAUUUAUUUGAUGAUUAUAUUUGGUACUUAAGGAUCGUAAACAACUCUCCCAAGCUUACCUAUUGCUCGUCCCUGAGCAAGGAUGGACUCAAGAGUUUUUGCAGUGGUUUCAUGCCUUAAAGGUACACAUGCGUUCAAACAAGAUCUCAUCUCUAGGUUAGGUUAAACUGUUAAGAUUUAAACUUACUCAUAUUAACUUCCACCAUGGGGCUUGCAACCGUCACAUGUGUCUUGAGCAGUUAAAAGAUAGAACGGUCAAGUCAAGCGCCAUGUCUCUUGUUGUCACACCCAAAUUUAAGGAUAAAUUUGAGUACAAUAAUCUCAUAUGUGCCCUAGGAAUAGUCCCGCACACAAGUCGACAAAUUACAAAUGUAUCAUCACAAGUGCCUUACAUAACGUUUAUUACAACACAAAUAUCAAAGUCUGCAACGAGCAGAAAAUAUAACUCAUAACUAGCUAUGAUAUGAUAGCUCCAACACAGGGACGACCGACUGGGGGAUCGCCAACCUAGAAGUCCUCCGGGAAUUCCUCGUAAUAGCUGUCAUCUGUUACCCAUCCGGGAUUUUGUCUAAAAGAAAUAUAGAAACAAGCGUGAGUACAUCUCGUACUCCGCAAGCAUAACAUAGGAUUUUAUGCGGCUCAAAAAAAGGUCAGACACUGGCAACUACACUUAGCAUUUUAAUUGGUCAAUGUUUUAAUCCUAUUUAAUCAUAAAUUAUGCUUAAGCUCCCGAUUAGCCCACAUGAGUACAUGAUAAUAACACUGUUAACCUUCACGGCCAACACCAUCACCAUCACGGUUAACCCACAUUAAUCAUCACGAUCAAUGCGUUAGAUUUUCAUAAGUCAUUUCCCCAUAACCAUCCACACCGAACUAUUCCGUAAGGGUCCAAGGCCGCUCAUGUCCCAGAGCAUGGCUAGUAUACCAGUUUGAUCAAAUUCUGCGCAGAGGUGUGCACUUUUCCCGUAAGUCGUGUUACCCAUAUGCCCGGGGUUUGCAAGACCCACUAACACUGCCAAGGUGAGCGAGCAAGGAACACUAUGAAGCCUUCCAUAGGCCACGUCUAACUAGUUAGGGCUGCGAGGUUUUCUCAGCAGGCAGAUAUACAGAACCCCCCUUUCCUAUGGCACAUUUCCAUCAUGGCUAUACACAUAGGAACAGAAGUAGUUCUAUACCCAAAGUGGCAAGCCCCUCUUGCGCCCUUUUGGGUAACCUCUAACCAGCUAGAUGAGAUCCUACUACUGAGCUAAAGUUAGAGCUAUAUAACCAUCACGGUUGCACUGUAAGUCCCGGAUAGUCGCUUACAGAGAAGUCCUUACGGAGGGUCUAGGUCAACCUGACUGAAGUCAAUUGCACUAUAGCCCUUUUCUCAACAUUUGUCAUCAAAUUCAUUAAAGUCAGAGUGAUAGUAAAGUCUCAGUUAAUUAAAGCACUAGCAAAGCUACCCACAUGCAUACUACCCAUAGGUGUCAUAAAUAUAUAGUCAGGUAGCUAGGAUGUCCUUAGGAUUAUCAAAAUUAGACACAUGCAGAUGCGUAAUUAAUUAAGUGAAUAGGUGUACAAGGGAAACCCAUGUUAUACUUGCCUUCGGUGAAGAGGAACUGCUGCUGGUCCUGCUGCUCCUCGGAGUAAAAGGGAUCACCCACGGACACGUCACCGUCUGCGCUCGAUCGGUACCACACAACAACACGCAUUCCAAGUUCAAUCAUACAAGCAAACAAUCCUUUAGUUAGAACAGUACACCAACAGAUCAAAAAUGAAAUAAAAUAUUUAAAAACAGAACCUACGUUACGCUACGAUCACAUAGGUACGAAUAUCACGAAAAUCGGAGCUAAAACGACCAAGUUACGAAUUUACGGUGAUUUUCUAUAGGCAUUUAAUUAAUUAAACCUAACCCUGAAAAUAAAAAGUGGCAAACUACAGAAACAGUAGUACUAACAUGUAGAGAAUUUAAAUACGUAUCUAAUGCAAUUCGAACGGGUCAAAUCGGAGCUAUAACGAAUAUUUAAUGGCCAAAUCAAGUUCAGUGGCAAUUCUAUAAUUUCCUGAAAGCGUAUUUUGACCUAACCGACGGAUAAUACGCUUUCUAAAAGACAAAGCGUAAUUUACGAAAUGCGCUAAGGACUGCGGGCGUGAUUAGCAAAAAGUUGGGGGUUUCUUUAACCAAAUCUACCCUAAAAGGGUACGGGCUCUUCUCGGCUGUCCGAUUGGAAACGGACGCGCGAGAUUGAAAGAAGAAACAGAGGGAGAGAGGAGAGGGCGCGCCGGCCGGAGGGGAGGGAGGGCGCGGCGGCGCUGCCAUGGCCGCGGUGAGCAAGCUCGCCGGAGAUGCUCGCGCAGGCGCUUCGGAGCUCGGUUUCGCGAACCAAAAACUCCCAGAGAGAGAGAGGAGGACAAGGGGAAUGCGUCCCCGGCCUCGGAAUGGCCCAAAAGUUCCCCCCCCGCAAGGCGUCCGACGGAGCCACCAUUGAUGGCACCUUCGGAGCUCACGGAAACGACCCUAGAGAGCACCGCAAUGCUAGGGAGGACGAGGCGCGCUCACCGACGCGAAGAAGGAGGACGAAGACGGCUCAGAACGGCGGGCUUCGUGCGGAGGUCGCGGCGUCCCGGCGGCGGUUCUUUCUGAGCGCACAGGAACGAGACCGAGGCGAAAAGAGGGGGAAAAUGGGGAGGGGAAGAAGGCGCGUGGCUCUCUGCCCACUUCUUAUCCAAGCGCGGGGAGGGGAGAACGUGGGAGCGGACUUCGACUUGGCAGUUCAGCAGAGAGAGAGGAAAUCGAGCGGCGGUUUGGGGAAGGGGAUGAACCUGUCCGGUGGGCCCCACCUGUCAGCCGCUAUAGAGGGAGAGGGGGAAAGGAGGGAGCCAGCCAGUAGGCUAGCUGGGCCGCGGCCUAGGAAGGGGGCGCGAGGCGGGGGGGGGGGGUUUGGGCCAAAAGGCCGAAUAUAGGGAAAGGGGAAAGAGAAAGCUUUUUCCUUUUUAUUUUUUUUUCCAAACAAAUUUUUCAAACUGUUUUAAAAAUGGAAAUUGAAUUCAAAUUCCUUUGUUCAAAAAUCACUCAUCACAUAAAAGAAGUGCUCCAGCAUGUAUGCAACAAAAAUUAUUAUUCUAACUUUAUAUUAAAUUUUAAUUAUUCCAAAUUUAUUUAUUUUCCUAUAUUGAAAAUUCUCACAAAAUAAAUUCAAUUAAAUUCAAUUCAUCUAUUUAAAAGAAAUAAAAUUUUUGGGUGUUACAAUUCUACCCCCCUUAAAAAUAAUCUCGUCCUCAAGAUUGAGACGGUGCUUACUCAAAGAGAUACGGAUAAGAUUGUCUCAGCUCAUCUUCUCUUUCCCAAGUGACUUCUUCUUCUUUAUAUCGGUGCACUUUACACAUCUUUAUAACCCGACUCCGGGUCACUCUUUCCGCUGUUUCUAAGGUCUUGAUUGGAUAUUCCUCAUAAGUUAGAUCUCCUUCAACAGUGAGUUCCUCCAAUGGAAUUUGUUCCUCAGGCACUCGCAAACAUUUCUUCAGUUGCGACACAUGGAACACAUCAUGAAUACCCGACAUACUCGCAGGCAACUCUAACUGAUAGGCCACUUCUCCACGUCUCCUAAGAAUUUUGAACGGUCCAACGUACCUUGGUGCUAAUUUACCCUUCAUAUUAAAUCUCCUGACACUCCUCAUAGGUGACACCUUCAAGUACACAUAGUCGCCUAUCUCAAAUGCCAAAUCUCUUCUAAUAUCAGCAUAACUCUUUUGCCGAGACUGGGCUACUCUCAAGUUGUCCCGUAUUUUCCGCACUUGUUCCUCUGCAUCUCUAAGAACAUCAGGUCCAAAUACUUGACUCUCACCAGUUUGAUUCCAAAACAAAGGUGUUCUACAUAUCCGCCCAUACAAUGCUUCAAACGGUGCCGUAUCGAGACUUUUCUGGUAACUAUUAUUAUAUGAAAAUUCAGCAUAUGGCAAACUAGUGUCCCAACUGGUACUAUACUGUAACGCACAUGCUCUCAACAUGUCUUCUAGAAUCUGAUUUACUCUUUCAGUCUGCCCAUCGGUUUGGGGAUGAUACGCGGAACUAAAGUUCAACUUUGUUCCCAAUGAUUCAUGUACUUUAUGCCAAAACUGUGAUAUGAACUGUGUACCCCGAUCAGACACGAUCUUCUUCGGAACUCCGUGCAGACUCACGAUUCUAUUCAUAUAUAAUUUUGCCAACUUUGCACCAUCAUAGUUGGUCUUAACGGGCAAAAAGUGAGCAACUUUAGUGAGUCGAUCCACUAUUACCCAAAUUGAAUCAUACCCACGCUGAGUGCGGGGCAAUCCUGUGAUGAAAUCCAUACCUACUUCUUCCCAUUUCCAUUCAGGCACUUGCAUUGGUUGCAACAACCCUGCAGGUCUUUGGUGCUCAGCUUUCACCCUCUGACAAGUGUCACAUAUGGCUACAUACUCAGCCACAUCUCUCUUUAAUCCAUACCACCAAUAUUUUUCUUUAAGAUCUAGAUACAUCUUGGUGCUUUCGGGGUGAAUUGAAUAUGCAGAGUCAUGUGCUUCACGCAAGAUUGCAUCUCGGAUGGACUUCACUUCGGGCACACAUAUUCUCUUCCCAAACCAUAGUGUACCAUUUUCAUCCAACCUGAAACCCGGUGCUUUUCCAAGCACUAUGUUCUCUGAAAUUUCUUUUAAUUUCUCAUCCUCCAACUGACCUUUGCGGAUUUCUUGCUCUAGGGUGGGCUCUAACUCCAAUUCAACAGUGUUGUUCACUAAACCCAAAUUGAGAUGCUCUAUUUCAGCUAGCAACUCUGUGGGAAUGAAGGUCAAUUGCAGCCCAUUGGCAUAGCUCUUUCGACUAAGUGCAUCGGCAACAACAUUUGCCUUCCUGGGAUGGUAAUGCACUUCCAGGUCAUAAACAUUUAUUAAUUCUAGCCAGCGGCGUUGCCUUAGGUUCAGAUCCGACUGUGUGAAAAUAUACUUCAAACUUUUGUGAUCCGUAUAAAUAUCACACUUGUGUCCAAUUAAAUAAUGCCUCUAAAUCUUUAGAGCAUGAACCACGGCAGCUAGCUCCAAAUCAUGAGUGGGAUAGUUCAGCUCAUGUUUUCUCAACUGCCUGGAUGCAUAGGCUACUACUCUUCCUUCUUGCAUAAGCACACAUCCAAGGCCUAGGCGAGAUGCAUCACAAUAAAUAGAGAAGGUUUUACUCAAAUCCGGUAAGGUCAACAUUAGGGCUGUCGUCAACCUUUUCUUUAGCUCCUCAAAAUUUUCUUGGCAUUUAUCUGACCAAAUAAAUUUGACACUCUUCUCUAGUAGGGCUGUCAUGGGCUUUGCUAACUUAGAGAAGCCUUCAAUAAAUCUUCUAUAAUACCUAGCUAGUCCCAAAAAGCUACGGAUCUCACUAGCAUUGGUUGGAGGCUUCCAAUUUAGCACAUCCUGUACUUUACUGGGGUCUACGGCUAUUCCACCGUUAGAGACCACAUGUCCCAAAAAUGAGACCUCAUUCAACCAAAACUCACACUUGCUUUUCUUGGCAUACAAUUUAUUCUCUCUAAGCUUUUGCAAGACCAGUCUCAAAUGUUCAGCAUGUUCUUCUUUUGAUUUGGAGAAGAUUAAUAUAUCAUCAAUGAAUACUACCACGAACUUAUCCAAAUACUCGAUGAACACCUUGUUCAUCAUAUACAUGAAGUAUGCAGGUGCAUUGGUCAGCCCAAAUGACAUGACUGUAUACUCAUACAAGCCAUACCUUGUGGUAAAAGUUGUCUUAGGUAUGUCAGUUGCACGGAUUUUCAACUGAUGGUAGUCAGAUCGGAGGUCAAUUUUGGAGAACACACAUGCUCCUUUCAGUUGGUCAAAUAAGUCAUCUAUUCUAGGCAGUGGGUAUUUGUUUUUAAUAGUGAUUUCAUUUAAUGACCAAUAAUCCACACACAUCCUCCUAGUGUCAUCUUUCUUAUCAACAAAGAUUACCGGUGCACCCCAGGGUGAAGAACUAGGACGAAUAAACCCUUUUUCUUGUAAUUCUUUAAGCUGUUUCUUAAGUUCCUCUAAUUCAUUUACCCCCAUUCUAUAUGGUCUUUUUGCUAUGGGUGUAGUUCCAGGUAAAAGCUCAACAAGAAAUUCAAUGUCUCGGUCUGGUGGCAUACCUGGCAACUCGUCCGGGAACACAUCAGGGAACUCGUCCACCACCUGGUCUUCUUGAUUACCACCACUCAACUGAUUCACUGUAGCAGUCGGCUGAGGCUGAACUACCACGUCCACACUUACUCUGUCCCCACCUGGUGAUGUCACCACCACAGACUUCUCCUGACACUGAAUUACUGCCCCAUGCUGCUUCAUCCAAUCCAUUCCAAGUAUGAGGUCAAUUCCCAUGGUUCUCAACACAAUAGGUUUCACCUUGAAAUCUACCCCCCUUAAGGAUAUACCAGUGGAGGGGCUCCAGUAAUUAGCUGGCAUGUUGCCUCCCGGUGAAUUUACUAGCAUAGAAUUUUUCAGAGCAUAAAGUGGGAUGCUAUGCACUCUAACAAAUGCUUGGGAGAUAAAUGAAUGUGAAGCACCAGAAUCAAACAGUACUGUAGCGGGGAUGGAGUUGAUGUUGAACGUACCCAUCAUGACCUCAGGUGCUUCCUGAGCUGUGUCAGUGGACACAUGAUUCACUCUUCCAGAGAACGGAGGUUGACCAGGCCUCUGAUUGCUGUUCUGGUUUUGCUGGACUAGUGGUUUCUGCUUCUUGGGGCACUGGUAUGCAUAGUGUCCCACCUCUCCGCAGCGGUAACCGGCAUUGGGAUUGCUGCUGGGUGCUGCACUCUUGCCAGGAGCAUUGUUGGGCACUCCUUGGCGUGGUGCUUGGUUGCUGACCUGUUGCUGGGGGCGCUGCUGACUCUGAUUUCCAUACUGCUGCUGGGGACAUUAUUGGUUCUGGUGGUUGUACUGCUGGUGGUACGGAGGAUGCUGAGGAAACUGACCACGGUUCCACUGAUUCUGUGGUCCUUGACUGCGCUGAGGGAAUCCCUGCUGAGGAUAUGCACGUGGGCGAGUGUUGCUGCUCGACGGCUGCCCCUGGAGCUUCGUUUUCUUUGCGUCCAUCUCCUUGCGCUUGUUGUCAAUGACAAUAGCGCGGUUCACCAAUUCUUGGAAACAAGGGUAGGUGUUGCUCAUCAGCUGUAGCUACAGUCCAUCAUACAAUCCCUUCAGAAAGAGACGUUGCUUGUUAGAGUCUCUGGCCACCUCAUAUGGAGCAUAGCGUGACAGUUGUGCAAACUUGUCACGAUACUCACUGACUGACAUCGAUCCCUGCUUGAGAGACCGGAACUCUUCCGCUUUCAGUUCUAUCAGGCCCUCUGGAAUAUGAUGGGAGCUGAACCCUUCGGUAAACUCCUUCCAGGUGACUGGCAGAGCAUUGUUCGGGCGUCCAUACUGAUAGGACUCCCACCACUCCUGUGCAGGUCUUUGCAGCUGGCCUGAGGCGUACAACACUUUCUCCAAGUCGCUGCAUUGGGCUAUGUUCAGCUGCUUCUCGACUGCUUUUAACCAGUCGUCUGCCUCCAGUGGAUCAGAGGCAUGGGUGAACACCGGGGGACGUCCUUUCAAGAACUCCCCACGCUUGUCACGGACUUGAACCGGCUGUGGUGCUGCUACCGGCUCAUUGUUCAUACGGUUCAUCAUGGCUUGCAUCAGAUUAGCUUGCAUACCCAUGAUCUUCUCAAUAGUCAUCGGCGGCGGUGGAGGUGGUGGAUUCUCAGGUACACCACUCCCACGGCCACGACCACGGCCACGGCCACGUCCACGACCAGCGCCUGCUCCUUCGGCGUCCAUCUUCUUCCAACAAAGAUUCAAGGCUUUUAGUGAUCUUCCAAAAUAAUUAUUCAUCGCUUAUAAUGAAUAAAAACAAGACUAGCAGUUUUCUGGACAAGUUUCAAACUCAGCAUGUCAGUAAACCAUGCUUAUCUCAGAAUCUAUAGAUCCAAUAGGAACAUGGUAUACAUCGUUGGAAAGGUUAAGAAAUUCCCUACAAACUUUAUGCCGACCACAUUUACUGGUUCCAAAAGUAACAUAAUCAAAAUUGUGGUUUAUUAGGUUCUGCUCUGGUUCUCAGUCUGUGCAGGUACAGCAGAUUAAAACAGACAUAUCUCAUAGACCCAAACAGAUAAUGAGGUGAUUCCAGUUAGAGAUGAAAGAUAUGCCAGUAUAGUUUUCACCAUAACAAUUUCGUAAUUUUUGACUGAACCAAUAAUGAGAUACAGAAUAAACAUCACAGACUGCUCCAGAAUCAGCAUGACUGAGACAAGAUAAAGUAACCCAACCUCGAAUUUAAACAACAUUUACUUCUAAGAUUAAGGUUUAGAAACAUGCGAACAGGCCCACAUGUUUCCACAAUCAUAUAAAAACUCCAAAUCACAAUUGUUCAUCAUCACAAACAGCAACACACUAAAGUUCACAUGCCACACAUUACUGAAAUACUCGUGCUAACGUCUAACUAGAAGGUACUGGGAAAUCUAGGGAGCUCUAUCCUGCAGAACGAACUUGCGGGGCUUCUUCUUGUAGAUGGGUGGAUGUCCAAGCUGACCACGCAGCUCAUCCACCUGGCACUGGAGGCGCUUCCCCGCCUACUGUGCCACACGCAGCUCCUGCCUCAGUGUCACAUUCAUCUCCUGAAUGGCACUAACGUGUCUCACAGUCGUAUCCAGGGUACGGUCACCGGCAGGAGGUGCCAGGACAUGCUAUGUCCUGCCAUCUGGAUCGUUUCGGGGAAGGAACCGGUACCUAUCCUUCUGCAUGGCCUUAAAACGGCGGCCAUGGUAGUGAAAGUACGCAGCUUGGGCUGCAUCCUCCAUGCUCCCAUAGGCGGAAGCACGCCUAACCCUGCUCUGAUGGAUGGACUCCACCUCAUCCGAGUUGUCGACGUUGUUCCGAGCUAUGAUGAUCACCUCGGCCUUCCAGUAGGUGUUCUCCAAUGGGUGCUUGUGCUCCGAGCAGAGGUAGCAGACGGUGGCAGCAAACUCCGGGUAGUAGCUCGCCAACACACCCGUGAGCAGAGUGUGGUAGUGAGCGUCCUCGUCAGCCUCCAUGAACUUGUCCCUGGAGGUCCAUCCCAUCUCUGAGACAACCUGUGGGUACUGAGGCGUCGGUGCUGAACCCGUCGAUGCGUGGGGUGCAGGCGCAGGUGGUUCAGGUGGAACUGGAGCGGCGGCCUGCGGGAUCGAUACCGCCAUCGGUGUAGGAGCUGAAGGUGUACGCGUAGGAGACCCCGUGUCCAUAGGCUCCUCCUCCUCGCCGCCACCAGAGGCGACGACCUCGGUCUCAGGUACAGGUGCUGAUGCUGGUAAAGGUGCAGGUACUAGUGCUGGUGCAACUGGCGGAGCACGGGCGGCGGUGAAGAGGGCACGGUACGCGGCUGCGCUGCGACGAGGCAUAUAUAAAUUUUAUUUUAAGAAUUAGAAUCAAUAUGUUUACAUAAAUAGAACAGUGGGUAAGAAUAUAUAAUUUUAAUAAAAUAACAAGAAAAUAAAGUAAGCAGUGAAAUAAAUAAAGUGAAAAUAAAAAAUCUUAAAAUCGACUGUUUCUACCUAGGUUUGCGUCCUACAGUCAGCCUUGCUUUGAUACCAAUUUGUCACACCUAAAUUUAAGGAUAAAUUUGGGUACAAUAAUCUCAUGUGCGGCCCAGGAAUAGUCACGCACACAAGUCGACAAAUUACAAAUGUAUCAUCACAAGUGUCUUACAUAACGUUUAUUGCAACACAAAUAUCAAAGUCUGCAACGAGCGGAAAAUAUAACUCAUCACUAGCUAUGAUAUGAUAGCUCCAACAUAGGGACGACCAACUGGGGGAUCGCCAACCUAGAAGUCCUGUGGGAAUUCCUCGUAACAGCUGUCAUCUGUUACCCAUCCGGGAUUUUGUCCAAAAGAAAUAUAGAAACAAGCGUGAGUACAUCUUGUCCUCCGCAAGCAUAAAAUAGGAUUUUAUGCGGCUCAAGAAAAGGUCAGACACUAGCUACUGCAGUUAGCAUUUUAAUUGGUCAAUGUUUUAAUCCUAUUUAAUCAUAAAUUAUGCUUAAGCUCCCAAUUAGCCCACAUGAGUAUAUGAUAAUAACACCAUUAAGCUUCACAGCCAACACCAUCACCAUCACGGUUAAGCCACAUUAAUCAUCACGAUCAAUGCGUCAAAUUUUCAUAAGUCAUUUCCCCAUAACCAUCCACACCUAACUAUUUCGUAAGGGUCCAAGGCCGCUCAUGUCCGAGAGCACAGCUAGUAUACCAGUUUGAUCAAACACUGCACAGAGGUGUGCACUUUUUCCGUAAGUCUUGUUACCCACAUGCCCGGGGUUUGCAAGACUCACUAACACUACCAAGGUGAGCGGGCAAGGAACACUAUGAAGCCUUCCAUAGGCCACGUUGAAAGGUCCAAAUGGCUAGAGGGGGGUGAAUAGCCUAUUUUAAAUUUUCUACAAACUUCAACUAGACAAGUUGAUUAAUAAAACAAAAGGCGAAGCUAUUCUAGCAGUAGCAUAACUAAGCUAUGCAAGCCACCUACACAUGUCUAGCAAGAAAGCUAAACACUAGUUACAACAAGAAAGCACAACAAGAAGCUUGCUACACUCCUAAACAAGAAGACUAAACUAAACAAGCUAAACAACUAGCAAGGUAAACAGGUAAGUAAAGGAGUGAAGAGUGAUCGUUAUACCAAUGUUGUAGAGUAGAGAUAUAUCCAACCAAUCACUCACUAUCAUAAGAGAAUCCUCGGCAAGAGAUGACACAAGAUUUUUUACCGAGAUUCACUUGCUUCCCGGCAAGCUACUCCUUGUUGUGGCGAUACACCCACUUGAUGGAUCACGAGCUAAUUGGCAAUCCAAAGCCAAACCCUCAGCAGGUGCCGCACAUCCACUCACAAGAUGGGGAUCCUCCAAGCCACGAGCAAUCCACUAGAGUAGCCAAUUGCGAUCUCCCGCGAGGAAGGCUCAAGAACCCCUCACAAAUCACUUGGUGAGGCUCGAAACAAUCUCCAAUCACGAGCUCAACACCACCUCUGCUCCAAGCCGUCUAGGGCAUCGGGAAACACCCAAGAGUAACAAGAAAUCCGUAGCAAACUCAAGAAUCAAGUGCCACUAAAUGCAACUCUCAAAGCAAUGCGCUUGAAUCUCACUCAAUCUCACUAGGAUUAGCAAUCAAGCAAGGAGAUGAGUGUUCUCUAGCUCAAUGUAUGUCUCAAGUAAUCAAAUGUGCAAGAGUUAACCUCCCAAAGCCGGCUACCUUCUAUUUAUAAGCCCCUCAAAGAAACUAGCCGUUGGCUUUUUCACUGGGCUGAAAACGGGGUCACCGGACGCUACUAAGUGAGCAUCGGAUGCUCGACUCCCUGCCUCCGGUGCACUGGAGUUGGCCACGUGUCCGUCCUGAAUCUCACAUGUCAGAUCCUAACGGUCACCUGCGGAUCACCGGACGCUCUGCAGAUCCACACCGGACGCGUCCGGUGCACAACGGACUCAUGCGCAGAGAGUUCCACAAACCUGCGGGUCACCGGACGCUAAGCACCGGUAGCGUCCGGUGCUCACUGGACCCAUGCGCAGAGAGGGUCGCAAAACACCCGCACACUGGACACUAUCCACCGGAUGCACUCAGAGAGCGUCCGGUGCUCAACCCUAGGAACUCCACCUCCUUUGUAAAUGUGCUAACACCAACAAGUGUCCACCACCAAAGUGCAUGUGUGUUAGCUUUUCACAAACAUUUUCCCAAAGGAGUUAAGUUAGCACUUUACUAGAUCCUAAUGCAUAUGCUCAAGAUAUGGACCUAGUAGCACUUGAUUCGAGAGAUGACCAUGAUUUCCCCUCUUGAUAGUCGGCUAUCUAUCCUAAACCCGGUCAAUCACUUCUCUACUCAUCUUAGACCGGCAAAAGUAACACCCUAUGUUUAUACCUUUGCCUUGAUAACUUUGCUCCACGUCUAUCACCAUGAUCUCCACUUCGUGCUUCAUCCCUUUGUGAUUAUGUGGCCACCUUUCCAUGCCACCAUGCACCUUCAUCACAUGAGUUGCUAUGCCUAACUCAAAUCACUUAAACACAUAGCAUUAGCAACUUGGUGUCAUUAAUUACCAAAACCAAACUUGGGCUUUCAAUCUCCCCCUUUUUGGUAAUUGAUGACAACCAUCACAAAGAUAUGAAAUGAAAUCAUAAUGAACUUGAAUUGCCUGUCCAAAGCAUUUUAAUCAUGAGACAAGGUUGGACAAACAUUUCAAUUUCAGUUUUGGUAGUACUAGCUCCCCCUACAUAUGUGCUUCCAUGAGUUUGGUUCAAGUUCGCACAUAUGCAUGAAUUGGAAUUUUGGGAGAUUUAUUACUACCAAAAUGAUGCUAAGGUAUAUAGAAUGGACCUUUGAAGCGUGAUACCAAUCGGAGUAGCCAAUAUACCAUCCUUAGCACCAAAGAAGCUAGACAUACAUCAAAAACUCAAGAUACCUCGUGAGAUCACAUUAUAUGUCUAGAUACCAUAUGAAAAUAAAACUCUAUGCUAGAAUUCAAAACAUCAUUCAAGUUCUAUUUCUAGCAAGCACCAAUCAAACAAGAGUUGUGAAUUUUAAACUUGCAAUGCAACACCUCAUUAUGUUAGUGCACAAUCAAAUGCAAUAAAUGGUUCAUGAGCUUGCUCCCCCUAUUUGUGUGCUCAAGUUUAAAGGUGUUUUCUCUCCCUAUCUUUGUUUCUCUUCCCUCUUUUUGACUUUAUCUUUGUUUCUCUCCCCCUUUGUCAUCAAUGACCACAAAGGUUCAAAUUUUAGUGAGAAUUAAGUCAAUCAAUGUGAGGGUCAAAUUAUGGUUCAAUCUAGAUCACUUGCCUAAAACAUGUAAUUCGGUUUGAUCCAAGGACAAGCUUUUUCACACCUCAUGAAGUAUAAGGGUUAUCUUGACCACGUUGAAUUACACAUUGUAAGCUCAUAUUCUAGAUUCAACGCUAGGCAUACAAGCUCACAAACAUGCCAUAUGCUACCACUAGAUCAAUCAAACAUAGAAGCAAUAGUGGUACCAUACAUACAUCAAAAUCUUUUGAUUUCAUGAAUGAGCCUAUUGUCAUGCAAACAUGUCUAUAUGUUCUAAUCAUGUCCUUAGCAAGUAUGAAUGCUAUGUCAACCAACUUUACCUUGCAUUGUUGGAGGAGAGGCAUGGCAUAUAGAAAUGUGGGGGUGCACUUAUUUCAAGUUGGAGAAGUCAAGUAUGUUCAAUUCAUUCCUCAACUUGCAAAAUCUCUUCUCAUCAAGUGGCUUUGUGAAGAUGUCGGCUAGUUGAUCUUCGGUGCCAAUGCUUUCAAUGCUAAUAUCACCCUUUUGUUGAUGGUCCCUUAUGAAAUGGUGCCUUAUGUCAAUGUGCUUGGUUCUUGAAUGUUGAACCGGAUUUUGUGUCAUCUUGAUUGCACUCUCAUUAUCACAUAGCAAAGGUAUAUUCUUGAAUUUGAUUCCAAAGUCAUUCAAGGUAGCUUUCAUCCAAAGAAAUUGUGCACAACAACUACCGGCACUAAUGUAUUCGGCCUCGGUGGUUGAUAGUGCAACACUAUUUUGUUUCUUUGAUGACCAUGAAACUAGAGACCUUCCUAGCAAUUGACAAGUGCCACUUGUGCUCAUUCUAUCAAUCUUGCAUCCACCAUAGUCGGAGUCCGAAUAUCCAAUCAACUCAAAGUUAGACCCCUUGGGAUACCAUAAUCCAACAUCAUGAGUGCCUUUAAGAUACCUCAAUAUUCUCUUGGUUGCCUUCAAGUGACUCUCUAUAGGUGAAGCUUGGUAUCUUGCACACUUGCACACACAAAACAUUACAUCCGUUCUUGAUGCGGUGACAUAGAGUAAACUUCCAAUCAUAGACCGGUAUAGCUUUUGGUCUGCCAUGUUGCCACUUGAAUCACUACCUAGUUGAUCAUUUGUACCCAUAGGUGUGCUCAUUGGUUUAGCUUCUUGCAACCCAAACUUAUUGAUCAUGUCCUUGAUGUACUUUCCUUGACUUACAAAAGUGCCAUCCUUCAUUUGCUUGAUUUGAAGACCAAGGAAGUAACUAAGCUCUCCAAUCAUGGACAUCUCAAACUCAUUUGCCAUCAUUUUUCCAAACUCUUCACAAAAGUCUUGAUUGGUUGAUCCAAAGAUGAUAUCAUCAACAUAUAUUUGCAACACAAACAAGUCCUUGCCUAGCUUCUUGGUGAAGAGGGUAGUGUCAACCUUUCCCAUCUUGAACCCUUUAGAGAGAAGGAAAUCUCUCAAUCUUUCAUACCAUGCUCUAGGUGCUUGCUUCAAACCAUACAAUGCCUUCUUGAGCUUGUAAACAUGGUUGGGUUUCUUGUCAUCUUCAAAACCGGGAGGUUGUUCAACAUAAACCAACUCAUUUAUGUAUCCAUUGAGAAACGCACUCUUCACAUCCAUUUGAUAGAGCUUGAUGUUGUGGGCACAAGCAUAGGCUAAUAAUAUUCUAAUUGCCUCCAAUCUUGCAACAGGUGCAUAUGUUUCUCCAAAGUCAAGACCUUCAACUUGAGUAUAACCUUGAGCUACUAAUCUUGCUUUGUUUCUCACAACCACACCAUCUUGAUCUUGCUUGUUUCUAAAGACCCACUUGGUACCAAUCACAUUGUAGUUCUUUGGCCUCUCAACAUGCUCCCACACUUGAUUUCUUGUGAAGUUGUUCAAUUCUUCAUGCAUGGCAUUUACCCAAUCAGAAUCUUUCAAUGCAUCUUCUAUUCUCUUUGGUUCUUCAAAUGAGACAAAUGAAUAGUGCUCACACAAGGAUGCUAGCCUUGAUCUUGUUUGCACACCACUUUGAAUACCACCAAUGACUUGAUCCAAUGGAUGAUCUCUUGCUACGCUUGUAGGUUAGAGUAUUGGGAGUUGAUUGCUUCCACUAGCUUGAUUUAGAUUUUGGUCAUCAUCAUGAGAGCCACUAGUACUUGCUUGAUUUGUAUCAAUUUGCACUUCUUGAUUUAUCAUGUGAAUAUUACUAUCAUCAUCAACUUGCCUUGGCCUUAUGUCACCUACAUCCAUGUUCUUCAUUGCAUUUGCCAAUUGAUCUCCCCUCACAUCAUCAAGAUUUUGAGCUUCAUUUUGAGAUCCCUCGGUUUCAUCAAACUCAACAUCAUGGACUUCUUCCAAUGUGCCACUUGCCAAGUUCCAAACUCCAUAUGCUUUGCUUGUGGUGGAAUAACCAAGUAAGAACCCUUCAUCACAUUUCUUCUCAAAUUUACUCAAUCUAGUGCCUUUCUUGAGAAUAUAGCAUUUGCAACCAAACACUCUACAGUAUGCAAUGUUGGGCUUUCUUCCAUUCAAUAGCUCAUAUGGUGUCUUCCCAAGCUUCCCAUGGCAAUAGAGACGGUUGCUACAAUAGCAAGCCGUGUUGAUAGCUUCACUCCAAAAUGAAUGGCUAACAUUGUAUUCACUAAGCAUUGAUCUAGCCAUAUCAAUCAAGGUUCUAUUCUUCCUUUCAACUACACCAUUGGAUUGAGGAGUGUAUGUUGGAGAGAAUUGAUGUCCAAUACCAAGAUCAUCACACAAUUCCUCAAUUCUUGUGUUCUUGAACUCACUACCAUUGUCACUUCUAAUCUUUUUGAUAGUGGUUUCAAACUCAUUUUGCACCCUCUUGACAAAAGACUUGAAUAGAUCACAAACAUCACUCUUAUCAUAGAGGAACAACACCCAAGUGUAUCUAGUGUAGUCAUCUACUAUCACAAAUCCAUACUUGUUGCCACCAAAGCUACUGUAUGUUGUUGGCCCAAAUAAAUCCAUGUGCAAUAGCUCAAAUGCCUUUGAUGUGCACAUUUCACUUUUCUUAGGAUGUGCUUUUCCAACUUCCUUUCCAGCUUGACAAGCACUACAUGGUUUAUCCUUCUCAAAGGUGACAUCCUUCAAGCCUCUAACUAAGUCAUGCCUCAAUAGUUUGUUCAAUUGUUUCAUUCCAACAUGACCAAGCCUUCUAUGCCACAACCAACCCAAACUUGAUUUGCUAAUUAGGCAUGAUCUCAAUUGAGUGUCACUAUCAUUGAAAUCAACCAAGUAUAAGCUACCAUGCCUAAAUCCUUUGAAUAUCAAGUUUGAUCCAUCAACACUAACAACCUCAACAUCAUCACUUCCAAAAAUGCACUUGAAACCAAGGUCACAAAGUUGUGCAAUUGACAAGAGAUUGAAAUCUAGGCUCUCAACUAGCAACACAUUUGAUAUGCUCAUGUCAUUUGAGAUAGCAAUUUUACCAAGUCCCUUGACCUUGCCUUUCUUGUUGUUGCCAAAGGUGAUUGAAUCAAAGCCACCAUUUUGACUAGUAUCAAUUGAUUUGAACAUAGAAGACUCUCCGGUCAUAUAUUGAGUGCACCCACUAUCAAGCACCCAAUGCCUUUCUCUGGCUUUGUAAUUGACCUACAAGACAAGAUCAAUUCUUUUUAGGUACCCAAACUUGAUUGGGUCCUCCAAGGUUAGCAACUAAGCUCUUUGGUACCCAAAUGGCUUUCUUCUUUGAGCCCAUCCAUGGUGCACCAAUGAACUUAGCAUGAACACCUUUUGUAUCCUUGGUAAGCAUAUAGAAGGAAUUAAGCUUAAUUGAGGAUACAUGAGCUUUGGGUUUCUUGUUCAUGCAUUGUUGCUCUAGGUGACCCACUUGCUUGCAAGCUUUGCAAUACCGACCAUUGUUCUUCACAAAACUAGUCUUGUGAGGAGCAAAGGCGGCCUUGCCUUUCUUGGGGUUAUAGCCUAAUCCCUCUUUAUAGAGAGAAGCUCUUUGGCUACCCAAGCACAUAAGAAGUGGUCCUCACCACCAUAAGCCUUGGCUAAGGUGUGAUUGAGCUCUUUCACCUCCUUCUUGAGAAUUUCAUUCUCAACUUUUAGUGUGGUGUCACAAGUGAAACCAUCACUACUAGAUGAGGAUGAUGUAGAUGUGCUACAUGAAGGGUUAGUAGAAGCAACAACAAUAGGCUUACUUAAGAUAUCACAUGUUAGGCCUAUGUUGCAAGUUUUAGCUUUCUCAAUUUUAGUUGGCUCAUUUUCAAAUUUGUUAACUAGAGAGGAAUGAGCUUCUUCAAGCUUAGUGUGAGCCUUUUGAAGCUUCUUAUGGUCUUCCUUUAGACUCUCAUAAGAUGCUCUAAGCUCAUCAAGUUCUUGCUCAAGGGUUUUCUUAUCCUUAAGUAAGGCCUUGCACUCCUUUCUAGUUUCUUUACAGUGAUAAGUGAAAUCUUCUAGCAUAGUGAUUAGUUCAUCUUUAGUUGGCUCAUCAUCAUCACUAUCACUAUCACUAUCAUGGUCACUUUCAUCAUCGGAUGAUACCUUAGUGGCCUUAGCCAUGAAGCAUGAUGGAGUGUCGAAGAUGGAGCUCUUUCCUUGAAUUGCAAUGCUAGCAUGCGCCUUCUUCUUGGUGCUCUCAUCAUCACUUGAGGAGUCAUCACUAUCCCAAGUUGCAACAUGGGCAUCACCCUUCUUCUUGUUUGAGCCUUCUUUCUUUUCUUGCUUCUUCUUCUGCUUCUUUCUUUCCUUCAUGAUAGCAUCUUCAUCAUCACUAUCAUAAGGACACUUGGCGAUGAGAUGAUCCUUGCUAUGGCAUCUAAAGCACCUCAUGGAAUGAUCAUUCUUCUUGGAGGAGCUCUUCUUUCUUCUUACCCGAUAGCCCUUCUUCUUCAUAAACUUGCCAAAUCUUUUGACAAGAAGAGUCAUCUCCUCAUCUUCAUAACUAUCACAAGAGCUUGCUUCUUCUUCACUUGAUGACUCUAUCUUGGCUUUGCCCUUGGAUGAGGAGGCCUUGAAUGCCACACUUUUCUUCUUCUCAUCAUCUUUCUUCUCACCAUCCUUCUUCUUCUUCUUGAUUAACCCAUCCUUCUCAUCAACUUCCCUAUAAGCAUCAUCGGUCAUCACCUCUCAGAAGACUUGUUGGGGAGUUGAAUCACUAAGUGUUGUCUUGACUAGCACGGUGAUCAAUGUGUCAAAUCUCUUGGGCAAGCUUCUCAAGAACUUCAUAGAGAAUUGACUAUCUUUUACUUCUUCCCCAAGUGCCUUGAGUUCAUUCACAAUGACUUGCAACCGGUGAAACAUCUCUGGCACACUUUCAUCUUCUUGCAUCUUUGUUGACGGUUCUUAAGUAUCAAUUUUAAUUAUCAAAUAAACAAGAGAAAGGACCAAUACGCAACCAACACCUAGAAUUAGGGUUUGAUCUAACAGAAUUCCACGAGUUUUGUUGUUUAUCUGUUUCUGUAGGGGGUUAUCAGGAAAUAAGGAAGAAAGGCCCACAUGUCGGGAUUACAUAGAGAUAUCAACGCACCGCGUGAUUUUCUAUCAUCUAGAAGACUCCAGAAGCCACAAGAACGAAGCAGAGGCCGAAAGGGGCCAGGCCCAGGGCGCCCGCCCUGGUGACCUGGGCGCCCGCCCCCUGCUGGAUUCCGUUCGGGAGUCUCUUCGCACACGAUGUUCCACCGACCUAUUGGAUCAAGAAUAAUGUAGUACCACCUCGCCUACCGACCCAAAAACGCAUAGAGGAGGAGGACUAUAUAAGGAGACCCCCCUGGCCCCUGGAGAAGACAAGAAAUUAUCAUAGAGAUUGAGGGGUGCCCUCGAAGGAAAACCUCUUCUCUAAUCACUGUUCGCCUAAACGGCCGUUUAGACCAUUUAAACGCCGUGUAAACGCUACACAAUGGUACACCGUUUCCGUUUAAUCAUCUGUUUAGUCCGUUUAAUUGACCGUUUAGCCCGUUUAAUGGACUGUUUAGCCCGAAUAAUGGCUAAACGGUAGAUGACCGACUGUUUACCGUUUAGCGUUUAGGAAAACAUUGUCUCUAAUUAAUAUUUCUUUUUAGGCUUAGCAACCAAUGUAAAGUAGAAAUAGAUCUUCUAGUUUCUACUAGAUUGAGAGAGAUAGAGUGGAGGUGUAGAUUAGAGGAAGCCCGGCCUGUCGGUGUCUACUCCAAGCUUGUACCUGCGGGAUCAAGUUCUCCUAACCCGAAGCUUGCUCCUAGGAUUCUUCAGUAUUUUGACUUCUAAAUUCUAGUAAGUUCUUGUUUUAUUGUUCUUCUGGUUUAUGAGUUUACUUUAAUCUCUUCGCGUAGAGUUUAGAGUAAUCAUUGCCGGCGUAAACGUGGUGUUUGGGCUGGGGUACUCAUAGAUAUUCCCUGACUAGCUAGAUUGUGGUAGUAGUGAGGAACGUGACAAUUCUGAGUUACCUUUGCAGACCAUAUCUCGUUAGCAGGAAGGAUAGGGUUUAUAGGUGUGGGUUGAACAUCCUUUGUGGUGUCUAGAUUCCGUUAGCCUCCCCAAUAGAACAGUAGAUCAUCCUUACCAAGGUUAGAAGAAGACUACGGUUGCAGUCUUCUCUAUUUAUCACUCACAUCGAGAGACACUCUUUGUUGCCUAAAGGGUUAGUAGUAAUAGACCGGUUAGUCAGAUGCACUCUUUCUCCUAGUGGUAAAAAAAAUAAAUACGAUACUCCGGAUAAUUUCCCGGGUGAAGUGCUCACCGAUAUCCAUGUGCUUGCGGAUCAAUUCCUUAUUGCGUUCCCAAAUAUCAACAAGCAUUUCUUGCGCCGUUGUCGGGGAGAAAGACGGUUUGCUGAGAUAACCUUGAGUCUUACUACUAGCUUGUAUCUAAACUUUUAUCUUUUCUUAUCUAUUCUUUAUUUAUUUUCUUUACUCUUACCUUAUGGAAAACCAAAAUUCUAAAUCGAUCCAUGAAUCUGCAAUCCCUUCAGUAACUGACCUUUUACCAUGGGAAUCAUCACAGCCUAUCCAAACAUCCCAGUAUAAGUUAAGAUCUAGGUUGAUUGCCAUGAUCCAAAACCUAUCUUUUUUGGGAAAGGAAGACGAAAACCCUUACCUUCAUAUUAGAGAUUUUGAGCAAACAUGUGAUUGUCUUCGCAUUGAAGGCAUUUUUGAUAAAACUUUACGUUGGAAGCUUUUUCCUUUUUCUUUAAGGGGAGAAGCUAGACAAUGGUACAGUCAGAAGGUAAGUCAACAACGAGGUGAAUGGGGAGUUUUAUGAGCCAACUUUUGUCUAGAUUUUUAUUCCCUCGACCGUAUAGCCGACCUUAGACUCGAAGUCCAAUCUUUUAAACAAAAAGAUAAUGAAACUUUGGGAAAAUCCUGGAAAUGUUUUUCUGAUCUUUUAGAAUCUGGUCCAAACCUUAAUCUUGAAGACCCUGUUCUUUUAUUUCACUUUUUUCGAGGUCUUCAGAAAAAUCACAAACAAAUGCUACACACAAUGUCUAGAGGUUCUUUCUUUUGCAUCCCUACUGAUGAAGCUAGAGUGAUCCUAGAUAGAAUCUUAGAAGCUGAGAUGGAUAAUACCCUUCAUGAUGAAACCUACGAAGCCGAAGUAGACACUCUGCCAAAUUCUUCAUCUACUUUAGCUAUCCCAAGUUCUGAGCCACAAGAGGAAGAAAUUCCACCACCGGACUUCAUGCUGGAUAUAGAAUCCAAUCUUUUUGUUGAUUUUGGAAACAUUUCAAACUACCAUUCUAUUGACAAACCCCAAAAUGGCCAGUUUAGCAUUUAUUUGCCAAGUGAAUACCAAUUGAGAGAGCUUAUCUCAGUCAUGAGUAGCGAAUGGUUGGAGGAGUCCGAGCUUUCCUCUGAUGUGAUCUGUUUGGACACACCCUCUAUAACUAUACGCUGUGCUUAUAAUUCUGAUCGAUUUAAUGCUCUUUAUAAUCCUGUUGUGGGGAUCAACAUCAUGUCUGAAUCUUUUGCACUUAAACUAUUUAAAAAUCUUGUCUUAACCCCCACAACAAAGGUCAUAAAGGAAUCUUCGGGACGAUUAGUCCCCAGUCUUGGAAUUAUUAAUGUCCUACCUCUUACGGUAGAAGGCUCCAUGGUUCAUUUGAACUUCUAUAUCUUUGAUACAUGGGACUUCGACCUGUUGACAGGACAACCUUUUAGAAGACUCCUUUAUGAAUGUCAUACUGGAAAGCUACACAUUUCUUUCGGAAAAGCCUUUAAAUUCCCAAUAACAAUUUCACACUCCUUAAACAAUAAGGCCGAAUCAUAUCUUUUGCCUGAUCCUAUGGAGGAGGUAAAGGCUGCAUCUCUAGAGCUUUUAGAAGAAUCGGACUUAGAAGACGAAACUCCUUUCUUCAUAGAAGAAGAAGUCGAACCUUCUGAACCUGAACCCUUAGAUGAGUUUGCAGAAACACCUAGACCCCCCAUAGAGCUUAAAACUUUACCACCCGGUCUUACCUAUGCUUUCCUAAACAAUAAUCCAGAGUUUCCUGUGAUCAUUAGCAACAAACUCACUCAGGACCAAACUCUGCGAUUAAUGACUAUUCUUGAGAAACAUCACUCAGUGUUCGGCUACUCACUCCAAGAUCUUACAGGAAUCAGUCCUAUGAUUUGUACCCAUCGUAUUCCAACAGAUCCUUCUGUUUCACCCUCUCAAGAACCCCAAUGUAGACUUAAUAACACUAUGAGAGAGGUAGUUAAAAAGGAAGUUAUAAAGUUGCUGCAUGCAGGGAUUAUAUAUCCUGUGCCGCACAGUGAGUGGGUAAGCCCAGUUCAAGUUGUGCCUAAAAAGGGAGGCAUGACUGUUAUUAUGAAUGAAAAGAAUGAGCUAAUUCCGCAACGCACCGUCACAGGAUGGCGGAUGUGCAUAGACUAUAGAAAACUAAACAAAGCCACGAGAAAGGAUCACUUUCCUUUACCUUUCAUAGAUGAGAUGCUAGAGCGGUUAGCGAACCAUUCGUUCUUCUGUUUCUUAGAUGGAUAUUCAGGGUAUCACCAAAUCCCGAUCCAUCCUGAUGAUCAAAGCAAAACCACUUUUACAUGCCCAUAUGGAACUUAUGCUUACCGUAGAAUGUCUUUCGGGUUAUGUAAUGCACUAGCUUCUUUUCAAAGAUGCAUGAUGUCUAUAUUUUCUUAUAUGAUUGAAGAGAUUAUGGAAGUUUUCAUGGAUGAUUUCUCUAUUUAUGGAAAAACUUUUGAUAGUUGUCUUGAAAACUUAGACAAGGUUUUGCAAAGAUGUGAAGAAAAGCACUUAGUCCUUAAUUGGGAAAAAUGUCAUUUUAUGGUUAGAGAAGGAAUAGUGCUGGGACACUUAGUGGCUGAAAGAGGUAUUGAGGUAGAUAAAGCUAAAAUUGAAGUAAUUGAACAACUACCUCCACCUGUGAAUAUAAAAGGAAUUCGAAGCUUUCUUGGCCAUGCUGGUUUUUAUCAUAGAUUCAUAAAAGAUUUUUCAUUCAUUGCUAGACCACUUACUCUUUUGCUAGCCAAGGAUGCUCCUUUCGAAUUUGAUGAUGCAUGUCUAACAUCUUUCAAUUUAUUAAAGAAUGCACUCAUCUCUGCACCAAUCAUUCAACCCCCUGAUUGCUCGUUGCCUUUUGAAAUUAUGUGUGAUGCUAGUGAUUAUGCUGUAGGGGCAGUUUUGGGACAAACUAAAAAUAAGAAGCAUCAUGCAAUUGCUUAUGCCACUAAAACUUUGACAGGAGCUCUACUUAAUUAUGCAACCACUGAAAAAGAGCUUCUAGCUGUUGUCUUUGCCAUUGAACAAUUUAGAUCUUAUUUAGUUGGAGCUAAAAUAAUUGUUUACACUGAUCAUGCUGCACUAAAAUAUUUGCUCACUAAAAAAGAUGCUAAACCUCGCCUGAUUAGAUGGAUCUUAUUACUCCAAGAAUUUGACUUAGAAAUAAAAGAUAAAAAGGGAGUAGAAAAUUCUGUUGCUGAUCACUUGUCUAGAAUGUAUUUUAAGAGUCCACAGGAAACCCCCAUCAAUGAUUCACUCCGGGACGACAUGCUCUACGGGCUUAAAAGGUCUGACCCCUGGUAUGCAGAUAUUGUUAAUUUUAUGGUUUCAGGGUAUGUACCACCAGGAGCAAACAAGAAGAAGCUUAUUCAAGAAAGUUGUUCACAUAUAUGGGAUGAGCCAUACCUCUUCCGAGUAUGCUCUGAUGGCUUACUUAGGAGAUGUGUGACCACUGAGGAAGGAUGGAAGUCAUCGACAGAUGUCAUUCAUCACCAUAUGGAGGUCACUAUGGAGCAUUCCGCACACAUUCAAAGAUCUGGCAGUGUGGAUUCUACUGGCCUACAAUGUAUGAAGACACGAAGCAAUAUAUCAGAAGAUGUGGGCCAUGUCAAAGACACGGAAACAUAAAUACAAGGGAUGCAAUGCCACUCACCAACAACCUUCAGAUUGAGCUCUUUGAUGUCUGGGGAAUAGACUACAUGGGUCCAUUUCCUCCAUCAAAGAAGUGUGAGUACAUCUUGGUGGCAGUUGACUAUGUCUCCAAGUGGGUAGAGGCAUUACCUUGCAAGCAUGCCGACAACAUCAGUUCAAAGAGGAUGUUUGAAGAAAUUAUAUUUCCAAGAUUUGGAGUCCCUAGAGUAGUGAUAAGUGAUGGAGGAGCACACUUCAUCGACAAACGCUUCAAGCAAUAUCUAUCCAAACAUAGAAUCUGUCACAACGUCGCUACCCCCUAUCAUCCUCAGACAAGUGGCCAAGCAGAGACUUCCAACAAACAAAUCAAGAAUAUUCUUCAAAAGACAGUAAAUGAAAUGGGAACGGCGUGGAAAGACAAGUUACCCGAUGCACUCUGGGCAUACCGAAUAGCAUACAAGACUCCAAUUGGAAUGUCUCCAUACCAAUUGGUGUACGGGAAGACUUGCCAUCUACCCGUUGAACUAGAGUUCAAAGCACACUGGGCCAUAAAGAGAUGGAAUAUGGACCUAGAUGUUGCUGGAGAUUAUAGAAGAAUGCAACUAUCAGAAUUGGAAGAAUGGCGAGAGAAAGCAUAUCACAAUUCGAAGAUCAACAAAGAAAGAGUCAAAAGGUGGCAUGACAAGAGAAUCAAGAAGAAGGAGUUCACACCCGGAGAUAAGGUAUUACUUUUUAAUUCCAGGGUGAAGCUUUUCGGGCAUGGAAAACUCCGGAGCAAAUGGGAAGGACCAUUCAAGGUAAUUAAUUCAUCAUCCCACGGAGCUAUCACACUUCAAAACGACGAAGGUACGUUAUUCAAGAUAAAUGGUCAACGUCUUAAAUUAUUUUUAGAGCCCAAUAAAGAAUUAGAAGAAAUAGACGUAGUCCAUUUUUACCUUCCCAUGGAGAAUUAGAGCCCGACCUUUUUAGUCUGAUGUUUUUGGGUCAUAUAUAUAUUUUUCUAAAUAGUUUUGCAUCUAGAAACGCGCUCGAUAAAGUGGGCCCACAUAGGGGCCAGAGAGAGGGCGAGCGCCCAGAUCAGGUGGACGGGCGCCCAGCUCCUGUUCCUCCUCAGUCCCGACUUUCUCUGUUAUGGAAAAUGCACUUAUGGUAAUCCGAAUAAUCCCUCAGAUGGAAAGUUUCGCAAGCACAUCGACGGGAGCAACCCGAACAACCCAUAGAGGCACUUUUUGACCCCUAUAUAAACAGACCCCUGACCUCAGUUUUCAAACACCAAGCCACCAAGCCUUCUCUUCUUCUUCUUCAAUUAGAGCUUGAUUAGUUCCUUGCUGCUCCAAUGGCCGAGAAGUACCACGAUGAUUGGGAAGUCGUCUCCUUCAACCUCAACAUGGAGCCGGUCGAAGACCCCGAUGCCCGUGCUCUCGUCCCGGCCAACACAGAGCGACAGAUAGAAGCCAUGCCAUUAUGCCAACGCAGCUCCGCCCAAUCCUACCAUGCUCAACCAGUUCACACCGCACAAGGAUCCUUCCACCUAGACCCAAUGAGAGAGUCGUUGGAGUCAAGACCAACCGGAGCGGCGAGAUCAGCAGCGUAUGCUACACUACGGAGGAGGAAAGGCCUUACUUCGAAGGGAUUAGAGCAGCCAAAGUCCGUUUCAUCCCUCCAAAGGCAGCCCCGUAGCACGCUCUCAAUGCUUUUGAGACACCUCUCAAGCGUCGCAAGACUAUAAUGGAUAUUGAUGAGGACGUUCGCAGACUAGACAGAGUUAUCAUAGACCUCCAGUCCUCGAUUAAUUCCCUCACUAGGCAGCUCUCUAACCACAACACCAUCGUACUAGGCCUUAGACAGGAUCUUGCUAGUGCCAACAAGAAGAUCAAGGAAUUAGAGCGCCGCUAAGUUAUCGAGAUUAGACCUUGAGGCAAUGCAUCUUAGUUAUUUAUCUUUAAAUUUGGUUUAGGUUUACUAUUAUCAUCAGUUUACUACUAUCAUCAGUUUGCUAAUAGUUAUUUGUAAUAAAUGCCUCAAGAUUAAUAAAGAAUAUUAUUAUUAUUAUUAUUAUUAUUAUUAUUAUUAUUAUUAUUAUUAUUAUUAUUAUUAUUAUUAUUAUUAUUAUUAUUAUGUCUCGUGUGUCUCUACUUUAUUUUUUGUGCAAGAAAGCAGAAAACAAGUAUGGGGGAGAUCCCUCGACAUGCCAAACACACUCCGACUACACCACUCCACGAGUCAGGUACACACUCUACACACUUUACUUUAUACAUACACAUAUCUUGGAUUAUGCAGAAUACUGUUUCCGACAUGACAAAUUAAAAAGAUUAAAAUAUUUCUAAUCAUGAUUAAUCUCACUCUGUUAUAUUUCCUGAAACUUGCAAUUAUUAUAAAAUCAUUUUAAAACCCUGUGUUACUUAAGACAGUGUGAAAUGUGAGAUGGUAGAGUUUCUUAUUCUUGAUAUCAUUGUUGCUUGGAGAAUUUAUUUCAAAAUCUUUAUAAUUCUAGCUACCAUCCUCAGUGUUUUAUAUGCCUGAUAAAAACUGAAAAUAUUAAUUAUGAUUAUAAAAGCUAUCUACUCUGUAUUGAUUGAGUUUGUUCAAAAUGAGUUAGACCCUUGUUGAGAGAUUUAUCAUGCUCCUAAGAUCAAGACAUUUAUUCAGAAAGAUUCACUCUUCUAAAGUAUUAUUGCAUUAGAGGCAUGGGCUAUGCAAAAAUAAAGAUAUUUUCGAGGAAAUAAAAAGGAGCAAGUGCUCGACAACCUCGCAGAAAAAAUGGACAAGUGUCCGGCAGUAGAAUUAGGGAUACCUCGGUAUCCACUUAAAAAAAUGAUAGCCCAUGGUCCCUCUAAUAAGGAAUAUGCCAGCAAGAGUUGACAAAGAUUUUAAUUUCCAAAGUCUUUGAUCUAAGAGUAUGACAUUCCCCUCCUCGGAUCCCGUUUUGAUCAGGCAAUAAAUGCAAAGUAAGUAUGCUUAAGAAUUUUUGCAAAUUAAAACAACCUCAGUGAGAUAUAUAAAAGAUAAUGAGUGAUCUGAGAGAACCUAUGAGGAUAAAAAGGUAUGCUAGCUUUCUUUCAAAAUUAUACAAAAACUCCAAGUAACAGGAUUGAGAAGAAAGGAUCUUUACUCUUAAUCAUACACUUCCCUGACUACAAUACACAGUGAAUUUUAAUACCCUGCAAAUAUAAAGAAUGUUUUAGAAUGUAUUACCCCAAAUAUUGUUCUUAACCAUCCUUUUCUCGAGGACGAGUAAAAGCCUAAGUAUGGGGGUAUUUGUUGACGGUUCUUAAGUAUCAAUUUUAAUUAUCAAAUAAACAAGAGAAAUGACCAAUAUGCAACCAACACCUAGAAUUAGGGUUUGAUCUGACAGAAUUCCUCGAGUUUUGUUGUUUAUCUGUUUCUGCAGGGGUUAUCAGGAAAUAAGGAAGAAAGGCCCACAUGUCGGGAUUACAUAGAGAUAUCAAUGCACCGCGUGAUUCUCUACCAUCUAGAAGACUCCAGAAGCCACGAGAACGAAGCAAAGGCCGAAAGGUGCCACGCCCAGGGCGCCCGCCCUGGUGACCUGGGCGCCCGCCCCCUGCUGGAUUCUGUUCGGGACUCUCUUCGCACAUGAUGUUCCACCGACCUAUUGGAUCAAGAAUAAUGUAGUACCACCUCGCCUACCGACCCAAAAGUGCAUAGAGGAGGAGGACUAUAUAAGGAGACCCCCUGGCCCCUGGAGAAGACAAGAAAUUAUCAUAGAGAUUGAGGGGUGCCCUCAAAGGAAAACCUCUUCUCUAAUUAAUAUUUCUUUUUAGGCUUAGCAACCAAUGUAAAGUAGAAAUAGAUCUUCUAGUUUCUACUAGAUUGAGAGAGAUAGAGUGGAGGUGUAGAUUGGAGGAAGCCCGGCCUGUCGGUGUCUACUCCAAGCUUGUACCUGCGGGAUCAAGUUCUCCUAACCCGAAGCUUGCUCCUAGGAUUCUUCAGUAUUUCGACUUCUAAAUUCUAGUAAGUUCUUGUUUUAUUGUUCUUCUGGUUUAUGAGUUUACUUUAAUCUCUUCGCGUAGAGUUUAGAGUAAUCAUUACUGGCGUAAACGUGGUGUUUGGGCUGGGGUACUCAUAGAUAUUCCCUGACUAGCUGGAUUGUGGUAGUAGUGAGGAACGUGACAAUUCCGAGUUACCUUUGCAGACCAUAUCUCGUUAGCAGGAAGGAUACGGUUUAUAGGUGCGGGUUGAACAUCCUUUAUGGUGUCUAGAUUCCGUUAGCCUCCCCAAUAGAACAGUAGAUCAUCCUUACCAAGGUUAGAAGAAGACUACGGUUGCAGUCUUCUCUAUUUAUCACUCACAUCGAGAGACAUUCUUUGUUGCCUAAAGGGUUAGUAGUAAUAGACCAGUUAGUCAGAUGCACUCUUUCUCCUAGUGGUAAAAAAAAUAAAUACUAUACUCUGGAUAAUUUCCCGGGUGAAGUGCUCACCGAUAUCCGUGCGCUUGCGGAUCAAUUCCUUAUUGUGUUCCCAAAUAUCAACAAUCUUGAAGCUUGAGAACUUUUCUUGAAGGAUGUAUGCCUUGGCGGUCUUGGUUCCCUUGGUGCCCUCAAAUGUUUCUUCUAAUUUUGCCCAUGCAUCAUGAGCAAUCACAAUGUUCUUGAUUUGCUCAAAGGUCUUGUCAUCAAGAGCUUCAUGAAGAGCACUAAUUGCAAUGUCAUUGGAUUGAAGCUUCUUUUCUUCAACCGGUGUAGGUGCAUUCUCAUUUGCAACCUCAAAUUUUGUUUCGGUCACCUUCCAAACUUCUCUAUUGAUUGACUUGAGAUGGGCAGUCAUCUUGACCUUCCAAUAAGCAUAAUUUGUGCCAUCAAAGUAAGGUGCCUUCUUAGUGUUGUUGAUAUGUAAACUAAGAGCCAUUUCUUCACCGUAGGUUGUUAAGCCUCAAAUAAACGGUGCCUCGGCUCUGAUACCACUUGAAAGGUCCAAAUGGCUAGAGGGGGGUGAAUAGCCUAUUUAAAAUUUUCUACAAACUUCAACUAGACAAGUUGAUUAGUAAAACAAAAGGCGAAGCUAUUCUAGCACUAGCAUAACUAAGCUAUGCAAGCCACCUACACAAGUCUAGCAAGAAAGCUAAACACUAGUUACAACAAGAAAGCACAACUAGAAGCUUGCUACACUCCUAAACAAGAAGACUAAACUAAACAAGCUAAACAACUAGCAAGGUAAACAGGUAAGUAAAGGAGUGAAGAGUGAUUGUUAUACCAACGUUGUAGAGUAGAGAUAUAUCCAACCAAUCACUCACUAUCACAAGAGAAUCCUCGGCAAGAGAUGACACAAGAUUUUUUAUCGAGGUUCACUUGCUUCCCGGCAAGCUACUCCUCGUUGUGGCGAUAUAGCCACUUGAUGGAUCACGAGCUAAUUAGCAAUCCAAAGCCAAACCCUCAGCGGGUGCCGCACAUCCACUCACAAGAUGGGGAUCCUCCAAGCCACGAGCAAUCCACUAGAGUAGCCAAUUGCGAUCUCCCGCGGGGAAGGCUCAAGAACCCCUCACAAAUCACAUGGUGAGGCUCGAAACAAUCUCCAAUCACGAGCUCAACACCACCGCUACUCCAAGUUGUCUAGGGCAUCGGGAAACACCCAAGAGUAACAAGAAAUCCACAGCAAACUCAAGAAUCAAGUGCCACUAAUUGCAACUCUCAAAGCAAUGCACUUGAAUCUCACUCAAUCUCACUAGGAUUAGCAAUCAAGCAAGGAGAUGAGUGGAGGGAGUGUUCUCUAGCUCAAUGUAUGUCUCAAGUAAUCAAAUGUGCAAGAGUGAACCUCCCAAAGUCGGCCACCUUCUAUUUAUAAGCCCCACAAAGAAUCUAGCCGUUGGCUUUUUCACUAGGCUGAAAACGGGGUCACCGGACGCUACUAAGUGAGCAUCGGACGCUCGACUCCAUGCGUCCGGUGCACUGGAGUUGGCCACGUGUCCGCCCUGAAUCUCACGUGUCAGAUCCUAACGGUCACCUGCGGAUCACCGGACGCUCUGCAGAUCCACACCGGACGCGUCCGGUGCACACCGGACUCAUGCGUAGAGAGUUCCGCAAACCUGCGGGUCACCGGACGCUAAGCACCGGUAGCGUCCGGUGCUCACCGGACCCAAGCACAGAGAGGGUCGCAAAACACCCGCACACCGGACACUAUCCACCGGACGCACUCAGAGAGCGUCCGGUGCUCAACCCUAGCAGGGUCAAGCACACCGGACUCUGAGGCCAGCGUCUGGUGCCUUCGCACUCUGCGUCCGGUGAGUGUUUCUCGAUGAGAACACACUCCCGCGACUUCUCCAAAUUUCCCACCGGCGCAAUAGAAAAUAUACACUUAUUUUUCUCAAAAGCGCUGAAUCCCAAACGAACCCACACCCCUGUCAACCCUAGGAACUCCACCUCCUUUGUAAAUGUGCUAACACCAACAAGUGUCCACCACCAAAGUGCAUGUGUGUUAGCUUUUCACAAAUAUUUUCCCAAAGGAGUUAAGUUAGCACUUUACUAGAUCCUAAUGCAUAUGCUCAAGAUAUGGACCUAGUAGCACUUGAUUCGAGAGAUGACCGUGAUUUCCCCUCUUGAUAGUCGGCUAUCUAUCCUAAACCCGGUCAAUCACUUCUCUACUCAUCUUAGACCGGCAAAAGUAACACCCUAUGUUUAUACCUUUGCCUUGAUAACUUUGCUCCACGUCUAUCACCAUGAUCUCCACUUCAUGCUUCAUCCCUUUGUGAUCAUCUGGCCAACUUUCCAUGCCACCAUGCACCUUCAUCACAUGUGUUGCUAUGCCUAACUCAAAUCACUUAAACACAUAGCAUUAGCAACUUGGUGUCAUUAAUUACCAAAACCAAACUUGGGCUUUCACACGUCUAACCAGUUAGGGCCGCGAGGUUUCCUCGGCAGGCAGAUAUAGAGAACCCCCCCUUUCCUAUGGCACAUUUCCAUCACGGCUAUACACAUAGGAACAGAAGCAGUUCUAUACCCAAAGUGGCAAGCCCCUCUUGCGCCCUUUCGGGUAACCUCUAACCAGCUAGAUGAGAUCCUACUACUGAGCUAAAGUUAGAGCCAUAUAACCAUCACGGUUGCACUAUAAGUCCCGGAUAGUCGCUUACAGAGAAGUCCUUACGGAGGGUCUAGGUCAACCUGACCGAAGUCAAUUGCACCAUAGCCCUUUUCUCAACAUUUGUCAUCAAAUUCAUUAAAGUCAGAGUGAUAGUAAAGUCUCAAUUAAUUAAAGCACUAGCAUAGCUACCGACAUGCAUACUACCCAUAGGUGUCAUAAAUAUAUAGUCAGGUAGCUAGGAUGUCCUUAGGGUUAUCAAAAUUAGACACAUGCAGAUGCGUAAUUAAUUAAGUGAAUAGGUGUACAAGGGAAACCCAUGUUAUACUUGCCUUCGGUGAAGAGGAACUGCUGCUGGUCCUGCUGCUCCUUGGAGUAAAAGGGAUCACCCACGGACACGUCACCGUCUGCGCUCGAUCGGUACCACACAACAACACGCAUUCCAAGUUCAAUCAUACAAGCAAACAAUCCUUUAGUUAGAACAGUACACCAACAGAUCAAAAAUGAAAUAAAAUAUUUAAAAACAGAACCUACGUUACACUACGAUCACAUAGAUACGAAGAUCACGAAAAUCGGAGCUAAAACGACCAAGUUACGAAUUUACGGUGAUUUCCUAUAGGCAUUUAAUUAAUUAAACCUAACCCUGAAAAUAAAAAGUGGCAAACUACAGAAACAGUAGUACUAACAUGUAGAGAAUUUAAAUACGAAUCUAACGCAAUUCGAACGGGUCAAAUCGGAGCUAUAACGAAUAUUUUAUGGCCAAAACAAGUUCAUUGGCAAUUCUGUAAUUUCCUGAAAGCGUAUUUUGACCUAACCGAUGGAUAAUACGCUUUCUAAAAGACAAAGCAUAAUUUAUGAAAUGCGCUAAGGACUGCGGGCGUGAUUAGCAAAAAGUUGGGGGUUUCUUUAACCAAAACUACCCUGAAAGGGUACGGGCUCUUCUCGGCCGUCCGAUUGGAAACAGACGCGCGAGAUUAAAAGAAAGAAACAGAGGGAGAGCGGAGAGGGCGCGCCGGCCAGAGGGGAGGGAGGGCGCGGCGGCGCUGCCGUGGCCGCUGCGAGCAAGCUCGCCGGAGAUGCUCCCGCAGGUGCUUCGGAGCUCGGUUUCGCGAACCGAAAACUCCUAGAGAGAGAGGAGGACGAGGGGAAUGCGUCGCCGGCCUCGGAAUGGCCCAAAAGAUCCCCCCGCAAGGCGUUCGACGGAGCCGCCAUUGAUGGCACCUUCGGAGCUCGCGGAAACAAACCAAGAGAGCACUGCAACGCUCGGGAGAAAGCCGAAGAGGGAGAGGAGGACGAGGCGCGCUCACCGACGCGAAGAAGGAGGACGAAGACGGCUCGGAACGGCGGGCUUCGCGCAGAGGUCGCGGCGUCCCGGCGGCGGUUCUCUAUGAGCGCACAAGAACGAGACCGAGGCGAAAAGAGGGGGAAAUGGGGAGGGGAAGAAGGCACGCGGCUCUCUGCCCACUUCUUAUCCAAGGGCGGGGAGGGGAGAACGUGGGAGCGGACUUCGGCUUGGCAGUUCAGCAGAGAGAGAGGAAAUCGGGUGGCGGUUUGGGGAAGGGGAUGAACCUGAUGGGUGGGCCCCACCCGUCAGCCGCUAGAGAGGGAGAGGGGGAAAGGAGGGAGCCGGCCAGCAGGCUAGCUGGGCCGCGGCCCAGGAAGGGGGCGCGGGGCGCGGGGGCGGGGGUGGGUUUGGGCCAAAGGGCCGAAUAGAGGGAAAGGGGAAAGAGAAAGCUUUUUCCUUUUUAUUUUUUUCAAAAAAAAUUUUCAAACUCUUUUCAAAAUGAAAAUUGAAUUCAAAUUCCUUUGUUCAAAAAUCACUCAUCACAUAAAAGAAGUGCUCCAGCAUGUAUGCAACAAAAAUUAUUAUUCUAACUUUAUAUUAAAUUUUAAUUUCUCCAAAUUUAUUUAUUUUCCUAUAUUGAAAAUGCUCACAAAAUAAAUUCAUUUAAAUUCAAUUCAUCUAUUUAAAAGAAAUAAAAUUUUUGGUUGUUACACUUGUUCUUGAUCAACUAUAGCUCUGGAGUUUUUGUAGAUUUUCAAAAUAAAACUCAGAGAUUCCUUGUAUGACUCUCUCAAUUCUCUUUUUUGUGGUAUUUCUGGAUCCUCACCAAGGCAGUGAUGAUAUAUGCCUUCUCUCAAAGUAUGUGGUAUUUUUGGUAUAAGGCAUAGUGAUAUUGCCUUCUCUCUCAUCCUACUCUAAUGAGGCUUUGAUAUCUGGAGCUCAUAGGUGGGAGACAGCUAAUACAUACUUACAAUACAUUUAUUGCAUAGUCAAACCAUGGAUCCAGAGAAACAAGUCAAUAAGUCAAAUCAAGAUGUGCAUGUGUGGUGAAUGAAUGGUGUAUGGUGAUGAUGGUGAUAAUGGUGAAAACAAUGGUGAAAGUCUAAUUCUACGCUUGCUCUUUUGAGGGGAUACAUACCUUUCUUGCACUUUGAAGCAUUUUGAGGGGAAUGAGAUGCUCUAUAUUUUCUUUUUCUUUUCUCUCAGGUGGGUAUCUUGUACCCCUAAUUCUACUGUCGGACACUUGUCCAUUUUUACCUCUCGUCUCACUUUUUCUUUUUCUCUCGAGGUUCCGGGCACUUGCCCCUUUUUAUUUCCUCGUAUUUUUCCUUCUUCUUUUUUUUCAGAGCACUCACUCUCCUAGAAUAAUGUAGCAAGUGGUAGUAACCAAAAUAUCUCGAGCAUUUAUUUCACAGGGAAUAACAGGGAUAGGAUAAUGUUUUUGGCUAUUCUCUCCUAGAUAGGAGUAGAAUAAUUUUGGGUGAAUCUGGAGAUGGAAAGGAGUGGAUGUAUGUGGAUGCGUACUUCGAGAGUAGAAGCAGCAUGUAUGAGUGAACGUGCAAGUGAAUCUUGAUUUUAACCGCAUGACAAGUUCCUAAGGGUCUACACAGCUUGACCACACUCAAUGCUCAUAAGCAGUAAAAAGUAAAUAUAUGGUUCACAGUCUAAUACGCAUGUAUAUAUGGCUGUGGUAGGAUUUUAAACUCUCAUCAUACAGAAACUCAUCAUGCAACAUUUUAAAGAUUUUCAAAGAUAAAAUUCUCCAGAAUUCUAGUAUCUCUAAGAAUAGAUAAACAACAGCUCAACCUUCUCAUAUCAUAUCCGUUAACGACUUAGACUUUUGAUCAGGUACUCUUCUGACAAGUUUAGGUUUAGAGCAAAUCUUAAUUCAUAACAGUCAUGCCUAAACUUGAGAGAGAGCUCAAAUUUGAAAACUAGGUACUUGGCAGAGCGACUAUUCAUCAUAUCCAUGUAAGAGUUUAUCAUUGGAGUUCACUUUGGCAUAGACACUUUAUUUAUUUAUUUAAUAAACUAAGCAAAGAUAUAUAUAUAUAUAUAUAUAUAAGCACAAAAUCUUUAUUUGGGUUUUUAUGAUUAUGCAUCUUUUUAUUAUUUGAGUAUAAACGCGAGUAGAAACACUUAGCUAGAUAAAUGGGGGUGCUCUCCCCCAAGCUGGAUUUUGAUGUAAUUUCUUCUGAUGUAGCUAGCAGGUGGCGGAGGUGUAUUUGAAUGUCGGCAGCACCCUGACAGCAAUUAGGAUGUCCUCCGUCUGCUAGUCUUCUUUGAUCCUUGAAUUAUGUGGAGCUCAAAUAGACAACAAAGCUUUGUGGAACUGGUUAAGUGUUAGCAUAAAAUCUCUUUGCCUUUAUCAUGUUGAGCUUCCUCUAAUAAAUAUCACUCUCUUUGGUAGGAUCAUAAAUUUAUUUUUAUACUUUCAUUUCUAUUGGACAGGAAUAUAUUUAUUUUAUUUUUACGCCACCACAGUGAAUGUACUUAUGGGUUUUAUGCCACGAGCAUACUCACAUGGGGCUUACUAUUUUUAAUAUUUUUAUUUUCUUUUCAAGAUAGCAUGAUUAACUAACAAGCCAUUUAAGGAAAGUAAAUAAUUUAAGGGAAAAGGGAAUGCAUAAAGGAUAAAUAUGGAUAACUACCGAUUUUACCUUUCGGCAAGGGUUCAAUGUUUUAAGUCAUCUGAAUAAGACUUCUCAUCGUGUUCAUUCUUUAGGUGCAUCAUUUGAUUCAGGUGUGGACCUUGACGUCUGCUCCUCUUGAUACGGUGUCACCCAUGUUCUUCGUUUGCCUAGUAGUUCAAAGUGCGGUAUUGGCAGUAUCUUGCUCUGUGUGUUUGCGCUCGUAGAUCCAAGUCCUUCACUUGGUAGAGUCUGGGAGUUGAAAAACAGCUCCAUGUUUUGCUCAAAGUGUACCUACUCAUAGAGACAAGGCAGAGAUCAAGUGCAUGGGUCCUGUUGGUGGAAAACACCAACAGAACUAAAAUUAUAUUUAUUCUUCUCUAUCCUUAAGCAUGGGGAGCAAGACAAAGUUGAUGGGUUAUAAGAUCAUGAGUGUACCAUUUAAAACAUUUGUCGGAUCAGAUCACUCAACCUAAUGGAAAGAUAAUCUAUCUGUGUAUAUGUCUUAUUCUUUAUAUCUUCCCAAAGAUUGAAUGUGCAACAUUUUAGCUCAUAUGAUUAGGAGUGUGGGAUCAUGGAGGUAGUACUAGGAACAAAGAUUACAGGAUUAAACAUGCUGAAUCAAUUGGGUUGGUUAAUUUGGAGUUAUAAAUCAUACAUGUUUGUCUCUUUAUUUAUGUGAACCUCGAAACCAAGGAGAAGCUUAUAAAAGUGAUAGUCACAUAUCUUAAGAUGUUACCUUAAUUGAAGAGUGAUGGUACCAUCUCACCUUGUGGAAGCUUUCCAUUCCUAAUGGUUGUGUAUUUUGUUUAUGUACUUUGUCUCCAUGGAUCAUCUCUUAUGAGCUAUGUCUUCCUUAUUAAACUUUAUGUGUCUCUCUCAUUGUCUCCAAUGUGGAUUUAUCUCAGGACUUCCCAUGUCAAUAUUGAAAGUUUUCCUGCAGGGGUUAGUCCAACAAAAUAUCCAAUAUCUACUAUAGCAUACUCUAUCGGCUCAAAAAUCAACCUAGACACCAUGUCUAAUUUGAUUUAGGAGGGCAUUUUAACCUAAGCACCAUGCUUAAUUUAAAAUCCCUUGGAAGUAAGAUCAUCAUUCCUAAAAUAAGCACCAUGCUUAAUUAAGAGAUAAAUGAAACUACUCCAAACCUAGACAUAUACUAAAGCAAAUAAGAGUAGCAUGAGAGCAUUUAUAGAGAUCUACUCAAGUGGAGAUGAAGUAGUGUGAUUAGUAUUUAACAAAUUGAGCAUGUCUCAAAGGUAGGGACAACCAACAUAGCAACAUGGCAAAGGAUGUUUUUAUGUAAGGUACUCCCCCAAGCUUGAAUUUUGUAAAAUUCAAGUUUGGAUGAAUUUAAUUUAGUGUUGCAUGAUGAUUGGAUGGAUAUACCUUGUGCUUGCUUGUCGUUCAUCCGAUCUUCUUGUUCUAAUCCUGGAAAGGUUAGUGACAAGAAUACUCGAAGGAAUAUUUUUACAAUUAUCCUUAUAUGCUCAAUGUACAAGGCAAUGUUGCAAAUAAUUAAAAGCUCAUGUUACGAUCUGAUCAGUGCUUACUUUAGGACACUAAGCUUGUCCUUGGGAAACCAUCAGUUUAUGUUGGCGAAGUGGUUUCCCCUCCGACGCCAACCUUUGUAUAUCAAGAUUAGCUCAACGAGAUCUGCAAUAUUUAUUAUAGACAUAUGCAUCGACAACCGCCCUUUUAAAGUUUUUAUAAAUAGAAAGGAAGAGGGGGUUAGAGAUCUCAAAUGUGGUGAUGUUGGAGAGACCAAUAGAUUGGGAAGAUGUUGCAUAUGAGCAUGGAGUAAACGAAGUGGCUAUGAAAUAAAUUCCAUGCUCAUUAAUGUUAUCUUCGUUUCUAAUCUGAAUGUUCGGUGUUUCUCCUGGAUUGGUCUCACCUAUGUCCUCUUCUGUAGUUGGAUGAAUCUCGUAUUCAAAGGGAGUUAAAGACUCAACAUCUGAAAUUGAGCCAAAGUUAGAAUCCAUUAAGGCUUCUUCCUUGUCCAUCCAUUCUACACAUUGUAGCCAUUUAGAACUUGUGAUCAAGAAAGGGGAGGUGUUAGAAUUUUCUAUAUGGCUUAGCUCUCCUUCUAUGACAUUACUUGACAUGUCAUCCUCAUGGUCUUUAUGACUCCUAUGGUUUGAUCGUCUUGAUGGAUUGCUAGGAUCAUCAUGAGACUGAAAAGGAGAGGGAUAAGAGGGGUCUCUAAGGUCAAGGAUGGAUUUAGAAUUUGUGAACAUUGAAGGGGAGCAGAUGGAAUAUUCUAUAUGGUUUAGCUCUCCUUCACUUGAUAUGUCAUCCUCGACUUCUUCAUAACAGGAACCAAGACAUUCUCUAAGAGAACCAUUAUUACAAGGAUUUGAAUUAUCUAUGCUUGAAAGUCUCUUAUGGAACCAGAAGUCUAAACCAUCAGCAUGUGAAAGAUUUAAGGUCAGAAUUCCUUCCUCCCUUGGAGAAUUUUGGGGUAUUGAUGGUUUAGGAUCGAUAGCUAAAGUUUGGGAUUGAAGUGGUUGUGAUAUGGCUAUCGAAACUUCUUCUUCUUGUCUAGGAACUGGUUCUUUCUCUUUCUCAGGGAUAUAAAUGCUAGGAAACUUUCCACUCAAUGAAUCAAUUAAAUCCCUAGCUUCACUAGCAGGUAGGUGAUAGAAGGAUCCUCUAGAGGCUGUAUUCAAGGUUGGCUUAUUUUCCCUACUAAGGCCCUCAAAAAAGUGAAUUAGAAGAACUUCUUCUGGAAUAGAAAGCUUUGGGCCAGUGAGAGUAAGGUUAAUAAAGUGGUCCCAUGAUUUGCCAAGAGAUUCUUCUUCCAGUUGUCUAAAAGAAAUAAUCUCACGCUGAAGUUCCACCACUUUGGAGAUUGGAAAAUAUUUUAAAAGAAAACUAUUAUAUAACUCCUUCCAAUCUCCAUGAACACUCCCUACUUUGAGUUUGUACCAAUGUCUAGCUUUUCCUGUUAAAGAGAACGGAAAGAGCUUCCAUUUAAGGGUCUCAUCGGACAUGCCUUCUAUGCGAAGGAGGUCACAGACUCGAUAAAACUCUCUUAGGUGUGUGUAUAGGUUUUCCUCACCUUCUCCUGAGAAAGGUUGUUUUUGAACAAAUUCUAUGUAUUCGGGGUCUAUCUCAAAACUAGAUGCUAUGAUAGGCUUUGAAGAUUUUGGUGGUUCGAGAUGGGUGCCCGUAGGUCUAUAAAAUUCAUAGAUAGACAUGUUUGAAUUCAUGAUAGACCAGAGAUCAAGGAUUAGAUAAGAAGAAAGAAUAGCAGAGAUAAGGCAAAAAAGGAAAAGUGUAUUAUUUUUUUAUUAUUUAUUUUAGAAAAUGAUUAAGCUAGUUCGUAAUCAACUCAGCAACCGUUUCCCCGGCAACGGCGCCAAAAAUGCUUGUUGACACUUGCUAACACCACUUGAAUACUAGGUUGUCAUCCCCAGUAUGGCACUAGAGUGUACUAUGGUAUUUAUACGCACACAAAUAAAUCCGCAAGCGCACGGAUACCGUUGUAGCUUUUACCCGGUUAAAGGUUUUAUCGUAUCCACAGGGAAACGGGAGAACUGAUCUACGCUCUAACUUAACCUAGAUAGAUAGGUAGGUGUAAAUAGCAAAGAUGGUAGAAUUGAAUAAGAACAAUAUUAAAGAUAAGAUAACAAUGGGUGAUAAUAUGGGAAUAGAGAGUAGAGCAAUCUAGUAUAUGGGCGAUGGUAGGAGAAUAGAGAGGAUAACUAUGGUUUCUCUACUUCAAAGGGGUAUGUCUAUGUCUGGGAUGAACCACGUGAUAAGAAUACACCACAAAGGAUGCUUAUCCAAAGGCUGAUAAACCCUACCAGUCCUGCUAACAGGAGGUGGACUACAGGGGACCAACGUGGGUGUCCUGUAAAGAAGAACAAGACAUACGGCCACUGUGGGUACCAGACCUGCGUCCCAAAUGGGGCAUCUGCAUCCCACUAAAACUUCCUUCAUAGUCACUAUCAUCAUCAUCACCUGCAGCUUGUGCUCUUGCACGUGUGGUUGGUCCUGCAUGCCUCAUAUGUCUUUUGCACAUAGGGAGUAAUGGGUUGCCACUAUAUAUUUUUAGUUCUUCAUAGGGCAACAAAAUUGUUUCAUGGGUAUUAUAAACUUUUAAAAACACUGAGUUAUUUGCUCCUCCCUUAAGAUAUUGACCCUGAGUAUAAAACCUUUUGUGCAAGACAACUCUAGGAGUAGUUAUGUAUCUAUCAAAGUUAUUGAGAAGAUCAAGGCGUGCACAAAAUUUUGUAACCACAGAAGUAAAUUCAAUGGCCCACCUCCUUGGUUGGGAUGAUGCCCAUAUCCAAUGUUUAGCCAUUUCUACCAGUGGUGAAAUUGGAAUUUUAUGAACCAUGGCAAAAAGGAUCCUAGUGUCAAUUUCCCUGACAAUUCUUAUGUCAUCUCGAGGGAACAAAGUGAGUCCUAUCCACUGGUGCAAGAAAAGCAAGGUAGGAUUGCAUAUGUGACUAGUACGUGGUUGCCAUCCCUCAUAAUUUUCCCCAGUGAUUUCAUACCAAAAAUCUUUCUUGUUCAUGUGCUUAGUGGCAUGCUCAAUUUUAAUGUUGGGACUAUCAAAACCAAGACAUGUAGAGAAAACAUCCCAUGGAAGGUUAAACUCAUUAUUAAGCACUCUAAAAUAAAUUUUCUCUGUGGUUAUUCUUAGGGUGCUUAGAAAUUCUAGGGUGAGAAUUUUACUUCCUUUUACAUUAGACAAAUCCCAAAAUUCAUCCCGCCCCAUUUUCUCGAAUACUUCUGUGAACUCAUUAUCUAAGCCUAUGCUUUGGAGAAAGUCAAUAGAUAUUACCUUGGUGUGAAUAAAUUCACGGUCGCGGAGUUCCUCAAGCUUCUCCAUCUCAACGGGAGUGAGCCAUAUGCCGGUUUCCUCAUCGUGAAUUUUCUCAGGGACGGCUUCUUCAUUUACUUGAGGUGGUGGAGAUGAUACAUGCUCCCUUGAUGCUUGACUCUGGGCAUCUUGGAUGGAGGAGUCACUAGAGCUAAAGGAAAUUCGAUGGAGAACCGACUUCCCCCAACCCCUGACUUUCUUCAUGACGAUGAACUCUUGGAUGGUAAGGAUAAAAAGAAAAUAUUUUUGGAUUUUUGUUUUGGAGAAAAGGAUGGUUAAGAAAUGGAGAGGAGAAUGGGUUUCUUGCUGGCUGGUUGAGUGCACAAGAGUGUGAGUGUGUUUGAAUGAAGUAGGGAGUAAGGAGAAGUGCUGGUGUGGAUUUAUGGAGGUCGGUCGACCUGCCCUUCUAUGGCAUUUUGCUGUGUGACCAUGGCACCUAUCUUCUGGAAUCCAAUGCAAGCAAGUGGUUGUGCUGGGUGCACCAGAGCAUGGUCGGCCAACCGGCCUCUCUUCUCAAUUUCAAAGAAUGCGCACACCAGGAGCAAUGCAUGAGAGGUGGAUCACAAUGCAUGUGAUGGUGUCCUGUUUAUGGGUCGACCGACCCACCUUUCUUCCCCCUUUUGCUUUGUGCCAAAGAUGAGAGUGAGUGGAGGUCAUUCCAUGUUGGGUGCAUGCAAAGCAUGCUUUGGAUGGUGGUGCAUGGCAUCUCCCUUUCUUGGAUGAAGUGAUGAAAGGAAAGAAAGCAAAAGAGACGGGGCAAGACAAGACUAGGAUUGGUGGCAUUUUGUGUCAUGAGUUGUCAUGGGAGAAUCCUCCUCAUCCUUUUGUGAUUAGCUUAGUGCUAAAUGAGCUUGCUUAGCCAAAAUGAAUGGUGGAUUGGGGCAUAAGUGAGGUUAGGGAGAAAGAUUGUCAUGAACAUUUUCCUCUAGUCCCUUGGAUUUCUUAUGGCCAAUUUGUUAAUUCUAUUUUCCUAACCAAGAAGGUGAGGGAGAGCCACUGAUUCCUAGGAAUUCAAGUCGACAGCCACCUGUCUAACAUUCUUGCAACACUCACCCUAGAGCCAUAAGAUCACAAAUACCAGGAGUUGGAGGGAGGUGGGCCUAAUAUCAUGGUCGGCCGACCAUGAUUUGGCCUCCCCCAGGCUCUGGUGGCACUCAAUCAGAGCAAAAAUGCAUUGUGCAGUAAAACUUCUUUACUUAGAGUCACAAAAGUUACCAAGCUUGCUUCAUCUAGAUUCUCAAGUAGGCAUGUGAAGCAAUUCAUGUCAUGAAAUUUAGUUUUCACUUUGGCACAGACAUGAGCAUGGGUCUCUAUGAUGAUGGAGCAAAAUUGAGCAGGUGGACCGACCAAGGGCAGGUUGGUCGACCUCACCUUGGGCCCCACCUGGUGUCCAUUUGCUCAGCAUGUUAAGCUGGGGUUGAUUUUUGGUUUUAUUAUGCACAACUAUGGUCGACAGAAAAAUGUUUUGAAUUAAGAAAAACUAAGAAUUAACUGCUGAAAAUAAAUGCUGAAUUUUAAAAGUUUGAAAACUCACCUUGGUUUGACUUACCUGGAUGGAAGAGCAGUUGCCUUAGGUCCUUUCAUCAGGACCUCCCUGAGGUGUUGUAGAGGCCUUCUUGGGUGGAGGCACUAUUUUUCUCUUCCAUAUUUGCUUGGCUUUUGCCCGUGGUUUUGAUUUAGCCUUCUCUUUGUGUGCGCCAGUGCAAUAAUUGUAGCCAGCUCUGUAGCCAAGAUCAUUGAGCACUGCUCAACUUUUGGCUUGAAGUUGAAUUUCUCCCGGGCCCCAUUGACGGUGAAUUGAAUUUCUCUAGCUCCAACAUCAAUAUGUGCCUUGGCAGUGCUGAGGAAUGGUCUCCCAAGGAUGAGGGGUACCUUCUUGUCAACUUCCAUGUCAAGAACUAUGAAAUCCACAGGAACGAGGAAAUCGCGUAUCUUGACAGGGAUGUUCUUGGCUACUCCCGCUGGAUGGCGAAUCGACUGAUCCGCUGGCUGCAGAUAUAUUGAUGUAGGGGACAAGGUAGUAUGGUUUAACUUGUCAAAAAAUACCUUUGGCAUGACCCUGACGCUUGCUCCCUAGUCGCACAGUGCAUGCUCAAAGUGUUGUGUCCCGAUGGAGCAAUCAAUGGUGGGGCACACGGGGUCCUUCUUCUUCUCUAGGAAUUUAUUCAAGAUGACUUCGCUGCAUUCUUCAGUUAGUUUAAUUACCUCAAUUUGAGGCGGCGGCUUCUUGUUGUUGAGAAUGUCUCUCAGGUACUUGGCGUAGGAUGGAACCUGCAUUGCAUCAGGUAACAGGAUAUUGACAUAUAAUUGUCAAACUACCUCAACAAAUUUGCCGAAUUGUUAAUCAGUCUUUUGAGUCCUCGUGUGGUGCCACUUUCCCAUUGAACUUGGUACUUUCUUCUAUUGAUGGAAGCUCCACUUCUUCUACCUUGUCUUCUUCAUACUGUUUGUCCUUCCUUGCCGGUUUCCUUGUCAUGUUAGGAUAUGGUGGAUCACGAGUGGUCUUACCCCCUGUCGUGGUCACCGCAUUUGAGGAAUAGCAAGAAUUAACAGAAGCAGCAAUUUGAGUCAUCCGGGACUCUAAGACCUUGUUAAAGUUCUGUUGAUCCUUAACAGUAGAAGCUAGAGAGUCCAUUUUAGAAGUUAAUAAUCCAAGAGUCUUGUCAUUAGCUAACACCCUUUUAUUUAUGCCUUCAUUAUUUUUAGCUUGAUUAACAACAAGAUCUCUAAGCGUAGGCCAGCUAGAUUUUUGAAAAUUACCUUCUCCUUGGAAGCUUGGAGUCGGUCCGCUUUGUAGUGGUUGCCCAUUGUCGAAUGCGGAGACGACCUCUAGAGUUUCUUCCUGCACACCUUGCACCUUUGGAUUGCUUCAACGACACGUGCUGAGGUGUAUUGUUGGAUGGCCUCUCGAUCUUUCUUGAAGUUGGAUGUUUCUUCUAUUUUCUUCAUCAAGAGCUCCAUCUUUUGAGAGAUGGCUUUCACCUCCUCAAUGGUGUGGGUGCGUCUUUUCUUGGGUUUAGGACAUUCAUCAUUCCACUCUUAAUUUUUCACAAUAUUCUCAAUGAGCUUCUAUGCUUGUGCGACAUUGAGGGAUGUGAAUGAUCCUCUUGCAGCAGCAUCAAGGUGACUACAGGCGUCUAGCGUCACUACAAGAAUGCUGUUAAUCCGUGAUGAAAAAUUUCUGUCACGGAUCACCAAAAAACCGUCACCAAGUAGCAUCUGUGAUGGUUUUAGAUAUCAUCAUGGAUUAAACGUCAUGAACUAACAUGCGUGACGGUUUGUCCAAAACCGUCAUGGACAAACCGUCAUGGAUUAACAGAAUAUGUGACGAUCUUAAACCGUCACGGUAGAGCCCGAGGCCUAGUUAGCCCAGCCCAAAUCCAUUUUCUAUGACGGAAACUAACCGUCAUGGAUGAAUUGCCACAUCAUCAUUGAUGUUUUACCUAGAUGCUUACGUGGCUGAUGACAUCACUAGCCCAUUCAUUACUGGGCCAAUACAAUAAGUGGGCCAUCAAGUGCAACCACGGGCGCUCUUGUUAUUUCAGCCCAACCAACAUAGGCGCCAACCAUAAAAUUCUGGAUUUUGUAUAAAGCAAAUAAAAAUACCAAAUUUCAUUCCCAUUUUAACAAUUACUAUUCUAGUUCACGAGAAGCCUUAUAGCCUGUAUAGACAACAUUAUAAUUUUGUGAACACAUCAAAUUAUACAAGCUUAUUCCAGCAUACUGAUACAAAUAAUAAGUCAUGUUUUCAUCCAAAAUCAGAUCUGAUACAAAGUCACAAGUUUCAUACAUUCAUAUCACAUUAGCUAUUCUAGGUCCCAACAAAUGCAUUUGCCGAGAUGCUCUGCUCCUCCCCACCUGCCGUUGCUCCUCUCAAGCUCUGAAAACAAAUAUAAAUGCAAGACAAUAAUAAGUCACUAAAACCAUAGAAGUAGAGAGCUGAAAACUCUCUAAAUGGAGCACUUUCAAGUGUCUGCAACCUACGGAUAGAACUAGCCAGAAUAAACAGGUUAUUGCAAUUUUACUCCAAGCUAAUCACCUGAGGGAGAACUGAACUAACUCCACAAAUUUAGAAACUGAAACUCUGAAUAUUGAAUACUAUAAAACUGAAACAAACAGCACAACACAAAUUCACUUACCGGAGACAAACUAUAGCUGCUACGGAGAACUGAAAAUUGUACUGAACAGUUCCUGUCAACAUAUAAACAACAAGAAAGCUAUCGGGUAGCUAAUUAGAGCUCACGCAUUGCCGGCCAGCUAAUCUGAACUACCGGUCAGCUAAUCUGAAGAUAAAAUGCAAUUGCUUCCUGUAGCGUGAAAAUGGCACUUCAAAACUGAAAAAGCAAGCCACAUACUUUACUGCUUUAUUUGUACUGUACUUGCAGCUAGACAGUUGCCUGCUACUAUAGCUGGACUUUAUUUUUUUCACUUCUAUCAAUACAUCAGGUUGUCAUGGGUAACAAACAAAACAACAUAAUAAAACCUACAUCCAUGCUAGAGAACAUGUAUUUAUCUACCAGGGCAAACAAAACUCACCUAGUGCAAUGCAAAGUGCAAUAACUCAGAUGGUAAUUUGCCAGAUGACUCGUAACCUUUGCGUAAGCUGAAAAAGGUCACAUCAUGGUUGUAGAAAUAUGGGAUCAAUUUUUGUACAGAUUUUCCCAAAUAUUACAUAAAUUGGAUAGGUAACGAAGCAACGCUUAAGAGAAGGAUUGGUAUGGUGGUACCUGCUCCUGUUAGGUGGAUGACAAGCUCAAACUGCUUAGGAUUUUGUGGGUCAGAUUUGAGAUGGAGAGCAAGAUAUAGAUCGAUCUGGGAGAAGACAUAGAGGUAAGACCAAUGAAAAUGAAAACAGGAUCCUGCUCGGAUGUACCCUUAAAUGGCAAGAACCUCCAUCAAUUUGACGUUCGCCUGUUGUCGUCGCUUGCACACACGCGGAUCUGCCAACGAACUCGCUUCUCAACCAGGUUCCCAGGUCGAUGGUGAGGGAGGCUAGAGGGCCGCUACCAACCAGCGCGCUGCCAGUCCACCUUAGAGGAAGAGAACGAAGGGUGGAGGCAUGGAGUAGAGAGGUUGCUGUAGUUGGAGAGAGGCACCAAGAGAGGUGUGAGCGCUAGCCCUGCUCGACAUCAUGGCCGCCAUGGUCAGAGGGAGGCACACUCAGUUGUGGCUGCGAUGUUUGCCUCGUGCGGCUGUGGCCAGGUGAGGUAAAUGGCUAAGAUUAGGGUUAAUGGGAGGCAGGGAGGCUUAUAUUGCUCACAGGAUGAAUCUCAACCAUCCGCUUCUAUAUCAAACGGUCAGAAGACUGUGGGCCCAGUAAAAAUGGGCCAAACUCAGGAGAUUGGCUGCCCAUUAGAAAAAAACUAGUAGAAAGCGCGCGCCCUUGCACACGUAGGAAGUGCGUCGUUGUUAAGCUCGCAAUGGUUUAAUUUAAGAGAGAGUGUACACAUAAAGUACAAUAAAAUUCCUAGAGAAGCAAAAAUUAACACUUAUAAUGUGAUACAUAUUCACAAGCAUAGGAUGACUAGAUUCUUUUCAAAAAAACUAAGAAUAGUAGACUACAUGUCUUAUAUAGAUGUGGCAGCAAACGCAAUAUACAUUAUAGGUGAAGACACUAUAAGCCUGGAAUCUAUAAUGUGUAAAUCUUGCUCUUGGAUGGUUGUCACUUGUAUCUCGCUGCGCAGCCUCUGUUUGAAAGGAAAAUAACCUGGUUCUUUGUAAUAGAAAAAAAAAGCAUGAGACAUCCUCCCAACAGAUGAGCCAGUAGUGUACUAAUCUAUCAGUUCAUAGUAGAUGCACUUCAGUUGUAGGAGGGGAGGGGUAUCUGCAUUGGUUUUUCUUUUCUUUGAUGGAUCUGCGUCAAAUAAUGUAGUACUGAUUUUCAUUGAUAAUAUUUUUGCUUGGAGUUUCCUCAAAAAAAUAUUUGUGCUCGGACCUGGGCUUGGUGAUGUAGGAAUAGGCAGACCUAUGACAACGGUCAUGCUAAGCUUUUCAUGAAUCAACAUUUUAGUAAGAAUACGAAGUAUUAACAUAAUAGACUGGCAUAAUACCUGCUCAAGAAUGAAUGCAACUUUCUCUCUUUUUGACGCAGCCAAAUGUCUGUGGCUGAUAAAUCGGUUGUUAGUCCAUUGUGUUCUGAACCAUAGACGGAAUGACCAGUAAUAAACAGAAUCGACAGUAAUAUAAGUGCAUAGUGAACAAAACAGUGAUAUAGUCCGUGUUCCUGUCUAUGAUAUUACCUAUUUAUAAGGAGAUAAAUAGACAAAGAUUACCUGUGUUUAUGCAAAGAGAUUAUUAGUGCUUUGGUAAGCGGGUGUGACGGAAACAUAUCACAAAAACCUGCAGCCAGAUUCCUAGAGGCAAAGUAUUCCUUAGAGAAGAACUAAACCCAUCAUGGAUAUAAGCAAUGGUAACCUGAUUUGAAGGCACAUGUACACCAAAUGAGUAAAACAAGCAAAAAUAGACCAAGCACUCAUCAUAAGAUAUGGCAAUGGCUGAUUUCAAAUGAGGUUAAAGAAAUAUGGUUAACAUAAAAUGCAAUAUGUAAUACUGAUCCAAUAUUCCAGAUAGGCUGUUACGGAAGACAACAUGAGGGCGAAUAGCAAGAAUAUAGUGAAUGAUAGAACUGCAGUGGCGAGAGUACCUACAGUUUUAGACCAGACAAGGUCACCUGGGUUGAGAUCCUGAUAAUCAUAGAAGCUAACAACACCUUAAUGGUUGGUACCUGCAAAAUCAAAAGCACUAUGCGGUAGGCAUAUACCCAUAACGGAAAUGCAAUAACAGCCUCGGCAUGAUACUCUACACUGCAAUUUGUCGCUAGUUUAAGAACAAAAUCCGAGAACUUAUCUCACAACUUUGUUCCGGCAUGGCACACUGAAUUAGAAAAAUAUCAGAACCUGCCACACCACGUCUAAGCAUUAGGGUCACAAUUGAAUCAAGUGCCAGAGUUUCGUAUGGUCUCACCAUUUAUCCUCUUGGGUGAAGCUGGUUGUCAUCCGUCAACAAUUUCUUCAUGGCCACAAUAAAUCUAUGUGCCUAUAAAGCAAAAGGAAAAACAUAUUUAAAUAUGAGGAAUGUUCAUGAUUAUAAAACUUUUGUGCUAGAAGAUAUCAUUUGAUGGUCUAUAAGACCAUGUUGCAGAAUUUAGUAUUACAAAAACUAACAAAGUAGCAGCACAUGUCUUAACACACCUAGCACACUGUCAAAGGUAAUGAAUUGCUACUAAUGUGGUAGAUUAGAUUUGUAGCUAGAUUAUUAAAAAGGAAGCAUAACCUAUGUCUGGGUUGUUGGUCCCUGGUUGCCUGUAUCCCCUGCGUGCAUGUGUGUCUGUCUCUAUUGUUUCACGGAGGGGGAGGGGAUGGCUGCUAGCGGUAGCAGCGACAACCGCUGGGGCCUGCCCAGGCAUCCACGCUGGGGUGCAUCCGUGCAGUUGUGACCACAUUAGGCUACCACGGCCAGGGGUGCCUAUGUUGGGCCUGUUGGAAAUCAAGUCAUAGACCAAGCCUGGAUGCCCUUGGGGAACUGAAACACGAAAGUUGUCAUCAUUGUGCUUUUAGUACAAAGUAGCCAUAGAUUCGAAGCAUUAUACUAUGCAACAACUGUGCUAAAGCAACUUGGUUGUGGAAUUAAUUUCAUAUGUCAAGAAACAAAGGAUUAUAGCCUAUGUAAAUUUGUGAUCUUUUUUUGACCAUUAGGUCUUACUACUUAUAUCAAAGUGCAACAUAUUCAUAGUAAUGAUGAGGACUGUCAAACAGAUUAUAUGUCAAGAAACAAAGGAUUAUAGCCUAUGUAAAUUUCUGAUCUUUUUUUGACCAUUAGGUCUUACUACUUAUAUCAAAGUGCAACAUAUUCUUAGUAAUGAAGAGGACCGUCAAACAGAUUAUAUGAGAAACUAUGAAACAAGAAAUCUUGUAGAAAAAAGAGGAACUAUCAAAAUAAUCAGAACACAUGUUUCUAAGUCCAUGAUGAUUAGACUAAUCAGGAAGCAAAUAAAUAACAUGGCCACCUUGUCUGCAAAUACGUAUAGUGGCAUAGGUAUUCAAAAUUUCUGUUAAGACCAAAUCUGGUCAGUUGGAAAUAGAAGGAACAACAUGGCAGAAAUAGAACGAGAGCUGGGUUCAUUUAAAAAGCAUAGUAUUCAUACGUAGAAACAUCAUUGAGUCAAAGUGACUGGACGAAACAUUGGUGAACACCUAUCAUAAAUUAGGAGGCUCGAUUCACUGAAAUUUCAGAUAGUCAUGCCCCAGAAACAAAAUAGAGCCACAAUGAUUGGAUGAAAUGUUGGUGAACAUUGAUCCUAAACUUAGAACAUAUAGUGUAAGUAUUUUUUGGGUGGACCUUUUGCCAAACCCUAAGGCUGGACGAAAAACUUGAAGCUCGUUAACUCGCUCAGAUCGUGACUGGCUCGGCUCAGUUCGGCUCGGCUCAUUAUCCUAAUGAGCCAAGCCGAGCCAAGAUUUUAGCUCUGUAGCUAUAUGUGCUACUUAAUGUGAUAUAUGACAUUUCUUAGCAAAAACAAAGAGGAAGCCAAAUAGCCGAUGUAAAAAACUAUUUCGGGUUUGGAUAGUACAUGAGCAAUGCUGUAUUUUUUUCUUCAUAUCAAUCAGACCAUCAACCCUGAGCAUUAGUGUUUACCUUAUUUGCGUAUUUGUGUCAUCGUAGCCUACACCCAUGCGAAAGGACUAUAUUUUUUAAAUCAGACCAUCAACCCUGAGCAUUAAUGUUUACCUUAUUUGUGUAUUCGUGUCAUAUUCCUAUCAUCCUAGCCUGGACCCAUGCGAAAGGACUAUAUUUUUUACUGUCAAUGGAAGAGUUGUCAAGGCAGUAGGUCACCAUGGCAGGGUACUCCUAAUUUUCUUCAGAAGUAGUGCGGUAUUGAUAUAUAUUUCAAAAUUAAGCAAAGAAAAAGCAACAAGAGAUGCAAAAAAAAAGAAAUUAUGCCAAUACCUUCAGUUUAAUAGUAAUUUGUAAAUUUAUCGUUAUAGCAUGUAGAUAUACCUUCAAUAGAGGAAGAAAAUGCAUCUAGUUACUUGUUAUAAACAGAAGUAAGGAUUUGGGAAUUCGACCUGCUGAAGUCUAUAUACAUUGCUACAGCUGAUUGGUUCACGUACUUUCAACGCUGAAUUCAGUGAAGAAACUCAAAAAUUAGGAAGCUGACCAUCACGCGGUGGCUGCUAUGCAAAGCAGACAAGGUGUUGUUGGUCAAGUGAACUAAAUCAUAUACAUCCUCAUGAUACAUCUAUAACAAUGCAGUAAACCAUAUUCCUUCUAAAACACAGAAUCAGCACAUGAAAGGAGGAAUAAAUACAUCAUCGACAAUGGGGUGUGCUCAGCAAUAAAGCAACAAACAAAUUAUGUGAAGUACAAACAUCAUUGACAAUGGACCCAUGCUAAGUAACAAAUGCACAAAAAUAUAUCAACAAAUGAAAACAGAACGACACAUGGAGAGGACAAUUGCCAAGGUAAUCAUAUUACCCUCAUAAAACCAAUGCAAAAUAGAAAGAUUGAUGGAAUAAUAGCAAGAACGAUCAUCACUGCACGAUUCCAUUGUCUCACUCUAACAAAGUUCAUCAUUGCACUGCCUCCAUUGUCUCAGUAAAGAUAACAUAAACGAAGGUGAAAUAAUCAGUCAUGAGGAUAUUAGUUGGACACAUGCUCUGCAAAGUAAAGUGGACACAGUAGAGAAUUCAUUCACAUAGUAGUAGAAUUAUAAUAGUGCACCACUACAAGGAUUGGUGCUUUACAUGACGAUGGAUUUGGUCACAGAUUGCCAAAAAUACGUCACAGUCAACUAUCCAUGACAAACGAGAAAUCCGUCAUGUAUCUCACGUCAUACAUUUGUUGCACAGAAUUGAGCCGUCACGGAUUCGUCUUUAUUUCUGUCAUGGAUUGCAUGGUCUGAAAGCAUAGCAAAAGGGUACUGUGAUGAUCUAAAACGUCAUGGAUUUAGUCCACGUGGAUUGUCGCCAAGUCAGUUUGUGCCAUGUCAGCUAUUGCCACAUCAGCUGAUUCCACGUCAGCUAUAGGCCCAAAUUUUUUGUUCAAAUACGACUUAAAUUCAAAUUUGAAUUGACAUCACAUGAAGAUCAUCACAGAUCACAACCAAAUAUCAUCACAGAUCACAACCUAUUUUCAUCACAGAAAAGGUUUAGAAAACAAAAGAUCAGGUACAAAUGAUCAAUGCCAUCUCCAUUACAUGUUAAUCCCAUCUCCAAAAUAUAGGGUAUCGGUUACAGAGAAAAUGGCAUGACUUACACAUGUCAAUGCCAUCACCAUUACAAGUCUCAACACAUUUCAAACAAAUAUCAACACAUUUCUUCGGCACUUGAUGCAGUGGAAGAGGAUCAAAAUACAUCUUCUUUAAGUUAUAGCGCCGUUUGCGAACAACAUUCUUCAGCAUAGCCACACAUGCUUUUUUUCACAUGGAUUGAGGUUUUAUCCACUUCAAACUUGGACUGCAUUUAACAAGAUUACAAGUACAUGAAAUUGAGUAGACACUAUAAUGGUUGAAAAGAAACAGUGAACCAAGUUAAGCAAUGCAUAUGCCCAUAUUGUUGAGGUACUAUGAGCAAGCUAUUUAGAGCAGUCCAAAAAUAAAGAUUUAAUUGUUAUCAAACUCUCCUGUGUCAAUUAUCAGCAAGUUUGAAGUACCACAUGUAGUAGAAGAAAAUUAAACAUAUUUUCACAGACCUCACCAUUUAAUUUGAUUGUUGCAUCAUUGUUAACAGCACAAAAAGAAAGCAAACACUUGGUCUGUGUAUGGCUUAUCAAACUGAAACUUUAAAUGAGAAAUCAUGUAUGGCUUAUAAUUAAAUUAAAACAAUAGCAAGCAGCAAAGUUGUAAAUGCCCAGAACAAUCAAACAGCAAUACCAUUUGUUCUAUGUACUUGUACAGGCAAGCAAAUAGCAAAGCUAAAAUUAAACUGAUAGCGAAGCUGAUUGUUGAGAUGAUCUAUAGGUGGACUGACAUGGUGCAGACAUGGAGCAACUAAACAUAUUUUCACAGAACUGCAUAAGUUUGGGAUCUACUAUCUUUUUUCCUAGAUAAAAGUUGAAAACACAAGAGAUCAAUGUUCCAUAGAAGGUCUGCUACCCUUACAAACAAAAUACUGAAAUAGCACAUUUUUAGUAAUGACUUCUACUGCUACUAGUACUACAACAAGGAACUUAACGACAACAAGGAAUGGGAAACAAUAUGCAACACAGACAUAGCAUGUAGUACAGAAAUUGCAAACUAAUAUAAGGAUUUGUCCUUUGCAUGCCUGCACUAAAAUAAUUAAAAUCACCAGCACUAGUCACGAAAAGAGACUACUAUCACAUAGACUAUGCACAUAGUUACAAUACUUGUCCGAAUCAUCCUAAUUUUUAAUACAAAGCAGAACUGCACCUGGCAAAAAAAUCAAUCAGGCAGGACCAAGCUAGGGUGCCUUGCUUGUCUUGCUUCUGCAAAGCUGCAACCUGCAAAUGAACAAAACACAAAAGAAAAUAAGUAACUGGAGAAAAUUAAAGGGGGAAACCAUCUCAGAUUAUAGAUCGGAACAGAGUACAAGAAAGGGAAUAUGCUACCAGCCUAGCCUGCAGGUGGGACUCGCGACCUCCAUGCGGAACUCCUUCUAUUCCUGUUGUGCGCGUCAUGCGGAACUCCAUGCGGAACUCACCUAGCUUGCAGAUCGGACCAGAUCCACGCAUGUUGGAGGUGGGGCGUCACCCUUCAGCCUUCUCCGUGGAUCACGCUUUGUCUUGAACCUCCUCCGCGAGCUGCAUGCCAACCUCUGUGCCGAGGCUAGAUCCACCGAGGGCAGGGUGAGGGCGGAGGCUGGGGAUUGGUACAUCGCUCACCGGAUCCUGCGUUGUAACUUAGGCUUUGUUUAGUUCCCAAAAAUUUUUGCAAAAUUUUUCAGAUUCCCCGUCAUAUCAAAUCUUUAGACGCAUGUAUGAAGUAUUAAAUAUAGACAAAAAUAAAAACUAAUUGCACAGUUUGGUCGGAAUUGUCGAGACGAAUCUUUUGAGUCUAGUUAGUACAUAAUUGGAUAAUAUUUGUCAAAUACAAACGAAAGUAGUACUAGUCCUAUUUUGUAAAAAAAUUUGGAACUAAACAAGGCCUAAUUGAGAAUAGAAAAAAAAUACCACAAUAUGACAGAAAGAAGAUGUGCAGUCAGGUUUACUAUAAAGUAAUAUUGAUAUACAUACUGAGUUUUUAAAAAAACAUAUGUAUUUAACCUAUAUAGGUAAAUCGCCAUCUAUGCCCAAACAAGCCUUCAGAGAUAUAUACUAAUUUCCUGCUCAGAUAUUUUCUAUAGUUUAAAUUAUUUUCUGCAUGAUAGUACAAAGUAAAUAGAUUUUAAACUAAGGCUACACCAGAAAAGAUCUAAAAUGGGACCACAAGAAAAGUGCCACAACACUCUGUGACGAUUAGCCUGUCACAGUUAUAUCACCCUAAGAAUGACUACUGUAAUUCUGUGAUGAUUUUUAAGAAGGUCAUAAGAAAACGUCAUGUAAAGCACCAUUUCUUGUAGUGCACCAAGAUUAAAUUUUAAAACCUAGCCAUACAAAAUAAAAAAAAUUGGCUGUUGGUAAGGUGACAACUUACAGGUAAAUAGUCUACUCUGAUUACCACCUAUUCCUUUAUUUGAUAAAUAGUGUGCUGCUAACCAAAUUAGAAACGCAGUUUAAGAGCAAUACAAAGUAUCCAGUUCUAAUUAUAUACAAACAAAUCUCUUCAAUUUGUUUACACAAGGCCAGGAAGAAUACAAAUAUGCUAGUAGGGACAAUAUCAAAAGAAUUGGAGUAAGAAAGUUUAAAUUACCCAAAGAUCUUUCAUUCUAAAGAAAAAAAUCAUUCAUGAGCAAAGUAUAGACAAAUAAAUGAGACCAUGGGGCAAAUAAUUAGAGAGAAGCACAGACACACCUUGCAUUUCAGGUCUUCACUUUGCUGCUAUAAAAUUGUGCACCAGUGCAGGAAAUUGUUUCCUAUUUUUAGAAGGUAAAACCUGCAUGUAGAAAUCUUACCUCUCAGUUGACCAAAACAUCAAGCAGAUAUAAAGCAUUAGACAUGGAAGGGAGUCGUGCACAGCAUGCACGGUUGGCAAUACACCAAUUUGAAGGGAGUAGCACCCAAAAAAAUGACAGCUAGGGUUUCGUGAUGCAACAGAGUAGGAAGAAGCGGCCUCGCGCCGCGCACAGCGCCGUGCUGUGGGAGGUCACCCCGUGUGGCCACAGCACCACGGCAGGGGUUGCCCUCAUGCUACCACGCCUGCGGCACAACACGGAGGCCUUGGGGACGGCCACCGCCGUGGCCCAGGGGGCGACCACCCGCGGUGAAGGCACAACCACGCGAUAGGGAGGGAGGUGGAGAGAGGGAGAGGAGGAGGAGGGGACAGCCGCCACGGCGACCAACGGCCGCGGCCGCGCAGAGCACUGCCGCCGUUGUGGUCGCGCAACCCGCAGCGAGAACGAGAGAGGGAGCGAAACCAGAGAUUAGAGAGGGAGAGGAAGAGAGGAGCCCACAUGGGGGAUGGGGGAGAGGAGGAGGAGGAGGAGGAGGUUCGCCGCCACGCCGAGAUGCGGCAUCAGCAGGGGCUGCCCGCGCCAUUGCCAUGUUCGCUUCUGAGACGUCGGACUUCUGGAGAGGUCGGGAGGAAGAGACACGGGGGGAUUUUAGUUUUUUUGUUUGAGGACUGCCCGAACUGUGCCAAGACGAAGGACGAUGAGGUGGGCCUGCGGCUGACGUGGAGGGCCUGUCGUCGCGGGGAGCAACUUAGGAUUGUUAGGGUAAAUAAGCAUUUUGUUUCCAUAUAUGUUUAAGUGGAACAUUAAACUUAGUGACUCUAAUAAAGAAUAAUAUCAUUAAGUUGUCAAAAAUAAUAAAAAUUAGCAUGAGGUAAUCGUACAGAUCUAUAAGUUCUAGUAAAAAAUUAAACAUUUUUAAUAAAAAUGUGAAGAUACAUCUUUUAUAAAUACAAACAUCCCUCACUUAGUCAUAUAACUAUUGUGUGAGUUGUAUCCUUUUGUGAACAAUGUAUAAUAUUACUUUGUUAAAAUCUUUUGAAAUUUUCAUCCAAUGAUUGUAUACUAAAAUCAUAUCGUCAUGUAAGUUUGUAGAUUUUUCUAAUUAAGUUUACAUAUUAUUAUAUUUAUUCAAUGGUAAUUCAACAAAUAAUUACAAUAAUUACUAAAUUUGGUAAAAAAAUUCUUCCAAUUGACACAACAACAUAUUUUGGAUCUAUAAAUAUUACGUAAAAUUUUCACAUAAUUUUAAUAAAUUGAUACUAUACAUCCUUCACAAAUAUUAACAUCUCUCACUUAGCCAUGUUGAGAGAUCUAGCUACUUUAAGAUAGUAAACAAUUUUGGGAUAGUACACAAUUUCAAAAGAAGUCAACAAAAAACCUGUUGAACCCAUCGAGAUUUACAACAUUUGUUUAAGCCAUUUCUCGAUCAAACUUUAUUUAAACAAUUUGAAAUUUGAAUUUCAAAUUUUGAGAUCUUGAAAUAGCAUUUUGUGCUACUAAAUGGUUUCAAAUGAAAAAGUCAUCAACAACAAAGUUGAAUAACUAUCGAUAUACAACUUUUAUUUUUGGUCAUCUCUUCAUACGAGUUCAUUUGAGUAAUUCAAAAUUUUAAUUUUAAAACUUGAUAUGGUUAUUUUCAUGUGUACAAGUAUAAGUAACCGUUAACACUAUAAACCAUAUAUGAACACCAAAUGAAGGAAAUGGACAUGGUCACUUAGUUAUGAUUUUCUUGGUAAGAAUUUUUUAAUGGUGUGGUUUGGUGUUGUGUAUAUAUGAAACUGUUUAUUUGCAAUGCAACGCAAAAGUCUGCGUACUGCAUUGGUUGGCUAUCUUGGCUUUGAACUUACAUGUUGCUGGUUCGAAACGUAAAGGUGCCAUUUUGUUUUUCUCCUUUUUUUAGGCCAUCUGCUGCAACAGUGUUGAGGUAGCCCGUUGCAAGCAGCAUUAGCAAAAAUAAAAUUGAUGGGCUGCGCACAGUGAAAAAAAAGGGAUGCGCCGUCAAUGAACUGUUGUCAUUAUUGAUUAUUCCGCACCAUAUAAAGAAAUGUAAAAAUUCAGUUUUUUUUGCCAUCCGCACCAUAUAAAAUCCAAAAUAUUUUAAGAUAUUACCAUAUGUACCCAAAGCAUAUAUACCAUAAGCCAAAAUAUUUUAAAAUUUACCAUACAUGCAAAAUAUUUUUAGUUUUACUGUAUGCACCCAAAAGCCUAUAUACAUGCAAAAAUGUAAUAAAAUUUUUUGGUUCCUGAUAAUUAAAAAAACAAGAGGUACCUAUUUGGUUCAUGAUUAUUUUUCGUUGCACUAAAUAUAUGAUAGCGGGCCUAUUGUUUUGGUAUAACAUGAGUAUGACGAAUUUAAAAUCUUACACUGUGACGAUACAAUAAAACCGUCACGAGUUAGCGGGCCGGUAAUAUUCACUUGUGCACAUCCAUGACAGAAAAAAUUAUCGUCACAGAUUGUGUCUGCCAGUGAUGGUUUGUAAAUCUGUCACGGAGAAUCCGUCAUGGAUUAACAAGUUUCUUUUAGUGCUUUAGCCCAUGGUAGAAACCUUGGAUCAGGAGCCAUUCCUUGAUUCCAUGAUGAGGACAUUCCCGAAUGUACUCCUGGAGAUGUUCCUAUGCUUCAGGAAUGGUUUCUUCUGCCUUUUGACAGAAGCUGGAAAUUCUUUCCCGUAGAGCUGAUGUUUUGCUCAUUGGAAAGAACUUGUUGAGGAAUGUUGUAGCACACUUGCUCCAUGUGUCAACAUCAUCAGGGAGAGCAUAGAACCAUUGCUUUGCUUUCCCAAGCACAGAGAAUAGGAAUAAACGAUGGCGGAUGGCUCCUGCUAUGACUCCUUUGAUAGCGAUGGUGCUUGUUGAUGGUCCUUAAGUACCAAAUAUAAUCAUCAAAUUAAUAAAGAAAAGGAUCCAAAUGCAACCAACACCCAGACUUAUGGUUUUAUCUGACAGAAUUCCACGAGUUUUGGUGUUUGUCUAUUUCUGCAGGAAAUAUGGAGGAAAGGCCCACACGUCGGGUUUACAUAGAGAUAUUAACGUGCCGCACAAUUUUCUAUCAUCUAGAAGACUCCAGAAGCUACGAGAACGAACGGGAAGGCGAUCGGGCCCGAGGGCAGGGCGCCCGCCCUCCCCCUAGGGCGCCCGCCCUGGUGCAGAGUCCAAUCAGGACCCGUCUCGCGGAUUACGCUCCACCAACCUAAAGGAUCAAGGAUAACCGUUCAAUCAAGGUCGGUUUGAUCCGACGGCCCAGAUUCACUUGAGGGGACUAUAUAAGCAGACCCCCUGGCCCCUGGAGGAGAACAAGUUCAUCAUAGAGUUGAGAGGUGCCCUCGAAGGAUAACCUUUCCUCUAAAUAGACUUAGGGCUUAGCAUCCAAUGUGAGAGUAGACUAGAUCUACUAGAUUGAGAGAGAUAGAGUGGAGGUGUAGAUUGGAGGAAGCCCGCCCUGUCGGUGUCUACUCCGAGGUUGUACCUGCAGGAUCAAGUUCUCCUAACCCGAGCCUUGCUCUUAGGAUUCUUCCGUAAUUCGACUUCUAGUAAGUUCUUGUUUUAUUGUUCUUUGGUUUAUGAGUUUACUUUAAUCUCUUCCGAUUGAGUUUAGAGUAAUCAUUGCUAGCGUAAACGUGGUGUUUGGGCUAGGGUACUCAUAGAUAUCCCAUGACUAGCUGGACCGUGGUAGUAGCGAGGAACGUGACAUUUCUGAGUUCCCUUUGCAGCCCACGUCUCGUUAGCUGGACGGGUAGGGUUUAUAGGUGUGGGUCGAACAUCCUCUGUGGUGUCUAGAUUCCGUGAGCCUCCCCAAUAGAACAGUAGAUCAUCCUUACCAAGGUUAGAACGAGACUACGGUUGCAGUCUUCUCUAUACAUCGCUCACAUCGAAUCACAUUCUUUGUAGCCUAAAGGGUAGUAGCAAUAGAUUUGGUUAGUCAGAUGCACGCUUUCUCCCAGUGGUAAAAAUAUAAAUACGAUACUCUGGAUAACCUCUCGUGUAAAGUGCUCACCGAUAUCCGUGCGCUUGCGGAUCAUUUCCUGAUGGCAUUACCAAAUAUCAACAAGCAUUUUUGGUGCCAUUGCCGGGGAGAAAGACGGUUUGCUGAGAUAGCUUUUUGUCUUGCUAUUAUCUUGUAUUAUACUUUUAUUCUUUUAUCUCUUUAUUUUUUCCAUCUUUAUGGAUAACUCAAAUUCCACACCUAUUAUUGAAUUUUUUGCACCUUCGAAGACCAGCCAUAGACCAUGGGAGUCAACGAGUCCUUUCUUUGCCCCUAAUUAUGAUAUGUGUUCGGAGUUGAUUGCAAUAGGUCAAAACCAACCCUUUUCUAUAGCCGAGGUCCUAUCUUUUAAUCAAGAAGAUAAUGAACUUUUAGCUACACCUAGGGAAUCUUUCAAUCUUUCUAUAAAUUCUGGUUUAAACCUAGCCCUACAAGACUAUGUUUUUUCUUGAUAUUUUCACAUUGGUCUUAAUCAUAUAACCUUUGGUAGAGUUUUUCUUUCUUUAUCUGUUAGUAAAGCAAGGUAUGUCUUCAUUCGUGGAGAUAGAGAAGGAAUCAUCUCCCAGACGAGGAAAGGAAGUUUCAAUAGCCGAUUUCCAAUCAUUUCAGUCCCAUGAUUCGGCUAUCCAACCCAAACUUGUAGUGCUCCAAAAUAAUCUAAGGGAAGAAGAAAUUCUACCUUUGGAUAUUCAUUUUGGGAUGAGCUUAAACUUCCUGCUUCAUAAGAGACCUUUGAGUGCAUAUAGUCUAAACCUUCCUAAGAAGGGAUCUCUUAGAAAGCACCUCAAAUCCAAUCCCUUUGAUGGACAUCUAGAAAGACUCAAGGAUGGCAUCUCAAGUGAUGCAAUAGAAGGAGAGCGAAGCCAGUUAGAAGACAAUCUCAUCUUCUCCCCUUCUACGCCCACUUUUGAUGACUCAUUCGAACCUAUCUUUAAACCCAUCCUUGAGCCUAAUAAUUUCUACUAUGCUCUUUCUCUUGAACCGCCCGAUAAUCCUAAGAAUCUUUCUAGACAUCCCAUGCAUAAGAGUGACCAAGACCACAAGGAGGAUCGAGAAGAGCAACAUCAAUGGCUAGAGGGCAUUAAAAAUCUAUGUGCUAUCACCAUUGAAUGGAUGGAUAAAACAAACUUGAGAGACAAUCCUAGAGGAAUUUUAAGCAUUCAUGAAGAAUCAUCCUUGGAGUUUGAGAAUGAGAGAAACAACAGUGAGCAUGGAAGUUAUUUCAUAAAUACCUCACCAAGUCCUUGCUCAUAUAAAACAUCUCCUCAAUCAAUUGGUCUCUCCAACCUUACCACAUUUGAGAUCUCCAACCCCCUCUUCCUUUCUAUUUAUGAAAACUUUGAAGGGGUGGUUAUCGAUGCAUAUGCCUAUAAUAAAUAUUGUAGAUAUCGUUGAGUCGAUCUUGAUAUAGGCACGUUUAGGUUGGUGUUGGAGGGGAAACCACUUCACCAACAUAAUUUGAUGGUUUCCCAAGGACAAGCUUAGUGUCCUAAAACAAGCACUUAUCAGAUCGUAACAUGAACUUUUAAUUAUUUGCAACAUUACCUUGUGUAUUAAGCAUAUAAGGAUAAUUGUAAAAAUAUUCCUUCGGGUAUUCAUGUCACUAACCUUUCUAGGAUUGGAGCAAGAAGAUCUGAGGAAUGACAAGCACUAGGUAUGCCCAACCAAUCAUCAUGCAUCAUUGAAUUAAAUUCAUCAAAUCUUAAAUUUUGCAAAAUUCAAGCUUGGGGAGUACUUUACAUAAAAACAUCAUUUGCCAUGUUGCUAUGUUGGUUAUCCUUACCUUUGAGACAUGCUUGAUUUGUUAAAUACUAGUCACACUACUUCAUCUCCACUUGAGUAGAUCUCUAUAAAAGCCAUCAUGCUACCUAUGUUUAUCCUAGUAAGUGUUGGUUUGGAAGUACUGGACAUACUUCCAUUGGCAUUUAAAUUAAGCGUGGUGCUUAGGUUAAAUAGCCUUCCUUAAUCUGAUUAGACAUGGAGUCUAGUUUGGUUACUGAACUAAAAACUGCUUGAGUAGGCAUUGGAUAUUUUGUUGGACUAACCCCUGCAGGAAAACUUUCAAUAUCAACAUGGGAAGUCCUAAGAUACAAACUCACAUUGGACACAAAGGAGACACAUGAAGUUUAACAAUUUGCACAAGGAAGACAUAGCUCAUUCAUCAUAGAGAGAUGAUCCAUGGAACGAGACAAAGAGUGCCACAAACACGACGCACAACCGCUAAGAAAGGAAAGCAUCCACAAGGUGAUACUGUACCAUCACUCUUCAAAGUAAGGUAACAUCUUAAGGUACUUGACUAUCACUUUUAUAAGCUCUCCUUGGUUCUGGCAUUCACAUGAAUAAAGAGACAAACAUAAACCAACCCAAUUGAUUCAACAUGUUAGGCCUUUAAUCUUUGUUCCUAGUAAGCUAAAAUGUUGCACAUUCAAUCUGUGGAAGAUAUAAGCAAAACAUAAAUAUAGAUAGAUUAUCUUUCCAUUAGGUCGAGCAAUAUGAUCUGACAAAUGUUUUAAAUGCUACACUCAUGAUCUUAUUAUCCAUCAACUUUGUCUUGCUCACCAUGCUUAAGGUUAGAGAACAACAAAUACACUUUUGGUUCUGUUGGUGUUUUUCACCAACAGAGCCCAUGCACUUGAUCUCUGCCUUGUCUCUAUGAGCAGGUACACUUCAAGAAAAACAUGGAGGAGUUUUACAACUCCCAGAUUCCACCAAGUGAAAGACCUGGAUCUACGAGCACAAACACACUAAGCAGGAUAUUGCCAACGCCGCACUUCGAACUGCUGGGCAAACGAAGAACAUGGGUGAUACCGUAUCAAGAGGUGCAGACGUCAAGGUCCACACCUAAUCAAAUGAUGCACCUAAAGGAUAAACACAGUGAGAAGUCUUGUCCAGAAGACUUAAAACAUUGGAUCCUUGCUCGAAGAGGUCAAGAUCGUCGACUCAAGUCGCCUUUCCUGAUCAAGAAGGAUGACCCUGGUGUUCCAAGCAUCGAGUGCACAAUCAACGGAUACUCUUUGCAGAAGACACUCUAUGACACCGGAUCUGACGUCAACAUAAUGGCCGCAGUCACUUAUCAGCUCCUGCAUGGAACCAUGCCCCUACAACCAACAUACAUCCAGCUCCAGAUGAUUUUCAGGUCAUUGACAUGGGAGAAGACGAGUACGAUCCACCCAUCAUCUUUGGAAGACCGUUCCUCAACACUAUCAAAGCUAUCAUUCAUAUUGGAACCGGAGAAGUCCACAUGCACUUCCCCUCUGAGAAGGUACGCUGCUACUUUAAUGAUUCUAACUAUAUAGUUGAAGAUUCUAAGCAGAUCAGGAUGAGAAGAAGGCGACGCAACCGAAACCAGAGGAGGCAAAUCAUCAAGGACGGAUGGGCAGACUACAAAGGAAAUGUAAUAAGGUCCAAAGAUAUACAGCUUGAACAGAACUAUCCUGAGGAGACCGUAGCACCGAGUGAGGUGUGGAGAGAGGAGAUAGUUAUACACGAAGAGGAGGCGCCGCCGGAACCACCGACUACGCCAUCCAGCGAAUCCCAGGAUGACUGAGAAAACAGAGAGUCCCGUUCGGAGGACUUAAAAAUACCGAACGCCUUGCCAAGAGGUAAACUUGGUAGUUAUCCUUUUCCCUUCAAUUAUUUAAAAUAAUUUGCUUAGUUAAUUAGGUUCAUAUCAUCUCAAAAAGAAAAUAAAAAUGUUAAAAAAUAGUAAGCCUAUGUGAGUAUGCUCAUGGCAUAAAACCCAUAAGUACAUUCACUGUGGUGGCAUAAAAAUAAAAUAAAUAUAUUCCUGUCCUAUAAAAAUAAAAAUAUAAAAAUAAAUUUAUGAUCCUAUUAAAGAGAGUAACCUUUAUUGAGGAAGCUCAACAUGAUAAAGGCAAGAUAUUUAUGCUAACACUUAACUAGUUCCACAAAGCUUUGUUAUAUAUUUGAGUUCAAUUCAAGGAUCAAAGAAGACUAGCAGACAGAGGACAUCCUAAUCCCUAUCAGGGUGCUGCCGACAUUCAAAUACACCUCCACCACCUGCUAGCUAUAUCAGAAGAAAUUACGUCAAAAUCCAGCUUGAGGGAGAGCACCUCUAUUUAUCCAGCUAAGUGUUUCUACUCGCGUUUAUACUUUACUCAAAUAAUAAAAAGAUUCAUAAUCAUGAAAACCCAAAUAAUUUUUUUUGCUUAUAUAUAUAUAUAUCUUUACUUAGUUUGCUAAAUAAAUAAAUAAAUAAAGUUUGCUAUGAACCCUAAUGAUAAACUCUUACAAGGAUAUGAUAAAUAGUUGCUCUGCCAUGUACCUAGUUUUCAAGUUUGAGCUUUCUCUCAAGUUUAGGCAUAACUGUUAUAUAUAAACCUGCUCUAAACAUCAACUUGUUGGAAGAGUACUUGAUCUAAAGUCUAAGUUGUUAACGGAUAUGAUAUGGAGAGGUUGAGCUGCUGUUUAUCUGUUCCUAGAGAUGCUAGAAUUCUGGAGAAUUUUAUCUUUAAAAAUCUUUAAAAUUUUGCAUGAUGAGUUCCUAUAGGAUGAGAGUUUAAAAUCCUACCACAGCCAUAUAUACAUGCUUGCUAGACUAUGAACCAUACAUUUAUUUUUUACUGCUUAUGAGCAUUGAGUGUGGUCCAGCUGUGUAGACCCUUAGCUUGUCAUAUGGUUAAAAUCAAGAUUCACUUGCACGUUCACUCACAUAUGCUGCUUCUACUCCGGAAGUACGCAUCCACAUAUAUCCACUUAUUUCCAUCUCCAGAUUCACCCAAAAUUAUUCUACGCCUAAUCCGGUAGAGAAUAGCCAAAAACAUUUCUCUAUUUCUGUUUUUCCCUGUGAAAUAAAUGCUCGAGUUAUCUUGGUUACUACCACUUGCUAUAUUAUUUCAGGAGAUGAGUGCUCUAAAAAAAGGAGGAUACGAGGAAAUAAAAAGGGGCAAGUGUCCGGAACCUCGAAGAAAAGAAAAAGUGAGACGAGAGGUAAAAAUGGACAAGUGUCUGACAGUAGAAUUAGGGGUACAAGAUACCCACCUGAGAGAAAAGAAAAAGAAAAUAUAAAGCAUCUCAUUCUCCUCAAAAAGCUUCAAAGUGCAAGAAAGGUAUGUAUCCCCUUAAAAGAGCAAAAGUAGAAUUAGACUUUCACCAUUGUUAUCACCAUCAUAAAAAUACACCAUUCACUCGCCACACAUGCACAUCAAGAUUUGAGAGAGUCAUAUAAGGAAUCUCUGAGUUUUAUUUGAAAAUCUGCAAAAACUCCAGAGCUAUAGUUAAUCAAAGAACAAGAGACAUGGCGCUUGACUUGACCGUUCUAUCUUUUAACUACUCAAGACACAAGUAACGGUUGCAAGCCCCAUGGUGAAAGGUAGAAUGAGUAAGUUUUAAGUCUUAAUAGUUUACUCUAAAUCAGAGAUGAGAUAUUGCUUGAACGCAUGUGUACUUUUAAGGCAUGAAACCACUACAGAAACUUUUGAGUCUAUCCUUGCUCAGGGACGAGCAAGAGGUAAGCUUGGGGGAGUUGUUAACGGUCCUUAAGUACCAAAUAUAAUCAUCAAAUAAAUAAAGAAAAGGAUCCAAAUGCAACCAACACCCAGACUUAGGGUUUUAUCUGACAGAAUUCCACGAGUUUUGGUGUUUGUCUAUUUCUGCAGGGGGUUAUCAGGAAAUAUGGAGGAAAGGCCCACACGUCGGGUUUACAUAUAGAUAUUAACGUGCCGUGCAAUUUUCUAUCAUCUAGAAGACUCCAGAAGCCACCGGAACGAACUGGAAGGCGAUCGGGUCCGGGGGCAGGGCGCCCGCCCUCCCCCCUAGGGCACCCGCCCUGGUGCAGAGUCCAAUCAGGACCCAUCUCACGGAUUACACUCCACCGACCUAAAGGAUCAAGGAUAACCGUUCAAUCAAUGUCGGUUUGAUUCGACAGCCCAGAUUCACUUGAGGGGACUAUAUAAGCGGACCCCCUGGCCCCUGGAGGAGAACAAGUUCAUCAUAGAGUUGAGAGGUGCCCUCGAAGGAUAACCUUUCCUCUAAUUAGACUUAGGGCUUAGCAUCCAAUCUGAGAGUAGACUAGAUCUACUAGAUUGAGAGAGAUAAAGUGGAGGUGUAGAUCGGAGGAAGCCCGGCCUGUCGGUGUCUACUCCGAGGUUGUCCCUGUAGGAUCAAGUUCUCCUAACCCGAGGCUUGCUCCUAGGAUUCUUCAGUAAUUCGACUUCUAAAUUCUAGUAAGUUCUUGUUUCAUUGUUCUUUGGUUUAUGAGUUUACUUUAAUCUCUUCCUGUUGAGUUUAGAGUAAUCAUUGCUAGCGUAAACGUGGUGUUUGGGCUAGGGUACUCAUAGAUAUCCCCUGACUAGCUAGACCGUGGUAGUAGCGAGGAACGUGACAUUUCUGAUGUACCUUUGCAGCCCACAUCUUGUUAGCAGGAUGGGUAGGGUUUAUCGGUGUGGGUCGAACAUCCUCUGUGGUGUCUAGAUUUCGUGAGCCUCCCCAAUAGAACAGUAGAUCAUCCUUACCAAGGUUAGAACGAGACUACGGUUGCAGUCUUCUCUAUACAUCGCUCACAUCGAAUCACAUUCUUUGUAACCUAAAGGGUAGUAGCAAUAGAUUUGGUUAGUCAGAUGCACGCUUUCUCCCAGUGGUAAAAAUAUAAAUACAAUACUCUGGAUAACCUCCCGGGUGAAGUGCUCACCGAUAUCCGUGCGCUUGUGGAUCAUUUCCUGAUGGCGUUACCAAAUAUCAACAGUGCUACACACUUCGAAAGUUCUGAAGGUGUGUGUUUGCAUCCUCGUGUGGUUUCCCACUGAAUCUACUAGCUUGCAACAUACGGAUUAGUGAUGGCUGGAUCUCAAAGUUGAUAUCUCCAAUCUCCGCUUGCAGUCCCAAUGAGAUAUUGGUUGCAGAGGGAGAUGAGAAGUCGGCAAUGGGUUGGUUGACCAUCGACAUCCUGAUUUUUGGUGCUGAGCUUCCUUCCUUGAGUGAGUUCAAGUGUGAGCUGGGUCUCUGAUGGUGGACUAGACGAAGUCUAGAAUUUCUUCGAGAUCUCUCUGAAUCAGCUAAUGUGGUUGCCUUGAACUGGAAAUCACUCAUACACUACCUGGUUUCACAAUGAAGAGAAACACAGGCAGGGGUAGACUGCCUACAACUAGUUGAUUCCAAGUUGAUGAUAUUUUACCAGAUUUGUUCCUGCUACAAAUUUCUAGGCUAUGCUGUCCCUGGCAACGACGCCAGAAAUGCUUGUUGGCAAAUCUUAACGCACACCGGCUAGAGUAAGAUGUGACAAGUAUCUAGAAAUGGUGGCGCCUAACCAGCACUGCUUAAAUGCAAGCCUAAGCUGUUACGAGGAUAGGUUGUCAGGCUACCCUGAGCAACGGCUCUAGGAAUACUGAGCAACACUAAGCUCUAGCGAUGACGCAAGAUAUACUAGGGGUAACUCUACAAGCGCACAGAUACCAAUGUAGCACUUCGACCGUGGUGAGUAUCCGCGGUGUCGUAAUUUAUAGUUCGUCCAAGGGAAAGUGUGCUAGAGGAGAUAGCAAGGAAGGGGAAUCCUAUCUAAACUAGAACCAACUAAGGUAGUGAGGUAAUGAAAACAUAGCGGAAGGUCAGUGUAGUGUAGCUAGGUGGGAGGACAACGAGUGAGAAAAUACUCCUAUGACUCUAACUUUUCUCCUGUGGACCAAUCUAGUCUAGUAGCGGACACACACUAACAUCGCUAACUUAACUCCUUGUUUGCUGGAAGUCGACUGCAAUAGGAGGACGAAACUCCUAUCCAAGCGAACUCGUUUCUUAUGGGCGCCUAUAGACUGUACCCGAUGUGAAUAGAACCUACUGGGAAGCAGUGGCCUGUCACACUUCGCCGCCGCCCGUUAUCAUGUUUGAUACGGUGGUAUUCAAGGGCGGGCUUAGCCUAAGAACCAUGCUUAUGCUAACUCCUACUACUCAGACUAAGUAUACGACCUAGUCCAAGCACCGUGUUACCGGUAGAGAAAACAACCCAAGCACUUAAGACUAACUUAGCUAGUGUAUAACUACUACAAGACAGACUAGGACACUACAAUAGAAUAUUGCACUAAGUAAAUACUGAAGAGAAAAGGUAAAGAGGAAUACUAGACUCUCUAGAAAAUGAGUCCGGAGACUCCAAGCUUCGCUCAACUCAACUCUAACUCCCACACUAGACUAACACUAACACUUACAACUGGAAAGCUAGAGCUAACUUGAAACACACACACACAUACACACUAGAGAGGGUGGAUGCAGCCUCUAUUUAUAGGGAGAGUAGAGGGGGUGCCAUGUCAGUGAUCCAUGUGCUUCCCACUUUUCCACCCUUGGAUAAACCGUCAUUGGAACCGCCUUAGAUGGACAUCCAAGAUCAUAUGCACAUGUUGCCAAAGUCGGUGGAGUGUAACCGACCUUAGGUGGGCCCAUAUCAUAGGUCAGUCGACCUGACAUUUUGUGAGGUGGGGCCACCCUGAGCCUUCUAGAAAGUCCUAGAGGUCGGUGGAGUGGAGCUGACAGGUGGGUCCCACCAAAGGCCGGUCGGUCGACCGAGGUUUGGUGUGGUGGGCCCACCAGCCUUGCUCCAAUGUUGUCCCCAUCUGUCAUGGAGUGCAACAUGUGUUCAUCUUUGGUCUGGUUCUUCUGGUGGGUCCAUGGAUCCUUGUACCUCCAUCUUUCACCCUUGAACAGAAACACAAGUGUGAUCUGAGGAUCGAGAUGGACAUGAAUGUGUUGCCUUAGGCUCCUAGAAUUGAGCCAACACCUGGGCCACCCCAAGUGUAGGUCGGCCAACCUGCCCUUGGUGGGUCCAGGAGCUCAUUUUCCCCCAAAUGUGAGUGUACCUGCAUCGAAAUACUUAGAGCACAAGUGGAACCUCUUAGUGAUAAAAGAUGCCUAUGCUAUGUCAUUCUUCCACUAUUGCCGGCCUGUUGAUGGUGUUUUCAUGUGUGGAUUUUAUAGCUUAUCCACCGUCAACAUAGAGUCAAAUAAAAAUUAGAGAAUAUUAAAGUUUUGUCUUGGAGAUGAUGAAUAGUUGCUCUACAGUAAUUCCUUUCAAGUGCAUAGUUUUCAACCAUUAAUUCUCUCGAGUUUUAGACAUGACCACUUUAAGAAUUUACUCUGAACCUAGAAUUUGUGGAGGCGUAUGUUUAAGCUAAGUCUAAGUAAUUGAUUUUAUACAUGAAGGAUCAAGCUGCUACUUAUCUUACUCCGAGCAUUACUAAGUUCUGGAGAUUUAUUUUCAAAAACCCAAAAUUCUACAUGAUGAGCUCUUGUAUGAUAAAGUUUAAAUUCCUACCAAAGCCAUAUAUGAUACAUUUAGAGUUAGGAAAACCUUUGCACAUUCAUGCUGCUUGCUUUGCAUUUAGUUUAGUCAACCUUUGUUGUAUACCUUAUGAGAGUCUUGUCAUGCUUUUAACAUCAAGAUCACUUACGCAUUCCACCUACAUAUGCAUUACUCCUACUCUAGGAUGUAAGCACAGUCAUUUCCAUUUUCAUCCAGAUCCACCUUAAAAAAUGUUUUCUCCUACAUUAGGAGUAAACACCCAAAAAUAUACCCUAUAGGAUAGCCCCCAUUUAGUUGCUCUAAGUUCUUAUCAUUAUCUCUCCAAUUAUUUAUAUUCAAAGGAUGCAUGUGGCUAUGCAAGAGUAUUUAAAAAGAAAAAAAAGGCAGUAAAAGACGGACAAGUGUCCCAGGAAUUAAACAAUGGGUACAUCGAUGCCCGCCUCCCACAGUAAUGAAAAAAGAAUAAAGAUAGCCCAUGUUUUCUUACGAAAAGUUCUAAGGAGGGAGUAAUUUUCAGAGAGCAAAAGUAGAAUUAGAAUUAGCCACUAAAUACUAUAUAUACACCUAUCCACCAUAUUCCAUACGCACGCACAUCUUGAUUCGAUUGUAUGCCUUGAUUCUCUGUGGAUCCAUUGUUUGACUUUACAAUAUAUGAAAUGCAAGUAUGCUCAUCCUUGUUAUUGCCACUCCUAUAAGCUCUAUAUAUAUAUAUCCUUAGUUGUAGGAAGGCGUAACCUCAUUAAUGCCUCAACAAGAUCCAUAAAAACUACAUAAUAAGAGACUUGAGGGGGUCAUACAAUCAUGCUCUGAGCUUUAUUUCAAAAACUUGCAAAACUCUGGAAUAUUGGUACUAUGAAGAAUUUGAGACAUAGUGCUUGACUUGAUUGUUCUAUCUUAUGAUUACUCAAGACUUAUGCAAGAGUUGUAAAGCUCCAUGGUUAAAGGUAAAAUGGACAAGUUUGAAAGUUAGACCGGAGGAAAAUUUAUUUUAAAAAGCAAGUGUACUUAAAAGAAAUGAAGUAUUGUAGCAACUCUUGAUCCAAGUUUAUUAAUUGGGCUUGAGUUGUUUGCCAAGGGACUGGCAAAAGGUAAGCUUGGGGGAAUUGUUGACGACCGAUAACGUCAAUAUUUAUUAGAACUUUAGACACAAGGGAACACAUGAAAACACAUUAGUCUAGGAUUUAAUCUGACAAUUUCCAUGAGUUUUGCAUAUUCUGUAUUUCCUAGGGUUUAUUUCACAGAUAGCUGAAAAGAGGGAUUCUAGUGCAUAUUUACCACGAAACCCAUCAGCGACAAAAAACAUCACGAGAUGACUCAGGAAGAGUUUAGAGGACACCCAAAGGAAUGAGAGCCGCGGGGGAGAAAAGGUGGGGGCAGUGUUGACGGUCCUUAAUGCUCAUAUUAAACCAUCAACUAAUCAUGGAAAAGGAUCCAAAUGCAACCAACACCCAGACUUAGGGUUUUAUCUCACAGAAUUCCACGAGUUUUGGUGUUUGUCUAUUUCUGCAGGGGGUUAUCAGGAAAUACGGAGGAAAGGCCCACACGUCGGGUUUACAUAGAGAUAUUAACGUGCCGUGCAAUUUUCUAUCAUCUAGAAGACUCCAGAAGCCACGGGAACGAAGCGGAGGCCGAGAGGGCUCAGGCACAGGGCGCCCGCCCUAGUCCUGAGGGCGCCCGCCCUGCUACAGUGCUUAAUCAGAGUCCAAUUCGGGGACAACGCUCCACCGACCUAAAGGAUCAAGGAAAACCAUGCGAUUAAUGUUGGUUUGAUCCAACGGCCCAGAUUCAUCUGAAAAGACUAUAUAAGAAAGGCCCCCUGGCCCCUGGAGAUCAUACCUCUUCUGUAGAAUCAAAGUUAGGGUUUCAAUUCUUCAUCCAAGUAGAGAGGAUCCCUCUAGUUCUUCUAGUUCUACCUCUAGUUCAUCUAGAUCUAGUUCUAGUUCAUCUAGUUCUGUUCUAGUUCCUCUAGUUCUAGUUCUAGUUAGUUCUAGUUGUAAUCUAGAAAAUAGGGAGAGAGAAGAGGAGAGCGGAGGAGGAGGAGCCGGAUCUGUCAGAUCUUCCUCAACAUUGUACUUUUGCAGCAACUGUUUCGUUCUUCAUCGUUCUCCAGGUUCUUCAAUUCAUAAUUCCUGAGUUCUCUAAUUACUUUUAUUUACAUUCAAGUUAUUUAUUGGAUUCCCGCUUGCAUCAAGUGCUCUAAUCUUUGAAACAUUAGAGUAGUAAUUAAUAGAUUAGACGUGGUGUUUAGUCUUGCAAUUACGUGGAAUUGCACCCAAUCCUGCGGAUUGUUGUGGUAGCCUUAGGGUAGUGACAGCCCUAACGGUCGACGUAUUCCACCUCGUUCGGAUCGGUGUUUGUAGGACCGUAGUCGGAGCUUCCUAGCCCCCUUCUCAUCUCUUUCUGUGGUUAGUGUUCUGAUGUCCCGAAAUAGAUAAUCUUGAAGUAAUUCUUGAUUCUUACAUCAACUAGAGAACUCUCAGGAAACUUCCUCUCUUCCCACCAAAAAUAAUUAUGUAGUUAUCCUUGGGCGAUCUUGGAUCUUAAUUAGUACACUCAUGUUCUCUGUGGGAAAUCGAUACUCUGGAAUACUCCCGAGUGAAGCUACAUCGGUAUCCGUGCGCUUGCGGAUUUUUCUGUUUGCGUUUAAAAUACCCAACAAGCUUUCUGGCGCCGUUGCCGGGGCAUGGUAGCUGUGCUAGUUUCGAACCAAGUCGUCCGUGUAUCCUUUUUCUUUUCCUUUUUUACCACACUCACCUUAUCAUUUUCACCAUACCACAUGGAUUUCACUAUAAGCAUUAAUGAGCAUGGAAUUUAUUUCAUAGCCACUUCAUUUACUCCAUGCUCAUAUGCAACAUCUUCACAAUCCAUUGGUCUCUCCAACAUCACCACAUUCGAGAUCUCCAACCCCCUCUUCCUUUCUAUUCAUAAAAACUUUAAAAGGGCGGUUGUCGAUGCAUAUGUCUAUAUUAAAUAUUGCAGAUCUCGUUGAGUUGAUCUUGAUAUAGGUCAGCGUUGGAGGGGAAACCACUUCGCCGACAUAAAUUGAUGGUUUCCCAAGGACAAGCUUAGUGUCCUAAAACAAGCACUGAUCAGAUCGUAACAUGAGCUUUUAAUUAUUUGCAACACUACCUUGUGUAUUGAGCAUAUAACGAUAAUUGUAAAAAAAAUUCCUUCAGGUAUUCUUGUCACUAACCUUUCUAGGAUUUGAGCAAGAAGAUCGGAUGAAUGACAAGCACAAGGUAUGUACAACCAAUCAUCAUACAACAUUGAAUUAAAUUCAUCCAAACUUGAAUUUUGCAAAAUUCAAGCUUGGGGGAGUACUUUAUAUAAAAACAUCAUUUGCCAUGUUGCUAUGUUGGUUGUCCCUACCUUUGAGACAUGCUCAAUUUGUUAAAUAGAAAUCACACUACUUCGUCUCCACUUGAGUAGAUCUCUAUAAAAGCCAUCACACUACCUUUGUUUAUCCUAGUAAGUGUUAGUUUGGAAGUACUGUACAUACUUCUAUUGGUUUUUAAAUUAAGCAUGGUGCUUAGGUUAAACAGCCUUCCUUAAUCUAAUUAGACAUGGAGUCUAGUUUGGUUAUUGAACUAAAAACUGCUUGUGUAGACAUUGGUAUAUUUUGUUGGACUAACCCCUGUAGGAAAGCUUUCAAUAUCGACCUGGGAAGUCCUGAGAUAAACUCACAUUGGAGACAAAGAGAGACACACAUGAAGUUUAACAAUUUACACAAGGAAGGCAUAGCUCACAAGAGAUGAUCCAUGGAGGGUGCCACAAACACAAUGCACAACCGCUAAGAGAGGAAAGCUUCCACAAGGUGAUACUGUACCAUCACUCUUCAAGUAAGGUAACAUCUUGAAGUACUUGACUAUCACUUCUAUAAGCUUCUCCUUGGUUCUGGCGUUCACAUGAAUAAAAGAGACAAACAUGUAUGAUCUACAACUCUAGAUUAACCAACCCAAUCGAUUCAACAUGUUUAGUCCUUCCACCUUUGUGAUUCCACACUCCUAAUCAUAUUAGCUAAAAUGUUGCACACUCAAUCUUUGGAAGAUAUAAACAAAACAUAUAUAUAGAUAGAUUAUCUUUCCAUAAGGUUGAGCAAUCUAAUCUGACAAAUGUUAAAUACUACACUCAUGAUUUUAUUAUCCAUCAACUUUGUCUUGCUCACUACGCUUGAGGUUAGAGAAGAACAAAUACACUUUUGGUUCUGUUGGUGUUUUCCACCAACAGAGCCCAUGCACUUGAUCUCUACAAUGUCUCUAUGAGCAGGUACACUUUGAGCAAAAUAUGGAAGAGUUUUACAACUCCCAGACUCCACCAAGUGAAGAACCUAGAUCUACGAGCACAAACACACUAGAGAUACUGGACACUCAGGCAAUCACUGCCCUGAGAUGCUUGAGGACGUAACUACUGCAGUAACCUCGUUGUGGAAGUAAUUACUGACCUUCUACCGAUCAAGAGAGACAACCCAGGACGCCCCGUCAUCCCGAUCUCCAUUGGCAUGGUGGCCUUUCCAGAAGCACUCUGCGACUUUGGCUCCAGCAUCAACAUUAUGACCAGGGUAUUCUAUGAAAAAUUCUUUACACAUCCUUUAUUAGAAACAACCAUGGGUUUGCAGCUUGCAGAUCGGACGCUAAGUUUUCCAAAGGGAAUAUUGAAGAACCUCUGCGUCCGAGUUGGUACCUUGUACGCCCCAGCAGACUUCGUGGUGAUAGAGACUGGUAUUGAUGAGAGGGCACCCAUCAUCCUAGGGAGGCCAUUCCUGAACACCUCGGGAGCUGUCAUCUACGCUAGUGCUGCCAAGAUCAGUUUCUACAUCAAGGGGAGGAAGGAGACGUUUACCUUCAAGAAUAAGACUCCACAAAUCUCAGAGCAAUCCCGACAUGAAACAAGGAAGAGGACCAACAGGAGGAACAGGAACAAGCAAAUGUGGACCAAGUCAGCAAAGAUGGUCACUGCAGUUCAAGGAGGUCAAGAUCGUUGACUUAAGUCACCGUUCCUAACCAAAAAGGACGACCUAAGUAUGCCAAGCAUCCAGUGCUCCAUUGAUGGAUACAACUUCCAGAAGAUGCUUUGCGACACCGGGUCAGGCGUCAACAUAAUGGCCGCCAGUCACCUAUCAGCUCCUAUUCGGAACCAUGCCCCUAAAACCGACAUACAUUCAGCUUCAGAUGGCAGAUCCGACAUUCCAAAAGGUUGAAGGUUAUUGACAUGGGAGAAGACGAGCACGAUCCAGCCAUCAUCCUUGGAAGACCGUUCCUAAGCACUGUUAAAGCAAUCAUCUAGAUUGGAACCAGAGAAGUCCACAUGCACUUCCCCUCUAACAAGGUACGCCGCUAUUUUACUGACCUUAAUUAUAUAGUUGAAGACUCUAACCAGGUCAGGACAAGAAGAAGACGACGCAACCGUAACCAGAGAAGGCAAAAUCAUCAAGGACGGAUGGGUAGACUAUGAAGGAGAAGUUGUAAGGUCUGAAGACAUACAACUUGAACAGAACUAUCCUGAGGAGACCGUAGCACCGAGUUAGGUGUGUAGAGAGAAGAUAGUUAUACAUGAAGAGCAGGCGCCGCCGGAACCACCGACUACGCCAUCCAACGAAUCCCAGGACGACUGAGAAAACAGAGGGUCCCGUUCGGAGGACUUAAAAACACCGAACGCCUUGCCAAGAGGUAAACUUGGUAGUUAUCCUUUCCCUUUCAAUUAUUUUAAAAUGGUUUGCUUAGUUAAUCAGGUUCAUAUCAUCUUGAAAAGAAAAUAAAAAUAGUAAGCCCCAUGUGAUUAUGCUCAUGGCAUAAAACCCAUAAGUACAUUCACUGUGGUGGCAUAAAAAUGAAAUAAAUAUAUUCCUGUCCUAUAAAAAUAAAAUUGUAAAAAUAAGAUUGUGAUCCUACUAAAGAGUGUAACCUAUAUUGAGGAGGCUCAACAUGAUAAAGGCUAAAUAUUUAUGCUAACACUUAACUAGUUCCACAAAGCUUUGUUGUCUAUUUGAGCUCCAUAGAAUUCAAGGAUCAAAGAAGACUAGCAGACGGAGGACAUCCUAACCGCUGUCAGGAUGCUGCCGACAUUCAAAUACACCUCCGUCACCUGCUAGCUACAUCAGAAGAAAUUACGUCAAAAUCCAGCUUGGGGGAGAGCACUCCCAUUUAUCCAGCUAAGUGUUCUACUCAUGUUUAUACUUUACUCUAAUAAUAAAAAGAUGCAUAAUCAUAAAAACCCAAAUAAAGAUUUUUUGCUUAUAUCUUUGCUUAGUUUGCUAAAUAAAUAAAUAAAGUUUGCUAUGAACCCUCAUGAUAAGCUCUCACAUGGAAAUGAUGAAUAGUUGCUCUGCCAUGACUAAUUCUCAAAAUUGAAAUCUCUCUCAAGUUUAUGCAUGACUGGUAUUAAUUAAGAUUUUCUCUCAAACUGAACUUGUGGGGAGAGUACUUGAUCUAAAAGUCUAAGUCGUUAACGGAUAUGAUAUGGGAAGGUUGAGCUGCUGUUUAUCUGUUCCUAGAGAUGCUAGAAUUCUGGAGAAUUUUAUCUUUGAAAACCUUUAAAAUGUUGCAUGAUGAGUUCCUGUAUGAUGAGAGUUUAAAUUCCUACCACAGCCAUAUAUACAUGCUUGCUAGACUUUGAGCCACACAAUUAUCUUUUUACUGCUUAUGAGCAUUGAGUGUGGUCAAGCUGUAGACCCUUACGAGCUUGUCAUGUGGUUAAAUCAAGAUUCACUUGCACGUUCACUCAGACAUGCUGCUUCUACUCUGGAAGUACGCAUCCACAUAUAUCCACUCAUUUCCGUCUCCAGAACCACCCAAAAAUAUUCUACUCCUAAUCCGAGAGAGAAUAGCCAAAAAUAUUUCUGUUUUUCCCCUAUGAAAUAAAUGCUCAAGUUAUCUUGGUUACUACCACUUGCUAUAUUAUUUCAGGAAAUGAGUGCUCUGAAAAAAAAGUGAAUACGAGGAAAUAAAAAGGGGCAAAUGCCCGGAACCUCGAAAGAAAAGAAAAAGUGACACGAGAGGUAAAAAUAGACAAGUGUCCGAUAGUAGAAUUAGGGGUACAAGAUACCCACCUGAGAGGAAAGAAAAAAAUACAGAGCAUCUCAUUCUCCCCAAAAGUUUCAAAAGAGCAAGAAAGGUAUGUAUCCUCUCAAAAGAGCAAAAGUAGAAUUAGACUUUCACCAUUGUUAUCACCAUCAUCACCAUACACCAUUCAUUCGCCACACAUGCACAUCUUGAUUUGACUUAUUGACUUGUUCUUCUGGAUCCAUGGUUUGACUAUGGAAUAAAUGUCUUGUAAGUAUGUAUUAGCUGUCUCCCACCUAUGAGCUCCAGAUAUCAAAAGCCUUAUUAGAGUAGGGUGAGAGAGAAGGCAAUGCCACUAUGCCUUAUACCACAAAUACCACAUACUUUGAGAGAAGGCAUAUACCAUCACUGCCUUGGUAAGGAUCCAGAAAUACCACAAAAGAGAGACUAGAGAGAGUCAUACAAGGAAUCUCUGAGUUUUAUUUGAAAAUCUGCAAAAACUCCAGAGCUAUAGUUAAUCGAAGAACAAGAGACAUGGUGCUUGACUAGACUGUUCUAUCUUUUAACUGCUCAAGACACAAGUGACGGUUACAAGCCCCAUGGUGGAAGGUAAAACGAGUAAGUUUAAAUCUUAACAGUUUACCCUAACCCAGAUAUGAGAUCUUGUUUGAACGCAUGUGUAUCUUUAAGGUAUGAAACCACUGAAGAAACUCUUGAGUUCAUCUUUGCUCAGGGACGAGCAAUGGUUAAGCUUGGGGGAGCUUGUUGACGGUCCUUAAUGCUCAUAUUUAACCAUCAACUAAUCAUGGAAAAGGAUCCAAAUGCAACCAACACCCAGACUUAGGGUUUUAUCUCAUAGAAUUCCAAGAGUUUUGGUGUUUGUCUAUUUCUGCAGCGGGUUAUCUGGAAAUACGGAGGAAAGGCCCACACGUCGGGUUUACAUAGAGAUAUUAACGUGCCGCGCAAUUUUCUAUCAUCUAGAAGACUCCAGAAGCCACGAGAACGAAGCGGAGGCCGAGAGGGCUCAGGCACAGGGCGCCCGCCCUAGUCCUGAGGGCGCCCGCCCUGCUACAAUGCUCAAUCAGAGUCCAAUUCGGGGACAACGCUCCACCGACCUAAAGGAUCAAGGAAAACCAUGUGAUUAAUGUCGGUUUGAUCCAACGGCCCAAAUUCAUCUGAAAAGACUAUAUAAGAAAGGCCCCCUGGCCCCUGGACAUCAUACCUCUUCUACAGAAUCAAAGUUAGGGUUUCAAUUCUUCAUCCAAGUAGAGAGGAUCCCUCUAGUUCUUCUAGUUCUACCUCUAGUUCAUCUAGAUCUAGUUCUAGUUCAUCUAGUUCUAGUUCUAGUUCCUCUAGUUCUAGUUCUAGUUAGUUCUAGUUGUAAUCUAUAAAAUAGGGAGAGAGAAGAGGAGAGCGGAGGAGGAGGAGCCGGAUCUGUCGGAUCUUCCUCAACAUUGUACUUUUGCAGCAACUGGUUCAUUCUUCAUCGUUCUCCAGGUUCUUCAAUUCAUAAUUCCUGAGUUCUCUAAUUACUUUUAUUUACAUUCAAGUUAUUUAUUGGAUUCCUGCUUGCAUCAAGUGCUCUAAUCUUUGAAACAUUAGAGUAGUAAUUAAUAGAUUAGACGUGGUGUUUAGUCUUGCAAUUACCUAGAAUUGCACCCAAUCCUGCGGAUUGUUGUGGUAGCCUUAGGGUAGUGACAGCCCUAACGGUCGAUGUAUUCCACCUCGUUUAGAUCGGUGUUUGUAGGACCGUAGUCGGAGCUUCCUAGCCCCCUUCUCAUCUCUUUCUGUGGUUAGUGUUCUGAUGUCCCGAAAUAGAUAAUCUUGAAGUAAUUCUUGAUUCUUAGAUCAACUAGAGAACUCUUAGGAAACUUCCUCUCUUCCCACCAAAAAUAAUUAUAUAGUUAUCCUUGGGUGAUCUUGGAUCUUAAUUAGUACACUCACAUUCUCUGUGGAAAAUCGAUACUCUGGAAUACUCCCAGGUGAAAGCUACAUCGGUAUCCGUGCGCUUGCGGAUUUUUCUGUUUGCGUUUAAAAUAUCCAACAGGCAGCCGGCCCCACCCUGGGGCCGGUCGGUGCCCUGUUUCGUCCGAUGCCCGUCGCCUUCUGGAGUCUUCCUCCCUCGCAUCCUUGGAAGCCAAGCAAAGUAUCCCUCCAUCGAUUUUAAGUCAGUUUGCUCCGACGGUGCACACAAGAUGAAGACGUGGGUCGCUGACGUGGCGGUUCCUUGCCCCCCUACUCCACCUCGGCCUAUAUAAGGACGCCCAAUGCUCCCCCAAGAGGCAUUCUACACCCCGGCGCUUCAUAUUCUCCACAUAAUUAGGGUUAGGGUCCCUAUAGUUGAUCUAGUUCUAGUUGAUCUAGAUCUAGUUCAUCUAGAUGUAGCAAUUAGGAGAGACUAGUUCUUCUAGAUCUAGUCUUGUUUAGAGAUUAGAGUGAUUAAGUAGAGGAGUAGAGAUUCUAGAGGAGUUCUGUCAUGUUGGUGCUUCUUCAUGGGUGUAUUCUUCUGGAUUCAGUUCCCUCGGCCGGAGCUGCGUUCUCAAGUACUUUUGUACUUACCCUUCUGAUUUAAGUAUGUAACUUGUUCUUAUUCGUUCUUUGGUUCACAACUCAUAUUGAGUGCUUUGAUCUUGGUCGUAACUUGGUCGAAGUAGUAUUUUGUAGUGCAGGCGUGGUGCCUAGGCUAGGUUUACUUGUGAAUGUCCCCUGAUCAGCCGAUCAGUGGUAGUUCACGUAGGUGACUUUAUAGCUGCGUUGAUUCCUCUGUAGUCCACUUCCCAUUGAUAGGACUGAUAGGCUUAUAGGUGCUUGGUAGGACAUUACUCUGAUUCUUCUCCUAUUCGGGGUUAGACGAUAUUAUACAAAGUUUACUGAGUCAAAACCAGAGUGUAUUAGCUAUUUCCUUUUUCUUGAUAUGAUCUAGCCUAAGUCUAUAUACUAUGUCAUCAUCACAACUAUUCCCUGUGUAUACGAUAUUUAAAACCUCCGGGUAAAAUGUGACACUGAUAUGAUAUCUAUGCGCUUGCGGAUAAUCUUACUUAAAUCUAUUUAAAUGGAGUGCAGUUAAUUUAUACCAACACCGAGCCAAUAGGGCCAUCCCCGCCCAAGAAUGCCUCAUCGACAACCGAGACCCUCAGGAUGCAUGCCACGACACCAACAAAAACCGAUGGCACAAGUGCGGGAGCCAAGAAUUGAGGCUACAACGUGCAUCAAGGGGGACGCUGUGACAGCGACAAGGACUGUAGGGCUCUCGAGCUACCAGGGCAAUCCGUAGCACGCAGUUGCCUAAUCCCUUUUGACUGCCUACAAGCAUCAUUAAAUACAAUGGUGAAACCAAGCCCAAGCUCUAGCUCACCGAUUUCCAUCUCACCUGCCAGUUGGGCGGAGCUCGAGGCGAUGACUGCACCAUCAUUGAUCAGUUUCCCCUAUUCCUCUCCAACAUGGCUCGCAGGUGGCUUGAGGAACUCCAUCCCAACCAGAUCUACAGUUGGGCCAACCUAGUUCGGGUCUUUGAGGGGAACUUCAAGGGAACCUAUGUCGGUCCCCAGCAAAUCAUGGGACCUCAGCAAGUGCAAGCAGUGUCCUAGGGAGUCCCUCCAUGACUACACGCAAUGCUUCUCCAAGUAGCACACCAAGCUCCUACACAUCCCUAACCAUGAUGUCAUCCUACUAUUUGUUUCUGGCACCACCUGUAGGGAGUUAGUUUGGGAACUAGGGCACAACCACCCAAAGACCAACGAUGAGGUGAUGGACGUGGUUGCCAACUAUGUAGCGGGUGAAGAAGUAGUUGGAGCAUUCUUCAAUGAUGGGAAGGACAAGGCAUAGGAACAAGCGGAUGGCAGCGAGGGCCUAAGUAAGGGCUCCAAGAAGAAUAGCAAGAAGAAGAAGAAGGUCCAGCAAGGCAAGUAGGAGGCUGCGGAUGAUGAUCUCAUCACUGCGGUUGAGCGCAAGAAACCUCGAGGUCCCCCUGAGGGGGCUAUCUUCAACAAGAUGUUGAAGGAGCCCUGCUCUUAUCACAAGGGAGGGGCCAACCACAAGCUUGAGGAUUGCCGCAUGCGCAAAAACUACUUCAACAGCUUGGCCUUCAAGAAGGAUUACCAGAAAAAGGACAAGGGUGGCGACAGAGGUGACGAUAAAGAUGACAACAAGUUCCUCGAGGUCCUCGACUGCUACAUGAUCUAUGGCGGCCCCUCGACAUAGCUCAUGUCCUUAUAGCGCAAGAGGGAGCAUCGAGAGGACUUCUCGAUUCGGGUGGCUACACCCUAGUACCUCGACUAGUCUAAUGCGGCCAUCACAUUCGACCAUGAUGACCAUCCAGAUCACGUCAUCAAUCGUGGUGUCUACCCGCUCGUCGUUGACCCAAUCAACGUCAACAUUCGCCUCUUGAAGUUGCUCAUGGACGGUGGCAGCUGUCGACACUAGCUAACACCACUUGAAUACUAGGUUGUCAUCCUUAGCAUGGUGCCAGAGUGUACAAAGGUAUUUAUGAAUGUAAAGGCUCUCUAGAAAAUAAUCUAUUCUACCGCAAGCGCACGGAUAAAACACCUCAUUGUAGCAUUUCACCAGGAAAGUAUUCCAGGUAUCGUUAUUUAUAAUUUUGCUUAAGAGGACAGUGGAAAUGAAGAUAAGGAUAAAAUCUAUCAAGGCAUAGACUAGAGAUAAACUUGCAAGAACAUGAUUACUAAUGAGGAACUCGUCACACAGUCACUUACUUUGGCAGGGGGUAAGCCAUAAUAAUAAUGAUAAUGAAAUAUAAGCUCAUGGGUAAAUAACACAGCGAUUAGAAAAUAGACUACUCCUUAUAUAUGUAAGGUGACGUUGGAUUAGCUACAGAAUGGAUUCUAAGUUAUCUACUAUCUACUAAGUCACAAUCUACUCUAGUUAUCUACAAGAUCAUAUAUAGCAUAAAAGACUCUUCAUUCAUGCAUAAGGAACAUUGCUAAAGUAAAUCAGAGCAUCGCAAGACUUACUCCGCAAAACAAAUUCUGCGUGUCCUAUCAAUGGAGGGUGGACUAUAUAAGAAUCAACGAAGCUGUCACUAUCGCGAACUACCACACAACCCAGCCAAUAGGAUACAUUUGCAGGUAAAUAACAUCUAAGCACCACGCCCACAUGUGAUCUACCACUUAACUCCCGCGCGUCAAGAGCUAAGCGCUUUGCAAACUUUUACAUAAACUCAUUAUCAAUCAUAACUAUAUCAAAUAUAGAACUAGAGCAAACUAAGAUCAUAAUAAAUAGAGACAUAAUGCAAUUAGAAUAAAGUAGUAGAGAAAGAUAUGAAAUAAUACCAAUCUUUAUUAACGAAGAUCCGAAUCCAGAGCGCUAGGAUCUACUUCUCUAAUUCUAUCUAAUCACCUUUAUUCCGGAGUUUUGCAUAAGUUUUCAAAAAUAAAGCUCAGAGUUCCUAGCUAUGAUUCUCUCAAGUCUCUCUAUAUGUGGUAUUUAUGGAUCCUUACAAAGAUGUCACCUACCUAUAGCUAAUGGAAUAUUUAAGUGGAGCUCAUAGGAGUGAAAAACAGCUUAUACAUAUGUUGUCUAAUCGAGCCAUGGAUCCAAAGAAACUCAGCAUAUAAUUAAAUCAAGAUGUGCAUGUGUGGUGGAGUAAAUGAUAGUAAUGGUGGAAAUAUAAGUAAUGAUAAAACUUACUUCUCAUUGCUCCUCAUAUUGCUAUCUUUCCUCUUCUUUGAUCUUUACUUUGGGAGAACAUGGGCUAUCUUUUCUUCUUUUCUUUUUUUUCAGGUGGGUAGUAGAUACCCCUAAUUCUACUAUCGGACAAUUGUCCAUUUUUUCCACUCAAGUGGGCAUAUUUGUACGCCUAAUUCGACUCCGGACACUUGUCUAUUUUUACCUAUCGUCUCACUCUUUUUCUUUCUUUUUCGAGGUUCCGGGCACUUGUCCCUUUUUAUUUCCUCGCAUAUUUUUGCAUAACCCAUGCCUCUUCCGCAUUGAAUCUUUUUGGAGAGAGAGAAUAACAACACUUGGGACAGUGAGUGAUAAUAUUUUUAGCAAUUUUUAAUGAAUGGUGGUGAAUGGUGUAGUGGAUGUGUGCAAGUGAAUAUCUUAAUUUAACCACAUGAAAAGCUCCUAAGGGUCUACACAGCUCGAUCAAACUCAAUGCAAAUAUAAGUAGCAAAAGAUGUUAUAGCAAGUAUGGCUGUGAUAGGAAUUUUGUCAUGCUAGGAACUCAUCAUGUGAUUUGCAAGUUUUCAAAAUAAAUCUCCAGAACUUAGUGUAGUAGGAACAAGAUAAAUAGUAGCUCAAACUUUAUAUCAUGCCUUUCUCUUACCUAGACUUUAGUUUUAGGUUCAUGCUUCCCAUAAAUAUUAAAUUUUAGUUUUUAGUAAUUCCUGGAAGAACUCUAAUAUAAAAGCUAGGUACUCAAAAGUAAGCAAACAGAGCAACUCUUCAUCAUUUCCAUCAUGCAUCUUUUUGGUCUUUCAUUUUUCUAGAGAUUAACUUAGCAGGAAAAAUAAAGCACACUUAUCUACACACUCUUUUUAUGUGGUUUGUAUUUUUAUAGAAUGCAGUAAAUUAAGCAAGAAAAAUAUUUAUUGGUUUUUCUAAGUUUUUCUCCUUAUGAUAAAUAAAACACUAAAUUAGAAAAGAAUAAAUAAGAAGGGCAAAUAAAAAUUACUUGAUAAAAUGGGGAGAAACUCCCCCAAGCUGGAUGUUGUUGUCGGUCUUACACAAAGUUCUAGAAUCGCAUCAUGGUGGUGAUGUUGUCGUUCAUUGUCGUGGUGUCUUGCCUUAGUUCUUGCACUGCAGUGGCGUGGUCCUAGUUCCACUUUUGUUGCUGUUCCAGAAGUCGUCCAUGUUCCGCUUGCGUAUUCUGGAUGUCGAGGAGGGUGUUGUUGGUACGGGUGAAGAAAGCGCCGGCCUCUUGGUAGUAGUCGUUUGUGAAAGCAUAAGAGGCGUCGGAGUACCGUCCUGCAUCGAAUUGGGGCGGGGGUCUAGACCUUGAAGCUCCAUAUGGAUCAGUGGAGUACUUGCCCGUAUGGAAAGGCGGGUUUGUCCACUGGUGAUCUUGGCACUCCGACCAUGUCUCCUGUGUUGGCUCUUGUGGUUGAGCAUGUCGAACCCAUGGGUCCCGAAGGACUCGGAGGUUGUAUUCUCAAUAAUGCAGGUGCGCUGCUCCUUCUGGCCCGGGAUCAGCUCCAUACCAGGUGCGUUCUUGAUGGGUGGUCAUCCUUUUAGAUGCCACUCGUUGUGGAGCUCUCUGGUUUACCGGUGUCACUGCAAUCUCAGUCAAAUAAUUUUGAACGACAUAGAGGCCAAGGUUCGGGUUAGGUAACCGAAUCUUGCCUUUAUUAUUGUAUAACAUAUACAUUAUGUUCCCCUCUUUUUUGAACAUCCGAGCUUGCCUAAAUGUGUCAUAACCAUGAUAAAUUCGUAACUCGUCUAUGAAUUCCAAUGAUGAGUUUUCUAGCAAAUUAAGAUUAGAGGCUAGACGAGUGACGAGUGAAGUACAACCGACAGGUCCCUGAAGACUUGGUAUACUAAGCCAAUGAGAAACCAAAAGAGUAACAGGUGAAGUAGGUGUUUUAUUUAUAGCAGCAUAUAGAAGUUGUAAAUCUCCUACUCUUACUUUUCUAAUAUCAUCACGAUGGAAAAGAUUGUACCCGAGCCACUGUUGACGGUCCUUAAAGCUCACAUUUAACCGUCAACUAAUCACAGAAAAGGAUCCAAAUGCAACCAACACCUAGACUUAGGGUUUUAUCUGACAGAAUUCCACGAGUUUUGGUGUUUGUCUAUUUCUGCAGGGGGUUAUCAGGAAAUACGAAAGAAAGGCCCACACAUCGGGUUUACAUAGAGAUAUUAACGUGCCGCGCAAUUUUCUAUCAUCUAGAAGACUCUAGAAGCCACGGGAACGAACGAGAGGCCGAUCGGGCCCGGGGGCAGGGCGCUCGCCCAAGUCCCUUGGGUGCCCGCCCAGCUACAGUAACCAAUCAGCUUCAAGUUCGCGGAUCGUGCUCCACCGACCUAAGGGACCAAGGAAAACCGUGCGAUUAAUGUCGGUUUGAUCCGACGGCCCAGAUUCAUCUGAAAAGACUAUAUAAGCAAAGCCCCCUGGCCCCUGGAGAGCAUACCUCUUCUACAGAAUCAAAGUUAGGGUUUCAAUUCUUCAUCCAAGUAGAGAGGAUCCCUCUAGUUCUUCUAGUUCUACCUCUAGUUCAUCUAGAUCUAGUUCUAGUUCAUCUAGUUCUAGUUCUAGUUCUUCUAGUUAUAGUUCUAGUUCAUUCUAGUUGUAAUCUAGAAAAUAGGGAGAGAGAAGAGGAGAGCGGAGGAGGAACCGGAUCUGUCGGAUCUUCCUCAACAUUGUACUUUUGCAGCAACUGGUUCGUCCUUCAUCGUUCUCCAGGUUCUUCAAUUCACAAUUCCUGAGUUCUUUAAUUACUUUUAUUUACAUUCAAGUUAUUUAUUGGAUUCCUGCUUGCAUCAAGUGCUCUAGUCUUUAUAACGCUAGAGUAGUAAUUAAUAGAUUAGACGUAGUGUUUAGUCUUGCAAUUACCUGGAAUUGCACCCAAUCCUACGAAUUGUUGUGGUGGCCUUAGGGUAGUGACAGCUCUAACGGUCGACGUAUUCCACCACGUUCGGAUCGGUGUUUGUAGGACCGUAGUCAGACCUUCCUAGCCCCCUUCUCAUCUCUUUCUGUGGUUAGUGCUCUAAUGUCCCGAUAUAGAUAAUCUUGAAGUAAUUAUUGAUUCUUUGAUCAAUUAGAGAACUCUCAGGAAACUUCCUCUCUUCCCACCAAAAAUAUUCAUAUAGUUAUCCUUGGGCGAUCUUGGAUCUUAAUUAGUACACUCACGUUCUCUGUGGAAAAUCGAUACUCUGGAAUACUCCCGGGUGAAAGCUACAUCGGUAUCCGUGCGCUUGCGGAUUUUUCUGUUUGCGUUUAAAAUACCCAACAAGCUUUCUGGCGCCGUUGCCGGGGAACGGUAGCUGUGCUAGUUUCGAACCAAGUCGCCCGUGUAUCCUUUUUCUUUUCGUUUUUUUUACCACACUCACCGUACCAUUUUCACCGUACCACAUGGAUUUCACUCUAAGCAUUAAUGAGCAUGGAAUUUAUUUCAUAGCCACUUCAUUUACUACAUGCUCAUAUGCAACAUCUUCACAAUCCAUUGGUCUCUCCAACAUCACCACAUUCGAGAUCUCCAACCCCCUCUUCCUUUCUAUUCAUAAAAACUUUAAAAGGGCGGUUGUCGAUGCAUAUGUCUAUAUUAAAUAUUACAGAUCUCGUUGAGUUGAUCUUGAUAUAGGUCAGCGUUGGAGGGGUAACCACUUCGCCGACAUAAAUUGAUGGUUUCCCAAGGACAACCUUAGUGUCCUCAAACAAGCACUGAUCAGAUUGUAACAUGAGCUUAUAAUUAUUUGCAACAUUACCUUGUGAGUUGAGCAUAUAAGGAUAAUUGUAAAAAUAUUCCUUCGGGUAUUCUUGUCGCUAACCUUUCCAGGAUUGGAGCAAGAAGAUCGGAUGAAUGACAAGUACAAGGUAUGUCCAACCAAUCAUCAUACAACAUUGAAUUAAAUUCAUCCAAACUUGAAUUUUGCAAAAUUCAAGCUUGGGGGAGUACUUUACAUAAAUACAUCCUUUGCCAUGUUGCUAUGUUGGUUGUCCCUACCUUUGAGACAUGCUCAAUUUGUUAAAUACUAAUCACACUACUUCAUCUCCACUUGAGUAGAUCUCUAUAAAUGCUCUCAUGCUACCUUUAUUUGCUUUAGUAUAUGUCUAGGCUUGGAGUAGUUUCUUUUAUCUCUUAAUUAAGCAUGGUGCUUAGUUUAGGGCUGAUGAUCUUACUUCCAAAGGAUUUGAAAUUAAGCAUGGUUCUUAGGUUAAAAUUCCCUCCUAAAUCAAAUUAGACAUGGUGUCUAGGUUGAUCUUUGAGCCGAUAGAAUGCUAUAGUAGAUAUUGGAUAUUUUGUUGGACUAACCCCUGCAGGAAAACUUUCAAUAUCGACCUGGGAAGUCCUGAGACAAACUCACAUUGGAGACAAAGAGAGAGACACAUGAAGUUUAACAAUUUACACAAGGAAGACAUAGCUCACAAGAGAUGAUCCAUAGAGGGUGCCACAAACACGAUGCACAACCGCUAAGAAAGGAAAGCUUCCACAAGGUGAUACUGUACCAUCACUCUUCAAGUAAGGUAAUAUCUUAAGGUACUUGACUAUCACUUUUAUAAGUUUCUCCUUGGUUCUAGCGUUCACAUGAAUAAAGAGACAAACAUGUAUGAUUUACAAGUCUUGAUUAACCAACCCAAUAGAUUCAACAUGUUUAGUCCUUCCACCUUUGUGAUCCCACACUCCUAAUCUUAUGAACUAAAAUGUUGCACACUCAAUCUUUGGAAGAUAUAUUUUAUAAAAAAACAACAUAAAUAUAGAUAUAUUAUCUUUCCAUUAGGUUGAGCGAAUUGAUCUGACAAAUGUUUUAAAUGUUAUACUCAUGAUCUUAUUAUCCAUCAACUCUGUCUUGCUCACUAUGCUUAAGGUUAGAGAAGAACAAAUACACUUUUGGUUCUGUUGGUGUUUUCCACCAACAAGGCCCAUGCACUUGAUCUCUGCCUUGUCUCUAUGAGCAGGUACACUUCGAGCAAAAAUAUGAAGGACUUUUACAACUCCCAGACUCCACUAAGUAAAGAACCUAGAUCUACGAGCACAAACACACUGGAGAUACUGGACACUCAGGCAAUCACUGCCCAGUGAUGCUUGAGGACGUAACUACUGGAGUAACCCCAUUGUGGAAGUAAUUACUGACCUUCUGCCGGUCAAGAGAGACAAUCGAGGACGCCCCGUCAUCCCGAUCUCCAUCGGCAUGGUGGACUUCCCAGAAGCACUCUGCGACUUUUGCUCCAGUGUCAACAUUAUGCCUAGGGGAAUAUUGAAGAACCUCUGCGUCCGAGUUGGUACCUUGUACGCCCCAGCAGACUUCAUGCUGAUAGAGACUGGUACUGAUGAGAGGGCACCGAUCAUCCUAGGGAGGCCAUUCCUGAACACCUCAGGAGCUAUCAUCUACGCUAGUGCUGCCAAGAUCAGUUUCUACAUCAAGGGUAAAAAGGAGACAUUUUCAUUCAAGAACAAGACUACACAAAUCUCAGAGCAAUCCCGACAUGAACCAAGGACGAGGACCAACAGGAGGAACAGGAACAAACAAAUGUGGACUGAGUCAGCUAAGAUGGUCACUGCAGUUCAAGGAGGUCAAGAUCGUCGACUUAAGUCACCGUUCCUGACCAAAAAGGACGACCCAGAUGGCAGGUUAGACAUUCCGAAAGGUUGAAGGUUAUUGACAUGGGAGAAGACAAGUACAAUCCACCCAUCAUGCUUGGAAGACCGUUCCUCAGCACCGUUAAAGCAAUCAUCUACAUUAGAACCAGAGAAGUCCACAUGCAUUAGCCCUCUGAGAAGGUACGCCACUAUUUUACUGACCCUAACUAUAUAGUUGAAGACUCUAAGCAGGUCAGGACAAAAAGAAGACGACGCAACCGCAACCAGAAGAGGCAAAUCAUCAAGGACGGAUGGGCAGACUACGAACGAGAAGUGGUAUGGUCUGAAGACAUACAGCUUGAAUAGAACUGUCCUGAGGAGACCGUAGCUCCGAGUCAGGUGUGUAGAGAGAAGAUAGUUAUACACGAAGAGGAGGCGCCGCCGGAACCACCGACUACGCCAUCCAGCGAAUCCCAGGACGACUGAGAAAACGGAGAGUCCCGUUCGGAGGACUUAAAAAAACCGAACGCCUUGCCAAGAGGUAAACUUGGUUGUUAUCUUUUUCCUUUCAAUUAUUUAAAAUAGUUUGCUUAGUUAAUCAGGUUCAUAUCAUCUUGAAAAGAAAAUAAAAAUGUUAAGUAAGCCCCAUGUGAGUAUGCUCAUGGCAUAAAACCCAUAAGUACAUUCACUGUGGUGGCAUAGAAAUAAAAUAAAUAUAUUCCUGUCCUAUAAAAAUAAAAUAUAAAAAUAAGAUUGUGAUCCUACUAAAAAGAGUGUAACAUUUAUUGAGAAGGCUCAACAUGAUAAAGGCUAGGUAUUUAUGCUAACACUUAACCAGUUCCACAAAGCUUUGUUGUCUAUUUGAGCUCCACAGAAUUCAAGGAUCAAAGAAGACUAGCUUCUGACAUUCAAAUACACCUCCGCCAGGGUGCUUCUGACAUUCAAAUACACCUCCGCCACCUGCUAGCUACAUUAGAAGAAACUACGUCAAAAUCCAGCUUUGGGGAGAGCACCCCCAUUUAUCCAGCUAAGUAUUCUACUCAUGUUUAUACUUUACUCUAAUAAUAAAAAGAUGCAUAAUCAUAAAAACCCAAAUAAAGAUUUUGUGCUUAUUUAUAUCUUUGCUUAGUUUGCUAAAUAAAUAAAUAAAUAAAGUCUGCUAUGAACCCUCAUGAUAAGCUCUCACAUGGAAAUGAUGAAUAGUUGCUCUACCAUGACUAGUUCUCAAAAUUGAAAUCUCUCUUAAGUUUAGGCAUGACUGUUAUUAAUUAAGAUUUGCUCUAAACCUGAACUUGUGGGAAGAGUACUUGAUCUAAAGUCUAAGUUGUUAACGGAUAUGAUAUGGGAAGGUUGAGCUGCUCUUUAUCUGUUCCUAGAGAUGCUAGAAUUCUGGAGAAUUUUAUCUUUGAAAAUCUUUAAAAUGUUGCAUGAUGAGUUCCUGUAUGAUGAGAGUUUAAAUUCCUACCACAGCCAUAUAUACAUGCUUGCUAGACUUUGAGCCACACAUUUACUUUUUACUGCUUAUGAGCAUUGAGUGUGGUCAAGCUGUGUGGACCCUUAGGAGCUUGUCAUGUGGUUAAAUCAAGAUUCACUUGCACGUUCACUCACACAUGCUGCUUCUACUCUGGAAGUACGCAUCCACUUAUAUCCACCCAUUUCCAUCUCCAGAACCACCCAAAAAUAUUCUACUCCUAAUCCGGGAGAGAAUAGCCAAAAACAUUUCUGUUUUCCCCUGUGAAAUAAAUGCUCAAGUUAUCUUGGUUACUACCACUUGCUAUAUUAUUUCAAGAGAUGAGUGCUCCAAAAAAAGAGAAAAAAAAUAAUACGAGGAAAUAAAAAGGGGCAAGUGCCCGGAACCUCGAAAGAAAAGAAAAAGGGAGACGAGAGGUAAAAAUGGACAAGUGUCCGACAGUAGAAUUAGGGGUACAAGAUACCCACCUGAGAGAAAAGAAAAAAAAGAAGAAAAUAUAGAGCAUCUCAUUCUCCUCUUCAAUAGAGCAAGAAAGGUAUGUAUCCCCUCAAAAGAGCAAAAGUAGAAUUAGACUUUCACCAUUGUUAUCACCAUCAUUACCAUACACCAUUCAUUCGCCACAUAUGCACAUCUUGAUUUGACUUAUUGACUUGUUUCUCUGGAUCCAUGGUUUGACUAUGCAAUAAAUGUCUUGUAAGUAUGUAUACUUUAUCUCCCACCUAUGAGCUCCAGAUAUCAAAAGCCUUAUUAGAGUAGGAUGAGAGAGAAGGCAAUGUCACUAUGCCUUAUACCACAAAUACUACAUACUUUGAGAGAAGGCAUAUACUAUCACUGCCUUGGUAAGGAUCAAGAAAUACCACAAAAGAGAGACUAGAGAGAGUCAUACAAGGAAUCUCUGAGUUUUAUUUGAAAAUCUGCAAAAACUCCAGAGCUAUAGUUAAUCGAAGAACAAGAGACAUGGCGCUUGACUAGACCUUUCUAUCUUUUAACCGCUCAAGACACAGGUGACGGUUGCAAGCCCCAUGGUUGAAGGUAAAAUGAGUAAGUUUAAAUCUUAACAGUUUACCCUAACCCAGAGAUGAGAUCUUGUUUGAACGCAUGUAUAUCUUAAGGCAUGAAACCAUUGCAGAAACUCUUGAGUCCAUCUUUGCUCAGGGACGAGCAAAGGUUAAGCUUUGGGGAGCUUGUUGACGGUCCUUAAAGCUCACAUUUAACCGUCAACUAAUCAUAGAAAAGGAUCCAAAUGCAACCAACACCUAGACUUAGGGUUUUAUCUGACAGAAUUCCACGAGUUUUGGUGUUUGUCUAUUUCUGCAGGGGGUUAUCAGGAAAUACGAAAGAAAGGCCCACACGUCGGGUUUACAUAGAGAUAUUAAUGUGCCGCGCAAUUUUCUAUCAUCUAGAAGACUCCAGAAGCCACGGGAACGAACGGGAGGCCGAUCGGGCCCGGGGGCAGGGCGCCCGCCCAAGUCCCUUGGGUGCCCGCCCAGCUAUAGUAACCAAUCAGCUUCAACUUCGCGGAUCGUGCUCCACCGACCUAAGGGACCAAGGAAAACCAUGCGAUUAAUGUCGGUUUGAUCCUACGGCCCUGAUUCAUCUAAAAAGACUAUAUAAGCAAGGCCCCCUGGCCCCUGGAGAGAAAACCUCUUCUACAGAAUCAAAGUUAGGGUUUCAAUUCUUCAUCCAAGUAGAGAGGAUCCCUCUAGUUCUUCUAGUUCUACCUCUAGUUCAUCUAGAUCUAGUUCUAGUUCAUCUAGUUCUAGUUCUAGUUCUUCUAGUUAUAGUUCUAGUUCGUUCUAGUUGUAAUCUAGAAAAUAGGGAGAGAGAAGAGGAGAGCGGAGGAGGAGCCGGAUCUGUCGGAUCUUCCUCAACAUUGUACUUUUGCAGCAACUGGUUCGUCCUUCAUCGUUCUCCAGGUUCUUCAAUUCACAAUUCCUGAGUUCUUUAAUUACUUUUAUUUACAUUCAAGUUAUUUAUUGGAUUCCUGCUUGCAUCAAGUGCUCUAGUCUUUAUAACGCUAGAGUAGUAAUUAAUAGAUUAGACGUGGUGUUUAGUCUUGCAAUUACCUGGAAUUGCACCCAAUCCUGCGGAUUGUUGUGGUAGCCUUAGGGUAGUGACAGCCCUAACGGUCGACGUAUUCCACCACGUUCAGAUCGGUGUUUGUAGGACCGUAGUCAGACCUUCCUAGCCCCCUUCUCAUCUGUUUCUGUGGUUAGUGCUCUGAUGUCCCGAUAUAGAUAAUCUUGAAGUAAUUCUUGAUUCUUAGAUCAAUUAGAGAACUCUCAGGAAACUUCCUCUCUUCCCACCAAAAAUAUUCAUAUAGUUAUCCUUGGGCAAUCUUGGAUCUUAAUUAGUACACUCACGUUCUCUGUGGAAAAUCGAUACUCUAGAAUACUCCCGGGUGAAAGCUACAUCGGUAUCCGUGCGCUUGCGGAUUUUUCUGUUUGCGUUUAAAAUACCCAACAACCACUUGUGGAACAUCCUAAGAGUGGGGUGUUCCAUGUCACUAGUUCGGGCUUGACUAUAAAACUCAUCUCUAUAUAUCUCUCUCCAGAAUCGGUGUCUCUCAAAAUUGGGUAAGUCGGAGUCAAUGUCCAGGAUGCAUCUUGAAGAGAAACCGAGAUGGUCGCUCAGUUCUCUCCAAGACAACAUAAUGUCCUAUUUGAACAUCCGAAAAGCGAUUCCCCGCUCAUAAUAUUGUAAAGUGCAAAGAAAUUCAAGGCUGAGAAGACGAGAACCCAGCUCAGUUAUGUUCCAAAAAUUUGUCCAUCCCACCAUCUGAAAAAUCAAAUCGAAUUCAGUAUCCAUACCUGUUUCUUGUAGCAAGAUGGGAUCAAGAGUGGGGGCGUGAAUGAAAUCCUUAUUCUUUAGCUACUGGUAAACUUCCUUCUCCCUGCGGGUCUUCAGUCCAAGGUCUCCUAUGUUGAGGAGGACCUUGACUCGCAGAUCAGAUGAAGAUGAUGGAGCUUGCGGGGGUGUCGGGUCGAUGCUCAUCUCUGACUGGUGUGAGGAGUGUCGGGAUGAACUCCUCGUACCUAUGUUCUUGAAGGCCUUGCUUACGUUCUUUACCUUUUUGAACAUCCUGCAAACAAAAUUUGACACAAACACAACUAGUGGAAAAUGUGAGAGAAAAUGUUAGUGGUCAGCUGUCCGAAAUGUCAGUAGUCUAGGGGUUAGUCGUUCAAGACAAGUUUUUGUUUUGGCAGCACCUCCCCCUAAACAACUUUUACUUCCGCUCUGGACAGCGGGAUCACUACUUACUAGGUGAACCUUACUCUCUCACUCAAAGACUACCAACCUCUCUUCCACUCUUCUCUUCCUCUCUACUCUUCUUCUCACUUCACUACAAGAACUCCUUCUCUGGAACAUAGCAGUGCACCUAUAGUAUCUCCAUCUAAUCCAUCCAUAUUUUUCGCGCACAAAUAACAGCGAGUACCAGAAAGUUAAAUGCAAGAAAACAUAGCAGUGCACCUAUGUUGGGUAUUUUAAACGCAAACAGAAAAAUCCGCAAGCGCACGGAUACCGAUGUAGCUUUCACCCGGGAGUAUUCCAGAGUAUCGAUUUUCCACAGAGAACGUGAGUGUACUAAUUAAGAUCCAAGAUCGCCCAAGGAUAACUAUAUAAUUAUUUUUGGUGGGAAGAGAGGAAGUUUCCUGAGAGUUCUCUAGUUGAUCUAAGAAUCAAGAACUACUUCAAGAUUAUCUAUAUCGGGACAUCAGAGCACUAACCACAGAAAGAGAUGAGAAGGGGGCUAGGAAGGUCUGACUACGGUCCUACAAACACCGAUCCGAACGAGGUGGAAUACGUCGACCGUUAGGGCUGUCACUACCCUAAGGCUACCACAACAAUUCGUAGGAUUGGGUGCAAUUCCAGGUAAUUGCAAGACUAAACACCACGUCUAAUCUAUUAAUUACUACUCUAGCGUUAUAAAGACUAGAGCACUUGAUGCAAGCGGGAAUCCAAUAAAUAACUUGAAUGUAAAUAAAAGUAAUUAGAGAACUCAGGAAUUAUGAAUUGAAGAACCUGGAGAACGAUGAAGAACGAACCAGAUGCUGCAAAAGUACAAUGUUGAGGAAGAUCCGACAGAUCCGGCUCCUCCUCCGCUCUCCUCUUCUCUCUCCCUAUUUUCUAGAUUACAACUAGAACUAACUAGAACUAGAACUAGAGGAACUAGAACUAGAACUAGAUGAACUAGAACUAGAUCUAGAUGAACUAGAGGUAGAACUAGAAGAACUAGAGGGAUCCUCUCUACUUGGAUGAAGAAUUGAAACCCUAGCGUUGAUUCUGUAGAAGAGGUAUGAUCUCCAGGGGCCAGGGGGUCUAGUUAUAUAGUCCCUUCAAGUGAAUCUGGGCUGUCGGAUCAAACCGACAUUGAUCGUGCGGUUUUCCUUGAUCCUUUAGGUCGGUGGAGCAUAAUCCGCGAAACGUGUCCUGAUUGGGCACUGUAGCUGGGCGGGCGCCCUGCCUCCGAGCCCGAUUUCCUUCCCGUUCGUUCCCGUGGCUUCUGGAGUCUUCUAGAUGGUAGAAAAUUGCGCAGCACGUUAAUAUCUCUAUGUAAACCCGACGUGUGGGCCUUUCUUUUGUAUUUCCUAAUAACCCCCUGUAGAAAUAGACAAACACCAAAACUCGUGGAAUUCUGUCAGAUAAAACCCUAAGUCUAGGUGUUGGUUGCAUUUGGAUCCUUUUCCAUGAUUAGUUGAUGGUUAAAUAUGAGCAUUAAGGACCGUCAACAAGCUCCCCCAAGCUUAACCUUUGCUCGUCCCUAAGCAAAGAUGAACUUAAGAGUUUCUGCAGUGGUUUCAUACCUUAAAGAUACACAUGCGUUCAAACAAGAUAUCAUCUAUGGGUUAGGGUAAACUGUUAAGAUUUAAACUUACUCAUAUUACCUUCCACCAUGGGGCUUGCAACCGUCACUUGUGUCUUGAGCAGUUAAAAGAUAGAACGGUCUAGUCAAGCGCCAUGUCUCUUAUUCUUGAUCAACUAUAGCUCUGGAGUUUUUGUAGAUUUUCAAAUAAAACUCAGAGAUUCCUUGUAUGACUCUCUCUAGUCUCUCUUUUGUGGUAUUUCUGGAUCCUUACCAAGGCAGUAAUGGUAUAUGCCUUCUCUCAAAGUAUGUGGUAUUUGUGGUAUGAGGCAUAGUGGCAUUGCCUUCUCUCUCACCCUGCUCAUAGGUGGGAGACAGCUAAUACAUACUUACAAGACAUUUAUUGCAUAGUCAAACCAUGGAUCCAGAAGAACAAGUCAAUAAGUCAAAUCAAGAUGUGCAUGUGUGGCGAAUGAAUGGUGUAUGGUGAUGAUGGUGAUAACAAUGGUGAAAGUCUAAUUCUACUUUUGCUCUUUUGAGAGGAUACAUACCUUUCUUGCUCUUUUGAAACUUUUUGAAGAGAGUGAGAUGCUCUGUAUUUUCUUUUUCUUUUCUCUCAGGUGGGUAUCUUGUACCCCUAAUUCUACUGUCGGACACUUGUCCAUUUUUACCUCUCGUCUCACUUUUUUUUCUUUUCUUUCGAGGUUCCGGGCACUUGCCCCUUUUUAUUUCCUCGUAUCUUUUUUUUUCUUUUUUUUUCUUUUUUUUUCUCUUUUUUUUAGAGAGCACUCAUCUCAUGAAAUAAUAUAGCAAGUGGUAGUAACAAGAUAACUUGAGCAUUUAUUUCAUAGGGGAAAAACAGAAAUAUUUUUGGCUAUUCUCUCCCGGAUUAGGAGUAGAAUAUUUUUAGGUGAUUCUGGAGAUGGAAAUGGGUGGAUAUAUGUGGAUGCGUACUUCCGGGUAGAAGCAGCAUGUAUGAGUGAUGGGUGGAUAUAUGUGGAUGCGUACUUCCGGGUAGAAGCAGCAUGUAUGAGUGAACGUGCAAGUGAAUCUUGAUUUAACCACAUGACAAGCUCCUAAGGGUCUACACAGCUUGACCACACUCAAUGCUCAUAAGCAGUAAAAUGUAAAUGUGUGGCUCAAAGUCUAGCAAGCAUGUAUAUAUGGCUGUGGUAGGAAUUUAAACUCUCAUCAUACAGGAACUCAUCAUGCAACAUUUUAAAGAUUUUCAAAGAUAAAAUUCUCCAGAAUUCUAGCAUCUCUAGGAACAGAUAAACAACAACUCAACCUUCCCAUAUCAUAUCCGUUAACGACUUAGACUUUAGAUCAAGUACUCUUCCCACAAGUUCAGGUUUAGAGCAAAUCUUAAUUAAUAACAGUCAUGCCUAAACUUGAGAGAGAUUUCAAUUUUGAGAACUAGUCAUGGCAGAGCAACUAUUCAUCAUUUCCAUGUGAGAGCUUAUCAUGAGGGUUCAUAACAAACUUUAUUUAUUCAUUUAUUUCGCAAACUAAGCAAAGAUAUAUAAGCACAAAAUCUUUAUUUGGGUUUUUAUGAUUAUGCAUCUUUUUAUUAUUUGAGUAAAGUAUAAACGUGAGUAGAAUACUUAGCUAGAUAAAUGGGGGUGCUCUCCCCCAAGCUGGUUUUCGACAUAAUUUCUCUUGAUGUAGCUAGCAGGUGGCGGAGGUGUAUUUGAAUGUCGGCAGCACCCUGGUAGCGAUUAGGAUGUCCUCCGUCUGCUAGUCUUCUUUGAUCCUUGAAUUCUGUGGAGCUUAAAUAGAAAACAAAGCUUUGUGGAACUAGUUAAGUGUUAGCAUAAAUAUCUAGCCUUUAUCAUGUUGAGCCUCCUCAAUAAAUGUUACACUCUUUAGUAGGAUCAUAAAUUUAUUUUUAUAAUUUUAUUUUUAUAGGACAGGAAUAUAUUUAUUUUAUUUUUAUGCCACCACAGUGAAUGUACUUAUGGGUUUUAUGCCAUGAGCAUACUCACAUGGGACUUACUAUUUUUAACAUUUUUAUUUUCUUUUCAAGAUGAUAUGAACCUGAUUAACUAAGCAAACUAUUUUAAAAUAAUUGAAAGGAAAAAGAUAACUACCAAGUUUACCUCUUGGCAAGGCGUUCGGUUUUUUUAAGUCCUCCGAACGGGACUCUCCGUUUUCUGAGUCGUCCUGGGAUUCGCUGGAUGGCGUAGUCGGUGGUUCCGACGGUGCCUGCUCUUCAUGUAUAACUAUCUUCUCUCUCCACACCUGACUCGGUGCUACGGUCUCCUCAGGACAAUUCUGAUCAAGCUGUAUGUCUUCAGACCUUACUACUUCUCCUUCGGAGUCUGCUCAUCCGUCCUUGAUGAUUUGCCUCCUCUGGUUGCGGUUGCAUCGUCUUCUUCUUGUCCUGACCUGCUUAGAGUCUUCAACUAUAUAGUUAGGGUCAGUAAAAUAGCGGCGUACCUUCUCAGAGGGGAAGUUCAUGUGGACUUCUCCGGUUCCAAUGUAGAUGAUUGCUUUAACAGUGCUGAGGAACGGUCUUCCAAGGAUGACGGGUGGAUUGUACUCGUCUUCUCCCAUGACAAUAACCUUAAAAUCUUUCGGAAUGUCUGAUCUGCCAUCUGAAGCUGAAUGUAUGUCGGUUGUAGGGACAUGGUUCCAUGCAGGAGCUGAUAAGUGACUGCGGCCAUUAUGUUGACGUUAGAUCCGGUGUCGUAGAGUGUCUUCUAAAAAGAAUAUCCGUUGAUUGUGCACUCGAUGCUUGGAACACCAGGGUCGUCCUUCUUGAUCAAGAAAGGUGACUUGAGUUGACGAUCUUAACCUCCUUGAGCUGCAGUGACCAUCUUAGCUGACUCGGUACACAUUUGCUUGUUCCUAUUCCUCCUGUUGGUCCUCUUCCUUGGUUCAUGUCAGGAUUGCUCUGGGAUUUGUGUAGUCUUUUUCUUGAAGGAAAACGUCUCCUUCCAUCCCUUGAUGUAGAAACUGAUCUUGGCAGCACUAGCGUAGAUGACAACUCCUGAGGUGUUCAGGAAUGGCCUCCCUAGGAUGAUGGGUGCCCUCUCAUCAGUACCAGUCUCUAUCACCACGAAGUCUACUGGGGCGUAUAAGGUACCAACUCGGACGUAGAGGUUCUUCAAUAUUCCCUUUGGGAAACUUAGUGUCUGAUCUGCAAGAUGCAAACACAUGGUUGUUUCUAGGAAAGGAUGUGUAAAGAAUUUUUUCAUAGAGUACCCUGGGCAUAAUGUUGACGCUGGAGCCAAAGUCACAGAGUGCUUCUGGGAAGUUCACCAUGCCGAUGGAGAUCGGGAUGACGGGGCGUCCUGGAUUGUCUCUCUUGACCGGCAGAAGGUCAGUAAUUACUUCCACAACGGGGUUACUCCAGUAGUUACGUCUUCAAGCAUCUCAGGGCAGUGAUUGCCUGAGUGUCCAGUAUCUCCAGUGUGUUUGUGCUCGUAGAUCUAGGUUCUUCACUUGGUGGAGUCUGGGAGUUGUAAAACUCCUUUAUAUUUUGCUCGAAGUGUACCUGCUCAUAGAGACAAGGAAGAGAUCAAGUGCAUGGGCCCUGUUGGUGGUAAACAUCAACAGAACCAAAAGUGUAUUUGUUCUUCUCUAGCCUUAAGCAUAGUGAGCAAGACAAAGUUGAUGGAUAAUAAGAUCAUGAGUGUAGCAUUUAUAACAUUUGUCAGAUCAGAUUGCUCAACCUAAUGGAAAGAUAAUCUAUCUAUGCUUAUGUGUUUUCUCUCUUUUUUCAUAUAUAUCUUCCAAAGAUUGAGUGUGCAACACUUUAGGACAAAACAUGUUGAAUCCAUUGGGUUGGUUAAUCUAGAGUUGUAAAUCAUACAUGUUUGUCUCUUUUAUUCAUGUGAACGCUAGAACCAAGGAGAAGCUUAUAAAAGUGAUAGUCAAGUACCUUAAGAUGUUACCAUACUUGAAGAGUGAUGGUACAGUAUCACCUUAUGGAAGCUUUCCUUUCUUAGCGGUUGUGCAUCGUGUUUGUAGCACCCUCCAUGGAUCAUCUCUUGUGAGCUAUGCCUUCCUUGUGUAAAUUGUUAAACUUCAUGUGCCUCUCUCUUUGUCUCCAAUGUGAGUUUAUCUCAGGGCUUCCCAGGUCGAUAUUGAAAGUUUUCCUGCAGGGGUUAGUCCAACAAAAUAUCCAAUAUCUACUAUAGCAUACUAUCGGCUCAAAGAUCAACCUAGACACCAUGUCUAAUUUGAUUUAGGAGGGCAUUUUAACCUAAGCACCAUGCUUAAUUUAAAACUCCUUGGAAGUAAGAUCAUCAUUCCUAAACUAAGCAACAAGCUUAAUUAAGAGAUAAAUGAAACUACUCCAAACCUAGACAUAUACUAAAGCAAAUAAAGGUAGCAUGAGAGCAUUUAUAGAGAUCUACUCAAGUGGAUAUGAAGUAGUGUGAUUAGUAUUUAACAAAUUGAGCAUGUCUCAAAGGUAGGGACAACCAACAUAGCAACAUGGCAAAGGAUUUUUUUUAUGUAAAGUACUCCCCCAAGCUUGAAUUUUGCAAAAUUCAAGUUUGGAUGAUUUAAUUCAAUGUUGUAUGAUGAUUGGUUGGACAUACCUUGUGCUUGUCAUUCAUCCGAUCUUCUUGCUCUAAUCCUGAAAAGGUUAGUGACAAGAAUACCCGAAGGAAUUUUUUUACAAUUAUUCUUAUAUGCUCAAUACACAAGGUAAUGUUGUAAAUAAUUAAAAGCUCAAGUUACGAUCUGAUCAGUGCUUGUUUUAGGACACUAAGCUUGUCCUUGGGAAACCAUCGAUUUAUGUCAGUGAAGUGGUUUCCCCUCCAACGCUGACCUAUAUCAAGAUCAACUCAACGAGAUCUACAAUAUUUAAUAUAGACAUAUGCAUCGACAACCGCCCUUUUAAAGUUUUUAUAGAUAGAAAGGAUGAGGGGGUUGGAGAUCUCGAAUGUGGUGAUGUUGGAAAAACCAAUGGAUUUUGAAGAUGUUGCAUAUGAGCAUGGAGUAAAUGAAGUGGCUAUGAAAUAAAUUCCAUGCUCAUUAAUGCUUAGAGUGAAAUCCAUGUGGUAUGGUGAAAAUGAUAAGGUGGGUGUGGUAUAAAAGGAAAAGAAAAAGGAUACACGGACGACUUGGUUCGAAACUAGCACAGCUACCGUUCCCCGGCAACGGCGCUAGAAAGCUUGUUGGGUAUUUUAAACGCAAACAGAAAAAUCCUCAAGCGCACGGAUACCGAUGUAGCUUUCACCCGGGAGUAUUCCAGAGUAUCGAUUUUCCACAGAGAACGUGAGUGUACUAAUUAAGAUCCAAGAUCGCCCAAGGAUAACUAUAUAAUUAUUUUUGGUGGGAAGAGAGGAAGUUUCUUGAGUGUUCUCUAGUUGAUCUAAGAAUCAAGAAUUACUUCAAGAUUAUCUAUAUCGGGACAUCAGAGCACUAACCACAGAAAGAGAUGAGAAGGGGGCUAGGAAGGUCUGACUAUGGUCCUACAAACACCGAUCUGAACGAGGUGGAAUACGUCGACCGUUAGAGCUGUCAGUACCCUAAGGCUACCACAACAAUCCGUAGGAUUGGGUGCAAUUCCAGGUAAUUGCAAGACUAAACACCAUGUCUAAUCUAUUAAUUACUACUCUAGCGUUAUAAAGACUAGAGCACUUGAUGCAAGCGGGAAUCCAAUAAAUAACUUGAAUGUAAAUAAAAGUAAUUAGAGAACUCAGGAAUUAUGAAUUGAAGAUCCUGGAGAACGAUGAAGAACGAACCAGAUGCUGCAAAAGUACAAUGUUGAGGAAGAUCCGAUAGAUCCGGCUCCUCCUCCGCUCUCCUCUUCUCUCUCCCUAUUUUCUAGAUUACAACUAGAACUAACUAGAACUAGAACUAGAGGAACUAGAACUAGAACUAGAUGAACUAGAACUAGAUCUAGAUGAACUAGAGGUAGAACUAGAAGAACUAGAGGGAUCAUCUCUACUUGGAUGAAGAAUUGAAACCCUAGCUUUGAUUCUGUAGAAGAGGUAUGAUCUCCAGGGGCCAGGGGGUCUAGUUUUAUAGUCCCUUCAAGUGAAUCUGGGCUGUCGGAUCAAACCGACAUUGAUCGUGCGGUUUUCCUUGAUCCUUUAGGUCGGUGGAGCAUAAUCCACGAAACGUGUCCUGAUUGGGCACUGUAGCUGGGCGGGCGCCCAGGAGAGUUGGGCGGGCGCCCUGCCUUCGAGCCCGAUUUCCUUCCCGUUCAUUCCCGUGGCUUCUGGAGUCUUCUAGAUGGUAGAAAAUUGCGCAGCACGCUAAUAUCUCUAUGUAAACCCGACGUGUGGGCCUUUCUUCUCUAUUUCCUGAUAACCCCCUGCAGAAAUAGACAAACACCAAAACUCGUGGAAUUCUGUCAGAUAAAACCCUAAGUCUAGGUGUUGGUUGCAUUUGGAUCCUUUUCCAUGAUUAGUUGAUGGUUAAAUAUGAGCAUUAAGGACCGUCAACAACCUACACGAAUAUAUAUCUCAUGCAUGCAUGCAGGACAUGCCACCGUCCAUUUGCAUGCACUUGCAUGCAAGGACAUGGUGAUUAGGCACCGUCCAUUUGCAUGCAUCGUGCAUACAAAUUAGGCACCGACCAUACGCUACAGUAGCAUUUUUAAUGGCACGCAGCUGAGCGCUUUGGCCUAUAAAAAGCCAGCCUCAGGUGCUCACUCUCACCACCCGAGAAGCACGUUCACUCACUCGCUCACUCACUCUCACUUUGCGUAUACUGUAUACGGCCAUACGCACAAGCUGAGCUCGACUGUCGUCGCAAGACGAGGUGAGCAGCUCAUGAGCAUCUCCUUGCUCUUCUCUGUCUUUCUGUAGUAUUUUUCCUGUAUUUUUUCCUUGUAUUUGUCUCUACUGAUUCACUGCCAAGAACUCCACGAAUAGAACCAUGACAUACAGAAGAGCUCUAAUGACCCCUGCUAAUUUCUCUCUAACCAUGCAUGCGUGGGCCAUAAGCAUUAAUUUCACCAAAUAGUACAUGCAUGCAUGCACUACCAGCCAAGCAAAUGCCCACGUGAAACAUCUAUUCCUUAAUCAUUGUUAGUCUUUUUCGCAUGAUUAAAUUUCGAUCAUUUUACAAAUACCACAUGCUAACUCUGAUUUCAAUAAUUAUUUUUCCUAAAUUCAUCCAAAAUCAUGAUCUACCUCCCAUAUUAAUUUCAUGAUUUUUAGAGCUUAUUUGAAUUAUGUAAUUAUUUAUCUGAGCUUGUUGUCUGUGUCGGUCAUCGCGUAUUUUAGCUGACGGAGUGAACGAGCCGGAAAACGAGAACGUUGGAGACGAGUACCGCGAGUUUGACACCGAGGACCUGGACUGUCAGCAGGAGUUUGCCGAGGACGCCGACGGAGGCAAGUCCAACCGAUCCCCUUUGAUGCAUAUUGAUCCUAUUUUUAAACACAACCCGUAGAAGCCGUUUUAAAUAUUGCAUGUACGAUAUAUGUACGAAGUAUUUUUGCUGCUUAGUUAAAACCUGUUGAAUAGCCAUCCUUGAAUUGAUAUUACCUGAUAAUUGUCUUGUUCGAACCUAGGAACAAAUAAUAUGCUAUGACAGAAAUAUUAUUAUUUAGUAUGCUUAGGACUUGUUACUCAUCCUGGAUACUCAUCGCUAUAUUUUUCCAAAUAUAAUGAUUUUAAAAGUAAAAGGUGUGAGUGGUGAAAAUAAAUUGUGGGUAUGGUGAAAGGGUUAAUGAACAAGUUAUAGAUGUGAUUACUAUGGAGAUGGGGCGGAUGAGAUCUCUUUUGGGGAUGCCCUGGUGUUGUGGCUUAUACCUUACGGGUUAAGCGUGAAGAUAUCCGCCUUGUCUCGAUUAAGGACUGAGUUGAUGAUUCAUCUUGCCUAACUCAUUUAUCGUACAACCACUCGUCUUGCAUGGGAAAGGCUUAGUCUAAAUCUAUCUAGUUAUUAUGGCAAUCACCUGGAGGCAGGUGUGCAACGGGACACUAAGUGAUGUAUGUGAAAUUGUGGAAAUAUAUGAAAAGAGCUUUGUGAAUUAUUGUGGUAUCAUGAGAUGUGGCCUUAGUGUUCCCGUGGUGAGCGCCAAUACUUAGCUAUAGAGGGUAAUGACUUUGAUGGAUCUGUGCUUGCACGACGGUGUAAGUUAUGGUAUCCUACUUGUGGGAAAAGUGUACAACCUCUGCAGAGUGUAAAUCUAUCUAGAUAGCCGUGUCCGUGGUCUCGGAUGGGUUAUGGUUUGGUUUCAACAACUAGAUGGGUUCGGAUGAGUGAAAACAUGAGAGUGAGUGUGAUUUUGGAAAUAAAUGGUUGACUGCCAUUGUGUUGUGGGAACAAGGGUUCAACAACACUUAAAAUUGUGAUCAAACCCCCAUUUUUAGAAAUACUAUCAUAUGUGCAAAAAGAGUUCUUUUACAACAGUAUUUGUGAAAUGAAACCUUGCAUGUGUAAAAAGAUAGCUUUAUGCAAAUAAAACUAAGCCUCAUCCUUGAUUUAUCCAUAUGCAUAUAUAUUGUUAUCCCCUUCCGCAGGGUAAGGUUGGAUUUGCUGAGUACUUUGUACUCACCCUUGCUUUAUUAAACAGAGGAAGAUCCGGACUUUGAUCCCGAAGUGGCGUUCGAGUAAGGUCGUGUCUGCACCCAACUAAGCAUGUGGGAUUGGGACUCGUCAGAUGUUCGAUUGUGAUAUCAUUUGUUUCUGGGUCCUUUGGACCAAUGUUGUAUUUUGGUGUCUUAUUAUUAUAGCGUGCCUUCCUUGUCCACGCUUUCCGAGACUACUGUGCUGAAACUUAUCUGAUGUAAUAAAUGUGUUACUAGCCUCCUGAGACUAGUAUUGUAUCACAUUUAAGUUCCUGGUUUACCAGGGGCGCUUCAGGUGGUAUCAGAGCCGUAGUUGGCUGUAGAACGCGACCUUAGGCUUUUCUGGACCAGUAUUUUACUAAAUAAACGUAUUUUACAAAAGUUCUUACCCUCUUCCCUCAAUUUGAAAAAAAUAUUUACUCUCAUCUAUGUCUCUCAGAUGGCAGAAGGAGUUUGGACCAGCAGUUACUGUCUAAGUGUAGAAGGCUUUCCCAAGCUCUUGUAUGCUACCAUGCAGAAACUUGGAAUCAAGGAUGGUCCAGAAUAUGAAGGUAGAGAAUAUGAAGAGCAUGAGACCGAGCGGUGUGAAGUUACCGUCUAUAUUGGGAAAAGUGAGGACUUCCCUAACAUAGCCGAAGCUUGGAGUAUGACUGCGACCAGAUUUCGGUUUGCAGAUACAGAUCAAGCCGUCGUCCGCAAAGCCUUGAGGUACCUAUGCUAGAUCUACGAGAAGCCCAUCACCCGUACACCCAUGAGGUUCUUUCCACCUGACGAAAAAGACCGACCAGUUUGGAGGACCCGCAUGGAGCUCUUGCAAUGACGCUACUCACUUGAAGAUGACCCAACUGUGGUAUUCAUGACCACAUACCUACUUGCUCUAGAUAAGCAAUAUGAUGAGCAGGCCUCAGAGUUAAGGAAGUGCAUCCAUCGUGCGGAGGAAGCCAAGAUCAUAGUUAGAAAGCUCCAUGUGCAGCUUGUAGAAGCUCAGGCCCAAGCAGCUGCAGCCGAGAGUCGUGAAACUGCCAUUGCUGAAGUCUUGAAGGCAGCUGAAGACCGCCAUGCUCAGGAGUUGAAGGAUGCCUACCUUAUCACCAGGAUCAAAAGAAGGAUGUUAGCAGUGGAAGACCAAAACCCCGUAAUCCUAGAAGGAAUCCCAAUCAUGUCCCUAAAAACCAAAAGAAAGAUGGACAUAGAAGGGCCAUCAGCUCCCCCACCCACAGAAGCCUCUCAUGAAGCUUUAGAGUUGGAGUCCACUAAGGAAGAAGGAUUUCCCCUCCUCACCCAGCCGGCACCAAAAGAAGACAGUGACCCACCUCUUAGUCCAAAGGAAGAACCACAGAUGUCAGAAGCAUGAUCCUCCUCAACACCAAGGGAAUGAAGUUGUUCUGUCCGAAGAAGUUGAAGAAUAGUAGCACCUAGUUCCUCCUUUUGUCUUGGGGAAGUGAAGUUUACUUAACUUUUGUUCAACCCCCAAAGUAGAUGAACUGUAUUGUAGUACGCUUAUUUCCUCCAUUACUAUGUUGUAAACCGCCUGAAAGCCCUAGUUUGGUUUUGGAUAAUUGAUGAAACCUAUGUGUACUAACCUUUGUCAUGAGUGAAAUAUAAAGAUAGGUUGGUACACACUAGGUGAUGGAGCUAGAUGAUGGUCAUGGUGAUGGAGGUGAUCAAAAGAUGAUAUUCAAGUGCUCCAACUUGGAAAAGAAGAAUGAGAAAAACAAAAUGGGCUCAAGGCAAAGGUAUUUUUAAUAGGGCCAUUUUGUUUUGCCACUCAAGACACCUAGUGGUUGUGAGUGGAUUUAGGAUAGAUAACCGUACUAUAAAGAGGGGAAAUCUUUAAUUGCAAUGGUUAUCUAGUGCCACUGAAUAGGUUUCUCAUUUGCAUUUACCUAGCGCUUAGUGACGUGGUGAGCUGCUUGAGAAAGCCUAUAAAAAUAUUUGUGAAAGGCUAAUUUAAAUGUCCAAUUUAUUUUGGAACAUUUUAGUGAAAUUAGCUACUUUAAAAGGUGCUGAAAAUUCAUAGAAUGUGAGCUGCUGUCCAGACGUAAAAGAACUGCAAGCUGCUGAAACAAACUGAAAGUUUUUGUAAGUAGCUGAAUCAAGUUGGAAGCAGUUGCAAUCAGUUAAAACUAGUGGACAGUUCAAACAGCAAGCGGGUGAAUAUUUUUGCAAGAAGCUGGAAGCAGUUGCGACCAGUUGCAACCAGUUGAAAUCAGUGCACAGCUCAACAGCAAGCAAAUGAGUGUGGUUGCAAGUAACUGGAGGCAGUCGCAACCAGUCAAAUCCAGUGUGCAGCCCAACAGCAAGCAGGAGAAAGAGAGCUGAAAGCAGUUGCAGCUAGUUGGAACCAGUUGUAAGAAUUUACAAACGUUGGCUGCUGUCUGUCUUGUUCGAAAGAAGGAAAGAGCAGAGACUUUGUUUGCAUACGUUGCAUGUGGUGGAGCUCUUGCCUUAAUAAAUGAAAGAGAGAAAGAGAAAAGUGAUUUGCAUGCAUGCAUGCAAGUGUGAACACACCUUAAUAAAAGGAGGCAGCCAUUGACCUUUGCUCUUCAUAGAGUUGUCCACUCAAGUACAAGGAGGUACUAAUUUGCUCUGUUGUGCAGCUCGUCCCAUUUGAAGUGGAGAAGUGGCAGGAGUGCAUGCGCAUGGACUGCAGGGUUGCAGCUCUUUGCCACUUGCUCAUUUAAUUGAUGGGACCCAUUGCUGAGAAAAUACAGAGAGCCACUCAAUGCCUGUGCUGCUGCCCGUUGUGGAAAACGGUACUAUUGUUUUGCCCGUUGGAGAGCUGGCUGGCCAAAUAAUUUAGGCCGAGUGCUCCACUUCCUGACCCUCUCUCUCGCGGAUACAGAACGCUUCACUUCUUUCUUUCCAGAGAACAGAAAACUCGAGCUCCCCUCUCCCAUCUCUCCCAAGUGCUAAUCCUACGAGAGAUUUUUGAGAGGCCUGCGUGAUUGAUCCAGUGAGCUCGUGAGCAUCUCCUCCCUCUCCUCUCCCUCUCAUAGCUUGGUGCUCAUCUGAGAGAGGAUUGAGGGUAACCCUAGGUGCAUUUGAAACUGCAUUUUCUUGUGGCACUAGGUGAUUAUUGUGAUUGUGGAUUUCUUAUUACUCUUGGUGAUUGCCGUCACCUAGACGGUUGUGGAUUUGUUGAUUGGUGAGGGGAUUUGGUGAUUGUGUCCGCCCCCAAUCAAGGUGAUAUUUGUGAGGGGUUCUUGGGCUUAUUCCCCGGCAGAGUGCCAAAAGUCACUCUAGUGAAUUGCUCGUGUCAUUGAGCUACCUCACUUGUGGGUAGGUUCUUGUGGCGCCCAUUUGUUGGGCUAGGUUUGUGAAACACCUAUUAGCCGCCGAACCACUAAGUGUUGGUCGACACAACGGGGACUAGCGUGCCGGCAAGCACGUGAACCUCGGGAGAAAAAUAUUGGUGUCAAUAUUAUGAUUGGUAUUCUCCCGGUGAAUAUAUUGAUAUACAUUGUGAUUGGUUCAUCCUCUACACAUCGGUAUAAUUAUCACUCAUCUCUUUACUUUCUUGUAAACUAGUUGUAACUAGUAGUACCUAGUUUUAGCUGGUUGUAACUAGUUGUAGAGAGUAGUGACUUAGCCGUUGUUUGUCCUUAGUGAUCAUAGUAACUAGAAUUAUUGAAUAGGUGGCUUGCAACUUUUGUAGAGCUAGAGCAAAAUUGCUUUACGCCUUUUGUUAUACUAAUCCUUUGCUCUAGUGUCUUGUAGAAUUUUUAAAUAGGCUAUUCACCCCCCCUCUAGCCAUAUUAGGACCUUUCAAGUGGUAUUGGAGCCGUGGUCACCGUUUAAUCAAGGCUUAACAACCUUCGGUGUCAAAAGAUGGCUCAAAUUGUAUUCAACCAUGUGGGGGGCAAACCACCGUUCUUUGAUGGUACAUGCUAUGAUUAUUGGAAGAGAAAAAAUGAAGAUGUAUUUGGGUUCAAUCAAUGAUCAAGUGUGGGAUGUGACAGAAAAUGAUUUUGUGAUUCUUGAUCCCACCAAUCUCACCAACCAAGAUAAAGCAAACAAGCAAUGCAAUACUAUGGCUCUCAACAUUAUAUAUAAUGCAAUUGAUUCAAAAGUGUUUGAGCAAAUCAAGGAUUGUGAUAGGGCAAGUGAAGUGUGGAAGAGAUUGGAGGAAACAUAUGAGGGCACACCGGCGGUCAAGAGUGCAAAAUNNNNNNNNNNNNNNNNNNNNNNNNNNNNNNNNNNNNNNNNNNNNNNNNNNNNNNNNNNNNNNNNNNNNNNNNNNNNNNNNNNNNNNNNNNNNNNNNNNNNGAUGUUCAUUCAUCACACAAAUGAUAAUGAUGGAAUUCAUAGUAUAACAUUUGGUGAUAAUGGCAAAGGCAAGGUCAAAGGGCUUGGUAAGAUUGCAAUAUCCAAUGAUUUGAGCAUUUCCAAUGUGCUACUAGUAGAGAGCUUGAACUUCAACCUAUUGUCAGUAGCUCAACUUUGUGAUCUUGGUUUCAAGUGCAUAUUUGGUGUGGAUGAUGUAGAGAUUAUAAGUGUAGAUGGCUCUAACUUGAUAUUCAGAGGAUUUAGAUAUGAGAAUCUAUACUUGGUUGAUUUCAAUGCUAGUGAAACUCAAUUAUCAACAUGCUUGCUCACUAAAUCUAGCAUGGGUUGGUUAUGGCAAAGAAGGCUUGGUCAUGUUGGAAUGAAACAAUUGAACAAGUUGAUAAAGCAUGAUCUAGUUAGAGGCUUGAAAGAUGUCACAUUUGAGAAAGAUAAGCUAUGUAGUGCAUGUCAAGCCGGAAAGCAAGUUGGUAACACACAUCCUAAGAAGAGCAUCAUGAGCACAUCUAAGGCAUUUGAGCUAUUGCACAUGGAUUUAUUUGGGCCAACAACAUACACUAGCAUUGGUGGAAAUAAAUAUGGCUUUGUGAUAGUGGAUGAUUUUACAAGAUAUACAUGGGUAUUCUUUCUUGUUGAUAAGAGUGAUGCUUUUGCAACUUUCAAAUCAUUUGUCAAAAGAGUUCACAAUGAGUUUGAAACAACCAUCAAGAGAGUAAGAAGUGACAAUGGUAGUGAGUUCAAGAAUACAAGAGUUGAUGAGUUAUGUGAUGAUUUUGGAAUUAGGCAUCAAUUCUCGGCUAAGUAUACUCCUCAAUCAAAUGGCCUUGUUGAGAGAAAGAAUAGAACUUUGAUUGAUAUGGCAAGGUCUAUGCUUAGUGAAUACAAUGUAAGUCAUUCUUUUUGGGCCGAAGCUAUCAACACGGCUUGCUACUAUAGCAACCGCCUAUAUUGCCAUCCUAUGUUGGAGAAUACACCAUAUGAGAUCUUGAAUGGUAGAAAGCCCAAUAUUGCAUACUUUCGGGUCUUUGGCUGCAAAUGCUAUAUAUUGAAGAAAGGCACUAGAUUGAGCAAAUUUGAGAAGAAAUGUGAUGAAGGCUUCUUGCUUGGUUACUCCACUACUAGUAAGGCUUAUAGAGUUUGGAAUUUGGCUAAUGGUACUCUUGAGGAAGUUCAUGAUGUUGAAUUUGAUGAAACAAAUGGUUCCCAAGAUGAAGAUGAGAAUCUAGAUGAUGUGAGAGGUACUCAAUUGGUCAAUGCUAUGAAGACCAUGGAUGUUGGUGAUAUAAGGCCUAGAGAGAUGAUUGAUGUUGAAGAUGACAAAAAUCAAGUGCUCUCUAACUCAAAUGUGAAAGCUAGUGGUUCUCAUGAUAUAUCUCAAGCUAGUACAAGUGGUGCUCAAGAAANNNNNNNNNNNNNNNNNNNNNNNNNNNNNNNNNNNNNNNNNNNNNNNNNNNNNNNNNNNNNNNNNNNNNNNNNNNNNNNNNNNNNNNNNNNNNNNNNNNNNNNNNNNNNNNNNNNNNNNNNNNNNNNNNNNNNNNNNNNNNNNNNNNNNNNNNNNNNNNNNNNNNNNNNNNNNNNNNNNNNNNNNNNNNNNNNNNNNNNNNNNNNNNNNNNNNNNNNNNNNNNNNNNNNNNNNNNNNNNNNNNNNNNNNNNNNNNNNNNNNNNNNNNNNNNNNNNNNNNNNNNNNNNNNNNNNNNNNNNNNNNNNNNNNNNNNNNNNNNNNNNNNNNNNNNNNNNNNNNNNNNNNNNNNNNNNNNNNNNNNNNNNNNNNNNNNNNNNNNNNNNNNNNNNNNNNNNNNNNNNNNNNNNNNNNNNNNNNNNNNNNNNNNNNNNNNNNNNNNNNNNNNNNNNNNNNNNNNNNNNNNNNNNNNNNNNNNNNNNNNNNNNNNNNNNNNNNNNNNNNNNNNNNNNNNNNNNNNNNNNNNNNNNNNNNNNNNNNNNNNNNNNNNNNNNNNNNNNNNNNNNNNNNNNNNNNNNNNNNNNNNNNNNNNNNNNNNNNNNNNNNNNNNNNNNNNNNNNNNNNNNNNNNNNNNNNNNNNNNNNNNNNNNNNNNNNNNNNNNNNNNNNNNNNNNNNNNNNNNNNNNNNNNNNNNNNNNNNNNNNNNNNNNNNNNNNNNNNNNNNNNNNNNNNNNNNNNNNNNNNNNNNNNNNNNNNNNNNNNNNNNNNNNNNNNNNNNNNNNNNNNNNNNNNNNNNNNNNNNNNNNNNNNNNNNNNNNNNNNNNNNNNNNNNNNNNNNNNNNNNNNNNNNNNNNNNNNNNNNNNNNNNNNNNNNNNNNNNNNNNNNNNNNNNNNNNNNNNNNNNNNNNNNNNNNNNNNNNNNNNNNNAUAAGAGGAGGAUUGAAAGAACUAACCCCUACCCAAGUACUAGGUGAUGUCAUGACACAAGAGACAUACCGUGUAGAAAGGGAAGAGGUUGACCAAGAUGAGAAGAAGGAUGAAGACAAGAAAAAGAAAAGUGUGGCAUUCAAGGCUAGUUCAUUCAAGAGCAAGGGCAAAGCAAAGAAAGAAGAACCAAGUGAAGAUGAGGAAGCUAGUGACAUUGAUGAUGAAGCACUAGCUCUCUUUGUGCGCAAAUUUGGCAAAUUUAUGAAAAAGAAGGGCUAUGGUGCAAGAAAAAGAAGAGAUCAAAAUAAGAGCAAAGAAUAUGUGAGAAGAUGCUACAAAUGCAAGAGCAAGGAUCAUGUUGUAGCAAAUUGUCCAUAUAAUAGUGAUAAUGAUGAGAAUGAGAAGAAGGAAAAGAAAGAAAAGAAGGAGAAGAAAAUGAUAUUCCAAAAGAAGAAAAAGGGUGGCGGCUAUGUGGUAACUUGGGAUAGUGAUGCUUCUUCGGAUAAUGAUGAUUCUAGUAAUGAUGAUGAUAAGAAAUCCAAGAAGAAGGCACUUGCAAGCAUCGCCAUCAACAACAAGACUUCUCUCUUCAACACUCCUUCGACAUGCCUCAUGGCUAAACCCACUAAGGUACAAUAUGAUGAAAGUGAUGAUGAUUGUGAAAGUGAUGAUUGUAGGAGUGAUGAUGAUAGUGAUGAUGAGUCAAAGGAGGAACUCAUGGACAUGUUGGAAAAUGCCCACACAUGUCUUGAGAUGAAGAGAAAGGAGUGCAAAGAGUUGCAGAAAGAGCUUAAAGCUCUUAAGCAAUCUUUUGAUGAGCUCCAAGCGUCUCAUGAGAGUCUAAAGGAAGACCAUGAGGAGCUUAGCAAUGCUGACUAUAAGCUUGAAAAGGCUCACUCCUUACUCCUCGAGCAAGCUAAGAAGGAGGAAGUUAUUGUGACUUGUGACAAGGGCUCUACUUGUGAUUUAAUUAAUGAAUCUUUCUUUGAGCCUAUUAUUAUUGCCUCCACUAACUCUUCUUGCAGCACUUCCACUUCUACCUCAUCUACUAGUGAUGGUUUCACUUGUGAUGCCACAUUAAUUAAUGAAAAUGAGACCCUCAAGAAGGAGGUCAAUGAGCUCACUCGCGCCUUAGGCAAUGCCUAUGGUGGUGAGGCCCGCUUGCUAAAGUGCUUGGGUAGCCAAAGGUUUUCUCUCAACAAAGAGGGAUUAGGCUAUACCCCCAAGAAAGGCAAGGCGGCCUUUGCUACUCAUAAAGCUAGCUUUGUGAAGGGCAAUGGUCGGUUUUGCACUAGAUGCAAGCAAGUUGGGCACAUAGAGCAAUAUUGCAAGAACAAGAACAAAACAAAUAAUGUAUCCUCAAUUAAAUUUGAUUCUUGUUAUAUGCUUACCAAAGGUGUUAAUGGGGUGCAACCUAAGUUCAUUGGUGCACCAAUUGUGGGCUCAAAGAAGAAAGCUAUGUGAUNNNNNNNNNNNNNNNNNNNNNNNNNNNNNNNNNNNNNNNNNNNNNNNNNNNNNNNNNNNNNNNNNNNNNNNNNNNNNNNNNNNNNNNNNNNNNNNNNNNNGUGAUUGGGUAAUGCUAUGCAUGAAGAGCUAAACAAUUUUACUGGAAAUCAAGUAUGGGAGUUAGUAGAGAGGCCUAAGGAUAAUAAUGUGAUUGGAACCAAAUGGGUCUUUCGAAACAAGCAAGAUCAAGAUGGGAUAGUGAUUAGGAACAAAGCAAGAUUGGUAGCACAAGGUUACACACAAAUUGAAGGUCUUGACUUUGGAGAAACAUAUGCCCCGGUUGCAAGAUUGGAAGCAAUUAGGAUCUUGUUAGCCUAUGCUUGUGCUCAUAAUAUCAAGUUAUAUCAAAUGGAUGUGAAGAGUGCAUUCUUGAAUGGGUACAUAAAUGAGUUGGUUUAUGUUGAGCAACCUCCCGGUUUUGAAAAUGACAAGAAGCCCAACCAUGUUUACAAGUUGAAGAAAGCAUUGUAUGGUUUGAAACAAGCACCUAGAGCAUGGUAUGAGAGGUUAAGGGAUUUCUUACUCUCUAAAGGGUUUCUUAUGGGUAAGGUUGACACCACUCUCUUCACUAAAAAGAUAGGCAAGGACUUAUUUGUGUUGCAAAUCUAUGUUGAUGACAUUAUAUUUGGCUCAACCAAUCAAGAAUUUUGUAAAGAAUUUGGAAAUAUGAUGGCAAAAGAGUUUGAGAUGUCCAUGAUUGGAGAGCUUAGUUACUUCCUUGGUCUUCAAAUUAAGCAAAUGAAGAAUGGUACAUUUGUGAGUCAAGGCAAGUACAUUAAAGAUAUGCUCAAAAAGUUUGGCAUGGAUGAUGCUAAAGCUAUUAGUACACCUAUGGGGACAAAUGGAAACUUGGAUAGUGAUGCUAGUGGCAACAUGGUGGAUCAAAAGUUAUAUCGGUCUAUGAUUGGAAGCCUACUCUAUGUGACUGCAUCAAGACCGGAUGUGAUGUUUAGUGUAUGCAUGUGUGCUAGAUUUCAAGCAUCACCAAGAGAAAGUCAUUUGAAGGCAACAAAAAGAAUAUUGAGGUACUUGAAACAUACACAAAAUGUUGGAUUGUGGUAUCCCAAAGGAGCAAAUUUUGAGUUGAUUGGUUAUUCUGACUGUGAUUAUGCGGGAUGUAAAAUUGAGAGAAAGAGCACAUCAGGCACAUGUCAAUUAUUGGGAAGGUCACUUGUAUCUUGGUCAUCAAAGAAGCAAAAUAGUGUAGCACUUUCAACCGCCGAAGCUGAGUAUAUUUCAGCUGGUAGUUGUUGUGCUCAAUUACUUUGGAUGAAGGCUACUUUGAAUGAUUUUGGAAUCAAGUUCAAACAAGUGCCAUUGCUAUGUGAUAAUGAGAGUGCAGUGAAGCUUACUAACAACCCAGUUCAACAUUCAAGAACAAAGCAUAUAGAUGUCCGUCAUCAUUUCAUAAGAGAUCAUCAACAAAAAGGGGACAUUUGUAUUGAGAGUGUGGGAACUGAAGAUCAACUUGCCGAUAUAUUCACCAAGCCACUUGAUGAGAAGAGGUUUUGCAAGCUAAGGAAUGAAUUGAACAUACUUGACUUCUCAAAUAUGUGUUGAUGCACCCCAUAAUAUGACAUGCCUCACCUUCGAGCAAAGCAAGGUAAAAUUAUUUGACAUGUCAUCCAUCCUUUGCUAAGGACUUGUUUAGUGCAUCUAGUCAUUCCUCACAUAUCCUAGACUCAUUUAUGAAAAUAAAAUGAAUUUGAUGCUUGUAUGGUACCACUAUUGCUUCUAUGUUUGAAAUGAUCUAGUGGUAGCAUAUGACAUGUUUGUGGGCUUGCAAUCCUAGUGUUUGAUCUAGAAAAUGAGCUAUAGGUGUUUAACUCAACAUUGUCAAGAUAACCCUUGAAAUGAGGUGUGAAAAAGCUUGUCAUUGGAUCAAACCGAGUUAAAUAUCUUAGACAAGCAAUCUAGAUUGAACCAAAUUUGGCAAAAUAAUCCUUACAUAACAUGGUUUCACAUACAACCUAUCUAAAAUUUGAGCUCACCUUUUGUGGUCAUUGAUGACAAAGGGGGAGAAGUAAUUCACAAAGAUAGGUUUUCCUAAAAGAAGGGAAUCAAUUUUUUUAAGCACACAAGUAGGGGGAGCAAGCUCAUAAACUUGUAUGUUGCAUUUGGAUGUGCAUUACAUAUGUUUGCAUGCAUAGCAUUUUUUUUUGAUACCUUGCUUGUGUGAUGUAUGCUAGUUGUAAAUUGAUUGAUGAAAUGAAAAACUAACAUGUAUAGGAUGAUAGUUAGAUGUACCUUGCAUGUUUUAUGUUUUACAAGUGGUACAAGAGCCUUGUUUAUAAUAUUGAUCUCACGAGGUAUCUAGUGUUUAUGUUUGCAAGAGCUAUCUAACUAACCAUGGUGCUAAGGAUGGUGUUCAAAUGGCAACUCCGAUUGGUAUCACGCUUCAAAGGUCCAUUCUUUACACCUUAGCAUCAUUUGGUAGUUAUUGUCUCCUAUGUUUCCUAUCUAAGCAUAUGUGCAAGCUUUCAAAUCCAAACUCUUAGCACAUAUGUAGGGGGAGCCAAUGCUACCAAUUUGGGUUUAUGAAACUUGUCCAUAUCUUUUACACAUGGUAAAUUGCUUGGGCAAGCAACAUGAAUCUAAAAAUUUUAUUGAAUAUCUUUGUGAAAAGGUUGUCAUCAAUUACCAAAAAGGGGGAGAUUGAAAGCCCUAGUUUGGUUUUGGAUAAUUGAUGAAACCUAUGUGUACUAACCUUUGUCAUGAGUGAAAUAUAAAGAUAGGUUGGUACACACCAAGUGAUGGAGCUAGAUGAUGGUCAUGGUGAUGGAGGUGAUCAAAAGAUGAUAUUCAAGUGCUCCAACUUGGAAAAGAAGAAUGAGAAAAACAAAAUGGGCUCAAGGCAAAGGUAUUUUUAAUAGGGCCAUUUUGUUUUGCCACUCAAGACACCUAGUGGGUGUGAGUGGAUUUAGGAUAGACAACCGUACUAUAAAGAGGGGAAAUCUUUAAUUGCAAUGGUUAUCUAGUGCCACUGAAUAUGUUUCUCAUUUGCAUUUACCUAGCGCUUAGUGACGUGGUGAGCUGCUUGAGAAAGCCUAUAAAAAUAUUUGUGAAAGGCUAAUUUAAAUGUCCAAUUUAUUUUGGAACAUUUUAGUGAAAUUAGCUACUUCAAAAGGUGCUGAAAAUUCAUAGAAUGUGAGCUGCUGUCCAGACGUAAAAGAACUGCAAGCUGCUGAAACAAACUGAAAGUUUUUGUAAGUAGCUGAAUCAAGUUGGAAGCAGUUGCAAUCAGUUAAAACUAGUGGACAGUUCAAACAGCAAGCGGGUGAAUAUUUUUGCAAGAAGCUGGAAGCAGUUGCGACUAGUUGCAACCAGUUGAAAUCAGUGCACAGCUCAACAGCAAGCAAAUGAGUGUGGUUGCAAGUAACUGGAGGCAGUCGCAACCAGUCAAAUCCAGUGUGCAGCCCAAAAGCAUGCAGGAGAAAGAGAGCUGAAAGCAGUUGCAGCUAGUUGGAACCAGCUGUAAGAAUUUACAAACGUUGGCUGCUCUCUGUCUUGUUCGAAAGAAGGACAGAGCAGAGACUUUGUUUGCAUACGUUGCAUGUGGUGGAGCUCUUGCCUUAAUAAAUGAAAGAGAGAAAGAGAAAAGUGAUUUGCAUGCAUGCAUGCAAGUGUGAACACACCUUAAUAAAAGGAGGCAGCCAUUGACCUUUGCUCUUCAUAGAGUUGUCCACUCAAGUACAAGGAGGUACUAAUUUGCUCUGUUGUGCAGCUCGUCCCAUUUGAAGUGGAGAAGUGGCAGGAGUGCAUGCGCAUGGACUGCAGGGUUGCAGCUCUUUGCCACUUGCUCAUUUAAUUGAUGGGACCCAUUGCUGAGAAAAUACAGAGAGCCACUCAAUGCCUGUGCUGCUGCCCGUUGUGGAAAACGGUACUAUUGUUUUGCCCGUUGGAGAGCUGGCUGGCCAAAUAAUUUAUGCCGAGUGCUCCACUUCCUGACCCUCUCUCUCGCGAAUACAGAACGCUUCACUUCUUUCUUUCCAGAGAACAGAAAACUCGAGCUCCCCUCUCCCAUCUCUCCCAAGUGCUAAUCCUACGAGAGAUUUUUGAGAGGCCUGCGUGAUUGAUCCAGUGAGCUCGUGAGCAUCUCCUCCCUCUCCUCUCCCUCUCAUAGCUUGGUGCUCAUCUGAGAGAGGAUUGAGGGUAACCCUAGGUGCAUUUGAAACUGCAUUUUCUUGUGGCACUAGGUGAUUAUUGUGAUUGUGGAUUUCUUAUUACUCUUGGUGAUUGCCGUCACCUAGAUGGUUGUGGAUUUGUUGAUUGGUGAGGGGAUUUGGUGAUUGUGUCCGCCCCCAAUCAAGGUGAUAUUUGUGAGGGGUUCUUGGGCUUAUUCCCCGGCAGAGUGCCAAAAGUCACUCUAGUGAAUUGCUCGUGUCAUUGAGCUACCUCACUUGUGGGUAGGUUCUUGUGGCGCCCAUUUGUUGGGCUAGGUUUGUGAAACACCUAUUAGCCGCCGAACCACUAAGUGUUGGUCGACACAACGGGGACUAGCGUGCCGGCAAGCACGUGAACCUCGGGAGAAAAAUAUUGGUGUCAAUAUUAUGAUUGGUAUUCUCCCGGUGAAUAUAUUGAUAUACAUUGUGAUUGGUUCAUCCUCUACACAUCGGUAUAAUUAUCACUCAUCUCUUUACUUUCUUGUAAACUAGUUGUAACUAGUAGUACCUAGUUUUAGCUGGUUGUAACUAGUUGUAGAGAGUAGUGACUUAGCCGUUGUUUGUGCUUAGUGAUCAUAGUAACUAGAAUUAUUGAAUAGGUGGCUUGCAACUUUUGUAGAGCUAGAGCAAAAUUGCUUUAAGCCUUUUGUUAUACUAAUCCUUUGCUCUAGUGUCUUGUAGAAUUUUUAAAUAGGCUAUUCACCCCCCCUCUAGCCAUAUUAGGACCUUUCACCGCCCUCUUAUUCAAAAUAUAUAUUUGUGCUUGUUGGUUGUGCUAAAUAAUUGAGUGCUCUAUGUUGUUCCCUUACGGCAUAGCAAGUGUUAAAACUUGCACCUUUUUAAAAUAUAACGCCAUAACAAAAAAAACAACAUCACUCAAUAGAUCUAACCCUUAUCUAAUGCUUUCUCAUCUUAACCAAUAGAUGCCUCCCAAACCAGCUACCCACUCUCAACCAAGUGGUCGUGCAGCUAGUAGACAAAGCCAAAAUCCAAAUGGAAGUCAAGCCAAUGCAAAUGUGGAUGGUAUUCAUGAAGAUGAAGUGAGUCAGACUAGGAACCAUAAUGAAGGAGAUGACUUGCCCCCUCCUCCAGUAAUUGACUUAGCACAAGUCAUGGCAACUCAGACUCGCCUUCUAGAGACCUUGGCUCAAGGCAUGAACCGCCCUAGGAACAACCGUGGAGCCGAAGUCCAAGAUAAGAUGACUGAGUUCAUGAGGCUUAAGCCACCCACCUUUACUGGAUCUGACAACCCCAUGGAAGCAGAUGAUUGGCUUAAGGUGAUUGAAAGGAAGUUGGACACAAUCCACUGCGAUGGAAGGGAUAGAGUUCUACUAGCAUCUCAUCAGCUGACAAGAAUUGCCCUUUCUUGGUGGGAAGCCUAUAGUGGAGCUGUGGACAAUGCCAACACGAUCACAUGGGAAGAAUUUGUGGACGAAUUCCGCCGGUACCACAUUCCCGAUGGGAUCAUGAAGCUGAAGGCUGAUGAAUUUCGCAACUUGAAGCAAGGAAAUAAAACUCUGAGUGAAUACAUCUUCCAAUUCACUGAGUUGUCUUGCUAUGCCCCAGAAUUGGUCAACACUGAUGCCAAGAAGCAGACAAAGUUCAUAGAAGGAUUGACCUGUGAGCUUAGAACCCUCAUGACCCCACAGAUCUAUCUAGACUUCAACACCUUGAUGAACAGGACCAUUCUGACUGAUGUGGCCAAAACCGAAGAAAGGAAAGAAAACAAGCGCAAGUUUCUAGAGCGCAAGGUUCAAGAUGGUGCUAGAUCCCAGAGGCUAAAAACCUUUAGCCAACCAAGCCAGCGGACUCAAGCCCCAAUGCAGUUUCGCUCUCCUGCUAGUGUCUCCAAUAAACAAAUGCAGUCAUCAUAUCAUCCUAAGACAACCUAUCAGAAUCAAACUUAUGGCAAGACUCAACAGAACAGCACUGGUCAAGUCACAAACAAUGUUAGGACUUGCUUUAAUUGCCAUGAGACUGGACACUACAUCGCCAACUGUCCCUACAAGAACAACCCACCAGCAGUGUCCACUCAGUCCCACACCGUUAAUGGACCAAGACCUACAGUGUCUGGAGUCAACCGUGGUUUCCCUCGCAACAAUAGCAACACCAACAAUAAUAGCCAGAUGAUGAAGCAACCUCAACAAUCCUAUGGUACAGCUCGUGUCAACCAUAUUCAUGCUCAGGAUGCUCAGACUGCUUCAGGAGUGGUACUUGGUGAGUUCUUAGUCGAUUCAGUACUUGCAACAGUAUUAUUUGAUUCUAGAGCAUCACAUUCAUUCAUAUCAUCAAGUUUUGUUGAGAAGCAUCAAAUACCCACAGUACUACUAAAGUUACCCCUAAUAACCCGAACGCCUGGGUCUGACAUCAAAUGUCAUCUAGGUUGUUCAAAUGUAAGGAUCAUUCUAAGUGGGGUAGUUUUCUUAGCAGACUUAGUAGUGCUCAAGUCCAAAGGAAUAGAUGUUAUCCUUGGAAUGGAUUGGUUAACCAGACACAAUGGAAUUAUUAGUUGUGCAACCAAGGAAGUAUCGUUAGUGAACCAUGAAGGGAUUAAAGUGAAAUGCCAAACCAGAGGGUCUAAAGUUAAUCCAAUGGUCUUCAACUUGGAUGCAAGGACCAUAGAGGAAGUACCAAUAGUGCAAGAAUACCCUGAUGUAUUCCCUGAGGAACUACCUGGAAUGCCACCAGACAGGGAUAUAGAGUUCAUCAUUGAUCUUAUCCCCGGGACUGCCCCCAUAGCCAAGAGACCUUACAGAAUGGCUCCGGCAGAGUUAGCUGAACUGAAAGAGCAGCUAAGAGACUUGCAGCAGAAAGGUUAUAUUAGACCUAGUUCUUCACCAUGGGGAGCCCCAGUCUUGUUUGUGAAGAAGAAAGAUGGAAGUAUGAGGAUGUGUGUGGAUUAUAGGUCCCUAAAUGAAGUCACCAUCAAGAAUAAGUAUCCCCUACCAAGGAUAGCUGACCUUUUUUAUCAGCUUAAAGGAGCCAAGUAUUUCUCUAAGAUUGAUUUGAGAUCAGGUUAUCACCAACUCAAGAUCAAGAAUAGUGAUGUCCCCAAGACAGCCUUUGUAACCAGAUAUAGACAAUAUGAGUUUACAGUGAUGUCCUUUAGAUUAACCAAUGCCCCUGCCUAUUUCAUGAACCUCAUGAAUAAGGUAUUCAUGCAAGAGUUAGAUAAGUUUGUUGUAGUAUUCAUUGAUGACAUACUUAUCUACUCUAAGAGUGCUGAGGAACAUGGGCAACACUUGAGAGUAGUGUUGGAAAAGCUAAGAAGACACAAGUUGUAAAUUCAGCAAGUGUGAAUUUUGGCUUGAGAAGGUUGCAUUUCUAGGUCAUAUCUUGACAGCUGAAGGAGUUGUAGUUGACCCUGAGAAAGUAGAAGCUGUCUCCCAUUGGCAGUAACCCACCAAUGUGAGUGAGGUUAGAAGUUUUCUUGGAUUAGCUGGAUAUUAUCGAAGGUUUAUAGAAGGAUUUUCCAAGAUAGCCAUACCCAUGACAGAGCUUCUUAGGAAGGACAAGAAAUUCACUUGGACAGAAUCAUGUGAGAAGAGUUUCCAAGAGUUGAAGAAGAGACUGACAACAGCACUAGUUUUAAUUUUGCCAGACAUUCACCAAGAUUUCAUCAUAUACUGUGAUGCCUCAAGACAAGGUUUAGGAUGUGUUCUCAUGCAAGGAGGAAAAGUGGUUGCUUAUGCAUCCCGUUAGCUUAGACCUCAUGAGCAAAAUUACCCUACCCAUGAUUUGGAGUUAGCAGCUAUAGUACAUGCUCUCAAGAUUUGGAGACACUACCUUAUUGGAAACAAGUGUGAAAUCUACACUGAUCAUAAGAGUUUGAAGUACAUCUUCACACAGUCAGACUUGAACCUAAGGCAAAGAAGAUGGUUAGAAUUAAUCAAUAUAACCUUGAGAUUCAUUACCACCCAGGAAAGGCCAACGUGGUAGCAGAUGCCCUAAGAAGAAGGUCAUAUGGUCAGCAGUUGGUGCCUAAGAACACUCACCUACAAGAAGAGAUAGCACAGUUGAACAUGCAUAUAGUACGCCAACCUCAAAAUGGCUGUCUAAUGGUGCAGCCAACUCUUGUGGAAGAAAUCAAGCAGACACAACAUAAGGAUAAGGAUCCGAUGAAGAUUCGUGAGCAAACUAGAGAAAAUAAAGCUCCAUACUUCAGAGUGGAUAACAAAGGAGCAUUGUGGUAUAAAAACAGGAUUUGUGUGCCCAAGGAGGGAAAGUUUCAAGAAUUAAUCCUUGAUGAAGCCUAUAACUCAGCUUAUUCUAUCCACUCUGGUGCCACCAAGAUGUACAUGGACCUAAAAAAAGAUAUUGGUGGAAUGGCAUGAAAGCUCAUGUGGCACGAUUUGUUGCACAAUGUGAUGUAUGCCAAAGGGUUAAAGCAGAGCAUCAGAAACCAGCAGGCUUGCUCCAGCCAUUGCCUAUUCCCGUUUGGAAAUGGGAUGAGAUAGGCAUGGAUUUUGUGAAUGGAUUACCCAAAACUCUGAAAGGAAAUGAUUCAAUAUGGGUAAUAGUGGACCGCCUUACCAAGGUUGCUCACUUCAUACAUGUGUGCACCAAAUAUAGUGGAGACAAGUUAGCCCAGUUAUAUGUGGAUAACAUAGUCAAAUUUCAUGGUAUGCCAAGUAGGAUUGUAUCUGACCGAGGUACCCAAUUUACCUCUAUGUUGUCGAAAAGUUUGCAUGAAGCUAUGGGAACCAAGCUAGAUUUUAGCUCAGCUUAUCAUCCUCAAACAGAUGGUCAGACUGAAAGAAUAAAUCAGAUUAUGGAAGAUAUGCUAAGAGCAUGUGUGCUCACAUAUGGUAAAGAUUGGGAGAAAAGCCUAACUUAUGCAGAGUUCUCCUAUAAUAACAGUUACCAAGCUAGUUUGGGCAUGUCACCUUUUGAGGCCCUAUAUGAAAGAAAAUGUAGAACCCCACUGAUGUGGUCAGAAGUUAGAGAACGAACCUUGCUUAGACCAGCCCUUAUAAAAGAAGCAGAAGAUCGUGUAGCUUAAAUCAGAGAAAAAUUGAAAGAGGCACAAUCACGUCAAAAGAGCUAUUCUGAUAAAAGAAGGCGGGAGUUAAGUUUUGCAGUUGGAGAUUUUGUGUAUAUCAAAGUCUCUCCUAUUCGAGGAACUCGAAGGUUCCAAGUCAGAGGCAAGCUAGCACCUCGGUAUAUUGGACCAUAUCAAGUAUUACAGAGGAUUGGAGUUGUAGCCUAUCGUUUUCGGCUACAUGAAGAAAUGUUAGAUAUACACAAUGUGUUUCAUGUCUCCCAAUUGAAGAAAUGUCUCAGAGUACCAGAGGAACAAAUAUUGCCAGACACAGUUGAUUUACAAGACGACCUAAGAUAUCAAGAAGUGCCAAUAAAAAUCCUAGAUACAGUCACCAAGCAAACUCGAACGACAACAGUCCGAAUUUGUCGUGUUUAGUGGAGUAGACACACUGAAGCGGAAGCAACAUGGGAAAGAGAAGAUGCCCUGAGAAAAGAAUUUCCUCACCACUUUAGAACCCAGCCGAAUCUCGAGGACGAGAUUCCUUUUAAGUGGGGUAGGUUUGUAACAUCCCAAAAAUUCACAUUCAAAAAUCACUCGCAUUAAAAAUUAUUUUCAAAAUGUAUUUCAAAAACUAUAAAAUAAUUUGAGCUCUAUAGUAUCUCCAUCUAAUCCAUCCAUAUUUUUCGCGCACAAAUAACAGCGAGUACCAGAAAGUUAAAUGCAAGAGAACAUAGCAGUGCACCUACACGAAUAUAUAUCUCAUGCAUGCAUGCAGGACAUGCCACCGUCCAUUUGCAUGCACUUGCAUGCAAGGACACGGUGAUUAGGCACCGUCCAUUUGCAUGCAUCGUGCAUGCAAAUUAGGCACCGACCAUGCGCUACAGUAGCAUUUUUAAUGGCACGCAGCUGAGCGCUUUGGCCUAUAAAAAGCCAGCCUCGGGUCCUCACUCUCACCAUCCGAGAAGCAUGUUCACUCACUCGCUCACUCACUCUCACUUCGCGUAUACUGUAUACGGCCAUACGCACAAGCUGAGCUCGACUGUCGUCGCAAGACGAGGUGAGCAGCUCAUGAGCAUCUCCUUGCUCUUCUCUGUCUUUCUGUAGUAUUUUUUCCUGUAUUUUUUUCUUGUAUUUGUCUGUACCGAUUCACUGCCAAGAACUCCACGAAUAGAACCAUGACAUACAGAAGACCUCUAAUUACCCCUGCUAAUUUCUCUCUAAACAUGCAUGUGUGGGCCAUAAGCAUUAACUUCACCAAAUAGUACAUGCAUGCAUGCACUACCAGCCAAUAAAUGCCCACGUGAAACAUCCAUUCCUUAAUCAUCGUUAGUCUUUUUCGCAUGAUUAAAUUUCGAUCAUUUUACAAAUACCACAUGCUAACUCUGAUUUCAAUAAUUCUUUUUCCUAAAAUCAUCUAAAAUCAUGAUCUACCUCCCAUAUUAAUUUCAUGAUUUUUAGAGCUUAUUUGAAUUAUGUGAUUAUUUAUCUGAGCUUGUUGUCUGUGUCGGUCGUCGCGUAUUUUAGCUGACGGAGUGAACGAGCCGGAAAACGAGAACGUUGGAGACGAGUACCGCGAGUUUGACACCGAGGACCCGGACUGUCAGCAGGAGUUUGCCGAGGACGCCGACGGAGGCAAGUCCAACCGAUCCCCUUUGAUGCAUAUUGAUUCUAUUUUUAAACAUAACCCGUAGAAGCCGUUUUAAAUAUUGCAUGUACGAUAUAUGUACGAAGUAUUUUUGCUGCUUAGUUAAAACCUGUUGAAUAGCCAUCCUUGAAUUGAUAUUACCCGAUAAUUGUCUUAUUCGAACCUAGGAACAAAUAAUAUGCUAUGACAGAAAUAUUAUUAUUUAGUAUGCUUAGGACAUGUUACUCAUCCUGGAUACUCAUCGGUAUAUUUUUCCAAAUAUAAUGAUUUUAAAAGUAAAAGGUGUGAGUGGUGAAAAUAAAUUGUGGGUAUGGUGAAAGGGUUAAUGAACAAGUUAUAGAUGUGAUUACUAUGGAGAUGGGGCGGAUGAGAUCUCUUUUGGGGAUGCCCUGGUGUUGUGGCUUAUACCUUGCGGGGUUAAGCGUGAAGAUAUCCGUCUUGUCUCGAUUAAGGACUGAGUUGAUGAUUCAUCUUGCCUAACUCAUUUAUCGUACAACCACUCGCCUUGCAUGGGAAAGGCUUAGUCUAAAUCCCUCUAGUUAGUAUGGCAAUCACCUGGAGGCAGGUGUGCAACGGGAUACUAAGUGAUGUAUGUGAAAUUGUGGAAAUAUAUGAAGAGAGCUUUGUGAAUUAUUGUGGUAUCAUGAGAUGUGGCCUUAGUGUUCCCGUGGUGAGCGCCAUUACUUAGCUAUGGAGGGUAAUCACUUUGAUGGAUCUGUGCUUGCACGACGGUGUAAGUUAUGGUAUCCUACUUGUGCGAAAAGUGUACAACCUCUGCAGAGUGUAAAUCUAUCUAGAUAGCCGUGUCCGCGGUCUCGAACGGGUUAUGGUUUGGUUUCAACAACUAGAUGGGUUGGGAUGAGUGAAAACAUGAGAGUGAGUGUGAUUUUGGAAAUAAAUGGUUGACUGCCAUUGUGUUGUGGGAACAAGGGUUCAACAACACUUAAAAUUGUGAUCAAACCCCCAUUUUCAGAAAUACUAUCAUAUGUGGAAAAGAGUUCUUUUACAAUAGUAUUUGUGAAAUGAAACCUUGCAUGUGUAAAAAGAUAGCUUUAUGCAAAUAAAACUAAGCCUCAUCCUUGAUUUAUCCAUAUGCAUAUAUAUUGUUAUCCCCUUCCGCAGGGUAAGGUUAGAUUUGCUGAGUACUUUGUACUCACCCUUGCUUUAUUAAACAGAGGAAGAUCCGGACUUCGAUCCCGAAGUGGCGUUCGAGUAAGGUCGUGUCUGCACCCAACUAAGCAUGUGACAUUGGGACUCGUCAGAUGUUCGAUUGCGAUAUCGUUUGUUUCUGGGUCCUUUGGACCUAUGUUGUAUUUUCGUGUCUUAUUAUUAUAGCGUGUCUUCCUUGUCCACGCUUUACGAGACUACUGCGCUAAAACUUAUCUGAUGUAAUAAAUGUGUUACUAGCCUCCUGGGACUAGUAUUGUAUCUCAUUUGAGUUCCUGGUUUACCAGGGGCACUUCACAGGGCGGGCGCCCUCUGUAGGUGGGCAGGCGCCAACCUUUGGUGGCCAUCCUAGCUACCUUUUUUGCACUCCCUCCUUUGCUUGGCUCUUAUGUAGAAUAAUAGUUCAUGAGUGGUGGUUGGUCGGGGGAAAAGUGUUGGUGAGUGGAGUUAUGUUGGUGGAUCAAAUAAUGUGAUGGGAUGUGUAUGAGGUGUGGUGUAUGACAUGUGGGACCCAAGGACUGUGGGUCAUGCUUCUAGAAGGUUGCUAUAAUUAAAUAUAAUGCAGGAAAAAUCUAUGAGAAUUGAAACUUAUUGAAAUGAUAAUGGAAAAUAUUUUUUGUGCCUCCACAAUAAUUAAUAAAUAUGGGUUGUCACACACCAUAAAUAUUAUUUAUAUGGGGCUUUUGAUUAUUAUAAUAAUGCUAUGAAUAAAUAUGGAUAAUGCAGGAAUUAAAUAUGAGAGAAUUAAUGAUACGGAUAAAUACCGAUUUACCUCCCGGCGAGGGUUUGGGAUUUUUAGGUCCCCCAAGCUGGACCUCUAAAUCUUUUAAUCUUCUGAAUUACCUUCCUCCGGAGAUGGUGUCUCCAGUGGUUCUUCUUCAUGAACUUCCUUCACUGUAGAGUCUCUCUCUGGUCUGGGCUUGAAUGUGAAGUGUUCUUCAUUUCCAUUUAUGUUGAACUUGAUUUCUCCCUUUCCAACAUCGAUGUGGGCAUUGGCAGUGCUCAGAAACGGCCUUCCAGGAUGAUAGACACUUUUGAGUCGGGACUCAUGUCCAAUACCACGAAGUCUACUGGCACAAGGAAAUCUCUGAUCUUGACUGGAAUGUUUUCGACGAUGCCCAACGGGUGUCGAACUGAUUGAUCUGCUAGUUGUAGGCACAUUGAUGUUGGUUCUAGGGUCGUAUGCUCAAGCUUCUUGUAGACUGAUGCUGGUAUCACACUGACACUUGCUCCAAGAUCACCAAGUGCAUUAUUGAAGUGUUGGUUUCCGAUCGAGCAAUCAAUGGUGGGACAUCCUGGAUCCUUCUUCUUCCUUGGUGGUUUAUUGAGCAUGGCCGCACUACAUUCUUCUGUCAGCUUGAUAACCUCAGUGGUGGGCAGUGGUCUCUUUUUGUUAAGAAUAUCUCUGAUGUACUUUGCAUAUGUAGGUACCUGUAUGGCAUCAAGUAGAGGUAUGUUGACAUAUAAUUUCUGAAUGACCUCUACAAACUUACCAAACUGCUCAUCCGACUGCAGUCCUCUGUUUCUUCUAGGAAAUGGCAAAUAGUUGGUAUCGUAAAAUAUUUCCUCAUUUCCCCAGUACUUGGUGGUUGUAGCAGAUCUUCUGCUUCGACUGGGCUUUCUUCUUCUAUCACUGCUGGUUGCACUGGUGCUGAUGUUCUUUGUUUCUCUUUUGGGUAUGGGGGAUCCCUGGUGGCUUUGCCUCCUCUAGUAGUUAUAUUCUUUACCUGCUCAAUGUUAGUGGCUUCAGGCAAUGCAGCAGCUAGCUUUAUUAAUUUAAGCUCUACCCUUUUAUGAAGAGUGUUUUGUUCAUCAAAGGCAGUUAAUAGAAAAUCCAUUUUAUUGUGUAUAUCUUUUAGAGAUGAUUCAUUUGUAUCUAGCCUUUGUUUAACUUCAUCAUUAGUUUUGGUUUGUUGAGCAAUUAUCUCUUUUAAUGAAAGUUGCUUGAAAGUGUCACCUGAAUUCAUACCUUUGCUAUUGGGUUGACUCAAAGUAGGUUGAUAUUUGUAUGCUGUCUCAAUGGCCCUUUGAUCUUCUUUGAACUUGGCCCUCUGGUCAAUCCAAUGGAGCAAAUUUUCCAUCUUGGAUGAUAAUGCAUUUACUUCUUCUAGUAUUUCUUUAGUUUGAUGACAUUAUUGAGCUUCAUCUUGGAACCAGCUUUGGUUUUCUGCUAUCUUAUCCAAAAGUUUCUUUGCUUUUCCAAUUGUAAGCUCCAAGAAUGAUCCUUUAGCAGAUGCAUCUAGGCACUCACGAGCCUUCUGGGUUAUUCCAUGGUAGAAGGUCUGCAUAAGUAACCAUCUAGCUAUUCCAUGGUGAGGACAAUCUGAUAUGUAUCCUUGAAAACGCUCCCAUGCUUCUGAAAUGGUUUCUGUCUUCUGCUAUUGGAAACUGACAAUAUUCUUCUUAAGGCAGCUGUCUUACCCAUAGGGAAAAACUUUGAUAGAAAGGCAUCUGACAAGUUCGUUCAGUUGUUGAUGUUAUCUUGAUGGGUGUAGAACCACUUCCUUGCUUUCCCUUCUAGUGAGAAUGGAAAGAGGCGAAGCAGUAUGACGUCUUUGUCAACUCCGUUGAUGCGGAUUGUACUUCCAAUCUCUAAGAAAUUCUACAAGUGUACACUAGCAUCUUCAUGUGCCUUUCCACUGAAUUGUGUAGCUUGUACCAAAUUGAUGUGGCUUGACUUGAGCUCGAACUCGGGUGCUCCUUCUUCUACUGCAAAUCUUGGACUAGUUGGAAUAUUCUCAAGACUUGGAGCAGAGAAUUCUUGCAAGGUCUUUUGUGCCAUAGCUUCAGCAAUUGGUGGCUAGCUUCUUUUUCCUUUCUUGAUUGCUUUGGUUCUAAUGAUGAAGAGUUGAAUGUACCAAAGUCAAUCCUGAUAUACCCUGUAUAAAAAUAUAAACAUAGAAAAACAACAGGGUGAACCUGCCAAAGAAGAAGUGCCUUGUUAUGAUUUCUCACUUAGUAGCUGUUUUAUGCAAUUAUUUCUCUAUAGUCUAGUCUAAUAUUUUAUGUGAAUAACCUUGACUGACUUCCUUACUUUCCUUACCGUUCCUAUGUGUUUCCCUUUGGUUCCCCGGCAACGGCGCCAGAAAUGCUUGUUGACACUAGCUAACACCACUUGAAUACUAGGUUGUCAUCCCCAGCAUGGUGCCAGAGUGUACAAAGGUAUUUAUGAAUGUAAAGGCUCUCUAGAAAAUAAUCUAUUCUAUCCGCAAGCGCACAGAUAAAACACCUCAUUGUAGCAUUUCACCAGGAAAGUAUUCCAGGUAUCGUUAUUUAUAAUUUUGCUUAAGAGGACAGUGGAAAUGAAGAUAAGGAUAAAAUCUAUCAAGGCAUAGACUAGACAUAAACUUGCAAGAACAUGAUUACUAAUGAGGAACUGGUCACACAGUCACUUACUUUGGCAGGGGGUAAGCCAUAAUAAUAAUGAUAAUGAAAUAUAAGCUCAUGGGUAAAUAACACAGCGAUUAGAAAAUAGACUACUCCUUAUAUAUAUAAGGUGACGUCGGAUUAGCUAGAGAAUGGAUUUUAAGUUAUCUACUAUCUACUAAGUCACAAUCUACUCUAGUUAUCUACAAGAUCAUAUAUAGCAUAAAAUACUCUUCAUUCAUGUAUAAGGAACAUUGCUAAAGUAAAACAGAGCAUCGCAAGACUUACUCCGCAAUACAAAUUCUGCCUGUCCUAUCAACGGAGGGUGGACUAUAUAAGAAUCAACGAAGCUGUCACUAUCACGAACUACGACCCAGCCAAUAGGAUACAUUUGCAGGUAAAUAACAUCUAACCACCACUCCCACAUGUGAUCUACCACUUAACUCCCGCGCGUCAAGAGCUAAGCGCUUUGCAAACUUAUACAUAAACUCAUUAUCAAUCAUAACUAUAUCAAAUAUAGAACUAGAGCAAACUAAGAUCAUAAUAAAUAGAGACAUAAUGCAAUUAGAAUAAAGUAGUAGAGAAAGAUAUGAAAUAAUACCAAUCUUUAUUAACGAAGAUCCGAAUCCAGAGCGCUAGGCUCUAGUUCUCUAAUUCUAUCUAAUCAAUCCUCUAAAACUUGAAGGAUUAGGGAGUAGCUAAUUCUAAUUCUCUGUGGGAGAGAAGUUCUAAAACCAUAACUUUGAUGGCUUCCUCUGAUAAUGAUUUCUCCUCUCUCCCCCUGGGGUGGAGAGGCCUUGCUUAUAUAGUCCCCUCAAGUGAAUUUGGGCCGUCGGAUCAAACCGACAUUGAUCGCACGGUUUUCCUUGAUCCUUUAGGUCGGUGGAGCAUAAUCCGGUCUCCUGUUCAUUCCCGUGGCUUCUGGACUCUUCUAGAAUAAGGAAAAAUGUGCGGCACGUAAUUAUCUCGUUGUAAACAUGACAUGUGGGCCUUCUCUCCAUAUUUUCUGAUAACCCCCUGCAGAAAUAGAUAAACACCAAAGCUCAUGGAAUUCUGUCAGAUAAAACCCUAAUUCUAGAUGUUUGGUGCAUAUUGAUCCUUUUCCAUGUUUAGUUGAUGGUUAAAUUUAGUACUUAAGGACCAUCAACAACAGCAGCCUGAACAUCAUUUACCUUGAGACUCUCGACCUCCUAGGAGUCAAGAGGUCGCAGCUCAAGCCGAGCGCAUGGGGCUUCCAUGGAGUCGUGCCCAGGAAGAAAGCCCUCCCCGUCGGCCGCAUCGACCUCCCUGUCUACUUCGGCACAACCACGAACUUCAUGAAGGAGAUCCUCACUUUUGAGGUGGUUGGGUUUCAUGGCACCUACAAUGCUAUCAUCGGUCGACCCGGUUAUGCCCAGUUCAUGGCGGUCCCCAACUAUACCUACCUGAAGCUCAAGAUGUCGGGUCCUAAGGGCGUCAUCACUAUCGGCUCCUCCUACGAGCACGCAUACGACCGCGACGUCGAGCAUGGAGAGGCCAUCGAGGACUCCACCCAGCUGGCAUAGACACCAUGUCUAUACUAAAGAAUACUACUCUAAUUACCAUGAAUAACUAGAGCACUCAAUACGAGUGGAGAUCCUAUGCAAAGAUAUAACAACUACACUAAUCAUAAGUAUAAAAGCAUAAAGUAAAUAGAGAAGAUAAUAUAUUAAAGCAUAAGUCUUACAAAGAAUAAAUAUAAAGACAUAACCUAAGUCUGAAGAAGACUCUUCUAGAACCAAAGCAUAUCUUCGCUCUCUCUAACUCCUUGCUAUAACUAAUCUACUACAUUGGAAUAUUUAGCCCUAAUUCUCUAGAAAAGAGAGGUCAUCCAUUCAAGGGAUGCCUCUACAACUCAUAAUGAUGGUUCUCUCCAAUAGGGGGGUCAGGCUUGUAUUUAUAGCACUUUAAGAAGAACCACAAGCCUUGGAUCAAACGGACCUUGAGAGACGGCCAAGAUUACUCCUCAAAGGCGGUGGAGGCAGGAUCCGCGUGGUAGAACAUGAUUGGUGGAGAUGCUUAGGCACCUGCCCCUAUCCCUUGGGCGGCUGCCCCUGGUUAGCUUCCAGGUGGGCCCUCUUUGCAAGGUUGAUAGAUCUUUUCGUUACCUUUCCAAAAAGUCCUGGAUCACUCAAAACGGAUUCCGGAUGAGGGAGACAUGCCCAAUUUACUCAGGAGUGCUCUAGAAGCCCAUUUGCAAUCUUCUGGAAGGCGUAACUUUGUCGUGUGGACUCCGAUUUGGAUGAAUCAAAACUCUAUUUCAUAUGUCUCGAUGAGCACUUCUCAAUGGUGCACUCCAAUUCAUCACUUGAGAUACUUCUAUUAGGUGAUUCUAGUCCUUUUCCAGUUUAACCCCUAUUAAACAUAGAUUCACCAAAACUCGUGGAGCUUUUUAGUUUCAAACCCUACAUUUAUGCUCUGUGGUUCAUAUCAUGUCAUAUCAAGCAAUAACUAAUGGAUAGAAAUGAACAUUAGUGACCAUCAGUAGUCAUCUCCUAGCGAUGGCGUGGUCCUUCAAUGGAGAGACAGGACAGCGGUGGCAAAAGAUGAAGUGUUAGCGUAGCAUGAGCGUAGGACUAAGGAUGGCUUGGCACAAUCUCAUUUGGUAGCAUGACAAUGAGAUCCUUCACUGGGAUGAUGGCGAGAGGCUUUGGCUGGGCGACGACGAUGGCCAUCGAGUUGUCGAAGCGGAAAAGCUCGUUGGCAUCAAUCUCGGUGUGGCUAGCCAUUGGAAGUUAGGCAAGAAGAGAUUUGGUUGCUGCUAGAAAAGGUUUGAAGGUAUGGCCUUGAGGUAGGUAGGGGGUCAAGUUUGAUACCCUGGAUCAAUUUGCAUGAGGGGUUGGAUCUAGGCUCUAUGGAUCGUUAUGGGAAAAAUUUGAUUCGCACGGAAAACAUACGGAAUGAGGACUAGAACGCUUCAGAAGGAAUGUGGGAGGUGGUGCGAGGUAGCUUGCCAUAGGGGCAGACUGGCUAGCCUAGUAGGUGGGGCCAGCUAGCCCCACCUAUUGGCGGCUCAUGGACAGGUUUCUCGUACCCCCCUAAGACUUUAUUCUAACCCCAAUUUUCCACUAGUUUUGUUAUGAAAUGAAUUAGAGACACAUGAUAAUUAAAUUAGUGGAAAGGAAUAAAUUGAACUAUUUCUAACUUAGUAGGACUUUUAUCAGAUUCUAGAAAGAUCUUAAGGCGUUGUCCAUUUACCUUGAAUAACAUGCCUUCGUCAUUCUGAACAGUUACCGCUCCAUGUGAUGAAGAGUUAAUCAUCGUAAAUGGUCCUUCCUACUUACUUCGUAGCUUCCCAUGUUCGUAUAGCUUGACCCUAGAAUUAAAAAGUAAUACCUUAUCUCUAGGAGUGAAGUUCUUCAUCUUGAUCCUCUUGUCAUGUCAUCUUUUGUUCCUUUCCUUGUACAUCUUGGCGUUGUGAUAAGCUUUCUCACGCCAUUCAUCAAGUUCUAAGAGUUUCAUUUGUCUUUUGACUCCAGCUGCUUCAAGAUCCAUAUUCCAUCUCUUAACUGCCCAGUGAGCUUUGAAUUCUAGCUCAACAGGCAAGUGACAUGUCUUCUCAUAGAUGAGUUGUUAUGGAGACAUCCCCAAUGGUGUUUUGUAAGCCGUCUGGUAGGACCACAAUGCAUGGGGUAGUUUGUCUUUCCACUUGGUUCCCAUCUUAUUGACUAUCUUUUGUGGAAUAUUCUUGAUUUGCUUGUUUGAUGUUUCUGCUUGACCACUUGUCUGAGGGUGAUAAGGAGUAGCAAUGUUGUGAUGAAUCCCAUGUUGCAAUAGAUACUUGCGAAAGCUCUUGUUAAUGAAGUGAGCGCUAAAUCUUGGGAAUAUUAUCUCAUGAAACAUCCUUUUGGAAUUCUAGGAAUUAGACUUUCUACAUGGCAUUGCUUCGACCCAUUUGGAAACAUAGUCGACUGCCACUAGAAUGUACUCAUAAUUCUCAGAUUUUUGAAAUGGUCCCAUGUAAUCAAUUCCCCAAUAGUCAAAGAGCUCAAUUUGGAGAUUGUUAAUUAGUGUCUUGACAUCUCUCGAAUUGAUGUUACCAUGUUUCUGACAUGCUCCACAUCUCUAAAUAAGUUCUUUGGUGUCCUCAUACAUGGUUGGCCAAAAAAAUCCACUUUGCCAGAUCUUUGAAUGUGUACGGAAUGCUCCAUAGUGUUCUCCAUAGGGUGAUGAAUGGCAUCUUUCGAUGUUCUUGAUUCCUUGUUUGGAUGGCACACAUCUUCUGAGUAGCCUGUUUUAGCAAAUCCUAAAGUGGUACAGAUCAUCCCAUAGGUGAACACGGCUCUCAUACAUGAGCUUCAUCCUCUUAUUUCCUCCUAGUGGUACAUACACUGUAACUAUAAAAUUGACAUUAUCUACAUACCAGUUGUUAGACCUGGAGACUAGAUAAAGCAUAUCAUCCUUGAGUGAAUCAUUAAUGGGUGAAUCCUAUGAGUUCUCAAUCUGCACUCUUAACAAGUGAUCGGCAACAUAAUUUUCUACUCCCAUUUUAUCUUUUAUUUCUAUGUCAAAUUCUUGGAACAGCAAAAUCCAUCGUAUCAUGCAAGGUUUAGCAUCUUUCUCAGUGAGUGUUGAUGAUAGAUAAGUACUCUUUUUAACCAUCAACAUAGCAUGAGUAAUCACGUAAAUCAGAAUAUUAUCUAGCUAUAGCGGUUAUUAUUAACAGAAUUCUAUGAGUUUUGCUGAUUGUCUAAUUCUACAGGAGGUUAUCAAAAUAAGAACAAAAGAAUGUCCACAUGUUGGAUUUAUAUAGAGAGACCCAUCGGUAACUCAUGAAUACUCUAGAAGACUUGGCAACCUUGCAAAGUGGGGCCCACUUGGUAGAGACCAAGGGGCAGGAGCCCACAUGUUAGGGGUAGCCGCCUGGCCCCUGUGGCACUUCAACCUCGUGGAUCCUACCUCCACCGCCUCUGAGGAGUAAUCUUGGCUGUUUGUCAACAUCGGUUUGAUCCAAGGGCUGUGGUGCUUCCUAGGGGCAAUAAAUACAACCCUACCCCCCUAGAGAGGAGGAAUUCAUUAUUAUUCUCUGAGGAAUUUAGGAGAGAAUUCAAAGAAGCCUAGAGCCACCAGCCUCAUAGUUUUAUAGCAUAGCUACAUAGGAAUAGAUCUAGAAGGAGUCAAGCCUAGCUUGGAGUCUAGAUCUUUCUUUGUUCAUAAUAAUUUCUUAUUCUUCAUUAUAUUAUUCAUAUUAGUCUUGCUAUUAUGGAUAUGACUUUGAUCUAUUUGAUUAUAUCAAAAUUGACUUUAUUCUAUUUGCCUAUGUUAUCAAUUACUAGGUAAAUGCCCGUGCGUUGCAACGAAAACACAUACCGAGAUAACAUAUAUACGUGUGUGUUAUACUAUUGCCUAAAAUAGAUAAUGCAAUCUUGAUGUUUCAACACAUGUUUCAUAAUACAUGUUUUAAAAUAUAGUGUAUAACUAAGAAUCUAAUCUUUCAAUAGUUCGACCAGGAGAAUGUGCUUUGCAUGGUCACUAAACUUGCAGCUGGUCACCAAUCAAAGAUGAUCUAGAAGAUUUUCAAGUCCAAGAUGCAGCGUCUGGCUCCUUGCAACUGAAGCAUGUAGAUGGCUCAAGCUGUAGUUAGAAGUAUCCUGCAUAUAAGUUGUCUGUUAAUUUUAAAGUUAAAGUACUAUUGAUAUCCAAAAAAUAUAUAUAUCAACAUGUGAUGCAUUACCUCUUUCAUGGAGUCAAAACCUCUUUAUAUACGAUAUUCUUUGUGAAUAUAUCCUUUGUCGGUUUCUUCUUUCCUUUCCCUUUCCCUUUUCCCUUAUUCACAUCCUUCUCAGCAGCUGACAUAGCUAGGAUUCUAAUGUUUAAUCUUGCUGUAGCUCUUGAUAGCGCCACAUACAAUUGGCCGUGCGAGAAUACUGGUUCCGGCAAGUAUACCCCGACGUUAGGGAUAGUCUGUCUCUGUGCCUUAUUAACGGUCAUUGCAAAGCUGAGCCGAAUAGGGAAUUGCUUUUGCUUAAAUUGGAAAGGGAACAUCUCGUCGUCUGACGGGCAUAAGGGUAUGCGAGGCAGAAAAACCCGCAUUCCGGAGUGCUCUCCCAACACAAUUUCUGCAUCUAUGAUAUUUUUUUGGAACCCCCGUAUGAUAAGCCUAGUUCCAUUACAAAGUCCGUUCGCAGGGUCAAUGUUCCUAAGCAAUAUGACCGGACAACCGAUCUUCCACUUCAACACAUGUGGCGGUAGACCAUUGGGUGUCAAACUAUUGAGGAAUUCCUUAGGGUAGUAGUUGUGUGGAUCAUCGACUGCACAGUCAAAGCUAUGGUACACCAUCUCAUAUCCAUGGAAACAACCUAUCAUCUUCAUAUUAAUCAUAUCAACCCAGUCAUUUCGUGUAGAUAAGAUCGCUCGAGAGGUGAUAUAAUCUUUGCUUGACAUAUUCACAUUGAGGUUAGGGAAUAUACAGUCAAUUAGAGCAUCAAGAUCACUAUCUUCCCCAGUGUGCGGUAUGCAUAUAUCACGAGGAAGAUGGAUUUCAUCAUCAAUGCUCGCCUCCUCAGAUCCUCCACCGACACGCAACAAGUAUUCCGCAAACCAUGGGUCGCUCUUUGCCCUCAUGUAGCGCACCAAUUUUAGAUGUCGCAUGGAAUCCCAAAGGUAUGACAUCAGCGAGGCACCAACUAUUUGAGCCCUCGAUCCUCUCCGAACAACAGGAAGAACCUGUCUGAAAUCUCCACCGAACACGAUGGUCUUCCCUCCGAACGGUAACUCUGGUCGGUCCAUUACAUCACAGAGACUGUUGUCCAAUGCCUCAACAGCCUGCCUCUUUGUCAUGCUAGCCUCAUCCCAAAUAAUGAGAGAUGAUGCUCGAAGCAGCUUGGCAGUACCACUCUGUUUUGUGAAGGUGCAGAAGGCCCCAUUAUCAAUGGUGAGGGGAGUCUUGAAGCAUGAGUGAGCAGUUCUACCACCAGGCAUGAUUGAGGCUGCGACACCAGAUGUAGCUGUUGCCACAACAAUCUUUUUCUGACUACGUAUAGUAGCGAUAAGUGCUCCGUACAGAUAAGUCUUCCCGGUCCCGCCUGGACCAUCCACAAAGAAGAGACCCCCAUGUUCGGUAUCAACUGAGGACAUAAUCUCAUCAUAUAUAGCCCGCUGCUCCACAUUAAGGGUGUCUGACAGAGCCACAUCAUACUCGUUAGCCUCAAUGCUAGCCUCCUCAAAAAUCUCUCUAGGGAUAUCAUGAGAGGCGUCGUAUGUGUUGUCGAUAUCGGGAAGUGGGUACAUCUUUAUAUCCUUCUGCAUUGAUUGUAGCAAUUUUUGAAUAUCUAUGAGGACCAUCUACUCUACCAUGAAGAUGGAUUGAUUAUUGCUCUUAUAGUCCUCUGACAUUGCCUCUUUGUGUUUCUCCCACAGUCCAAACACAUCGCUAGGCUCACAAAAUACCAAUAUUGUUGCAAAAAGCCUUCAUAGUGCAUAUGGCAUCAUCCACCCGGUUGCCUCAGUAAGACUCUCAUUUAGAGUGUUGUCCUCUUCAGUUAGGCCUCUUCUUUCUACAGCUUCACGGAAGGUCGGUAGAAUUUUGCCAUCCACGGUCCUUAGGCACUCAAAGAAGGUUGCACCCGCCACGUGGUUCAGGAGAACUCUAAGAUAGUAACGCUCCCCCUCGGCUGGAUUGGCAGACACGAUUCUUCCAAUCUGUCGUAAUGUAUCACGACGUACCCUAUUUUGCCAAACUUUGCCCUAUGCUUGCCACGUAUAGAACUCGGGGAAGUCCCGAUACAAUACACCUCGAGCUAUUUCAUCUGUCCUAUUCUUCUCGAAGUAUGCUGUAAGCAUUGACUUGUUAGCACCUGGACGAUCAAGCACUCGUUGAAUCCCUUGGCGCUGGUGAAAUGACACCAUGUGCAUGUCUAGAAGAUGUAGCUGUAGGGACAAAAUAUAAGGGUAUCUAUCACUCAAAUCGAACCCAUAUAUCCUCCAUAAGGCUUCUGGGGGGUUACCCAUCUAGCAUCCCUAUACUGCUUGAUCUCAUCAACGUUAGCUUCACUAUCCUCCUUGUCGGCCUCUCUCAUAGCCACAGACGCCCGGUCAUGACCCUUGUAAAUGUACUUAAAUAGAUACUUGACUGCCUUGAUGCUCCCACAUGCCUCAACAUUGAUGUGGCAAUUGAACAGACGGAGGAGAUAUGGGUUGUAAGGCACGACCCAUCUGUUAUCAAGCUCGUGUCCGCGAACUUUUUCUUUUUAGCCAUCUUCACGCCGUUUAUAAACUGGAUAUGAAUCCUUGCCUUGUAUUGUGACGUCGCAAAAAGGUCUAGGGUAACGGUUCUUGUAGGAAUCACGACCCUUUGUGCAUGGACAAUUAUGAUUAAGCACUCCGCAAGGGCCAUGCAUCAUAUGUUUGGUAACCAUCUUGUAUAAGACUGGGUACUUCUUCUUGUUUGGGAGCUCGGCUAAGAUGAGGCGAUCAUACUGCUCUGGGCACGUGAUCUUGUACUUCCUAUCCAUGAUUAGUAAAAAAUGUGCAUGUGGCAGACCCCUUUUUUGGAAUUCCACAACAUAAACGUGUGCUCGCACCUUUCCGAGGAUAUCCUUUUUUAGUAGCCUAUCCUUUAGCUCUUGUAGUUUUGCUCUAAAGACUCGAACAACAAGAUCUGGACGAUCUUGUGGUGUCUGGCCAGGGUAGAGUUCAUGCUUGAUCUCAUCCCAGUUUGGGUUACAUGUCAUAGUGAGGAAGAUGUCUGGUUUACCAAACCUCCAUACCAGAGCCAUGGCAUCCAUGUACCGACGCCUCAUGUCACGUGGGCCUCCAAUAAAGGAUGAAGGCAUUACUGUCCGCUUUCCAACAGCUUCUGCUCUACCUUCACCAGCAUGUAGGCUAUCAACCAAUACUUGGUAUAGGUCUGCCCUAAUAUCAUCUUGAUGGUUGCGUAUAUAAUCUAAUCGAGAACUCUCGAUCUUGAUAUAUGUGUCAACUGCAAACUGCUGGAACAGACGCUUGCCGUAUAGUAUGGGAUUAAAUUUUCCUGGGCGCAUCUGUAACUUGUAGCAGUAGUAGUCACGCACAGACACACAUAGUCUACCAGGGGAGUCUACAAAAAAUAGCCAUGAAUUAGAGUUGUUUGUAGAAUAACCACUAAGGUACAUGUAUGCGAAGUAUGUAAAUAAGAAGAAUAACAUACCUAUUUCUUCUUCUGACCCACUACGAGCCUUUUGUAGGGCACGAUACUCGAUGACUUCUUCCAUACUAAUUCUUUUCUUUGGAAUAUCCAUGUGCCACCCAAGCUCACCCUUAGGAAAGAAUAGAGGGUAUGAAAGAGCAUCAUACCAUCCAUGAUAUGAGCGGAUGCCAUGUCUACUUCUAUCUUUCCCAUGUAGGACAACACUAUUCUAGAACUGACCAAGGAGUUCGCUUCCCUCGAUCCAAACAGCAGCCACCUCGGAAGUUGAUUGUACAUUGUAUGUUCUUUGGUCCAGCCUCUGGUCAAGGUUUAGCAUGACAUGAUAGUUCUCGAGGUGGUCAGCUUGGCCUACACUUCUAAGAUGUUGUGAGUAUGGGUUGUCACGAAGGAUGGCCACCAGCCUCUCAAUGACUUCCUUAUCCUUUUGGUACUUCUCUUCAUGACAUCGUCGAUAACGAUGCUCAAGGCUUGGAUCAUCAUCGUGCAAGUAAAGCUCAAGAUGUCUUGCCUCCUUACCAUCUUCUAUGCCAAAUGACCUUAUGUUGUGAUAGAUUUGGCCGUGUGCACGGAAGGUGUAUAUGCCACUAUUUUUCAUGCUUGCAGUAGCGCUAUCAAGGCGACAAUAUAGAGAUGUGAAAGAGAAAUGGCCAUUGAAAAACCUAAUGCUAUUACGAAAGUGCCUAGCAUCUGCAUCGUCACAUGACCAAAGCCUCAUAAGCUCAUCAGGUACAUUCGGCUCAUUGAGCUCGACCUACCCGUUGUGACAACAGAACCCAGGUGAUUCAUGCUCAAACCUUUUCGCAUUGCAGUGGUCACAAUUUGCGACAGGUUUUAGCAUAUGGGUAUCAGUAGGCAUGUUACUAUACACCUCAUCAUAUUGGUCAGGUACUUCAGGGAUAGAAGUCAUGUCUUCCUCAAGGUCAUUGUCUUGGACAUCGUCAUCAUCUUCCUCAUCUUAAAUAACAUGUAAGACACAAUAGUUUAGAUAAAAGCAGUGGAAUAUUUGAUUUCAAUUUGGUCUUUCGCACACAUACCAUGCCCAGCAAACAGGUAUCCCUCAUCCUCUUCAAAUAUAUCUCCCUCAUCAUCAUCUAUGGCUAUCAAAGAUACAUGAGUUAGUAGAACUAUGGGUAAAAAUAAACAAAGGAGUUCAAAUAGUUUAUAGAAUGUUAGAAAACAAUGUAAAUUACCACUAUCAUCGAAUAGUGGUGUCAUCGGUAUGUCUGGCCUAGGCUUAAGGAUACGUCCUAUCCCUUCUGAUAAGGGCAUGUUGGUCAUAGCUGAUUGAGGCAAGGGCGUGUUAACAUCCACUUGGCCUUUAGUAAUGCAUUCACAAUCAUAAAACAAUGGUGUCAUUAGUGUGAUUGAUGUAGCUUGAACUUUGGAUCCUACAUUUUCUGUUAAUCAUGAAAUGACCAAGGAUCAUUAGGUUAAUAUGUUAUACAUGUCAUCUAAAUGGGAUAACAAGGCAUCCACCAUUGUUGCUCACAGCUGAAUGAGGCAAGGAUGUGUUAACAUCCACUUGGUCUUCAGCUAUGCAGUCACCAUCUUUAUUAGAUGUCCUUGUGUUCGAACCAAUACGACGCUCAAACCUCGUGUUAUGAUAGGUCAAUAAUGCAUGUCUUUGACCAGAUGAAAUAUGUGAUCUAUGUGGCAUAUGGCCAGGUACUAACUCAUCACAUCCUUCAUCCUCGACCACAUGAGGUGGAGAAAUAUAAAGAGAUGUUGCACUGGACUCUGGGAUAACCCAAUCACUGGAUUUUGUCAUGGAUCCAUGAGCUCCAGAUGCGCCCGCAGUGGGCCAAACAAGCUCAGGAGUAAAUAACGGGUUCUCCAUGGUGAUAGACUCCGGGUGCAGGGUGUGCUUUCGCAGUUCUUUGAAUUUGUUCUUAGACAGUUUUAAUGUCUCCUUACGCUUGGGUUCACUAUUGUAUAGCCUUUGCGCUCGCGCCUUGCUUCCCUUUGUUUAGGCGUCAUGUUUUUGUACCAUUCACUUGUAGUUACUUUUUGAUGUACUUUUUGUACCAAUAGUACUAUCCUUCUCUAUAGUCUUCAUUUCUAGCUCAUCUAUCAACAAAAUCAUAUAAAUACAUUUAUUAGCUAUAUUGUUUCAUAUCAUUGCACAACAUCAUUUUCAUAGACCUAAAAUACUUCAGCAUCUUAAAUUACAUGAUAAUCGAGUGGACAUGUUCUCAUCAACAAUAUUGUUGGUAUAAUAAGAAUCAUUCUUAUGGAGCCAGUCAUCUGUUUCGCCAGGAUCAACGAUGCGGCAUCAUCAUCUACAAAAUUGUACACAUUAUAUAUAUAUAUAUAUAUAUAUAGGGUAAUUCCUUUCUACACCAACGUGUAACUACUCCGACCUCCGCACCCAGUCUAUUCCACAGCCUACGUAUCAACUCCUGUAUAACUAAACCAUAUCUAUUUGAUUAACGGGUCAAAGUGGUGAACCCGUUAACUAAUGUAUAUAUUAGAAAAUUCUGUUCUCAUUCACCGUAUCCGCCGGCCACACGAGUGGUCUCGCGGACGUCUGCUCGUCGAUCUACCGGCGGCCGCGCUGAUGCCUCUCCCUGACUGGCGGCCGCGUAGAUGCCUCCUCCUACUUGUGUCUGUGCAGGCGCAUCCUCUCCAACUGACGAUGGUUCCGUGUUUUGGAGUUGGCAUCGCAUAGGGGCACGGUGUGCCCUCACCUACAUCGGCAGGCGGCGGCCCUUGGUCGGAGUUCUCCAGCUCUGUGUGCGGGUGCAGGUCGAAGCUCCGCGGUGAGUGCUCAUGUUGUGUAUUUUCAUUGAUCUAGCUAGUUUAUAGUAUUUUUAGAUCUAAUUGAAUUAGUCGUCUUCUUUUACCAGAUGCAGAUCUAGAUGCAGCUUCUUUCACUAGUCAUGGGAGGCGACUGAUGGGCUGUUGGCCAGUACAGGUACACGUACAUAUAUGUUUUUUUUUGUAUUUUUUUGCUUCAUUCAGGUUGAUCAGAAUGUGGAAUGAAAAAUUGAUUAGUUUACUUCUGCACCCAUUCAUUUUUGUAUUCUUUACGAACAGGUAGUAAAUCGCAUCUCGGUGAGCCACGUCUGCAUCGCUGAUGUUGUUCGACAUUCUGCGUCUAUGCGACAACCACGAAGCAUUCAGAAUUGAGUGGAUCGGUGACCAAACUGAGAGAUAAAUGUUAGUACAUACUUCUAUAAUAAUGUAUGAACUGAUACUCCAGAAAAAGGUAUCUACAUAUACUCGUUUAUCAAAAAGUAUGUACCUAUACUUAGGAAAGGUAUCUGUAUAUACUUGUUUUUCAAAAAGUAUGUAGCUGUACUUAGCGUACUUCCGUGAUAUUACAUUAUGAGAGAUAAAUACUAAUAAUAUAAUCAUGUGUCAGAUAAGUAUAUAAACAUACUCCCCAAUCUGUAUACUUUCCUACGAACGAGUAUAUUCUCAUACAUAUAUAUAUAUAUAUAUAUACUCUGUUCUCCAAACGAGCAUCGGUUGAUCCCCGUUAAAUAUGUAUGGGUUCAUUCUCUCCUUGGAUAUACUCAUUAAUUAAAAAACAACUAUCUAAUCAUACCCUUUCUUAAAUAAUGCGUACGUACACAUAUAUACUCUAACAAGUAUGCAUUCGUACUGGCUGUUUUCACAUGGAUGCAUAUAUGACAGUAAAAAAAACUGUAGGAAAAAGAACAAGUAUACAAAAUCGGCGCCGGCGGCCAGUCACAAAUCAUGCAGUGUAUAGCGACAUCAACUCAACACAUGCAGACGUACGUGCUAUAUGCAUGUAUAUGGGCAUACUCACAACGCACGUAUGUUAUUAACGCCUCAAUUUUUUGAAUUCCUAUAAAUACGCCCGCAUAGUAGGUGUUAUAAUUGGAUUGUAUUCAAACCCGUUAGCUCCACUAACACGGGCCCGUUAGCUAGGUCCGCGCGGGGCUGCCUCCUUCGCGCGUGUAGACUCUAGGUGCGUGUAGAUACUCGUACGUGUAAAAAUCACUCACCCUAUAUAUAUAUAUAUAUAUAUAUAUAUAUAUAUAUACAAGAAAAGUAAAUGUCAAUUUAUCAUGUGAUGACAAUAUUUAGGAUUUCACGUAUUACAGUUUGUAGUUCGAAGAACAUGUUGGUUUUUUCUCUGAUGGUAUUUUUCACGACGUCUCUUGUUAAUUGCAUCCUUUUGUUCAAGCCAUCGAGCUCUAUCCCUUUCUCUCUUACGUUCUUUAGCAUUGACUGCACAUAAUUUAAUAGUAAUAUAAGUUACCAUAUAUAAGUACAUGCCAUAUACUAUUUGACACGAUAUUAUUUUACCUUCUUUGGCAGUGUUAGUUUUGUCUCCCAAUGGUGCACGAGAAUUUUUAUCCAUUAUAUGAAUCUAUAAUAAAAACAUUGAAAUAAUUAAUAUUUUUUUGCAAUUAGCACUUAAGAGCUAGCAGUUAGUAGAAAUGUUGUAUGAAAAAUAGAAACCAACAGCCACUAAUUCCAGCGGAAAACAUACCGAGAAUCCAGACUAUGUAUACAUACCAGAAAGUUAUCAUAAUUUUAAGUUGGACUGUGUAUACAUAACAGAAAGUUACCCGAGGAUCUGGAGAAUAGUGAUAUGUGCUUAAUGGACCAACUAUGUCAACAGUUAAGGAUGGAAUUCUCCUUACAUAAAAUCUUUGCAAAUUUCUGCAUAAAAAACCAAAAGUUACUGAACUUCACUAUGUGUAUGAUCAGUAAGCCACACAAUGUAAGGGAACAAAAGGAAUCACAACUAAGCAUCAUAUUAUGAGUCCAAGAGCAUGUCAAUAUAUGACUAACAAGAAAGGCAAAUAAGGAGGGUUCUAGCAUGUCAAUAUCAGACUCAUAAACAAUAUUUUUGUCUACGCGGAGAAUUAAUCCAGACUGUCAAGAAAAUUAUACUAUAGAAAAAAUAGAGAUAGGAAUAGCAUCUGUUUUUAGUUUUGCUUGAGAACAAGUAGCAUCUGCAUUUUUGCAAUUGUUGGACUGAUACAGUUUUACCAUGCAAAGAGGUGCUGCAUAAUGUAAAAGCAAAAUCCAUAUCCUUCACCUUAGGAUUCCAUCUACUUUUAGUGCUUGAUAUUGUCGAACAACUACAGUUUUAUAGAAAAAAACACGGCCGAUUCUGAACACAAAGCGAAUAAAUGGCCAAUCGCGAUGCCAUUGCAGUGAUACAUUUUCAAUGGAUUGUGGCAUUAGUCGAAAGAAAAUAAUUAUGACAAGUACUUCUAAAUAUUCAAUACACAUGGUGUUUGUUAUCUGCAAGUAAAUCAACUCUGCCGUGAAGGAUAAACAGAGGGAUCUCAACUGCAUUUGCAUACAAUGAAUCAAGAUAAAACAGAUAAAAAAGCAUCGCCCCCAGAUGUUGUGGUAAAACAGCACAAAUAAAUCAUAAGAUAAACUAAGAUUUUGUAUACCUUCUUGUGUACAACAGCUGAUGUAUGUUUUUUUUUUUUGAAAAGAUGCUUGAUUUUCAGAGCCAGUUGUUAAACUGUAAACAAAAUAUGGACAUUUCAGUUUUACAUCUUAUUAUUCCAGUUAAUGAAAGAGGCAAAACAAACAUAGAAAAUCAAAGAGGUGCAAAAUGACCAAAUAUUUCUUUUUAUAAGAAUGGUCAAGUAUUAAAAUCACUAAUUAGUAAAAAUUUUCACCAUAUGGCUCAUUGUGCUGUAGCAGGGGGCAACCAAGCAAGAGGAGAACCGCACAAGGGCUAGGCUGCAGCCUGCAGGGGCACUGCUUGUUCGCUUGGUGGUUGUGUGCCUGGCGGUUGACGCCCUGGCCAAUUGGGUUGCUGUGGGCUUGGCGCCUAACACCCAAGGCAACUCAGUGAUGGCAUGGAUGCGAGGGCAAGCGCGGAGAAGGGCAGCGCGCAGGGAGCGAGGCCGGCGGGCGAUGGCGACAUAAAGAAGAGAUCUCCGGGAAGGAAGGUCCUGGUUCUGGAGCGCACGUAAUGGGGUCAGAGUACUAUGGUCUAUAUUGGAAUAUCUUUUGGUCUGUCAGAUGACAAAGGAAACAUAGAAAAACCAUUUGUGUUUUCCCUGGUGUUGAAGGCGAUCGGAUAAGAUCAUAUGCAGAGAGACGUGUAUACCAAACAAAAUUACAAGGAGUCAGCUGUCUCCUUUUUGCUUCCAUCCUGGAAGUUCACAUCUCUAAAAAAAGGCUAACUGCUCAGGCAAUCCUUGAAUUAGCAGGAUACUACUAUAUAGGCUUAACAUACAUGCUAAUAAUGUCUGCUUAUUGUGAAUUAGCAGUAGGCUUAACAUACAUACUACUAAUAGUUGUUAGUUAGGAAUUAGCAGUAGGCUUUUCCUGAAUUAGCAGGAGACUUAAGAAUAUAGGCUACUCAGGAUAGAGCCUACUGCUACUUGCAGGAAACAUAAGCUCAUCAAGUCUGAGAUAUACGUACCCUUAACUGGCAAAUCGGUAUGGGUUUCUUCUGUGGAGGGAUAACUCUAUGUGCUGUUUUUAUUGGUUCAGUGACAAGGCACCCCCACAAUCCUUUGUCCAGAUUAUUCUUGUUUACUACCAUGCAAGACAAAUGUACUGCAUAGAUUGCUACAUACUAUUGAACUAAGAUUAUGUAAUUACUACCUUGCAAAGCUUAUGCAGAAGUUUUCCUUCACCAAAUCCCAGCUCCUUCUCCACCACUGUGAUCACCUCUCUGACCUGCGAUAUUUGUUUGACAUCACAUAACUGAUAGUAUUCAUAUUUGUGAGGAUGGCGACAUUUACAAGCAGUUAGCAAAACACAAAAAUGUAACAGUUAAAGAAUAAUGCUUUACAGUCUGCAUUUGUUCAGAAGUCAGGGCACUAAAAUUUUAAUUUUAACAUAAGGAAUUGAGUUGGGCAGAGUUGUACCUUACUUUUCCACACACAAGAGUUCUCAUCAGCAGGCAAGCAACGCUUAGCUCACAAGAGUCAUCGCACUUAUCAAUCCACUGGAGAAACGUAGAAAAUAAGAAGAGGAAAAAGAAGAGCCUACCAGCAGUGGACGGUCGAUCCAAGGGAAGCCAGAUGGCCUAAGUCGGGGGCGAGUUGCUGCUGCGGGGUUAGGCAGUGGCCGCACGGCGUGGACGCGGUGGCUGGAGGGCGCAGAUGCUCCUCAGCCAGCAAAGGGCACAGCGACGGUGGGGGCGUCGGAGGCCACAGGCGAGGUUAGAAACGGCAGAGGGUGGAGCAGCGCCUGGAGGCAAAGCGUGAUGUCGAGAUCUCCGAAGACCUUGACCGGCACUCUCGGCCUCGAGCUCCGGAACUGCGAUGGAAUCAGCAACUUCGCAGAGGCUGUUCCUCGCUGGAGUUAUACAGUCGAGCGAAGCGGGGUCACGGCUCCUCUUGCUGGUCGGCCGGCGGGAGAAGACGUGGUGAGUGCGUCGGCGGAGUAGUGCUGCAGCGUCGGUGUCGAGCGGCGGCGGCGGCGGCGGCCCAAACCCCGGCAGCGGCGGCGAGCGGUCGGCGGCACUAGCGUCGGGGAGCUGACGGAAGCUGCAGCCUCGCUGUCAUGUGGUCGGGGCACCAGGAUAAAUGGGUGUGGCACCGCCGUUGCCGAUUGGGAGCUGAGUGGCACCGCCGUUGCCGAUUGGUUUGAAGCCGCCGCAGCCGAUUGGGAAGGAAGGACGGGCAGACCAACGCCGAUUGGGGAUGUCGCUAUGCCUUGGAUCGAUGACGUGGUGGGAGUGAGGAGGUUUCGUAAAGCAACACGCCUACAGGGAGUGCUGGGCGGUCACGCGAGCCAGCGAGCGUGCGAAGCCGGUUCAACGAUUCUGUUUUCAAUUUUUUAGUUGUAGAGAUAUUGUUAUUUGUCUACUUUGAUUAUAUGCUUAGUGUUGAUGGUAAAUAACUCCUAAUUUUAACUGUCAACUAGACAUGAAAAUGGAUCUAUAUGCAAACACCUAAUAGAUAUAGGGUUAUCACUAACAGAAUUCUAUAAGUUUUGGAGAUUGUUUGUUUCUCUAGGGUGUCAGCUGAAAAUAACCAUAGAUGGUCCACAUGCCAGGUUUACAUAGAGAGAAUACUACGAACUUGAACUCAGGAGUAAUCUAGAAGGUUCGAGGAGGCUCCAUACCAAACAGGAAGCAAAAUGGGUCCGGGUGCUGGGCGGGCACCCAUAGGGUAGGGGCGCCUGCCCCACUACCUCCACCAAUUAGAGUGAACCUCGCACAUCCUACCUCCACUGACUUUGAGGAGUAAUCUUGAGCAUAUGUUUAAGUCAGUUUGAUUCGAGGGUUGUGGUGCCUCCUAGGGGGCUAUAAAUACAACCCUGACCCCCUGGGGAGUAGCUAAUUAUGGAACCCUAAUUCAUAUUUUCCAGAGACAAUUAGCCAGAGAGGGGUCCCUCGAAUGGAUCUAUCUCUUUAGGGUUUUAGCAGCAAGAGAGGUUGAGAGAGUAUAGGGUGGAGAUAGAAGUGGAUGAAGCCUAACUUGUUGGUGUCUUCUUCCUUGUAUCUAUAGGAUCAAGUCUCCUAACCCAAGGCUUGGUUCUAGAAUUAUUCGGCAAUUUGACUUCUAAGACUAGUAAGUUUUGUUCUUACUAUUCUUUGGUUUACGGGUUUACUUUAUUCACUUGCACUUGGGAAUAGAGUAAUUGUUCAUAGCAUAAGCAUGGUGCUUAGGCUAUGAACACUCAUAGAUACUCCCUAUGUGGGCGGAUUUGUGGUAGCAUUGGGGGGAGUGACAAUCUCCUCGUGUCUCUAUAAUCCACGUCUUGUCAAGAGGUAAGGUAGGAUUUAUGGUGUCGAGGUUAAGUACUCUCUAAGGUGUCUCUUUUCUCUAGGUACUCCCCUUAGAACAAUAUCUACAUAGCUUACCAUAGGCUAGAACAAGACUUAUGAAGGAGUUCUCUCUAUAUCACUCAUAUCUCACUAUCUUGUCUUGCAAGCCCAGGGGUUAAGUAUAGAUUUGGGUUAGCCAGAUGCACACUUUCUCCCAUUGGUAAAAAUAUAAAUAACGAUGCUCUAGAAUAUUUCUCAGGUGAAGUGCUCACCGAUAUCCGUGCGCUUGUGGAUUAAUUCUCUGUGUGUGUAUCCAAUAUCAACACAUACUGUAGUGAGAUUAGAAUUAUAUUUAUGCAAAGGAUCGUAUAGUGCAUGCUCAUUAGGCCAAUGGGUGAGUGGUAGAUAUUGUGUAGGCGAGGUGCUUAGACCAUAUUUAUCUACGAUUACCCCUUAUAGUCUAGAUCAUGAGGUAGAUCACGGGAGUGAUAGUCCUGUUGAGUCCUCUCUAGUCCUCCUCCCGAGUAUAAGGACCGACCACUAUUACAGGGAAGUGAUUGCUAUAUUCAAGAUCUUUAUUGGUAAUAUCACUAUGCGUAAGUAUAACCUUUUCUUACGAUGAUGCUAGGUGUAAUUGUAGUAAUCAUUGUAUACUUUGAUAGUAUAGUUAGAAUACUUAGGAUUUAUUCUUGUAGAUCAUUCUAAUCCAUACUAGUGUUAUAGACUUAUACUACUAUAUUGAGAUGAUUGUCAUAUUUAUAUGUGGCUAUGUGCUCUCAUUUAUCUUUGUCACUUAUUAUUCAUAUUUAUAUUAUUUAUCUUAUGUGACACUUACCCUGCAUGAGAGUUAGAUAAAGACAUGGUUAAGAUCUUCAUGACUACAUGCAGUGCUCAUUGCUCAUUAUCCAAUGCAGUCCCUUCCCAGUGGUAAAAAUAUAAAUAACGAUACCUGGAUUACUCAUGGUUAAAAUGCUAUAUUGGUAUUAUCUAUGCGCUUACAGAUCCUUUAUUUAUUAUCUAGAAAAGCAUAUAAAUUUAAUACCCGCACUUCUAUAUCGUGCUAGGGAUGACAACCGAGCUUAAAUGAUGUAAAGUAAUUUUUGACGCCGUUGCUAGGGAUAGGUUUAAAAGUCUAUUUAUAGAAAUUACAUCAAGAGGUGUCAACAAGCAUUUUUGGUGUCGUUGCUAGGGAAGGUUGAAAGCAUUGAAUGAUAAUGAGCAUCAAUCCAUCUACUCAUGGAUUGAGCACCAUCCACCCUUCACACUCAUGCAGACUCACCCUUGUCGUUUGUCUAUUUUAUAUAUCAUAUGCAGGGUAAUUUAUGAGCAGGUUUGAUCUCCUAGAUCAUUUUGUUGGUAAUCUAAAAACAUUGAUUAGGAAGACAAAGGCCAAGUUGAGAAGGAAUCAAUCAACAUCAUCAUCAUCUCAACUUAUCAAUCCUCCUAAGUCAGAAGGCCAACCUAUAUUUCAAAGUUUGACACCAGAGCUUGACAUCAUAGCCAACAAGUCACUUCAUGAGUUCUCAAGUCCCGGUAUGGCCAACAUCCGUACUGGACCAGCUGUAGACAUCAAUGGGUCAUUUGAGCUCCAGCCUGUGCUGAUCAACAUGGUGCAAGCAGGCCAGUUCUAUGGAAAGGCCUAUGAAGAUGCUAGUGCUCAUCUCCUACACUUUCUAGAGAUCUGCAACACAUUCACUAUCAAGGACGUCCCUACAGAUGCAAUACUACUUUGCCUUUUCCCAUUCUCUCUCUUGGGGAAAGUGAAGCAGUGGUUCUACGCCAAUAAGGAGAAGAAUACUACAUGGGCACUAUGUUCCACCAAUUUUCUGGUGAAGUUCUUUCCCACAGGUAAGACCAAUGCUCUUCAUGGGAAGAUAUCAUGUUUUCAACAACAACAUUAUGAGAUAGUCCCAGAAGCUUGAGAGCAUUUUCAAGACUACAUACUCGAAUGUCCUCAUGAUGGGAUGGAGAAUUAGUUGCUUAUGCAAGCAUUCUAUCAUGGGCUUAGCAACAACACUCGUGAAACCUUGGAUGUUGCUGCUAGAGGAGCAUUUUUAUCACUUACCAUUACUCAAGCCACUACUCUUGUGGAAAAGAUGGCCUCCAAUCAAGGUUGGAGUGAAGAGAGAACACCAACCCACAAGAGAGGUGGAGGAAUGCACCAGCUCAAGGAGGUAGACAUGCUAGCUAUCAAGAUAGACCUAUUAAUGAAAAGGCUUGAUAAAUAACCAUUGAGAAGAAGGAAGUCAUGCAUGUUCAUGAUUUUGGCAUGACUUGUUAAGAGUAUGGAGAAACUAGACAUACAGGUACCAACUGCCCAGAGCUGACAGAGGACAUGAACUAUAUCAACAACAACAACAAUAAUUACUACCAUCCUUAGCAGAACCAAGGUUGGAACUAGCAACAACAACCUAGCUACUUAGGUAAUUUCCAAGGUAUUAAUUCUUAUAAUAAUGCCAAUCAACCACCUUUAAAAGAGUUAGUGCUUAAUCAGGACAAGUUAAUUGAUAGCCUAUCUAAGAAGCUAGUAUCUAAUGAUAAAACUUUAAAAUUAGUUAACAUUAGAAUGGAAAGUUUUUUCCAAUGCUAUCAAGAAUCAGCUUAGCUUUAAUAAUAUACUAAAAUCUCAGUUACAACAACUUGCUUACUUUGCUUCUGCCAACGACCAAGGUAAGAUUCCCAGACAACCGGGAGAAUUAGAAACUGCAAAUCUUGUAGACAUCUUUAAUGCUGGAAACUACUGGAGUGACCCUCCGAGAGGAACAUGGAUUGACUCAACUCUACCAAUCAAGAAAGGCAAUCCAGGGAGGCUGGUCAUUCCGAUCUUUAUUGGAAGUACAUCAACAAGGUGAUCUAUGACUUUGGUGCAAGCGUCAACAUCAUGCCUAAGGUGAUAUAUGAAAAGCUAUUCAAUAUUCCUUUGUCAUACCCAACCAUGUGUUUGCAGCUUGCAAAUCAGUCACUCUACUACCCCAUGGGAAUCCUAGAAGAGAUCUGCAUGCGAGUAGGCAACUCAUACGUACCUAUAGACUUCAUGGUAGUGAACAUAGGCACUAAUGAGAGGUUGCCUAUUAUUCUGGGAUGACCAUUCUGGAACAUUGCCGGAGCCAUUAUCUAUGACAGCACUGCCAAGAUUAUUUUCAAUAUCAAGGGCAAGAGAGAAGUGUUUUCUUUCAAGAAUAGGCAUUGCCAUUCCCUGUACAAAAAGAAACUAUCGAUGAUAGGAACAAGCGCAAAACAUAGAGCAAGGCCAAGACCAAGAAUAAGGGCAAAAAGAAGGCCCAGAAGACGGAGACGGCAAGGAUGGUCACUACAGUCCAUAGGGAGUACGACCACCUGCUCAUGUCCUCGCAUUGGAUCAAGAAAGACGACCCAGGUGUCCCUACUAUUCUAUGCUCCAUGAACAGAUGUUACUUCUACAACACUGUAUGUGACACCAGAUCGGGCGUCAACAUUAUGGCCAAGGUAAUGUAUGAAUUUCUAUAUAGUACUAUGCCUAUGGACCCCACCUAUAUAGAGCUGCAGUUGGUGGACUAGUCCUUUUGCUUCGUGGAAAGGAUGGCCAAAGAUGUCCCUAUCCAGAUCAAUGACCACUACGUCCCCACUGACUUCCUAGUCAUCGACAUGGGAGAAGAUGAGUGUGAUGCACCCAUCAUAUUAGGAAGACUAUUCCUCAACACUACCAAGGCCAUCAUUUAUAUUGGAACAAGGAGAUCCAUUUCAAGUUCCCUUCAGAAAAGGUACGCCACCAUUUCAAUAGUAAUUAUAUAAUUGAGGAGGAGCCCAAGAAAAAUAGGUCAAGGAGAAGGCAACGUACCCAUCACCAGAAAAUGAAGAAUGUUGUAGACGGAUAGGCUGACUAUAAAAAAGAGGUUUCAAUAUUUGAAGAUCGAUACCCUGACAAGGAGAACGCCAUCAAAAAGGAGGUACUAGUAGAAGAAGAGAUAGUGACUCCAGACACUCUCUCCUCCAAGUCACCAUCACCUACUGAAAGGUCCAAAUGGCUAGAGGGGGGUGAAUAGCCUAUUUAAAAAUCUACAAACUUUACUAAACAAGCGAGUUAGUAAAAUAAGCGGCGAAGCUAUUCUAGCACUAACACAACUAAGCUAAUCAAGCCACCUAUACAAGUCUAGCAAGAAGGCUAAACAUAAAACACAACAACUCGAGAAGGCUACACAACAACUCUAUACUAGAAAGAACUAAGCUACACAAGCUAAACUAACAAGGUAGGCAAGUACGUAAAGAGAGGAGAGUGAUUGUUAUAUCGACGUUGUAGAGAUGAGAUAUAUCCAAUCAAUCACGUACACAAUCACAAGAGAGAGACCUCGACAAGAGAUGACACAAGAUUUUUUACCGAGGUUCACUUGCUUCCUGGCAAGCUACUCCUCGUUGUGGCGAUACACCCACUUGAUGGAUCACGAGCUAAUUGGCAAUCCAAAGCCAAACCCUCGGCGGGUGCCACACAUCCACUCACAAGAUGGGGAUCCUCCAAGCCACGAGCAAUCCACUAGAGUAGCCAAUUGCGAUCUCCCGCGGGGAAGGCUCAAGAACCCCUCACAAAUCACUUGGUGAGGCUCAAAACAAUCUCCAAUCACGAGCUCAACACCACCGCUGCUCCAAGCCGUCUAGGGCAUUGGGAACCACCCAAGAGUAACAAGAAAUCCACAGCAAACUCAAGAAUCAAGUGCCACUAAAUGCAACUCUCAAAGCAAUGCACUUGAAUCUCAAUCAAUCUCACUAGGAUUAGCAAUCAAGCAAGGAGAUGAGUGGAGGGAGUGUUCUCAAGCUUAAUGUAUGCCUCAAGUAUUCAAAUGUGCAAGAGUUGGCCACCUCCUAUUUAUAAGCUCUCUCAAAGAACUAGCCGUUGGCCACUUUCAAUGGGCUGAAAUCGGGGCCACCGGAUGCUACCAAGUGAGCACCGGACGCUCGAUCCCCUGCGUCCGGUGCACGGAAGUCAGCCACGUGUCUUUCUAGAAUCUCGCGCGUUAGACUCUAACGGUCACCUGCGGACCACCGGACGCAACCAAGUGGGCACCGGACGCGUCCGGUGCUCACCGGUCUCGUGCGCAGAGAGUUUCGCAAACCUGCAGGGUCACCGGACGCAAGCCACCGGACGCACCCUCAGCGUCCGGUGCUCACCGGACUCAUGCGCAGAGAGGGUCACCAAAACGCCCGCACACCGGACGCUGAGCACCGGACUCACUCCGGUGCAUCCGGUGCACACUGGACAGACCCGACAGUCCACCGGACGCUAAAAGCCAGCGUCCGGUGCCUCUGCACCCUACCUCCGGUGAGAAACACUCCCACGACUUCUCCAAAUUUCCCAUCGACGCAAUAGAAAAUAUACACUUAAUUUUCUCAAAAGCACUGAAUCCCGCCGAGCUUGCCACCCCUCUCAUCCCUAGGAACUCCACCUCCUUUGAAAAUGUGCUAACAUCAACAAGUGUCCACCACCAAAGUGCAUGUGUGUUAGCUUUUCACAAACAUUUUCACCAAAGGAGUUAUGUUAGCACUUUACUAGAUCCUAAUGCAUAUGCUCAAGAUAUGGACCUAGUAGCACUUGAUUCGAGAGAUGACCGUGAUUUCCCCUCUUGAUAGUUGGCUAUCUAUCCUAAACCCGGUCAAUCACUUCUCUACUCAUCUUAGACCGGCAAACGUAAAACCCUAGGUUUAUACCUUUGCCUUGAUAACUUUGCUCCUCGUUUAUCAUCAUGAUCUUCACAUCAUGCUUCAUCCCUUUGUGAUCAUGUAGCCACCUUUCCAUGCCACCAUGCACCUUCAUCACAUGUGUUGCUAUGCCUAACUCAAAUCACUUAAACACAAGGCAUUAGCAACUUGGUGUCAUUAAUUACCAAAACCAAACUUGGGCUUUCAAUCUCUCCUUUUUUGGUAAUUGAUGACAACCAUCACAAAGAUAUGAAAUGAAAUCGUAAUGAACUUGAAUUGCUUGUCCAAAGCAUUUUUAAACAAGAGACAAUAUUGGACAAACAUUUCAAUUUCGGUUUUGGUAGUACUAGCUCCCCCUACAUAUGUGCUUCCAUGAGUUUGGUUCAAGUUUGCACAUAUGCAUGAAUUGGAAUUUUGGGAGAUUUAUUACUACUGAAAUGAUGCUAAGGUAUAUAGAAUGGCCCUUUGAAGCGUGAUACCAAUUGGAGUUGCCAAUCGUUUAUCAUCAUGAUCUUCACAUCAUGCUUCAUCCCUUUGUCAUGUAGCCACCUUUCCAUGCCACCAUGCACCUUCAUUACAUGUGUUGCUAUGCCUAACUCAAAUCACUUAAACACAAGGCAUUAGCAACUUGGUGUCAUUAAUUACCAAAACUAAACUUGGGCUUUCACCUACAGGGUAGGUAUGGAAACCAAAGGUAAAUUUAGAAUUAAAUCCUACAUAGGACAUAACACUUGUGGUGCCAUCUGAUGUACCCCUUAAUCGUUGAGCGAACAAGAGGGUCCUCAGGACAUAAAAUCACCAAAUGCCGCACCAAGAGGUAACUUGGUAUUUAUCUGCAUUUUCCUUUAGGUUAUUUACUUCUCUUAAUUGCAUUACUAGUUGCAUCUUUACUUUAUUAUUUCUGCAUCUCUACAACUAAAACAUUGGUAGAGCAAUCGUCCCCCAGCAGUUUUCGCUCGCUUCGCUUCCCCCCGGCCCGCAAUCACUCGCACUCUGCUUGGUGGACCUGAACAUCUCCUACUCCCUCCCCUCCAAUCGCGCUCGCCGCCGCCUCCUCCUCUCCCACGCUCCCUUCCCCUCGCCACGCGCUCGCUGCCGCCGCCGCCUCCUCUCCCACGCUCCCUCCCCCUCGCCCAUUGCGUGCUGCGGCGCUGCGCUCGGAGAUGGUGCUGCGAAUGUGUGCUGCGUCCCGGAUCAACUUAUAGUUGGUAUGCGGUUGCUUAAUCGAUGUUGAUUCGAACCAAUCUUAUACCCACCAUCGCCUGCUGCUGUUGCAUGUGCUGCCGUUCAUCGCUGCCUUUUCUUCUCCAGUUCACAGCGCCUGCUCUCUCUGGUAGCGACGACUGGACGGCAGCACUACGCCAGGUGCCUAGGUCGACAUUAGGCCCUUUGCUAAGUCUUAACCUGGUACUUUUACUGAGAGGACAACCACCAAGUAUGCCAACCCCUUCUGUUCCCUUCUUGCUGUACGAAACUGAGCACCCAACCCCUCUUAAACUAAUUUGCUAUUUGUAUUCAGAUCAGAUCUAAUUACAUGUGUGUACAUGUAUUAUGCCUGCUAACUUCGAUUCCUUUCAAUAUUAUCAAGCCUACAUGUGCAUACCCAUGUCCUUUGUUGGAUCUACGCCUGCAGUCUUUAUGCUUUGCACUUAAUGUUCUGUGCACUGAAAAAAUUUCCAAUAAGAAAAUUCACUUAAGUGAUGAUUUCAGAACUUGGCAUUAGGGACGGGAUGCUGAUGUUAAAAUUGAAGUUAACUUACCAUGAAGCAGCAGCCAGUAGCAGCAUAAAAAUAGGAGAAGAAUGAUUUCUUUAUUCUAAGAUUUAUUUGGUUAUCAAUCUAAUUCAGAUUUGAACUGAUUAGAGUGUUGUGUGGUGCCUGCUAAGGGCCCCUUUGAACUGAUUCAUGUGUGGUUUCCUGUUAGAUUCCUAUGAAAUUCCUAAAUUUCUACAUUCCAAAGUGAUCCUAAUGCAAGAAAUUUAGGGCCUCAGUCUGUGAAUGGAGUGCUCAUGAAAAGUGAAGAUGUUUCACCUUUUCUGAAUUGCAUGUCAUUGGGCAGUCUACGCAGUUGCAGGUAUCUAAUUAGAGCUGACCCUCCCCUCCCCUCCUGAAGUUUAUUUAUUCUCUGUUUAUUUUAGCUUCUCAGCCAGCAUCCAAGAGGAUAAACUAAAAUAUGGCUACUCGAAGAAUUCUGUGUGGUUGAUGCCUAAUUAGUCCGGUCAAAUUAAUCCACGUUUGGUGCAAAUGUUGCUAUUUUUGUUCUUCCAUUUAAAGAUUCAGAAGUACAAAUGUUGGACUCCGAUGCUUUAUAUAUCUCAAAGUUCAAAAAAUGUUCCUCCAUUUGUUGGUUUAAUCAAUUUUUUGAGAACUUGAAUUCACAGAUCACAAAGAAAAAAAAACAUAGUUCCGGGUGUACCUUUCUGCAAUGGUUUCCACUUUAAGUUUCUGAGGUCCUCAAUUCCAUAGGAGCAUGCAGAGUUUAUUCAGCACUGAAAUCAUUCAGCACCUGUAACUGUUAUGAACGAGGUGGAUAUUUUGAGAUAGAUAACUAGGCCUUAUGCUUUGCCAAGAGCUUUGGGAUAACUAGGCCUUAUGCUUUGCCAAGAGCUUGAGAGAUUGAGGGAGACUAGAAUUGUUUCUUUAUAAUUCAUUGCUUGAAUUGCUUGAUUUCCAUUGUGCCCCAUGGGCUGAAUAUAAAAGGUACAUAGGACUAACACCUCUUGUGCCUAGACAAUAUGGUACUAUUCCUUUAGACAAAUAACUAAGAGAGACACUAAUUAACACUAAUGGGCUUAAGGCCCAACUAGGACACUUGCGCCCUAUGGCGCCCCUCUUUAUGCCCAUGACAGUAACCCAUCGCCAAUGCUGAGAGGCGAGGAUGGCAUUUGCUCUAACAUUUCUUCUAGAGUCUUAUUUUGAUCUAGCUGUUGCUUUCAUUGGAACAACUACAGUGUGCAAACUUUGAAGGUAACCUACUGAACUUUCAUAUUUGCCAAGGGUAGCACCUGUUUAUCCCCACCCUCUCUUGAUCCUUUUUCUGACCAAAAGUUAUUUGGGUACGAAUGAAUACAUAGUCUCAUGGAAGAUCACAAUGGAAGCAUGAUUCAUUAAAUUUCUCACAGGGUUGCUGUGCAAUAGAACUGUUGAUGCCAAGUUAAGAUAAAAUGAUGAUAUGCUCUUCAUGAAAUGUUUUGCCCUCAUAUUAUUGGACAUGUCCAGUAACCAAUAUGACAAGUUUUGGUAUGUUUCCAUUGGGAUUAUAUUGUGUCGUAAUCAUGGCUGCCUUUUUCAUACAAGUAGAUAAGGUAUUGACCCCUUUGCUAUUUUACAUGGUUUGUUUAUUUAUUUAUUUUUUUGCUCCCACAAUGCUUAUUGUGAAGGAUUUAUUUUUUGAUUCAAACAAACUCAUUGCUCAUUAUUUGACGAUGGGGGCGAAUGUUGGAUAUUUUUUGGGUGAUUAUACAUGUGGAUUUCAGAUUGUAUCUCUCUUGUGAAUUUGAAAGAAAUCUGGCAUACCCUUUAUGGAAAACUGAAUUCUGUGUGGCUCGCCAGAUCUCUUGUGAAGCUUUUUUAUCGUAAGGAAGUUCUAACUCACCAAAUCUUGUAAAAUAACAAAUUUUGAUAAUAACUUCUCAGAUCAGAACAGUUGCUUGAAACUGGCUGCUUGAAUAAUGAAAUGUUACCCUUCAAAGCUUUUUAUCGAUGGAGAUUGAGGAUCAACCAAGUGGAAUACUUUUGUCAUAUUGUGCUGACCACAGCAAUAAAAAAACAGAACAACUACAUACUUUCUCCAGUUUGUGUGCACAUUGACAUGAUGGUUUGUCAUAGUUCUAAAUUGCAAAUGUAUUAUAAGUCUCUACUAUUGCCAUUAUCUUAAUUUCUAAGAGAAUUAUCGGUUUUGCCAAAUUUCUCCCUAUUUUUCUCUUUGAGUUCUCUUAAAACAUCAUCCAUAUAUUAUGUGCAGGCUCCAACGUUUUGGGAUAGUGGUUUAAGGAACCUGAAAUAUGUCAUCAUUUUUUAGUGGAGUGACAUUCCAAUGCUUUCAUGGUCAUGUUAACUCAAUGCAAAAGAGCUGAAAACGAGAAUGAAACCUAAUCAGCUUCGGCUUAGGCUAACCUAAAUGUAAGGCAGCAACCAAAUCCUAUGUAAAAUUUUUAGAGUUCAUGAGACAAACUAGCCUAAUUUCAAACAUGAUUUCAUACAGGGAGUACACUUUUUUGGCACAUAGCCGAGUGACUACUAAAAUAAAACUAUCCACAUCUCCUAUGUCCGUUUGACAGCAAUUUGAGGCAAUUCUUGAAGACAUGGUGUGAGCUUAGACACCAUGUUACUCAUCGUCAUCUUACUUUGGCAGCUCCAUAACACGCCUAGCAGCCACUUUAGAAAAUUUCCGAAACUUAUCUAUUUUUAUAAAAAAAAUAAAUUGCUGGUUGUGUUUGAUUAAUCACUUUUGUUAUGCAUAUAUACAUUAUUAUCCCGUUGCAGCGUACGGGCACCCACCUAGUUAGAAAAAGAAAAUAAAAAUAUGUUUUGCAUUGUAUCUAAAAAAAUGCUAAGCCCCAUGUAUUUAAUGUAUGAUGCAACAGCUCACACACUCAUCUACUGUGGUGGCACACAAAAAAAUUAUAACAGAUUUACUUUUUCUGUCUGCAUACCAUAAAUAUGAAAAGCAUAAAAAAUAUAUUGAUCCUGCUAAAAAUAAAUGGGUAUAAGAAAGUUAUAGAUUCCUAAAGCUUAGAGGUUUGUUACUAACACUUAAUCAAUUCCACAAGUUUUGUUUUCUAUUUGAGCUUCACAGGCUUUAAAGGAUCAAGAAGAGCUAACAUGCAGAAGGACGUCCUAUCCUCUAUCAGAGUACAGUCCGCAUAAGCUGAGUGUUGUUUCCAACCGUAAGUGCUCACGACACUUAGGAGGACUAGCAUGCCUUCACUGCCCGUUAGCAACCUCAACAGACCAUGUCAACAUCCAGCUUGGGGGAAAGCAACGCUCGUAUGCCAAGCUAAGUAUCCCUCGCUUAUCUAUUUAUUCCUGUGCGUUACGAUAAGAUAAAAAGAUGAAUAACUUUAGAAACCUAAUAAAAAUUUCUUUAUCUUUCAUAAUUAGUUUUGCUAGCUAAGGAGAGCUCUUAAUGAAUUUAUUAAAAUGAAUCUCUAGAACAAACUCUUAUAUGGAGAUGAUGAAUAGUUGCUCUGCCGUAAUUCCUUGCAAGUACCUAGUUUUCAACCUUGUACUAUCCCGAGUUUUAGACACAACUAUUUAGACUUAAGAUUUUACUCUGAGCCUGAAACUUUUGGGUAGCAAAUGCUUAAUCUAAAUCUAGGUAGUUGAUGGAUAUGAUAUAGGAAGGUUUUGAGCUGCUAUCAAUCUUGCUCCUAGAGAUAUGUUGGGUAUUUUAAACGCAAACAGAAAAAUCCGCAAGCGCACGGAUACCGAAGUAGCUUUCACCCGGGAAUAUUCCAGAGUAUCGAUUUUCCACAGGGAACGUGAGUGUACUAAUUAAGAUCCAAGAUCGUCCAAGGAUAACUAUAUAAUUAUUUUUGGUGGGAAGAGAGGAAGUUUCGUGAGAGUUCUCUAGUUGAUCUAAGAAUCAAGAAUUACUUCAAGAUUAUCUAUUUCUGAACAUCAGAACACUAACCACAGAAAGAGAUGAGAAGGGGGCUAGGAAGCUCUGACUACGGUCCUACAAACACCGAUCCGAACGAGGUGGAAUACGUCCACCAUUAGGGCUGUCACUACCCUAGGGCUACCACAACAAUCCGCAGGAUUGGGUGCAAUUCCAGGUAAUUGCAAGACUAAACACCACGUCUAAUCUAUUAAUUACUACUCUAGCGUUUCAAAGACUAGAGCACUUGAUGCAAGCAGGAAUCCAAUAAAUAACUUGAAUGUAAAUAAAGUAAUUAAAGAACUUAGGAAUUAUGAAUUGAAGAACCUGGAGAACGAUGAAGAACGAACCAGUUGCUGUAAAAGUACAAUGUUGAGGAAGAUCCGACAGAUCCGGCUCCUCCUCCUCCACUCUCCUCUUCUCUCUCCCUAUUUUCUAGAUUACAACUAGAACUAACUAGAACUAGAGGAACUAGAACAGAACUAGAUGAACUAGAACUAGAACUAGAUGAACUAGAGCUAGAACUAGAUGAACUAGAGGGAUCCUCUCUACUUGGAUGAAGAAUUGAAACCCUAACUUUGAUUCUGUAGAAGAGGUAUGAUCUCUAGGGGCCAGGGGACCUUGCUUAUAUAGUCUUUUCAGAUGAAUCUGGGCCGUCGGAUCAAACCGACAUUGAUCGCACGGUUUUCGUUGAUCCUUUAGGUCGGUGGAGCAUGAUCCCCGAGUUGUACCCUGAUUGGGCAGAAUAGGAGGGCGGGCGCCCUAAGGACUAGGGCGGGCGCCCUGUCCCUGAGCCCUCUCAGCUUCCGCUUUGUUUCCGUGGCUUUUGGAGUCUUCUAGAUGAUAGAAAAUUGCGCAGCACGUUCAUAUCUCUAUGUAAACUUGACGUGUGGGCCUUUCUUCCGUAUUUCCUGAUAACCCCCUGCAGAAAUAGACAAACACCAAAACUCGUGGAAUUCUAUCAGAUAAAACCCUAAGUCUGGGUGUUAGUUGCAUUUGGAUCCUUUUUCAUGAUUAGUUGAUUGUUAAAUGUGAGCAUUAAGGACCGUCAACAAGUUGCCCCAAGCUUAACCUUUGCUCGUCCCUGAGCAAAGAUGGACUCAAGAGUUUCUGCAGUGGUUUCAUGCCUUAAAGAUACACAUGCGUUCAAACAAGAUCUCAUCUCUGGGUUAGGGUAAAAUAUUAAGAUUUAAACUUACUCAUUUUACCUUCCACCAUGGGGCUUGCAACCGUCACUUGUGUCUUGAGCAGUUAAAAGAUAGAACGGUCUCGAGAAGCGCCAUGUCUCUUGUUCUUUAAUUAACUAUAGCUCUGGAGUUUUUGCAGAUUUUCAAAUAAAACUCAGAGAUUCCUUGUAUGACUCUCUCUAGUCUCUCUUUUGUGGUAUUUCUAGAUCCUUACCAAGGCAGUAAUGGUGUAUGCCUUCUCUCAAAAUAUGUGGUAAUUUUGGUAUGAGGCAUAGUGGUAUUGCCUUCUCUCUCACCCUACUCUAAUAAGGUUUUGAUAUCUGGAGCUCAUAGGUGGGAGACAGCUAAAACAUACUUACAAGACAUUUAUUGCAUAGUCAAACCAUAGAUCUAGAAGAACAAGUCAAUAAGUCAAAUCAAGAUGUGCAUGUGUGGCGAAUGAAUGGUGUAUGGUGAUGAUGGUGAUAACAAUGGUGAAAGUCUAAUUCUACUUGUGCUCUUUUGAGGGGAUACAUACCUUUCUUGCUCUUUUGAAACUUUUUUAGGAGAAUGAGAUGCUCUAUAUUUUCUUUUUCUUUUCUCUCAGGUGGGUAUCUUGUACCCCUAAUUCUACUGUCGGACACUUGUCCAUUUUUACCUCCCGUCUCACUUUUUCUUUUCUUUUGAGGUUCCGGGCACUUGCCCCUUUUGAUUUCCUUGUAUCUUCUUUUUUUAGAGCACUCACCUCUUUAAAUAAUGUAGCAAGUGGUAGUAACUGAAAUAACUUGAGCAUUUAUUUCACAGGGGAAAACAGAAAUCGGAGAAUGUUUUUGGCUAUUCUCUCUCGGAUUAGGAGAAGAAUAUUUUUGGGUGGUUCUGGAGAUGGAAAUGAGUGGAUGUAUGUGGAUGCGUACUUCCAGAGUAGAAGCAGCUUGUCUGAGUGAACGUGCAAGUGAAUCUUGAUUUAACCACAUGAUAAGCUCCUAAGGGUCUACACAGCUUGACCACACUCAAUGCUCAUAAGCAGUAAAAAGUAAAUGUAUGGUUCAAAGUCUGGCAAGCAUGUAUAUAUGGCUGUGGUAGGAUUUUAAACUCGCAUCAUACAGGAACUCACCAUGCAACAUUUUAAAGAUUUUCAAAGAUAAAAUUCUCCAGAAUUCUAGCAUCUCUAGGAACAGAUAAACAGCAGCUCAACCUUCCCAUAUCGUAUCCGUUAACGACUUAGACUUUAGAUCAAGUACUCUUCCCACAAGUUUAGGUUUAGAGCAAAUCUUAAUUAAUCACAGUCAUGCCUAAACUUGAGAGAGAUUUCAAUUUUGAGAAUUAGUCAUGGCAGAGCAACUAUUCAUCAUUUCCAUGUGAGAGCUUAUCAUGAGGGUUCAUAGCAAACUUUAUUUAUUUAUUUAUUUAGGAAACUAAGCAAAGAUAUAUAUAAAAGCACAAAAUCUUUAUUUGGGUUUAUAUGAUUAUGCAUCUUUUUAUUAUUAGAGUAAAAUAUAAACGUGAGUAGAACACUUAGCUGGAUAAAUGGGGGUGCUCUCCCCCAAGCUGGAUUUUGACGUAAUUCCUUUUGAUGUAGCAGGUGGCGGAGGUGUAUUUGAAUGUCGGCAGCACCCUGACAGUGAUUAGGAUGUCCUCCGUCUGAUAGUCUUCUUUGAUCCUUGAAUUUUGUGGAGCUCAAAUAGACAACAAAGCUUUGUGGAACUGGUUAAGUGUUAGCAUAAAUAUCUAGCCUUUAUCAUGUUGAGCCUCCUCAAUAAAUGUUACUCUCUUUAGUAGGAUCAUAAAUUUAUUUUUAUAAUUUUGUUUUUAUAGGAUAGGAAUAUAUUUAUUUUAUUUUUAUGCCACCAUAGUGAAUGUACUUAUGGGUUUUAUGCCAUGAGCAUACUCACAUGGGGCUUACUAUUUUUAACAUUUUUAUUUUCUUUUCAAGAUAGCAUGAACCUGAUUGACUAAGCAAACUAUUUUAAAUAAUUGAAAGGAAAAGGAUAACUACCAAGUUUAGCUCUUGGCAAGACGUUCGGUGUUUUUAAGUCCUCCGAACGGGACUCUCCGUUUUCUCAGUCGUCCUAGGAUUCGCUGGAUGGCGUAGUCAGUGGUUCCGGCGGCGCAUGGUCUUCAUGUACAACUAUCUUCUCUCUACACACCUGACUCGGUGCUACAGUCUCCUCAGGACAGUUCUGUUCAAGUUGUAUGUCUUCAGAUCUUAUCACUUCUCCUUCAUAGUCCUCCCAUGCGUCCUUGAUAAUUUGCCUCCUCUGGUUGCGGUUGCGUCGUCUUCUUCUUGUCCUGACCUGCUUAGAGUCUUCAACGAUAUAGUUAGGGUCAGUAAAAUAGCGGUGUACCUUCUCUGAGGAGAAGUGCAUGUGGACUUCUCCGGUUCCAAUGUAGAUGACUGUUUUAACGGUGUUGAUGAACGGUCUGACAAGGAUGAUGGGUGGAUAGUACUCGUCUUCUCCCAUGUCAAUAACCUGAAAGUCUUUUGGAAUGUUUGAUCUGCCAUCUGGAGCUAAAUGUAUGUUGGUUUUAGGGGCAUGGUUCCGAACAGGAGCUGAUAGGUGACUACGGCCAUUAUGUUGACGCCCGACCUGGUGUCGCAAAGCGUCUUGUGGAAGUUGUAUCCAUUAAUGGAGCACUGGAUGCUUGGCAUACUUGGGUCGUCCUUUUUGGCCAGGAACGGUGACUUAAGUCGACGAUCUUGACCUCCUUGAACUUUAGUGUCCAUCAUAGCUGACUCGGUCUACAUUUGCUUGUUCCUGUUCCUCCUGUUGGUCCUCUUCCUCGGUUUAUGUCGGGAUUGCUCUGAGAUUUGUGUAGUCUUGUUCUUGAAGGAAAAACGUCUCCUUCCUCCCCUCGAUGUAGAAACUGAUCUUGGCAGUGCUAGCGUAGAUGAUAGCUCCCGAGGUGUUCAGGAAUGGCCUCCCUAGGAUGAUGGGUGCCCUCUCAUCAGUACCAGUCUCUAUUGUUGACGGUCCUUAAGUAUCAAAUUUAAUUAUCAAAUAAAUAAAGAAAAGGAUCCAAAUGAAAUCAACGUCUAGACUUUGGGUUUUAUCUGACAGAAUUCCACGAGUUUUGGUGUUUGUCUAUUUCUAUAGGGGGUUAUCAGGAAAUAUGGAAGAAAGGCCCACACGUCGGGAUUACAUAGAGAUAUCAACGUGCCGCACAAUUAUCUUACAUCUAGAAGACUCCAGAAGCCACGGGAAGGAAGCAGGGCCGAACGGGGCCAGGACCUGGGCGCCCGCCCAGUUGCCUGGGCACCCGCCCACCUCUGAAGUCCAAUCAGGACUCUGUUUCGGGGGAGAUCUCCAUCGACCUAAAGGAUCAAGGAUAACCGUUCAAUCAAUGUCGGUUUGAUCCAACGGCCCAUAUUCACUUGAAGGGACUAUAAAACCAGACCCCCCUGACCCCUGGAGGAGAGAGCCUCUCAACCCUAAUUCAUUAUUCUCAAGGGAGAAGAAGCCUCUGAUCAAGAUUAGUGCCACCACAUCAAUUAGACAUCUAGAUUAGCAUAGCUACAUAGGAUUAGAACUAGAAGGAGUCAAUCUUCGAUUGGUUUCCGGAUCUGUCAAGAGGAUUCUUGGUAAUUCUCUAAUUGUGCUUCUAAUUGUUCUUCUAAUCAUAUUUGUUCUUCAAUAUUAUGAAUAUGACUUUGUUCUACUUCAAUAUAUUGCUUAUGACUUUGCUCUACUUGUUUAUAUUCAAGAUUAUAUUGUUCUUAGUUUAUCAUAGUUAUGUACUUGGCUUAGUUAGAUUGGAUCUAUAUACAUGCUUAGGAUCGUAUAGCGUUUAUCCAUCGGAUCCAUGGGUAAAUGAUAGAUAUUGUGUAGGCGUGGUGCUUAUACAGUAUUUAUCUGCGAUUGUACCCAAUAUGCCAGAUCGUGGGAUAGUUCGUGGUAGUGAUAGCUUCAUUGAUUCUUAUGUAGUCCCCCUCUCGUGUAUUGGGCUGGCAGAGCAAUAUUAUUACAGGAGAGUGAUUGCUAUGUUUCUCAUUUACCUUGCUAAUAUCACUAUGCAUGGGCGUAGUAUUGUCUCGCAAUGAUUGCUAAGUAUGCUUGCACUAACUAUGAUAAUGCUAGACUAUAUAGUUGAGAAUAACUUAGGAAAUAAUGUUGUAGUUCAUUCUAAUACCAUGCUAAUGACUUUCUAGAGUAUCUAAUUGAGGUGCUUAUCAUAUUUAUAUGUGGCUGAUCAGAUCAAUUAUCUUUGUCACUAUUCAUUAUUUCAUAUAUCUUUUAUGUGACAUUUAUGCCUGUAUGAAAGAGUUAGAUAAAUGUUCUCAAUUAUACAUGCAAUGAUAGAUACUCAAUCUCAUAUUCUAUUCUGUAAUCAAUAUUGAUGAUUGUUAAUCCCUUCCCAGUGGUAAAAAUAUAAAUAACGAUACCUGGAAUACUUACUGGUUAAAAUGCUACAUCGGUAUUAAUCUGUGCGCUUGCAGAUCCCAUUCAUUAUUUAUUUAGAAGAGCAAUUGCAUAUUUCAAUACCGCGUCUCUCAUGUCAUGCUGGGGAUGACAACUUGGCUUAAGUUGUAUGAGGGAUAGGUUUGGCAUUUUUGGCACCGUUACUAGAAUUAGAAAACUAAGUCUACUUUUGGUAAUGAUGUUAAGAAUACCCAACAAGUAUUUUUGGCGCCGUUGCCGAGGAAGGUUGAUUACUAAUCAAGAAUGGAUAUAGAUUUUCGAGUUAUCAUUCGCAUCACUAAUAUGAUUGAGCUUAUCUAUUCUCUCAUACAGUUUUACCCCGAUAUUUUUCUAUUUUACCUUAUGCAGGGGAAUGUAUGAAUUGAAGACAUCUUCCAGGAAAUUUUGUUGGCAAUCCCAAAGCGUUAUUCAAAAAAACUAGAGCCAAGCUCAAGAAGAGAUCAUCAACACUUCAGCAAGAAGCUUCAUCCAAUUAAGAAGAUCACCGAAACUUGUCUUCAGAGUUCAAAGCCAUGGCGAACAAAUCAAUCCGCGAGUUCUCAGCUCCCACUACGGACAACAUCCGCACUGGACCUGCUGCAGAGAUCGAUGGCAACUUUGAGCUCAAGCUUGGACUUAUCAACAAGGUGCAAUCCAACCAGUUCUGUGGGAAGGCACACGAAGAUGCUAGUGCUCAUCUCCAACACUUCCUGGAGAUAUGCAGCACAUUUACCAUAUCAGGAGUCCCCAGAGAUGCUAUACUACUUUGCCUCUUCCCAUUUUCACUGUUAGGAAGAGCGAAGCAGUGGUUCUACGCUACAAAGGAGAAGAAUACUACGUGGGCACUCUGUUCAACAAACUUCCUGGCUAAGUUCUUUCCCAUGGGCAAGACCAAUGCUCUCCGUGGGAAGAUUACAAGUUUUCAGCAACAAAAUGAUGAAUCUGUUCCAGAAGCAUGGGAGCGCUUUCAAGACUAUAUCCUAGAAUGUCCCCAUCAUGGAAUGGAGAGUUGGCUACUGAUGUAGACAUUUUAUCAUGGGCUCGGCAACAGUGCCCGAGAGACCAUGGAUGCUGCAGCUGGAGGAGCAUUCUUAUCACUUACUAUACCACAAGCCACAACUCUUGUGGAGAAGAUGGCGUCCAAUCAAGGCUGGAAUGAGGAGAGGACCCAGACACGCAAGAGAGGUGGAGGUAUGCAUCAGCUCAUGGAGAUAGACAUGAUGUUUGCAAAGCUAGACCUGCUCAUGAAGAAGCUCGAUGAUAGAGCUGGAGAUAAGAAAGAAGUUAUGCACAUCUACGACUCUCACAUGACUUGUGAGGAGUGUGGAGAUACUGGACACUCAGGCAAUCACUGCCCUGAGAUGCUUGAGGAUGUGAACUACAUCAACAACAACAACUACUACUACUACAACCGUCCUCAACAAAAUCAAGGUCGGAAUGAACAGAGGCCUAACUACUCAGGAUUAGAAUCUGCAAAUCUUGUAGACAUGUUUGAUGCAGGUAAUAACUCGAGUAACCCCGUCACUGAAUUCACUACUGACCUUCUGCCGGUCAAGAGAGGCGACCCCGGACGCCCCGUUAUCCCAAUCUCCUUCGGCAUGGUGGACGUCCUAGAAGCACUCUGCGACUUUGGCUCUAGCGUCAACAUUAUACCCAGGGUACUCUAUGAAAAAUUCUUUACAUAUCCUAAACAACCAUGUGUUUGUAGUUUGCAGAUCAGGCAUUAAGUUUUACAAAAGGAAUAUUGAAGAACCUUUGCGUCUGAGUUGGUACCUUAUACGCCCUAGCAGACUUCUUGGUGAUAGAGACCGGUAAUGAUGAGAGAGAACCCAUCAUCUUAGGGAGGCCAUUCUUGAACACCUCGGGAGCUGUCAUCUAUGCCAGUGCUGCCAAGAUCAGUUUCUACAUCAAAGGGAGAAAGGAGACGUUUUUCUUCAAGAACAAGACUACACAAAUCCCAGAUCAAUCCUGACGUGAAUCAAGGAAGAGGACCAACAGGAGGAACAGGAACAAGCAAGUGUGGACCGAGUCAGCUAAGAUGGACACUACAGUUCAUGGAGGCCAAGAUCACCAACUUAAGUCACCGUUUUUGACCAAGAAGGACGACCUAGGAAUGCCAAGCAUCUACUGCUCCAUAAAUGGAUACAACUUCUACAAGACAACUUGUGACACCGGAUCGGGCGUCAACAUAAUGGCCGCAGUCACCUAUCGGCUCUUGUUCGGAACCAUGCCCCUAAAACCAAUAUACAUUGAGCUCCAGAUGGCAGAUCAGACGUUUCGAGAAGUUAAAGGAACAGUAACUGAUGUCCCAGUCAAAAUAGACGAUCAUUUUGUCUACACAGACUUUCAGGUUAUUGACAUGGGAGAAGAUGAGUAUGAUCCACCCAUCAUCCUUGGAAGACCGUUCCUCAGCACCGUUAAAGCAAUAAUCUACAUUGGAACCGGAGAAGUCCAUAUGCACUUCCCCUCAGAGAAGGUACGCCGUUAUUUUACUGACCCUAACUAUAUCGUUGAAGAAUCUAAGCAGGUAAGAAAACGACGCAACCGCAACCAGAGGAGGCAAAUCAUCAAGGACGGAUGGGCAGACUAUGAAGGAGAAGUUGUAAGGUCAGAAGACGUACAGUUUAAACAGAAUUAUCCAAAGGAGACCGUAGCACCGAGUCAGGUUUGGAAAGAGAAGAUAACCAUACAUGAGAAGGAGGCGCUGCCGGAAGUACCGACUCCGCCACCCAACGAAUCCCAGGACAAUUGAGAAAACAGAGAGUCCCGUUCGGAGGACUUAAAAACACCGAACGUCUUGCCAAGACGUAAACUUGGUAGUUAUCCUUUCCCUUCCAAUUAUUUUAGUUUACUUAGUUAAUCAUGUUCAUACUAUCCUAAAAAGAAAAUAAAAAUGUUAAAACAGUAAGCCCCAUGUGAGUAUACGAGUGGCAUAAAACCCCGUAAGUACAUUCACUGUGGUGGCAUAAAAAUAAAAUAAAUAUUUCUUUUCUGCUUUAUAAAAUAAAAAUAUAAAAAUAGGGAGUAACAUUUAUUGAGGAGUCUCAACAUGAUAAAGGCUAGAUAUUUAUGCUAUCACUUAAUCAGUUCCACAAGUUUUGUUGUCUAUUUGAGCUCCACAGAAUUUAAGAAUCAAGAAGACUAGCAGAUGGAGGACAUUCUAAUCGCUGUUAGAAUGCUGCUGACUUUCAAAUACACCUCUGCCACCUGCUAGCUACAUCAAAAGAAAUUACGACAAAAUUCAGCUUGGGGGAGAGCACCCCCAUUUAUCCCGAUAAGUAUUAGUAUCUAUCUAUCUAUAUACUUAUACUAUAUUAGUAUCUAUCUAUCUAUAUACUUAUACUAUAUUAAAAUAUAGAUAUACAUAACUAUGAAAAACCAAAUAAAGAUCUUGUGCUUAUAUAUAUAUAUCUUUUACUUAGUGAGUUUAAUAAAUAAAUAAAGUGGCUAUGCUAAUCUGAAUCUUAAUAAUAAAACUCUAGCAUGGAUAUGAUGAAUAGUUGCUCUGCCUAAUUUGCAAAUUUGAAGUUCUUUCUCAAGUUUAGACAUAACUGUUAUAAUUUAAAGCUUGCUCUAAACCUAAACUUUGUGGGAAGAAAACUUGAUCUGAAGUCUAAGUUGUUAACAGAUACGAUAUGGGAAGGUUGAGCUGCUGUUUAUCUGUUCCUAGAGAUGCUAGAAUUCUGGAGAAUUUUAUCUUUGAAAAUCUUUUAAAUGUUGCAUGAUGAGUUCCUGUAUGAUGAGAGUUUAAAUUCCUACUACAGCCAUAUAUACAUGCUUGCUAGACUUUGAGCCACACAUUUACUAUUUACUGCUUAUGAGCAUUGAGUGUGGUCAAGCUGUGUAGACCUUUAUGAGCUUGUCAUGUGGUUAAAUCAAGAUUCACUUGCACGUUCACUCAUAUAUGCUACUUCUACUCCAGAAGUACCAUCCACAUAUAUCCACCCAUUUCCAUCUCCGGAAUCACCCAAAAAUAUUCUACUCCUAAUCCGGGAGAGAAUAGCCAAAAAUAUCUCUAUUUUUUUCUGUGAAAUAAAUGCUCAAGUUAUCUUAUUACUACCACUUGCUAUAUUAUCUCAAGAGAUGAGUGCUCUAAAAAAAAGAGAAAAAAAGGAUACGAGGAAAUAAAAAGGGGCAAGUGCCCGGAACCUCGAAAGAAAAAAAAAGAGUGAGAUGAGAGGUAAAAAUGGACAAGUGUCCGACAGUAGAAAUAGGGGUACAAGAUACCCACCUGAGAGAAAAGAAAAAUAAGAGCAUCUCAUUCUCCCCAUAAAAUUUUAGAAAGCAAGAAAGGUAUGUAUCCCCUCAAAGAGCAAAAGUAGAAUUAGACUUUCACCAUUGUUAUCACCAUCAUCACCAUACACCAUUCAUUCGCCACACAUGCACAUCUUGAUUUGACUUAUUGAUUUGUUUCUUUGGAUCCAUGGUUUGACUAUACAAUAAAUGUCUUGUAAGUAUGUAUACUUUAUCUCCCACCUAUGAGCUCCAGAUAUAAAAGCCUUAUUAGAGUAGGGUGAGAGAGAAGGCAAUGUCACUAUGCCUCAUACCAUAAAUACCACAUAUCUUGAGAGAAGGCAUAUACCAUCACUGCCUUGGUAAGGAUCCAGAAAUACCAUAAAAAAGAGAUCUAAGAGAAUCAUACAAGGAAUCUCUGAGUUUUAUUUGAAAAUCUGCAAAAACACCAGAGCUAUAGCUGAUCAAGAAUAAGAGACAUGGCACUUGACUAGACUGUUCUAUCUUUUAACUACUCAAGACAGAAGUGACGGUUACAAGUCCCAUGGUGAAGGUAAAGUAAGUAAAUUUUAAGUCUUGCCAGUUUACUCUAACUCAGAGAUGAGACUUUAUUUAAAAAGCAUGUGUACCGUCAAUUUUUAAGUAUUGCAGCAACUUCUAAUCUAUCCUUGCUCACGAACAAGCAAGAGGUAAGCUUGGGGGAGUUUGUUGACGGUCCUUAAGUAUCAAAUUUAAUUAUCAAAUAAAUAAAGAAAAAGAUCCAAAUGAAAUCAACAUCUAGACUUAGGGUUUUAUCUGACAGAAUUCCAUGAGUUUGGUGUUUGUCUAUUUCUGCAGGGGGUAUCAGAAAAUACGGAAGAAAGGCCCACACGUCGGGAUUACAUAGAGAUAUCAACGUGCCGCGUAAUUAUCUUACAUCUAGAAGACUCCAGAAGCCACGGGAAGGAAGCGGAGGCCGAACGGGGCCAGGACCUGGGCGCCCGCCUAGUUGCCCUGGGCGGCCGCCCACCUCUGGAGUCCAAUCAGGACUCUGUUUCGGGGGAGAUCUCCACCGACCUAAAGGAUCAAGGAUAACCGUUCAAUCAAUGUCGGUUUGAUCCAAUGGCCCAUAUUCACUUGAAGGGACUAUAAAACCAGACCCCCUGGCCCCUGGAGGAGAGAGCCUCUCAACCCUAAUUCAUUAUUCUGAAGGGAGAAGAAGCCUCUAAUCAAGAUUAGAGCCACCACAUCAAUUAGACAUCUAGAUUAGCAUAGCUACAUAGGAUUAGAACUAGAAGGAGUCAAUCUUCGAUUGGUUUCCGGAUCUGUCAAGAGGAUUCUUGGUAUUUCUCUAAUUGUGCUUCUAAUUGUUCUUCUAAUCAUUUUUGUUCUUCAAUAUUAUGAAUAUGACUUUAUUCUACUUCAAUAUAUUGCUUAUGACUUUGCUCUACUUGUUUAUAUUCAAGAUUAUAUUGUUCUUAGUUUAUCAUAGUUAUGUACUUGGCUUAGUUAGAUUGGAUCUAUAUACAUGCUUAGGAUCGUAUAGCGUUUAUCCAUCGGAUCCCUGGGUAAAUGAUAAAUAUUGUGCUGGCGUGGUGCUUAUACUGUAUUUAUCUGCGAUUGUACCCAAUAUGCCAGAUCGUGGGGUAGUUCGUGAUAGUGACAGCUUCAUUGAUUCUAAUAUAGUCCCCCUCUCGUGUAUUGGGUUGGCAGAGCAAUAUUAUUACAGGGGAGUGAUUGCUAUGUUUCUCAUUUACCUUGCUAAUAUCACUAUGCAUGGGCCUAGUCUUGUCUCGCAAUGAUUGCUAAGUAUGCUUGCACUAACUAUGAUAAUGCUAGACUAUAUAGUUGAGAAUAACUUAGGAAAUAUUCUUGUAGUUCGUUCUAAUAACAUGCUAAUGACUUUCUAGAGUAUCUAAUUGAGGUGCUUGUUGACGGUCCUUAAGUAUCAAAUUUAAUUAUCAAAUAAAUAAAGAAAAGGAUCCAAAUGAAAUCAACAUCCAGACUUAGGGUUUUAUCUGACAGAAUUCCACGAGUUUUGGUGUUUGUCUAUUUCUGCAGGGGGUUAUCAGGAAAUACGGAAGAAAGGCCCACACGUCGGGAUUACAUAGAGAUAUUAACGUGCCGUGCAAUUAUCUUACAUCUAGAAGACUCCAGAAGCCACGGGAAGCAAGCGGAGAACGAACGGGGCCAGAGGCAGGGCGCCCGCCCUCUGUUGGAGUCCAAUCACGACUCUGUUUCGUGGAAGAUCUCCACCGACCUAAAGGAUCAAGGAUAACCGUUCAAUCUAAGUCGGUUUGAUCCAACGGCCCAUAUUCACUUGAAGGGACUAUAAAACCAGACCCCCUGGCCCCUGGAGGAGAGAGCCUCUCAACCCUAAUUCAUUGUUCUUCAAGGGAGAAGACGCCUCUGAUCAAGAUUAGAGCCACCACAUCAAUUAGAUAUCUAGAUUAGCAUAGCUACAUAGGAUUAGAACUAGAAGGAGUCAAUCUUCGAUUGGUUUCCAGAUCUGUCAAGAGGAUUCUUGGUAAUUCUCUAAUUGUGCUUCUAAUUGCUUUCUAAUUAUCUUUGUUCUUCAAUAUUAUGAAUAUGACUUUGUUCUACUUCAAUAUAUUGUGUAUGACUUUGCUCUACUUGUUUAUAUUCAAGAUUAUAUUGUUCUUAGUUUAUCAUAGUUAUGUACUUGGCUUAGUUAGAUUGGAUCUAUAUACAUGCUUAGGAUCGUAUAGCGUUUAUCCAUCGGAUCCAUGUGAUAGAUAUUGUGUAGGCAUGGUGCUUAUAUCGUAUUUAUCUGCGAUUGUACCCAAUAUGCCAGAUCGUGGGGUAGUUCGUGAUAGUGACAACUUCAUUGAUUCUUAUAUAGUCCCCCUCUCGUGUAUUGGGCUGGCAGAGCAAUAUUAUUAGAGGGGAGUGAUUGCUAUGUUUCUCAUUUACCUUGCUAAUAUCACUAUGCAUGGGCGUAGUCUUGUCUCGCAAUGAUUGCUAAGUAUGCUUGCACUAACUAUGACAACGCUAGACUAUAUAGUUGAGAAUAACUUAGGAAAUAUUCUUAUAGUUCGUUCUAAUACCAUGCUAAUGACUUUCUAGAGUAUCUAAUUGAGGUGCUUAUCAUAUUUAUUAUGUGGCUAAGUUAUGAUCAGAUUAAUUAUCUUUGUCACUAUUCAUUAUUUCAUAUAUCCUUUAUGUGACACUUACCCCUGUAUGAAAGAGUUAGAUAAAUGUUCUCAAUUAUACAUGCAAUGAUAGAUGCUCAAUCUCAUAUUCUAUUCUGUAAUCAAUAUUGAUGAUUGCUAAUCCCUUCCUAGUGGUAAAAAUAUAAAUAACGAUACCUGGAAUACUUCCCAGUUAAAAUGCUACAUCGGUAUUAAUCUGUGCGCUUGUAGAUCUCAUUCAUUAUUUAUUUAGAAGAGCAAUUGCAUAUUUCAAUACCGCAUCUCUCAUAUCAUGCUGGGGAUGACAACUUGGCUUAAGUGGUAUGAGGGAUAGGUUUGGCAUUUUUGGCACCGUUACUAGAAUUAGAAAACUAAGUCUACUUUUGGUAGUGAUGUUAAGAAUACCCAACAAGCAUUUUUGGCGCCGUUGCGGGGGAAGGUUGAUUACUAAUCAGGAAUGGAAUAAAGGAUUUUGAGUCAUCAUUUGCUUCACUAAUAUGAUUGAGCUUAUCUAUUCCCUCAUACAGUUUUACCCCGAUAUUUUUCUAUUUUAUCUUAUGCAGGGGAAUGUAUGAAUAGAAGGCAUCUUCCAGGAAAUUUUGUUGACAAUCCCGAAGCGUUAUUCAGAAGAACUAGAGCCAAGCUCAAGAAGAGAUCAUCAACACUUCAGCAAGAAGUUUCAUCCAAUCAAGAAGAUCACCGGAACUUGUCUUCAGAGUUCGAAGCCAUGGCGAACAAAUCAAUCCGCGAGUUCUCAGCUCCCACUACGGACAACAUCGGCACUGGACCUGCUGCAGAGAUCGAUGGCAACUUUGAGAUCAAGGCUGGACUUAUCAACAUGGUGCAAUCCAACCAGUUCUGUGGGAAGGCACACGAAGAUGCUAGUGCUCAUCUCCAACACUUCCUGGAGAUUUGCAACACAUUCACCAUAUCAGGAGUUCCCAGAGAUGCUAUACUACUUCGCCUCUUCCCAUUCUCACUGUUAGGGAGAGCGAAGCAGUGGUUCUACGCUACAAAGGAGAAGAAUACUACGUGGGCACUCUGCUCAACAGACUUCCUGGCUAAGUUCUUUCCCAUGGGCAAGACCAAUGCUCUCCGUGGGAAGAUUACAAGUUUUCAGCAACAAAAUGAUGAAUCUGUUCUAGAAGCAUGGGAGUGCUUCCAAGACUACAUCCUAGAAUGUCCCCAUCAUGGAAUGGAGAGUUGGCUAUUGAUGCAGACGUUUUAUCAUGGGCUCGGCAAUUGUGCCCGAGAGACCAUGGAUGCUGCAGCUGGAGGAGCAUUCUUAUCACUUACUAUACCACAAGCCAUAGCUCUUGUGGAGAAGAUGGCAUCCAACCAAAGCUGGAAUGAAGAGAGGACUCAGACACGCAAGAGAGGUGGAGGUAGACAUGCUGUCUGCAAAGCUAGACCUACUCAUGAAGAAGCUCGACGAUAGAGCUGGAGAUAAGAAGGAAGUUAUGCACAUCUACGACUCUCACAUGACUUGUGAGGAGUGUGGAGAUACUGGACACUCAGGCAACCACUGCCCUGAGAUACUUGAGGAUGUGAACUACAUCAACAACAACAACAACAACUACUACAACCGUCCUCAACAAAAUCAAGGUUGGAAUCAGCAGAGGCCUAACUACUCAGGUAAUUAUCAAGGUAACAGUUCUUACAACAAUAAUAAUAAUUUUCCACCUCUGAGAGAGUUAGUGUCUAAUCAAGGAAAGCUAAUGGAUAAUCUAUCUAAGAAAUUGGCAUCAAAUGAUAAAAUGCUAGAAAAUAUAAAUAAUAGAAUGGAUAAUUUCUGUACUGCCACCAAGAAUCAAAUUAGCUUUAAUAAAAUGAUUGAAUCUCAGUUAAAUCAAAUAGCUGUUGUUGUUCCUACUACUAACCCCGGUAUACCAUCACAACCGGAAGGAUUAGAAUCGGAAAAUCUUGUAGACAUGUUUGAUGCGGGUAAUAACUGGAGUAACCGAGUCACUGAAUUCACUAGUGACCUUCUGCUGGUCAAGAGAGGCGAUCCAGGAUGCCCCGUCAUCCCGAUCUCCAUCGGCAUGGUGGACGUCCCAGAAGCACUCUGCGACUUUGGCUCCAGCGUCAACAUUAUGCCCAGGGUACUCUAUGAAAAAUUCUUUACAUAUCCUUUAUUAGAAACAACCGUGUGUUUGCAGUUUGCAGAUCAGACAAUAUGUUUUCUAAAAGGAAUAUUGAAGAACCUUUGUGUCCGAGUUGGUACCUUGUAUGCCCCAGCAGACUUCGUAGUGGUAGAGACCGGAAAUUAUGAGAGGGCACCCAUCAUCUUAGGGAGGCCAUUCUUAAACACCACGGGAGCUAUCAUCUACGCUAGCACUACCAAGAUCAGUUUCUACAUCAAAGGGAGGAAGGAGACAUUCUUCUUCAAGAACAAGACUACACAAAUCCCAGAUCAAUCCAGACGUCAAUCAAGGAAGAGGACCAACAGGAGGAACAGGAACAAGCAAGUGUGGACCGAGUCAGCUAAGAUGGUCACUGCAAUUCAUGGAGGCCAAGAUCAUCAACUUAAGUCACCGUUUUUGACCAAGAAGGACGACCCAGGAAUGCCAAGCAUCUACUGCUCCAUAAAUGGAUACAACUUCUACAAGACGUUUUGCGACACCGGAUCGGGCGUCAACAUAAUGGCCGCAGUCACCUAUCGGCUCUUGUUCGGAACCAUGCCACUAAGACCAACAUACAUUCAGCUUCAGAUGGCAUAUCAGACAUUCCGAGAAGUUAAAGGAACAAUAACUGAUGUCCCAGUCAAAAUAGACGAUCAUUUUGUCUACACAGACUUUUAGGUUAUUGACAUGGGAGAAGACGAAUACGAUCCACCCAUCAUCCUUGGAAGACCAUUCCUCAGCACCGUUAAAGCAAUCAUCUACAUUGGAAUCGGAGAAGUCCAUAUGCACUUUCCCUCAGAGAAGGUACGCCGUUAUUUUAUUGACCCUAACUAUAUCGUUGAAGAAUCUAAGCAGGUAAGAAAACGACGCAACCGCAACCAGAGGAGGCAAAUCAUCAAGGAUGGAUGGGCAGACUAUGAAGGAGAAGUGGUAAGGUCAGAAGACGUAGAGUUUAAACAGAAUUAUCCAGAGGAGACCGAAGCAUCGAGUCAGGUAUGGAAAGAGAAGAUAACUAUACAUGAAGACAAGGCGCCGCCGGAAGUACCGACUACGCCAACCAAUGAAUCCGACGUCAAUUGAGAAAGAGAAGAGUCCCGUUCGGAGGACUUAAAAACACCGAACACCUUGCCAAGAGGUAAACUUGGUAGUUAUCUUUUUCCCUUUCAAUUAUUUCAAAUAGUUUGCUUAGUUAAUCAUGUUCACACUAUCCUAAAAAGAAAAUAAAAAUGUGAAAAACAGUAAGCCCCAUGUGAGUAUACAAGUGGCAUAAAACCCAUAAGUACAUUCACUGUGGUGGCAUAAAAAUAAAAUAAAUAUUUUUCUGCUUUAUAAAAAUGAAAAUAUAAAAACAGGGAGUAAUGAUUAUUAAGGAGUCUCAACAUGAUAAAGGCUAGAUAUUUACGCUAACACUUAAUCAGUUCCACAAGCUUUGUUGUCUAUUUGAGCUCCACAGAAUUUAAGAAUCAAGAAGACUAGCAGACGGAGGACAUUCUAAUUGCUGUCAGAUGCUGCUGACUUUCAAAUACACCUUUGCCACCUGCUAGCUACAUCGAGAGAAAUUACGUCAAAAUUCAGCUUGGGGGAGAGCACCCCCAUUUAUCCUGAUAAGUAUUUCUAUCUAUCUUUAUACUUAUAUUAUAUUAGAAUAUAAAUAUACAUAACUAUGAAAAACCAAAUAAAGAUUUUAUGCUUAUAUAUAUAUAUCUUCUGCUUAGUGUGUUCAAUAAAUAAAUAAAGUGGCUAUGCUAAUCUGUAUCUAAAUAAAACUCUAGCAUGGAUAUUGUUGACACCAUUUUUGGACACGUGUCCAGGAUAGCAGGAUAAGGUGGCAGUACGAUGCGGGUUGCUGAUAAGGAUGGUUGCCGAUGAGGGAAAGGUUGAAUGUGACUAAGUCCUCAAGCAGUAAUACGGUGCCGAUGACCAAGUAAAAAGGUCUGCCGAUGACUAUGGCAAGGGGAUUGCCGAUGACGCGAAGGAGGAGUCCGGAAGCUGCCAGUUGUCAUGUGGAGGAGUUUUGGUUUGUUACGAAGGGUGGUUUUAUUAUUUCCUUAGUUAUUCGCAUCGUUUUGUAUACGGGUUCCGUGUAAAUUGGAAUUCGAAUUCUAAUCGUGUCUGGUCUUAGCUCUUUGAGCAGGGUAUAAAUAUAAGCCCUAGGACCUUGUAAUAAGACAUCAAUCAAUCAAUCAAACACACGUUUUUACUCAUAUUCCAGCAUUUACUUUUCGACGACUUCGUCAUACGUUUUCUUUUUGUUACGAGUUCUUAGGAAUUCGUCGACUCAAGCUCGGCGUAUCCUCAAGUUCCGCGUGAGUACCUCUUAGCCGUGACAUCCGGGCGCAUCGCUGUUGUCAGGACUAAAGUAUUCGAGUUAUCACCUUUGCCGAUAGUAAGGUCAAAUCGGCUGGCACGCCUUAACGUUUGGAUCGGGUAUUAGCCCUUUGUGUUUGCAGAUUAGUUUUUGCAUCAACACAUCUUUUGGCACGCCCAGUGGGACCGAUUCAAGAUCAAGAUCAGCAUGUCGAUCUCUGAUCUCGAUCAAGACAACGUCAUCCCCGUGACGGAAGCCAACCUCAAGGAUGAGCAGAAGCAAGCUAUUGCCCAAGCUAUGGAAGAGUUCAAGCAGCAAUGCCUGAAGUCUUUCAGCAUAAACAGGAGCGGCGAAGUGGUCCAGAAAGAUGCACUGCCGGCACCACGGCAGGUCACUUUUGACGCCAAUCCUGGCAAGCUUCAAGACAUGGUUGACAAUGCCAUCAAUCGAGCGCUGAUCAACCAAGCUGGUGUACUGUCUAAUACGGUUUUCAACGCCGUGGCAAGAACCUUCAAGGAAGGACAAAUCCCGCCGGAUUAUGUGGGCCCUUCCCAUCAUCAACCCAUGGCACCAGAGGUUACGGCUCCAUCGGCUGCCUUGACGAGUGCAAGUGCACAGUCUGCCGUCCCUCCAAGUACAUUGGGAACUACUGGCGCACUAUCUAUGCCGAUGGCAACCAACCCACAAAUUUCAGUUGGGCAGCAUAAACUGACAACAGAUAUGUUGGCAUCGGCAAUGUCGGGAUUAACUCUUCCUCCCAACUGGUGGGGUUAUGGUAUGCCUCCAGAGUUGACGCCAGGAACAUCACAGGUAACUGACAUGAGGGGCAAAACUCCUAUGACAUCGGCACCUUCCAAUGUGCCGGUGAACCAGAGUCCUCGGUAUACCACAACUACUACUGCAAGGCCUCACACUGGAAAUCCUCAAGAUUCAAUGUUCCAGAUGCCCAACGCAUCGGCAGAGUCAAUGCUGAUGCAACAGAGGCCUAUGGCCCAGUCGGGGUAUGUCAAUUCAACGACGAUACCCAAUCACCAAUCAUCGGCAGCACCUAUGCCGAUGAACGCUAAUAAUGGAUGGCUUGGACAGCAAGCCUUUCCACAGUCGCCCCAGCAGGGUUAUCAGACUACGGGGUUCCAGCAAGGGCAGGUUUAUCCCGGGUUCCAAGGUCAGGGAAUUCCCAACCAGCCCAUAAAUUUUGGACAGCAACUCGGAGGACAGCCAAUCGGUGGACAACAGUUUGGUAGUCCGCAGAUUGGAGGACAGGUGACCAAUACGAUGUUCCAUACAGGUCACAUCCCAAACAGACACGUGGAGGUUCGCCACCAAGUGCCGGAUCUGCAGCCGCCUCAUCGGCAAGAUGCCGAUGCUUAUUGGGCCGAUAAGAUUGCUGAAGUAAUGAGGGAACAAUUUGGGAUAAAACCCAAAGUCAACACUUAUUCUUAUCGGACACCGUAUCCUCCAGCGUAUGAUUUGAUCCCGCUUCCACAUCGGUAGAAGGUACCAGAUUUUACAAAGUUUUCCGGACAGGACGACACGUCAACCAUGGAGCAUGUCAACAGGUUCAUUAUUCAAUGUGGAGAGGCUGGUAACAGGGACGAAUUAAGGGUUCGUCUAUUUUCGUCAUCACUUUCUGGAUCGGCCUUUACUUGGUUCAUAUCGUUACCUCCCAACUCAGUAAUUACUUGGGCCGAUCUAGAGAAGCAAUUCCACAGAUACUUCUUCUCGGGGGUUCAUGAGAAGAAGAUCACCGACUUGGUUAAGUUGAGGCAACGUAAUGACGAGUCGGUUGAGGGAUUUGUGCAGAGGGUACGAGAGGUCAAGAAUAAAUGCUAUAGCCUGGUUCUGGAUGAUCGGCAGCUAGCCGAUUUGGCUUUCCAGGGUUUGUUGCCACAUAUCAGGGAUAAGUAUGCAUCUCAAGAGUUCGAGAGUUUAAGUCAUUUGGUGCAGAGAAUAUCUGAUCAAGACAUCCAGCCUUUCGAGCCUAAGAGGGCAUGGAAUAAGAAAGUGUCAUUUGUUGACGAAGCAACAAGCUCAGAUUCCGACGAGGAACCAGUAAUCGGUUUGGCAGAGUGGGUAAAAAACAAGAAGCCGAUGUCUUGUCCUUUUGGGCAGAAAGAACCAGAGAAGUUCGCCUUUGACACCGCCAAGGCCGAUAGGAUAUUUGACUUUCUGCUUCAGGAAGGUCAAAUCAAACUGUCACCUAACCAUGUGAUCCCGUCGGCAGAAGAGUUGAAGAGGAUGAGAUAUUGCAAGUGGCAUAAUGCAACUUCACAUGACACCAACGAGUGCAAAGUAUUCAGACAACAGCUGCAAUCGGCUAUAGAGUCGGGGAGGAUCAAGUUUGACAGUUCUAAGGCCCAGAAGCCGAUGAAGAUAGACCAACAUCCUUUCCCGACAAACAUGUUGGAUGCUAAGGGGAAGGCUAAGGUCUUAACAUCGAAGACAGCUGAGAAGAGUGCAUCGGUAGAUCCUCAGCAUCAAGUUACUACCGCCGAUGCAAGAAGUAAGGGCUUGGUCCAGGAAGGAGCUAGCUCAGGAAGACUUCCUCGGUCUGGUAUUGUCAUAACUCAUAGAAGGCCUCGAGAGAGAUGGCAACAACGGGAAGAUCGAUAUCGGCGCCAGCAGGAGGAUUAUCAACGGGAAGAAGAAAGACGCCGACAGGAGUGGAAUCGGCACAGGGAUCAUUGGAAUUGCCCAUUCUUCAUCCAUUGUUGGGAGGAAAAUAUCAAGCUUCCUACUGUCAGAGACUGCCCUGAAUGCAACGGUUAUGAUCGGUACGAUAGGAACGAUCGGCGUUAUCAUGAUGAUGAACGGCGAUUUAAUGGGCCAAUCAGAGGAAGAGCGUCAGUUCAUGAUCGGCUGGGGGGCAGGCUUAGUGUUCGCGAUCGGCUCGGUGACCGUGUCCAGUAUUUUCCCAGGAACCAGGAAGAGCUUGAGGAAAUGGCUAAUGCGCGAGUUCCCGAUGAGUUCAUAUUUUGCAGAGAUGCUAACACACAUCGUAUGGAGUCAAGGGAGAACCGACGCCCGGCAGUAAGGCAAAGGCCACUUCCUCCAUGGUGCCCUCAAGGAUUAACCAAGACACAGAAAAGGAGGUUGCAACGAGAAAGGCAAGAGGAGUUAAAUAAAGGAGAGAGUUCUGAAAGUCGGCAGCCGGCAGACACUAAGAAGGAAGGUCCAUCGGCAGGCGUCAACAUGGUAUUCAUGUUGCCGAUAGAGUUUCUCGCACCGGCCAGUAACGAUGAGUUGGGAUUUUCUGAUCAGAUAGCUCAGUUGGCUCUGGAUCCGAUGACGGCUAUCUUUGAGAAACCUGCCGAUAACGAGAGGCAGCAUCUUAAAGCUUUGUUCCUCAAAGGAAGGGUUGAUGGGCAGCCAAUGACUAAGAUCCUAGUUGAUGGUGGAGCUGCUAUUAAUAUUAUGCCGUAUGCAGUGUAUCGGAAGCUUGGGAAAGGGGAUCAGGAUUUGACCAAGACCGAUAUGAUGCUCAAAGACUUUGAGGGAAACGUGUCUCCGGUCAAGGGGGCGAUAUGUGCGGAGUUGACCAUCGGCAGCAAAACCUUGCCGACAACUUUUUUCGUGAUCAGCGGAAAAGGUGCCUACAAUUUAUUAUUGGGGAGAGAUUGGAUUCAUGCCAAUUGUUGUGUCUCAUCUACAAUGCAUCAGUGCUUGGUUCAGUGGGUAGGUGACAAGAUUGAGAUCGUCCCAGGGGAUUCUUCUUAUGUUAUCGCAUCGGCAGAAGCGGAUACUUAUGAAAAGACUAGGUGCAUUUCAGGAGAAGUUUGGGAGAAAGAUUUUCUCAAAGUUGCCGAUUAUGAGAUUCCACCGAUCCAAGCAGUCGGUUCUGACGACGGUUUUUAAUGGAUAGAUUCGCCGAUGAUGGAAAAUUAGGCCAGGGAUUCACAUCGGCCGAUGAUUUGGUAGAAGUAGAUAUAGGUAGUGGUGAUAAGCCUAGGCCUACUUUUAUUAGUGCUAAACUAGAUCCUGAGUGUAAACGGCAAUUAACUAGUUUGUUAAAGGAAUAUAAAGAUUGCUUUGCUUGGGAUUAUACAGAGAUGCCUGGUUUAGACCGAUCAAUUGUUGAACAUCGGUUACCCAUUAAGUCUGGAUUUCGGCCACAUCAGCAACCAGCCCGCCGAUGUAAUCCUAACAUUCUACCUGAUAUUAAGGCCGAAAUCACUAAACUUAUUGAAGCUAAGUUUAUUCGGCAGUGUCGGUAUGCCGAAUGGAUUUCCAAUGUCGUCCCGGUUUACAAGAAGAACGGGAAGCUUCGGGUGUGCAUUGAUUUCAGGAAUCUCAAUAAAGCUACGCCGAUGGAUGGAUACCCAAUGCCUGUCGCCGAUCUACUGGUUGAUGCUGCGGCUGGCCAUCGGGUCAUCAGCUUCAUGGAUGGUAAUGCGGGUUACAAUCAAAUAUUCAUGGCAGAAGAGGAUAUUCCAAAAACCGCAUUCAGGUGUCCUGGUCAUGUUGGACUAUUUGAAUGGAUAGUCAUGACUUUUGGGUUAAGGAAUGUCGGUGCUACUUAUCAAAGGGCUAUGAAUUUUAUAUUUCAUGAGUUCAUCGGCAAGAUCGUAGAAAUUUAUAUUGAUGAUGUGGUGGUCAAGUCUGGAGAUUUCUCAAAGCAUCUUGCCGAUUUACGAAGAGUGUUGGAGUGCACAAGGAAGCAUGGAUUGAAGAUGAAUCCCAACAAGUGUGCAUUUGGUGUAUCGGCAGGGCAGUUUCUUGGUUUCAUGGUACAUCAGAGGGGUAUUGAAAUUAGUCGGAGAUCUAUUGAUGCCAUCAAUAAAAUAGUGGCCCCUACCAAUAAAACCGAGCUCCAAUCUUUGAUCGGCAAAGUGAAUUUUAUCAGAAGAUUUAUAUCAAAUUUAUCUGGGAGAAUUCGUGCUUUCAGUCCUCUUCUAAAAUUGAGAGCCGAUCAGGAGUUUGUUUGGGGAGAAGAACAGCAGUUGGCUCUAGAUGAAAUCAAAAAGUAUCUAGUAAACCCUCCAGUUUUAGUUCCACCUCAACAAGGGAAACCCUUCAAAUUAUACUUAUCUACCGAUGGAUCGGUUAUCGGCUCAGCUUUGGUUCAGGAGUUUGAAGGGAAAGAGAGAGUAAUUUAUUAUUUGAGUAGGAGGUUGAUUGAUGCUGAAACCAGAUAUUCGGCCAUCGAGAAGCUGUGCUUAUGCUUAUAUUUUUCAUGUAUCAAGCUAAGACAUUACCUAUUGUCGGCCGAAUGUGCUGUUAUUUGCAAAGAUGACGUAAUCCGAUACAUGCUAUCUAUGCCAAUUAUGAGUGGAAGGAUCGGUAAAUGGAUUUUAGCGCUGUCGGAAUUCGAUUUGCGUUACGAAUCGGCUAAGGCGGUCAAAGGGCAGGUUAUGGCCGAUUUUGUGACUCAACAUUGCGGCCUAGUGGAAACCUUGGAAAUUGCACCCUGGACGCUCUUCUUUGAUGGAUCUACCUGUGAUCGGGGAGCAGGAAUCGGUAUUGUGUUAGUUUCUCCUAAGGGGAGGAAGUAUGAAUUUUCCUUACCGAUUGUUGCUACAUCAACAAAUAAUCAGGCUGAGUAUCAAGCUCUGAUCAAGGGAUUGGAGUUGUUAAGAGAAGUUCGUGCUGAUGCUGUUGAAGUAUUCGGGGAUUCCAUGUUGGUUAUAAAUCAAUUAGCCGGAAGCUAUGAAUGCCGAAGUGAAGUUCUCAUAACCUAUUUCGAGAAAAGUAUGCAACUGUUAAAGGAAUUCAAAAACUUCCGGUUGGAGCAUGUUCCCCGAUUGCAUAAUGAGGACGCUAAUCGGUUAGCCCAGCAUGCCUCAGGAUAUCAGCCAAUGAUUAAUGCAACAUCGGCAGUCAGUGCCGGUGACUGGAGGAAAGAGAUUGUCGACUAUCUAGAAGAUCCAUCUAAGAAAGUUGGAAGACGGGUUCGAUUUCAAGCGACCAAGUAUGUGCUCCUUGAAAAUGAAUUGUAUUAUCGAACUAUCGACGGAAUUCUUCUCCGAUGCUUGGGUGAUGAUGAAGCCAAAAGUUUAAUGGGGGAAAUCCAUGAAGGAGUAUGUGGAGCGCAUCAGUCAGCUUUCAAGAUGAAGUGGAUGAUUCGAAGGAAUGGAUAUUUUUGGCCAACCAUACUUGAAGAUUGUUUUAAAUAUUUCAAGGGUUGUCAAGGUUGUCAAAAGUUCGGUAAUAUCCAGAGAGCACCCGCAUCGGCUAUGAAUCCUAUAAUAAAACCUUGGCCGUUCCGGGGGUGGGCCAUCGAUCUGAUCGGCCAGAUUUAUCCACCAUCUAGCAAAGGGCAUAAGUUCAUUCUAGUUGCCACUGACUAUUUCACUAAGUGGGUCGAAGCUAUUCCCUUGAAGAAAGUCACAUCGGCCAAUAUGAUUGAUUUUGUGAAGGAGCAUAUUAUUUACCGAUUUGGGAUUCCCCAAACGAUUACUACCGAUCAGGGCACCAUGUUCACGUCAGGGGAGUUCGAUGAAUUCGCAAUCGGUAUGGGAAUUAAAGUGUUGAAUUCCUCUCCUUACUAUGCUCAAGCCAACGGGCAGGCCGAAGCGUCUAACAAAGGAAUUAUCAAGCUUAUUAAACGAAAGAUUGAAGAAAACCCUAGGCGGUGGCAUACAGUGUUAAAUGAAGCACUGUGGUCCUAUCGGAUGGCUUGCCAUGGAUCAACCAAGGUGUCGCCUUAUCAAUUGGUGUAUAGACAUGAUGCAGUAUUGCCUUGGGAGAUUAAGGCUGGAUCUAGGUGAUUAUCUUUUCAAGAUCAAUUGACUGCCGAUGAUUAUGCCACUUUGAUGACCGAUGAGUUAGAUGAUUUAGCAGGACAUCGGUUAAAGGCCUUAAUGAGUAUAGAAGAAAAUAAGAAGAGAGUUGCUAGAUGGUAUGAUAAAAAAGUAAAGACUAAGGAGUUUGCCGAUGGGGAUUUGGUAUGGAAGUUGAUUUUGCCAGUCGGGACUAAAAGUUCGAAGUUUGGGAAGUGGUCUCCUAAUUGGGAAGGUCCUUAUCGGAUAAGACACUCAGCUCCUGGUAAUGCCUAUAUUCUAGAAACUCUCGAAGGAGUUGAAUUUCCCAGAGCAUUAAAUGGCAAAUAUUUGAAGAAGUACUACCCCAGCAUAUGGAUCGACGCAUAAAAGUUUAAGUGCCGAUAACACUCCUAUCGACUGGAUUUAAAUGUUCGAGGGCAGACUUAAUGUUUCAAAAGAUGCCGAUAACAGUCUUAUCGGCUAGACUAAAAGCUGAAGGCGGAAAAACAAAGGUGUGUCGCCGAUGAAAGCUUCAGAUGCUCAACAGUGCUUGGAUUGCUGAUAUGGCGCGCAGCCGAAUCUGGUUGGCUGUCUCUAUCUCUUUGAUAUCAUCAUCGGCAGAACCUUCGAUCGGCUUCAGCUUCCUCUUCAGUUGCAGCGCUUUGCGACCAUGGACGUUUCGUUCUUGUUCAAGAUGCUUGAUGGUCUCCGGCAGUUGACUCUCUUCUUGCUGGGCUUGGGACAGAGCGUCUUCUACUUGCUUGAGUUCAGCCAGUAGAGCUUCUCUUUUUGCCGAUAGAUCAGACACUUUUUGCUUCAGUGCAUCACCUGAGGACUUUAAGGUGCCGAUGUUCUUAUGUUUCUCAUCGGCUAAGAGUUUUUCUUUCAUCAUCUCCUCAGAAAGCUGGAUUUGAGCAGCUCUAUCGGUAAGGCGUCGAGUAGCUCUCUGGUACUGUAACUGGCGGCUUUCUAGAUGUGCAGCAUGGAAGAGUGUUUCUUCAGCAUCGGCAGGAAUUUGGCCUCUAAGGGUCUUGAACAGGGCCUUGGCUGGGUCAGAAUCGUUGACCAGUUGAGUUGUGUCUUGAUGGAGUAUGGCCGAUAGCUCCUCCAGCUUAGCUCUGGCUUCUGCCGAUACAAUUCCAACUGCCCGAGAGGAGCUUGCUUCCUCGCCUUCUUCUUCGAAGAUAUCAACAGCAAAGGAGAACAAGCUGUUGGGAGAAUCUUGUUCCUGAAAAUAAAAAUGAAGUAGGUCAAUUUUAUGGUCAAAACUUCAGCAGACGAUACUGAUGGAAAAGUGGAUGACUUACUUGCUUCAAGGCGAUUUCUUGCCUUUGACUCAGAGGGGCCGAUGGAGCUGCAGGUUGAUCGGCAAAUGUUGCCGAUAGAGCGAUAUCGCCUGAAAGAAGAUAGGAAAGAUUAUAAGAAUAAAUGAGGAUAAGUUUAUCGGUAGGAGUAUUGUUGAGAUCUGUUACCCGGAGGAGAAACAACAGUUGCCUGAAUCGAGGAAACCGCCGAUGAUGUAACUGUACCUGCCGGGCCAGUUGUUUGUUCACCUACAUCAGCUGAUAUACCUGCCGUUUGAGGUUCUUCCUGCUGGGGUUCUUCCAUCUGUGGUGCUUCCUGUGUUGGUUGUGGAGAUAGUACUUGCUGUGCCUGGACGUCUGGGGAAGAAGGGGAAGAUUCCACCGGGAUUGGAAACACCGGAGGAGGAGGAGUUGCCACUUUCUGGCGCUUUGUUCCAGCCUUAGCACCGUGGAUGCCCUUCCUCUUUGGCUGGCUAGACUGGGGGGCAUCGGCGCCUUGGCGUUUGACUUUUGCCGAUGCACCAGUUUGCUGCAACAACAAAAAGGAGGUUAUGAGUACAGAUAGCCGAUACAAAGAUAAGUCAGCGUAAAUGAAAAAAGAGUUUUAACAGAUUGCCUUGAAAGCUUGUGCCAGAGUGGAAGCAGUUACCGGUGGUGAUGUCUGAGUUUUCCUGGUGGUAACUUUCUUGAGGCGCGCACCCCGGUGCACGAUGGAAGCCAGAGUGGGAGCAUUAUGGCCGAUUGAGGAGAUAGGGCCUGAUGGGAAUAAGUCGAUCGGCUUGCCACUCCUACUAACUGAUGGGGGGGUGUUGUCGAUCUGCAAAAGGAAUACAGGGGUAAGUUACCGAUGGGAGUGAUAUUGGAAAAUGAGACAUCGGUUUAAAAUACUUACAGUGUCGUCAGGGACUUCAUAUUCGGGGUCGAUCAUGCCGCGGUAUGAGAGGGCUGAUCUGCAGAACAGAUUCUCCUUCCAUUCUGCCCACCAUAGCUUGUAUGCCUGAGUGAUGAAGGCGGCUGGAACCCAUUCUGACAGAUCUACAUCCGUAUCGGCAUUUGGUGGUAGCUGGGCUACUCGAGUCCACUCGAGGAGGUUGGCGAUGGGCUCUCUGGGCUUUAUUACAUCGGCAUAAGGAAGUGCAAUCGGCAAUUGGCCGAAAGCUAGCUGGCGAGCUAAUGCCGAUGGAUUAUAAAAUUCAUAGGUUUGGGGAGAGGUUUUCGUGCUGCCGAAGAAAUUCACUGGUAUGGCUCUGGGGGUCACGAUUGUCAUCAUCACCUCAUUGUCCCUGUCAAGAGCUUCAUCAAACGGAUUGAAGGUCAGAGGGAGCAUGCUGUCUGGGUCGUCAUAAGCCAACCAUGGUCGUUCAUCUCUGGUCAGACCUUCAUACAGCGUCUCGAAGAAUCGGCCGAUCUGAUCCGGAGUGUUCCCUGAACCGGGUAAGACUAUAACAGCUUCGCCAAAGUUCAGGGGGGCACGUGUUGCCGAUUCCUCUUCACCCAACACAUGAUUCUCGGCUAUAUCUCUUGGGAAGUGCUGUGAGAACAAGUUGAGAUCAAGGCGCUUGUGCAGGUGCAGAUUGAGCCACAUAUUAAUAAACCACCAAGGACCUCCCAAGUUGCCGAUAGGUUGGCCAAGCAGGAGUUUCUGGACUACCUGAUGAAGAAGGUGAUAAACGGCACCGAGCAAAUAACGGCCGAGAGGAAAUUGGCCGCCGCUAGCCAGUCUUUCUGCUGCCGAUAGAUAGACAGAAGUCGGUCCUGCCGAUCGACCACAGAAUACAAACUUGUCUAGCCACAUGUUCAGAAAGGUGGUUUGCUCCUUUAUGGUGACAGGCCCUCUCCCGCGGUACUUCUGGAUGUACCCUGACCAACCGCCGAUAGCGCGAGUCUCCACUUUAGCACUGGGGGCGGUAUCAAAAAAAUGGGUGCUAUCGGCAGAAGAUAUAUCUAACCCAGUAAGCAUGGAUACAUCGGCAAGGGUAGGAGAAGCAGGGCCAUGGCCAAAAACAAAAGCGUUGAGAGUGUCUGACCAAAAGUAAGAUGCAGCUAUCAGCAAUGACUCGUUCCUGUGCAUAUCGGCAAUGGACAGCCUAAUGCAUUGAGCUAAUUUCCUCUCACCCCAUUGAACUUCAUAAGAGUUGCUGACCCUCAAGAACCAGUCUUUCCACCCUACGGUAGGGCUGGGCCAAGAGCGAAAGGUGUCUUUCCAUAGAUCUAAAGCAAAGUUUUCAACUCUAAAGGGAAUCCUGUUGGUUUCUGCAUUGAUAAGGUCGGUUGGAUCUGGAUCCCCUAGAGGGCCGAGGCAUUGAAGAUGUGGUUGAUCGGUAGGGAUGACAAUUUUGUUGGAUAACUCCUAGUGUUUUGAGGAAUAAAAAUACAAAGAAAAAGGAAAAGGAAAAUAUUCUGUAAGAAUGAAUCGCAGAUGAACAGGAAUGCAAGGAAAAAGUACAGCAGAUGGGAUGGAAGUUUGACCUCAGGGACGAUGAAGCCAACGGCCAUCUUGUCGUGAAGAGGACGCUGGAGGGCGCCGGAGUUGAUGAAGAAGAAUGCUUGUCGGAGAUCUUGGGGAUUGAGAAUGGCGCCGCCGCUGGAAAAGUGAAGUUGGAUGGCAGAAUGAUGCAAUGGGGGAGGAGUACCCAAGAAGGAACUAUUUAUAGGACAAGAUGGACAAGGGCAAAUCUGACUUAUUUCUUUGCCGCAUCCGAGAAGCCCGAGGGUACUCAAGUGGAUAUGGUAACUGUUCGCACGAUAAUCCAGGGAUUGUGCAGGUGAUUUGACAGGAAGCGGUCAUUAUCUAAAGAUAUUUUGCUGUGCGCGAUCUCCUGCUCGGUCCAUCGGUGAUAUUCUAUAACGGUCAUCCUACCGAUGGGCGGAUAGAGGGGAGGUAACCGUUUUUGCGAAUCUUCUGGGCAGAGCAUCGGCAGAUCUUUGUAACGGUAUUGUUGCCGAUGUACGAUUAAGAGAGAUGCCCGUUUAGGAAGUUGGGGAUUUCGAGGGAUCUGCGGAGGAUUAGGAUCAGAGUUGUCCAGAUUGAGGUUGUUAGUUACCAGAUUAGGAGCAUUAAUUGCGGAGAAGACAUCAUUACUGCAGAGAAUUUCGGAGCAUUAAUAGUUUUAUACUCCGAAACUGGGGGGCAUGUGUUGACACCAUUUUUGGACACGUGUCCAGGAUAGCAGGAUAAGGUGGCAGUACGAUGCGGGUUGCUGAUAAGGAUGGUUGCCGAUGAGGGAAAGGUUGAAUGUGACUAAGUCCUCAAGCAGUAAUACGGUGCCGAUGACCAAGUAGAAAGGUCUGCCGAUGACUAUGGCAAGGGGAUUGCCGAUGACGCGAAGGAGGAGUCCGGAAGCUGCCAGUUGUCAUGUGGAGGAGUUUUGGUUUGUUACGAAGGGUGGUUUUAUUAUUUCCUUAGUUAUUCGCAUCGUUUUGUAUACGGGUUCCGUGUAAAUUGGAAUUCGAAUUCUAAUCGUGUCUGGUCUUAGCUCUUUGAGCAGGGUAUAAAUAUAAGCCCUAGGACCUUGUAAUAAGACAUCAAUCAAUCAAUCAAACACAUGUUUUUACUCAUAUUCCAGCAUUUACUUUUCGACGACUUCGUCAUACGUUUUCUUUUUGUUACGAGUUCUUAGGAAUUCGUCGACUCAAGCUCGGCGUAUCCUCAAGUUCCGCGUGAGUACCUCUUAGCCGUGACAUCCGGGCGCAUCGCUGUUGUCAGGACUAAAGUAUUCGAGUUAUCACCUUUGCCGAUAGUAAGGUCAAAUCGGCUGGCACGCCUUAACGUUUGGAUCGGGUAUUAGCCCUUUGUGUUUGCAGAUUAGUUUUUGCAUCAACAGAUAUGAUGAAUAGUUGCUCUGCCUAAUUUGCACAUUUUAAGUUCUCUCUCAAGUUUAGAUAUAACUGUUAUAAUUUAAAGCUUCUAGACCUAAACUUGUGGGAUAAAAAUUUGAUAUGAAGUCUAAGUUGUUAAAGGAUACGAUAUGGGAAGGUUGAGCUGCUGUUUAUCUGUUCCUAGAUAUGCUAGAAUUCUGGAGAAUUUAUCUUUAAAAAUCUUUAAGCAUGAUGAGUUCCUGUAUGAUGAGAGUUUAAAUUCCUACCACAGCCAUAUAUACAUGCUUGCUAGACUUUGAGCCACAACAUUUACUAUUUACUGCUUAUGAGCAUUGAGUGUGGUCAAGCUGUGUAGACCCUUAGGAGCUUGUCAUGUGGUUAAAUCAAGAUUCACUUGCACGUUCACUCAUACAUGCUACUUCUACUCCGGAAGUACCAUCCACAUAUAUCCACUCAUUUCCAUCUCCAGAAUCACCCAAAAAUAUUCUACUCCUAAUCCAAGAGAGAAUAACCAAAAAUAUUUCUGUUUUUCCCUGUGAAAUAAAUGCUCAAGUUAUCUUGUUACUACCACUUGCUAUAUUAUCUCAAGAGAUGAGUGCUCUAAAAAAAGAGAAAAAAAGAUACGAGGAAAUAAAAAGGGGCAAGUGCCCGGAACCUCGAAAGAAAAGAAAAAAAAUGAGACGAGAGGUAAAAAUGGACAAAUGUCCGACAGUAGAAUUAGGGGUACAAGAUACCCACCUGAUAGGAAAGAAAAAGAAAAGAAAAUAAGAGCAUCUCAUUCUCCUCAUAAAGUUUCAGAAAGCAAGGAAGGUAUGUAUCCCCUCAAAGAGCAAAAGUAGAAUUAGAUUUUCACCAUUGUUACCACCAUCAUCACCAUACAUCAUUCAUUCGCCACACAUGCACAUCUUGAUUUGGCUUAUUGAUUUGUUUCUUUGGAUCCAUGGUUUGACUAUGCAAUAAAUGUCUUGUAAGUAUUUAUACUUUAUCUCCCACCUAUGAGCUCCAGAUAUUAAAGCCUUAUUAGAGUAGGGUGAGAGAUAAGACAAUGUCACUAUGCUUCAUACCACAAAUACCACAUAUUUUGAGAGAAGGCAUAUACCAUCACUGCUUUGGUAAGGAUCCAGAAAUACAACAAAAGACAGAUCUGAGAGAGUCAUACAAGGAAUCUCUGAGUUUUAUUUGAAAAUCUGCAAAAACUCCAGAGCUUGCUGAUCAAGAAUAAGAGACAUGGCACUUGGCUAGACUGUUCUAUCUUUUAACCACUCAAGAUGAAAGUGACGGUUACAAGUCCCAUGGUGAAAGGAAAAGUAAGUAAGUUUUAAGUCUUGACAGUUUACUCUAACUCAGAGAUAAGAUCUUAUUUAAAAGCAUUUGUACCGUCAAUUUUUUAAAGAUAUUGCAACAACUUAUGAUCCAUUGCUGAGUCUAUCCUUGCUCAGGGACGAGCAAGAGGUAAGCUUGGGGGAGUUUGUUGACGGUCCUUAAGUAUCAAAUUUAAUUAUCAAAUAAAUAAAGAAAAGGAUCCAAAUGAAAUCAACAUCUAGACUUAGGGUUUUAUCUGACAGAAUUCCAUGAGUUUUGGUAUUUGUCUAUUUCUACAGGGGGUUAUCAGGAAAUAUGGAAGAUAGGCCCACAUGUCGGGAUUACAUAGAGAUAUUAACGUGCAGCGCAAUUAUCUGACAUCUAGAAGACUCCAGAAGCCACGGGAAGCAAGCGGAGGCCGAACGGGGCCAGAGGCAGGGCGCCCGCCCUGUUUCCCUGGGUGCCCGCCCUCUGUUGGAGUCCAAUCAGGACUCUGUUUCAUGGGAGAUCUCCACCGACCUAAAGGAUCAAGGAUAACCGUUCAAUCUAAGUCGGUUUGAUCCAACGGCCCAUAUUCACUUGAAGGGACUAUAAAACCAGACCCCCUGGCCCCUGGAGGAGAGAGCCUCUCAACCCUAAUUCAUUGUUCUUCAAGGGAGAAGAAGCCUCUGAUCAAGAUUAGAGCCACCACAUCAAUUAAAUAUCUAGAUUAGCAUAGCUACAGAGGAUUAGAACUAGAAGGAGUGAAUCUUCGAUUGGUUUUCGGAUCUGUCAAGAGGAUUCUUGGUAAUUCUCUAAUUGUGCUUCUAAUUGCUUUCUAAUUAUCUUUGUUCUUCAAUAUUAUGAAUAUGACUUUGUUCUACUUCAAUAUAUUGCUUAUGACUUUGCUCUACUUGUUUAUAUUCAAGAUUAUAUUGUUCUUAGUUUAUCAUAGUUACGUACUUGGCUUAGUUAGAUUGGAUCUAUAUACAUGCUUAGGAUCGUAUAGCGUUUAUCCAUCGGAUCCAUGGGUAAAUGAUAGAUAUUGUGUAGGCGUGGUGCUUAUACCGUAUUUAUCUGCGAUUGUACCCAAUAUGCCAGAUUGUGGGGUAGUUCAUGAUAGUGACAGCUUCAUUGAUGCUUAUAUAGUCCCCCUCUCGUUUAUUGGGCUGGCAGAGCAAUAUUAUUACAGGGGAGUGAUUGCUAUGUUUCUCAUUUACCUUGCUAAUAUCACUAUGCAUGGGCGUAGUCUUGUCUCGCAAUGAUUGCUAAGUAUGCUUGCACUAACUAUGAUAAUGCUAGACUAUAUAGUUGAGAAUAACUUAGGAAAUAUUCUUAUAUUUCGUUCUAAUACCAUGCUAAUGACUUUCUAGAGUAUCUAAUUGAGGUGCUUAUCAUAUUUAUUAUGUGGCUAAGUUAUGAUCAGAUUAAUUAUCUUUGUCACUAUUCAUUAUUUCAUAUAUCCUUUAUGUGACACUUACCCCUGUAUGAAAGAGUUAGAUAAAUGUUCUCAAUUAUACAUGCAAUGAUAGAUGCUCAAUCUCAUAUUCUAUUCUGUAAUCAAUAUUGAUGAUUGCUAAUCCCUUCCUAGUGGUAAAAAUAUAAAUAACGAUACCUAGAAUACUUCCCGGUUAAAAUGCUACAUCGGUAUUAAUCUGUGCGCUUGCAGAUCCCAUUCAUUAUUAAUUUAGAAGAGCAAUUGCAUAUUUCAAUACCGCGUCUGUCAUAUCAUGCUGGGGAUGACAACUUGGCUUAAGUGGUAUGAGGGAUAGGUUUGGCAUUUUUGGCACCGUUACUAGAAUUAGAAAAUUAAGUCUACUUUUGGUAGUGAUGUUAAGAAUACCCAACAGUGCUUAUCAUAUUUAUAUGUGGCUGAUUAGAUCAAUUAUCUUUGUCACUCUUCAUUAUUUCAUAUAUCUUUUAUGUGACAUUUAUCCCUAUAUGAAAGAGUUAGAUAAAUGUUCUCAAUUAUACAUGCAAUGAUAGAUACUCAAUCUCAUAUUCUAUUCUGUAAUCAAUAUUGAUGAUUGUUAAUCCCUUCCCAGUGGUAAAAAUAUAAAUAACAAUACCUCGAAUACUUCCCGGUUAAAAUGCUACAUCGGUAUUAAUCUGUGCGCUUGCAGAUCCCAUUCAUUAUUUAUUUAGAAGAGCAAUUGCAUAUUUCAAUACCGCAUCUCUCAUGUCAUGCUGGGGAUGACAACUUGGCUUAAGUGGUAUGAGAGAUAGGUUUGGCAUUUUUGGCACCGUUACUAGGAUUAGAAAACUAAGUAUACUUUUGCUAAUGAUGUUAAGAAUACCCAACAUCUAUCACCACGAAGUCUGCUGGGGCGUACAAGGUACCAACUCGGACGCAGAGGUUCUUUAAUAUUCCCUUUGGGAAACUUAGUGUCUGAUCUGCAGGCAUGCCGAUGGAGAUCGGGAUGACGGUGCGUCCUGGAUUGCCUCUCUUGACUGGCAGAAGGUUAGUAAUUACUUCCACAACGGGGUUACUCCAGUAGUUACGUCCUCAAGCAUCUCAGGGCAGUGAUUGCCUAACCGUCCAGUAUCUCCAGUGUGUUUGUGCUUGUAGAUCUAGGUUCUUCACUUGGUGGAGUCUGGGAGUUGUAAAACUCCUUCAUAUGCUACUCGAAGUGUACCUGCUCAUAGAGACAAGGGCAGAGAUCAAGUGCAUGGGCUCUGUUGGUGGAAAACACCAACAGAACCAAAAGUGUAUUUGUUCUUCUCUAACCUUAAGCAUAGUGAGCAAGACAGAGUUGAUAGAUAAUAAGAUCAUGACUGUAGCAUUUAAAACAUUUGUCAGAUCAGAUCACUCAACCUAAUGGAAAGAUAAUCUAUCUAUACUUAUGUUUUUUUAUAUAUAUCUUCCAAAGAUUGAGUGUGCAACAUUUUAGCUCAUAAGAUUAGGAGUGUGGGAUCACAAAGGUGGAAGGACUAAACAGGUUGAAUCGAUUGGGUUGGUUAAUCUAGAGUUGUAAAUCAUACAUGUUUGUCUCUUUUAUUCAUGUGAACGCCAGAACCAAGGAGAAGCUUAUAGAAGUGAUAGUCAAGUACCUUAAGAUGUUACCUUACAUGAAGAGUGAUGGUACAAUAUCACCUUAUGGAAGCUUUCCUUUCUUAGCAGUUGUGCAUCAUGUUUGUGGCACCCUCCAUGGAUCAUCUCUUGUGAGCUAUGCCUUCCUUGUGUAAGUUGUUAACCUUCAUGUGUCUCUCUUUGUCUCCAAUGUGAGUUUAUCUCAGGACUUCCCAGGUCGAUAUUGAAUAUUUUCCUGCAAGGGUUAGUCCAACAAAAUAUCCAAUAUCUACUAUAGCAUACUAUCGGCUCAAAAAUCAACCUAGACACCAUGUCUAAUUUGAUUUAGGAGGGCAUCUUAACCUAAGCAUCAUGCUUAAAUUAAAAUCCCUUGGAACUAAGAUCAUCAUUCCUAAACUAAGCACCAUGCUUAAUUAAGAGAUAAAUGAAACUACUCCAAACCUAGUCAUAUACUAAAGCAAAUAAAGGUAGCACGGGAGCAUUUAUAGAAGUCUACUCAUGUGGAGAUGAAGUAGUGUGAUUAGUAUUUAACAAAUUGAGCAUGUCUCAAAGGUAGGGACAACCAAUAUAGAAACAUGGCAAAGGAUGAUUUUAUGUAAAGUUCUCCCUUAAGCUUGAAUUUUGCAAAAUUCAAGUUUGGAUGAAUUUAAUUCAAUGUUGUAUGAUGAUUGGUUGGACAUACCUUGUGCUUGUCAUUCAUCCGAUCUUCUUGCUCCAAUCCUGGAAAGGUUAGUGACAAGAAUACCCGAAGGAAUAUUUUCACAAUUAUCCUUAUAUGCUCAAUACACAAGGUAAUGCUGCAAAUAAUUAAAAGCUCAUGUUACGAUCUGAUAAGUGCUUGUUUUAGGACACUAAGCUUGUCCUUGGGAAACCAUCAAUUUAUGUCGGCAAAGUGGUUUCCCCUCCAACGCUGACCUAUAUCAAGAUCAACUCAACAAGAUCUACAAUAUUUAAUAUAGACAUAUGCAAUGACAACCGCCCUUUUAAAGUUUUUAUAAAAAGAAAGGAUGAGGGGGUUGGAGAUCUUGAAUGUGGUGAUGUUGGAAAAACCAAUGGAUUGGGAAGAUGUUGCAUAUGAGUGUGGAGUAAAUGAAGUGGCUAUGAAAUAAAUUCCAUGCUCAUUAAUGCUUAGAGUGAAAUCCAUGAGCAUACUCAAAUGAUAAGGUGAGUGUGGUAAAAAAGGAAAAGAAAAAGGAUACACGGACGACUUAGUUCAAAACUAGCACAGCUACCGUUCCCUGGCAACGGCGCCAGAAAUCUUGUUGGGUAUUUUAAACGCAAACAGAAAAAUCCGCAAGCGCACGGAUACCGAUGUAGCUUUCACCCGGGAGUAUUCCAGAGUAUUGAUUUUCCACAGGGAACGUGAGUGUACUAAUUAAGAUCCAAGAUCGCCCAAGGAUAACUAUAUAAUUAUUUUUGGUGGGAAGAGAGAAAGUUUCCUGAGAGUUCUCUAGUUGAUCUAAGAAUCAAGAAUUACUUCAAGAUUAUCUAUUUCGGGACAUCAGAACACUAACCACAGAAAUAGAUGAGAAGGGGGCUAGGAAGCUCUGACUACGGUCCUACAAACACCGAUCCGAACGAGGUGGAAUACGUCGACAGUUAGGGCUGUCACUACCCUAGGGCUACCACAACAAUCCGCAGGAUUAGGUGCAAUUCCAGGUAAUUGCAAGACUAAACACCACGUCUAAUCUAUUAAUUACUACUCUAGUGUUUCAAAGACUAGAGCACUUGAUGCAAGCGGGAAUCCAAUAAAUAACUUGAAUGUAAAUAAAGUAAUUAAAGAACUCAGGAAUUAUGAAUUGAAGAACCUAGAGAACGACGAAGAACGAACCAGUUGCUGCAAAAGUACAAUGUUGAGGAAGAUCCGACAGAUCCGGCUCGUCCUCCUCCGCUCUCCUCUUCUCUCUCUCUAUUUUCUAGAUUACAACUAGAACUAACUAGAACUAGAACUAGAGGAACUAGAACUAGAACUAGAUGCACUAGAACUAGAACUAGAUGAACUAGAGGUAGAACUAGAUGAACUAGAGGGAUCCUCUCUACUUGGAUGAAGAAUUGAAACCCUAACUUUGAUUCUGUAGAAGAGGUAUGAUCUCCAGGGGCCAGGGGACCUUGCUUAUAUAGUCUUUUCAGAUGAAUCUGGGCCGUCGGAUAAAACCGACAUUGAUUGCACGGUUUUCCUUGACCUUUAGGUCGGUGGAGGAUGAUCCCCGAGUUGUACCCUGAUUGGGCAGAAUAGGAGGGCGGGCGCCCUAAGGACUAGGUAGGGCGCCCUGUCCCUGAGCCCUCUCGGCUUCCACUUUGUUUUCGUGGCUUCUGGAGCCUUCUAGAUGAUAGAAAAUUGCGCAGCACGUUCAUAUCUCUAUGUAAACCCGACGUGUGGGCCUUUCUUCCGUAUUUCCUGAUAACCCCCUGUAGAAAUAGACAAACACCAAAACUCGUGGAAUUCUGUCAGAUAAAACCCUAAGUCUGGGUGUUAGUUGCAUUUGGAUCCUUUUUCAUGAUUAGUUGAUGGUUCAAUGUGAGCAUUAAGGACCGUCAACAAGCUCCCCCAAGCUUAACCUUUGCUCGUCCCUGAGCAAAGAUGGACUCAAGAGUUUCUGCAGUGGUUUCAUGCCUUAAAGAUACACAUGCGUUCAAACAAGAUCUCAUCUCUGGGUUAGGGUAAACUGUUAAGAUUUAAACUUACUCAUUUCACCUUCCACAGUGGGGCUUGCAACCAUCACUUGUGUCUUGAGCAGUUAAAAGAUAGAACGGUCUAGUCACGCGCCAUGUCUCUUGUUCUUUAAUUAACUAUAGCUCUUGAGUUUUUGUAGAUUUUCAAAUAAAACUCAGAGAUUCCUUGUAUGACUCUCUCUAGUCUCUCUUUGUGGUAUUUCUGGAUCCUUACCAAGGCAGUAAUGGUGUAUGCCUUCUCUCAAAGUAUGUGGUAUUUUUGGUAUGAGGCAUAGUGGCAUUGCCUUCUCUCUCACCCUACUCUAAUAAGGUUUUGAUAUCUGGAGCUCAUAGGUGGGAGACAGCUAAUACAUACUUACAAGACAUUUAUUGCAUAGUCAAACCAUGGAUCCAGAAGAACAAGUCAAUAAGUCAAAUCAAGAUGUGCAUGUGUUGCGAAUGAAUGGUGUAUGGUGAUGAUGGUGAUAACAAUGGUGAAAGUCUAAUUCUACUUGUGCUCUUUUGAGGGAAUACAUACCUUUCUUGCUCUUUUGAAACUUUUUUAGGAGAAUGAGAUGCUCUAUAUUUUCUUUUUCUUUUCUCUCAGGUGGGUAUAUUGUACCCCUAAUUCUACUGUCGGACACUUGUCCAUUUUUACCUCCUGUCUCACUUUUUCUUUUCUUUCGAGGUUCCGGGCACUUGCCCCUUUUUAUUUCCUCGUAUCUUCUUUUUUUUAGAGCACUCACCUCUUUAAAUAAUGUAGCAAGUUGUCACACCCGGAUGUAAAAGAGCAUUCGGGUGCCAAAUCACAUGUGCGCCAGGAUCACAAAUUCACACACAUGGACCGACAUCAUCAAUGGUACAAAACACAGUGUUCAAACGAAUUACAUAAAUGAGAGUAAAAGUACCAUUAUUACAAGCCAAAUGUUUAUCAAAGUGCGGAGGGGAAACAUAAACUAAACUGUUCCAUAAAUAAAGGGAAAACUAAACGCCGACGUAGCAGGACCACCUUGCCACAGGAAGGUCGACGGCAGAACCACACGAGCCUAACAACCAGGAGACUCAGGGUAGUCCUCAGGGAAAUCGCAAUUGUACUCCUGAUCGUCCGAGCAACCUUUAAUGAUUAUAGCAAGGGUGAGCUCAUGUCGAACUCAGCAAGCACAGACGGAAAGUAAUGACAUGCAAGGCUUAAAACAAGGUAAAGCUGACUUGGUUUGACUGCGGUAGCAUUUUAGUUGAUCGCUUUUAAUUAUAACAAUUACUAGAACAACCUAUUACUAAAUAUGAGUAGCAUAAACCCAACCCUUAAUUAGUGUAAGUAGUAAUUAGCAUCUUUUAAAAGACUAUUCUAAUUAUUAUAGUAAUCCAGGGAUUAACCCCAAUUAAUACCACAGGAUAGCAUUCCUGCCAUCACGGAAUAGCCAUUCCGCCAAAACCCGAGGUAGCAACCUCGCCAAGGUCCAUCUCCAAGCAACCAGUGAAUCCAAUUUGCUCAUCAAGUGAGGGUCUGGGCCGCUCGUGACCGUGAGCACGGCUGAUAUAUCAGUUUUACACUCUGCAGAGGUGUGCACGUUCACUCCAAGUCGUGAUUCCCAUUUGCCCGGGGUCGCGACUCCCCAAAACACUUCCAAGGUGAGCAGGCAGGGUCUCACUACGAGACCUUUCACAGGGUCCAACUAAUAGGAUGCCACUCGCAAGUUUUUGCCGGGGCGCUCGGCAGUCGAUACCCAUAGCCAUGGCGUACCGAUCAACCGACAACUUAAUAUUCAUUACCCAAGUUACUUCCUCACGCCUACCCGGAAAGUAACACCCUACUAGUGGAGGUCCUGCUAAUUAGUCAAGCCAGAGCCAUAUAGCUUGGAGCUGCACUGUAUGUCCCAGGGGGCCGCUCCCUGACUAAGUCCUUACGGAGAGCAGAGACGGGAACGCCCGGCAAACCGGACCACCAACGGUACCCGCUCCCCCUGUCACCACCAUCAUCACGAUGCUCGUAAGCAUCCAACAUCGCCAUCACCGCAGUGACCAAAGAUUCAGCACAAUUUAAGCAUCAAGUUGAGUAGAGACUAAUACUUGUUUAGGCAUGUGUAUAAGAUGAGUAGAGCAGCUAAGCAAACCUAGUAUAGCCUAGUCUACCCAAAUACAUAACCCCAGGUGAGCAAGGAAUAAUAAGUGAAGCUAGUCAUGUCCUUAGGGUUUGCAUUCAUUGGACACAUGCAUAUAAAGUAAAUGACAUUAAUGAGUAGGUUCAAAAUGAUCAAACAGUGUCUGCACUUGCCUUGAUCGAAGUCGGGUUGCUCGAACUCAGCGGGAUCCUGUACCUCUUCCUUCACGAACGUCUCGUUGGCUAAACGCGACAAUCAUCAAUCAUAGGAACAAUACAUGCAAGCAAACAAACUUAAUCAGAAACAGUACACCAAGGCAUGCGAAAGCAUAAAGCAACUGCACUACUGUAUUCUACUCGAUGAAACGAAACCAUAGCGACCAGAAUCACCUAAAUCGGAGUUACGACGCAAAAGUUAUGGCUAAAACAAGUUAAAUGGCAUUUCUGUAGAUAAACUGAACUAUUUUUCGUAAUAAAACUAAUUAAAAACUGAAUUAAAAAGCAUUUAGGAUUAAAUAUAUAAAUUCUAACGGGUGCAGGGGCUAAACUGUAAAAGCAGGGGCAUAAAUUAAAUAAAUCUAAAACUAAAUAGAGCGCGGGUUGAUUUCAAAGAAACCCAGGGGGGUUUUUGCAAAAACGCAGGGGCGCGCGGGGACCGUGGCCGUCCUGGCCACGUGGCGGCUUGCGGCUGGCGGGUCCACGGUGGACCGGGUGCGGCGCGGGGUGCACCGGUCCACGGUGGACCGGGGGGGCGCGCGGGGCAGCAUGGACUCGGUCCACUGGACCGGCCGUGCGGGGGCGCUGGGCCGCGGUCCACGGUGGACCGCGCGCCGGAGCGGGCACGCGCAGGCGGCGGGGCGGCCGGCCGCGGCGGCGCUAUGCGCGGCGGCGCCAUUGGAGCGGGCCGGAGCUUGCGGGGAUGACGGCGCAGGGCACGGGAAGGCACGCCAAGGGCACGGGCGUGCGCGGCUUGCCACGACGAGCGCGAUGGCGGGCUUACCUUCGCGAGCGGACGACGACAAGGAGAAGGCUGACGGCGGCGGCGCGGAUUCCGAUGGCGGCGCUGCGGAAAACGGCGAGCUCGGGCUAGGGUUUCGCGUAGGGGCGCGUGCGGGCGAGGCCGAGGCUUUAAAUAGGACGGUGGUCCCGGGGUCCUCGAAACGCGAGCGGGCGCGGAAGCCGGAGUCGGUUGCGGCCGAGUCCGUUCCGGCCGGAGGAGGAAGACGGCGGGNNNNNNNNNNNNNNNNNNNNNNNNNNNNNNNNNNNNNNNNNNNNNNNNNNNNNNNNNNNNNNNNNNNNNNNNNNNNNNNNNNNNNNNNNNNNNNNNNNNNNNNNNNNNNNNNNNNNNNNNNNNNNNNNNNNNNNNNNNNNNNNNNNNNNNNNNNNNNNNNNNNNNNNNNNNNNNNNNNNNNNNNNNNNNNNNNNNNNNNNNNNNNNNNNNNNNNNNNNNNNNNNNNNNNNNNNNNNNNNNNNNNNNNNNNNNNNNNNNNNNNNNNNNNNNNNNNNNNNNNNNNNNNNNNNNNNNNNNNNNNNNNNNNNNNNNNNNNNNNNNNNNNNNNNNNNNNNNNNNNNNNNNNNNNNNNNNNNNNNNNNNNNNNNNNNNNNNNNNNNNNNNNNNNNNNNNNNNNNNNNNNNNNNNNNNNNNNNNNNNNNNNNNNNNNNNNNNNNNNNNNNNNNNNNNNNNNNNAGUCGGCCCAGGCGGGGGCAGGGGCAGGGGGCGCCGCGGGCUCUGCGGCUGGGCCGCUGCUGGUCCUUUCGGGAAGAGGGGGGGGGGGGAAAGCGCUGCCCAUUUUUCUUCUUUUUUUUUGUAAAAUUUCUUGCUCCAAAACAAAACAAAACAAGCACCAGCAACAAUAAAUAAAAUCAAGCAAAAAUUAUGCGGCAGCAUGAAUGCAAUCUCAAACAUGUUUCUACCUUAUAUUUAAUUUUAUUUAAUUUUGUAAAUUAUUUAAUAAUUCCCAAAAAUUCAAACUAAGCCAAAAUUAAAUCAAAUUUAAACUAAAUUUGAAAUUCAAAAAUUUGGAGUGUUAUACAAGUGGUAGUAACCGAAACAACUUGAGCAUUUAUUUCACAGGGGAAAACAGAAAUAGGAGAAUGUUUUUGGCUAUUCUCUCCCAGAUUAGGAGUAGAAUAUUUUUGGGUGGUUUUAGAGAUGGAAAUGAGUGAAUGUAUGUGGAUGCAUACUUCCAGAGUAGAAGCAACAUGUGUGAGUGAAUGUGCAAGUGAAUCUUGAUUUAACCACAUGACAAGCUCCUAAGGGUCUACACAGCUUGACCACACUCAAUGCUCAUAAGCAGUAAAAAGUAAAUGUAUGGUUCAAAGUCUAGCAAGCAUGUAUAUAUGGCUGUGGUAGGAUUUUAAACUCGCAUCAUACAGGAACUCAUCAUGCAACAUUUUAAGGAUCUUCAAAGAUAAAAUUCUCCAGAAUUCUAGCAUCUCUAGGAACAGAUAAACAACAGCUCAAGCUUCCCAUAUCGUAUCCGUUAACGACUUAGACUUUAGAUCAAGUACACUUCCCACAAGCUCAGGUUUAGAGCAAAUCUUAAUUAAUAACAGUCAUGCCUAAACUUGAGAGAGAUUUCAAUUUUGAGAAUUAGUCAUGGCAGAGCAACUAUUCAUCAUUUCCAUGUGAGAGCUUAUCAUGAGGGUUCAUAGCAAACUUUAUUUAUUUAUUUAUUUAGCAAACUAAGCAAAGAUAUAUAUAUAUAUAUAAUAUAUAGCACAAAAUCUUUAUUUGGGUUUAUAUGAUUAUGCAUCUUUUUAUUAUUAGAGUAAAAUAUAAAAGAGAGUAGAACACUUAGCUGGAUAAAUGGGGGUGCUCUCCCCCAAGCUAGAUUUUGACGUAGUUCCUUUUGAUGUAGCAGGUGGCGGAGGUGUAUUUGAAUGUCGGCAGCACCCUAACAGUGAUUAGGAUGUCCUCCGUCUGAUAGUCUUCUUUGAUCCUUGAAUUCUGUGGAGCUCAAAUAGACAACAAAGCUUUGUGGAACUGGUUAAGUGUUAGCAUAAAUUUCUAGCCUUUAUCAUGUUGAGCCUCCUCAAUAAAUGUUACUCUCUUUAGUAGAAUCAUAAAUUUAUUUUUAUAAUUUUGUUUUUAUAGGACAGGAAUAUAUUUAUUUAAUUUUUAUGCCACCAUAGUGAAUGUACUUAUGGGUUUUAUGCCAUGAGCAUACUCACAUGGGGCUUACUAUUUUUAACAUUUUUAUUUUCUUUUCAAGAUAGCAUGAACCUGAUUGACUAAGCAAACCAUUUUAAAUAAUUGAAAGGAAAAGAAUAACUACCAAGUUUAGCUCUUGGCAAGGUGUUCGGUGUUUUUAAGUCCUCCGAACGGGACUCUCCGUUUUCUCAGUCGUCUUAGGAUUCGCUGGAUGGCGUAGUCGGUGGUUUCGGCGGCGCCUGAUCUUCAUGUAUAACUAUCUUCUCUCUACACACCUGACUCAGUGCUACGGUCUCCUCGGGACAGUUCUGUUCAAGUUGUAUGUCUUUAGACCUUACCACCUCUGCUUCAUAGUCCGCCCAUCCGUCCUUGAUAAUUUGCCUCCUCUGGUUGCGGUUGCGUCGUCUUCUUCUUGUCCUGACCUACUUAAAGUCUUCAACGAUAUAGUUAGGGUCAGUAAAAUAGCGGCGUACCUUCUCUGAGGGGAAGUGCAUGUGGACUUCUCCGGUUCCAAUGUAGAUGACUGUUUUAACGGGGUUGAGGAAUGGUCUGACAAGGAUGAUGGGUGGAUAGUACUCGUCUUCUCCCAUGUCAAUAACCUGAAAGUCUUUUGGAAUGUCUGAUCUGCCAUCUGGAGCUGAAUGUAUGUUGGUUUUAGGGGCAUGGUUCCGAACAGGAGCUGAUAGGUGACUGCGGCCAUUAUGUUGAUGCCCGACUGUUGACGGUCCUUAAUGCUCACAUUUAACCAUCAACUAAUUAUGGAAAAGGACUUAUAUGCAACCAACACCUAGACUUAGGGUUUUAUCUGACAGAAUUCCACGAGUUUUGGUGUUUGUCUAUUUCUGUAGGGGGUUAUCAGGAAAUAUGAAAGAAAGGCCCACACAUCGGGUUUACAAAGAGAUAUUAACGUGCCACGCAAUUUUCUACCAUCUAGAAGACUCGAGAAGCCACGGGAACGAACGGGAGGCUGAUCGGGCCCGGGGGCAGGGCGCCCGCCCUAUCCCCUUGGGUGCCCGCCCAGCUACAGUAACCAAUCAGCUUCAACUUCGCGGAUUGUGCUCCACCGACCUAAGGAAUCAAGGAAAACCGUGCGAUUAAUGUCGGUUUGAUCCGAUGGCCCAGAUUCAUCUGAAAAGACUAUAUAAGCAAGGCCCCCUGGCCCCUGGAGAGCAUACCUCUUCUAUAGAAUCAAAGCUAGGGUUUUCAAUUCUUCAUCCAAGUAGAGAGGAUCCCUCUAGUUCAUCUAGUUCUACCUCUAGUUCAUCUAGUUCUAGUUCUAGUUAAUCUAGUUCUAGUUCUAGUUCCUCUAGUUCGAGUUCUAGUUAGUUCGAGUUGUAAUCUAGAAAAUAGGGAGAGAGAAGAGGAGAGCGGAGGAGGAGGAGCCGGAUCUGUCGGAUCUUCCUCAACAUUGUACUUUUGCAGCAACUGGUUCGUUCUUCAUCGUUCUCUAGGUUCUUCAAUUCAUAAUCCUGAGUUCUUUAAUUAUUUUUAUUUACAUUCAAGUUAUUUAUUGGAUUCCCGCUUGCAUCAAGUGCUCUAAUCUUUGCAACAUUAGAGUAGUAAUUAAUAGAUUAGACGUGGUGUUUAGUCUUGCAAUUAUCUGGAAUUGCACCCAAUCCUGCGGAUUGUUGUGGUAGCCCUAGGGUAGUGACAGCCCUAACGGUCGACGUAUUCCACCUCGUUCGGAUCGGUGUUUGUAGGACCGUAGUCAGAGCUUCCUAGCCCCCUUCUCAUCUCUUUCUGUGGUUAGUGUUCUGAUGUCCCGAUAUAGAUAAUCUUGAAGUAAUUCUUGUUUCUUAGAUCAACUAGAGAACUCUCAGGAAACUUCCUCUCUUCCCACAAAAAAUAAUUAUAUAGUUAUCCCUGGGCGAUCUUGAUUCUUAAUUAGUACACUCACGUUCUCUGUGGAAAAUCGAUACUCUGGAAUACUCCCGGGUGAAAGCUACAUCGGUAUCCGUGCGCUUGCGGAUUUUUCUGUUUGCGUUUAAAAUACCCAACAAGCUUUCUGGCGCCGUUGCCGGGGAACGGUAGCUGUGCUAGUUUCGAACCAAGUCGUCCAUGUAUCCUUUUUCUUUUCCUUUUUUAACACACUCACCUUACCAUUUUCACCACACCACAUGGAUUUCACUCCUAUCUAUAAAUUCUUUGCUCCAAAGGGUGAGUUAUUAGAGCCACCACCAUCAUCACAUCCAAUUCUUACAGAUGGCUACGACCUCGGCCCUGAUCUAAUAGCCAUGAUUCAGGAGCAACCCUUCUCUGGGCAAGUAGAUGAAGAUCCAUACACCCACCUUAGAGAAUUCGAGCAGUUGUGCUCUUGCCGAUCUAUUUCCAGCAUGACACAAGAAACCCUUAAAUGAAAAUUAUUUCCGUUCUCCCUUUUGGGAAGAGCAAAAAAGUGGUAUGCUCAUUCUGUAGGAGGCGUUAAUGGAAAUUGGGAUGAACUUCGGGACAACUUUUGUCUCGCUUUCUUCCCACUUUUUCGAAUUGCUGACCUUAGAAUUGAAAUUCUUACAUUCAAACAAAGAGAGAAGGAAACUUUAGGAGCAGCUUGGGCUAGGUUCACAAGCCUUACCAAUUCCGGUCCAAACCUGUCCCUGCCUGACCAUGUACUGUACUACCACUUUUAUCGUGGUCUAAACAAGGAAGCUGCUCUUCACCUCGACAUUGCUUCAGGAGGCUCAUUCACACACAAACUCACAGAUGAGGGGAGAGCUAUCCUAGAAAGAAUUCUUGAAAAUACCCCUUACACAGGCAUUUAUGAUGAGUUUCCUGAAGGAGAAAAAGAAGUCGAGCCUGAUCCUAAACCAAAAGAUGAGGAACUUGCAACCGAGUUAGAAAUUCCACCUGACCCAUCCAUUAAUUUGGUUAUAGAGAAACCUCCUGAUAAAGGAAUGCAAAACCAACUAAGGGAUGAUGAACCACCACCUUUAGAGCAUCCCUUUGAAUUCGAGGAAGAUCUUUUUGAAGAUUAUGGAAACACCUCAAAUUUUCUUAUCCAAACACGACCUCUAGCAAGGACCACUCAAUCCAUUCUAAGAGUAGAAUCUGUUGACAUAGAACACAUCAAAAGCCUUUCGGCUAUUCUGAGUUACGAAUGGCUAACAGAAGCAGAGAUGUCUCUUGAGGUAGCUCGGAUCAUCACUCCUUCAACCAUUCUUCUGUGCCAAAUUAGAGGAUCCACUAGGAAGGUCCACUACAAUCCAUAUGUUGGGAUAAAUGUUAUUUCAAAGGAGUUAGCUGACACUCUUUAUCCCAACGAGUCCAUAACUCCAUCUCAAAAACUUUUACAAAGUCCAUCUGGAUUAAUUCUAGAAAGCCAUGGGGUAUUAAGGGCAGUUCCUAUUAGAAUCAAGGACUCUGGAAUAUGUCUAGAUUUUCACAUUUAUGACAUACCGGAGAUUCCUCUCUUGAUUGGUAGACCAAUCAUGAAACUUCUACAAGAACAACCACAACGAGGUCAUUUAGACUUCAAAGUUGGGAAUUCCAGUAUUGUUGUUCCUCUAGCUAGAUCAAUUAACACGAUAGUGGAACCCAAACUUAAACUAGAUCCUAUUGAGGAGAUCUUAAUGCUGACUCAAGAGGAGAUGGCCCAACCAUUCUUUAAUCAUGAACACUUUGUUCAAGAAGAAGAAGAGUUGGUAGAACCCGUUGAGCUAGACAAAAAUGAACAACUUUCACCUCCUUCAAUAGAGUUAAAACCUCUUCCUUCUGGCCUUAGAUAUGUCUUUCUACACAACAACCCAAAAACUCUAGUGAUUAUCAGUGACAAGUGUUGACGGUCCUUAAUGCUCAUAUUUAACCAUCAACUAAUUAGAGAAAAGGAUCCAAAUGUAACCAACACCUAGACUUAGGGUUUUUAUCUGACAGAAUUCCACGAGUUUUGGUGUUUGUCUAUUUCUGCAGGCGGUUAUUAGGAAAUAUAGAAGAAAGGCCCACACGUCGGGUUUACAUAGAGAUAUUAACGUGCCGCGCAAUUUUCUAUCAUCUAGAAGACUCCAGAAGCCACGGGAACGAACGGGAAGGAAAUCGGGCUCGGAGGCAGGGCGCCCGCCCAACUCUCCUGGGCGCCCGCCCAGCUACAGUGCCCAAUCAGGACACGUUUCGCGGAUCAUGCUCCACCGACCUAAUACUUCAAGGAAAACCACAGGAUCAACGUCGGUUUGAUCCGACGGCCCAGAUUCAUCUGAAAAGACUAUAUAAGCAAGGCCCCCUGGCCCCUGGAGAUCAUACCUCUUCUACAGAAUCAAAGUUAGGGUUUCAAUUCUUCAUCCAAGUAGAGAGGAUCCCUCUAGUUCUUCUAGUUCUACCUCUAGUUCAUCUAGAUCUAGUUCUAGUUCUAGUUCCUCUAGUUCUAGUUCUAGUUAGUUCUAGUUGUAAUCUAGAAAAUAGGGAGAGAGAAGAGGAGAGCGGAGGAGGAGCCGGAUCUGUCAGAUCUUCCUCAACAUUGUACUUUUGCAGCAACUGGUUCAUUCUUCAUCGUUCUCCAGGUUCUUCAAUUCAUAAUCCUGAGUUCUUUAAUUACUUUUAUUUACAUUCAAGUUUUUUAUUGGAUUCCCGCUUGCAUCAAGUGCUCUAAUCUUUGCAACAUUAGAGUAGUAAUUAAUAGAUUAGACAUGGUGUUUAGUCUUGCAAUUACCUGGAAUUGCACCCAAUCCUGCGGAUUGUUGUGGUAGCCUUAGGGUUGUGACAGCCCUAACGGUCGACGUAUUCCACCUCGUUCGGAUCGGUGUUUGUAGGACCGUAGUCAGACCUUCCUAGCCCCCUUCUCAUCUCUUUCUAUGGUUAGUGCUCUGAUGUCCCGAUAUAGAUAAUCUUGAAGUAAUUCUUGAUUCUUAGAUCAACUAGAGAACUCUCAGGAAACUUCCUCUCUUCCCACCAAAAAUAAUUAUAUAGUUAUCCUUGGGCGAUCUUGGAUCUUAAUUAGUACACUCACGUUUCCUGUGGAAAAUCGAUACUCUGGAAUACUCCCGUGAAAGCUACAUCGGUAUCCGUGCGCUUGCGGAUUUUUCUAUUUGCGUUUAAAAUACCCAACAAGCUUUCUGGCGCCGUUGCCGGGGAACGGUAGCUGUGCUAGUUUCGAACCAAGUCGUCCGUGUAUCCUUUUCUUUUCCUUUUUAUACCACACUCACCUUACCAUUUUCACCAUACCACAUGGAUUUCACUCUAAGCAUUAAUGAGCAUGGAAUUUAUUUCAUAGCCACUCCAUUUACUCCAUGCUCAUAUGCAACAUCUUCACAAUCCAUUGGUCUCUCCAACAUCACCACAUUCGAGAUCUCCAACCCCCUCAUCCUUUCUAUUUAUAAAAACUUUAAAAGGGCGGUUGUCGAUGCAUAUGUCUAUAUUAAAUAUUACAGAUCUCGUCGAGUUGAUCUUGAUAUAGGUCAGCGUUGGAGGGGAAACCACUUCACUGACAUAAAUUAAUGGUUUCCCAAGGACAAGCUUAGUGUCCUAAAACAAGCACUUAUCAGAUUGUAACAUGAGCUUUUAAUUAUUUGCAACAUUGCCUUGUGUAUUGAGCAUAUAAAGAUAAUUGUAGAAAAAUUCCUUCGGGUAUUCUUGUCACUAACCUUUCCACGAUUGGAGCAAGAAGAUCGGAUGAAUGACAAGCACAAGGUAUGUCCAACCAAUCUUCAUACAACAUUGAAUUAAAUUCAUCCAAACUUGAAUUUUGCAAAAAUUCAAGCUUGGGGGAGUACUUUAUAUAAAAACAUCAUUUGCCAUGUUGCUAUGUUGGUUGUCCCUACCUUUGAGACAUGCUCAAUUUGUUAAAUAGUAAUCACAGUACUUCAUCUCCACUUGAGUAGAUCUCUAUAAAAGCCAUCACGCUACCUUUGUUUAUCCUAGUAAGUGUUAGUUUGGAAGUACUGUACAUACUUCUAUUGGUUUUUAAAUUAAGCAUGGUGCUUAGGUUAAACAGCCUUCCUUAAUCUAAUUAGACAUGGAGUCUAGUUUGGUUAUUGAACUAAAAACUGCUUGUGUAGACAUUGGUAUAUUUUGUCAGACUAACCCCUGUAGAAAAAAGAAAACUUUCAAUAUCGACCUGGGAAGUCCUAAGAUAAACUCACAUUGGAGACAAAGAGAGACACACUUGAAGUUUAACAAUUUACACAAGGAAGACAUAGCUCACAAGAGAUGAUCCAUGGAGGGUGCCACCAAACACGAUGCACAACCGCAAAGAAAGGAAAGCUUCCAUAAGGUAAUACUGUACCAUCACUCUUCAAGUAAGGUAACAUCUUAAGGUACUUGACUAUCACUUCUAUAAGCUUCUCCUUGGUUCUGGCAUUCACAUGAAUAAAAGAGACAAACAUGUAUGAUUUACAAUUCUAGAUUAACCAACCCAAUCGAUUCAAUAUGUUUAGUUUUUUCACCUUUGUGAUCCCACACUAAAUGUUGCACACAUAAUCUUUGGAAGAUAUAUAUAAAAAAAAGAGAUAAGUAUAAAUAGAUUAUCUUUCCAUUAGGUUGAGUGAUCUGAUCUGACGAAUGUUUUAAAUGCUACACUCAUGAUCUUAUUAUCCAUCAACUUUGUCUUGCUCACUAUGCUUAAGGUUAGAGAAGAACAAAUACACUUUUGGUUCUGUUGGUGUUUUCCACCAACAGGGCCCAUGCACUUGAUCUCUGCCUUGUUUCUAUGAGCAGGUACACUUCGAGCAAAAUAUGAAGGACUUUUAUAACUCCCAGACUCCACCAAGUGAAGUACCAAGAUCUACGAGCACAAACACACUGGAGAUACUGGACACUCAGGCAAUCACUGCCCUGAGAUGCUUAAGGACGUAACUACUGGAGUAACCUCAUUGUGGAAGCAAUUACUGACCUUCUGCCGGUCAAGAGAGGCAAUCCAAGACGCCCCGUCAUCCCGAUCUCCAUCGGCAUGGUGGACUUCCCAGAAGCACUCUGUGACUUUGGCUCCAGCAUCAACAUUAUGCCCAGGAACCUCUGCGUCUGAGUUGGUACCUUGUACGCCCCAGCAGACUUCGUGGUGAUAGAGACUGGUACUGAUGAGAGGGCACCCAUCAUCCUAGGGAGGCCAUUCCUGAACACCUCAAGAGCUGUCAUCUACGCUAGUGCUGCCAAGAUCAGUUUCUACAUCAAAGGGAGGAAGGAGACAUUUUCCUUCAAGAACAAGACUACACAAAUCUCAGAGCAAUCCCGACAUGAACCAUGGAAGAGGGCCAACAGGAGGGACAAGACCAAGCAAAUGUGGACCAAGUCAGCUAAGAUGGUCACUGCAGUUCAAGGAGGUCAAGAUCGUCGACUUAAGUCACCGUUCCAAACCAACAAGGACGACCCAAGUAUGCCAAGCAUCCAGUGCUCCAUUAAUGGAUGCAACUUCCAGAAGAUGCUUUGCAACACUAGGUCAGGCGUCAACAUAAUGGCCGCAGUCACCUAUCAACUCCUGUUCGGAACCAUGCCACAAAAAACCGACAGAGAUUCAGCUCCAGAUGAUUUUAAGGUUAUUGACAUGGGAGAAAAGUAUGAUCCACCCAUCAUCCUUGGAGACCGUUCCUCAGCACCGUUAAAGCAAUCAUCUACAUUAGAACCAGAGAAGUCCACAUGCACAUCCCCUCUGAGAAGGUACGCCGCUAUUUUACUGACCCUAACUAUAUAGUUGAAGACUCUAAGCAGGUCAGGACAAAGAAGACAACGCAACCGCCACCAGAGAAGGCAAAUCAUCAAGGACGGAUGGAUGGACUACGAAGGAGAAGUGGUAAUGUCUGAAGACAUACAGCUUGAACAGAACUGUCCUGAGGAGACCGUAGCACCAAGUCAGGUGUGGAGAGAGAAGAUAGUUAUACACGAAGAGGAGGCGCCGCCGGAACCACCGACUACGCCAUCCAGCGAGUCCCAGGACGACUGAGAAAAUGGAGAGUCCCGUUCGGAGGACUUAAAAACAUCGAACGCCUUGCCAAGAGGUAAACUUGGUAGUUAUCUUUUUCCUUUCAAUUAUUUUAAAAAAAAGUUUGCUUAGUUAAUCAGGUUCAUAUCAUCUUGAAAAGAAAAUAAAAAUGUUAAGUAAGCCCCAUGUGAGUAUGCUCGUGGCAUAAAACCCAUAAGUACAUUCACUGUGGUGGCAUAAAAAUAAAAUUAAUAUAUUCGUGUCCUAUAAAAAUAAAAUUAUAAAAAUAGAUUUAUGAUCCUACCAAAGAGAGUAAAAUUUAUUAGAGGAAGCUCAACAUGAUAACGGCUAAGAGUUUUUAUGCUAACACUUAACUAGUUCCACAAAGCUUUGUUGUCUAUUUGAGCUCCACAGAAUUCAAGGAUCAAAGAAGACUAGCAGACGGAGGACAUCCUAAUCGCUGACAGAGUGCUGCCGACAUUCAAAUACACCUCCGCCACCUGCUAGCUACAUCAGAAGAAAUUGCGUCAAAUCCAGCUUGGGGGAGAGCACCCCCAUUUAUCCACCUAAGUGUUCUACUCAUCUUUAUACUUUACUCAAAUAAUAAAAAGAUGCAUAAUCAUAAAACCCAAAUAAAGAUUUUGUGCUUAUAUAUAUAUCUUUGCUUAGUUUGCUAAAUAAAUAAAUAAAUAAAGUUUGCUAUGAACCCUCAUGAUAAGCUCUCACAUGGAUAUGAUGAAUAGUUGCUCUAUCAUGACUAGUUCUCAAAAUUAAAAUCUCUCUCAAGUUUAGGCAUGACUGGUAUGAAUUAAGAUUUGCUCUAAACCUGAACUUGUGGGAAGAGUACUUGAUCUGAAGUCUAAGUCGUUAACGGAUAUGAUAUGGGAAGGUUGAGCUGCUAUUUAUCUGUUCUUAGAGAUGCUAGAAUUCUGGAGAAUUUUAUCUUUGAAAAUCUUUAAAAUGUUGCAUGAUGAGUUCCUGUAUGAUGAGAGUUUAAAUUCCUACCACAGCCAUAUAUACAUGCUUGCUAGACUUUGAGCCACACAUUUACUUUUUACUGCUUAUGAGCAUUGAGUGUGGUCAAGCUGUGUAGACCCUUAGGAGCUUGUCAUGUGGUUAAGUCAAGAUUCACUUGCACGUUCACUCGCACAUGCUGCUUCUACUUCGGAAGUACGCAUCCACAUAUAUCCACCCAUUUCCAUCUCCAGAACCACCCAAAAAUAUUCUACUCCUAAUCCGGGAGAGAAUAGCCAAAACAUUUCUGUUUUCCCCUUUGAAAUAAAUACUCAAGUUAUCUUGGUUACUACCACUUGCUAUAUUAUUUCAGGAGAUGAGUGCUCUAAAAAAAGAGAAAAAAGGAGAGAAAAAAAAUAAAUACGAGGAAAUAAAAAGGGGCAGGUGCCCGGAACCUCGAAAGAAAAGAAAAAAAAAAGAAAAGUGAGACGAGAGGUAAAAAUGGACAAGUGUCCGAUAGUAGAAUUAGGGGUACAAGAUACCCACCUGAGAGGAAAGAAAAAGAAAAUACAGAGCAUCUCAUUCUCCCCAAAAGUUUCAAAAGGGCAAGGAAGGUAUGUAUCCCCUCAAAAGAGCAAAAUUAGAAUUAGACUUUCACUAUUGUUAUCACCAUCAUUACCAUACACCAUUCAUUCGCCACACAUGCACAUCUUGAUUUGACUUAUUGACUUGUUCUUCUGGAUCCAUGGUUUGACUAUGCAAUAAAUGUCUUGUAAGUAUGUAUUAGCUGUCUCCCACCUAUGAGCUCCAGAUAUCAAAAGCCUUAUUAGAGUAGGGUGAGAGAGAAGGCAAUGUCACUAUGCCUUAUAUAAAAAAUACCACAUACUUUGAGAGAAGGCAUACACCUUUACUGCAUUGGUAAGGAUCUAGAAAUACCACAAAAGAGAGACUAGAGAGAGUCAUACAAGGAAUCUCUGAGUUUUAUUUGAAAAUCUGCAAAAACUCCAGAGCUAUAGUUAAUCGAAGAACAAGAGACAUGGCGCUUGACUAGACCGUUCUAUCUUUUAACUGCUCAAGACAGAAGUGACGGUUACAAGUCCCAUGGUGAAAGGUAAAUGAGUAAGUUUUAAGUCUUAACAGUUUACUCUUACCAGAGAUGAGAUCUUGUUUAAACGCAUGUAUAUCUUUAAGUUAUGAAACCACUGCAGAAACUCUUGAGUUCAUCUUUGCUCAGGGACGAGCAAAGGUUAAGCUUGGGGGAGCUUGUUGACGGUCCUUAAUGCUCAUAUUUAACCAUCAACUAAUCAGAGAAAAGGAUCCAAAUGCAACCAACACCUAGACUUAGGGUUUUUAUCUGACAGAAUUCCACGAGUUUUGGUGUUUGUAUAUUUCUGCAGGGGGUUAUCAGGAAAUAUAGAAGAAAGGCCCACACGUCAGGUUUACAUAGAGAUAUUAACGUGCCGCGCAAUUUUCUAUCAUCUAGAAGACUCCAGAAGGCACAGGAACGAACGGAAAGGAAAUCGGGCUCGGAGGCAGGGGCGCCCGCCCAACUCUCCUGGGCACCCGCCCAGCUACAGUGCCCAAUCAGGACACGUUUCGCGGAUCAUGCUCCACCGACCUAAUACUUCAAGGAAAACCACACGAUCAAUGUUGGUUUGAUCCGACGGCCCAGAUUCAUCGAAAAGACAAUAUAUGCAAGGCCCCCUAGCCCCUGGAGAUCAUACCUCUUCUACAGAAUCAAAGUUAGGGUUUCAAUUCUUCAUCCAAGUAGAGAGGAUCCCUCUAGUUCUUCUAGUUCUACCUCUAGUUCAUCUAGAUCUAGUUCUAGUUCAUCUAGUUCUAGUUCUAGUUCUAGUUCCUCUAGUUCUAGUUCUAGUUGUAAUCUAGAAAAUAGGGAGAGAGAAGAGGAGAGCGGAGGAGGAGCCGGAUCUGUCGGAUCUUCCUCAACAUUGUACUUUUGCAGCAACUGGUUCAUUCUUCAUCGUUCUCCAGGUUCUUCAAUUCAUAAUCCUGAGUUCUUUAAUUACUUUUAUUUACAUUCAAGUUAUUUAUUGGAUUCCCGCUUGCAUCAAGUGCUCUAAUCUUUGCAACAUUAGAGUAGUAAUUAAUAGAUUAGACAUGGUGUUUAGUCUUGCAAUUACCUGGAAUUGCACCCAAUCCUGCGGAUUGUUGUGGUACCCUUAGGGUAGUGACAGCCCUAACGGUCGACGUAUUCCACCUCGUUCGGAUCGGUGUUUGUAGGACCGUAGUCAGACCUUCCUAGCCCCCUUCUCAUCUCUUUCUGUGGUUAGUGCUCUGAUGUCCCGAUAUAGAUAAUCUUGAAGUAAUUCUUGAUUCUUAGAUCAACUAGAGAACUCUCAGGAAACUUCUUCUCUUCCCACCAAAAAUAAUUAUAUAGUUAUCCUUGGGCGAUCUUGGAUCUUAAUUAGUACACUCACGUUCCCUGUGGAAAAUCGAUACUCUGGAAUACUCCCGGGUGAAAGCUACAUCGGUAUCCAUGCGCUUGCGGAUUUUUCUGUUUGCGUUUAAAAUACCCAACAACAAGCUUUCCGAUUAUGAAACACAACAACUUGUCACUAUUCUUGAAAGACAUAGAUCAGCAUUUGGCUACUCUCUCGAGGAUCUCACGGGCAUUAGUCCCAUUCUCUGCACUCAUCGUAUCCCUAUUGAUCCUAAUUUUACACCUACAAGGGAACCACAACGGAGACUUAAGAAUGCUAUGCGAGAGGUUGUUAAGAAAGAGGUCCUCAAACUCUAUCGUGCUGGGAUUAUUUAUCCUGUGCCACAGUGAGUGGGUUAGCCCUGUCCAAGUAGUGCCAAAGAAAGGAGGAAUGACGGUCGUUAGGAAUGAGAAGAAUGAACUCAUCCCUCAACGAAUUGUCACUGGGUGGCGUAUGUGUAUUGACUAUCGAAAACUCAAUAAGGCUACAAAGAAAGAUCAUUUUCCGUUACCCUUCAUUGAUGAAAUGUUGGAACGGCUUGCAAACCACUAUUUCUUUUGUUUCCUUGAUGGUUAUUCUAGAUAUCACCAAAUCCCAAUCCACCCAGAUGACCAAGAAAAGACUACCUUUACAUGCCCGUAUGGAACUUAUGCAUACCGACGAAUGUCGUUCGGAUUGUGCAAUGCUCCAGCUUCUUUCCAAUGGUGCAUGAUGUCUAUUUUCUCGGACAUGAUUGAGAAGAUCAUGGAGGUUUUCAUAGAUGAUUUUACAGUCUAUGGCAAAACCUUCGAUCAUUGUUUGGAUAAUUUAGAUAGAGUCUUGCAGCGAUGUGAAGAAAAACACUUAAUCCUGAAUUGGGAGAAAUGCCAUUUUAUGGUUCGGGAAGGAAUAGUGCUAGGACAUAAAGUGUCCGAAUGUGGUAUAGAGGUGGACAAAGCAAAGAUUGAAGUUAUUGAAAAACUUCCACCUCCCACGAAUGUGAAAGGAAUCCGUAGCUUUUUAGGACAUGCGGGGUUCUAUAGACGCUUUAUCAAGAACUUCUCUCAAAUUGCUAGACCCCUAACUAGUCUCCUAGCUAAGGAUGCACCUUUCAUCUUUAGUGAUGAGUGUCAUGAAUCUUUUCAAACUCUUUAGAAAGCACUCAUCUUAGCCCCAAUCAUCCAACCACCUGAUUGGAAUCUUCCUUUUGAGAUCAUGUGUGAUGCUAGCGAUUUUGCGGUUGGUGCCGUUUUAGGACAAACCAAGGAUAGAAAGCAUUAUGCCAUAUCCUACGCUAGCAAAACCUUGUCUGGACCACAGCUCAAUUACACUACAACUGAAAAAGAGCUUUUGGCUGUUGUCUUUGCUAUAGACAAGUUUAGAUCUUACUUAGUGGGGGCAAAGAUAAUCAUCUAUUCAGAUCAUGCUGCUCUCAAGUACCUCCUCACUAAGAAAGAUGCUAAGCCUCGUCUAAUUCGAUGGAUUCUUCUACUCCAAGACUUUGACAUAGAAAUCCGAGAUAGGAAGGGAGUACAGAAUUCCGUAGCCGACCACUUAUCUAGGCUUCAAUAUAAGGAAACACAUGAUGAGCUUCCCAUAAAUGACUACCUAAGGGAUGACACCCUGCUUAAGAUAACACAUGCAGAUCCAUGGUACGCAGACAUCGUAGACUUUAUAGUAAAAGGCUAUGUCCCACCUGGUGCAAACAAAAGGAAGUUGCUUCACGAUAGUCGUUUCCACCUUUGGGAUGAGCCAUAUCUUUUCCGAGUCUGCGCUGAUGGACUCUUGAGAAGGUGUGUUCCUAUGGCUGAGGCUACUCAAAUGAUGGAAAGAUGCCAUGCCUCGCCAUAUGGAGGACACUAUGGAGCAUUUCGGACACAUGCUAAAAUUUGGCAAAGUGGUUUUUUCUAGCCAACGAUGUAUGAAGAUACAAAGGACUUUGUCAGGAGAUGCCACCGAUGUCAAAAACAUGGGAAUAUCAACUCACGAAAUGAAAUGCCUCUCACAAAUAAUCUUCAAGUAGAACUUUUCGAUGUAUGGGGCAUUGAUUUCAUGGGGCCAUUCCCUAUGUCUGGGAAUUGCGAGUAUAUCUUAGUAGCUGUGGACUACGUGUCCAAAUGGGUAGAAGCCCUACCUUGUCGAUCAGCUGAUUCAAAACAUGCCAAGAGAAUGUUCCAUGAAGUAAUCUUUCCUCGCUUUGGUAUACCCCGGAUAGUUAUAAGCGAUGGAGGUUCCCACUUCAUCGACAAAAUCUUCCUAAAGUACCUAGCCGAUCAUGGAGUUCGACACAACGUCGCAACACCAUACCAUCCCCAGACUAGCGGUCAAGCCGAAACAUAUAACAAACAAAUCAAAAAUAUUUUACAAAAGACCGUAGAUGAGAUGGGUAAGGGGUGGAAGGACAAACUUCCUGAUGCACUUUGGGCAUAUAGAACUGCAUUCAAAACACCCAUAGGCAUGUCACCUUAUCAACUUGUAUAUGAAAAAACUUGUCACUUGCCUGUGGAAGUAGAGUUUAAGGCUCAUUGGGCACUCAAGAAAUGGAACAUGGAUCUCCACCUCGCUAUCGAGAAUCGUCUGAUGCAACUAUCUGAGCUAGAAGAACGGAGAGAGAAAGCCUACCACAAUUCAAGGAUCUAUAAAGAGAGAACAAAACGAUGGCAUGAUAAGAGAAUCAAGCACAAGGAGUUUAAGCCUGGAGAUACGGUUCUACUAUUCAAUUCAAGAGUUAAGCUCUUUGGGCAUGGUAAGCUACGAAGUAAGUGGGAUGGACCAUACAAGGUUAUUGACACUUCAACUCAUGGAGCCAUUACCAUCCAAGACGACAUAGGUAACACUUUUAAGGUGAAUGGUCAACGCUUGAAAAUCUAUCUCGAGCCACAAAACAACCUGGUAGAGGAACUUGAUGUGAUUGAGUUCAUAGAAUUCUCAUAUUAAGCUCUCAUAAGCUCUAGACAAUUACCUAACCCUUAACAUGCUCCACAAGUUUUGUUGUCUAUUUGGGUUGUGCAGAAUUUUGAGGCUUAAGAAGAGUGAGACCGAACAUGCAGGCCAGAAGAGUGAACGACUAUGUCAACAUCCAGCUUGGGGGAGGCACCCCCACGUGUAUCUAGAUAAGUAUUACUUUUCUUUCUUGGGUUUAUUUACUAGUAUUCGGAAAUAAAAAAAAUGCAUAACCAUGAAACCAAACAAAGUUUUUAUUUUGAGUAAUAUACAAUAGUUUGUGUAAUCCUAAGUCUUAAAUAAAAUAAAAAGAAAGUUUGAUUCAAGUCUAGGUAAUUAACAAACAUGAUAUGAGAAGGUUUGAGCUACUAUUUAACUUGUUCCAAGUUUUGCUAGACUUCUGGAGAUUUUAUCUUUUGAAAAUCUAAAAAUAAAUGAGAUCCUGUUUGACAUAAUACCUAGAGUCUUAUAAGAUAUAAAUACUAAAACUGUGGGCACUUGCUUUGUUCAAGCCAUUGUUAAUUCUGGUAGUUUUGGUGGAGAGAAUUAUCAUGCUCUAAAGAUCAAGAUCUUUUUGUUUAAAAAUAUAAAAGAUUCACUCUUUCGAAGUAUUAUUGCGUUAGAGGCAUGGGACUAUGCAAAAAUUUGAUUUGAAAAAAAAGAGUGAGACGAGAGGUAAACAUGGACAAGUGUCCGAAGUAGAAUUAGGGAUACAAAGAUACCCACCUGAGUGGAAAAAAAAGGACAUGUGUCCAACAGUAUAAUUAGGGGUACUUGCUGCCCACUUGAAAAAAAAGAGACUGAAAAAAAAGAGAAAAAAAAGAAGAAAAAAAUGAUAGCCCAUGGUACCUCUAAUAAGCAAUAUGCCAGUAAGAGAUGACAAACUUUUCAAAAAGGUCAAAGGUCUUGAUCUAGGAGUAUGACAUUCCUCUCCCUUGCUCCGAGCAUUGACAUAGCAAAAUGCAAAGUAAGUAUGCUAAAAUUUUUAAAGCUCUACUUAUAUAUCUUUCGAGAAGAAGGCAAAUACCUCAGUUUUAUUUUGGAAACUUACAAACAACUCCAGAACAAAGGUAAGACAGAAGAGCUUGAGACAUAGUGCUUGACUUGAUCGUUCUGUUUUUCAAUCACUAAAGACCUUAAAAACCCUGUAGUAAGAGGCAUAAAAGUAACCCCUAUUUUCUUGCUGAUUUUAGCUUUGCUCAGGGACGAGCAAAGGUUAAGCUUGGGGGAGCUUGUUGACGGUCCUUAAUGCUCACAUUUAACCAUCAACUAAUUAUGGAAAAGGACUUAUAUGCAACCAACACUUAGACUUAGGGUUUUAUCUGACAGAAUUCCACGAGUUUUGGUGUUUGUCUAUUUCUGCAGGGGGUUAUCAGGAAAUAUGAAAAAAAGGCCCAUACGUUGGGUUUACAUAGAGAUAUUAACGUGUCGCCCAAUUUUCUACGAUCUAGAAGACUCGAGAAGCCACAGGAACGAACGGGAGGCUGAUCGGGCCCGGGGGCAGGGCGCCCGCCCUCCCCCCUUGGGUGCCCACCCAGCUACAGUAACCAAUAUGCUUUAACUUCGCGGAUCGUGCUCCACCGACCUAAGGGAUCAAGGAAAACCGUGCGAUUAAUGUCGGUUUGAUCCGAUGGCCCAGAUUCAUCUGAAAAGACUAUAUAAGCAAGGCCCCCUGGCCCCUGGAGAGCAUACCUCUUCUACAGAAUCAAAGCUAGGGUUUCAAUUCUUCAUCUAAGUAGAGAGGAUCCCUCUAGUUCAUCUAGUUCUACCUCUAGUUCAUCUAGUUCUAGUUCUAGUUCCUCUAGUUCUAGUUCUAGUUAGUUCUAGUUGUAAUCUAGAAAAUAGGGAGAGAGAAGAGGAGAGCGGAGGAGGAGGAGCCAGAUCUGUCGGAUCUUCCUCAACAUUGUACUUUUGCAGCAACUGGUUCGUUCUUCAACGUUCUCCAGGUUCUUCAAUUCAUAAUCCUGAGUUCUUUAAUUACUUUUAUUUACAUUCAAGUUAUUUAUUGGAUUCCCGCUUGCAUCAAGUGCUCUAAUCUUUGCAACAUUAGAGUAGUAAUUAAUAGAUUAGACGUGGUAUUUAGUCUUGCAAUGGUAGCCCUAGGGUAGUGACAGCCCUAACGGUCGACGUAUUCCUCCUCGUUCGGAUCGGUGUUUGUAGGACCGCAGUCAGAGCUUCCUAGCCCCCUUCUCAUCUCUUUCUGUGGUANNNNNNNNNNNNNNNNNNNNNNNNNNNNNNNNNNNNNNNNNNNNNNNNNNNNNNNNNNNNNNNNNNNNNNNNNNNNNNNNNNNNNNNNNNNNNNNNNNNNNNNNNNNNNNNNNNNNNNNNNNNNNNNNNNNNNNNNNNNNNNNNNNNNNNNNNNNNNNNNNNNNNNNNNNNNNNNNNNNNNNNNNNNNNNNNNNNNNNNNNNNNNNNNNNNNNNNNNNNNNNNNNNNNNNNNNNNNNNNNNNNNNNNNNNAACACUACCACAGAAAGAGAUGAGAAGGGGGCUAGGAAGCUCUGACUACGGUCCUACAAACACCGAUCCGAACGAGGUGGAAUACGUCGACCGUUAGGGAUGUCACUACCCUAGGGCUACCACAACAAUCCGCAGGAUUGGGUGCAAUUCCAGGUAACUGCAAGACUAAACACCACGUCUAAUCUAUUAAUUACUACUCUAGCAUUUCAAAGACUAGAGCACUUGAUGCAAGCGGGAAUCCAGUAAAUAACUUGAAUGUAAAUAAAGUAAUUAAAGAACUCAGGAAUUAUGAAUUGAAGAACCUAGAGAACGAUGAAGAAUGAAAGAGUUGCUGCCAAAGUAGAAUGUUGAGGAAGAUCCGACAGAUCCGGCUACUCCUCCUCCGCUCUCCUCUUCUCUCUCCCUAUUUUCUGGAUUACAACUAGAACUAACUAGAACUAUAACUAGAGGAACUAGAACUAGAACUAGAUUAACUAGAACUAGAACUAGAUGAACUAGAGGUAGAACUAGAUGAACUAUAGGGAUCCUCUCUACUUGGAUGAAGAAUUGAAACCCUAACUUUGAUUCUGUAGAAGAGGUAUGAUCUCCAAGGGCCAGGGGACCUUGCUUAUAUAGUCUUUUCAGAUGAAUCUGGGCCGUCGGAUCAAACCGACAUUGAUCGCACGGUUUUCCUUGAUCCUUUAGGUCGGUGGAGCAUGAUCCCCGAGUUGUACCCUGAUUGGGCAGAAUAGGAGGCGGGCGCCCUAAGGACUAAGGCGGGCGCCCUGUCCGUGAGCCCUCUCGGCUUCCGCUUUGUUUCCAUGGCUUCUAGAGUCUUCUAGAUGAUAGAAAAUUGCGCAGCACGUUCAUAUCUCUAUGUAAACCCGACGUGUGUGCCUUUCUUCCGUAUUUCCUGAUAACCCCCUGCAAAAAUAGACAAACACCAAAACUCGUGGAAUUCUAUCAGAUAAAACCCUAAGUCUGGGUGUUAGUUGCAUUUGGAUCCUUUUUCAUGAUUAGUUGGUGGUUAAAUGUGAGCAUUAAGGACAGUCAACAAGAUACUAGAGUUCUAGAUAUUUUUAUUUGAAAAUCUUAAAAUUGCUAUAUGAUGAGUUCCUUCAUGACGAGAGUUCCAAAUUCCUACCACAACCAAAUUCAUACCAGUGUCACAUUUUACCUGGAGGUUUUAAAUAUCAUAUCCACAGGAAACAGUUGUGAUGAUCACAAAGUACAUAGACUUAACCCUAUAAUUAGGCUAGAUCAUAUAAAGAAAAAGGAAAUAGCUAAUGCACUCUGGUUCUGACUCCGGUAAACUUUGUAUAAUAUUGUCUUAUCGGGCAAGUAACCCGAAUAGGAGAAGAAUCAGAGUAAUCUCCUACCAGGCACCUAUAAGCCUAUGAGUCCUAUCAAUGGGAAGUGGACUACAGAGGAAUGAACGCAGCUAUAAAGUCACCUACGCGAACUACCACUAUCCGGCUGAUUAGGGGAUAUCCACAAGUAAACCUAGCCUAGGCACCACGCCUACACUACAAAAUACUACUUCAACCAAGUAACGAUCAAGAUCAAAGCAGUCAAUAUGAGUUGUGAACUAAAGAAUGAAUAAGAACAAGUUGCUUACUUAACAGAGAAGGAUAAGUAUAAAAGUACCUCAGAAUGCAGCUCCGUGUGAGGGAACUGAAUCCAAACAAAUACAACCAUGAAGAAGCACCGACAGGCUAGAACUCCUCCAGAAUCUCUACUCCUCUACUUAAUCUCUCUAAUCUCUAAACAAGACUAGAUCUAGAAGAACUAGUCUCUCCUAAUUGCUACAUCUAGUUGAACUAGAACUAUCAACUAGAGGUAUCCUAACCCUAAUUAUGUAGAGAAUAUGAAGCACCGGUGUGUAGAAUGCCUCUUGGGGGAGCCUUGGGCGUCAUUAUAUAGGCUGAGGUGGAGUAGGGGGCAAGGAACCGCCACGUCAGCGAUCCGCGUUUCAUCUUGUGUGCACGGUCGGAUCAAACCGACUUAAAAUUGACGAAGGGAUACUUUGGUUGGCUUCCAAGGAGGUGUGGGAGGAAGACUCCAGAAGGCGGCGGGCAUCGGGCAAAGUAGGGCGCCGACCGGCCCCACGGUGGGGCCGGCCGGCCCCACCUUCUCUCCUCUGCCACUCUCAUUCCUUCGGGUGUCUUCUAGACCCUUCUUGAGUCUUCUCAUGAUGUUUUCCAGCGCGGAUGAGUUUCGUGGUAAAUAUGCACUAGAAUCCCUCUUUUCAGCUCUCUGUGAAAUAAACGUUGGAAAAUACAUAAUAUGCAAAACUCAUGGAAAUUGUCAGAUAAAACCCUAGACUAGUGUGUUUUCGUGUGUUCCCUUGUGUCUAAAGUUCUAAUAAAUAUUGACCUUAUUGACCAUCAAAAAUUCCCCCAAGCUUACCUUUUGCCAGUCCCUUGGCAAACAACCCAAGCCUAAUUAAUAAACUUGGAUCAAGAGUUGCUACGAUACUUUCAUUUCCUUUAAGUACACUUGCUUUUAAACAUAACUUGCCCUCUGUUCUAAUUUUUAAACUUACCCAUUUUACCUUUAACCAUGGAGCUUUAUAGCUUUUGCAUAAGUCUUGAGUAAUCGAAAGAUAGAACAAUCAAGUCAAGCACUAUGUCUCAAAUUCUUCACAGUACCAAUAUUUUGGAGUUUUGCAAAUUUUUGAAAUAAAACUCGGAGCUUAAUUGUAUGAUACCCUCAAGUCUCUUAAUAUAUAGUAUUUAUGGAUCUCACUGAGGCAUUAAUAAUGUCAUGCCUUCCUACAACUAAGCAUCUAUAGUGGAGCUUAUAGGAGUGGGAAUAACAAGGAUGAGCAUACUUGCAAUUCAUAUAUUGUGAAGUCAAACAAUGGAUCCAUAGAGAAUCGAGGCAUACAAUCAAAUAAAAAUGUGCAUAUAUGGAAUAUGGUGGAUAGGUGUAUAUAUAGUAUUUAGUGGCUAAUCCUAAUUCUACUUUUGCUCUUUGAAAAUUACUCCCUCCUUAGAACUUUUCGUGGAAAAGCAUGGGCCAUCUUUAUUCUCUCUUUCUCUCUUUUUUAAUCUGGGAGGCAGGCAUCGAUGUACCCAUUGUUUUAAUUGCUGAGAUACUUGUCCAUCUUUUACUCCUUUUUUUCUUUUUUUAAAUACUUUUUCAUAGCCACAUGCAUCCUUUGAAUACAAAUAAUUGGAGAGAUAAUGAUAAGAACUUAGAGCAAUUAAGUGGGGGCUAUCCUAUAGGGUAUAUUUUUUGGUGUUUACCCCUAGUGUAGGAGAAAACACAUUUUUUUAAGGUGGAUCUAGAUGAAGGUGAAAAUGACUGUGUUUACAUCCUAGAGUAGGAGUAAUGCAUAUGUGGGUGGAGUGCGUAAGUGAUCUUAAUUUAAAAAGCAUGACAAGACUCUCAUAAGGUAUACUAAAGGUUGACCGAACUCAAGUAGCAUGAAUGCGCAAAGGUUUUUCUAACUCUAAAUGUAUCAUAUAUGGCUUUGGUAGGAAUUUAAACUUUAUCAUACAAGAGCUCAUCAUGUAAGAGUUUGGGUUUUUGAAAAUAAAUCUCCAUAACUUAAUAAUGCUAGGAAUAAGAUAAAUAGCAGCUUAGACCUUCAUGUAUAAUAUCAAUUACCCAUACUUAGCUUAAACAUAUGCCUCCACAAAUUUUAAGUUCAGAGUAAACUCUUAAAGUGGCCAUGUCUAAAACUCAGGAGAAUCCAUGGUUGAAAACUAGGCACUUGAAAGGAAUUACUAUAGAGCAACUAUUCAUCAUCUCCAAGACAAAAUUUUAAUAUUCUCUAAUUUUUAUUUGACUCUAAACUAGACUGUAGACACACUCUACGAUGACACCUUAAUAUAUAGAUAUGUAUUUUGUUUGGUUUUUUAUUCAUUUCUGUUGGACUCAGGAGACUCUAAAGACAUGGACCUUCACGUGCCCAUAUAUUUUUGGUAUUUUUUAUAUUUUCUUAUGAUACUAUUGUGAACCUUCAUGUGCUCACAUAUUUUUGGUAAUUUGUGACUAUAUAAAAUAGACUCGAUAAUUGCUUAGGUAUAGUUACCUAAUAAUUAGGGGAUGCUCCUCCCCCAAGCUAGAAGUUUGCAAUAGUUGGUGUUGAUGAUCUAAAGAGUGAGCUAACCGGCAUCGCUCCAGGUGGGUGCCACUAAUAGACUCCCUCUGUCGGUGGUUUCCCCACGGGGUGUCACACCAACGAGUGAAUUUGUAUGCGUGCUCCCUUUCCCAGAUGGUGAUGCAAAAAGACACACAAAGAUUUAUCCUGGUUUGGGCAAGAGAAGGCCCUACGUCCAGCGGGGGGAGAGAGUUUGUAUUAUUUUGCACCUAAGUGCUUGUACAGGGGUGAAUACAAGCAUGAUAUGGAGCGGGAUGGAGUAUGGAAGUUCCACUACGUAUGGGUGUAGUGUUGCGUGAUGUCCUGUCUGUUCGCUCCCGGGCCUCCCCUUUUAUAGUGCCAAGGAGGGGCCUAGGGUACAAGUAUAGGCGUCAGAGUAGGGGUCGAUAGAGGUAUGGCGCGCAUACCUACUCGAGGCCUCCGUACCGGCGUGGUCUCGAGCCGUCCUGUCCCGGUAGCUUGAUGAUGAUUACGCAUGCCCCUAGAUCCCGCUCCGUGCGCCGUCGUGGACUGGUUUAUCAGUCGCACGCCUGUACGUCAUGGCGGCAGAUACGUCGGAGUGGCUGCAGUGUUGUUAGUCGACGCCCAACCCUUCCUCAGGAAGGAAACAUGUCUGGUCAAGGGUCGGACGCCGUGUAGCACCUUGCUAUCCAGAGCAUUGACCUUAGGCGUCUCGAGGGGAUCUUGAUUAGACGUUCCAUCCCUGCUUCCCGCGUCCUGACAUGCUCUGGGUUGUUUGGUGGGGAAGGCUGCAAAAAGAAUGAUGGGACGGGUGCCUGUUCCCUAUCACGCUUCCUGUGACUGGCGUGUUAGGUGGGAACGUGACAGGCGCAUUAAAUGCCCCGGUACCCGUGCGCGCGUCAGGCGGUGGGCAGCGUCCUUGCGCUCGACGCCUCCUGGUUCGCUCGAGCCUGUUUCCGUAUUCGACGGUAGUUGGUGCUCGAGCCCUGACCGAUUCGCUCGACGCCUUUUCCGUCUUCGAGGCUGUGGUCGUUGAUGACUGUAUGCGGACUGAUCAGAUCGUCGAGUUGAGGGCCUCGACCUGCGUACGAACAAUCUUGUUAUGUACAUCAGUUAGGAUACCCCUUACUGAUACCCUCGACAGUAGCCCCUGAGUCUCCAUUUGAGCGCUGGCGCUCGAGUGGAGGCUUUAUUUUGCGGUCGAAUUUCUGUAGGGGUAGCCCCCGAGGCCUUGGAGGAGUUUUUGACUCCUUCGAGGGUUAUAUUGCCUAAUUCGCAGAAACGCUGUCGACACUAGUGGUGGAAGGUUCUGGUUGGCUCGUUUUGUGCAGGGGGUUUCGACGUACUCUCGAUAGAGCGAGCGUCAUCCACCCCGGAUUGAGCUCCUAACGGGUAGUCCAAGUGAGAACCUGUGCCCCUUUCGAGGGGGUCAGCUGUAGCCCGGAGGCGUUCUCAUAAAGCGGGGUCGACGUGGUCGGGGAUGCUGGUCUCGUUCGAUAGAGUCCAGUGGCUUGAUGCCUCCCGUCGGGGGGAUUCCUCUCGACUGUCUCGACCCUACCUUGGACAUCCCUAGCGAGUUCUAGAGGUGGGCCUCGAUUUUCGACCACUCGCUAGGCAUCCCUGACUCUGGUGCUCGAGAUCGGCUGUCGAACUCUUUCGGCAGGUCAGCCUGCGACCUCUCGAGGCUUUCGUGGGUGCGUUCCUUGGCUUACAAGGGAAGGAAGAGGCCGUGGCGGUUCGCCUUUUUGCCCGUUGGGCGCACCUUUUCAGGCGGGAGCCGUUGCGACACUGUAUCGGUGCAGAAUUCGGAGCGCCCCAUCUGUGAGGAGGAAAAUGACCGUUAGGCGGCGCAUUUAUGUGGGGAGUUACCUCAUUUAUCGGAUCCGUCCGUUGGUGGGUUGCUGCCUAUAAAUAUCCCGUGGUAUCGCCGCCGUUCUCCCUUCCGCCUUCUGUCUUCAUCUUUGCCUUAGCUCUCUCGCCGUCUUAGCUCUCUUGCCAUCUCACGCGCGCUCACCCCCUCGGGCAGUAGCGAAUCUGCCCUCCUUCCGUCCAAGAUGCCUAUGAGACUCGUUGCUGCCGACGACUGGCACCCGGCGUCGAUGACGGAACGCCGGUUGCUGGAGCUUGAGAGGGAGGGACUCCUGCGCCACCGCACAUCGCCGUCGUCGCCGGAGUGGAUCGCGCCACCAGUGGACCAAAGGGAGCCCAAGCCGCCCAAGGGCUAUGUGGUUUCGUUCGCUAAGUUCCACCGCCAUGGCCUGGGUGCUCCUCUGAGCCGCUUCAUGCGGACGCUCUGCCACCAUUACGGGGUGGAGCUCCAGCACUUCUCCCCAAAUGCCAUCACCGUCGCGGCGUUCUUUGCCGCGGUGUGUGAGGGUUAUUUGGGGAUGAUGCCCCACUGGGAGCUGUGGCUCCACCUCUACAGGGGCGAGCUCUUCAACGCCCCCACUGGAGCCGCCGAAGUGAGGAAACCCGUGCGGGCUGUGUGCCUGAACCUGGUGCUGAAGACGGGGAAGACGGAGAGGCCACGGGAGUACAUCCCGGUGGGAUUAUCGUCGAACCAUGCCGGAUGGGACUCCCAAUGGUUCUAUCUAUGGAACGACGACGGUCUCCUCCCUGCCUACACCGGCCGCCUGAUUACGGAGCGCCCGGAGAACUGGACAUACGGCGUCGUCCAGGUCCACCAGUCGCGGCUCGACCCCCUCCUUGACGCCUUGAAGAAGCUACGCAUGGAGGGCCUGUCUACUGCUCUCGUCCUCUCGGCCGUCCAUCAUCGGAGAGUUCUCCCGCUGAUGUCUCGGCCGCUGAGGAUGGAUGAGAUGGGGCCCGGCGCUUUGUCCCGGGACCUCGAGGCAUGCCGGAUGUCCAACGAGGCUCCGGCGGACGAUGAGGUCGCGGCCCGGGUCAGGGCAGCCGUUGCCGACGACUUCCAGCCAGAGCACGUUAAUGGCUUCCCCAUGAGGCCCGACGCGGGCUCGAUCGACCUUGUACGUUCUUUUCUUGUAUACGGCUUUGAUUCUAGAUCUCUUUCGAUCCCCUUUCAAGCUUGUCUUUGUUCUGGCAGGGACAGAUCGAUGUCCGAUCCUCGAGGCCUCCAGUAAAGGAGGACGAGGCCGACCAUGUCAAGCGGCGCCAGUCUGCUGAGAAACAAAAGUCCGCCAAGGACUCUAAGAAGAAAGGGAAAAAGAAAAAGAACCUCGACCGCCAAGCGCUAGAGGCGCGUCGAGCUAAGUCCAGGCAGAGGGGGGAGCCUGACGAGGAAUCCCCCAGUGAGGAUGAUGGUGGAGACGGUGAUGAUGACAGCGAUGACUCCGAGGGGAUGGCGUCUCGCCUCGACCGGAUCCUCGAGGGUCCGCCUCGAGGUGACGUCGACGCCCCCCGGACGGGGGCACAAAAGGAGGGGCCAGGCGGAUCUCACCGCCCCCGCGCUGACACCUCUCCCGUGCCUGCGCCAAGUCAGGCCGUCCUGCCCCACCAACCUCCCCCUGCACCAAAAGCGGGUGGCCGGGCUAAGCCCCAAGCGACGGGGCCGUUGACCCAUGGCCGCGCCGCGGCCUCCGACAAGGGAGACACUAGCCGCAGGAGCACUAGCCCCGGCGCCCGCCAGGUGGGAGACGCUGGACCAAGGCCUGCGCCUGCCCGUGAGGGGACUGGAGUCUCAACGCGGGGUGGUUCGAGGUCCACUGGUCGAGGUACCGGCAGGCGAGCCGUUCUCUCUGUGGGGUAAGUUCUUCGACGCUAUGAUUCCCAUCUUCCUGUUUCCUUGCGCUUUCUCGUAUAACGGUCUUCCUUACGCUCAUUUCUUUUUCCUCAGGUUGAAGCGGACGCUUGAGCAGGCCCAGCCUUCAAUGGCAUAAAGGCUCAAGGUGGGAGCGGCCUCCAAGGAUUCAGGUUAGUUACUUAUUCCCGUUGUUAUGGGAUUUGUGUUGUUCUUACGUCGACCACCAUAAUGACUGACCUUUGUUUUUUGCUUUAUAGGCUCCUCCGACCCUCAACCACCGACUGGUACCGAGGGUGCCCCGCCCCAUCCCCUGGCGGGUGAGUCUGCCCCGUCGUCGCCAAAACAAGCCGAGGCGCCUCAGCCCCAAGGGCAGGAGGGAGCCCCUGAGCCUCCCCGAUCAGGGGUCAAGGGGGAUCCCAUUACCAUAAGUGAUGGAUCUGGCGGCGACGGGACCUCGAGGGAUGCCCGUCCUAUGGACGAGGAGGCCCAGACUUCUCUCGUCGCGAGACGGACGCCCUGGCCUGCCGGGCUUCGCUCCAUCGAGGAGCAGAAGAAGAAAGAAAAGGAGGAGCGUGAGCAAGAGACGCCGCGGCAACUGCAGGAGCAGGACCAUCAACAAGAGCCGCGGGAGCUUGAGGAGCAGCAGCAGCGGAGGGGCCUGUUGACGGUCCUUAAGUGUCAAAUUUAAUUAUCAAAUAAAUAAAGAAAAGGAUCUAAAUGAAAUCAACAUCUAGACUUAGGGUUUCAUCUGAUAGAAUUCCACGAGUUUUGGUGUUUGUCUAUUUCUGCAGGGGGUUAUCAGGAAAUACGGAAGAAAGGCCCACACGUCGGGAUUACAUAGAGAUAUUAACGUGCCGCGCAAUUAUCUUACAUCUAGAAGACCCCAGAAGCCACGAGACCGAAGCGGAGGCGAACGAGGCCUGACCCUGGGCGCCCGCCCACCUCCUGAGUCCAAUCAGGACUCUGCUUUGCGAGAGAUCUCCACCGACCUAAAGGAUGAAUCUAAACCAUACAAUCUAUAUCGGUUUGAUCCAACGACCCAUAUUCACUUGAAGGGACUAUAAAACCAGACCCCUUGGCCCCUGGAGGAGAGAGCCUCUCAACCCUAAUUCAUUGUUCCUCAAGGGAGAAGAAGCCUCUGAUCAAGAUUAGAGCCACCACAUCUAUUAGAUAUCUAGAUUAGCAUAGCUACAUAGGAUUAGAACUAGAAGGAGUCAAUCUUCGAUUGGUUUCCGGAUCUGUCAGGAGGAUUCUUGGUAAUUCUCUAAUUGUGCUUCUAAUUACUUUCUAAUUAUCUUUGUUCUUAAUAUUAUGAAUAUGACUUUGUUCUACUUCAAUAUAUUGCUUAUGACUUUGCUCUACUUGUUUAUAUUCAAGAUUAUAUUGUUCUUAGUUUAUCAUAGUUAUGUACUUGGCUUAGUUAGAUUGGAUCUAUAUACAUGCUUAGGAUCGUAUAGCGUUUAUCCAUCGGAUCCAUGGUUAAAUGAUAGAUAUUGUGUAGGCGUGGUGCUUAUACAGUAUUUAUCUGCGAUUGUACCCAAUAUGCCAGAUCGUGGGAUAGUUCGUGGUAGUGAUAGCUUCAUUGAUUCUUAUGUAGUCCCCCUCUCGUGUAUUGGGCUGGCAGAGCAAUAUUAUUACAGGAGAGUGAUUGCUAUGUUUCUCAUUUACCUUGCUAAUAUCACUAUGCAUGGGCGUAGUCUUGUCUCGCAAUGAUUGCUAAGUAUGGUUGCACUAAUUAUGAUAUGCUAGACUAUAUAGUUGAGAAUAACUUAGGAAAUAUUCUUGUAGUUCGUUCUAAUACCAUGCUAAUGACUUUCUAGAGUAUCUAAUUGAGGUGCUUAUUAUAUUUAUUAUGUGGCUAGAUCAGAUUAAUUAUCCUUGUCACUAUUAUUAUUUCAUAUAUCUUUUAUGUGACACUUAUCCCUGUAUGAAGAGUUAGAUAUAAUGUUCUCAAUUAUACAUGCAAUGAUAGAUGCUCAAUCUCAUAUUCUAUUCUAUAAUCAAUAUUGAUGAUUGCUAAUCCCUUCCCAGUGGUAAAAAUAUAAAUAAUGAUACCUGGAAUACUUCCCUGUUAAAAUACUGCAUCGGUAUUUAUCUGUGCGCUUGCAGAUCCCAUUCAUUAUUUAUUUAGAAGAGCAAUUGCAUAUUUCAAUACCGCGUCUCUCAUGUCAUGCUAGGGAUGACAACUUGGCUUAAGUGGUGUGAGGGAUAGGUUUGGCAUUUUUGGCACCGUUACUAGAUUUAGAGAACUUAUUCUACUUUUGGUAAUGAUAUUAAGAAUACCCAACAGGGCCAGACGUCGGAGGAACCGCUCGAGCCACCUCCUCACAGUCCGCCCCAAUCUUUACUACCGGCGCCGCAAGAGCUCGGGAACCACGAAGAGGGUCUGCCGGUUUUCGGCCCUCCGACCCCGGCGUGGCUCCAUCCAGGGGCGCCCGCCGCGAUCCCAGUAGAGUCGGGGCGGACGGACGGUGUGGUGGCGCUUGCCUGCAUGAUGCGCACCCCCGUCGACCCCGAGUCCGAGAUUAGGAGGACGAUCUACGGCAUGGACGGGAUUGCUCUGGGGUUCCUCCGGGAGCGUCGGUCGUGGGAGGACCGUAUUCCCGCCUAGGAGAACGAGGCUGGGACGUCGAGCGGUGGCGGAGGCAACGAAACAGACACCUGGAAGACGGUGGACGACGACGAGCGGUUCCCCUCCCUCGUCGACUUGUUCCUACGCCAUGGGGGGUCCCUCGAGACCGUCGAGGAGCUCAUCCGCGGCGUCAAGGCGCGGGCCGACCAGGAGAUGGAGAACUGGUGCCCCGAUCGGAUCCACAUUCGGGCUUCCACCGAUCCGUCUGAGCCCAACAUCUUCCUAGACGAUCGGAAGGAGGCUGAGAAGUGGGAGCACGUCGAGGAGCUCCGCCUCUGGAUGAAGCACACGGUGGGGCUCCUAUCGAACGUUGUAAACAACGGGCUCAGACCAGCCUACUUUGUAAGUAUUGUUCAGUCUUUCAAUCUUUGUGGAACUUGUUGGUUUUGUGUUCUAACUGCUCGAUCACCGGCUCGCAGGACCUGAAAGAGACCUCCCGCAUUAAGUCAAGCUUCAUUCACGUCACGAGAGGCGGCUGGGAGCAGCUCCCCAUCCUCAAGGACCAACUCCUGGAGUCGCAGGAGAAACUCCUCAAGGCUUACAAAGAGCUCUUAGCGCUCGAGGAGGAGAAAAAGGAGAGGGAGGCUGCCUUAGUCGAGGCUCGAGAGGCCUCAAGGAAGGCGGUGGAAGAGGCUGUGCUGCUGAGGGAGCGGGCUCUGAUGGUCGAGGAGGCUGCGUCCAAAGCCUGGGAGGAGGCCCUGUCCUACAAGAACGUCGUUGCUGACCUGGACAAGGAGAAGGGCCUCCUCAAGACUGACCUGGCCUCCCUCCGAGAAUCCUUCCAGAGGAUGAAUAUGGAGUAUGUGAACAGCGAGGUCGCCAGGAGCGCCACAGAUGAGGCAAAGAAGAAGGCCCUUGAAGACCUCGAGGCGGAGCGGGCUCGAUCCCGCAGCCUCUCUGAUGACGUCGAUCGUCUGAAGAGGGCGCUGCUGGAGAAGGAAGGAGCCAUCACGUAGGCUGGCAAGGCGAUCGUGGAUCUACGCGUCGCCAACACCGUGCUGGCGCGCUCUAACAGGGAGGUCGAGAGUGCCAACACCAAUUUAAAAACACGGCUCUAGAGGAGAGCAUCCGUUGUAUGUUUUCUAUUAUCGAGUUUCUUUCCUAAGGCAUGUUUGGCAUUAUCUAAUCCACUCACUUUGAUUCUUGCAGGGCUCAAGGACGAGCUGCUGGCUGCCCAAGUCGAGCCCGCUCCAUCAAGACCCAGCUCGAGGGGGAGGUCGCCUUGAACGGUCGUCUAAGGACUACGAUAAGCAACCUCUCGGCCUCCUGGGAGCUCGAGCCUAUUGACAAGUGGAGGGAGGAGGCUCGGGGCGACGCACUCGUCGACCAGCUAUGCUAUCUUGGAGCUACGCUAAGAGACCGGGUGCGGGACGCCCUCCACGUCGGAGUGAAGCGGGCGAUGGCGGUAGUCUGCUCAGGCUUCUCCAACGACAUGGAGGUGGUGUCCCACAGCUUCGUCACCGACAUCUCUAAGACUGACGCAGAGAACGAGGUGAGGCUCCAUGCCUUGAUCGACGAUGCAGAGGUUCCUGGAGAGAGGUUGGCUAAGCUAUUCGAGUUAGAGGUACUUCCUCCUGAGACUAGCUCAGGCGCGGAUGAGGAUGGUGAGGGCCGAGACGCGGACUGAGGCCUGCGAGCCUACUCUGGGUGCCUGGGCCCCUUGUAUAGUACUCUGUCAACUUGUAUUUAAGUAAUAUCUUUUAAGUGGUUGUCAAAUGUUUAUCUGUCUUUCCGCUCAAGGCUCUUUUAUUUUCCUUUGCGCCUAUGUUUGUAUUCUUCGUUUGAUCUUUUGUUUAAGGCGAUCUCGAUUGCCUCAAGGGUGAGGAAGCGAGUAGAGUUUCCGUAGCCCGGGGGCAUAGGAGUUCUCAGGCUCGUCGUCUCUCCGCCCUUAAGGGGCUCGAGGUGCCUCUACUACUCGACCAUACGAGAUUACUGAUAGGAAAGAAAGGGUUACUUGGUUUUUUCGACACUUGGGGGGGUCGCCCCCCUGCUAGCCCCCGAGGGGGUAUCGACUAUGAUGGGUCAUAGUUGGUACUCCCUUCUAACGUCGAGAUUUUGACUCGUGAGAAAGUAAAUUGCUUGAGGGAAAGACCUUAUUUAUUCAUGCAUUCAUUUACAAAGCCUUGGUACAGAAUGUACAUGAGAACAUAAAGCUUUGAAAUUCUAGGGGUAGAAUCGACGUAGCUGUUCGAUGUUCCACGCGUUGGUGAAGGUUGCCCCCUUUUCGUCCGCGAGCUUGUAUGUCCCCGACUUCAAGACUUCAGCCACUACGUAUGGGCCCUCCCAAGGUGGAGUCAGCUUGUGGCGUCCUUGAUUGCUUUGCCGCCGUCGUAGGACGAGGUCGCCCAGGUUCAAGUCCCUCUUGCGCACGUGCUUGUCGUGGUAGCGUCGAAGUUUCUGCUGGUAUCUAGCAGAGUUGAGGAGGGCCAUGUCUCGAGCUUCCUCGAGUUGGUCGACCGCGUUCUCUUGAGUCUCUUUAUUCGAUUGCUCGUUGUAUGCUUUGAGUCGAGGGGACCCAUACUCGAGGUCUGUUGGGAGCACAGCCUCAGAGCCAUAGACCAUGAAGAAUGGGGUGUAUUUUGUGGCCCUGCUCGGCGUCGUCCUUAAGCUCCAUAGGACCGAGGAAAGGUCCUCGACCCAUUUCUUGCCGAAUUUCUUCAAGCGAUCGUAAAUCCUCGGUUUGAGCCCCUGCAAAAUCAUGUCGUUGGCAUGCUCGACCUGGCCGUUAGUUCGAGGGUGGGCCACUGUAGACCAGUUCACACGGAUGUGAUGCUGAUCGCAGAAGUCCAAGAACUUUUUGCCAGUGAACUGAGUGCCGUUGUCGGUGAUGAUGACGUUGGGAAUCACAAACCGGUGGAUGAUGUCGGUGACGAAAAGCACGGCCUGCUAGGAGCGGAUGUUGGUGAUGGGUCGAGCCUCGAUCCAUUUGGAGAAUUUGUCGAUGGCCACCAACAAGUGGGUGUACCCCCCUUUUGCCUUUUGUAGAGGCCCUACUAAGUGGAGCCCCCAUACCACAAACGGCCAUGUGAUCGGGAUCAUCUGGAGAGCGUGGGCAGGCAGGUGCGUCCGUUUAGCGUAGAAUUGGCACCCAUGGCAUGAGCGCACGAGUUCGACAGCAUCAGCUACGGUCGUUGGCCAGUAGAAGCCUUAUCGAAAGGCGUUCCCUACGAGGGUCCGUGGAGCAGCAUGGUGACCACAAGCCCUCGAGUGUAGAUCCUCGAGGAGUUUUCGGCCUUCCUCUAUGGUGAUGCAACGUUGCAAGACCCCCGUCGGGCUUUGUCGAUAUAGCUCUUUGUCCUCGCCGUAGCUUACAUAUGAUUUGGCCCGUCGAGCGAUACAGCGGGCCUUGAAUUAGUCUUCUGGUAGCUCGCAGCAGAUUAGGCAGUCGAGGAACGGCGUGCGCCAAUCAAACAGUCGAUUGGGCUGCUGUUCCACCUCCAUUACUUCGGCUUCCAUUAGCAGCGCUUCAACGGAGUCGGUUUGCUGGGCAGGAGAGGCUUCGACGCCAGACCCCAAGCCCAAGUCGACGGAUGGCUCGUGAAGAUCUCUCGAGAGCGCGUCAGGUGGUACCGUGCCUCAAGUCGACGCGAUCUUGGCGAGUUCGUCAGCCGCCUCGUUGUAGCGUCGGGCGACGUGUGUUGACGGUCCUUAAUGCUCACAUUUAACCAACAACUAAUCAUAGAAAAGGAUCCAAAUGCAACCAACACCUAGACUUAGGGUUUUAUGUGACAGAAUUCCGCAAGUUUUUCUUGUUUGUCUAUUUCUGCAGGGGGUUAUUAGGAAAUACGGAAGAAAGGCCCACACGUCGGGUUUACAUAGAGAUAUUAACGUGCCGCGCAAUUUUCUACCAUCUAGAAGACUCCAGAAGCCACGGGAACGAACGGGAAGGAAAUCGGGCUCGGAGGCAGGGCGCCCGCCCAACUCUCCUGGGCGCCCGCCCAGCUACAGUGCCCAAUCAGGACACGUUUCGCGGAUUAUGCUCCACCGACCUAAAGGAUCAAGGAAAACCGUGCGAUCAAUGUCGGUUUGAUCCGACGGCCCAGAUUCACUUGAAGGGACUAUAAAACCAGACCCCCUGGCCCCUGGAGAUCAUACCUCUUCUACAGAAUCAAAGCUAGGGUUUCAAUUCUUCAUCCAAGUAGAGAGGAUCCCUCUAGUUUUUCUUGUUCUACCUCUAGUUCAUCUAGAUCUAGUUCUAGUUCAUCUAGUUCUAGUUCUAGUUCUUCUAGUUAUAGUUCUAGUUCGUUCUAGUUGUAAUCUAGAAAAUAGGGAGAGAGAAGAGGAGAGCGGAGGAGGAGCCGGAUGUGUCGGAUCUUCCUCAACAUUGUACUUUUGCAGCAACUGGUUCGUUCUUCAUCGUUCUCCAGGUUCUUCAAUUCAUAACUCCUGAGUUCUCUAAUUACUUUUAUUUACAUUCAAGUUAUUUAUUGGAUUCCCGCUUGCAUCAAGUGCUCUAAUCUUUGAAACAUUAGAGUAGUAAUUAAUAGAUUAGAUGUGGUGUUUAGUUUUGCAAUUACCUGGAAUUGCACCCAAUCCUGCGGAUUGUUGUGGUACCCUUAGGGUAGUGACAGCCCUAACGGUCGACGUAUUACACCUCGUUCGGAUCGGUGUUUGUAGGACCGUAGUCAGACCUUCCUAGCCCCCUUCUCAUUUCUUUCUGUGGUUAGUGCUCUGAUGUCCCGAUAUAAAUAAUCUUGAAGUAAUUCUUGAUUCUUAGAUCAACUAGAGAACUCUCAGGAAACUUCCUCUCUUCCCACCAAAAAUAAUUAUAUAGUUAUCCUUGGGCGAUCUUGAUUCUUAAUUAGUACACUCACGUUCUCUGUGGAAAAUCGAUACUCUGGAAUACUCCCGGGUGAAAGCUACAUCGGUAUCCGUGCGCUUGCGGAUUUUUCUGUUUGCGUUUAAAAUACCCAACAAGCUUUCUGGCGCCGUUGCCGGGGAACGGUAGCUGUGGUAGUUUCGAACCAAGUCGUCCGUGUAUCCUUUUUCUUUUCCUUUUUUACCACACUCACCUUAUCAUUUUCACCAUACCACAUGGAUUUCACUCUAAGCAUUAAUGAGCAUGGAAUUUAUUUCAUAGCCACUUCAUUUACUCCAUGCUCAUAUGCAACAUCUUCACAAUCCAUUGGUCUCUCCAACAUCACCAUAUUCGAGAUCUCCAACCCCCUCAUUCUUUCUAUUCGUAAAAACUUUAAAAGGGUGGUUGUCGAUGCAUAUGUCUAUAAUAAAUUUUGCAGAUCUCGUUGAGUUGAUCUUGAUAUAGGUCAGCGUUGGAGGGGAAACCACUUCACUGACAUAAAUUGAUGGUUUCCCAAGGACAAGCUUAGUGUCCUAAAACAAGCACUGAUCAGAUUGUAACAUGAGCUUUUAAUUAUUUGCAACAUUACCUUGUAUAUUGAGCACAUAAGGAUAAUUGUAAAAAUAUUCCUUCGUGUAUUCUUGUCACUAACCUUUCCAGGAUUGGAGCAAGAAGAUCGGAUGAAUGACAAGCACAAGGUAUGUCCAACCAAUCAUCAUACAACAUUGAAUUCAAUUCAUCCAAACUUGAAUUUUGCAAAAUUCAAGCUUGGGGGAGUACUUUACAUAAAAACAUUUUUUGCCAUGUUGCUAUGUUGGUUGUCCCUACCUUUGAGACAUGCUAAAUUUGUUAAAUACUAAUCACACUACUUCAUCUCCACUUGAGUAGAUCUCUAUAAAUGCCCUCAUGCUACCUUUAUUUGCUUUAGUAUAUGUUUAGGUUUGGAGUAGUUUCAUUUAUCUCUUAAUUAAGCAAGGUGCUUAGUUAGGAAUGUUGAUCUUACUUCCAAGGGAUUUUAAAUAAAGCAUGGUGCUUAGGUUAAAAUACCCUCCUAAAUCAAAUUAGACAUGGUGUCUAGGUUGAUCUUUGAGCCGAUAGUAUGCUAUAGUAGAUAUUGGAUAUUUUGUUGGACUAACCCCUGCAGGAAAACUUUCAAUAUCGACCUGGGAAGUCCUGAGAUAAACUCACAUUGGAGAUAAAGAGAGAGACACAUGAAGUUUAACAAUUUACACAAGGAAGGCAUAGCUCACAAGAGAUGAUCCAUGGAGGGUGCCACAAACACGAUGCACAACCGCUAAGAGAGGAAAGCUUCCACAAGGUGAUACUGUACCAUCACUCUUCAAGUAAGGUAACAUCUUAAGGUACUUGACUAUCACUUCUAUAAGCUUCUCCUUGGUUCUAGCAUUCACAUGAAUAAAAGAGACAAACAUGUAUGAUUUACAAUUCUAGAUUAACCAACCCAAUCGAUUCAAUAUGUUUAGUCCUUUCACCUUUGUGAUCCCGCACUAAAUGUUGCACACACAAUCUUUGGAAGAUAUAUAUAAAACAAGAGAUAAGUAUAGAUAGAUUAUCUUUCCAUUAGGUUGAGUGAUCUGAUCUGAUGAAUGUUUUAAAUGCUACACUCAUGAUCUUAUUAUCCAUCAACUUUGUCUUGCUCACUAUGCUUAAGGUUAGAGAGAACAAAUACACUUUUUGGUUCUGUUGGUGUUUUCCACCAACAGGGCCCAUGCACUUGAUCUCUGCCUUGUCUCUAUGAGCAGGUACACUUCGAGCAAAAUAUGAAGGACUUUUACAACUCCCAGACUCCACCAAGUGAAGAACCUAGAUCUACGAGCACAAACACACUGGGGAUACUGGACACUCAGGCAAUCACUGUCCUGAGAUGCUUGAGGAUGUAACUACUGGAGUAACCCCGUUGUGGAAGUAAUUACUGACCUUCUGCCGGUCAAGAGAGACAAUCCAGGACGCCCCGUCAUCCCGAUCUCCAUCGGCAUGGUGGACUUUCUAGAAGCACUCUGUGACUUUGGCUCUAGAAUCAACAUUAUGCCCAGGGUACUCUAUAAAAAAUUCUUUACACAUCCUUUCCUAGAAACAACCAUGUGUUUGCAGCUUGCAGAUCAGACACUAAGUUUCCCAAAGGGAAUAUUGAAGAACCUCUACGUCCGAGUUGGUACCUUAUACGCUCCAGCAGACUUCGUGGUGAUAGAGACUGAUACUGAUGAGAGGGCACCCAUCAUCCUAGGGAGGCCAUUCCUGAACACUUCGGGAGCUAUCAUUUAUGCUAGUGCUGCCAAGAUCAGUUUCUACAUCAAGGGGAGGAAGGAGACGUUUUCCUUCAAGAACAAGACUACACAAAUCCUAGAGCAAUCCCGACAUGAACCAUGGAAGAGGACCAACAGGAGGAACAGGAACAAGCAAAUGUGUACCGAGUCAGCUAAGAUGGUCACUGCAGCUCAAGGAGGUCAAGAUCGUCAACUCAAGUCACCUUUCUUGAUCAAGAAGGACGAUCCUGGUGUUCCAAGCAUCGAGUACACAAUCAACGGAUAUUCUUUUCAGAAGACACUCUACGACACCGGAUCUGACGUCAACAUAAGGGCCGCAGUCACUUAUCAGCUCCUAUUCGGAACCAUGCCUCUAGAACCGACAUACAUUCAGCUUCAGAUAGCAGAUCAGACAUUCCGAAAGGUUGAAGAUUUUCAGGUUAUUGACAUGGUAGAACACUAGUACGAUCCAACCAUCAUCCUUGGAAGACCGUUCCUCAGCACCGUUAAAGCAAUCAUAUACAUUGGAACCUAAGAAGUCCACAUGCACUUCCCCUCUGAGAAGGUAUGCCACUAUUUUUCUGACCUUAACUAUAUAGUUGAAGACUCUAAGCAGGUCAGGACAAGAAGAAGAUGACGCAACCGUAACCAGAGGAGGCAAAUCAUCAAGGACGGAUGGGCAGACUAUGAAGGAGAAGUUGUAUGGUCUAAAGACAUACAACUUGAACAGAACUGUCCUGAGGAGACCGUAGCACCGAGUCAGGUGUGGAGAGAGAAGAUAGUUAUACACGAAGAGCAGGCUCUGCCGGAACCACCGACUAUGCCAUCCAGCGAAUCCCAGGAUGACUGAGAAAACGGAGAGUCCCGUUCGGAGGACUUAAAAACACCGAACGCCUUGCCAAGAGGUAAACUUGGUAGUUGUCUUUUUCCUUUCAAUUAUUUUGAAAUAGUUUGCUUAGUUAAUCAGGUUGACAUCAUCUUAAAAAGAAUAUGAAAAUGUUAAAAAUAGUAAGCUCCAUGUGAGUAUGCUCAUGACAUAAAACCCAUAAGUACAUUCACUGUGGUGGCGUAAAAAUAAAUAUAUCUUCCUGUCCUAUAAAAAUGAAAAUAUAAAUAAGAUUAUGAUCCUACUAAAGAGAGUAACAUUUAUUGAGGAGGCUCAACAUGAUAAAGGCUAGAUAUUUAUGCUAACACUUAACUAGUUCCACAAAGCUUUGUUGUCUAUUUGAGCUCCACAGAAUUCAAGGAUCAAAGAAGACUAGCAGACGGAGGACAUGCUAAUCGCUGUCAGGGUGCUGCUGACAUUCAAAUACACCUCCACCACUUGCUAGCUACAUUAGAAGAAACUACGUCAAAAUCCAGCUUGGGGGAGAGCACCCCCAUUUAUCCAGCUAAGUAUUCUACUCACGUUUAUACUUUACUCUAAUAAUAAAAAGAUGCAUAAUCAUAGAAACCCAAAUAAAGAUUUUGAGCUUAUAUAUAUCUUUGCUUAGUUUGGUAAAUAAAUAAAUAAAUAAAGUUUGCUAUGAACCCUCAUGAUAAGCUCUCACAUGGAAAUGAUGAAUAGUUGCUCUGCCAUGACUAGUUCUAAAAAUUGAAAUCUCUCUCAAGUUUAGGCAUAACUGUUAUGAAUUAAGAUUUUCUCUAAACCUGAACUUGUGGGGAGAGUACUUGAUCUGAAGUCUAAGUCGUUAACGGAUAUACUAUAGGAAGUUUGAGCUGCUAUUUAUCUGUUCCUAGAGAUGCUAGAAUUCUGGAGAAUUUUAUCUUUGAAAAUCAUUAAAAUAUUACAUGAUGAGUUCCUGUAUGAUGAGAGUUUAAAUUCCUACCACAGCCAUAUAUGCAUGCUUGCUAGACUUUGAGCCACACAUUUACUUUUUACUACUUAUGAGCAUUGAGUGUGGUCAAGCUGUGUAGACCCUUAGGAGCUUGUCAUGUGGAUAAAUCAAGAUUCACUUGCACGUUCACUCACACAUGCUGCUUCUACUCCGGAAGUACGCAUCCACAUAUAUCCACCCAUUUCCAUCUCCAAAGCCACCCAAAAAUAUUCUACUCCUAAUCCGGGAGAGAAUAGCCAAAAAUAUUUCUGUUUUUCCCCUGCGAAAUAAAUGCUCAAGUUAUCUUGUUACUACCACUUGCUAUAUUAUCUCAUGAGAUGAGUGCUCUUAAAAAAAAGAAAAAAAAAAGAGACGAGGAAAUAAAAAGGGGCAAGUGCCCGGAACCUCGAAGAAAAGAAAAAGUGAGACGAGAGGUAAAAAUGGACAAGUGUCCGACAGUAGAAUUAGGGGUACAAGAUACCCACCUGAGAGAAAAGAAAAAGAAAAUAUAGAGCAUCUCAUUCUCCCCAAAAGUUUCAAAAGAGCAAGAAAGGUAUGUAUCCCCUCAAAAGAGCAUAAGUAGAAUUAGACUUUCACCAUUGUUAUCACCAUCAUCACCAUACACCAUUCAUUCGCCACACAUGCACAUCUUGAUUUGACUUAUUGACUUGUUCUUCUGGAUCCAUGGUUUGACUAUGCAAUAAAUGUCUUGUAAGUAUGUAUACUUUGUCUCCCACCUACGAGCUCCAGAUAUCAAAACCUUAUUAGAGUAGGGUGAGAGAGAAGGCAAUGUCACUAUGCCUCAUACCAAAAAUACUACAUACUUUGAGAGAAGGCAUACACCAUUACUGCCUUGGUAAGGAUCCAGAAAUACCACAAAAGAGAGACUAGAGAGAGUCAUACAAGGAAUCUCUGAGUUUUAUUUGAAAAUCUACAAAAAAAACUCCACAGCUAUAGUUAAUCGAAGAACAAGAGACAUGGUGCUUGACUAGACUGUUCUAUCUUUUAACAACUCGAGACAGAAGUGACGGUUACAAGUCCCAUGGUGAAAGGUAAAUGAGUAAGUUUUAAGUCUUAACAGUUUACUCUAACCAGAGAUGAGAUCUUGUUUAAACGCAUGUGUAUCUUUAAGGCAUGAAACCACUGUAGAAACUCUUGAGUCCAUCUUUGCUCAGGGACGAGCAAAGGUUAAGCUUGGGGGAGCUUGUUGAUGGUCCUUAAUGCUCACAUUUAACCAUCAACUAAUCAUAGAAAAGGAUCCAAAUGCAACCAACACCUAGACUUAGGGUUUUAUGUGACAGAAUUCCACAAGUUUUGGUGUUUGUCUAUUUCUGCAGGGGGUUAUUAGGAAAUACAGAAGAAAGGCCCACACGUCGGGUUUACAUAGAGAUAUUAACGUGCCGCGCAAUUUUCUACCAUCUAGAAGACUCCAGAAGCCACGGGAACGAACGGGAAGGAAAUCGGGCUCGGAGGCUCUCCUGGGCGCCCGCCCAGCUACAGUGCCCAAUCAGGACACGUUUCGCGGAUUAUGCUCCACCGACCUAAAGGAUCAAGGAAAACCGUGCGAUCAAUGUCGGUUUGAUCCGACGGCCCAGAUUCACUUGAAGGGACUAUAAAACCAGACCCCCUGGCCCCUGGAGAUCACACCUCUUCUACAGAAUCAAAGCUAGGGUUUCAAUUCUUCAUCCAAGUAGAGAGGAUCCCUCUAGUUCUUCUAGUUCUACCUCUAGUUCAUCUAGAUCUAGUUCUAGUUCAUCUAGUUCUAGUUCUAGUUCUUCCAGUUAUAGUUCUAGUUCGUUCUAGUUGUAAUCUAGAAAAUAGGGAGAGAGAAGAGGAGAGCGGAGGAGGAGCCGGAUGUGUCGGAUCUUCCUCAACAUUGUACUUUUGCAGCAACUGGUUCGUUCUUCAUCGUUCUCCAGGUUCUUCAAUUCAUAACUCCUGAGUUCUCUAAUUACUUUUAUUUACAUUCAAGUUAUUUAUUAGAUUCCCGCUUGCAUCAAGUGCUCUAAUCUUUGAAACAUUAGAGAAGUAAUUAAUAGAUUAGACGUGGUGUUUAGUCUUGCAAUUACCUGGAAUUGCACCCAAUCCUGCGGAUUGUUGUGGUAGCUGUUGACGGUAUUUAUACCAUGUUUUCUACUAUCAUAACCGUCAACAUAAGACUCAUUUUGGGAGAAAACAACCAAACAAAGUAGUAAUAUAGGUACAUAUAACCUAGUUCCACAUGUACAUGCUACUAUUUGGUUGCAGGAGUAAGAACAGGUACUUUUCAAGGGUCCAAACACUAAGAAGGGGUGAAUAACAAAAGAUCAGUGACACCAGUAACCAAGACAACAUUAUAGUCAUGAAGAGGAAGACAUGUAGGACAGGGCUGACACCCUAACCCCAUAGAAUUGGGGUCGGGCGACCCCACUUUGGUGGGUCCCACAGGUCAGCUCAACUCCACCGACAUCAGAGAGCCUCCAGGACACUGCAGGUGGGCCCAACCAGCCAGAUAGGGGGUCGGCCGACCCCACUUCAUGGCGGUUCCAGGGUCGGUUGGCCUCCCACCGACCUUGCCCACAUGUUGCACAUGUUAGUUUGCCUCUACCGUUGAUCAGAUGGCGGUUGUGAAGUCGGUUUGAUCCAAUGGUGCAUGAUGAAGAUGACGCGGAUCGCUGACGUGGCACCGGAGUAGCCCCUACUCCAUCUCCCACUAUAAAUACCCCCUAUUCCUUCACUUAAGAGUCAUGUAUCUUAGGAGUAAACUACUUUAGUAGCUUAGUGAUAUCAUAGUGAGUAGAGAGUGAGGAGUUCCAAGGAGGGGUCCCGGCUUGUCGGGAGUCUUCUUCGCGGAGCACCUCAGCGGAAGCAGGUCUUCUUGUAAGUCUUACUUCUGAGUCUUUUCUAGUAUUUAAUAUUUGGUCUGGUACUUUAAGUAUAAGAAUCCUUUACUGGCACAUUGCUUGAUCUUGAGUGCUCUUAGCUUUAGCUAAGCUUAGGGUAGCAAGAGCUAGUUUAGACGUGGUGUCUAGACUACUUCUUGCCAGUGUGGACUCCUUGUCGCAGUUGUGUAGACACCUAGUGUGAGAGUGACAGUCCUCGCUAGGCGGAAAGUUCCUCGCAUCUGUUGUAGGCAAGUUGCAAAUAAUAGUUGGGCUGAGCAGGGUAGUCGCUUAGGAGACGAGGAGGUGAAAAACUUCGUUAACUCAAUCCUCCUUUUCGGGUAUCGCCCUCAGUAAAGAGUUAGGUGAAAAACCUUGACUAUACUUAAUUACCAAGACCAGGCAUUAAUACUAGUUAGACCUCUCUACCCCAUUAUCCUAGACCCUUUGAUCAUCACCUAACGAUCUAAAGCCUAGUUAAUUCACUUCGCGUUCCCCGUGGAAAUCACGAUACCUGGAAUACUCCCGGUGAAGGCUACAUUGACUACCGUACGCUUGCGGUAUAACCGUUUGCCACUUCUGGUGUCAACAAGCUUUCUGGCGCCGUUGCCGGGGAACAGUAGCUGUUUUAACUAGGAAAAAAAAAUCGUUAAGUUAUCUUUGUUUGAUUUAAAACUUUAUACACAUAUCCAAAUGGAUCAAACAACCCUCUUCGAUUACGCUGCUCCAACGGGCGCUGAGUUGGAGCCAGCGAGUUCAUCAAAAGCCAUUUUGGCCUGUCACUAUGAGCUUCGCCCGAGUCUCAUAGCGAUGGUUCAGGAGAAUCCCUUUUCGGGAGAAGGAGAUGAAAAUCCUUACACACACCUACGAGAUUUCGAACAACUUUGUUCAUGCAUCCACAUCCAAGGGAUGAGGCGAGUUACCCUCAAGUGGAAGGUCUUUCCGUUCUCUUUGACGGGAAAGGCCAGACGGUGGUACACUCGCUAUGUAGGUAGUGUAGGAGGAGAAUGGGAAAAGCUGCAAGCCAAAUUCUGCCUCACCUACUUUCCCAUCUCUAGAAUAGCUCGUCUCCGUAGAGAAGUCCUAGACUUCAAGCAAGAAGGGAAGGAGUCUCUAGGUACGGCCUGGGCGCGUCUCACCGACUUAACAUCAUCUGGCCCAGACUUAGGUAUAACCGAGCCAAUUCUUAUGCAACAUUUUUACCUCGGACUUAGCCAACAAUCCGCACAAUUCCUUGAUUUAGCCUCCAAGGGAGCAUUCCUUCAUUUACCUAUCAGUGAAGGUAAGGCCAUUCUUGGGACUAUUCUCGAGAAUACCCCUUACACUGAUGAUCAUAUUGAAGCUCCUGAGGAAGAUCGAACUCCUAGGGAUGAACCUUCGACAGCCAAAACUCCUUUAGCCGCAACCCAAGCUGUCGAACCUGAACCAAUACCACAAGCACCUCCAAGGGAAGAAGUAAUUCAUCCCUUGGAUUACCCACUUAACAUCGAGACUGAUCUAUUUGCCGAUUUUGGCAAUGUCUCGAAUCAACCUGUGCAAAGGAGAUCUACAGCACGCAGAGCUCCGAAUAGCCAUAUCCCAGCUCAUCUUGAGGCUGGUUACCUCAGGGCAACUGCCCAAGAACUCACGGCUAUUAUGAGUAAUGAAUGGGUUAGAGAAGCUGAGACAUCAUCUGAUGUCAUCAAACUUCUUUCGAGUUUUACACCCAUUCCCUGUGUCAUAAACUCCACUCCUAUAGAAUCCCUUUAUGACCCUGCUGUAGGAGUAAGCCUAAUGUCCAAAUCAUUAGUACUGACACUCCUAGGCGAGGAACCAUUAACCCCGACCAGCAAAUUUCUUAAAUUACCCUCUGGGGAAAUGGUCGAGAGUUGUGGGAUUGCGCAGAAUAUUCCUGUCUCCAUUAACAAAGUCAACAUUCUGCUAAACUUCUUUAUCUUUGAUAUGAAAGAAGUUGACUUGUUAAUCGGGCACCCCAUCAUGAGGUUCCUAAAUGGAUUUCAUGAAGGGCGUCUCAAGGGUAACCUCGGGAAGGGCUUAGACCUUUCUAUGCCUUUUGCCGGCUCUAUUAAUUCUAAAGCCGAGACCCCGCCCGAGCCUGACCCAAUAAAGGAGGUGAUGUCGGCAUCUCUUCUGGACGCUUCUCAGCCUGACUUAGAAGAAGACGCCGAAAACUUCAUCCAAGAAGAAGAGAACAAAUUAGAAGAACCAUUAGACUUGGAUGAAUCUAAACCACCACCAAAACCCUCUAUAGAACUUAAGCCACUUCCCUCUGGACUUAAGUACGCCUUCCUUAAUGGUGAUAGAGAGACUCCGGUAAUCAUUAGUGAUCAACUGACAGAAGAAGAAGUCACCAAACUCAUCAUCGUCUUAGAAGAACGCCGCUCUGUCUUAGGAUACUCGUUAGAAGACCUUAAGGGAAUUAGUCCUGCACUCUGCACUCAUCGCAUCCCUAUCGAACCCGAUGCUAUACCUUCCAGGGAGCCUCAGAGAAGGCUAAAUAAUGCGAUGAGAGAAGUUGUGAAGAAAGAGGUCUUAAAACUAUUGCAUGCGGGCAUAAUCUACCCUGUUCCGAACAGUGAAUGGGUCAGCCCCGUUCAAGUAGUUCCUAAGAAAGGAGGAAUGACGGUCGUUAAAAAUGACAACAAUGAACUCAUUCCUCAACGGACUGUCACGGGAUGGAGAAUGUGCAUAGACUACCGAAAACUUAACAAGGCCACUAAGAAAGACCACUUUCCGUUGCCAUUCAUCGAUGAGAUGCUGGAACGGUUAGCCAAACACUCUUUCUUCUGCUUCCUUGAUGGGUAUUCGGGUUACCAUCAAAUCCCAAUCCAUCCCGACGACCAAAGUAAGACUACAUUCACAUGCCCCUACGGAACAUAUGCAUAUAGGCGCAUGUCUUUUGGCCUAUGCAAUGCUCCUGCCUCUUUUCAAAGGUGCAUGAUGUCCAUCUUCUCCGAUAUGAUCGAGGAAAUCAUGGAAGUUUUCAUGGACGACUUCUCCGUCUAUGGGAAAACUUUUGAUGAUUGCCUAAAGAACCUGGACCGAGUCUUACAAAGGUGCCAAGAGAAGCACUUGAUCUUGAACUGGGAAAAGUGCCAUUUUAUGGUUCGAGAAGGGAUAGUGUUAGGACAUAGAGUGUCCGAACGUGGGAUAGAGGUAGAUAGAGCUAAAAUUGAAGUUAUAGAACAGCUCCCUCCUCCCACAAAUGUUAGGGGCGUCCGUAGCUUUCUUGGCCAUGCAGGCUUUUAUAGAAGGUUCAUACAAGAUUUCUCUCAAAUUGCUAGACCUUUAACAAACCUGUUAGCUAAGGAUGCACCCUUUGAUUUUAAUGAUGAGUGCUUGGAUUCCUUUUACUAUCUUAAGAAAGCACUUAUCUCUGCACCAAUCAUUCAACCCCCUGAUUGGUCGCUACCUUUUGAGAUAAUGUGUGAUGCUAGUGAUUACGCUGUAGGUGCUGUCUUAGGACAGACUAAAGAUAAGAAGCAUCACGCAAUAUCUUAUGCUAGCAAAACACUAACAGGACCACAGCUGAAUUAUGCAACAACUGAAAAAGAACUGUUGGCUGUAGUGUUUGCUAUAGACAAGUUUAGAUCUUAUUUAGUUGGAGCAAAGGUGAUUGUUUACUCCGAUCACGCAGCUCUAAAAUACUUGCUCACUAAAAAAGAUGCUAAACCAAGAUUAAUAAGAUGGAUCCUACUACUCCAAGAAUUUGACUUAGAAAUUAGAGAUAAAAAGGGAGUAGAAAACUCGGUAGCCGAUCACUUGUCUAGGAUGCAAAUCGAGGAUAAACAGGAUCCACCUAUCAACGACUACCUUCGAGACGACACACUCCUCCGAGUUUCAGAAGCCUACCCAUGGUAUGCAAACAUAGUCAACUACCUGGUGUCCGGAUACAUACCAUCUGGGGUAGACAAGAAGAAGCUUGUUAAAGAGAGUAGGGUGCACCUAUGGGACGAUCCUUACCUCUACAGAGUCUGUCAAGAUGGCAUACUCAGGAGAUGUGUUCCCAUGGACGAAGCAGUAAAAAUAAUGGAAAAAUGCCAUGGGGCAGAGUACGGAGGCCACUAUGGAGCAUUCAGGACCCAUGCCAAGAUAUGGCAGAGUGGAUUCUACUGGCCUACCAUGUACGAAGAUACAAAGAACUUCGUGAGGAGAUGUGCAAGGUGUCAGAAGCAUGGGAACAUCAAUACUCGUGAUGCAAUGCCACUCACAAACAACUUACAAGUCGAGAUAUUCGAUGCUUGGGGCAUAGACUACAUGGGGCCAUUCCCUUUGUCACAAGGGUUUGAGUACAUCCUAGUGGCAGUAGACUAUGUGUCCAAGUGGGUCGAAGCAAUGCCCUGCAGAGCAGCCGACUCUACACAUUCGAUAAAGAUGUUCAAGGAAGUCAUAUUUCCACGCUUCGGCACCCCCAGACUAGUUAUCAGUGAUGGAGGGAGCCACUUCAUUGACAGAAGAUUCCGACGGUUCUUAGCUGAAGUGGGGAUAAGGCACAACAUUGGAACACCCUAUCACCCUCAAACGAGCGGACAAGCAGAAACAUCUAACAAACAAAUCAAGAACAUUCUGCAGAAGACUGUCACUAAGAUGGGAACCGGCUGGAGAAGCCAUCUACCAGAUGCACUUUGGGCAUACAGGACCGCAUACAAGACCCCAAUUGGUAUGACACCAUACCAACUUGUAUACGGUAAGACAUGCCAUCUACCGGUAGAGCUAGAGCAUAGAGCUCACUGGGCAAUCAAGAAAUGGAACAUGGAUUUGCCCUCGGCCGAAAGAAAUACAAAGCUCCAAAUCUCCGAACUAGAAGAAUGGAGAGAUAAAGCCUAUCACAAUGCCAGGAUCUACAAAGAGAGAACAAAAAGAUGGCAUGAUAAAAGGAUCAAGCAAAAGGAAUUUCAUCCUGGGGAUAAGGUUCUCAUGUUCAACUCAAGGGUCAAGUUAUUUGGCCAUGGAAAGCUAAGGAGCAAAUGGGAAGGACCAUUCUUCGUUGUUGACGCCGCGACUCAUGGAGCGGUAACGCUGCGGGACGACGACGGCAACACCUUUAAGGUAAAUGGUCAUCGUCUUAAAGUUUUCCAUGAACAUGAACCUUUAGAAGAAGAAGUUGAUAUGAUAGAAUUUGAAUCUGACACAAAGUCUUAAAAUCCACAUGUCCUUCUUUUUACCCCCUUUUUUAAAUAAUUGCUAAAUCAAUAUAUUUAGUUCCUUUUUGUUUUGAAAUAGGUUUGUAAAGGGUUUUAGAUGACGUAGGAUCAAAGUUGGGCCGCCGAACACCCCAAAUGGGGGUCGGCCGACCCCUCUUCUAGGGGUUUUGGCCCAAGGGGGGAUAGGUUUAGAAAGAGGGGAAUGAAUAGAGUUCGGUGCUGAAAUUCAAAAUUCAAAAUCCUGAAAUAUAGGGGUCGCCCGACCCCAAUAUUUUGAGUUUUGAAAUCCCCUAGAGUCUCGGAUCGUCCCUCAAAACGUUCCACGACGCUCCUUUUCAAAAUUCAAACUCUCAGGCUCCAAACACAUCUAUUUAUCCCCCCUCUUCUUCUUCUUCCUCCUCUCAAUUCAUUCCUUCUCAUCUUCACCUCGAACCAGACUCUCCUAGCCUCCAUUCCUUGCCAAGAGAUUCAUCUCCAUGGCUCCUCCAACUAAAUCUUCCAACCAAGCCAUUCGCUCCAACUCCCCACGUUCGCAAAGGUCUCUAACUGAGAGCCUGGAGCUUGCCCUAGCCGUCAACGUGCUGGAGCCUGAACCACUAGCCAUGGUGCCGCCGGCUGGAGGGCCGACGGGCCCCAUGUGGGGGUCGCCCGACCCCAAGAGGGGUCGCCCGACCUCGCCCCGGGUGACGCAGCGCUCCGCGUCGGCCUCUUGUUCGCUCACACCGCGCAGGGGCAUCGGCAAGUCCCCUACUCGAGCCGUAACGCCGGUUCGACCUACCACGGGCCAACUUGCGCUGCGGGAGAAGGCGCCGAUGGCCACCAAGCAGGCCAUCACCAUCUCCUCCGACACGAUCCACACCUCUUCCUACUCGCCGUCCACCCCAACCUUUUGGAGGAACCACCAAGUGGUGGGCAGUGGGCCGGGAAAGGGGAAGGUGCUGAUCCCGCCGCUGAACUCUAAGGAAAAGAUGGAGUUGCGGGAGUCCUUUGACUCGUCAGCAAGUCCAUCCAUCCGGCGGAAGAUGGAUCCACCUCCGAUCAACGGUGCGCCUGGCAAAUACGAAGAAGAUCCAGAAAAAGGCGACAUCGAGAAGCUCCUGGAAGUCACAGCUAGCCUUAGAAAGAAAAAUAGGAUCUUAGAGGAGACAGUGUCGGAGCUCAGGAUGGAGAAUCUUGAGUUAGAAGAUCACUUCCGCCACCUGCGCAUUAGCACCAGCGCUAAAAUCAAGCGUUUGGCGCAAGCAAUUGGGCGGGAGGAUCUCCUCAAACCUCCAUCUCCCUAAAUAAAUUAGUUAGUUUAGGUUAUAGGCAUUAUUUGAUUAUUUAGGUUUGAUUACUCAAUUUUAUUUUUCAAAUUGUCACUUUGAAUUUCGCAAUGUAAAAGUGCCUAUACAAUUGAAAUUUGAUUUAAUGGAGUCGUUUUUGGUCCUGCUGGUGUGUUGCCACCAGCAGGACAUCUGCAUUUGAUCGUCUCUCUCUAUUUUAAGUUCAGCUGCACGAAAACUGCAAGUGUGGGGGGGUCGCCCGACCCCCCAACUUCAUCUCUGAACUGCCGUGAGCAUGGAACAACACUGCAUACACCUUGGCACGUCAUGGCACCAAAAACAGGCACGAUGAGGGGGUCGCCCGACCCCCUUUCUAUGGCAAAAGGAAAUGACACAAGUGCAGAAAGACUUCCCGAGGGACGUAGAAUCGAGUGGCAGGGCCAGGAACCUCCAGGUGGGGUCGGCCGACCCCUCCAUAGAGCCCUGGGCCCACCAGGAAGCUUCUAUACGACGAAACACAUCUUUCCUGCCCGGUUUGCUAACUCUUCCCCCUCUCAGUCUGUCCAAUUCUUUACCUUUGUGUCACAAUUAAAAUAAAAUUUGAUAGUUUAAACUUGUUUGCAAAAUAAAAAGUGAACUGGUUCAUGAUUUAAGAGAAAUUGUGACAUAAAGUAUAGUUCUUACAAUUGUUCAUCCUCAUGGGUAAAAAUCUAUAGGAACCAUAUUGACUAAGUUGUUGAUGAAAGUGAUAUAACUCUUGGCUAAGAAUUCAUAACAUUUCUAUUCAAGGUACUUAGAGAUUUGUUUCAAAAAUAUCACAAAACCAUAGUAUCAUUCACUCCUCAUUAGCAAGAAAUUCCCACCAAAAGCCAUACACUUAGAUAUUCAAGUAACCAUUUUAUGAAAUGCAACCUGCUUUUGUAAUGAGUUUUGUCAAAACCUUGUUGACCCUAGUGAGAGUUGUAUCAUAGUCACAAGAUCAAGAUCACGUACACACCACAUAUAUAUAUGCUGCUUCUACACUGGAAGUACGCAACCACAUGUAUUGUGCAUCCACUAAAUAGGUUGCUCCAUACUCUAAGUGUUAGAACACCUCUCUAAAUAUUGUUUAGAAAAUGAGACAUAAAAGGCUUGGCAAAAAAAAAAAAAUUGAGCACAUAAAGCUCGAAGAAAAAGAAAAUCUAGCCAUGUCUCAAUAUACAAGUAGAGAGAGUGUAGCAAAUAAAGGAGCAACCUAGUCCACCAUAUAACACACUUGCACAUUUUGAUCUAUGACUAUGACACUCCUCUCUUUGGAUCCUUGUUUUUGACUUAACAAUAUUUGCAAAGUAGAGUAUGCUACCUUGUUUAUCCCUACCAAGCCCCAUAUAAGCCUAUAGUUAUAGGAUGAAACAAGUUGGCAUUCAUGCCUUGGUGAGGACUACUAAAAAAAAAAACUUUGAGUGAUCUAGAGCGCUAAAUGAGGAGUAGGAUUGAACUAUGUGACUUAUUUUAAAAAGUGUCAUAAAAACUCUAAGUACCAAGAAUAUGAAAUUGGAAUUUGAUCUUGUUCUGAGAGUUGUUCCUUUUCUCAACCUCUGAAGGAUAUAUGCUAGACACUUACACAAAAACCCAUUUGGAUGAACUAUGUUCGAACUAGCAUUUUAUGCUCACUACUAUCUUAAGUUAGAACCCAUUGAUCACUCAUUUUUAACCUUUACUCGAGGACGAGCAAAGACUCAAGUGUGGGGGGUCUUGUUGACGGUAUUUAUACCAUGUUUUCUACUAUCAUAACCGUCAACAUAAGACUCAUUUUGGGAGAAAACAACCAAACAAAGUAGUAAUAUAGGUACAUAUAACCUAGUUCCACAUGUACAUGCUACUAUUUGGUUGCAGGAGUAAGAACAGGUACUUUUCAAGGGUCCAAACACUAAGAAGGGGUGAAUAACUAAAGAUCAGUGACACCAGUAACCAAGACAACAUUAUAGUCAUGAAGAGGAAGACAUGUAGGACAGGGCUGACACCCUAACCCCAUAGAAUUGGGGUCGGGCGACCCCACUUUGGUGGGUCCCACAGGUCAGCUCAACUCCACCGACAUCAGAGAGCCUCCAGGACACUGCAGGUGGGCCCAACCAGCCAGAUAGGGGGUCGGCCGACCCCACUUCAUGGCGGUUCCAGGGUCGGUUGGCCUCCCACCGACCUUGCCCACAUGUUGCACAUGUUAGUUUGCCUCUACCGUUGAUCAGAUGGCGGUUGUGAAGUCGGUUUGAUCCAAUGGUGCAUGAUGAAGAUGACGCGGAUCGCUGACGUGGCACCGGAGUAGCCCCUACUCCAUCUCCCACUAUAAAUACCCCCCUAUUCCUUCACUUAAGAGAAAUGUAUCUUAGGAGUAAACUACUUUAGUAGCUUAGUGAUAUCAUAGUGAGUAGAGAGUGAGGAGUUCCAAGGAGGAGUCCCGGCCUGUCGGGAGUCUUCUUCGCGGAGCACCUCAGCGGAAGCAGGUCUUCUUGUAAGUCUUACUUCUGAGUCUUUUCUAGUAUUUAAUAUUUGGUCUGGUACUUUAAGUAUAAGAAUCCUUUACUGGCACAUUGCUUGAUCUUGAGUGCUCUUAGCUUUAGCUAAGCUUAGGGUAGCAAGAGCUAGUUUAGACGUGGUGUCUAGACUACUUCUUGCCAGUGUGGACUCCUUGUCGCAGUUGUGUAGACACCUAGUGUGAGAGUGACAGUCCUCGCUAGGCGGAAAGUUCCUCGCAUCUGUUGUAGGCAAGUUGCAAAUAAUAGUUGGGCUGAGCAGGGUAGUCGCUUAGGAGACGAGGAGGUGAAAAACUUCGUUAACUCAAUCCUCCUUUUCGGGUAUCGCCCUCAGUAAAGAGUUAGGUGAAAAACCUUGACUAUACUUAAUUACCAAGACCAGGCAUUAAUACUAGUUAGACCUCUCUACCCCAUUAUCCUAGACCCUUUGAUCAUCACCUAACGAUCUAAAGCCUAGUUAAUUCACUUCGCGUUCCCCGUGGAAAUCACGAUACCUGGAAUACUCCCGGUGAAGGCUACAUUGACUACCGUACGGUUGCGGUAUAACCGUUUGCCACUUCUGGUGUCAACAGUAGCCUUAGGGUAGUGACAGCCCUAACGGUCGACGUAUUCCACCUCGUUCGGAUCGGUAUUUGUAGGACCGUAGUCAGACCUUCCUAGCCCCCUUCUCAUCUCUUUCUGUGGUUAGUGCUCUGAUGUCCCGAUAUAAAUAAUCUUGAAGUAAUUCUUGAUUCUUAGAUCAACUAGAGAACUCUUAGGAAACUUCCUCUCUUCCCACCAAAAAUAAUUAUAUAGUUAUCCUUGGGCGAUCUUGAUUCUUAAUUAGUACACUCACGUUCUCUGUGGAAAAUCGAUACUCUGGAAUACUCCCGGGUGAAAGCUACAUCGGUAUCCGUGCGCUUGCGGAUUUUUCUGUUUGCGUUUAAAAUACCCAACAACGUGGACGAGCUCGAGGCCAUGGAACUGGUCCUCGAGUCGACGGCAGCUCGAGGUUUUCAUCACUUGGUCGAUGACGAGCUGGGAGUCGCCUCGGACGUCAAGGCGUCGGACUCCUAGCUCGAUGGCGAUCUUGAGACUGUUGACGAGGGCCUCGUAUUCCGCGACGUUGUUGGAUGCAGCAAAGUGAAUCCUGAUGACAUACCUCAUUUGAACGCCAAGGGGUGAGAUGAACAGCAGGCCCGCCCCACCUCCCAUUUUCAUGAGGGACCCGUUGAAAUACAUCGUCCACAGUUCUGACUGAACCUGAGCCGGGGGGAGCUGGGAGUCUGUCCAUUCCGCGACGAAAUCCACCAGGGCUUGCGACUUGAUAGCCUUACGGGGCGCAUAAGUGAGAGUCUCACUCAUGAGCUCGACCGACCACUUGGCGAUUCUUCCCGUGGCCUCCCGACUUUGGAUGAUCUCGCCCAGGGGGAAGGAUGAGACCACCGUGAUAGGGUGGCCGAGGAAGUAGUGCUGUAGCUUGCGUCGGGCGAGGAUUAUGGCGUAGAUCAGCUUCUAGAUUUGGGGGUAACACGCCUUGGUCUCUGAGAGCACCUCACUGACGAAAUAGACUAGCCUCUGGACUGGCAAUGCAUGCCCCUCCUCCUUCCUCUCGACCACCACCGCCGCACUGAUGACCUGGGUCGUUGAGGCGACGUAUAGGAGCAGAGGUUCUGCAGGUUGAGGUGGGACCAAGACUGGUGCAGAGGUCAGCGUUUUCUUUAAGUUGUCGAGGGCUUCCUCGGCUUCUGGAGUCCAAGAGAAACGCUCGACUUUAUUCAGAAGUCGAUACAGUGGCAAUGCCUUUUCUCCCAAUCUCGAGAUAAAGCGACUCAGCGCCGCUAAGCAUCCCGUGACUCUCUGCACGCCCUUGAUGUCUUGGAUCGGCCCUAUGCUUGUGAUGGCCGAGACUUUCUCGGGGUUGGCCUCGAUGCCGCGCUGGGAAACGAUGUAUCCCCUACCUGGCGCGCCAACUGUCGGUGUUUUCCCCACGGGGGGUCACACCAACGAGUGAAUUUGUAUGCGUGCUCCCUUUUCCAGAUGGUGAUGCAAAAAGACACACAAAGAUUUAUCCUGGUUCGGGCAAGAGAAGGCCCUACGUCCAGCGGGGGGAGAGAGUUUGUAUUAUUUUGCACCUAAGUGCUUGUACAGGGGUGAAUACAAGCGUGAUGAGCGGGAUGGAGUAUGGAAGUUCUACUACGUAUGGGUGUAGUGUUGCGUGAUGUCCUGUCUGUUCGCUCCCGGGCCUCCCAUUUUAUUGUGCCAAGGAGGGGCCUAGGGUACAAGUAUAGGCGUCAGAGUAGGGGUCGAUAGAGGUAUGGCGCGCAGACCUAGUUGAGGCCUCCGUACCGGCGUGGUCUCGAGCCGUCCUGUCCCAGUAGCUUGAUGAUGAUUACGCGUGCCCCUAGAUCCCGCUCUGUGUGCCGUCGUGGACUGGUUUAUCAGUCGCACGCAUGUACGUCAUGGCGGCAGAUACGUCGGAGUGGCUGCAGUGUUGUCAGUAGACGCCCAACCCUUCCUCAGGAAGGAAACACGUCUGGUCGAGGGUCGGACGCCGUGUAGCGCCUUGCUAUCCAGAGCGCUGACCUUAGGCGUCUCGAGGGGAUCUUGAUUAGACGUUCCAUCCCUGCUUCCCGCGUCCUGACAUGCUCUGGGUUGUUUGGUGGGGAAGGCUGCAAAAAGAAUGACGGGACGGGUGCCUGUUCCCUAUCAUGCUUCCCGUGACUAGCGUGUUAGGUGGGAACGUGACAGGCGCAUUAAAUGCCCCGGUCUCCGUGCGCGCGUCAGGCGGCGGGCGGCGUCCUUGCGCUCGACGCCUCCUGGUUCGCUCGAGCCUGUUUCCGUAUUCGACGGUAGUUGGUGCUCGAGCCCUGACCGAUUUGCUCGACGCCUUUUCCGUCUUCGAGGCUGCGGUCGUUGAUGACUGUAUGCGUGACUGAUCAAAUCGUCGAAUUGAGGGCCUCGACCUGCAUACGAACAAUCUCGUUAUGUACAUCAGUUAGGAUUCCCCUUACUGAUACCCUCGACACUCUCCUUGUCAUAAUAUUGUUCUUGCACACUCCAAAAAGAAAACCAGAACUCGAGGCUCGAAUUUAAUAAUGGGUUAGCGGUCAGCUAGUAACUGAUUGAUUGUUCUUAUGAGUUGAUUUGAAUUGACAGAUUCUAGCAGGAUUCUCUCUUUUUUUAGGAUUUUCUUGUUUAAUUAUGCAGUAAUGAAAUAUGUGUACAUGAUGUAUAGUUGUAUUAUUAUGCCUCCACAAAGAAUAUUUAUUCUUAUGGAGCUUAGGUUUUUUAUAAUGCAAGAUAGUAAAUACAGAAGCUAUUAUUAUUAUUAUUAUUAUUAUUCUUUAUGUCACCACAUGUCACACCAAGUUUUAAAGAACAAAACCAGGCUAGCCAUAUGUGUGCCUAGGAAGUCCACACAUACAACAACAGAAGCAAUAGUAUCAAAAACAAUGUUGUAUAGCAGAAACAUACUGAUAAUUAACACUUACAUCAGAGAAUCGUGGAAUGGUAACUAAUCUUCACGCUCAAUCUUCACAUGGACAGUUGACUAGGGGUAACAUAUGCCUAGCACUUCUUGUAUCCUGAGAACGUCCUUCAUAACUCCUUCGCUCCUCUGAUAACUCUUACUAGUAAACUGGAGUGGUGGGAAAUAGCAAGAGUGAGCACAUGUCGUACUCAACAAGUAUAACCAGGGGUUCAUGAGGCUCAAUAAGCCGAUACUGGUUUGACUGCAUUUAGCUUUUAUAUGUAGAUAGCAUAUUUAUAUUUAGAUAGCAAAUGUCAAGGUAGCAUAAUUAAUUCCAUAACCACAUGACCAAUGUACACAAGAAUAAAGAAUAACACAUAUAAAUAACAUAAUAAACCAUCCUUUAUCAUCAUUAAUCAUGUUCAUCAGUGUCUAUCUAUUCCGUCAGUUUUCCAGGCCGCCCAUAUCCGUGGGCACGGCUAGUAUACCAGAUUUAACACUCUACAGAGGUUGUACAUCUUUACCCAUGAGUCAUGAUUUUCUCUUUCGCCCGAGGUGAUCAGCCUCUUAACCGACUUUCAAGGACGGUCGGCAGGGAUCACUAUGAAGCCUUUCAAAAGUUCGUCUAACAUGUUAGGGCCGCAAGGUUUCCCAGGCGCACAGAUAUAGAUGCCCCCCUUCCGAAUGGCACAAUGACGCACAACCUAUACACAUAAGGACAGAGGCUUGCACUAUACCCAAAACAGUUAGGCCCCUCUAGCGCCCUUUCGGGUAACCUCUAACAAGCUUGAAAAGAUCUUCAUACUGAGCUAAAGCCAGAGCCAUAUAGCCCUCAUGGUUGUACGAGUUGUUCCAACUUUUGCAAAGGGAUAAGUCCUUAUCGAGGGUCAAGAUCAAUCUAGCAAAAGCUAGAGUUGUUUCCACCCUUUAUGUUCAAGUUGCUAGAAAGCUUAUUUUAUUGUUUAUUGCAUAUUCAAAUAUUCAAGUUACAGGAUCAUGGAUUAAUAAUCAAGCACUAGCAAGAACUACCCAAAUGCAUAUCCAAUUAGGAAACAAGGAAUUCAAAUAACAAGCAUUUAUGAUUCUGCUAAGGUCGUCAAGGUGGACACAUGCAUAUGAUAUUUGUAUAAUUAUAAUUGUAUAGGUAACAAGGAUAGUCCCAAGUUAUACUUGCCUUAAACACUUGCACAAGUCUCACACUAUCAGCUUUCGGUCAUCAUCUUCUCAUCUUGAGCACUCAGAGACAGCUCUUCUACUCGCAGAUCGUAGCAACCAAACAUACUACCAAACAUACAAGCAACCAAUAGAAACAACUAAGAACAAUACACCACAUGUCGACGAAAGCUGGUCGGCAGUCUACCUUGGGGUAUACUCACGGUAGUAGUUUAUCGGUAGAUGGUGCGCAAGCUAUGAACUCGAUGGUGACGUAAGACACAGACAAGGUUUUUAUCCAGGUUCGGCCGCCGUGUGGGCGUAACACCUACGUCCUGCGUCUGAUUGUAUUGUGUUGAGAGAAUAAUGUGUCCUAAGGGGGGUCCCUUGACCCUCCUUAUAUAGUUCGGAGGGCAGGGUUACAGAUCUGGAAACUAAUCCUAGUCGGUUACAAUUGCCAUAGAUAGUUCGAUAUGAAUUCCUAUUUUAACCAACUAGAAUCCUGCUUGAUCUUCACGUCUUGUUUCCUUUUGCGAAACUCCAAGCAGUUGGAUCAAGCCUCGGACUUGUCUCGUAAUGGGCCAAGCCUCCUGGCCCAAGUCUAGCUGUAAGGGUAUAGGGGUUUAUACCCCCACAGCUAGUCUCCGAGCACCGUGUAUUGUGAUGCAACACGCCGUCUUGAGCUUCUUCGAUCAGCAAGGCUUGACAUCUUCGAUUAGCAUGGAAAUCGCCCAAACAGUUGCAACGGUAUUUUGACCAACUGAAAAGAUAGUUGAUCAACAUUGACGUCGAAGAAGCAGGUUGUUCGAAGAAUGCAUGGUGCUCUUUGAGAAAAAAUAUUUCUUUUCACGAUGAAGUGUGCCCACUUUACUUUUAGAAAAAGUACAGUCUUUCAAAAAGCAAGCAUAUUCACCGCAAGGUGAAGUGUGCCCACUUAGUCCCCGAGCCUGGUAGUAGGUGACAUAGGCAUGUAGUGCCAGGGUCAAAAGAGUCUUCAUAGAAAUUCUAAAACUGAGAUGCAUCGCUAGAUGCAUCGUACCGAUGUAGUCCCCGAGCUUGCUGGAAGGCGAAGUAUGAGCCUUGUAGCAAGGUCUAAAAAAUUGAAUUUACCAAUCCCCAAGCAUAUAACGUUAUGUGGUCGGUAUAAUCCCCAAACUCUCAAACUAGUAAACUGGUCAACCAGUCCCCGAGCAUAGAGUACUCAGAUUGGUCGGUGCAGUCCCUAGGUCUCCAAACUGGUAGACUAGUCGACCAGUCCCCGAGCUUAUAGUGCUCGGUGGUCGGUGCAGUCCCCAGGUCUCUAAACUGGUAGACUGGUCGACCAGUCCUCGAGCUUAUAGUGCUCAGUGGUCGGUGCAGUCCCCAGGUCUCCAAACUAAUAGACUGGUCGACCAGUCCCCGAGCUUAUAGUGCUCAGUGGUUGGUGCAGUCCCUAGGAAUGUCAUAAAUAAUCCUCCACCAAUUCUGCUUGAUCUUUAGAAAGAGCAUUUUGCCACAUUAAUGCGCGAUGUGACGAGGCAUCCUGACGUAUUUUCAGACGGCUACGUGAAAAGGUGCGCCAGGUAACUGUGCCACCGCUCUUUGCAUGGUUCAAGAAAAGGAAACCAUCAAUUGUACAGAAAAACCACCACAUUAACUGCUGGUAAUUAUUGAAAACCAAAACGCCGCAUCCGCCGCUGGGCCCGCUCACUUCCCAAGAAUGCGGGAAGUGGAAGGGGUGGAGCUGUUGCCUAUAAAGACUCAACACCACACCCAUAAUCUUUACCCUGCCUUUGCCUUCAAGCCUUCUGUUCUUGCCAUUCCUGCCUCUGCAACCUCCAUCCUUGAUCGUCCAGCUCGCAAGCGCUUCUGCAGUGUCAAUGGCGAAGAGUGACUCGAAGAAAAGGAGUGAACUGAUGGCGAAGGAGUGGAAGAAGUCCCGGAGCAGCACGAGGUCCCUCAACGGCCUCGUCGAAAUGGGGCUACUUCACAACCAAGAGCUCGGUGGCUGGACGGCGCCGGAAGGGGAAAGCUACCCCGACCCCCGUGCCGGUGAGAUCGUAGUUUUUGAAGAUUUUUCAAGAGGGGCUUUGGGAUUCCUGUCCAGCCCUUCCUUCAGGGUCUUCUUCUUUAUUAUGAGAUCGGGAUCUGCAAUCUGCACCUGAACUCCAUUCUUCUUAUCUCCACCUUUAUUCAUCUGUGCGAGGCCUAUGUUGGAAUAGAACCGUACUUCGACCUUUUUCGCUAUAUUUUUUGUCUGAGGAAAAAGGGAGUGGUUGGAGGCUCCAAGAUUGCAGGUGGAGUAUACCUCAAUCUCCGCGAUGGGAUGAAGAAUCAGUACCUCAACUGCCCAUGGAACACUUCUCUCACCGAAUGGUACAAGAAGUGGUUCUAUGUCAGGGAAGAGCCGGGCAGCUCCACGUUCUGCGACGUGGGCUACAUUCCCAAGAAGAGGGUUAGCUGGACGGACCGCCCUGCGUUCACUGGUCAGGUGGCUGACCUGAUGAAGCUGAUCGACUGGUCCCACUUAGACGGGCCAGGAGUGGUCGGUAACUUUAUUUGUCCUCGGGUGAUGCCCUGCCAGAGGAGGGUACACUCGGCAUACGAGUACGUGGGAAGCCAAGACCCGAGCAGGAUGAGCCCCGAUGGUCUGGAGAAGGCGGAAGUGCAGCAGCUGAUGAACGAGUUGUUCAACUUUACAGACGACGACUUUGUUCGAAGCAGUGAUCGGAUGCACGCCUUCAAGCUGGGUCGACUAGCUCCUAAGGUAAAUAAAUAAUGUUACUGACUAGUAUUACUUUUUGAGUACUUGCUCUCCCAGUUGUUGACUUGUCUUCUGUUCUUCUGCAGAUUGGAGAUGUUGAUCGGUGCGCCGUGUACGUGUCACUGGCACCUGGUAUGGAAAAUCCUGUGAGGGUGGACCUGCCAAAGGACGACAUUGCUCGGUGUGCUCAAUACACCAGCAGUGAGGAAGAUCAGAACUGUCCCGCCCCAACCACCGAGGACAGGGCAGCGGGGAAAAGGCCACUGGCAGUGGAUCCGUCCCCUGCGGAAGCGUUGCUGGCAGAGAGCAGCCAAGCGCCGAAGCGUCGUCGGCUCGUCCGGAUCACCGACGACGAUGAGGAGGAGGAGGAGGCGCCCUCUUUGGUUCGAAGGCCGCGCAGCCGUCCGGACGUUGCGCCGGCCACUGCUGAUCGGAUGACCAGCGACCCACCUGCCCCACACGCCGAGCCGACGCACGUUAGAGAGACAGGGUCAGCGGCGGCGACUGGUAGGACCAGGAGAAGGUUCUUCACAGCGACGCACAGGCGCUCCAAUCUAUGAGUUGUUCAAUCUUACUCUCGUACUUCGAUAUAUUUUGCGUUUUGUUACUGCUACUUCUGACAUUGAUUAAAUGUCGCAUUUUUGUUAGCGCAACGUCGGACGUUGACCCUGACAGCGUUGCUGGCCGGGGGACGGCCGAGCCCGUGGUUGUCGUCGAAGAUGCCGCGCCGUAGACCACCCAGGAGCGUGCCGAGGAGCAGCCCACGGUGGUGAUUGCGGCUGAGACUGCCGAAGAGCAUCCAGCCCCAACAAGGGCCAGAGCGGGCACCCCUACGAGGGAUGGAGAGGCUGCGAGGACGCCGCCCCCGAGCAACAUUGUGGACGAAGAAGAUAGAGCUCUAACUCCCCCGCUAGCUGAAGAAGGGGGAGUCCCAACCCUGCCCUGAGCAGAGGCCUCUUCACCAGCAGGCUCCCCUGGCCUAUAUCAGGGUCCAGUGAUACUGGUGACCACGGCCGGGGGUAGUGCGGAGGGUGAGGAGACCCGGACGGCCUCCGAUGAUGAAGUGGAGGAGAUCCAAGGUCGUCCCCAAGAUGGUCGCCAGCACAUUUACGUGUGGUGCCAACACGGGGACCACUUCAUUGGUCAUGAAGAACUCGCAGAGACGGAGGAGGUCGCGAGGGUGGAGAACGCAGCGAAGUGGCUUGUCGACGAGGUUAAGGUAAGUGGUCUUUUGCGCUGCUCAAAGUUUAUAUGCAUUGUCUCUGGAUUCAGUAUGUAUUCUUCUUGUAGGGCGCAAUGAAAACGAUAAAGUACCGGAAAAGGUGCUUCGACCAGAUUGAGGGAAUCGUGGCCGAGAGCAAGGCCCUUUCCGCGGAGGUGGACCAGCUUCGGACGGAGGCCGAGGAGAAGACGGCCGAGAUGGGUGCUCAGGAAGAGCGCCUGCUCGAUCUCAAUCGGGGUUGGCCGACAAAGAUCAGGAAAGGAGAGGUCAGUCGUGUAUUCCGAGCAGCUGUAUGUAGCCAUGUAGUCGUUUUUGUUGACCAGAAAUUGCUCUUGCAGACUUGGAGGAGGAGGUUGCACGCCUCCGACAAGAAAAGGAGAAGCUCAACCAGGAGCUUGCCGGGGCGCUUGAGACCGGGCGCCGAGCUGGCGAGGAGCUAAGCAACAAGAGUCGGGAGUUGACUGGUAAGAACCGUAUGCCCUUCUUCUUUGUUUGCUCGACACUCCUUGUCUUGUGCACGCACUGACUUCUUGCUUGAUUCUCAGUGCUCAAAGUAAACACCAAGAAGCACCUCGACGAGCUGAUCAAGGACCGGGACUCCUGGAAACCAACUGCAUCAAGCUUUGGAAAGGAGCGGCCCCGGUGCUUGAUUUGAUCAGCCCCGAGCUCCCUGGAGACCAGCCGUUUGUCAAGGACUCCGAUCGAGAAGGUGCAACAGGCGUGGAACUGGCUCCAGCAGUUUGUCAAGGACGCCGGGGAGUUCGCCGGUGCGCACGUCCUCAGCAUGGUGCGCGCCCACUAUCCUCUGGUCGACUUGUCCAGACUGGAGAGGGGGUACCCCAAGGAGGUUGGUCCGCAGGAGGCAGACGACCUUCGAGUUGGUCUGCUUGACCUAUCGUCAACAGUGAUCGGCGACUUCAACCUCUGCGAGACGGCCACUCCCCCCGACCAGCCCGGGUCAGACAGAUCGACCAGGGAGUUGUCGGGAGCGUCCCUUGCCGGAGAUGGGCGGUCGACGCCUGCGGUCUCGACCAGCUAGGCGCCGGUGGCCCCGACCCCUUCGACUGGCCAGCAAGGCCGAGCGGGUGAUCAGCCCGAGCAGUAGGCCUGUAGAGUAGUCUGUAGAAAUAGACUAGGGACCGCCCAGAGGGGUGUUUAUUGUAAACUUUGUAUAUAAAGUUUGUAAUAAAGAUUGAUUUGUCGUAACCAUGGUUGUGAGCACUGUAACGAUGUCUGAGUGAUGUAUCACUGAAUUGGGUUAAUAAUCCUUAGGGAUUUUGGUCCCAGAGGGAGAUUGUUGUACUUGUCGAAAGCUCUGCGUGUAAAAAAGUAUAUAGCGAAAAAGUGAAAAUUUUAUUAUUGCUAAUCAUAAGAAACUUACAAACAAAAGGUAAUGGAACUUAUGGAUAGAAACAGCGUUGUCGAGGGUAUCAAUAAGGGGUACCCUCACCGAUGCACAUAACGAGAUUAUCCGUACGCAGGUCGAGGCCCUCAACUCGACGCUCUGAUCAUACAUACGCGCAGCCAUCGACGACCGCAACCUCGAAGAUGGAAAUGGCAUCGAGCGAAUCGAUCAAGGGUCGAGCGCCAGCUAUCGUCGAAUACGGAAACAGGCCCGAGCGAAUCGAGAAGCAUCGAGCGCAAGGACACUGUCCGUCGCCUGACGCGCGCACGAGAGCCAGGACAUUUAAUGUGCUCGCCGCAUUCCCACCUAACACACUAGUCACGGGAGGCGUGAUAGGAAACAGGCACCCGUCCCAUCGUUCUUUUUGCAGCCUUCCCCACCAAACGACCCAGGGCGUGUCAGGACGUGGGAAACAAGGAUGGAACGUCUAAUCGGAACCCCCUCGAGACAACCAAGGUCAGCGCUCCGGACAUUGGGGCAUUACACAGCGUCCGACCCUCGACCAGACGUAGCUCCUUCCUGGGGACGAGCUGGGCGUCGACUGACAACACCGCAACCACUCCGCCGGAUUUGCCGCCAUAUCGUACAGGCGUGUGACGGGUGAACCAGCCUAAGACGGCGCGCGAAGUGGGAUACAGGGGCACGCAUAAUCAUCAUCAGGCUACUAAGACGGGACGGCUCGAGGACACGCCGGUACGGAGGCCUCGAGUAGGUCAGCGCGCCAUGCUCCUAUCGACCCCUACUCUGACACCUAUACAUGUACCCUGGGUCUCUGCUUGGAGCUAUAAAAGGAAGGACCUGGGAAUAGAUAGACAACAGGCAAUACUUCACCCAUACGUGGUAGAACUCCCAUACUCCAUACCACGCUCGUAUUCGCCCCUGUACAAGCACUUAUGUGCAAGAUAAUGCAAACUUCCCUCCCCCGCUGGACGUAGGGCCUUCUCUUGCCCGAACCAGGAUAAAUCUUUGUGUCUUCUUGCAUCACCAUCUGGGAAAGGGAGCACGCAAACAAAUUUACUCAUUGGUGUGACCCCCUGUGGGGAAAACACCGACAGUUGGCGCGCCAGGUAGGGGUCCUGCGUGUUUUUUUAAUUGAUUUCCCACUCCUUUCCAGAUGGCUGCUCUCACCUCGCCGAUCCCGCACUCCACGGUGAUUUGGUUUGGGAGUCUCGAGUUCAUGUCCACGGGCUCCGGCUACGACAUGAUCUUGCUCUCAGUCAAAGGACUAGGAGGAGCCCGCGUUGCACCAGCACGGUUGAGGGCCCCGAGACGCCCUCGCCACCAUGCCUCCCCACCCAAGAAGAGGAGCGGACAGCACCACCGCCGCCCCUCUGCCUCAUCACGACCGGCAACUCGCGCGAGGCAGGAGGUGGGCCACAAGCCGGCAGCACCAUGUGCCGGAACCGCGGGCACGACGGCUCAACACCGCACGACGACGGGAGGGGACGUGUUUCGCGUGCCCUCCCCCACCGCUGCUAAGCUACUUCCACACGGGUUGUUCUCUCCAAGAAGGGCACUGCCAUUCGGAUUAGACAACGCCGCGGCAUCGCUCGCUAGAGCAAUAUGCCCAAACGCCCAGACGAACGUAGAGAGACCAAUGGUCCUCCCACGUGACUCUGAAGCACUACGGCCGACGUCCGAACUGCCGGAUUUCUCCCAGGUGCGAGGCCUCCGCCGCCUAGGCCCUGGGCGAUACACGAUCACCUCACUGAGGCAACGGCUGCUGGAGGAGGGACGUGGAUGUUUCUACGUCGCCAAGCCGGACUCCGACUCCGAGACUGAGAGCUACGACCCUACAAGAGAAUGCUAUCACGUCGACGGGGCGGUAGAAACUACUGACGAGACGCAGGAUGCUGCUUUGGGCGGUCGAGCCCCUGCAGCACGGGAAGACCCCAGGACGCCUGGGAACGAGGGACAGGUCGACCCCCCUCCAUAGGAAGACAGGGCUGCGCAGCUCGCACAGCUACGGGAGCUCAAGAUGAAGCUCGACGAAGACCGUGAGCGCCUCGUCCUGCUCGAGCAAAUCCUUGAGCAAGACCUGCCCUACCCGCCAGGCGGAUGUGUCCGCAAACGUGCUCGAGAGGUACAUCGACAAAUUGUCAGAGACGCAGAGCCAGAGCAGCCUGUCAGCCGUUUCCCUCGAGCGGGCCAGAAUGUAGUGGCAGUGACGAUGCUACUGCGCAACAUGCCAGAACCAUCGAACUCCCAGGCUCGGCGCAUUCGAGACGAGGUACAGACUCUGCUCCAGGUGGCGGCAGUUCAACAAGCCGAAAGCUCAGCUUCUCGACGAUAAGGAGCUGCCACCGAAAAGCGCGAUGAGCCACCCCAAAACGAAAAGGAGGUGUCAGUCCAUCAACAGCCUCCCCCUCGAGGUAGAAAGACCGCUCUCGUCCUCCCUGUCGACAAUCAGCGUCGACACGACGCGCGGCGUGACAUCGAAGAGAAUCGACGCCGUCGGUAUGGGGACGCGGAAGAGCGCAGUUACAGCGCGCAUCACGGUGGAAGGUAUGACAGCGACGAGGACCGGAUGGCCCCCGAGCCACCAGGCCCACGGGUGUUCAGCAGGGCAAUCCGCAGCACGCCCCUGCCCAGUCCGUUCCGACCCCCGACCAGCAUCGCAAAAUACAAUGGUGAGACCAAACUAGAGUUGUGGCUAGCCAAUUUUAGGCUGGCCUGUCAGCUAGAAGGCGCUCGAGGAGAUGAUCGAGCCAUCAUCAAAUAGUUGCCGCUCUUCCUCUCUGACACCGCCCGUCGGUGGCUCGAGGAACUUCCAGCUAAUCAGAUCCACGACUGGGUCGAUUUGGUUAGAGUCUUCGAGGGUAACUUCAAAGGAACCUACAUACGGCCCGGGAACUCGUGGGAUCUCAGCAAGUGCAAACAGAAGUCAGGAGAAACUCUUCGAGAGUAUGCUCGACGCUUCUCAAAGCAGCGCACCGAGUUGCCACACAUCCCUGACCAUGACGUCAUCCUGGCUUUUGUCUCUGGUACUACCAGUCGAGACUUAGUGCGGGAAUUGGGUCGGAAUCGACCUCAGACCGUCGACGAGCUGAUGGAUGUAGUAGCAAACUACGCAGCAGGGGAGGAGGCAGUCGGCGCCUUCUUUAGUUGUGAAGGAAGGAAAGGCAAGCAACCUACCGAUGAAGACGAGCCCCCCAGUCGAGGGCCCAAGAAGAACAAGAAGAAGCAGAAAGUGCGGCAGUUCAAGCAGGAGAACUUCGACAACGACCUCGUCGCCGCCAUGGAGCGGAAGAAGCCUCGAGGCCCCCCAGAUGGAGGUAUCUUCGAUAAGAUGCUAGAGGAACCAUGCCCUUACCAUAAAGGAGGAGCCAACCACAAGCUCAAGGACUGUCGUAUGCUGAAAAAGCAUUUCGAUGGCCUAGGGUUCAGAAAGGACGCGCGCGACGACCCCAAGAAGGAGAAGGGCGGUGACAAGGAGGGCGACAAGGACAACGAUGGUUUCCCUGCCGUCCACGACUGCUACAUGAUCUAUGGUGAGCCCUCGACGCAGUUGACUGCAACGCAGCGCAAGAGAGAACGUCGUGAGGUCUUCACGGCGAGAAUGGCGGUGCCCCAGUACCUCAGCUGGUCGAGCACACCCAUCACCUUCAACCAAGAGGACCACCCUGACAAGGUGGUUGCCCUAGGCGUCUACCCGCUCGUCGUCGACCCCAUCAUCGUCAACACCCGGCUCUUGAUUGUGCUAAUGGACGGAGGCAGCAGCCUCAACAUCAUCUACCUCAAGACCCUCAACAUUCACUUUGCUGCAUCCAACAAUGUCGCGGAAUACGAGGCCCUUGUCAACGGUCUCAAGAUCGCCAUCGAGCUAGGAGUCCGACGCCUUGACGUCCGAGGCGACUCCCAACUCGUCAUCGAUCAAGUAAUGAAGACCUCAAGCUGCCAUGACCCGAAAAUGGAGGCGUGCUACAAAGAAGUCCGUCGACUCGAGGACAAGUUCCAUGGCCUCGAGCUCGUCCAUGUCGCCCGACGCUACAACGAAGCAGCCGACGAACUCGCCAAGAUCGCGUCGACCCGAGGCACGGUACCGCCUGACGCGUUCUCGAGAGAUCUUCACGAGCCAUCCGUCGACUUGGGCUCGGGGGCUGGCAUCGAUGCCGGUCCCGCACAGCCAACCGACACCGUCAACGCACUAUUAAUGGCAGCUGAGGUGAUGGAGGUAGAAUGGCGGCCCGGUCGACCAUUCGACUGGCGCACACCGUUCCUCGACUGCCUAAUCCGCUGUGAGCUGCCAGAAAAUCGAUCUGAAGCACGCCGUAUCGCUCGACGGGCCAAGUCAUAUGUGAUUUGCGGCGAAGGCAAUGAGCUAUACCGACGAAGCCCGACGGGGGUCUUGCAGCGUUGCAUCACCGUGGAAGAAGGCCGGAAACUACUCGAAGACCUACACUCGGGGGCUUGUGGCCACCAUGCUGCUCCACGGACCCUCGUAGGGAAUGCCUUCCGACAAGGCUUCUACUAGCCAACGUCCAUAGCAGAUGCCAUCGAGCUCGUACGCUCAUGUCAUGGGUGCCAGUUCUACACCAAACAGACACAUCUACCCGCCCAUGCUCUUCAGAUGAUCCCCAUCACCUGGCCGUUUGCGGUGUGGGGGCUCAAUUUAAUAGGACCUCUACAAAAGGCGAAAGGGGGGUACACCCACCUGCUGGUGGCCAUCGACAAAUUCUCCAAAUGGAUCGAGGCUCCACCCAUCACCAACAUCCGCUCCGAACAAGUCGUCCUUUUCUUCACCGACAUCAUACAUCGGUUUGGAAUCCCCAACGUAAUCAUCACCGACAACGGCACUCAGUUCACCGGCAAAAAGUUCUUGGACUUCUACGAUCAGCAUCACAUCCGUGUCAACUGGUCGGCAGUGGCCCACCCUCGAACUAACGGCCAGGUCGAGCAUGCCAACGGCAUGAUUUUACAGGGGCUCAAACCAAGAAUCUACAAUCGCUUGAAUAAAUUCGGCAAGAAGUGGGUCGAAGAGCUUUCCUCAGUCCUAUGGAGCCUAAGAACAACACAUAGCAGGGCCACAAAAUUCACCCCAUUCUUCAUGGUCUACGGUUCUGUGGCUGUCCUCCCCACAGACCUCGAGUAUGGGUCCCCUCGACUCAAGGCGUACAAUGAGCAGACAAACAAGGAAACUCAAGAGAAUGCGGUCGACCAGCUUGAGGAGGCUCGAGACAUGGCCCUCCUCAACUCUGCCAGAUACCAGUAGAAACUUCGACGCUACCACGACAAACACGUACGCAAGAGGGACUUAAACGUGGGUGACCUUGUCCUACGACGACGGCAGAGCAAUCAAGGACGCCACAAGCUGACCCCGCCUUGGGAAGGCCCGUACGUGGUGGCCGAGGUCUUGAAGCCAGGAACGUACAAGUUAGCGGACGAGAAGGGGGCGAUCUUCACCAACGCAUGGAACAUCGAACAGCUAUGUCGAUUCUACCCUUAGAAUUUCGAAACUUUAUGUUCCAGCGCACAUUCUGUACCAAGACCUUGUAAAUAAAUGCAUGAAUAAAUGAAGUCUUUCCCCUGAGCAACUUCCUUUUGUACUAAGGCUUUACAAGUCAAAAUCGUGACGUAAGAAGGGAGUACCGACUAUGACCCAUCAUAGUCGGUACCCCCUCGGGGGCUACCAGGGGGGCGACCCCCCCAAGUGUCGAAAAAAGCCAAAAAUUUCUCUCUUUCUUACUUAGUAAACCUUGCAUGAUCGAGUAGUUGAGGCGCCUCGAGCCCCUUAAGGGCCGAGGGAUAACGAGCCUGAGAACUCCUACGCCCCCGGGCUAUGGAAACUCUACUCACUCCCUCACCCUCGAGGUAAUCGAAGCUGUCUUUUACGAAAAAUCGAACAAGGAACACAUACGUAGGCGCAAAGAGAAAUAAAAGAACCUCGAGCGGAAAGACAAAUAAACAUUUAGCAAUUACCAAAAUAUACUAUAUCGCUUAAAAACAGGACUAGCAAAGUACUAUACACGGGCCCCAGGCACCCUAAGCAGGCUCGCAGGCCUGAGUCCAUGGCACGAUCCUCACCACCCUCGCCUCUGCCCGAGCUAGUCUCAGGAGGAAGCACCUCAGGCUCAAAUAGCUUGGCCAGCCUCUCUCCAGGAGCCUCCGCGUCAUCGAUCAAGGCAUGGAGCCUCUCUUCGUUCUCCGCGUCGGUCUUAGAGAUGUCGGUGACGAAGCUGUGGGAUACUACCUCCAUGUCAUAGGAGAAGCCCGAGCAGACAACCGCCAUCGCCCGCUUCACCCCGAUGUGGAGGGCAUCCCGCACCCAAUCUCGCAGCGUCGCACCUAAGUAGCACAGCUGGUCGACCAGUGUGUCGCCUCGAGCGUCCUCCCUCGACUCGUCCACAGGCUCGACCUCCCAGGAGGUCGAGAGGUCGUUUAUCGCCGUCCGCACGCGACGGUUCAAAGCAACCUCCGCCUCGAGCUGGGCCUUAACAUUACGAGCCUCGGCUUGGGCGGCUAGGAGUUCGUCCUUAAGCCCUGUAAAUAUCAAUACAAGAAACUUUAGGGAAAACCAAGCACACCCUGAAAAAGAAAUCGGACAAAGGAAACGUACCGUGAACACUCUCCUCCAAGGUUGUGUUCUCGCCGACUAGUCUGGUGUUGGCCCUCUCGAUCUCUCUGUUGGAGCGGGUCAGCUCAGUGUUGGCAACGUGGAGAUCCUCGAUCGCCUUGCCAACCUGAGCAGUAGCCCCACUCUUCUCCAACAGCUCUCCCUUCAGACGUUCGACGUUGUCAGAGAGCCAGCGGGAUCGAGCCCGCUCCGCCUCGAGAUCCUCGAGGGCCUUCUUCUUGGCUUCCUCCGCGGCGCUCCUGGCGAUCUCGCCGUUCACGUGCUCCACCUUCAUCUUUUGGAAGGACUCUCGAAGGGAGUCCAGGUCGGUCUUGAGAAGGCCCUUCUCCUUGUUCAGGUCUGCAAUGACGCUCUUGUAGGACAGGGCCUCCUCUCGGGCUCUGGAUGCGGCCUCCUCGACCAUCAGAGCCCGCUCCCGUAGCAUCGUCGUCUCCUCCUCCGCCUUCCUUGAGGCUUCUCGAGCCUCGGCCAAGGCAGCCUCCCUCGCCUUCUUCUCCUCCUCGAGCGCUAUGAGGUCUUUAUAGGCCUUAAGGAGCUUCUCUUGCGACUCGAGGAGUUGAUCCUUGAGGACGGGGAGCUGCUCCCAGCCGCCUCUUGUGGCAUGAAUGAAGCUCGACUUGAUGCGGGAGGUCUCUUUCAUGUCCUGCGAGCCGGGGGUCGAACGGUUAGAACACGAAACCAAAUGAUCUAUGAGGAUUAAGGACCAAAAAAUACUUACAAAUUAAGCCGGCCCGAGCCCAUUAUUGAUGAUGUCCGACAGGAGCCCCACCACGUGCUUCAUCCAAAGGCGGAGCUCCUCGAUGUGUUCCCACUUCUCAGCCUCCUUCUUAUCGUCGAGGAAGAUGUUGGGCUCGGACGGAUCGGUGGAAGCCCGGAUACGAAUCUGAUCGGGGCACCAGUUCUCCAUCUCCCGAUCAGCCCGCGCCUUGACGCCGCGGAUAAGGUUCUCGACGGUCUCGAGGGAGCCCCCGUGGCACAAGAACAGGUCGACGAGGCAUGGGAACCGCCCAUCGUCGUCCGCCGUCUUCCAGGUACCGUCCUUGCUUCCCGACGUCCCGAUCUCGUCCUCCUCAGAGGGAAAACGAUCCUCCCACGCCCGACGCUCCCGGAGGAACCCAGGGUCGAUCCCGUCCAUGCCGUAGAUCGUCCCCUUGAUCUCGGACUCGGGGUCGGUGGGGGUGCGCAUCAUGCAGGCAAGUGCCACCACACCAUCCGCUCGCCCCGGCUCUGCCCGGAUCGCGGCGGGUGCCCUCGGAAGGAGCCACGCUGGGGUCGGAGGGCCGUACACUGGCAAAUCUUCUUCCUGCUCAUCAGGCUCUUGCAGUGCCGACGGUACUGGUUGAGGCAGAUCUUGAGGCGGGGGCUCAAGCGGUCCUUCUUCUUGGCCCCCCUGAUGCUGCUGCUGCUCCACCUCGAGCAUUUGCUGUUGGUGCUCCACCUGCUGUUGUUGCUGUUGCUGCUGCUACUGUUGUUGCUCCUCAUGCUCCUGUGGCUCUUGCCCACGGCCUUGCUCCUGCGGCUGCCGCGUCGCUUCGCGCUCGCGCUCCCGCUCCUCAUCCUCCUCCUCUUUCUUCUUCUGCUCCUCGAGGGUGCGAAGACCAGCGGGCCAGGGAGUCCGUCCCGCGAUAAGGGAGGUCGACGGAUCCUCCUCCAUGGGGUGGGCAUCCCUUGACGUCUCAUUGCCGCCAGACAUGUCACUGAUGGUAAUGGGGUCCGCCUCGACCACCAAUCGGGGGGGCUCGGGGGCUCCUUCUUGCUCCUGAGUCUGGGGCGCCUCGACCCGCGUCGGUGGCGACGUGGCAGGCUCGAGACGAGGCGGGGCGCUCUCAACGUCAGCAGGAGGACGAGAGUCGGAGGAGCCUGCAAAACAAAGAAUAGAGGCCGGUCCAUUGAAGGCUGCUCCUUGGAGGCUGCUCCCGCUUUGAGCCUCUUCGCCAUUGAAGGCUGAGCCUGCUCGAGCAUCCGCUUUAAUCUGAAACAAAAAGGAACAAGCUUGAAAAGACCGGUAUACGAAGAAACACAGAGGAAUAGGAAAACAAAAGACACAACGUCGAAGAGCUUACCCCAGGGGAAGAACAGCUCGCCUGCCGGUGCCCCGACCGGUGGGCCUCGAGCCACCCCGUGUCAAGGUCCCAGACCCCUCGAGGGCAGGCGUUGGCCUUGGCCCAGCAACUUCCGCUUGGGGGGCACCGGGACUGGCACUCCUGCGGCCAGUGUCUCCUUUCUCGGAGGCCGCGGCACGACCGCGAGUCAGUGGCCCUGUCGCCUGGGGCCUAGCAUGGCCACCCGUCUUGGGCGCGGGGGGAGGGCGCGGGGCAACCUGACCAGUCACAGGCACCGGGGGGGUGUCGGCAUGAGGGCGGUGAGAUCCGCCUGGUCCCUCCUUUGAUGUUUCCAUCCGCGGGGGGUCGACAUCGUCUCGAGGCGGACCCUCGAGGAUACGGUCGAGGCGAGACGCCAUCCCCUCGGAGUCAUCGCUGUCCUCGUCAUCGUCACCAUCAUCGUUGCUGGGGGACUCUUCCUCAGGCUCCCCCCUCUGCCUGGAUUUAGACCGACACGCCUCUAAUGCUUGGCGGUCGAGGUUUUUCUUUUUCUCCCCUUUCUUCUGGGAGUCCAUGGCGGACUUAGACUUCUCGGCGGACCGGCGCCGCGCGUCGCGAUCGACCUCGUCCUCCUUUACUGGGGGCCUCGAGGACCGAACGUCAAUCCGUCCCUACCAGAACAAAGUUGGAUUUAGAGAAAAGGGAGGAAAAGAAACCCAGAAUCAAGGCUGCGCACGAGAAGAAAGCAUACCAGAUCGAUCGAGCCUGCAUCUGGCCUCAUGGGGAAGCCGUUAACAUGCUCCGGCUUGAAGUCACCAGCAAUGGCGGCCCUGACCCGGGCCGUGACUUCGUCAUUCGUCGGAGCUUCGCUUGACAUCCGGCAUGCCUCGAGGUCCCGAGAUGAGGCGCCGGGAGCCAUCUCGUCCAUCCUCAGCGGUCGAGACAUCAACGGGAGAACUCGCCGGCGAUGGACGGCCGAGAGGAUGAGGGCGGCGGUCAAGCCCUCUGAGCGCAAUUUCUUCAUGACAUCGAGGAGGGGGUCGAGCCGAGAUUGAUGAGCCUGGAUGACGCUGUACGUCCAAUUCUUCGGACGCUCCGUGAUCAGACGCCCGGUGUAGGCGGGCAGGAGGUCGUCAUCGUUCCUUAAGUAGAACCACUGGGAAUCCCAGCCGGUGUGGUUGGUCAAUCCCACCGGGAUGUACUCGCGCGGCCUCUCUGUCUUCCCGGUCUUCAACACGAGGUUGAGGCAACCCGCCCGAACAGGCUUCCUCACGCCGGUGGUCCCAGUGGGGGCGUUGAAGAGCUCGCCCCUGUAGAGGUGGAGCCAUAGCUCCUAGUGGGGCAUCAUCCCCAAAUAGCCUUCACACACCGCGGCGAAGACCGCCGCGACGGUGAUGGCGUUUGGGGAGAAGUGCUGGAGCUCCACCCCGUAGUGGUGGCAGAGCGCCCGCAUGAAGCGGCUCGGGGGAGCACCCAGCCCGUGGCGGUGGAACUUGGCGAACGAAACCACAUAGCCCUUGGGCGGCCUGGGUUCCCUGUGGUCCGCCGCCGGCGCGAUCCACUCCGGCGACGACAGUGAGGUGCGGCGGCGCAGGAGUCCCUCCCUCUCAAGCUCUUGCAGCCGGCGCUUCGUCAUCGAUGACGGGCGCCAGUCGUCGGCGGCGACAAGCCUCACAGGCAUCCUAGCCGAAAGGAUGGCGGAUCCGCUACUACUCGAGGGGGGCACACACACGUGGGAUGGCAAGGGAACUAAGGCAGCGAGAGGGCUAAGGCGAGAAUGAAGACGGGAAGCAGAAGGGAGAACAGUGGCGAUGCCAGGUGAAAGGUCCUAAUAUGGCUAGAGGGGGGGUGAAUAGCCUAUUUAAAAAAUUCUACAAACUCACUAGAGCAAGAGAUUAGUAAAUAACAAAGCGAAGCUUUUUGCUCUAGCUCUAAAGGGGUGUUUGCAAGCCACCUAUCCAACAAUUCUAGUUGUUAAGAUCACUUGGCACACAAGAGCUAUGUCACUACUUACACUAGAAAGCUACCUAAAAUUUCUAUACAAGAAAGUAAGCUACUCUAGUUUGUGGGAAUGUAAAAGAGAUGGUUUGAACUUUAUACCGCCGCGUAGAGAGGAUGAACCAAUCAAUAAUAUAAAGUCCAAUCACCGGGAGAAAUCCAAUGAACAAUCACAAUGGAGACACACAAUUUUUCUCCCGAGGUUCACGUGCUUGCCGGCACGCUACGUCCCCGUUGUGUCGACCAACACUUGGUGGUUCGGUGGCUAAGAGGUGUAGCACGAACCUCGUCCUCACUAGGACACCACAAGAACCUACCCACAAGUGAGGUAGCUCAAUGACACGAGCAAUCCACUAAUGUUGCCUUUGGCACUCCGCUGAGGUAGGCACAAACCUCUCACAAUAACCGGGAGAUGGCCACGAACAAUCACCAACUCGUGCCAAAGCUCCUCCGCUGCUCCAAGCCAUCUAGGUGGCGGCAACCACCAAGAGUAACAAGAAAACCGUAGCCAAAUCGAUCCCCAAGUGCCACUAGAUGCAAUCACUCAAGCAAAUGCACUUGGAAUCACUCCCAAUCUCACAAAGAUGUUUAAUCUAUGAAGGAGAUGAGUGGGAGGAGUUUGCUUAGGCUCACAAGGAUGUCUAGAAGUCAAGAAUGCCAAGAGUCUAAGCCCCAAGCCGGCCAAACAUGUAUUUAUAGCCCCUCAAACAAAUAGAGCCGUUGGCUCUUUCACUGGGCAAAAUACGGGGUCACCGGACGCUCUUAAAGGGGCACCGGACGCUCAACACCAGCGUCCGGUGCUCCAACGUCAGCCACGUGUCGCCUUUUGAACUUCUCGUGUCAGAGUCUAACGGUCACCUGCAGUGCACCGGACGCUGAGCAAGUUGGCACCGAAUGCGUCCGGUGCACACCGGACUCAUGCGCAGAGAGUUCCGCAAACUCUCAGGGUCACCGGACGCACCCUCAGCGUCCGGUGUUCACCGGACCCAUGCGCAGAGAGGGUCGCAAAACGCCCGCACACCGGACGCUAACCACCGGACGCUCAAGCCUGCGUCCGGUGCCUAUCGUCCGGUGCCUUACCCUAGCUGGGCCAGGCACUGUCUGCACCGAACGCUCAGACGCAGCGUCCGGUGCUCCAGAAGCCAGCGUCCGGUGAGUGUUUUCUUAACAAGAAACACUCCCGCGACUUCUCCAAAUUUCCCACCAGCGCAAUAGAAAAUAUGCACUUCAUUUUCUCGAAAAGUGCCGAAUCCCGCCGAGCUUGUGAGGCGGGAGGGAGAGAGGAACCCAUCCUCUCUCUACCCAUCAAACUCCACCUCCUUCUCAAAGUGUUGCCAACACCACAACGUGUAAACCAACAUGUGCACGUGUGUUAGCAUUUUCACAAACAUUUUCUUCGAAGGAGUUAAGUUAGCUCACUAGGUUCUAAAUGCAUGCACAUGAACAAUGACACCCAGUGGCACUUGAUAACCGCUUAGCCAAAGAAUUCCCCUCUUUAUAGUACGGCUAUCUAUCCUAAAUGUGAUCACACCCUCUAUGGUGUCUUGAUCACCAAAACCAAAACCCUAAGCAAUACCUUUGUAAUAGAACCAACCAAAUUAUAAGAGAUUAAGCCUAACGGAGACCAUUCACAUAGUCAAACCCGCAGGCUUAAACCCAUAUAAUCCCGGUAGUCCGUGAAAUCUCGAAGGAUUUCAAACCACAUAUCGUACAACAGCCAAGAUCGUAAUAAGUUUAGCGGUCGCCAUCCACAAAUACAUCCAGAUUACAACAUUUAUAAAAUACAUCGGAGUACUUAAAGUUAUUACAAACCAAGUUCUUCAAGUAGCGGAGGCUUCAUAGUUCGAAAAUACAACACACACUUAGUCUGAUACAGUGCCAUAGUUCGGUCAUUCCCACAAAAGCAAAAGAGAAGACGGAGUGACCAUCGCCCUUGGUCUAGUCAUCACCCAUGGCUGGGUACAGACAGAGGAUGCAAUAACCAUAGUACAUUUGACCAUCUGCAAAACAACAUGGGAGUAGAACCCUGAGUACGAGAAGGUACUCAGCUAGACUUACCCAUCAUAAACUUAAAAUAAAGACUCAUCAAGGAUCAUGAAGGCUAUAUAGUGGGGUAGCUGACGACCAUUUUGUAAAACCGCAGGAUUCUAUUAUUAUAACCUACACAAAUCUUUCUUCUUUUAAUGAUCAAGUUGAAAGUAUCAUUACCUAUUAUCUAGGUUUGCACCUGUACUAUCACAAACAAGUAUAGUGAUAUGAUAGUACCUCAUCAUAGCAUUUCUUAAAACCAUUCAUCAUUAUAACCCAAGUGUUCCAUAGUCCUUACUACGAGGACAGGGCUCAUGUCAAGUGCUCACUAUCCAGGAGCGAUGGCGAUUCGAAUCGAUUUCUAACAACCUGGUGAGUUUAUUCCCCACACAAACCACACUCACUGAUCAAUUGAGCUACAGAUCACCGUAUUGCACUAUCCAGGACCAAUUCGCGGGUUCGACAGGCACCACCCAUACCCGAGGACCGUUCCGGCGACCGAAGUAUCCAAGGUAUACCAAGGUUGCGCGCCGCGCCCUCAUCGUUCUCCUCAACCAUCACCAAUACAGCGCGUACAUCGGGCCGAUUCCCGGCCCGGAUAGUGCUCAGGCUUCGCGGUCGGUGUUGAUAUUUGGGAACGCAAUAAGGAAUUGAUCCGCAAGCGCACGGAUAUCGGUGAGCACUUCACCCGGGAAAUUAUCCAGAGUAUCGUAUUUAUUUUUUUACCACUAGGGGAAAGAGUGCAUCAGACUAACCGGUCUAUUACUACUAACCUUUAGGCACAAAGAAUGUCUUUCGAUGUGAGUGAUAAAUAGAGAAGACUGCAACCGUAGUCUCCUUCUAACCUUGGUAAGGAUGAUCUACUGUUCUAAUGGGGAGGCUAACGGAAUCUAGACACCACAAAGGAUGUUCGACCCGCACCUAUAAACCCUAUCCUUCCUGCUAACGAGAUGUGAUCUACAAAGGUAGCUCGGAAAUGUCACGUUCCUCACUACUACCACGGUCCAACUAGUCAGGGAAUAUCUAUGAGUACCCCAGCCUAAACACCAUGUUUACGCCAGCAAUGAUUACUCUAAACUCUACGCGAAGAGAUUAAAGUAAACUCAUAAACCAUAAGAACAAUAAAACAAGCACUUACUAGAAUUUAGAAGUCGAAAUACUGAAGAAUCCUAGGAGCAAGCUUCGGGUUAGGAGAACUUGAUCCCGCAGGUACAAGCUUGGAGUAGACACCGACAAGCCGGGCUUCCUCCACUCUACACCUCCACUCUACACCUCCACUCUAUCUCUCUCAAUCUAGUAGAAACUAGAAGAUAUAUUUCUACCUUACAUUGAUUGCUAAGCCUAAAAAGAAAUAUUAAUUAGAGAAGAGGUUUUCCUUCGAGGGCACCCCUCAGUCUCUAUGAUAAUUUCUUCAUGUCUUCUCCAGGGGCCAGGGGGCCUUGCUUAUAUAGUCCUCCCCUUCUAUGCGUUUUUGGGUCGAUAGGCGAGGUGGUACUAUGUUUUUCUUGAUCCAAUAGGUCGGUGGAAUAUCCCGAGCGAAAGAGUCCUGAUUUGGCUCCAACAGCGGGGCGGGCGCCCAGGCUUCCAGGGCGGGCGCCCUGGGCCUGGCCCAGUUUUGCCUCCGCUUCGGUCUCGUGGCUUCUGGAGUCUUCUAGAUGAUGUAAAAUUACGCGGUGCGUUGAUAUCUCUAUGUAAUCCCGACAUGUGGACCUUUCUUCCGUAUUUCCUGAUAACCCCCUGCAGAAAUAGAUAAACAACAAAACUCGUGGAAUUCUGUCAGAUCAAACCCUAAUUCUAGGUGAUGGUUGCAUAUUGGUCCUUUCUCUUGUUUAUUUGAUAAUUAAAAUUGAUACUUAAGAACCGUCAACAAAUACCCCCAUACUUAGGCUUUUACUCGUCCUUGAGAAAAGGAUGGUUAAGAAAAAUAUCUGGGGUAAACAUUUUAAAGCAUUCUCUUUAUAUUUGCAGGGUGUUAAAAAUUCCACUGUGUACCAUAGUCAGGGAUGUAUAUGGUUAAGAGUAAAGAUUCUUUCUUCUCAAUCCUAUCACUUGGAGUUUUUGUAUAUUUUUCAAAGAAAGUUAGCAUACCUUUUGAUCCUCAUAGGUUCUCUCAGAUCACUCAUUAUCAUUUAUAUAUAUAUAUAUCUCACUGAGGCUGUUUUAUUUUGCAAAAAUUCUCAAGCAUUCUUACUUUGCAUUUAUUGCCUGAUCAAAACGGGAUCCGAGGAGGGGAAUGUCAUACUCUUAGAUCAAAGACUUUGGAAAUUAAAAUCUUUGUCAACUAUUGCUGGCAUAUUGCUUAUUAGAGGGACCAUGGGCUAUCAUUUUUUCUCUUUUUUUUAAGUGGAUACCGAGGUACCCCCUAAUUCUACUGCCGGACACUUGUCCAUUUUUUUCUGCGAGGUUGUCGAGCACUUGCUCCUUUUUAUUUCCUCGAAAUAUCUUCUAUUUUUGCAUAGCCCAUGCCUCUAAUGCAAUAAUACUUCGGAAGAGUGAAUCUUACUGAAAUAAUGUCUUGAUCUUGGGAGCAUGAUAAAUCUCUCAACAAGGGUCUAACUCAUUUUGAACAAACUCAAUACAGAGCAGAUAGCUUUUAUAAUCAUAAUUAAUAUUUUCAGUUUUAUCAGGCAUAUAAAACACUGAGGAUGGUAGCUAGAAAUUUGAAUAUUUUUGAAAUAAAUUCUCCAAGCAACAAUGAUAUUAAGAAUAAGAAACUCAUACUCUACCAUCACAUAUUCCUUAUUGACUUAAGUAACACAGGGUUUUAAAAUGAUUUUAUAAUAAUUGCAAGUUUUCAGGAAAUAUCACAAAUCAUGUUUAGAAAUAUUUUUAAUCUUUUUACUUUGUCAUGUCGGGAACAAUAUUCUGCAUAAUCCAAAAUAUAUAUAUGUGUAACAUUAAGUGCGCAGAGUGUGUACCUGAAUCGUGGAGUGGUGUAGUUGGAGUGUGUUUGGCAUGUCGAGGGAUCUCCCCCAUACUUGUUUUCUGCUUUCUUACAAAAAUAAAGUAGAGACACACAAGACAUAAUAAUAAUAAUAAUAAUAAUCAUAAUAAUAAUAAUAAUAAUAAUAAUAAUAAUAAUAAUAAUAAUAAUAAUAAUAAUAAUAAUAAUAAUAAUAAUAAUUUUUAUUGAUCUUGAGGCAUUUAUUACAAAAGACUGAUAGCAAACUGAUAAUAAUAGCAAACUUAAACCGAAUUUAAAGAUAGAUGACUAAGAUGCAUUGCCUCAAGGUCUAAUUUAGAUAACUUAGCGGCGCUCUAAUUCCUUGAUCUUCUUGUUGGCACUGGCAAGAUCCUGCUUAAGGCCUAGUAUAAUGGUGUUGUGGUUAGAGAGCUGCCUAGUGAGGGAAUUAAUCGAGGACUGGAGGUCUAUGAUAACUCUAUCUAGCCUGCGAACUUCCUCAUCAAUAUCCAUUAUAGUCUUGCGACGCUUGGGAGGUGUCUCAAAAGCAUUGAGAGAGUGCUUCGGGGCUGCCUUUGGAGGGAUGAAACGGACUUUGGAUGCUCUAAUCCCUUCAAAGUAAGGCCUUUCCUCCUCUGUAGUGUAGCGAAUACUGCUGAUCUCGCCGCUCCGGUUAGUCUUGACUCCAACGACCCUCUCAUUGGGUCUUGGUGGAAGGAUCCUUGUGGCGAUUGGCACCUUGAUAGUGGUCUUCGUCUUGGAUGAUGAUCCUUUAAGGAGUAGGGGUUGUGGUGGUGCAGUGAUAACUGGUUGAGCAUGAUAAGAUUGGGCGGAGCUGCGUUGGCGUAAUGGCAUGGCUUCUAGCUGACGCUCUGUGUUGGCCGGGACGAGAGCACGGGCAUCGAGGUCCUCCACAAGCUCCAUGUUGAGGUUGAAGGGGACGACUUCCCAAUCGUCGUGGUACUUCUCGGCCAUUGGAGUAGCAAGGAACUAAUAAAAUUUUAAUUGAAGUAGAGCUAAUCAAGCUCUAAUCGAAGGAGAGAAAGCUUGGUGGCUUGGUGUUUGAAAACUGAGGUCAGGGGUCUGUUUAUAUAGGGGUCAAAAGGGUGCCUCUAUGGGUUGUUCGGGUUGCUCCCGUCGAUGUGCGUGCGAAACUUUCCAUCCGAGGGAUUAUUUGGAUCACCAUAAGUGCAUUUUCCAUAACAGAGAAAGUCGGGACCGAGGGGAGCAGGGGCUGGGCGCCCGCCCACUUGACCUGGGCGCCCGCCCUCUCUCUGGCCCCUCUGUGGGCCCACUUUUCCGAGCGCGUUUCUAGAUGCGAAAUUAUUUAGAAAAAUAUAUAUAUGACCCAAAACCAUCAGACCAAAAGUAUCAGGCUCUAAUUCUCCAUGGGAAGGUAAAAAUGGACUACGUCUAUUUCUUCAAAUUCCUCAUUGGGCUCUAAAAAUAAUUUAAGACGUUGACCAUUUACCUUGAAUAACGUACCUUCGCUAUUUUGAAGUGUGAUAGCUCCGUGGGAUGAUGAAUUGAUUACCUUGAAUGGUCCUUCCCAUUUGCUCUGGAGUUUUCCAUGCCCGAAAAGCUUUACCCUGGAAUUAAAAAGUAAUACCAUAUCUCCGGGUGUGAAUUCCUUCUUCUUGAUUCUCUUGUCAUGCCACCUUUUGACUCUUUCUUUGUAGAUCUUUGAAUUGUGAUAUGCCUUCUCUCGCCAUUCUUCCAAUUCUGAUAGUUGCAUUCUUCUAUAAUCUCCAGCAACAUCUAGGUCCAUAUUCCAUCUCUUUAUGGCCCAGUGUGCUUUGAACUCUAGUUCAACAGGUAGAUGGCAAGUCUUCCCGUACACCAAUUGGUAUGGAGACAUUCCGAUUGGGGUCUUGUAUGCUGUCCGGUAUGCCCAGAGUGCAUCGGGUAACUUGUCUUUCCAUGCCGUUCCCAUUUCAUUUACUAUCUUCUGAAGAAUAUUCUUGAUUUGUUUGUUGGAAGUCUCUGUUUGGCCACUUGUCUGAGGAUGAUAGGGGGUAGCGAAGUUGUGACGGAUUCCAUGUCUUGAUAGAUAUUGCUUGAAGCGUUUGUCGAUGAAAUGUGCUCCUCCAUCACUUAUCACUACUCUGGGGACUCCAAAUCUUGGAAAUAUAAUUUCUUCAAACAUCCUCUUUGAACUGACGUUGUCGGCAUGCUUGCAAGGUAAUGCCUCUACCCACUUGGAGACAUAGUCAACCGCCACCAAGAUGUACUCGCACUUCUUUGAUGGAGGAAAUGGACCCAUGUAGUCUAUUCCCCAGACAUCAAAGAGCUCAAUCUGAAGGUUGUUGGUGAGUGGCAUUGCGUCCCUUGUAUUUAUGUUUCCGUGCCUUUGACAUGGCCCACAUCUCCUGAUAUAUUGCUUCGUGUCUUCAUACAUUGUAGGCCAAUAGAAUCCACACUGCCAGAUCUUUGAAUGUGUACGGAAUGCUCCAUAGUGACCUCCAUAUGGUGAUGAAUGACAUCUGUCGAUGAUCUUCCAUCCUUCCUCAGUGGUCACACAUCUCCUGAGUAAGCCGUCAAAGCAUACUCGAAAGAGGUAUGGCUCAUCCCAUAUAUGUGAACGACUUUCUUGAAUAAGCUUCUUCUUGUUUGCUCCUGGUGGUACAUACCCUGAAACCAUAAAAUUAACAAUAUCUGCAUACCAGGGGUCAGACCUGUUAAUCCCGUAGAGCAUGUCGUCCCGGAGUGAAUCAUUGAUGGGGGUUUCCUGUGGACUCUUAAAAUACAUUCUAGACAAGUGAUCAGCAACAGAAUUUUCUACUCCCUUUUUAUCUUUUAUUUCUAAGUCAAAUUCUUGGAGUAAUAAGAUCCAUCUAAUCAGGCGAGGUUUAGCAUUUUUUUAGUGAGCAAAUAUUUUAGUGCAGCGUGAUCAGUGUAAACAAUUAUUUUAGCUCCAACUAAAUAAGAUCUAAAUUUAUCAAUGGCAAAGACAACAACCAGAAGCUCUUUUUCAGUGGUUGCAUAAUUAAGUUGAGCUCCUGUCAAAGUUUUACUGGCAUAAGCAAUUGCAUGAUGCUUCUUAUCUUUAGUUUGUCCCAAUACUGCCCCCACAGCAUAAUCACUAGCAUCACACAUAAUUUCAAAAGGUAACGACCAAUCAGGGGGUUGAAUGAUUGGUGCAGAGAUGAGUGCUUUCUUUAAUAAAUUGAAAGAUGUUAAACAUGCAUCAUCAAAUUCGAAAGGAGCAUCCUUGCCUAGCAAAAGAGUAAGUGGUCUAGCAAUAAAUGAAAAAUCUUUUAUGAAUCUACGAUAAAAACCAGCAUGGCCAAGAAAGCUUCGAAUUCCUUUUAUAUUCACAGGUGGAGGUAGUUGUUCAAUUACUUCAAUUUUAGCUUUGUCUACCUCAAUCCCUCUUUCAGACACUAAGUGUCCUAGCACUAUUCCUUCUCUAACCAUAAAAUGACAUUUUUCCCAAUUAAGGAUUAAGUGCUUUUCUUCACAUCUUUGCAAAACCUUGUCUAAGUUUUCAAGACAACUAUCAAAAGUUUUUCCAUAAAAAGAGAAAUCAUCCAUGAAAACUUCCAUAAUCUCUUCAAUCAUAUCAGAAAAUAUAGACAUCAUGCAUCUUUGAAAAGAAGCUGGUGCAUUACAUAACCCAAAAGACAUUCUACGGUAAGCAUAAGUUCCAUAAGGGCAUGUAAAAGUGGUUUUGCUUUGAUCAUCAGGAUGGAUCGGGAUUUGAUGAUACCCUGAAUAUCCAUCUAAGAAACAGAAGAACGAAUGGUUUGCUAACCGCUCUAGCAUCUCAUCUAUGAAAGGCAAAGGAAAGUGAUCCUUUCUCGUGGCUUUGUUUAGUUUUCUAUAGUCUAUGCACAUCCGCCAUCCUGUGACGGUACGUUGCGGAAUUAGCUCGUUCUUUUCAUUCAUAAUAACAGUCAUGCCUCCCUUUUUAGGCACAACUUGUACUGGGCUUACCCACUCACUGUGUGGCACAGGAUAUAUAAUCCCUGCAUGCAGCAACUUUAUAACUUCUUUUUUAACUACCUCUCUCAUAGUGUUGUUAAGUCUACGUUGGGGUUCUCGAGAGGGUGUAACAGAAGGAUCUGUUGGAAUACGAUGGGUACAAAUCAUAUGACUGAUUCCUGUAAGAUCUUGAAGUGAGUAGCCGAAAACUGAGUGAUGUUUCUCAAGAAUGGUCAUUAAUCGCAGAGUUUGAUCCUAAGUGAGUUUAUCCCUAAUGAUCACAGGGAACUCUGGAUUAUUGUUUAGGAAAGCAUAGGUAAGACCGGGUGGUAAAGUUUUAAGUUCUAUGGGGGGUCUAGGUGUCUCUGCAAACUCAUCUAAAGGUUCAGGCUCAGAAGGUUCGUCUUCUUCUUCUGUGAAGAAAGGAGUUUCGUCUUCUAGGUCUGGUUCAUCUAAAAGCUCUAGAGAUGCAGCCUUUACUUCCUCCAUAGGAUCAGGCAAAAGAUAUGACUCGGCCUUAUUAUUUAAGGAGUGUGAAAUUAUUAUUGGGAAUUUAAAAGUUUUUCCAAAAGAAAUGUGUAGCUUUCCAGUAUGACCUUCAUAAAGGAGUCUUCUAAAAGGUUGUCCUAUUAACAAGUCGAAGUCCCAUGUAUCAAAGAUAUAGAAGUUCAAAUGAACCAUGGAGCCUUCUACCGUAAGAGGUAGGACAUUAAUAAUUCCAAGACUGGGGACUAAUCGUCCCGAAGAUUCCUUUAUGACCUUUGUUGUGGGGGUUAAGAUAAGAUUUUUAAAUAGUUUAAGUGCAAAAGAUUCAGACAUGAUGUUGAUCCCCACAACAGGAUUAUAGAGAGCAUUAAAUCGAUCAGAAUUAUAAGCACAGCGUAUAGUUAUAGAGGGUGUGUCCAAACGGAUCACAUCAGAGGAAAGUUUUGAUUCCUCCAACCAUUCGCUACUCAUUACUGAGAUAAGCUCUCUCAAUUGAUAUUCACUUGGCAAAUAAAUGCUAGACUGGCCGUUUUGGGGUUUGUCAAUAGAAUGGUAGUUUGAAAUAUUUCCAAAAUCGGCAAAAAGAUCGGAUUCUAUAUCCAGCAUGAAGUCCGGUAGUGGAAUUUCUUCCUCUUGUGGCUCAGAACUUGGAAUGGCUAAAGUAGAUGAAGAAUUUGGCAGAGUGUCUACUUUGGCUUCGUAGGUUUCAUCAUAAAGGGUGUUAUCCAUCUCAGCUUCUAGGAUUCUAUCUAGGAUCACUCUUGCUUCAUCAGCAGGGAUGCGAAAGAAAGAACCUCUAGACAUUGUGUGAAGCAUUUGUUUAUGAUUUUUAUGAAGACCUCGAAAAAAGUGAAAUAAAAGAACAGGGUCUUCAAGAUUAAGGUUUGGACCAGAUUCUAAAAGAUCAGAAAAACGUUUCCAGGAUUUUCCCAAAGUUUCAUUAUCUAUUUGUUUAAAAGAUAGGACUUUGAGUCUAAGGUCGGCUAUACGGUCAAGGGAAUAGAAAUCUAGACAAAAGUUGGCUCGUAAAACUCCCCAUUCACCUUGUUGUUGACUUACCUUCUGACUGUACCAUUGUCUAGCUUCUCCCCUUAGAGAAAAAGGAAAAAGCUUCCAACGUAAAGUCUUAUCAGAAAUGCCUUCAAUGCGAAGACAAUCACAUGUUUGCUCAAAAUCUCUAAUAUGAAGGUAAGGGUUUUCGUCUUCCUUUCCCGAAAAAGAUAGGUUUUGAAUCAGGGCAAUCAACCUAGAACUUAACUUAUACUGGGAUGUUUGGAUAGGCUGUGAUGACUCCCAUGGUAAAAGGUCAGUUGCUAAAGGGAUUGCAGACUCAUGGAUCGAUUUAGAAUUUUGGUUUUCCAUAAGGUAAGAAUAAAGAAAAUAAAUAAAGGAUAUAAAAGAUAAGAAAAGAUAAAAGUAUAGAUACAAGCUAGUAGCAAGACACAGGUUAUCUCAGCAACCGUCUUUCUCCCCGACAACGGCGCCAGAAAUGCUUGUUGAUAUUUGGGAACGCAAUAAGGAAUUGAUCCGCAAGCGCACGGAUAUCGGUGAGCACUUCACCCGGGAAAUUAUCCAGAGUAUCGUAUUUAUUUUUUUACCACUAGGAGAAAGAGUGCAUCUGACUAACCGGUCUAUUACUACUAACCUUUAGGCACAAAGAAUGUCUUUCGAUGUGAGUGAUAAAUAGAGAAGACUGCAACCGUAGUCUCCUUCUAACCUUGGUAAGGAUGAUCUACUGUUCUAAUGGGGAGGCUAACGGAAUCUAGACACCACAAAGGAUGUUCGACCCGCACCUAUAAACCCUAUCCUUCCUGCUAACGAGAUGUGAUCUACAAAGGUAGCUCGAAAAUGUCACGUUCCUCACUACUACCACGGUCCAGCUAGUCAGGGAAUAUCUAUGAGUACCCCAGCCUAAACACCAUGUUUACGCCAGCAAUGAUUACUCUAAACUCUACGCGAAGAGAUUAAAGUAAACUCAUAAACCAUAAGAACAAUGAAACAAGAACUUACUAGAAUUUAGAAGUCGAAAUACUGAAGAAUCCUAGGAGCAAGCUUCGGGUUAGGAGAACUUGAUCCCGCAGGUACAAGCUUGGAGUAGACACCGACAAGCCGGGCUUCCUCCACUCUACACCUCCACUCUAUCUCUCUCAAUCUAGUAGAAACUAGAAGAUCUAUUUCUACUUUACAUUGAUUGCUAAGCCUAAAAAGAAAUAUUAAUUAGAGAAGAGGUUUUCCUUCGAGGGCACCCCUCAGUCUCUAUGAUAAUUUCUUCAUGUCUUCUCCAGGGGCCAGGGGGCCUGGCUUAUAUAGUCCUCCCCUUCUAUGCGUUUUUGGGUCGAUAGGCGAGGUGGUACUAUGUUUUUCUUGAUCCAAUAGGUCGGUGGAAUAUCCCGAGCGAAAGAGUCCUGAUUUGGCUCCAACAGGGGGGUGGGCUCCCAGGCUUCCAGGGCGGGCGCCCUGGGCCUGGCCUAGUUUUGCCUCCGCUUUGGUCUCGUGGCUUCUAGAGUCUUCUAGAUGAUGUAAAAUUACGCGGUGCGUUGAUAUCUCUAUGUAAUCCUGACAUGUGGACCUUUCUUCCGUAUUUCCUGAUAACCCCCUGCAGAAAUAGAUAAACAACAAAACUCGUGGAAUUCUGUCAGAUCAAACCCUAAUUCUAGGUGAUGGUUGCAUAUUGGUCCUUUCUCUUGUUUAUUUGAUAAUUAAAAUUGAUACUUAAGAACCGUCAACAGUCGGAACGACUUAUCCUUCCAGCUAAAUGUGGGGCAUGCGUUCAACAUGACAAGAGGGCCGUCAACGAUCGGUCCUUAAUCGACACAGACAGGGGCACUAUGGUCAACCCACCAUAAGACCCUGCCCGGUCUCCAAUUCCAUUCCACACUUGGUUAUUCUUUUCCCCAAAGCAACCACUGCUCGAACAAGCAGGUAUCCACCUAUAUCUCGCAGGUGACAGGGAAUCACCCGACUUCUACCGGGCUAAGCAAGCUAAGCAUAGACUCCGCACCUAUCUACAUAGGACAAGGUAGAUAAACGAGUAGGGAUAACAAGGAGUACUUAUGCAUCAACGGUAUCAAGCAACUCCUAUCACUUAAAUGCAAUAUAGUAGAACAAGCAUAGUAUAUCCUGUAAGUUAGCGAGAAUAGGGAGACUUAGAAUGCUCCGGGGCUUGCCUUUCUCAAACGUGCUGGGUCGGUGAUCCGGACACUUCUGUAGUUCCUCUCCGGACUCCUGUGCUUCCGGAGGUUCCUGCUCCUGAAUCUCCUCUGGUUCCUCGGGUCCCACCUCGUUCUCCUGCGAGCCUGUAUGAUGCAUGUGUGCUCAUGAGUGUAGUGCGAGAUGCCCGAGUGGAUGCUUGUAUGAGAAGGUACCAAAGGAUCAUGACAUGAUGCAUGGAUGAUACACUUGGUCAUGCUCAUUACAAGACAGUCAACAUCAUCCAAGAACAGACAAUUGAAUUAAACAUCUAUUGCAUUCUCUUCUACACUUGUUUUGCAAGUGUAACCAGCUACCCACAUGAUGCUUCAAGGAUACACCAAACCCCUCCUUAUUUUACUCAACCUAUAUAUAAAAAUUCAUAAUUUUCUUUAUUCAUUUCUAGGCCCAUUAAAAAUUACAUGCAGUUCUGUUCAUCAAUAAAUUCCACAAAAAUUACAGGAGACUACCAGCCAAGCAUAAAGUCUACUGUAAAUUUUUCAUAAUUUUUGGAUACUUAUUUUGAGCUACAAAAAUCACAGGAUUAAUUAAUAAGGUAAGUAAUAUUAGUCCACUGUAAUAUAAGUGUCAAACAACAGAUUUCAUAUUUUUACAAUUUGCCUAAUAUCAUAAGAAGCACCCACAAAAAUUACCAGAUUAAAUGCAUGAUCCAAAUACCACUGCCAUGCAAGCAUUUAAAUUACCAUAAAUUCAUUUAUACACCAAAUAAUGUGUAGCAAUAUUUUCCCAGUGAGUUAACAUACAUGCAAAGCCCAUAAAACAAGUUUCAUAUUUUUCUGAGUCAUAUUUUAAUUAUUGUACAUUUUCCAAGUUUAGCAAAAACAUGGAUUAAAUAUAUUCAUACAGAAAAGUUACUCGAACAUGACAUGCAAUUACAUCAAACUGUAGAUCUGGAAAUAUAGAGCACACCAAAAUUUAUUUCAUCAAAUUUGGAGCUGUAGAACUCAAGAUAUGAAUUUUACAAGUUUUGAAUCAAUUUCUGGAAAACAUUUAUUAAAUAAAACCGACGAAAAAGGCUAAACACACCCAAAUCUACACCCACCGGGGUUCCCCCUGCGACUGUCAGCGAGACCGAGAGGGAGCUCACCUCCGACGAGCAGAUCUCGCCGGCGGUGAGGUUCCCGGCCACGGGGUGAGCACCAUCGUGCUCCCCGCAGCGAGGCGCACCCAGCGGUACCCUCGGAUUGACCGGAGGAUGGCCGGAGCACCUCCGUCGAGCAUGCAUGGCGACGCUGCUCGCCGUGGCCAGGCCGCUCCGGCGCGGUACAGCGUGCGCAAACAGUUCUCCGAGCUUCCUCACCACUCUACCGACCUAGCGCAACCAAGAACCAGCGAAAAGAGGUAGGGAAACGCAAGAUCCGUCGCGGCGGAGUACUCUGGCGAGCUCGGGGUAACUCCGUCGAGCGAUUCACGGUGCUCGGCGGACUCUCACCUCGGUAGAACACUCGCAUACGCUUACCCUAACGAUGGCGAAGGCGCUGGUGGCUUCAGUGUCGAGGUUUGGUCACCGGAGUGGCCGGCGGUGAGCAGCGGAGCCGCUCCGGCGAUGGCGCUGCGGCGGAGUUCUAUGGCUCGGUUGCGCUUGCGAGCGGAGGGAGGAAGGAGAAGGGCGCGGGCGACAGGAUGGAGGGAAUGGCCUGGGAGCCCGAGCCGGCGUCCCGACUAGGGGGUGUUGGAGGCCGGCCGCGGCGCGCUCCUCGCCGGCGUACGGCCGCCACGUGGCCGACGCUGGCUGGGGCGAGGCGGGCGUCCGCGCGCGGGAGAGAGGGGGAGGGGGAGGCAGGCCGGGCCGCUCGCUGGGCCGAAAGGGAGGCGGGGUUGGCCCAGCAGCGCCUGCCCCUUUUCUAUUUUUUUUUGAAUUUCUUUUCUCAAAUUCUUUUCUAAAUUCUUUUGGACCAAUUUAAAAAUCAUUUUCAUCUCUUGCUUCCAAAAGCAAGGUUGUUCCAAAACAAAAACCCUACAACUUUGUUUUAAUAAGCAAGACAAAAUUCAAAAUAGAAUUUGAAUUACAAGUUAAAACUAGUUCUAGGUUUUCAAAUAAAUUCAAUUUGGGGAUUUUUGUAUAAAUUCCAUUUCUCAAAUUCUAUAGCUCCAAAAAUUACACAAAAAUAUUCUUAAUCCUUCUUACACAUAAAUCAACCUAGUUUGACUAUCUCACAUUUUUAGAAGCAAGCAUCAUAUUUUUAGCAUAUUUAGAACACAUAAAAUAAAGCACAUAAAAUCAUGGUUUGGGAUGAAUGAGAUGCUCAUGAUGCCUAUGCUUGAUGAGAAUGCUUAUGCAUUGCUUUGGGAAGGCUAAGUGCAUGCUUAACACCUAGGGUGUUACAGCCCUUCCCCCCUUAGGGAAAUCUCGUCCCGAGAUUUUGGGUUACUAACCAUUUCUUAUGAAAUUUUGGAUAAACUGUUUUUAAGUAAUCCUCUGUUUCCCAGGUGGCAUCCCUAUCGUCAUGAUGACUCCACACCACCUUAUAUGUUCGAACAACUCUGUUUCGGGUUACUCGUUCCUUGGUAUCCACAAUUCCCACUAGCUGCUCUUUAUAUUCCAAGUCUGCUUUUAUCUUGAUUCCCCUAGGUUCAAUUCUUUGCUCAGGUACUUUCAAACAUUUCCGCAGUUGCGACACAUGGAAAACCGGAAAGAUUGAGCUUAACUCUUCACGUAACUGAAUCUUGUAGGCCACUGGGCCCUUCCUCUCUAGUACUUGAUACGGUCCCACAUAUCUGGGUGCAAGCUUCCUUCGAACUCGGAAACGUUGAACUUUCUUCAUUGGCGUAACCUUGAGGUACACGUAGUCACCUACGUUGAAUUCAAGUGGCCUUCUUCUCUUAUCGGCGUAACUCUUUUGCCGUGAUUGUGUGGCUUGCAUGUGUUGCUGUAUGAUUUGCACCUUCUUCUCGGCCUCAUUCACGAAGUCGAUACCACAGUAUCUUCUCUCGCCAGGUUCAACCCAGUUUAACGGAGUUCUACACCUCCGACCAUACAAAGCUUCGAACGGGGCCAUCUUGAUGCUCUCUUGAUAACUGUUAUUGUAUGAGAAUUCAGCCAGAGGUAACCAUGAUUCCCAUGAUCCCUUGGAUGAUAGCACACAGGCCCUCAGCAUAUCUUCUAACACUUGAUUUAGCCUCUUAGUUUGGCCUGAAGUCUGGGGAUGAUACGCCGUGCUUCUUAUCAGACUGGUCCCCAAACUCUUAUGCAUGCGCUCCCAGAAGUGAGCGGUGAACUGUGGUCCCCUAUCCGAUAUGAUGGUCUUGGGAAUACCAUGCAAUUUGACAAUCUCAGCCAUAUAUAUAUCGGCAUAUUCAGGAGGUCGGUAACGAGUCUUCACAGGAAUGAAAUGGGCUGAUUUGGUCAAUCGAUCUAUGAUUACCCAAAUCGAGUCAUUCCCCUUCCUUGUUGUUGGUAAACCCGUGAUAAAGUCCAUACUGACCUCUUCCCAUUUCCACUCUGGAACUGAUAACGGUUGUAACAGACCUGCAGGCUUCAUGUGGAUGGCCUUAACUCUGCAACACGUGUCACAACGAGCUACAUACGCGGCUAUUUCUUUCUUCAUCUUGGUCCACCAAAAGUGGGGUCUCAAGUCUUGGUACAUUUUACUACUGCCAGGAUGAAUAGAAAGCUUAGAGAGAUGGGCUUCAUCCAUGAUGCGAUUCUUCAAUUCACGAUCUUUCGGAACUACUAACCAAUGUUGAAACCACAGUACCCCUUUUUCAUCAACUCGAAAUUGAGUCUUUGGGUCAUCUUUGAUCUUCUCCUUGAUGUGGAAAAUACCCUUGUCUGUUUUCUGACCUUCGAUGACUUGACUCUCGAGUGAAUAACUGAGUUGUAUGUGACAUAAGACCUCAGGAUGCAUAAGAUCGAACCCAUCUUCAAACAACGGUUGAACCACUUGAUAGUGCGGUUUACGACUCAAUGCAUCCGCUACUACAUUUGACUUGCCUGGAUGAUAGUGAACUUCCAGAUCAUAGUCCUUGAUUAACUCUAACCAUCGUCGUUGCCUCAUAUUCAGCUCGGACUGAGUGAAGAUGUACUUCAAACUCUUAUGAUCAGUAUAAAUGUGACACUUAUUCCCCAGCAGAUAGUGUCUCCAAAUCUUCAAGGCGUGUACCACUGCUGCUAACUCGAGGUCAUGAGUUGGGUAGUUGACUUCGUGCUUUCUCAACUGUCGGGAAGCAUAAGCUAUCACUCUGCCUUCUUGCAUCAACACACACCCCAGGCCACUCUUCGAUGCGUCACAAAACACAUCAAAAGGCUUCUCUAUAUUGGGUUGUGCCAGAAUGGGAGCAGUGGUUAGCAACUUUCGCAAGGUGCGGAAGGCUAACUCACACCCUUCCGUCCAGACAAACUUAUGAUCCUUUUGUAGCAAACUUGUCAUUGGCUUAGCAAUCUUGGAGAAAUCAGGUAUGAAUCGACGAUAAUACCCGGCCAGACCAAGAAAACUUCUAACUUCCGAGACAGAAGUUGGUGCCUUCCAGUCCAUGACCUCCUGCACCUUUGAUGGAUCCACAGCAAUCCCUUCUUCAGAUAGAAUGUGCCCUAGGAAAGGAACUUUCUUCAACCAGAACUCACACUUGCUGAACUCGGCAUAUAAAUGAUGCUCUCGUAAUCGUGUCAGCACGAUUCUCAGAUGCUCGGCAUGAUCUUGCUCAUUUUCUGAAUAAACCAGAAUAUCAUCGAUAAACACCACAACAAACUUAUCCAAUUCCGGCAUAAAGACUGAAUUCAUCAGAUACAUAAAGUAUGCAGGAGCAUUUGUCAAUCCAAAGGACAUGACAAGGCACUCAUACAACCCAUAUCUAGUGGAAAAAGCAGUCUUUGGGAUAUCUUGCGGACGAAUCUUGAUUUGGUGAUACCCAGACCUCAAAUCUAUCUUGGAAAACACUUUUGCCUUAGACAACUAAUCAAAUAAGAUAUCAAUCCUUGGCAAGGGAUACUUAUUCUUGAUUGUCACGGCAUUGAGUGGACGAUAGUCCACGCACAUGCGCAACGACUGAUCCUUCUUUUUCACAAACAAUGCUAGACAACCCCAUUCCGACGAGCUUGGCCGGAUGAACCCUUUUUCCAGUAACUCCUUUAGUUGAUUCUUCAACUCAGCGAGUUCGUUUGGUGGCAUCCGGUACGGCCUCCUAGAUAUUGGUGCUGUACCUGGUAUCAACUCGAUUGCAAACUCUACCUCCGUAUUUGGGGGAAGUCCUGGUAAUUCCUCAGGAAAAACAUCAGGGAACUCACAUACCACGGGUAUGUGUUCUAGUGAAACCACCUGUACUGCACACGAAAGACUGGCGAAGUCUAACCGUCGAGGUAACUUGACCUGAAACACACCCUUCCCUUGCGGGUCUCUAAGGGAAAGAGUUCUAUUCCCGGUGUCUAUAACCGCGCCCCAAUCAGUCAUCUUGUUCAUUCCAAUGAUGACAUCCAAAACCAGCCCUGGCAUGACCACAAGGUUUACACGAAACCUCCGGCCACUGAUAUCCAAAGUAACUCCUGUUACUGUUUUAUUAGUCAACACAUCGGCUCCGGCUGAGCUGAUGCGAUAGCCAUAACCCAACUCAGUAACUGGCUGGUCAUGCUUUUGUGCAAAUGCUUGACUCAUGAAUGAAUGCGAUGAUCCAGAAUCAAACAAAACAACUGCAAGAUGUUGGUUGACAGAGAACAUACCAGCUGUUACCGGUUCUCCUUCCAGGAUCUCCUCGAUCGAGGUAUGGUGCACACGAGCUGGAUAGGUUGGCUGCUGCCUCUUGGGGUAGGGACAUUCCUUAGCAAAGUGCCCCAUCUUGUGGCAGUUAUAGCACGGACCCUUGGGCGCAUUGUUGACGGCAGGUGCUGCAGCUUGAAUUGCCUUUGGCUUGGCAGGGGCUAUCGCCACCUUGUACGGCUUCUGCUGCGUUGGAUGCCCAGUGUUCCUUCUCUGCGGCGGUCAGAACCUAGCACCUGGGGCAGGAGGACGAUACUGCUGUCGCCCUGUCAUGGGUGCCCUGGACUGGGAUGAUCCGGCUUCAAAAGCCCUCUUACGUGACUUGGAUGCACUGUAGUUGUUGUUGUUGUUCUCCUGGGUCAGACAGUCACUGAUGUAAGCAUUGAAGGUAGCCCUAGCUCCUGUACCCAUGGUCUUCAGCAUCUUUGGACUCAAGCCUCUCUGGAAACUAGCAAUCUUCUUGGCCUCCGUGUUCACAAACUCAGGGGCAUAGCGAGCGAGAUUAUUGAAAGCGUGUAGAUACUCCUUCACAGAUUUCGUCCCCUGGGACAGCCUCAUGAACUCCCCAACCUUCAUUUCAACUAAACCCAGAGGAAUGUAAUUUCCCCAAAAAGUGGUGGUGAAGCGGUUCCAGGUAAUUGGGGUCCCCUCUGGGUAGGUAGUACUGUGAUGGGACCACCAAAUUCCAGCGGGUCUUUGCAACUGAUGUGCCGCAUACUCAGCCUUGAGUUCUUCGGUCAUCCGAAGGAGACGAAACUUCUGCUCCAUGGUGUUGAUCCACUCAUCUGCUUUGAGCGGUUCCAAGGCCUCUUUGAAGAUUGGUGGCUUGGUAUCCAUGAAGUCCUUGAAUGAGCUGUACUGAUUGACUUCACGGCCGCCCUGGUUAUCCCCACGACGGGUGUUGUCAGCUAUGUUGCGCAGAGCCUCUUCCAUGUUGUGUUGCAUCUUUUCCAUGUUGCGUUGGCUCCCCAGAAACUGCGCGAAAAACACGUCCGCAGUGUACGGAGGAGGCAGUGGUGGUGGCAGUGUUGGUGCUCUGUCCUCAUUCCAUUGAGCCCCACCUCCAGACGUGCCUGCUCCAAGGCCCGGGUUGUGUUACCCCCGCCACGUGUUUGCACCAUCUGCAUAGGUCAAUGAUAAGCAAUCGUUAGGAGUUGUCAUCAUCGGUAGAAAUGUGUAGAAUCAUGCCGUACUGAAUUUACUGAGGGAAUAAAUUUGCACAAUAAAUAGAGGCACAACAACUCAUCGUCCACGCACAACAUCACUAACAGAUUACUUAUCAUUCAAGCAACGAGGUUCGCAUGCAUCCAACUUGCCAGCAAACAUACACUGGACUUUCAGCAUUAACUCAUAGAGUUUUACAUAACCCAGAUCCAAAGGUACAAGAUAUGCCAUGCAACAUACAACGCAAAAGAAGAAGGACUAGCCCUAGAGCCCUAGCAUCUACUCGCUAUGAUCACUGUCCAUGCCGGAGCCAUCCUCAUCCUCAUCUCCACUAGCAGCUGCUCCAAUCUCAGGAUCCUCAUCCAUCUCGUCCUCAGAGUCUAGCUCAGCUGCUCCAGGCAGGGGGUGAGGGUGGAGCUGGUUAUGCAGCUGGUGGAUCUCCUCAUGCAAGUUCUCAUUGUACUCCUCAGCAUUGGCUAGCUGCUGCUCUAGCUCUAGCUGUCGGGCCCUCAAAGUGUCCUCCUCGUGCCAGGCUUCAUUCCUCUGUCCAAGCACAUGGACUAGCAUGCGCACGCAGUUCCUGUGAGCAGUAGUCACCCUGUCCUUCUGCUCUCGUACUGCAAGCAGGUCCUGACUCAGCUCACUGUUCCUCUGGACUGCCUGAUCUCUCUCUGUGGUCACACGGGCCAACUCUGCCUAUAGCCUCUCAACCUCAGAGUCAAACUCACGCUGCAACUGACGCUUCUCAUCCUGGACGGUGAGAAGAGACCCAGACAAGCGACCCAAACAACGCUCCAGGCCUUCAUAGGUCUUCAUCAACGCGUACAUAGCACUCAUAGCUGCACUGUCACUGUGCUGGGCCUCAUCCGCACUCCUCUCUAGAGCGUUCACCUCGGACUGAUCCCACACUGAAGUGUAGGGGUCACCUCGGGGAAACACCCCAGCGAAGGCGCGGGCCAGCUCCUGUGGAAACCUCUCCAUGAGGUCCCUCAGAACUGCGAAAGCUGCCCUGCUGGCACCGUGGAAAGGCGUGAUACCUCGGGACUCAUACACCCAGCCGCCCCAAGCAGGGUCCCCUCCACUGGUAGGGACAACUGCCUCGAUCCCCACCAGUGUACCGUCACCAAGCGGCUCCUUAUCCCAAUAGUAGCGAGGCUCUCUUCCUUCGGGAUACCCUAUCGAACUGAGCACCCUCCAAAGCAAAGUGGGCAUCCCAAACUCCUCCAGGAACUUGCUCUUAUGUCGUGAGCUCCUCGCUGCCAACGGAUGGCGAGGGGCCCGCCCACCAGUGGACUUGCGAGCGGUGAGCCUAGUGCGUGCCAUCUGCUGCAAAUGGAAUACCUUGGUUAAGAGCGAGGAUUACCUUUAAUUAUUUUAUUUAGAAUUGGGACAGAUUAAAUUAAGGGGGAAAGUAAGCAAUGAUAUGAAAUGACCAUGAUGCAUGUACGAACUUACGAUCUCACAAACUUAGAAACAAAGGUUAACACUAAGCGGUAUAUGCGGUGGCCCACAACGUUCUCUCAUAACGUAACUAGCGUUCUAAGCGAGAAGUGGUUAGUGUACCUGCAGAAAACUCAUUUCAGCCCACCCACAGCAUGCUAAUGCAGAACAAAACUUAAAACUAUACACUCCACAUACACAGACACCCGUCCAUGCAUAUGACGUGUUGCUACCCCCAUCAUCGCCCUAAUGACGGCAUCGCCUCUCAGGACGGAAUUCCCAACAUGUGGUACUGUUCCCAAGACACACCAAAACAUGUGUGCAUGACACAGUACCUAACAACACUCCCGUAGACCGGCAGUGUAUCCGAUCAUGCUCUCACAGCUCCCACUUACUGUGGCGUAGAGGAAAAAUUGAUCCAUACAUUACCACUCAAAUGAAUGGCACUCAUACUAUUGCACGCCGUAUGAGCGACGAAAUAAAAAUAUGAUGCAUUAACCCCCAGGUCAGUACUUAACUAACCACCUUAGAGUCCUUAACUGGGCAUAAAGGAUAUGACCAUGGCACACUAGAUAGUUUUUCCCAAAACUUGGUUUAACACCUUGAUCAUUAUUGAUUAAUUAAUAAAAUCUUUCAUUAAACUGGUUUAGAUUUUUGUUUAGAACGUACUUAUGAACAGUAACUCGCUAAACCUUGCUCCGAUGCCAGCUGUAACAGAACCGACCAAAUUAUAAGAGAUUAAGCCUAACGGAGACCAUUCACAUAGUCAAACCCGCAGGCUUAAACCCAUAUAAUCCCGGUAGUCCGUGAAAUCUCGAAGGAUUUCAAACCACAUAUCGUACAACAGCCAAGAUCGUAAUAAGUUUAGCGGUCACCAUCCACAAAUACAUCCAGAUUACAACAUUUAUAAAAUACAUUGGAGUACUUAAAGUUAUUACAAACCAAGUUCCUCAAGUAGCGGAAGCUUCAUAGUUCGCAAAUACAACACACACUUAGUCUGAUACAGUGCCAUAGUUCGGUCAUUCCCACAAAAGCAAAAGAGAAGACGGAGUGACCAUCGCCCUUGGUCUAGUCAUCACCCAUGGCUGGGUACAGACAGAGGAUGCAAUAACCAUAGUACAUUUGACAAUCUGCAAAACAACAUGGGAGUAGAACCCUGAGUACGAGAAGGUACUCAGCUAGACUUACCCGUCAUAAACUUAAAAUAAAGACUCAUCAAGGAUCAUGAAGGCUAUAUAGUGGGGUAGCUGACGACCAUUUUGCAAAACCACAGGAUUCUAUUAUUAUAACCUACACAAAUCUUUCUUCUUUUAAUGCUCAAGUUGAAAGUAUCAUUACCUAUUAUCUAGGUUUGCACCUGUACUAUCACAAACAAGUAUAGUGAUAUGAUAGUACCUCAUCAUAGCAUUUCUUAAAACCAUUCAUCAUUAUAACCCAAGUGUUCCAUAGUCCUUACUACGAGGACAGGGCUCAUGUCAAGUGCUCACUAUCUAGGAGCGAUGGCGAUUCGAAUCAAUUUCUAACCAGCUGGCGUGUUUAUUCCCCACACAAACCACACUCACUAAUCAAGUGAGCUACAGAUCACCGUAUUGCACUAUCCAGGACCAAUUCGCGGGUUCGACAGGCACCGCCCGUACCCGAGGACCGUUCCGGCGACCGAGGUAUCCAAGCUAUACCAAGGUUGCGUGCCGCGCCCUCGUCGUUCUCCUCAACCAUCACCAAUACAGCGCGUACAUCGGGCCGAUUCCCGUCCCGAAUAGUGCUCAGGCUUCGCGGUCGGAACGACUUAUCCUUCCAGCUAAAUGUGGGGCAUGCGUUCAACAUGACAAGAGGGCCAUCAACGAUCAGUCCUUAAUUAAUACAGGCAGGGGCACUAUGGUCAACCCACCAUAAGACCCUGCCCGGUCUCCAAUUCCAUUCCGCACUUGGUUAUUCUUUUCCCCAAAGCAACCACUGCUCGAACAAGCAGGUAUCCACCUAUAUCUCGCAGGUGACAGGGAAUCACCCGACUUCUACCGGGCUAAGCAAGCUAAGCAUAGACUCCGCACCUAUCUACAUAGGACAAGGUAGAUAAACGAGUAGGGAUAACAAGGAGUACUUAUGCAUCAACAGUAUCAAGCAACUCCUAUCACUUAAAUGCAAUAUAGUAGAACAAGCAUAGUAUAUCCUAUAAGUUAGCGAGAAUAGGGAGACUUAGAAUGCUCCGGGGCUUGCCUUUCUCAAACGUGCUGGGUCGGUGAUCCGGACACUCCUGUAGUUCCUCUCCGGACUCCUAUGCUUCCGGAGGUUCCUGCUCCUGAAUCUCCUCUGGUUCCUCGGGUCCCACCUCGUUCUCCUGCAAGCCUGUAUGAUGCAUGUGUGCUCAUGAGUGGAGUGCGAGAUGCCCGAGUGGAUGCUUGUAUGAGAAGGUACCAAAGGAUCAUGACAUGAUGCAUGGAUGAUACACUUGGUCAUGCUCAUUACAAGACAGUCAACAUCAUCCAAGAACAGACAAUUGAAUUAAACAUCUAUUGCAUUCUCUUCUACACUUGUUUUGCAAGUGUAACCAGCUACCCACAUGAUGCUUCAAGGAUACACCAAACCCCUCCUUAUUUUACUCAACCUAUAUAUAACAAUUCAUAAUUUUCUUUAUUCAUUUCUAGGCCCAUUAAAAAUUACAUGCAGUUCUGUUCAUCAAUAAAUUCCACAAAAAUUACAGAAGACUACCAGCCAAGCAUAAAGUCUACUGUAAAUUUUUCAUAAUUUUUGGAUACUUAUUUUGAGCUACAAAAAUCACAGUAUUAAUUAAUAAGGUAAGUAAUAUUACUCCACUGUGAUAUAAGUGUCAAACAACAGAUUUCAUAUUUUUACAAUUUUCCUAAUAUCAUAAGAAGCACCCACAAAAAUUACCAGAUUAAAUGCAUGAUCCAAUUAAUUACUAAAAAUCAUAAACCACUACCAUGCAAGCAUUUAAAUUACCAUAAAUUCAUUUAUACACCAAAUAAUGUGUAGCAAUAUUUUCCCAGUGAGCUAACAUACAUGCAAAGCCCAUAAAACAAGUUUCAUAUUUUUCUGAGUCAUAUUUUAAUUAUUGUACAUUUUCCAAGUUUAGCAAAAACAUGGAUUAAAUAUAUUCAUACAGAAAAGUUACUCAAACAUGACAUGCAAUUACAUCAAACUGUAGAUCUGGAAAUAUAGAGCACACCAAAAUUUAUUUCAUCAAAUUUGGAGCUGUAGAACUCAAGAUAUGAAUUUUACAAGUUUUGAAUCAAUUUCUGGAAAACAUUUAUUCAAGAAAACCGACGAAAAUGGCUAAACACACCCAGAUCUACACCCACCGGGGUUCCCCCUGCGACUGACAGUGGGCCUCUGACCCCACCGGUCAGCGAGACCGAGAGGGAGCUCACGUCCGACGAGCAGAUCUCGCCGGCGGUGAGGUUCCCGGCCACGGGGUGAGCACCAUCGUGCUCCCCGCAGCGAGGCGCACCCAGCGGUACCCUCGGAUUGACCGGAGGAUGGCCGGAGCACCUCCGUCGAGCAUGCAUGGCGGCACGGCGGCGCUGCUCGCCGUGGCCAGGCCGCUCCGGCGCGGUAGAGCGUGCGCAAACGGUUCUUCGAGCUUCCUCACCACUCUACCGACCUAGCGCAACCAAGAACCAGCGAAAAGAGGUAGGGAAACGCAAGAUCCGUCGCGGCGGAGUACUCCGGCGAGCUCAGGGUAACUCCGGCGAGCGAUUCAUGGCGCUCGACAGACUCUCACCUCGGUAGGACGCUCGCAUAAGCUUACCCUAACGAUGGCGAAGGCGCUGGUGGCUUCGGUGUCGAGGUUUGGUCACCGGAGUGGCCGGCGGUGAGCAGCGGAGCCGCUCCGGCGAUGGCGCUGCGGUGGAGUUCUACGGCUCGGUUGCGCUUGCGAGCGGAGGGAGGAAGGAGAAGGGCGUGGGCGACAGGAUGGAGGGAAUGGCUUGGGAGCCCGAGCCGGCGUCCCGACUAGGGGGUGUUGGAGGCCGGCCGCGGCGCGCUCCUCGCCGGCGUACGGCCGCCACGUGGCCGACGCUGGCUGGGGUGAGGCGGGCGUCCGCGCGCGGGAGAGAGGGGGAGGGGGAGGCAGGCCGGGCCGCUCGCUGGGCCGAAAGGGAGGCGGGGUUGGCCCAGCAGCGCCUACCCUUUUCUAUUUUUUUUGAAUUUCUUUUCUCAAAUUAUUUUCUAAAUUCUUUUGGACCAAUUUAAAAUUCAUUUUCACCUCUUGCUUCCAAAAGCAAAGUUGUUCCAAAACAAAAACCCUACAACUUUGUUUUAAUAAGCAAGACCAAAUUCCAAAUAGAAUUUGAAUUACAAGUUAAAACUAGUUCUAGGUUUUCAAAUAAAUUCAAUUUGGGGAUUUUUGUAUAAAUUCCAUUUCUCAAAUUCUAUAGCUCCAAAAAUUACAUAAAAAUAUUCUUAAUCCUUCUUACACAUAAAUCAACCUAGUUUGAAUAUCUCACAUUUUUAGAAGCAAGCAUCAUAUUUUUAGCAUAUUUAGAACACAUGAAAUAAAGCACAUAAAAUCAUGGUUUGGGAUGAAUGACAUGCUCAUGAUGCUUAUGCUUGAUGAGAAUGCUUAUGGAUUGCUUUGGGAAGGCUAAGUGCAUGCUUAACACCUAGGGUGUUACAACCUUUGCCUUGAUCUCCAUAGGGUUUUGUUUUUCUCUUUCUUCUUUUCCAAGUUGAGCACUUGAUCACCUUGUGGUCAUCACCAUCAUCACCAUGAUCAUCACUUGCUCCAUCACUUGGCAUGUACCAACCUCAUUAAGUCUACACACACUUAGCGUAGAGGUUAGUACUAGGGUUUCAUCAAUUAUCCAAAACCAAACUAGGGCUUUCAAUCUCCCCCUUUUUAGUAAUUGAUGACAACCCUUUUUACAAAGAUUUUCAAUAAAAUUUUCUUGGAUUCAUGUUGCUUGCCCAAGCAUUUUACCAUGUGCAAAGGUUAUGGACAAGUUUCAUAAACCCAAAUUGGUAGGAAUUGCUCCCCCUACAUAUGUGCUAAGAGUUUGGAUUUGAAAGCUUGCACAUAUGCUUGAAUAGGAAAUAUAGGAGUCAAUUUCUACCAAAUGAUGCUAAGGUGUAAAGAAUGGACCUUUGAAGCGUGAUACCAAUCAGAGUUGCCAAUGUAUACCAUCCUUAGCACCAUUAGUAACUAGGCAUUCACAAAACUAGAACACCUCGUGAGAUCAACAUUAUAAACAAAGUUCUAGUACCACUUGUGAAAUAACUAAAAGUCUAGUUACACUACUUAUGCAUGCUAGUUUUUCAUUUCAUCAAUCAAAUUUACAACUAGCAUACACCACACAAGCAAGGCAUUGGAGAGAAAGCUUCUAAAACUAAUGCAAAUGCAAGCAAACAUAUGUGAUGCACAUUAAAUAUGCAACAAACAAGUUUAUGAGCUUGCUCACCCUACUUGUGUGCUUCAAAAUUUUAAUUGAUCCCCUUCUUUUAUCAUGUUACUCCCCUAUCUUAACUCUUUGGGAAAUUUUCUCCCCCUUUGUCAUCAAUGACCACAAAAGGUGAGUGUUGACGGUUCUUAAGUAUCAAUUUUAAUUAUCAAAUAAACAAGAGAAAGGACCAAUAUGCAACCAGCACAUAGAAUUAGGGUUUGAUCUGACAGAAUUCCACGAGUUUUGUUGUUUAUCUAUUUCUGCAGGGGGUUAUCAGGAAAUAAGGAAGAAAGGCCCACAUGUCAGGAUUACAUAGAGAUAUCAACGCACCGCGCAAUUUUACAUCAUCUAGAAGACUCCAGAAGCCACGAGACCGAAGCGGAGGCGAAGCUGGGCCAGGCCCAGGGCGCCCGCCCUGGAAGCCUGCGCGCCCGCCCCCCUUCUGGAGCCAAUUCAGGACUCCUUCGCUCGGGAUAUUCCACCGACCUAUUGGAUCAAGAAAAACAUAGUACCACCUCGGCUAUCGACCCAAAAACGCAUAGAAGGGGAGGACUAUAUAAGCGAGGCCCCCCUGGCCCCUGGAAGACAUGAAGAAAUUAUCAUAGAGACUGAGGGGUGCCCUCGAAGGAAAACCUCUUCUCUAAUUAAUAUUUCUUUUUAGGCUUAGCAAUCAAUGUAAGGUAGAAAUAGAUCUUCUAGUUUCUACUAGAUUGAGAGAGAUAGAGUGGAGGUGUAGAGUGGAGGAAGCCCGGCCUGUCGGUGUCUACUCCAAGCUUGUACCUGCGGGAUCAAGUUCUCCUAACCCGAAGCUUGCUCCUAGGAUUCUUCAGUAAUUCGACUUCUAAAUUCUAGUAAGUUCUUGUUUUAUUGUUCUUAUGGUUUAUGAGUUUACUUUAAUCUCUUCGCGUAGAGUUUAGAGUAAUCAUUGCUGGCGUAAACGUGGUGUUUAGGCUGGGGUACUCAUAGAUAUUCCCUGACUAGCUGGACCGUGGUAGUAGUGAGGAACGUGACAUUUCCGAGCUACCUUUGUAGAUCACAUCUCGUUAGCAGGAAGGAUAGGGUUUAUAGGUGCGGGUCGAACAUCCUUUGUGGUGUCUAGAUUCCGUUAGCCUCCCCAUUAGAACAGUAGAUCAUCCUUACCAAGGUUAGAAGGAGACUACGGUUGCAGUCUUCUCUAUUUAUCACUCACAUCGAAAGACAUUCUUUGUGCCUAAAGGUUAGUAGUAAUAGACCGGUUAGUCAGAUGCACUCUUUCUCCUAGUGGUAAAAAAAUAAAUACGAUACUCUGGAUAAUUUCCCGGGUGAAAUGCUCACCAAUAUCCGUGCGCUUGCGGAUCAAUUCCUUAUUGCGUUCCCAAAUAUCAACAAGCAUUUCUGGCGCCGUUGCCGGGGAGAAAGACGGUUGCUGAGAUAACCUGUGUCUUGCUAUUAGCUUGUAUCUAUACUUUUAUCUGUUCUUAUCUUUUAUAUUCUUUAUUUAUUUUUCUUUAUUCUUACCUUAUGGAAAACCAAAAUUCUAAAUCGAUCCAUGAGUCUGCAAUCCCUUUAGCAACUGACCUUUUACCAUGGGAAUCAUCACAGCCUAUCCAAACAUCCUAGUAUAAGUUAAGUUCUAGGUUGAUUGCCAUGAUUCAAAACCUAUCUUUUUCGGGAAAGGAAGACGAAAACCCUUACCUUCAUAUUAGAGAUUUUGAGCAAACAUGUGAUUGUCUUCGCAUUGAAGGCAUUUCUGAUAAAACUUUACGUUGGAAGCUUUUUCCUUUUUCUCUAAGGGGAGAAGCUAGACAAUGGUACAGUCAGAAGGUAAGUCAACAACAAGGUGAAUGGGGAGUUUUACGAGCCAACUUUUGUCUAGAUUUCUAUUCCCUUGACCGUAUAGCCGACCUUAGACUCGAAGUCCUAUCUUUUAAACAAAAAGAUAAUGAAACUUUGGGAAAAUCCUGGAAACGUUUUUCUGAUCUUUUAGAAUCUGGUCCAAACCUUAAUCUUGAAGACCCUGUUCUUUUAUUUCACUUUUUUCGAGGUCUUCAUAAAAAUCACAAACAAAUGCUACACACAAUGUCUAGAGGUUCUUUCUUUCGCAUCCCUGCUGAUGAAGCUAGAGUGAUCCUAGAUAGAAUCCUAGAAGCUGAGAUGGAUAAUACCCUUCAUGAUGAAACCUACGAAGCCGAAGUAGACACUCUGCCAAAUUUUUCAUCUACUUUAGCUAUCCCAAGUUCUGAGCCACAAGAGGAAGAAAUUCCACUACCGGACUUCAUGCUGGAUAUAGAAUCCAAUCUUUUUGCCGAUUUUGGAAAUAUUUCAAACUACCAUUCUAUUGACAAACCCCAAAACGGCCAGUCUAGCAUUUAUUUGCCAAGUGAAUAUCAAUUGAGAGAGCUUAUCUCAGUAAUGAGUAGCGAAUGGUUCGAGGAAUCAGAGCUUUCCUCUAAUGUGAUCCGUUUGGACACACCCUCUAUAACUAUACGCUGUGCUUAUAACUCUGAUCGAUUUAAUGCUCUUUAUAAUCAUGUUGUGGGGAUCAACAUUAUGUCUGAAUCUUUUGCACUUAAACUAUUUAAAAAUCUUGUCUUAACCCCCACAACAAAGGUCAUAAAGGAAUCUUCGGGACGAUUAGUCCCCAGUCUUGGAAUUAUUAAUGUCCUACCUCUUACGGUAGAAGGCUCCAUGGUUCAUUUGAACUUCUAUAUCUUUGAUACAUGGGACUUCGACUUAUUGAUAGGACAACCUUUUAGAAGACUCCUUUACGAAGGUCAUACUGGAAAGCUACACAUUUCUUUUGGAAAAACUUUUCAAUUCCCAAUGAUAAUUUCACACUCCUUAAAUAAUAAGGCCGAGUCAUAUCUUUUGCCUGAUCCUAUGGAGGAGGUAAAGGCUGCAUCUCUAGAGCUUUUAGAUGAACCAGACUUAGAAGACGAAACUCCUUUCUUCACAGAAGAAGAAGACGAACCUUCCGAGCCUGAACCCUUAGAUGAGGUUGCAGAAACACCUAGACCCCCUAUAGAGCUUAAAACUUUACCACCCGGUCUUACCUAUGCUUUCCUAAACAAUAAUCCGGAGUUCCCUGUGAUCAUUAGCGAUAAACUCACUCAGGAUCAAACUCUGCGAUUAAUGACCAUUCUUGAGAAACAUCACUCAGUUUUUGGCUACUCACUUCAAGAUCUUACAGGAAUCAGUCAUAUGAUUUGUACCCAUCGUAUUCCAACAGAUCCUUCUGUUACACCCUCUCGAGAACCCCAACGUAGACUUAACAACACUAUGAGAGAGGUAGUUAAAAAGGAAGUUAUAAAGUUGCUGCAUGCAGGGAUUAUAUAUCCUGUGCCGCACAGUGAGUGGGUAAGCCCAGUACAAGUUGUGCCUAAAAAGGGAGGCAUGACAGUUAUUAUGAAUGAAAAGAAUGAGCUAAUUCCGCAACGCACCGUCACAGGAUGGCGGAUGUGCAUAGACUAUAGAAAAUUAAACAAAGCCACGAGAAAGGAUCACUUUCCUUUACCUUUCAUAGAUGAGAUGCUAGAGCGGUUAGCAAACCAUUCAUUCUUUUGUUUCUUAGAUGGAUAUUCAGGAUAUCACCAAAUCCCGAUCCAUCCUGAUGAUCAAAGCAAAACCACCUUUACAUGCCCAUAUGGAACUUAUGCUUACCGUAGAAUGUCUUUUGGGUUAUGUAAUGCACCAGCUUCUUUUCAAAGAUGCAUGAUGUCUAUAUUUUCUGAUAUGAUUGAAGAGAUUAUGGAAGUUUUCAUGGAUGAUUUCUCUGUUUAGGGAAAAACUUUUGAUAGUUGUCUUGAAAACUUAGACAAGGUUUUGCAAAGAUGUGAAGAAAAGCACUUAAUCCUUAAUUGGGAAAAAUGUCAUUUUAUGGUUAGGGAAGGAAUAGUGCUAGGAUACUUAGUGUCUGAAAGAGGUAUUGAGGUAGACAAAGCUAAAAUUGAAGUAAUUGAACAACUACCUCCACCUGUGAACAUAAAAGGAAUUCGAAGUUUUCUUGGCCAUGCUGGUUUUUAUCGUAGAUUCAUAAAAGAUUUUUCAUUUAUUGCUAGACCACUUACUCUUUUGCUAGCCAAGGAUGCUCCUUUCGAAUUUGAUGAUGCAUGUCUAACAUCUUUCAAUUUAUUAAAGAAAGCACUCAUCUCUGCACCAAUCAUUCAACCCCCUGAUUGGUCGUUGCCUUUUGAAAUUAUGUGUGAUGCUAGUGAUUAUGCUGUGGGGGCAGUAUUAGGACAAACUAAAGAUAAGAAGCAUCAUGCAAUUGCUUAUCCCAGUAAAACUUUGACAGGAGCUCAACUUAAUUAUGCAACCACUGAAAAAGAGCUUCUGGCUGUUGUCUUUGUCAUUGAUAAAUUUAGAUCUUAUUUAGUUGGAGCUAAAAUAAUUGUUUACACUGAUCAUGCUGCAUUAAAAUAUUUGCUCACUAAAAAAGAUGCUAAACCUCGCCUGAUUAGAUGGAUCUUAUUACUCCAAGAAUUUGACUUAGAAAUAAAAGACAAAAAAGGAGUAGAAAAUUCUAUUGCUGAUCACUUGUCUAGAAUGUAUUUUAAGAGUCCACAGGAAACCCCUAUCAAUGAUUCACUCCAGGACGACAUGCUCUACGGGAUUAACAGGUCUGACCCCUGGUAUGCAGAUAUUGUUAAUUUUAUGGUUUCAGGGUAUGUACCACCAGGAGCAAACAAGAAGAAGCUUACUCAAGAAAGUCGUUCACAUAUAUGGGAUGAGCCAUACCUCUUCCGAGUAUGCUCUGAUGGCUUACUCAGGAGAUGUGUGACCACUGAGGAAGGAUGGAAGAUCAUCGACAGAUGUCAUUCAUCACCAUAUGGAGGUCAUUAUGGAGCAUUCCGUACACAUUCAAAGAUCUGGCAGUGUGGAUUCUAUUGGCCUACAAUGUAUGAAGACAUGAAGCAAUAUAUCAGAAGAUGUGGGCCAUGUCAAAGGCACGAAAACAUAAAUACAAGGGAUGCAAUGCCACUCACCAACAACCUUUAGAUUGAGCUCUUUGAUGUCUGGGGAAUAGACUACAUGGGUCCAUUUCCUCCAUCAAAGAAGUGCGAGUACAUCUUGGUGGCGGUUGACUAUGUCUCCAAGUGGGUAGAAGCAUUACCUUGCAAGCAUGCCGACAACGUCAGUUCAAAGAGGAUGUUUGAAGAAAUUAUAUUUCCAAGAUUUGGAGUUCCCAGAGUAGUGAUAAGUGAUGGAGGAGAACACUUCAUUGACAAACGUUUCAAGCAAUAUCUAUCAAGACAUGGAAUCCGUCACAAUGUCGCUACCCCUUAUUAUCCUCAGACAAGUGGCCAAGCAGAGACUUCCAACAAACAAAUCAAGAAUAUUCUUCAGAAGACAGUAAAUGAAAUAGGAACGGCGUGGAAAGACAAGUUACCCGAUGCACUCUGGACAUACCGGACAGCAUACAAGACCCCAAUUGGAAUGUCUCCAUACCAAUUGGUGUACGAGAAGACUUGCCAUCUACCUGUUGAACUAGAAUUCAAAGCACACUGGGCCAUAAAGAGAUGGAAUAUGGACCUAGAUGUUGCUGGAGAUUAUAGAAGAAUGCAAUUAUCAGAAUUGGAAGAAUAGCGAGAGAAGGCAUAUCACAAUUCAAAGAUCUACAAAGAAAGAGUCAAACGGUGGCAUGACAAAAGAAUCAAGAAGAAGGAGUUCACACCCGGAGAUAAGGUAUUACUUUUUAAUUCCAGGGUGAAGCUUUUCGGGCAUGGAAAACUCCGGAGCAAAUGGGAAGGACCAUUCAAGGUAAUCAAUUCAUCAUCCCACGGAGCUAUCACACUUCAAAAUAACGAAGGUACGUUAUUCAAGGUAAAUGGUCAACGUCUUAAAUUAUUUUUAGAGCCCAAUGAGGAAUUUGAAGAAAUAGACGUAGUCCAUUUUUACCUUCCCAUAGAGAAUUAGAGCCCGACACUUUUGGUCUGAUGGUUUUGGGUCAUAUAUAUAUUUUUCUAAAUAAUUUCGCAUCUAGAAACACGCUCGGAAAAGUGGGCCCACAGAGGGGCCAGAGAGAGGGCGGGCGCCCAGGUCAAGUGGGCGGGCGCCCUGCCCCUGUUCCCCCUCGGUCCCGACUUUCUCUGUUAUGGAAAAUGCACUUAUGGUAAUUCAAAUAAUCCCUCAGACGGAAAGUUUCCCACGCAAGUCGACGGGAGUAACCCGAACAACCCAUAGAGGCACCCUUUUGACCCCUAUAUAAACAGACCCCUGACCUCAGUUUUCAAACACCAAGCCAUCAAGCUUUCUCUCCUUCAAUUAGAGCUUGAUUAGCUCGUCUUUAAUUAAAAUUUUAUUUCCUUGCUACUCCAAUGGCCGAGAAGUACCACGAUGAUUGGGAAGUCAUCCCCUUCAACCUCAACAUGGAGCCAGUGGAAGACCCCGAUGCCCGUGGUCUCGUCCCGGCCAACACAGAGCGUCAGCUAGAAGCCAUGCCAUUACGUCAACGCAGCUCCGCCCAAUCUUAUCAUGCUCAACCAGUUCUCACCGCACCACCACAACCCCUACUCCUCAAAGGAUCAUCAUCCAAGACAAAGACCACUAUCAAGGUGCCAAUCGGCACAAGAGUCCUUCCACCUAGACCCAAUGAGAGGGUCGUUGGAGUCAAGACCAACCGAAGCGGUGAGAUCAGCAGUGUUCGCUACACUACGGAGGAGGAAAGGCCUUACUUUGAAGGGAUUAGAGCAGCCAAAGUCCGUUUCAUCCCUCCAAAGGCAGCCCCGAAGCACUCUCUCAAUGCUUUUGAGACACCUCCCAAGCGUCGCAAGACUAUAAUGGAUAUUGAUGAGGAAGUUCGCAGGCUAGAUAGAAUUAUCAUAGACCUCCAGUCCUCGAUUAAUUCCCUCACUAGGCAGCUCUCUAACCACAACACCGUUAUACUAGGCCUUAGGCAGGAUCUUGCCAGUGCCAACAAGAAGAUCAAAGAAUUAGAGCGCCGCUAAGUUAUCUAGAUUAGACCUUGAGGCAAUACAUCUUAGUUAUCUUUAAAUUCUGUUUAAGUUUGCUAUUAUUAGUUUGCUAUCAGUUUGCUAUCAGUCUUUUGUAAUAAAUGCCUCAAGAUCAAUAAAGAGUAUUAUUAUUAUUAUGUUUUGUGUGUCUCUACUUUAUUUUUGUGCAAGAAAGCAGAAAACAAGUAUGGGGGAGAUCCCUCAACAUGCCAAACACACUCCGACUACACCACUCCACGAUUCAGGUACACACUCUGCACACUUUACUUUACACAUACAACUCCUUUGGAUUAUGCAGAUUACUGUUUCCGACAUGAUAAAAUAAAAAUAUUAAAAUAUUUCUAAUCAUGAUUAAUCUCAAUCUGUGAUAUUUCCUGAAAACUUGCAAUUAUUAUAAAAUCAUUUUAAAACCCUGUGUUACUUAAGUCAAAUGGAAUAUGUGAUGAUAGAGUAUAAGUUUCUUAUUCUUGAUAUCAUUGUUGCUUGGAGAAUUUAUUUCAAAAUAUUCAAAUUCCUAGCUACCAUCCUCAGUGUUUUAUAUGCCUGAUAAAACUGAAAUAUUAAUUAUGAUUACAAAAGCUAUCUGCUCUGUAUUGAGUUUGUUCAAAAUGAGUUAGACCCUUGUUGAGAGAUUUAUCAUGCUCCCAAGAUCAAGACACUAUUUCAGUAAGAUUCACUCUUCCGAAGUAUUAUUGCAUUAGAGGCAUGGGCUAUGCAAAAAUAGAUAUUUCGAGGAAAUAAAAAGGAGCAAGUGCUCGACAACCUCGCAGAAAAAAAUGGACAAGUGUCCGGCAGUAGAAUUAGGGGUACCUCGGUAUCCACUUAAAAAAAAUAUGAUAGCCCAUGGUCCCUCUAAUAAGCAAUAUGCCAGCAAGAGUUGACAAAGUUUUUAAAGUCUUUGAUCUAAGAGUAUGACAUUCCCCUCCUCGGAUCCCAUUUUGAUCAGGCAAUAAAUGCAAAGUGAGUAUGCUUAAGAAUUUUUGCAAAAUAAAACAACCUCAGUGAGAUAUAUAUACAAAAGAUAAUGAGUGAUCUGAGAGAACCUAUGAGGAUAAAAAGGUAUGCUAACUUUCUUUUAAAAAUAUACAAAAACUCCAAGUGACAGGAUUGAGAAGAAAGGAUCUUUACUCUUAAUCAUAUACUUCCCUGACUAUGGUACACAGUGGAAAUUUUAACACCCUGCAAAUAUAAAAUGCUUUAAAAUGUUUUACCCCAGAUAUUUUUCUUAACCAUCCUUUUCUCGAGGACGAGUAAAAGCCUAAGUAUGGGGGUAUUUGUUGACGGUUCUUAAGUAUCAAUUUUAAUUAUCAAAUAAACAAGAGAAAGGACCAAUAUGCAACCAGCACAUAGAAUUAGGGUUUGAUCUGACAGAAUUCCACGAGUUUUGUUGUUUAUCUAUUUCUGCAGGGGGUUAUCAGGAAAUAAGGAAGAAAGGCCCACAUGUCAGGAUUACAUAGAGAUAUCAACGCACCGCGCAAUUUUACAUCAUCUAGAAGACUCCAGAAGCCACGAGACCGAAGCGGAGGCGAAGCUGGGCCAGGCCCAGGGCGCCCGCCCUGGAAGCCUGGGCGCCCGCCCCCCUUCUGGAGCCAAUUUAGGACUCCUUCGCUCGGGAUAUUCCACCGACCCCCUGGAAGACAUGAAGAAAUUAUCAUAGAGACUGAGGGGUGCCCUCGAAGGAAAACCUCUUCUCUAAUUAAUAUUUCUUUUUAGGCUUAGCAAUCAAUGUAAGGUAGAAAUAGAUCUUCUAGUUUCUACUAGAUUGAGAGAGAUAGAGUGGAGGUGUAGAGUGGAGGAAGCCCGGCCUGUCGGUGUCUACUCCAAGCUUGUACCUGCGGGAUCAAGUUAUCCUAACCCGAAGCUUGCUCCUAGGAUUCUUCAGUAAUUCGACUUCUAAAUUCUAGUAAGUUCUUGUUUUAUUGUUCUUAUCGUUUAUGAGUUUACUUUAAUCUCUUCGCGUAGAGUUUAGAGUAAUCAUUGCUGGCGUAAACGUGGUGUUUAGGCUGGGGUACUCAUAGAUAUUCCCUGACUAGCUGGACCGUGGUAGUAGUGAGGAACGUGACAUUUCCGAGCUACCUUUGUAGAUCACAUCUCAUUAGCAGGAAGGAUAGGGUUUAUAGGUGCGGGUCGAACAUCCUUUGUGGUGUCUAGAUUCCGUUAGCCUCCCCAUUAGAACAGUAGAUCAUCCUUACCAAGGUUAGAAGGAGACUACGGUUGCAGUCUUCUCUAUUUAUCACUCACAUCGAAAGACAUUCUUUGUGCCUAAAGGUUAGUAGUAAUAGACCGGUUAGUCAGAUGCACUCUUUCUCCUAGUGGUAAAAAAAUAAAUAUGAUACUCUGGAUAAUUUCCCAGGUGAAAUGCUCACCGAUAUCCGUGCGCUUGCGGAUCAAUUCCUUAUUGCGUUCCCAAAUAUCAACAGUGAGCUCAAAUUUUAGAUAGGUUAGUGUGGAACCAUGUCAAGUGAGAUCAUUUUACCAAAUUGGUCCAAUCUAGAUUACUUGCCUAAGAUAUUUAACUCGGUUUGAUCCAAGGACUAGCUUCUUCACACCUCCAAAUAAGGGUUAUCUUGUACCAUGUUGAGUUAAACACUUAUAGCUCAUAUUCUAGAUCAAACACUAGGAUUGCAAGCCCAAAAACAAUGUCAUAUGCUACCACUAGAUCAAGUCAAGCAUAGAAGCAAUAGUGGUACAAGCAUCAAAUGUAUUUGAUUUUCAUGAAUGAGCCUAAGACAUGUAAGGAGUGACUAGAUGCACUAAACAAGUCCGUAGCAAAGAUGGAUGACAUGUCAAACAAUUUCACCUUGCUUUGCUCGAAGGAGAGGCAUGUCAUAAUGUGGGGGUGCAUCAACACAUAUUUGAGAAGUCAAGUAUGUUCAAUUCAUUCCUUAGCUUGCAAAACCUCUUCUCAUCAAGUGGCUUGGUGAAUAUAUGGGCAAGUUGAUCAUCGGUGCCUAUACUCUCAAUGCAAAUGUCCCCUUUUUGUUGGUGAUCUCUUAUAAAGUGAUGGCGGACAUCUAUGUGCUUUGUUCUUGAGUGUUGAACUGGAUUGUUGGUGAGCUUCACGGCACAUUCAUUGUCACAUAGUAAUGGUACUUGUUUGAAGUUGAUUCCAAAGUCCUUCAAAGUUGCCUUCAUCCAUAGAAUUUGUGCACAAGAACUACCAGCCGCAAUGUACUCCGCUUCGGCGGUUGAUAGUGCAACACUAUUUUGUUUCUUGGAUGACCAUGAGACAAGUGAUCUUCCCAAUAGUUGACAUGUGCCCGAUGUGCUUCUUCUUUCAACUUUGCAUCCCGCAUAGUCCGAGUCGGAAUAUCCAACAAGUUCAAACUUUGCACCUUUGGGAUACCACAAACCAACAUUUUGUGUAUGCUUCAAGUACCUCAAUAUUCUCUUUGUUGCCUUCAAAUGACUUUCUCUUGGUGAGGCUUGAAAUCUUGCACACAUGCAUACACUAAACAUAACAUCCAGUCUUGAUGCGGUUACAUAGAGUAGGCUUCCAAUCAUAGACCGAUACAACUUUUGAUCCACCAUAUUUCCACUUGUGUUACUAUCUAAGCUUCCAUUUGUUCCCAUUGGAGUGCUAAGUGAUUUUGCAUCAUCCAUACCAAACUUCUUGAGCAUGUCUUUUAUGUACUUGCCUUGACUCACAAAUGUACCAUUCUUUCAUUGCUUGAUUUGAAGACCAAGGAAAUAACUAAGCUCUCCAAUCAUUGACAUCUCAAACUCAUUAGCCAUCAAGUUUCCAAACUCCUCACAAAAUUCUUGGUUGGUUGAUGCAAAUAUGAUAUCAUCAACAUAUAUUUGCAACACAAACAAGUCCUUGACAAUCUUCUUGGUGAAGAGAGUGGUGUCAACCUUGCCCAUCUUGAAACCUUUAGAGAGCAAGAAAUCUCUCAAUCUCUCAUACCAUGCUCUUGGUGCUUGCUUCAAACCAUACAAUGCCUUUCUUAGCUUGUAAACAUGGUUGGGUUUCUUGUCAUCUUCAAAACUGGGAGGUUGCUCAACAUAGACUUCUUCAUUGAUAUAGCCAUUGAGAAAUGCACUCUUCACAUCCAUUUGGUAGAGCUUGAUGUUAUGAGCACAAGCAUAGGCUAACAAGAUCCUAAUUGCUUCCAAUCUUGCAACCGGGGCAUAUGUUUUACCAAAGUCAAGACCUUCAACUUGAGUAUAGCCUUGUGCUACCAAUCUUGCUUUGUUCCUUACAACUAUCCCAUCUUGAUCUUGCUUGUUGCGAAAGACCCAUCUAGUACCAAUAACAUUGUGAUCACUAGGCCUCUCAACUAAUUCCCAUACUUGAUUUCUCUUGAAAUUGUUAAGCUCUUCAUGCAUAGCAUUGACCCAAUCAACAUCUCUCAAUGCUUCAUCAAUCUUCUUUGGCUCAAUGUGAGACACAAAGGAGAAAUGCUCACAAAAUGAUGCUAGUCUUGAUCUAGUUUGCACUCCUCUUUGAAUAUCACCUAUGAUAUGAUCCAAUGGAUGAUCUCUUGCAAUAUUUGUUGGUUGGAGUAUUUGCACUUGAUUGCUUGCACUUGGUUGAUCAUGAGAUGAUGUACUAGCUUGUUAAUCAUGCACUUGUGUACCACUUGUACUAGCUUGUUGAUCUUGCACUUGAGUACCACUUGUACUAGCUUGAUUUUGAUCAUGAGAACCACUAGCUUGCACAUUAGAGGUAGGAAGCACUUGAUCUUUGUCAUCUUCAACAUCAAUCACUUCUCUAGGCCUUAAAUCACCAAUAUCCAUAUUCUUCAUUGCAUCGGCCAAUUGAGUGCCUCUCACAUCAUCUAGAUUCUCUUCUUCUUCUUGAGAGCCAUUGGUUUCAUCAAACUCAACAUCAUGCACCUCCUCAAGAGUACAACUAGCCAAAUUCCACACUCUAUAAGCUUUGCUAGUAGUGGAGUAACCAAGCAAGAAUCCUUCAUCACAUUUCUUUUCAAAUUUACUCAAUCUAGUGCCUUUCUUCAAUAUGUAGCAUUUGCAACCAAAUACCCAAAAGUAUGCAAUGUUGGGCUUUCUUCCAUUCAAGAGCUCAUAUGGAGUCUUCUCCAUCAUUGGGUGACAAUAAAGUCAGUUGCUAUAGUAGCAAGCCGUGUUGAUUGCUUCGGCCCAAAAAGAAUGACUAACAUUGUAUUCACUCAACAUUGAUGUUGCCAUGUCAAUCAAGGUUCUAUUCUUCCUCUCAACAAGACCAUUUGAUUGUGGAGUGUACUUGGCUGAGAAUUGAUGCCUAAUGCCAAAUUCAUCACAAAGCUCAUCAACUCUUGUAUUCUUGAAUUCACUUCCAUUGUCACUUCUCACUUUCUUGAUGGUUGUUUCAAACUCAUUGUGUAUUCUCUUGACAAAUGAUUUGAAGGUUACAAAAGCAUCACUCUUGUCACUAAGAAAGAAUACUGUUGACGGUCCUUAAGUAUCAAAUUUAAUUAUCAAAUAAAUAAAGAAAAGGAUCCAAAUAAAAUCAACAUCUAGACUUAGGGUUUUAUCUGACAGAAUUCCACAAGUUUUGGUGUUUGUCUAUUUCUGCAGGGGGUUAUCAGGAAAUACGGAAGAAAGGCCCACACGUCGGGAUUACGUAAAGAUAUUAACGUGCUGCGCAAUUAUCUUACAUCUAGAAGACUCCAGAAGCCACGAGACCGAAGCGGAGGCGAAACGGGGCCAGAGGCAGGGCGCCCGCCCUGUUCCCCUGGGCGCCCGCCCUCUCCAGGAGUCCAAUUAGGACUCUGCUUUGCGGGAGAUCUCCACCGACCUAAAGGAUGAAUCUAAACCAUACAAUCUAUGUCGGUUUGAUCCAACGGCCCAUAUUCACUUGAAGGGACUAUAAAACCAGACCCCCUGGCCCCUGGAGGAGAGAGCCUCUCAACCCUAAUUCAUUGUUCCAUCAAGGGAGAAGAAGCCUCUGAUCAAGAUUAGAGCCACCACAUCAAUUACAUAUCUAGAUUAGCAUAGCUACAUAGGAUUAGAACUAGAAGGAGUCAAUCUUCGAUUGGUUUCCGGAUCUGUCAGGAGGAUUCUUGGUAAUUCUCUAAUUGUGCUUCUAAUUGCUUUCUAAUUAUCUUUGUUCUUCAAUAUUAUGAAUAUGACUUUGUUCUUCUUCAAUAUAUUGCUUAUGACUUUUCUCUACUUGCUUAUAUUCAAGAUUAUAUUGUUCUUAGUUUGUCAUAGUUAUGUACUUGGCUUAGUUAGAUUGGAUCUAUAUACAUGCUUAGGAUCAUAUAGCGUUUAUCCAUCGGAUCCAUGGGUAAAUGAUAGAUAUUGUGUAGGCGUUGUGCUUAUACCGUAUUUAUCUGCGAUUGUACCCAAUAUGCCAGAUCGUGGGGUGGUUCGUGAUAGUGACAGCUUCAUGGAUUCUUAUAUAGUACCCCUCUCGUGUAUUGGGCUAGCAGAGCAACAUUAUUACAGGGGAGUGAUUGCUAUGUUUCUCAUAUUCCUUGCUAAUAUCACUAUGCAUGGGCGUAGUCUUGUCUCACAAUGAUUGCUAAGUAUGCUUGCACUAACUAUGAUAAUGACUAGACUAUAUAGUUGAGAAUAACUUAGGGAAUAUUGUUGUAGUUCGUUCUAAUACCAUGCUAAUGACUUUCUAGAGUAUCUAAUUGAGGUGCUUAUCAUAUUUAUUAUGUGGCUAGAUCAGAUUAGUUAUCCUUGUCACUAUUAUUAUUUCAUAUAUCUUUUAUCUGACACUUAUCCCUGUAUGAAGAGUUAGAUAUAAUGUUCUCAAUUAUACAUGCAAUGAUAGAUGCUCAAUCUCAUAUUCUAUUCUGUAAUCAAUGUUGAUGAUUGCUAAUCCCUUCCCAGUGGUAAAAAUAUAAAUAACGAUACCUGGAAUACUUCCCGGUUAAAAUGCUACAUCGGUAUUAAUCUGUGAGCUUGCAGAUCCCAUUCAUUAUUUAUUUAGAAGAGCAAUUGCAUAUUUCAAUACCGCGUCUCUUAUAUCAUGCUGGGGAUGACAACUUGGCUUAAGUGAUAUGAGGGAUAGGUUUGGCAUUUUUGGCACCGUUACUAGAUUUAGAGAACUUAGUCUACUUUUGGUAAUGUUGUUAAGAAUACCCAACAAGCAUUUUUGGCGCCGUUGCCGGGGAAGGUUGAUUACUAAUCAGGAAUGGAAUAAAAGAUUUUGAGUUAUCAUUCGCAUCACUAAUAUGAUUGAGCUUAUCUAUUCUCUCAUACAGUUUUACCCUGAUAUUUUUCUAUUUCAUCUUAUGCAGGGGAAUGUAUGAAUAGAAGACAUCUUCCAGGAAAUUUUGUUGACAAUCCUGAAGCAUUAUUCAAGAAGACGAGAGCCAAGCUAAAGAAAUCAUCAACACUUCAGCAAGAAGCUUCAUCUAAUCAAGAAGAUCACCGGAACUUGUCUUCAGAGUUCGAGGCCAUGGCGAACAAAUCAAUCCGCGAGUUCUUAGCUCCCACUACGGACAACAUCCGCACUGGACCUACUACAGAGAUCGACGGCAACUUUGUGCUCAAGCCUGGACUUAUUAACAUGGUGCAAUCCAACCAGUUCUGUGGGAAGGCACACGAAGACGCUAGUGCUCAUUUACAACACUUCCUGGAGAUUUGCAACACAUUCACCAUAUCAGGAGUUUCUAAAGAUGCUAUACUACUUCGCCUCUUCCCAUUUUCACUGUUAGGAAGAGCGAAGCAGUGGUUUUACGCUACAAAGGAGAAGAAUACUACGUGGGCACUCUGCUCAACAAACUUCCUGGCAAAGUUCUUUCCCAUGGGCAAGACCAAUGCUCUCCGUGGGAAGAUUACAAGUUUUCAGCAACAAAAUGAUGAAUCUGUUCCAGAAGCAUGGGAGCGCUUUCAAGACUACAUCCUAGAAUGUCCCCAUCAUAGAAUGGAGAGUUGGCCAUUGAUGCAGACAUUUUAUCAUGGGCUCGGCAACAGUGCCCGAGAAACCAUGGAUGCUGCAGCUGGAGGAGCAUUUUUAUCACUUACUAUACCACAAGCCACAGCUCUUGUGGAGAAGAUGGCGUCCAAUCAAAGCUGGAAUGAAGAGAGGACCCAGACACGCAAGAGAGGUGGAGGUAUGCAUCAGCUGAAAGAGGUAGACAUGCUGUCUGCAAAGCUAGACCUGCUCAUGAAGAAGCUCGACGAUAGAGCUGGAGAUAAGAAAGAAGUUAUGCACAUCUACGACUCUCACAUGACUUGUGAGGAGUGUGGAGACACUAGACACUCAGGCAACCACUGCCCUGAGAUACUUGAGGAUGUAAACUACAUCAACAACUACUAUAACCGUCCUCAACAAAAUCAAGGUUGGAAUCAACAGAGGCCUAACUACUCAGGUAAUUAUCAAGGUAACAAUUCUUACAACAAUAAUAAUAAUUUUCCACCUUUGAGAGAGUUAGUGUCUAAUCAAGGAAAGCUAAUGGAUAACCUAUCUAAGAAAUUGGCGUCUAAUGAUAAAAUGCUAGAAAAUAUAAAUAAUAGAAUGGAUAAUUUCUCUACUGCCAUCAAGAAUCAAAUUAGCUUUAAUAAAAUGAUUGAAUCUCAGUUAAAUCAAAUAGCUGCUGCUUUUCCUACUACUAACCCCGGUAUACCAUCACAAACGGAAGGAUUAGAAUCUGCAAAUCUUGUGGACAUGUUUGAUGCAGGUAAUUGGAGUAACCCCGUCAAUGAAUUCUCUACUGACCUUCUGCCGGUCAAGAGAGGCGAUCCAGGAUGCCCCGUCAUCCCGAUCUCCAUCGGCAUGGUGGACGUUCCCGAAGCACUCUGCGACUCUGGCUCCAGUGUCAACAUUAUACCCAGGGUACUCUAUGAAAAAUUCUUUACAUAUCCUUUAUUAGAGACAACCAUGUGUUUGCAGUUUGCAGAUCAGACGAUAACUUUUCCAAAAGGAAUAUUGAAGAACCUUUGUGUCCGAGUUGGUACCUUAUAUGCUCUAGCAGACUUCGUAGUGGUAGAGACCGGAAAUGAUGAGAGAGCACCCAUCAUCUUAGGGAGGCCAUUCUUGAACACCAUGGGAGCUAUCAUCUAUGCCAGUGCUGCCAAGAUCAGUUUCUACGUCGAAGGGAGGAAGGAGACAUUUUUAUUCAAGAACAAGACUACACAAAUUCCAGAUUAAUCCAGACGUGAAUCGAGGAAGAGGACCAAUAGGAGGAACAGGAAUAAGCAAGUGUGGACCGAAUCAGCUAAGAUGGUCACUGUAGUUCAUGGAGGCCAAGAUCACCAACUUAAGUCACCGCUUUUGACUAAGAAGGACGACCCAGGAAUGCCAAGCAUUUACUGCUCCAUAAAUGGAUACAACUUCUACAAGGCAACUUGUGACACCGGAUCGGGCGUCAACAUAAUGGCCGCAGUCACCUAUCGGCUCUUGUUCGGAACCAUGCCCCUAAGACCAACAUACAUUCAGCUCCAGAUGGCAGAUCAGACAUUUCGAGAAGUUAAAGGAAUAGUAACUGAUGUCCCAGUCAAAAUAGACGAUCACUUUGUCUACACAGACUUUCAGGUUAUUGACAGGGGAGAAGAUGAGUACGAUCCACCCAUCAUCCUUGGAAGACCGUUCCUCAGCACCGUCAAAGCAAUUAUCUACAUUGGAACCGGAGAAGUCCAUAUGCACUUCCCCUCAGAGAAGGUAUGCCGUUACUUUACUGACCCUAACUAUAUCGUUGAAAAAUCUAAGCAGGUAAGGAAACGACGCAACCGCAACCAGAGGAGGCAGAUCAUCAAGGACGGAUGGGCAGACUAUGAAGGAGAAGUUGUAAGGUCAGAAGACGUAGAGUUCAAACAGAAUUAUCCAGAGGAGACUGAAGCACCAAGUCAGGUGUGGAAAAUGAAGAUAACUAUACACGAAGAGGAGGCGCUGCCGGAAGUACCGACUACGCCACCCAACGAACCUCAGGACGAUUGAAAAAAUGGAGAGUCCCAUUCGGAGGACUUAAAAACACCGAAUGCCUUGCCAAGAGGUAAACUUGGUAGUUAUUCUUUCUCUUUCAAUUAUUUCAAAUAGUUUAUUUAGUUAAUCAUGUUCAUGCUAUCCUAAAAAGAAAAUAAAAAUAUGAAAAAAAUAGUAAGCCCCAUGUGAGUAGAUGAGUGGCAUAAAACCCAUAAGUACAUUCACUGUGGCGGCAUAAAAAACAAAAUAAAUAUUUAUUUUCUACUUUAUAAAAUGAAAAUAUAAAAACAGGGAGUAAUAAUUAAGGAGUCUCAACAUGAUAAAGGCUAGAUAUUUAUGCUAACACUUAAUCAGUUCCACAAGCUUUGUUGUCUAUUUGAGCUCCACAGAAUUUAGGAAGACUAGCAGACGGUGGACAUUCUAAUCGCUGUCAAAAUGCUGCUAACUUUCAAAUACACCUCUGCCACCUGUUAGCUACAUCAAGGGAAAUUACAUCAAAAUUCAGCUUGGGGGAGAGCACCCCCAUUUAUCUCGAUAAGUAUUUCUAUCUAUAUAUCUUUAUACUUAUAUUAUUUUAGAAUAUAAAUAUACAUAACUAUGAAAAAAUCAAAUAAAGAUUUCGUACUUAUAUAUUUGUCUUUUGCUUAGUGUGUUUAAUAAAUAAAUAAAGUGGCUAUGCUAAUCUGUAUCUAAAUAAAACUUAAGCAUGGAUAUGAUGAAUAGUUGCUCUGCCUAAUUUGCACAUUUUAAGUUCUCUCUUAAGUUUAGAUAUAACUGUUAUAAUUUAAAGCUUGCUCUAGACCUAAACUUGUGGCAUGAAAACUUGAUCUGAAGUCUAAGUUGUUAACGGAUACGAUAUGCUGCUAUUUAUCUGUUCCUAGAGAAGCUAGAAUUCUAGAGAAUUUUAUCUUUGAAAAUCUUUAAAAUGUUGCAUGAUGAGUUCCUGUAUGAUGAGAGUUUAAAUUCCUACCAAAGCCAUAUAUACAUGCUUGCUAGACUUUGAGCCACACAUUUACUAUUUACUGCUUAUGAGCAUUGAGUGUGGUCAAGCUGUGUAGACCCUUAGGAGCUUGUCCUGUGGUUAAAUCAAGAUUUCACUUGCACGUUCACUCAUAUAUGCUACUUCUACUCUGGAAGUACCAUCCACAUAUAUCCACCCAUUCCAUCUCCAGAAUCACCCAAAAAUAUUCUACUCCUAAUCCGGGAGAGAAUAACCAAAAAUAUUUUUGUUUUCCUUAUGAAAUAAAUGCUCAAGUUAUCUUGUUACUACCACUUGCUACAUUAUCUCAAGAGAUGAGUGCUCUAAAAAAAGAAGAAAAUAUAGUACGAGGAAAUAAAAAGGAGCAAGUGCUCGGAACCUCGAAAGAAAAGAAAAAGUGAGAUGAGAGGUAAAAAUGGACAAGUGUCCGACAGUAGAAUUAGGGGUGCAAGAUACCCACCUGAGAGAAAAGAAAAAAAAUAAUAUAGAGCAUCUCAUUCUCCUCACUAUUCAAAAAGCAAGGAAGGUAUGUAUCCCCUCAAAAGAGCAAAGUAGAAUUAGACUUCCACCAUUGUUAUCACCAUCAUCACCAUACACCAUUCAUUCGCCACACAUGCACAUCUUGAUUUGGCUUAUUGAUUUGUUUCUUUGGAUCCAUGGUUUGACUAUACAAUACAUGUCUUGUAAGUAUGUAUACUUUAUCUCCCACCUAUGAGCUCCAGAUAUUAAAGCCUUAUUAGAGUGGGGUGAGAAGAAAAGGCAAUGUCACUCUGCUUUGUACCAUAAAUACUACAUAUCUUGAGAGAAGGCAUAUACCAUCACUGCCUUGGUAAGGAUCCAAAAAUACCACAAAAGAGAGAUCUGAGAGAGUCAUACAAGGAAUCUCUGAGUUUUAUUUGAAAAUCUACAAAAACCCCAGAGCUAUAGCUGAUCAAGAAUAAGAGACAUGGCACUUGGCUGGACUGUUCUAUCUUUUAACCACUCAAGACAGAAGUGACAGUUACAAGUCCCAUGGUGAAGGUAAAGUAAGUAAGCUUUAAGUCUUGACAGUUUACUCUAACUCAGAGAUGAGAUCUUAUUUAAAAGCAUGUGUACAUCAAUUUUUAAAAAUAUUGCAACAACUUAUGAUCCAUAGCUGAGUCUAUCCUUGCUUAGGGACGAGCAAGAGGUAAGCUUGGGGGAGUUUGUUGACGGUCCUUAAGUAUCAAAUUUAAUUAUCAAAUAAAUAAAGAAAAGGAUCCAAAUGAAAUCAACAUCUAGAUUUAGUGUUUUAUCUGACAUAAUUCCAUGAGUUUUGGUGUUUGUCUAUUUCUGCAGGGGGUUAUCAGGAAAUACGGAAGAAAGGCCCACACGUCGGGAUUACGUAAAGAUAUUAACGUGCUGCGCAAUUAUCUUACAUCUAGAAGACUCCAGAAGCCACGAGACCGAAGUGGAGGCAAAACAGGGCCAGAGGCAGGGCGCCCGCCCUCUCCAGGAGUCCAAUCAGGACUCUGCUUUGCGGGAGAUCUCCACCGACCUAAAGGAUGAAUCUAAACCAUACAAUCUAUGUCCGUUUGAUCCAACGGCCCAUAUUCACUUGAAGGGACUAUAAAACCAGACCCCCUGGCCCCUGGAGGAGAGAGCCUCUCAACCCUAAUUCAUUGUUCCAUCAAGGGAGAAGAAGCCUCUGAUCAAGAUUAGAGCCAACACAUCAAUUAGAUAUCUAGAUUAGCAUAGCUACAGAGGAAUAGAACUAGAAGGAGUCAAUCUUCGAUUGGUUUCCAGAUCUGUCAGGAGGAUUCUUGGUAAUUCUCUAAUUGUGCUUCUAAUUGCUUUCUAAUUAUCUUUGUUCUUCAAUAUUAUGAAUAUGACUUUGUUCUACUUCAAUAUAUUGCUUAUGACUUUGCUCUACUUGCUUAUAUUCAAGAUUAUAUUGUUCUUAGUUUGUCAUAGUUAUGUACUUGGCUUAGUUAGAUUGGAUCUAUAUACAUGCUUAGGAUCGUAUAGCGUUUAUCCAUCGAAUCCAUGGGUAAAUGAUAGAUAUUGUGUAGGCGUGGUGCUUAUACCGUAUUUAUCUACGAUUGUACCCAAUAUGCCAGAUCGUGGGGUGGUUCGUGAUAGUGACAGCUUCAUUGAUUCUUAUAUAGUCCCCCUCUCGUGUAUUGGGCUGGCAGAGCAACAUUAUUACAGGGGAGUGAUUGCUAUGUUUCUCAUAUUCCUUGCUAAUAUCACUAUGCAUGGGCGUAGUCUUGUCUCACAAUGAUUGCUAAGUAUGCUUGCACUAACUAUGAUAAUGACUAGACUAUGUAGUUGAGAAUAACUUAGGGAAUAUUCUUGUAGUUCAUUCUAAUACCAUGCUAAUGACUUUCUAGAGUAUCUAAUUGAGGUGCUUAUCAUAUUUAUUUUGUGGCU
rnacentral:lncRNA from 1 species